AACAUUUGUGGUACCUUCAUAGGAAAAAGUGGUGCCGAAGUUUGUUCUGGUUGUGAUGGUAGUGGAUCGGAAGGUAGCUGGAGUUGUGAGAGAUUGUGAGCCCACGAUGACUGCAUAAGUAAAUGAGUAGUACCCAAAUGAUCUGCCGGCAGAACACUUGGUAGUUGCAGAUCUUGUGCCACACAUGUGCCACCGGUGUUGUCUUCACGACCAUGUAUUGGAGGUAGCCGGAAUCUAAUGUCUUUUUGGACCCGAGAGAGCUCACUAAAGAGCUUGUUCAGAUCUUCAAGACUGAGAUCUUGUUCCUUCGUGAAGAUGAGAUUUGCCACCAUACCUGGAUUCUCUUCUUGGAUAUUUUUCAUACGAAGGAUGGAAAGGUUGUUUUUGUCUUCCUCGGUCAUGUUCUCCAUGUCCAACUGAGCCACCUCGUUUUGUAGGCUUCCAAUCCUAGCAGUGGUUGCCUCGUCGGCAGAGGGAACUGCUGGUGGAGUUCCAAAUAGGGAAGCAUCAACAAUGGGAUCGGCCAAUGGCGUCCCAAAUGAGUGCAUCUUUCCAAUGUUUGUUUCUAGGACGACCGCAACCCUAGCCCUAGUGAGGGCAGAAAUGUCAGUCACCCUCUUGAACAAACCGGAACGUCGCUUGUAGACGGUGAGAUCACGUUCUUUGUCAUUAUGGAUGUAUGCCAAACCUGACUGCCGCUCUUUCCUCGGCAUACUAAUGUGGACAAAGAGGAAGAAACUAACUACUACAAAUAGGAAGCACAAGGAUCUGCAGAAAACUAGAGAUUUAGGAGCACUGUUGGCUAACCACAUAUUGGUGUAGGAUAUGAGAAGAUGUACUCCCCUUAUAUAGAAUUAAAAGGGUUGUAUGGCAGUGGUAUUUGACUAUACAAAGACCAUGUAAAUCUUUAGUAAAAAUUAACAUACAUAACUCACAAAAAGUGCUAUUUUAUGGAUACUAUUAACUAUCGUCCAAAUAUACAUAUGUGAGUGCAUCCACAUCCUUCUUUGCAAACACUGAUAUGUAUUUCUUCUGAUGUAAGUAUUCACAUCCAUAUAUAGAACUAUUAACACUUUUAAAAAUAGAAAUAUUAAAUGAUUCCCAUUUGACCACAUUCAUAUCCUUAUCUAGAAGUAUUAAUGGGAGUUAAACCCAACUAAGUUUUACUCUAAUAUACAAAAUAAUUGUGGUCAAAUUUAUUUGGUUGUUAAUUGCAUCCAAAUCCUUUGUUGAUCACAUUGAUUACAUACUAAUGUAUCCUUGAUCAUAUUGAUUACAUCCAUAUCCUCUACUAGGAACUACCUAAUCUAGAAGUGGUCGUCCUUUAAUCCAUAAUAUCCAAGUAUAACAUGGACCUUGCUUUGGUGCUUAACUUAGAAAUUGAGAUACCAACUAGGACAGAUAUACUAAGAGCAACUAUAAAAUACUAGGACAUUUGGUAAGUCAUGGUAUAACACAUAUGUUACUCGGAGCAUCGACCUGCUUCCUUGGUGAGCCCAGUUCCCGCUCAAGAUGUGUUUUUAUUGGUUACACAUGUAUAUCUUGGGCCCUAGUUUUUUAUGGCCCAUAAAAUAAUAUGUGUAAGGCUUUUUCUGGAAGGAUCCAACACAACCUAAUCUAUUAUGUAUUAAAAGAAUUGACGGGCUCACCAGAAAAACAUAAAAAUGCUAGAAAAUAACUCAAAAAUAAAAACAACUAAUUGUCUAUCUAUUAUAUAUUAAAAGCAAUUGACGGGCUCACCAGAAAAAAGAUAUAGAUGCUAGAAGAUCUCUCAAAAAUCAAAAACAUCUGACUGUCUAUUUAAUAGGCUAAUAUUUUAUAACCAUUAGAUUAGGUUUAAGUGAAAUAAUUACCCACCAUUGCCAUUAUAAGAAAAAAGUGUUCCAUCUAACUUAUUAGGAUGUGGGCUGAUGCCAUCUUAUUAGGACGUGGGCUGAUGACAUAAUAUAAUGGAAAAAACGUUAUGUUCCCAUAGUACCAAAAGGACUGCUCACACAUGAACACAGUGGCAGCAAUGUUCAUGUAAAUGAUCUUUGUGAUUAAUUCCCCCUUGGUAGAGUACCUGAAAAAGCCUCCAGGUUGGAUCUCCCCGGAGCAGAGUGGUGGGCGGCGCAAAAAUCAUCUGUUAAUAUUUCUAACGUUUUCGGGAGUAUAUAAAGGCAGCGGAAGAAAGAUGCGAUGGAGGCAACCUCUAUGGCGGCCAUGCUCCCCCUUGGAUGCUCUUGCCGACCUGUGGCAUGUGUCCUAGGAGGGGUGGGGGUGGGUCUAGGUCCCUCCGGCUUCCUUUCUUCAUGAAACUUAGUGUUUUUUUCUAGUUUUUUGGUCCCUAAAAAGUUGAUUUUUUUCUUCUGAAAAUUCAAAAACACAACAACUAGCACUUUGCACUGAAUUAAUAGGUUAAUCAAGAAAAACUAUAAAAGUUGAUGCCAAUACUAUGCCAUUAUGAUAUAAGUAUAGGAUGAAACAAUAAAAAUUUCUUGAUACAUAUAGUACAUAUCAACUGGCAUGAAUAAAUUGAUGUUUUUCUAGGGAUUGUUAAUACUCGACAAUAUUGUUCUCCUAGAUAACCAGACACAAGGUACUCCUUGGUCCCUAUUGGUUCGAUGUCCAGGCUAAGAUUGUGACUAGCAUGAAUAAAUUGAUGGCUUUCUCUAUCGCUCACUAUUACUUGAUGGAACUUCAGCUGGGUAGCUGGACAGAAGCGAGGUUAUUCCUACCAAUUAGAAAUGGGCGACUCCCAUUCCGUAGCCAUCUGCACGUUACUACAAGCUAAAAUGGUGCCAAGCACGAAUAAAUCGUUAUAUUUCUCCAAGGCUCAUUAAUAAUGCAUGGUACUAUUCGGUUGGAUAGCCACACAGAAGUAAUGUACUCCUUUUCAACUUGAGGGGAUGACUCUUGGCCUUUAUCCAUCUGUCUAGUCACUAGCACGAAUAAAUUGGUGUCUUUCUCUACAACAAAUAAUUGAUGGUACUAUUCAGCCAGACAACCAGUAAGAAGCAAGGUACUCCCUGGUCCCCUGCCGACUCAAGGUGGAUGGCUGCUGGUAAUAUAUGCAUUAAUCCAAACUCAAACGGUGACUAGCACGAAUAAAUCGAUGUCCUUCUUUUUGGCUCUUUAAUACUUCCACUUUUCGACUAGGUUGUCUGAAAACAUGAGGUGGGCACCUCCUGAUACGGAGACGCAUGCACAUUAAUCCAUGCUAAAAUGGUGACUUGCACAAAUAUAUCGAUGUCUUUCUCUAGGGCUCAUUAACACUUGAUGGUAUGGUUUGGUUGGACAACAGGACAAAAAGCAAGGUAUUCCAGGAUUUCUUGUCCAUAUAGGGUGGAUGGCUCCAGGCACGGCCAGUUACACAUUAAUCCGGGCUCGUCUAACACGAAUAAAUGGAUGUCUUUCUCUAUGGCUCAUUAAUACUUGAUGGCACUCUUUGGUUAGGCGGUGUACAAAAGCGAGGUACUCCCUUCUGAUUUCGGGUGGUUGUGGGGCCACUAGACGGACACAAGCAAGGUAUUGCCUGUCACUUGGGGGGAUAUUUUAAAUAUUGUUUUUGUUACAUAAAUUUCAAAAAUAUAACACUAAAAUAUAAUAUUGUACCAGUAGUACUCCGACAUGUCGGUGCCAACAAUGACAGGUAUCAUUGGCACUACCAAUGAUACAUCUGUUAUGUUGUUAUUUUGAGUCAAUGGGCCAUCAUCAGUGCAUCCUGCAUCAGCCCUCCUGCAUGACACACUCGUACAGAGCUAGCUAUGUUAGAGCAUGUACAAUGGUGCUAUCUUCCAAUGUCACCUAAGAUCACUGCUGAGUUAGAAGAGAGCGAAUGGAGGGAAAAAAAGGCUUGCCAUCUCUUACCUAAGAGAUGGUUUGUCAGUAAAGAAGAUAAGACAAUUCUAUCCAUUUUACUAGAUGUCAUCUCUUAGCUACAUAUUUUCUAGUUUAAUUUUAACCAUCGCAUUAAUUUAAGAGCAUGUAAACUUUGCUUGUUAGGCUAAGAGCUAAUUCAUUGUAUCAUAUGUUUUUAAGCUUCUCCAAAUGACAUACAUUGCAUCAGCCCUCCCACAUGACACACUCGUACAGAGCUAGCUACCUUAGGUCGUCGUGUACAAUGAUGCUAUCUUCGCAAUGUCACCUAAGAUCAUUGAUGAGUUAAACGAGAGUGAUUGGAGGAAAAAAGGCUUGCCACCUCUUACCUAAGAGAAGGUCUCUCAGGAAAAGAAGAUAAGACAGUUCUACCCAAUGUACUAGAUGUCAUCUCUUAUAUUUUCUAGUUUAAUUUUAACCAUCGCAUUAAUUUAAGAGCAUGUAAUCUUUGCUUGUUAGACUAAGAGAUAAUUCAUUGUGUGAUAUGUUUUUAAGCUUCUCCAAAUGACAUACAUAGCAUACGAGAAUAUUGUAACAAAUAACUAUUUGUGUACAGUGUGCUCGGUCUAUUAUGAAGAUAUAAAGCAUGUGCUAUUUGAAUGUAAUGUUGCAAGGGAGGUUUGGGACAAUCUUGGUCUACUGGAACUCACCGAAGAGGCAUGCAUGCUGGACAAUUGAGGUAGUGUUUUUUUUCACAAAUUCACGAAUGUUUUUUAAAUUUGCUAAUGUUAUUUUUAGAAAGCAUGAUUUUUUAGUUUGAGAACAUUUUAAAACUUUCAGAAAUUAUUUUAAUUGGGGAAUAUUUAUAAUUUGAUGAGCAUUUUAAACAUCCUAAACAUUUUUUUAAUUACAGAAUAUAUUUUUUAUAAAGUUGCAAACGUUCUUAAAAUCCAUGGAUUGUUUUUCAAACUUGGAAGCAUUUAUUAAAAUUCUUGAAAAGAUGUUAAAAAUGAACAAAAAUUGUCAGCAUUUGUUAAAAUUUUCACAGCAGGCUUCCCACAAAAAAAAUUCACAGCAGGCACCUUUUAAUUUGUUUUCUAGUAAACAGCUCAAAAAUAGAUCUGUACAAUGGAGAAACAGCUAUAUCUCGCUGUACAGCAAGAUAUAACCUGAGCUCGCCUCUGAGCCCACCUUAGAGGGUGGGCCCAAUGGUCCAGAUUUGGAAAGGUAGUACUGACUGGUACAGACUUGUUUUAGAACCAGUUUCUAAAAAAAACAUGUUUUAGAACCUUUCAAGUUAUUUUUUUCCUUUUUGUUACAGUGUUUUCUUGGUAUACUUCAUUGUUAUUGCGUUUUAUGUUUUUCAUUCCUUUCCUUUUUUUUGCAUUUUUCAAAUAUACGUUGACUUUAUUUAAAUACACAUUGAAAAAUGCAUAUGCAUGUUGAACCUAUUUGGAUACACGUUAAACAUUUUCCAAAUACAAUUUGAAUACUUUUUAAAUACACCUUGAACAUUUGUCAAAUGUACAUUAAACAUCUUCAAAAUACAAUGUGGAAUUUUCUUAAACACACAAUGACCAUUUUUCAUAAAUGCCAUGAAUAUUAUUUUUAGUUGUGCAAACAGUUUUUAAGUGCUACGGAAAUUUCUUCAAACUCAUGAACCUUUUUUGAAUGGUACGAAACAUUUUCUGAAGAUUGCACAAUCAAAUUUUAACAUUAGCAAGGUAACUAAUGAUAAAAGUGAGCGUAAACGGUAUUGCAAUGAUAGGAAACAAGGCCUAGGGUUCAUACUUUCACUAGUGCAAGUUCUCUCAACAAUAAUAACAUAGAUAGAUCAUAUAACAAUCCCUCAACAUGCAACAAAGAGUCACUCCAAAGACACUAAUAGCGGAGAACGAACGAAGAGAUUAUGGUAGGGUGCGAAACCACCUCAAAGUUAUUUUUUUGGAUCAAUUUAUUCAAGAGUUCGUACUAGAAUAAUACCUUAAGACACAAAUCAACCAAAACCCUAAUGUCACCUAGAUACUCCAUUGUCACCUCAAGUAUCAGUGGGCAUGAUUAUACGAUAUGCAUCACACAAUCUCAGAUUCAUCUAUUCAACCAACACAAAGUACUUCAAAGAGUGCCCCAAAGUUUCUACCGGAGAGUCAAGAACGUGUGCCAACCCCUAUGCAUAGGUUCAUGGGCGGAACCCGCAAGUUGGUCACCAAAACAUACAUCAAGAGGCACAUGAUAUCCCAUUGUCACCACAGAUAAGUGAUAUCUACUACACAACCUUCUUCUUGUAGACGUUGUUGGGCCUGCAAGUGCACCGGUUUGUAGGACAGUAGCAAAUUUCCCUCAAGUGGAUGACCUAAGGUUUAUCAAUCCGCAGGAGGCGUAGGAUGAAGAUGGUCUCUCUCAAACAACCCUGCAACCAAAUAACAAAGAGUUUCUUGUGUCCCCAACACACCCAAUACAAUGGUAAAUUGUAUAGGUGCACUAGUUCGGUGAAGAGAUGAAGAUGCAAGUGCAAAAUAGAUGGUAGAUAAAGGUAUUUGUAAUCUGAAAUAAUAAAAACAGCGAGGUAGCGAGCGAUAAAAGUGAGCGUAAACGGUAUUGCAAUGAUAGAAAACAAGGCCUAGGGUUCAUACUUUCACCAGUGCAAGUUCUCUCAACAAUAAUAACAUAGAUAGAUCGUAUAACAAUCCCUCAACAUGCAACAAAGAGUCACUCCGAAGUCACUAAUAGCGUAGAACAAACAUAGAGAUUAUGGUAGAGUACGAAACCACCUCAAAUUUAUUCUUUCGGAUCGAUCUAUAAAAGAGUUCGUACUAGAAUAACACCUUAAGACACAAAUCAACCAAAACCCUAAUUUCACCUAGAUACUCCAUUGUCACCUCAAGUAUCCGUGGGCAUGAUUAUACGAUAUGCGUCACACAAUCUCAGAUUCAUCCAACCAACAUGAAAGUACUUCAAAGAGUGCCCCAAAGCUACUACCGGAUGAUACGUCUCCAACGUAUCUAUAAUUUUUGAUUGCUCCAUGCUACUUUAUCUAUUGUUUUGGACUAUAAUGGGCUUUAUUUUCCACUCUUAUAUUAUUUUUGGUACUAACCUACUAACCGGAGGCCCAGCCCAGAAUUGCUGCUUUUUUGCCUAUUUCAGUGUUUCGAAGAAACGGAAUAUCAAACGGAGUCCAAAUGGAAUGAAACCUUCGGGAACGUGAUCUUCUCACCGAACGUGAUCCAGGAGACUUGGACCCUACUCCAAGGAGUGCCAGAGGCGGUCACGAGGGUGGAGGGCACGCCCUUACACCCUGGGCGCGCCCCCCUACCUCGUGGGCCCCCUGACGCUCCACCGACGUACUCCUUCCUCCUAUAUAUACCUACUUACCCCCAACAGAUCGGGGACGGACCCAAAAUCCUAAUUCCACCGCCGUAACUUCCUGUAUCCACGAGAUCCCAUCUUGGGGCCUGUUCCGGAGCUCCGCCGAAGGGGGCAUCUACCACAGAGGGCUUCUACAUCAUCACCAUAGCCCCUCCGAUGAAGUGUGAGUAGUUUACUUCAGACCUUCGGGUCCAUAGUUAGUAGCUAGAUGGCUUCUUCUCUCUUUUUGGAUCUCAAUACAAUGUUCUCCCCCUCUCUGGUGGAGAUCUAUUCGAUGUAACCUUCUUUUUGCGGUGUGUUUGUUGAGACCGAUGAAUUAUGGGUUUAUGAUCCAACUUACCUAUGGAAAAUAUUUGAUUCUUCUCUGAAUUCUUUUAUGUAUGAUUGAUUUAUCUUUGCAAGUCUCUUAGAAUUAUCCGUUUGGUUUGGCCAACUAGAUUGGUAGUUCUUGCAAUGGGAGAAGUGCUUAGCUUUGGGUUCAAUCUUGCGGUGACCUUAUCCAGUGACAGAAAGGGUUGCAAGGCACGUAUUGUAUUGUUGCCAUCGAGGAUAACAAGAUGGGGUAUUUAUCAUAUUGCAUCAAUUUAUUCCUCUACAUCAUGUCAUCUUGCUUAAGGCGUUACUCUGUUUUUAACUUAAUACUCUAGAUGCAUGCUGGAUAGCGGUCGAUGAGUGGAGUAAUAGUAGUAGAUGCAGAAUCGUUUCGGUCUACUUGUCACGGACGUGAUGCCUAUAUACAUGAGCAUUGCCUGGAUAACCUCAUAACUAUGCUCAAUUCUGUCAAUUGCUCAACGGUAAUUUGUUCACCCACCGUAGAAUACUUAUGCUCUUGAGAGAAGCCACUAGUGAAACCUAUGGCCCCCGGGUCUAUUCUCAUCAUAUCAAUCUCUAUCACUUUAUUUACUUGCUUUUCUUUUACUUUUUACUUUGCAUCUUUAUACCAAAAAUACCAAAAAUAUUAUCUCUAUCAGAUCUCACCCUCGUAAGUGACUGUGAAGGGAUUGACAACCCCUAAGCGUUGGUUGCGAGUAGCUAUCAUUUUGUGCAGGUACGAGGGACUUGCGCGUGGUCUCCUACUAGAUUGAUACCUUGGUUCAUAAAAACUGAGGGAAAUACUUACGCUACUGUGCUGCAUCAUCCUCUCCUCUUCGGGGAAAUCCAACGCAAGCUCGAGACGUAGCACCGGAGAGUCAAGAACGUGUGCCAACCCCUAUGCAUAGGUUCCCAAUGUCACAAAACCCGCAAGUUGAUCACCAAAACAUACAUCAAGUGGAUCGCAAGACAUACAUCAAGUGUUCUCAUAAAAGACUCAAUCCGAUAAAAUAACUUCAAAGGGGAAACUCAACUCAUCACAAGAGAGUAGAGGGGAAGAAACAUCAUAAGAUCCAACUACAAUAGCAAAGCUCGGGAUACAUCAAGAUCGUGCCAUAGUGGGAACCCGAGAGAGAACACGAGAGAGAUAUCAAACACAUAGCUACUGGUACAUACCCUCAGCCCCGAGGGUGAACUACUCCCUCCUCGUCAUGGAUAGCGCCGGGAUGAUGAAGAUGGCCACUGGUGAAGGAUCCCCCCUCCGGCAGGGUGCCGGGAAGGGCUCCCGAGAGGUUUUUGGUGGCUACAGAGGCUUGCGGCGGCGGACAUCCUGAUCUAUCUUCUGUUCUGGAUGUUUUACGAUACGUAAGUAUAUAUGGGUGCAAGGGAUACGUCAGUGGACCGAAGGGGGGCCACGAGGCAGGGGGUGCGCCUAGGGGGGUGGGCCUGGGGCGCGCCCCCCACCCUCGUGAGCACCUCCCUUCUUUCCUGACGUGCACUCCAAGUCCAUGGGGUGGCUUUCCUUCCAGAAAUAACUUCUCCAGUUGAUUUCGUUCCGUUUUGACUCCGUCUGAUAUUCAUUUUCCUCGAAACACUGAAAUAGGCAUAAAACAGCAAAUCUGGGUUGGGCCUCCGGUUAAUAGGUUAGUCCCAAAAAUAAUAUAAAAGUGGAUAAUAAAGCCCAAUGUUGCCUAAAACAGUAGAUAAAAUAGCAUGGAGCAAUCAAAAAUUAUAGAUACGUUGGAGACGUAUCAAGCAUCCCCAAGCUUAAUUCCUGCUCGUCCUCGAGUAGGUAAAUGAUAAAAGAGAAUUUAUGAUGCGGAGUGAUACUUUGGCAUAAUUUCAAUGUAAAUCUUCUUAAUUGUGGUAUGAAUAUUCAGAUCCGAAAGAUUCAAGACAAAAGUUCAUAUUGACAUAAAAAUAAUAAUACUUCAAGCAUACUAACUAAGCAAUUAUGUCUUCUCAAAAUAACAUGGCCAAAGAAAGUUAUCCCUACAAAAUCAUAUAGUCUGGCUAAGCUCUAUCUUCAUCACACAAAGUAUUUAAUCAUGCACAACCAAGUUGAUGAGCCAAGCAAUUGUUUCAUACUUUAAUAAUGUCAAACUUUUUCAACUUUCACGCAAUACAUGAGCGUGAGCCAUGGACAUAGCACUAUAGGUGGAAUAGAAUGGUGGUUGUGGAGAAGACAAAAAGGAGAAGAUAGUCUCACAUCAACUAGGCGUAUCAACGGGCUAUGGAAAUGCCCAUUAAUAGAUAUCAAUGUGAGUGAGUAGGGAUUGCCAUGCAACGGAUGCACUAGAGCUAUAAGUAUAUGAAAGCUCAACAAAAGAAACUAAGUGGGUGUGCAUCCAACUUGCUUGCUCACGAAGACCUAGGGCACUUUUGAGGAAGCCCAUCAUUGGAAUAUACAAGCCAAGUUCUAUAAUGAAAAAUUCCCACUAGUAUAUGAAAAUGACAACAUAUGAGACUCUCUAUCAUGAAGAUCACGGUGCUACUUUGAAGCACAAGUGUGGUAAAAGGAUAGUAGCAUUGUCCCUUCUCUCUUUUUCUCUCAUUUUUUUAUUGGGCCUUUUCUCUCUCUUUUUUAUGGCCACUCUUUUUUUCGUCCGGAGUCUCAUCCCGACUUAUGGGGGAAUCAUAGUCUCCAUCAUCCUUUCCUCACUGAGACAAUGCUCUAAUAAUGAUGAUCAUCAUACUUUUAUUUUUCUUACAACUCAACAAUUACAACUCGAUACUUAGAACAAAAUAUGACUCUAUAUGAAUGCCUCCGGCGGUGUACCGGGAUAUGCAAUGAAUCAAGAGCGACAUGUAUGAAAAUUAUGAAGGUGGCCUUGCCACAAAUACAAUGUCAACUACAUGUUCAUGCAAAAAGCAAUAUGACAAAAGUAAUGUGUGUCAUAUGAACAAAACGGUGGAAAGUUGCAUGGAAAUAUAUCUCGGAAUGGCUAUGGUAAUGCCAUAAUAGGUAGGUAUGGUGGCUGUUUUGAGGAAGGUAUAUGGUGGGUGUAUGGUACCGGCGAAUGUUGCGCGGCACAAGAGAGGCUAGCAAUAAUGGAAGGGUGAAAGGGUGCGUAUAAUCCAUGGACUCAACAUUAAUCAAAAGAACUCAUGCACUUGUUGCAAAAAUUUAGAAGUCAUCAAAAACCAAAGCACUACGCGCAUGCUCCUAGGGGGAUAGAUUGGUAGGAAAAGACCAUCGCUCGUCCCCGACCGCCACACAUAAGGAAGACAAUCAAUAAAUAAAAUUGUGCUCCAACUUCAUCACAAAGCGGUUCACCAUAUGUGCAUGCUACGGGAAUCACAAACUUCAACAGAAGCAUUCUUUAAAUUCAUAAUCACCCAACUAGCAUCACUUUGAUAUUAUCACCUCCAUAUCUCAAAACAUUUAUCAAGCAUCAAACUUAUCUUAGUAUUCAACGCACUCAAAAGAAAGUUUCACAUAUCUUGAAUGCCAAGUAUCUUAAUGUUAAGUAAGUUACCAUGCUAUUAAAGACUCUGAAAAAAAAUAUAAGUGAAGCAUGAGAGUUCAUCUGUUUCUUCAAAAUAAAACCACCAUUGUGCUCUAAAAGAUAUAAGUGAAAUACUAGAGCAAACGACAAACUACUCUGAAAGAUAUAAGUGAAGAUCAAUGAGUAGCUAAAUAAUUAUGCAACUAUGCAAAGACUCUCUCUCAUUAAAGAAUUUCAUAUCUUGUAUCUUAUUCAAACAGCAAGCAAAGCAAAAUAAAAUGACAAUGCAAGGAUAGCACAACUCAUGUGAAGAAGCAAAAACUUAGGCUCAACCGAUACUAACCGAUAGUGAUUGAAGAAGAAAGGUGGGAUGCCUACCGGGGCAUUCCCAAGCUUAGAUGCUUGAGACUUCUUGAAAUAUUAUCUUGGGGUGCCUUGGGAAUCCCCAAGCUUGAGCUUUUAUGUCUCCUUAAUUCCUCUCAUAUCAUGGUUUCUCUUCCUUUAUCAAAAGCUUCAUUCACAACAAACUCAACAAGAACUCGUGAGAUAGGUUAGUAUAAACCAAUGCAAAACCAUAGCAUCUUCUACUGUAACAAACCACUAACAUUAUUAUUCAACAUUGCAUACUAAAUGCCUCUGUAUAUUUAAUACUCCUAUCCUCAAAUAGAAUCAUUAAACAAGCAAACAUACGCAAACAAUGCAAACAUAACACCAAUCUGCCAAAAUAGUACAGUCUGUAAAGAAUGCAAGAGUAACAAUACUUCCCUGACUCCAAAAAUUAUGAACUAAAAUUCGCACUGUAAUAAAUUUAUCAGAGCUUAAUAUGCAAAAAUAUUCAACAUUAUACCAUUCUCUGACUUUUCUCGGGAAUUUUUGCAACAGCGGUAAACUUUCUGUUUUCAAACAGCAACAUGUAUACUAGCAAAAUAAGCAUGGCAAAGGCUAUCCUUGACUUUUUUAUUGAAACUAAAGAUACAAAACAUUAUUCUAAUUAAGAUCAAGCAAAAACUAGCAAAAUAAUAUGACGCUCCAAGCAAAACACAUAUCAUGUGGCGAAUAAAAAUAUAGCUCCAAGUAAAGUUACCGAUGAACGAAGACGAAAGAGGGGAUGCCAUCCGGGGCAUCCCCAAGCUUAGUUGCUUGAUUGUCCUUGAAUAUUACCUUGGGGUGCCUUGGGAAUCCCCAAUCUUAGGCUCUUUCCACUCCUUAUUACAUAAUCCAUCGAAUCUUUACCCAAAACUUGAAAACCUCAACCACACAAAACUCAAAACAAAACUCGUAAGCUCCGUUAGUAUAAGAAAAUAAAUCACCACUUAGGUACUGUAAUGAACUCAUUCUAAAUUCAUAUUUGUGUAAUAUCUACUGUAUUAUAACUUCUCUAUGGUUCAUACCACUUAAUACUAGCCAUAGAUGCACCAAAAUAAGCAAACAACACAAUGAAAACAGAAUCUGUCAAAAACAGAAUAGUCUGUAGUAAUCUGUAUCAAAUGUAUACCUCUGGAACACCAAAAAUUAUGAAAUAAAUUUCUGGACCUGAAUAAUUUGUCUAUUAAUCAUCUGAAAAAAGAAUCAACCUAAAAGCACUUUUCAGUAAAAAAUUGCAGCCAUUCUCGUGAGCGCAAAAGUUUCUGUUUUCUACAGCAAGAUCAUUUAAACUUCACCCAAGUCUUCCCAAAGGUUCUACUUGGCACUUCAUUGAAAUAAAAGCUAUAAAACAUGAUUACUACAGUAGAAUAAUAAUGUGGACACACAAAAACAGUAAGGGUAAAUAUUGGGUUGUCUCCCAACAAGCGCUUUUCUUUAAUGCCUUUCUAGCUAGGCAUGAUGAUGACAAUGAUGCUCACAUAAAAGAUAAGAAUUGAAACAUAACGGGAGCAUCAUGAAGCAUAUGACUAGCACAUUUAGGCCUAACCCUCUUCCUAUGCAUAGGGACUUUGUGAGCAAACAACUUAGGGGAACAAUAAUCAACAAGGAUAGGAAGGUAAAACAAGCAUAACUUCAAGAUUUUCCACACAUAGAGAGGAAACUUGACAUUAUUUUAAUUCCUACAAGCAUAAGUUCCUCCCUCAUAAUAAUUUUCAGUAGUAUCAUGAAUGAAUUCAACAAUAUAACCAGGACCUAAAGCAUUCUUUUCAUGAUCUACUAGCAUAGAAAAUUUACUACUCUCCACAUAAGCAAAAUUCUUCUCAUGAAUAAUAGUGGGAGCAAACUCAACAAAAUAACUAUCACAUGAUUGAAAAUUAAGAUCAAGAUGACAAGUUUCGUGGUUAUCAUUAUUCUUUAAAGCAUACGCGUCAUCACAAUAAUCAUCAUAGAUAGGAGGCAUGCUUUCAUCAUAGUAAAUUUGCUCAUCAAAGCUUGGAGGACAAAAAAUAUCAUCUCCAUCAAACAUAGCUUACCCAAGCUUGUGGCUUUGCAUAUCAUUAGCAUCAUGGAUAUUCAGGGAAUUCAUACUAACAACAUUGCAAUCAUGCUCAUCAUUCACAUAUUUCAUGCCAAGCAUUCUAUGUAAUUCUUCUUCUAGCACUUGAGCACAAUUUUCCUUUCCAUCAUACUCACGAAAGAUAUUAAAAAGACAAAGUGUAUGAGACAAACUUAACUCAAUUUGUUGUAGUUUUCUUUUAUAAACUAAACAAGUGAUAAAACAAGAAACGAAAAGAUUCGAUUGCAAGAUCUAAAGAUAUACCUUCAAGCACUCACCUCCCCAAAAAAGAGCUUAGUUGACGGAGUGUGAGUACCCUUUACCUAGCUUCCCCGGCAACGGCGCCAGAAAAGAGCUUGAUGUCUACUACACAACCUUCUUCUUGUAGACGUUGUUGGGCCUGCAAGUGCACAGGUUUGUAGGAUAGUAGCAAAUUUCCCUCAAGUGGAUGACCUAAGGUUUAGCAAUCCCUAGGAGGCAUAGGAUGAAGAUGGUCUCUCUCAAACAACCCUGCAACCAAAUAACAAAGAGUCUCUUGUGUCCCCAACACACCCAAUACAAUGGUAAAUUGUAUAGGUGCACUACUCCGGCGAAGAGAUGAAGAUGCAAGUGCAAAAUAGAUGGUAGAUAAAGGUAUUUAUAAUCUGAAAUAAUAAAAACAGCAAGGUAGCGAGCGAUAAAAGUGAGCGUAAACGGUAUUGCAAUGAUAGGAAGCAAGGCCUAGGGUUCAUACUUUCACUAGUGCAAGAUCUCUCAACAAUAAUAACAUAGAUAGAUCGUAUAACAAUCCCUCAACAUGCAACAAAGAGUCACUCCGAAGCCACUAAUAGCGGAGAACAAACGUAGAGAUUAUGGUAGGGUACGAAACCACCUCAAAGUUAUUCUUUCGGAUCGAUCUAUUCAAGAGUUUCUACUAGAAUAACACCUUCAGGCACAAAUCAACCAAAACCCUAAUGUCACCUAGAUACUCCAUUGUCACCUCAAGUAUCCGUGGGCAUGAUUAUAUGAUAUGCGUCACACAAUCUCAGAUUCAUCCAACCAACAUGAAAGUACUUCAAAGAGUGCCCCAAAGCUACUACCGGAGAGUCAAGAACGUGUGCCAACCCCUAUGCAUAGGUUCCCAAUGUCACGAAACCCGCAGGUUGAUCACCAAAACAUACAUCAAGUGGAUCGCAAGACAUACAUCAAGUGUUCUCAUAAAAGACUCAAUCCGAUAAAAUAACUUCAAAGGGCAAAUUCAAUUCAUCACAAGAGAGUAGAGGGGGAGAAACAUCAUAAGAUCCAACUACAAUAGCAAAGCUCGGGAUACAUCAAGAUCGUGCCAUGGUGGGAACACGAGAGAGAACUUGAGAGAGAGAGAUCAAACACAUAGCUACUGGUACAUACCCUCAGCCCCGAGGGUGAACUACUCCCUCCUCGUCAUGGAUAGCGUCGGGAUGAUGAAGAUGGCCACCGGUGAAGGAUCCCCCCUCCGGCAGGGUGCCGGGAAGGGCUCCCAAGAGGUUUUUGGUGGCUACAGAGGCUUGCGGCAGCUGAACUCCCGAUCUAUCUUCUGUUCUGGAAGUUUUACGAUACGUAGGUACAUAUGGGUGCAAGGGGUACGUCGGUGGACCGAAGGAGGGGGGCCACGAGGCAGGGGCGCGCCCCCCACCCUCGUGAGCACCUCCCUUCUUUCCUGACGUGCACUCCAAGUCCAUCGGGUGGAUUUCCUUCCAAAAAUAACUUCUCCAGUUGAUUUCGUUCCGUUUUGACUCCGUCUGAUAUUCCUUUUCCUCGAAACACAGAAAUAGGCAUAAAACAUCAAAUCUGGGCUGGGCCUCCGGUUAAUAGUUUAGUCCCAAAAAUAAUAUGAAAGUGGAUAAUAAAGCCCAAUAUUGCCUAAACAGUAGAUAAAAUAGCAUGGAGCAAUCAAAAAUUAUAGAUACGUUGGAGACGUAUCAAUAAGCACGGCAAGACAUACAUCAAGUGUUCUCAUAAAAAACUCAAUCCGAUAAGAUAACUUCAAAGGGGAAAACUCAAUUCAUCACAAGAGAGUAGAGGGGGAGAAACAUCAUAAGAUCCAACUACAAUAGCAAAGCUCGGGAUACAUCAAGAUCGUGCCAUAGAGGGAACACGAGAGAGAGAGAGAUCAAACACAUAGCUACUGGUACAUACCCUCAACCUCGAGGGUGAAGUACUCCCUCCUCGUAAUGGAGAGCGCCGGGAUGAUGAAGAUGGCCACCGGUGAAGGAUCCCCCCUCCGGCAGGGUGCCGGGAAGGGCUCCCGAGAGGUUUUUGGUGGCUACAGAGGCUUGCGGGGGCGGAACUCCCGAUCUAUCUUCUUCGUGGAUGUUUUUAGGGUACGUGGGACUAUAUAGGCAAAAUAAGUCGGUCGGAAGGUGCUCGAGGGGUCCAUGAGACAGGGGGCGCGCCCUCCUAUCUCGUGGCCUCCUCGAGGCUCUUCUGACGUGAACUCCAAGUCUCCUGGGUGAUAUUCUUCCAAAAAAUCACGUUGCCGAAGGUUUCAUUCCGUUUGGACUCCGUUCGAUAUUCCUUUUCUUCGAAAUACUGAAACAGGCAAUAAAACAGCAAUAUGGGCUGGGCCUCCUAUUAAUAGGUUAGUCCCAAAAGUAAUAUAAAAGUGUAUAAUAAAGCCCAUAAUCAUUCAAAACAGAUAAUAUAAUAGCAUGGAACAAUCAAAAAUUAUAGAUACGUUGGAGACGUAUCACUACCCUACACUCAAGAAGCCCGGUCCACGUGGCGUCAUCACCAUUAGAGGAAUCACAGAGCGCUCUUCACGCGCAGAGGAACACGUGACGGCCCUGGCAGCCGGACUAUAAGCGGCCUCCAAUAUUAGAAAACAUGACUGGUCAUUAAGACCACAGACAGGUUAGACGAGUCCGGUAGCCCGGAUAAAAUUAAACCAGGGCACCGUAUAUGUAAUCCCGUAGCGGACACCAGGGGCUAUAAAUAUUUAAUACAGCCCCACACUUGGCUCAACCUUAUUGCCAGGCCAACAUCUUACACUUUUACUAUCCAUGGCAUACUUACGUUGUACUCUCCUACGAGUUUUCCUUUUUCCACAGACAACGUUCGUGUGAUACCCUUCCAGGAUACGGCACAACGGAGAUAAAGGCGCAGACAUGCAGCAGGGCCCCGUUCAAUAGGUUUCUUUUUAGAUUAAGCCCCUGUGUAAACCUUUUCUAUUGCCUCUUGUUGUUUAACCAUCCCAUGGGUUCCAUACCCACAGAGGAUACUGUCAUUAUUGGCAUUUCGCCACAAUAGAUUACCGCACGUACCUGGAAACACACGGUUUAUGAUGAAUGGGCAUUCUUUAGCCCAUCUUCUGUUACAAAGCCCGAAUACCUUCGGGAGUGUUCGGCUUCACGAGUUUGGCCUUAUAUGCAUCAGCUCUGAAUCAUGUCUUUGGUCAAAUGUUGGGUUUGCCCGGCUCCUGGGUUUGCUGCCUUACAUUCCGUUAUUAUCGGCUAAGGCGGCCAAAGGAGAACUACUGCGAUUGUACCCUGGUUAUUCCGGAUAGGCACCUCAGUAGAGAAAGCCGAAAACUGACUGUCAUGAUGCAGCAAGAGACUGUUCAACCACUCGAAGACUCACCGGAAUCUUUAGGAUUCCUCCGCAUUAACGAAGGGCCGUUUCCCGGCCAUGUACAUACGCGCCCGUAUUCGGAUGCACGCGAAGGUACCAGGGGCUACAUAGUAGCCCCACCUUUAGACUCCCAUGGCUAAGCAGAAGUGUUACAGCUAUAUAGUCCGGUUGCCUAGUUCGACGUGCGAUCACCUCCUUAAUGGACCAAGACGUUGGAUCAAGUGUGAUUAAGCAUAUUUUUCGCGAAUACCCUCGCAUUGUAUGCGUGGGGGCUGAAGCCAAUGACUGCUAACUUUUGGAUUACUUAUAUACAUAUAUAAAAACGGCCGCACAGGGGACACAAUAUUCUUUUCAGGCAAAAAGUAUAAAUAUAGCCUCAUAAUCAAAAUAAACAUGUUUUACAAUGAUUCGAUUUAUCACUCGAACAAGACAUUCUUCGAGCACUGCGCCUCUAUUAGCCGGGCACCUUCUGUGACCUGCGCCAAGUAGUGCUCAGUCGGAUAUUGGCCUCCUGCCGGAUCCUGGGUUGCUACAAUGGUAGCCUCCAAAUCCGACCAAUAAGCUUUAACGUGGGCAAGAGCCAUUCGUGCACCCUCUAUGCACGCCGACCUCCUCAUGGCAUCGAUCCGAGGCACGGCCCCAAGGAAUUGUUGCACCAAACCAAAGUAGCUGUCCGGCUUAGGCCCCUUCGGCCAAAGAUGGUCUAUUACAGACCGCAUUGCAAGCCCAGACAGCCCGUGAAGCUCCGCCAUAGCAGCCAUCUUCUCAUUUAACGGCAGCGGGCGGGUGGGAGCAUUGAAUUGCGACCAGAAAAGCUUCUCCACUUCCUUAUCACCUUGAUCCUCGAAGAACUUGGCAGCGUCAGCCGUACUAUUCGCCAAGUCCGCAUAUGCGUCGGCCGGACUCCGGCGUCCAUCUAGGGGAGCAUACUUCGGAUCCAAAAACUUCAUCCGCAGUAAGUAGGAGCCCCCAGCCACGAUUUGGUCGGCCUGUUGGAGCUCCUCCCGCAUACCCGGGAUCUCGGUCCGCAUCUCCUUGGUGGCAUUAAGUGCCUUGUCCAGCUCGGCCGAGCUAGCCUUAUUCUCCUUUUCAAGCAGUACAUAUCGGUCGGUGGCAUUUUUUAGCUCCACAACCAUUUUGGCUAUCUUUUCCUCACUUCGGCGAUGAGCAUCCUAUUCGGCUCUCAAUUCUUCGGCCCCCUUUAGGGCAGCCGCAUUGCUAGCCCGAGCUUGUUCCUUGGCUUGAGCAAGUUCCGCCCUCAGGGCCUCCACAGCAGCAGCACCAUCUGCAGUACAAACACAUUGCAUUAAUAUUAUGCCCCUCUCACAUUUUCCUAUACAACAUAAUAAGGGAAGCAGAGCACAUACCCGGUGACUCUUCCAGCCAUUUGUUCACCAGCGUGAUAUCGGCAUCGAUCAAUCCGAUCUGCCUCCUUAGUUCGGCAACUUCAACAGACUGGUCGGCUGCCGGAUCCUUAGAUACCUGCGCACAUGUACAACACAGCCAUUACUAUAUGAUCCCCCGUUUGCCGCCUAUGGCGGGCAACCAGAGUCUCAGGGGCUACUAUCCAUAUGGAGCACACCUAGUGCAUGCCUCACAGCCAAAAAAUAGUGCAUUUUUUUACUACAUACCUCAAAGCCUCUGAGCAGGCUCGUAAAUGCCUCAUUCAAACCGCUUGUAGCGGAUGAAAUCUUCUUAAGCACCGCACUCAUUAAUGAGCGGUGCUCCGCUGAGAGCGCAACUCGCUCCAGAAGACCUGUCAGUACGUCCGGCCGGGCAUCGAACUGUGCCAGACCCUUCUCAUCACCCCCCAUGGGAGCCAAACGCUCCGGGCUCAGGGCGACUGACGUAUUGGCCUCUGUCUUCGGCAGAUCUGGACUCCUCCAUGACGACACCUCAGUGUUGCCCGCUUCAUGAGGCGGAGAGGUGGGUGGGGUGUCGCUCUCCAUCAUCUCCGGAGGAAGAUCCCCCAAAGAUGAACUCUGUUGAGGAGAGCUGCUAGCCGGACUGCAAAAGAUGAAUCCUGGUUAUUGAUCUCGGAGAAACGCAGUACCCUCAGAAUAGUGAUUAACUUACAGCUCGUUCGAGGGCUGGCCCAUUGGUGGGCCUGACGUGGUGAGAACGCCCGUCGAGACAGAGCCCCCCGGGGACACUUUCUUCCCCUGUUUGGGCAUCUCCGUCUCCAAGUCUUCGGAGGCGGCCCUUUUCUUCCCGCGCAGGGAGGUGGCCUCAGAUUCCCCUCCCCGACUAUCCUCCUUUGGGGAGAAAUCAAUUCCCCCGGUCUGGAUGUGUAGUGUCUGAAGUCCGGCUUCGCUGCCCUUUCCUUCGCCUUUCCCUGAGGGCAUUUUGCUAAGCACCCGGCCAAGCAUCUUGGCAACGGUUGGACCCGGCGAGCCUUCAGGAAGUGGCGCCGGACACCUGAUUCUCUCCGCCUUGUUGAACCAUUCCUGGCCACGGAGGGUUUUUCAGAACAAUGGUUAUGGCAAAUAUAAACAGAGUGUCCGUCUUUAAGGUUACUUACUUGGGUAUCUAUGCGAUUGCAGCUUAGGCCUGCAUCCUCAGUGGUGUCCGGACACUUUACUUGUGGUCCAAAGAAUAAUUUACACAUCCCUUCGAGCUUCAGGCCGAAGAAGUGCUUAAUAGUCCACAGACCCUCCGGAUUGAACUCCCACAUCCGGAGAGGCCGACGUUUGCACGGCAACAUCCGUCGGACUAGCAUUACUUGAAUUAUGCUGACAAGAUUUAUGUCCCUCUCGAUAAGCUCCCAGAUACGGCUCUGCAGUAUUGGAACAUCACUGGCAGGCCCCCAAUUCCGUCCUGCGUCGGUCCAUGACGCCAACUAUAUACAUCGUCCGGACUAUUGAAGCGUGAAGAUACAAGACUCAAGACUUCGGCCUGUGUCCGGAUGGGACUCUCCUUUGCGUGCAAGGCAAGCUUGGCGAUCCGGAUAUUGUGUUUCCUUCCUUGUAACCGACUUCGUGUAAACCUUAGCCCUCUCCGGUGUCUAUAUAAACUGGAGAGGUUGGUCCUUAGAAGGACGAUCACAAUUACAAUCAUACCAUCAUAGGCUAGCUCUUAGGGUUUAGCCUCUACGAUCUCGUGGUAGAUCUACUCUUGUACUACCCAUUUCUUCAAUAUUAAUCAAGCAUGAAGUAGGGUUUUACCUCCAUCGAAAGGGCCCGAACCUGGGUAAACGUUGUGUCCCUCGCUUCCUGUUACCAUCAGCCUAGACGCACAGAUCGGGACCCCCUACCCGAGAUCCGUCGGUUUUGACACCGACAGGCACUGCGAGCUAAAGCUCGCAAAAUCAUCCAAGGGGAUGAUAACACACCAUUCUUCCACAUGAUUGCGAAUGGCAAGCAUUGAAAGAAGAGAAUAUUUCACCUUGAGCAAGAUGAUGGGACGAUUUUAGGGCAGGAGAACCCAAAGGUAUAUAUCACCAAUUACUAUAAGCAGCUGUUUGGGCCUCUCGAGGAUAAUUUCGUAUCCUUGGAUGAGUCAAGGGUUGAGGAUGUUCCUCAGCUCGCAGCAGAUGAGAAUGAUAUUUUGACAGCCCCACUUUCGGAGAAAGAGGUGUUUGAGGCAAUUUCCCAAAUGAAAAAUAAUAAAGCUCCAGUACCAGAUGGUUUUACGGCAGAGUUUUAUAAAAAGUGUUGGCAGAUCAUUAAGGGGGACUUGCUCCCGAUGUUCCAUGAUCUAUUUUUGGGACAGUUACAACUGUUUCACAUGAACUUCGGUACAAUUACUUUGCUUCCUAAGAAAACAUAGGCUGUGAGGAUUGAGCAAUUUAGGCCAAUCUGUCUUCUUAAUGUUAGCUUUAAAAUCUUCACCAAAGUUGGGACUAAUAGGCUUACGCAGAUUGUGUUGGGGAACGUAGCAGAAAUUCAAAUUUUUUUCCUACGAAUCACCAAGAUCUAUCUAUGGAGAGACCAGCAAUGAGUAGAAAGGAGAGUGCAUCUACACACCCUUGUAGAUCGCUAAGCGGAAGCGUUCAAGUGAACGGGGUUGAUGGAGUCGUACUCGUCAUGAUUCAAAUCACCGAUGAUCAAGUGCCGAACGGACGGCACCUCCGCGUUCAACACACGUACAGCCCGGUGACGUCUCCCACGCCUUGAUCCAGCAAGGAGAGAGGGAGCGGUUGAGGAAGACUCCAUCCAACAGCAGCACAACGGCGUGGUGGUGGUGGAGGAGCGUGGCAAUCCCGCAGGGCUUCGCCAAGCACCAGGGGAGAGGAGAAGAACUUGGGAGAGAGGGAGGGGCUGCACCAAAGGCAUAAGGUCUGUUUGGGAGGCCCUCCUACCCCACUAUAUAUAGGGAUCCCAAGGGGGGGUGCACCAGCCCCUAGGAGAUCCAAUCUCCAAGGGGGCNNNNNNNNNNNNNNNNNNNNNNNNNNNNNNNNNNNNNNNNNNNNNNNNNNNNNNNNNNNNNNNNNNNNNNNNNNNNNNNNNNNNNNNNNNNNNNNNNNNNNNNNNNNNNNNNNNNNNNNNNNNNNNNNNNNNNNNNNNNNNNNNNNNNNNNNNNNNNNNNNNNNNNNNNNNNNNNNNNNNNNNNNNNNNNNNNNNNNNNNNNNNNNNNNNNNNNNNNNNNNNNNNNNNNNNNNNNNNNNNNNNNNNNNNNNNNNNNNNNNNNNNNNNNNNNNNNNNNNNNNNNNNNNNNNNNNNNNNNNNNNNNNNNNNNNNNNNNNNNNNNNNNNNNNNNNNNNNNNNNNNNNNNNNNNNNNNNNNNNNNNNNNNNNNNNNNNNNNNNNNNNNNNNACCCCCUACAGCCCAUGUGGCCCCCCGGGGCAGGUGGCCCCACCCGGUGGGCCCCCGGGACCCUUCCGGUGGUCCCGGUACAAUACCGAUGACCCCGAAACUUGUCCCGAUGGCCGAAACAGGACUUCCUAUAUAUAAAUCUUUACCUCCGGACCAUUCCGGAACUCCUCGUGACGUCCGGGAUCUCAUCCGGGACUCCGAACAACAUUCGGUAACCACAUACAAGCUUCCUUUAUAACCCUAGCGUCAUCGAACCUUAAGUGUGUAGACCCUACGGGUUCGGGAGACAUGUAGACAUGACCGAGACGUUCUCCGGUCAAUAACCAACAGCGGGAUCUGGAUACCCAUGAUGGCUCCCACAUGUUCCACGAUGAUCUCAUCGGAUGAACCACAAUGUCAAGGACUUAAUCAAUCCCGUAUUCAAUUCCCUUUGUCUAUCGGUAUGUUACUUGCCCGAGAUUCGAUCGUUGGUAUCCAAUACCUUGUUCAAUCUCGUUACCGGCAAGUCACUUUACUCGUUCCGUAACACAUCAUCCCGUGAUCAACUCCUUGGUCACAUUGCGCAUAUGAUGAUGUCCUACCGAGUGGGCCCAGAGAUACCUCUCCGUUUACACGGAGUGACAAAUCCCAGUCUCGAUCCGCAUAAAACAAUAGAUACUUUCGGAGAUACCUGUAAUGCACCUUUAUAGUCACCCAGUUACGUUGUGACGUUUGAUACACCCAAAGAACUCCUACGGUAUCCAGGAGUUACACGAUCUCAUGGUCAAAGGAAGAGAUACUUGACAUUGGCAAAGCUCUAGCAAACGAACUACACGAUCUUUGUGCUAUGCUUAGGAUUGGGUCUUGUCCAUCACAUCAUUCUCCUAAUGAUGUGAUCCCGUUAUCAACGACAUCCAAUGUCCAUAGCCAGGAAACCAUGACUACCUGUUGAUCACAACGAGCUAGUCAACUAGAGGCUCACUAGGGACAUAUUGUGGUCUAUGUAUUCACACGUGUAUUACGAUUUCCGGAUAAUACAGUUAUAGCAUGAAUAAAAGACAAUUAUCAUGAACAAGGAAAUAUAAUAAUAAUACUUUUAUUAUUGCCUCUAGGGCAUAUUUCCAACAGUCUCCCACUUGCACUAGAGUCAAUAAUCUAGUUCACAUCGCCAUGUGAUUAACACUCACAGGUCACAUCGCCAUGUGACUAAUACCCAAGAGUUUACUAGAGUCAGUAGUCUAGUUUACAUCACUAUGUGAUUAACACUCGAUGAGUUUUAUGUUUGAUCAUGUUGCUUGUGAGAGAGGUUUUAGUCAACGGGUCUGAACCUUUCAGAUCCGUGUGUGCUUUACAAAUCUCUAUGUCAUCUCCUAGAUGCAGCUACCACGCUCUAUUUGGAGCUAUUCCAAACAACUAUUCUACUUGGAGCUAUUCUAAAUUAUUGCUCCAUUAUAUGUAUCCGGUCUCUCUACUCAGAGCUAUCCGGAUAGGUGUCAAGCUUGCAUCGUCGUAACCUUUACGACGAACUCUUUUACCACCUCCAUAAUCGAGAAAAUUCCUUAGUCCACUAGUUACUAAGGAUAACUUUGACCGCUGUCCUGUGAGCCAUGGCAAGGCACACUUCAGGUGCGGUACACAGCAUAGCAUACUGAAGAGCCUACGUCUUAAGCAUAGGGGACGACCUUCGUCCUUUCUCUCUAUUCUGCCGUGGUCGAGCUUUAAGUCUUAACUUCGUACCUUACAACUCAGGCAAGAACUUCUUCUUUGACUGAUCCAUCUUGAACACCUUCAAGAUCAUGUCAAGGUAUGUGCUCAUUUGAAAGUAUUAUUAAGCAUUUUGAUCUAUCCUUAUAGAUCUUGAUGCUCAAUGUUCAAGUAGAUUAAUCCAGGCUUUCCAUUGAAAGACACUUUCAAAAUAACCUUAUAUGCUUUCCAGAAAUUCUACGUCAUUUCUGAUCAACAAUAUGUCAACAACAUAUACUCAUCAGAAAUUCUAUAGUGCUCCCACUCACUUCUUUGGAAAUACAAGUUUCUCAUAAACUUUGUACAAACCCAAAAUCUUUGAUCAUCAUCAAAGCAUACAUUCCAACUCCGAGAUGCUUACUCCAGUCCUUAGAAGGAUCGCUGGAGCUAGCAUACCUUUUAGCAUCCUCAGGAUUGACAAAACUUUUCUGAUUGUAUUGCAUACAACCUUUCCUUACGAAAACUAGUAAGGAAACUUGUCUUGACAUCCAUCUGCCAGAUUUCAUAAAUGAAGCUAAUGCUAACAUGAUUCCGACGGACUUAAGCAUCGCUACGGAUGAGAAAAUCUCAUCGUAGUCAACUCCUUGAACUUGUCGGAAAACACUUCGCCACAAGUCGAGUUUCAUAGAUGGUGACAUUACCAUCCACGUCCGUCUUCUUCUUAAAAUAUCCAUUUAUCUCAAUGGAUUGCCGAUCAUCGGGCAAGUCCAUCAAAGUCCAUGCUUUGUUCUGAUAUAUGGAUACUAUCUCGGAUCUCAUGGCUUCUAACCAUUUGUCGGAAUUCGGGCCCACCAUCGCUUCUCCAUAGCUCGUAGGUUCAUUGUUGUCAGGCAACAUGACCUUCAAGACAGGAUCACCGUACCACUCCGAAGUAGUACGUGUCCUUGUCAUCCUACGAGGUUCGUUAGUGACUUGAUCCGAAGCUUCAUGAUCAAUAUCAUAAGCUUCCACUUCAAUUGGUGUAGGUGCCACAGGAACAACUUCCUGUGCCCUGCCACACACUAGUUGAAGAGACGGUUCAAUAACCUCAUCAAGUCUCCACCAUCCUCCCACUCAAUUCUUUCGAGAGAAACGUUUCCUCGAGAAAGGACCCGAUUCUAGAAACAAUCCUUUAUUGCUUUCGGAUCUGAGACAGGAGGCAUACCCAACUGUUUUUGGGUUGUCCUAUGAAGAUGUAUUUAUCCGCUUUGGGUUCGAGCUUAUCAGCCUGAAACUUUUUCACAUAAGCGUCGCAGCCCCAAUCUUUUAAGAAACGACAACUUAGGUUUCUCUAAACCAUAAUUCAUACGGUGUCAUCUCAACGGAAUUACGUGGUGCCCUAUUUAAAGUGAAUGUGGUUGUCUCUAAUGCCUAACCCAUGAACGAUAGUGGUAAUUCGAUAAGAGACAUCAUGGUAUGCAUCAUAUCCAAUAGGGUGCAACUAUGAUGUUCGGACACACCAUCACAUUAUGGUGUUCCAGGCGGUAUUAAUUGCGAAACAAUUUCCACAAUGUCUUAAUUGUGUGCCAAAACUCAUAACUCAGAUAUUCAUCUCUAUGAUCAUAUCAUAGACAUUUUAUCCUCUUGUCACAAUGAUCUUCUACUUCACUCUGAAAUUACUUGAACCAUUCAAUAAUUCAGACUUGUGUUUCAUCAAGUGAAUAUUCUCAACAUCUACUCGAAUCAUCUGUGAAGUAAGAACAUAACGAUAUUCACUGCAUGCCUCAGCACUCAUUGGAUUGGACACAUCAAAAUGUGUUACUUCCAACAAGUUGCUAUCUUGUUCCAUUUUACUGAAAAUGAGGCUUUUCAGUCAUCUUGCCCAUGUGGUAUGAUUUGCAUAUCUCAAGUGAUUCAAAAUCAAGUGAGUCCAAACGAUCCAUUUGCAUGGAGCUUCUUCAUGCAUAUAUACCAAUAGACAUGGUUCGCAUGUCUCAAACUUUUCAAAAAUGAGUGAGUCCAAAGAUCCAUCAACAUGGAGCUUCUUCAUGCGUUUUAUACCAUUAUGACUUACAUAGCAGUGCCAUAAGUAAGUGGUACUAUCAUUACUAUCUUAUAUCUUUUGGCAUGAAAAUGUGUAUCCCUACGAUCAAGAUUCAAUAAACCAUUCCUUUAGGUGCAAGAGCACUUAUUCAGGUUUAAUACUAAUCUUGAUGGUAGAGGGAGCGUGCGAUGUUAGAUCACAUCAAACUUGGAAACACUUCCAACACAUAUCGCCAGCUCACCUUUAGCUAGUCUCCGUUUUAUUCCGUAGCUUUUAUUUCGAGUUACUAACACUUAGCAACCGAACCGGUAUCUAAUACCCUGGUGCUACUAGGAGUACUAGUAAAGUACACAUUAACAUAAUGUAUAUCCAAUAUACUUCUAUCGACCUUGCCAGCCUUCUCAUCUACCAAGUAUCUAGGGUAAUCUUGCUCCAGUGGUUGUUCCCCUUAUUACAGAAGCACUUAGUCUCGGGUUUGGGUUCAACCCCGGGUUUCUUCAUUGGUGCAGCAGCUGAUUUGCCGUUUCAUGAAGUAUCCCUUCUUGCCCUUGCCCUUCUUGAAACUAGUGGUUUUACUAACCAUCAACGAUUGAUGCUCCCUUUUGAUUUCUACUUUCGCGGAGUCAAACAUCGCGAAUAUCUCAAGGAUCAUCAUAUAUGUCCUUGAUAUAUUAUAGUUCAUCACGAAGCUCUAGCAGCUUGGUGGUAAUGACUUCGGAGGAACUAUCACUAUUUCAUCUGGAAGAUCAACUCCCACUUGAUUUAAGUGAUUGUUGCACUCAGACAAUCUGAGCACAAGCUCAACAAUUGAGCUUCUCUCCUUAGUUUGCAGGCUAAGAAAAUCGUCGGAGGUCUUAUACCUCUUGACGUGGGCACGAGCCUGAAAUCCCAAUUUCAGCCCUCGAAACAUCUCAUAUGUUCCAUGACGUUUCGAAAACGUCUUUGGUGCCUCUACUUAAACCAUUUAACUGAACUAUCACGUAGUUAUCAAAACGUGUAUGUUCGAUGUUCGAAACAUCCACAAACGAUGUUUGGGGUUCACCACACUAAGUGGUGCAUUAAGGACAUAAGCUUUCUACUGAUCGCAUAAUCGCUACUGUCAACUUUCAACUAUAUUUUCUCUAGGAACAUAUCUAAAACAGUAGAACUAAAGCGCGAGCUACGACAUAAUUUGCAAAAGGUCUUUUGACUAUGUUCAGGAUAAUUAAGUUCAUCUUAUGAACUCCCACUCAGAUAGACAUCCCUCUGGUCAUCUAAGUGAUCACAUGAUCCGAGUCAACUAGGCCGUGUCCGAUCAUCACGUGAGACGGACUAGUUAACAUCGGUGAACAUCUUCAUGUUGGUUGUAUCUACUAUACGACUCAUGCUCGACCUUUCGGUCUCCGUGUUCCGAGGCCAUGUCUGCACAUGCUAGGCUCGUCAAGUUAACCCUAAGUGUUUUCGCUGUGUAAAACUGUCUUACACCCGUUGUAUGUGAACGUAAGAAUCCAUCACACCCGACCAUCACGUGGUGCUUAGAAGCAACGAACUGUAGCAACGGUGCACAGUUAGGGGAGAACACUUCUUGAAAUUUUGUAAGGGAUCAUCUUAUUUACUACCGUCGUCCUAAGUAAACAAGAUGCAUAAACAUAAUAAACAUCACAUGCAAUUAUAUAGUUGUGACAUGAUAUGGCCAAUAUCAUAUAGCUCCAUUGAUCUCCAUCUUCGGGGCUCCAUGAUCAUCUUGUCACCGGCAUGACACCAUGAUCUCCAUCAUCGUGUCUUCAUGAAGUUGUCACGCCAACGACUACUUCUACUUCUAUGGCUAACGCGUUUAGCAAUAAAGUAAAGUAAGUUACAUGGCGUUCUUCAAUGACACGCAGGUCAUACAAAAAAUAAAGACAACUCCUAUGGCUCCUGCCGGUUGUCAUACUCAUCGACAUGCAAGUCGUGAUUCCUAUUACAAGAACAUGAUCAAUCUCAUACAUCACAUAUCAUUCAUCACAUUCUUCUGGCCAUAUCACAUCACAUAGCAUACCCUGCAAAAACAAGUUAGACGUCCUCUAAUUGUUGUUUGCAUGUUUUACGUGGCUGCUAUGGGUUCUAGCAAGAACGUUUCUUACCUACGCAAAACCACAACGUGAUAUGCCAAUUGCUAUUUACCCUUCAUAAGGACCCUUUUCAUCGAAUCCGUUCCGACUAAAGUGGGAGAGACUGGCACCCGCUAGCCACCUUAUGCACCAAGUGCAUGUCAAUCGGUGGAACCUGUCUCACGUAAGAGUACGUGUAAGGUCGGUCCGGGCCGCUUCAUCCCACAAUACCGUCGAAACAAGAUUGGACUAGUAACGGUAAGCAUAUUGAACAACAUCAACGCCCACAACUACUUUGUGUUCUACUCGUGCAAAGAAUCUACGCAAUAGACCUAGCUCAUGAUGCCACUGUUGGGGAACGUAGCAGAAAUUCAAAAAAAUUUCCUACGAAUCACCAAGAUCUAUCUAUGGAGAGACCAGCAACGAGUAGAAAGAAGAGUGCAUCUACAUACCCUUGUAGAUCGCUAAGCGGAAGCGUUCAAGUGAACGGAGUUGAUGGAGUCGUACUCGUCGUGAUUCAAAUCACCGAUGAUCAAGUGCCGAACGGACGGCACCUCCGCGUUCAACACACGUACAGCCCGGUGACGUCUCCCACGCCUUGAUCCAGCAAGGAGAGAGGGAGAGGUUGAGGAAGACUCCAUCCAACAGCAGCACAAUGGCGUGGUGGUGGUGGAGGAGCGUGGCAAUCCCGCAGGGCUUCGCCAAGCACCACGGGAGAGGAGAAGAACUUGGGAGAGAGGGAGGGGCUGCACCAAAGGCAUAAGGUCUGUUUGGGAGGCCCUCCUACCCCACUAUAUAUAGGGAUCCCAAGGGGGGGUGNNNNNNNNNNNNNNNNNNNNNNNNNNNNNNNNNNNNNNNNNNNNNNNNNNNNNNNNNNNNNNNNNNNNNNNNNNNNNNNNNNNNNNNNNNNNNNNNNNNNNNNNNNNNNNNNNNNNNNNNNNNNNNNNNNNNNNNNNNNNNNNNNNNNNNNNNNNNNNNNNNNNNNNNNNNNNNNNNNNNNNNNNNNNNNNNNNNNNNNNNNNNNNNNNNNNNNNNNNNNNNNNNNNNNNNNNNNNNNNNNNNNNNNNNNNNNNNNNNNNNNNNNNNNNNNNNNNNNNNNNNNNNNNNNNNNNNNNNNNNNNNNNNNNNNNNNNNNNNNNNNNNNNNNNNNNNNNNNNNNNNNNNNNNNNNNNNNNNNNNNNNNNNNNNNNNNNNNNNNNNNNNNNNNNNNNNNNNNNNNNNNNNNNNNNNNNNNNNNNNNNNNNNNNNNNNNNNNNNNNNNNNNNNNNNNNNNNNNNNNNNNNNNNNNNNNNNNNNNNNNNNNNNNNNNNNNNNNNNNNNNNNNNNNNNNNNNNNNNNNNNNNNNNNNNNNNNNNNGGGGCUGGUGCCCUUGGCCCAUGUAGGCCAAGGCGCACCCCCUACAGCCCAUGUGGCCCCCCGGGGCAGGUGGCCCCACCCGGUGGGCCCCCGGGACCCUUCCGGUGGUCCCGGUACAAUACCGAUGACCCCGAAACUUGUCCCGAUGGCCGAAACAGGACUUCCUAUAUAUAAAUCUUUACCUCCUGACCAUUCCGGAACUCCUCGUGACGUCCGGGAUCUCAUCCGGGACUCCGAACAACAUUCGGUAACCACAUACAAGCUUCCUUUAUAACCCUAGCGUCAUCGAACCUUAAGUGUGUAGACCCUACGGGUUCGGGAGACAUGCAGACAUGACCGAGAUGUUCUCCGGUCAAUAACCAACAGCGGGAUCUGGAUACCCAUGUUGGCUCCCACAUGUUCCACGAUGAUCUCAUCGGAUGAACCACGAUGUCAAGGACUCAAUCAAUCCCGUAUACAAUUCCCUUUGUCUAGCGGUAUGGUACUUGCCCGAGAUUCGAUCGUCGGUAUCCAAUACCUUGUUCAAUCUCGUUACCGGCAAGUCACUUUACUCGUUCCGUAACACAUCAUCCCGUGAUCAACUCCUUGGUCACAUUGCGCAUAUGAUGAUGUCCUACCGAGUGGGCCCAGAGAUACCUCUCCGUUUACACGGAGUGACAAAUCCCAGUCUCGAUCCGCAUAAAACAAUAGAUACUUUCGGAGAUACCUGUAGUGCACCUUUAUAGUCACCCAGUUACGUUGUGACGUUUGAUACCCCCAAAGCACUCCUACGGUAUCCAGGAGUUACACGCUCUCAUGGUCGAAGGAAGAGAUACUUGACAUUGGCAAAGCUCUAGCAAAUGAACUACACGAUCUUUUGUGCUAGUCUUAGGAUUGGGUCUUGUCCAUCACAUCAUUCUCCUAAUGAUGUGAUCCCGUUAUCAACGACAUCCAAUGUCCAUAGCCAGGAAACCAUGACUAUCUGUUGAUCACAAUGAGCUAGUCAACUAGAGGCUCACUAGGGACAUAUUGUGGUCUAUGUAUUCACACGUGUAUUACGAUUUCCGGAUAAUACAGUUAUAGCAUGAAUAAAAGACAAUUAUCAUGAACAAGGAAAUAUAAUAAUAAUACUUUUAUUAUUGCCUCUAGGGCAUAUUUCCAACAAACACUUCUUGAAAUUUUGUAAGGGAUCAUCUUAUUUACUACCGUCGUCCUAAGUAAACAAGAUGCAUAAUCAUAAUAAACAUCACAUGCAAUCAAAUAGUGACAUGAUAUGGCCAAUAUCAUUUUGCUCCUUUUGAUCUUCAUCUUCGGGGCUCCAUGAUCAUCAUCGUCACCGGCAUGACACCAUGAUCUCCAUCAUCAUGAUCUCCAUCAUCGUGUCUUCAUGAAGUUGUCACGCCAACGACUACUUCUACUUCUAUGGCUAACGCGUUUAGCAAUAAAGUAAAGUAAGUUACAUGGCGUUCUUCAAUGACACGCAGGUCAUACAAUAAAUUAAGACAACUCCUAUGGCUCCUGCCGGUUGUCAUACUCAUCGACAUGCAAGUCGUGAAUCCUAUUACAAGAACAUGAUCAAUCUCAUACAUCACAUAUAUCAUUCAUCACAUCCUUUUGGCCAUAUCACAUCACAUAGCAUACCCUGCAAAAACAAGUUAGACGUCCUCUAAUUGUUGUUUGCAUGUUUUAUGUGGCUGCUAUGGGUUUCUAGCAAGAACGUUUCUUACCUACGCAAAACCACAACGUGAUAUGCCAAUUGCUAUUUACCCUUCAUAAGGACCCUUUUCAUCGAAUCCGUUCCGACUAAAGUGGGAGAGACUGGCACCCGCUAGCCACCUUAUGCACCAAGUGCAUGUCAAUCGGUGGAACCUGUCUCACGUAAGAGUACGUGUAAGGUCGGUCCAGGCCGCUUCAUCCCACAAUACCGUCGAAACAAGAUUGGACUAGUAACGGUAAGCAUAUUGAACAACAUCAACGCCCACAACUACUUUGUGUUCUACUCGUGCAAAGAAUCUACGCAAUAGACCUAGCUCAUGAUGCCACUGUUGGGGAACGUAGCAGAAAUUCAAAAUUUUCCUACGUGUCACCAAGAUCUAUCUAUGGAGAAACCAGCAACGAGUAGAAGGAGAGUGCAUCUACAUACCCUUGUAGAUCGCUAAGCGGAAGCGUUCAAGUGAACGGGGUUGAUGGAGUCGUACUCGUCGUGAUUCAAAUCACCGAUGAUCAAGUGCCGAACGCACGGCACCUCCGCGUUCAACACACGUACAGCCCGGUGACGUCUCCCACGCCUUGAUCCAGCAAGGAGAGAGGGAGAGGUUGAGGAAGACUCCAUCCAACAGCAGCACAACGGCGUGGUGGUGGUGGAGGAGCGUGGCAAUCCAGCAGGGCUUCGCCAAGCACCAUGGGAGAGGAGGAGUAGGAAGAGAGGUAGGGUUGUGCCAGAACUUCGUCUAUAGCUCCCAUGCGCCUCCCCACUAUAUAUAGGGGUGGAGGGGCUGGUUUCUUGCCCUCCAAGUCCAUUGGGGCGUUGGCCAAGGUGGGAGGAAAGAAAUCUCAUUAUUUCCUUCCCCACCGAUUGUUAUCCCCCCUUUUUAGGGAUCUUGAUCUUAUCCCUUCGGGAUAUGAUCUUAUUCCUUCUAAGGGGGGAUCUUGGUGCGCCUUGACCAGGGGUGUGGGGCCUUGCCCCCACUACCCACGUCCAUGUGGGUCCCCCCAUGCAUGUGGGCCCCACUCCGGAACCUUCUAGAACCUUCCCGGUACAAUACCGAAAAAUCCCGAACAUUUUCCGGUGGCCAAAAUAGGACUUCCCAUAUAUAAAUCUUUACCUCCGGACCAUUCCGGAACUCCUCGUGACGUCCGGGAUCUCAUCCGGGACUCCGAACAACAUUCGGUAACCACAUACAAACUUCCUUUAUAACCCUAGCGUCAUCGAACCUUAAGUGUGUAGACCCUACGGGUUCGGGAGACAUGUAGACAUGACCGAGACGUUCUCCGGUCAAUAACCAACAGCGGGAUCUGGAUACCCAUGAUGGCUCCCACAUGUUCCACGAUGAUCUCAUCGGAUGAACCACGAUGUCAAGGACUUAAUCAAUCCCGUAUUCAAUUCCCUUUGUCUAUCGGUAUGUUACUUGCCCGAGAUUCGAUCGUCGGUAUCCAAUACCUUGUUCAAUCUCGUUACCGGCAAGUCACUUUACUCGUUCCGUAACACAUCAUCCCGUGAUCAACUCCUUGGUCACAUUGCGCAUAUGAUGAUGUCCUACCGAGUGGGCCCAGAGAUACCUCUCCGUUUACACAGAGUGACAAAUCCCAGUCUCGAUCCGCAUAAAACAAUAGAUACUUUCGGAGAUACCUGUAAUGCACCUUUAUAGUCACCCAGUUACGUUGUGACGUUUGAUACACCCAAAGCACUCCUACGGUAUCCAGGAGUUACACGAUCUCAUGGUCAAAGGAAGAGAUACUUGACAUUGGCAAAGCUCUAGCAAACGAACUACAAGAUCUUUGUGCUAUGCUUAGGAUUGGGUCUUGUCCAUCACAUCAUUCUCCUAAUGAUGUGAUCCCGUUAUCAACGACAUCCAAUGUCCAUAGCCAGGAAACCAUGACUAUCUGUUGAUCACAACGAGCUAGUCAACUAGAGGCUCACUAGGGACAUAUUGUGGUCUAUGUAUUCACACGUGUAUUACGAUUUCCGGAUAAUACAGUUAUAGCAUGAAUAAAAGACAAUUAUCAUGAACAAGGAAAUAUAAUAAUAAUACUUUUAUUAUUGCCUCUAGGGCAUAUUUCCAACAUUCUGUGGUGCAGCCGUGUCAAACGGCUUUCAUGCCGGACAAAAACAUCCUAUAAGGGGUUGUGGUUCUGCAUUAAAUGCUCCAUGAAAUCCACACGAAAAAACUAGAUGGGGUGGUUUUCAAAGUGGAUUUUGAGAAAGCGUAUGACAAGGUAAAAUGGCCAUUUUUCAGCAGGCUUUGCGUAUGAAAGGAUUCGAUCAGUCCUGGAGAGACCAGGUAGAUUCUUUCACGCAAAAAGGGAGUGUUGGAAUGGUAAAUGAUGACAUAGGUCAUUAUUUUCAGACACACAAGGGUCUGACACAAGGAGAUCCGAUGUCUCUGAUUCUGUUCAACAAAGUCGUUGACAUGUUGACAGUCCUAAUAGGAAGGGCUCAGGAUGAUGGCCAGGUAGGUGGCCUCGUUCCGCAUUUAGUUGACGUAGGAGUGUCUAUCCUACAGUACGCGGAUGAUACUAUCGUCUUUAUGGAGCAUGAUUUGGCUAAAGCUAGAAACAUGAAGCUGGUAUUGUGCUUGUUCGAAUAAUUAUCGGGGUUAAAGAUUAACUUCCACAAAAGUGAAUUGUUCUGCUUUCGAAGAGCUAAAGAAGAACAACAAGAUUACAAGGAAUUGUUCAGGUGCGAAUUGGGGUCUUUACCCUUCAGUAUUUGGGUAUACCAAUCCACCAUCGCAAGCUUUCAAACAAGGAGUGAAAGAGCAUUGAAGAUCGAUUUGAAAGAAAACUGAGCUGCUGGAAGGGCAAGCUUAUGUCAUACGGAGGAUGAUUGAUUCUGAUUAAUUCGGUUCACACAAGUAUGUCGAUGUUUCUCUUAUCCUUUUUCGAAGUACCAGUUGGUGUACGAAAAAGGCUAGAUUUCUAUCGAUCGCGGUUCUUCUGGCAGAGCGAUGAAUUAAAAAGAAAAUACAGACUCGCUAAGUGGGAUAUCAUUUGUAGGCCGAAAGAUCAAGGGGGUCUAGGCAUUGAAAAUUUAGAGGUGAAGAACAGAUGUCUUCUCAGCAAGUGGUUGUAUAAGUUAUCUGUAGAGACGGAUGCAACAUGGGCCCAGAUUCUUCGUAAUAAGUACCUUCAGUCCAAAACCUUGUCCCAGGUAACGGUAAGACCGACUGAUUCACCUUUUUGGAAGGGACUGGUGAGAGUGAAAUCAGUCUUCUUUAACAGGACAAAAUUUAUAGUUGCAAAUGGUACUUUCACAAGAUUCUGGGAGGAUACCUGGCUAGGGGAGACACCCCUUACAAUCCAAUAUCCUUCUCUCUAUAAUAUUGUUCAGCGGAGAGACACUUACGCUGCAACAGUACUACAGUCCAAUCCUCUUAAUAUUCAAUUCAGGAGGACGCUAGUGGGAAACCGUUGGGAAGCUUGGCUCCAUCUUGUGAGAAGAUUGAUGGAUGUCCAACUUUCUCAACAGCCAGAUCAGUUGCGCUGGAAACUAGCUAAGAAUGGUGAGUUUUCGGUUAAAUUCAUGUAUUUGGAUAUUAUCAACACUAGCGUUAUUCCUAGUUUGAAACAUGUUUGGAAAGUCAAAGUGCCUUUAAAAAUCAAAGUGUUUAUGUGGUUUGUCCACAAACAAGUCAUCCUAACUAAGGACAAUUUGGCGAAGCACGACUCGAUCUAAAAGAUGUAGUUUUUGUGAUAGUGAUGAAUCAAUCAAACACCUCUUUCUUGACCGCCCUUUGGCAACAAUUUUGUGGAGGUCGGUCUACAUAGCUUUUAAUAUUACUCCUCCCAAUUCCAUCAACACGUUAUUUGGGACAUGGCUAGAUGGGAUUGAUGCAGCAACAGCGAGGCACAUCCGUGUAGGAGUAUCCGCUUUAUUAUCGGCAGUUUGGAACUGUAGAAACGACUUGGUUUUUAACAGAACAACAAAUAUUCAUUUCUUGCAUGUUGUUUUCAGGGCCACUACACUCAUCCGUAUGUGGUCGCUACUCACUUCGACGGAGGCCAGGGAGCAUUUGGUUACUGGAUCUAUCCGAUGGGAGACGGUAGCUCGGGCUAUCUUCAACCAGUUUGGAUGGCGGUCAUGUAAUAGGAUAGGUAUUUAGUUUCCUAUCUUUUGUUUUGCCUGCCGGUUGUGGCUGCCCUGUUUUUGCUUUAGUGCUCUUUAUGAGCAUUUUUUUUCAUUUUGUUUGAGACCUCGAGACUUAUGUUGGACCUUUUGUUUAUCAAUAAUAUGGCCGUAUGCAUCAUUCUGAUGCAGAAGGCCGGGGCAAACCUCCUUUUCAAAAAAAGAAAAAAAUACAGAAAAUCACCCUGCUGGAAACAUAAUAUGUGUAAGGAGGAGCGGAACAUACUUCUCUUGCCGUCCCAAAGUCUGACAAUUUAUACAAAACCAUUCGUUAGUCGACACCAACAGAUUUUCUAAAAGAAAAUAACUCUAUGUAAAUUUCGUCAUAUUAUAGGCAUUAAUUGGGGCAUGAGAUAAUCCACCAAAUUACCAGGUUCCAUGUCGCGACGAAAAUAUCCAUAAUUAUGUGAGUACAUAUAGAACCCCAUCUGGUACUGAUGACUAUAUAAACUACAGUCGGAGCAUCUUACCUGCAACUUUUUACUUCUGUUAAUUCAGAUCAAAGCUUCAAUAUGGGCAAUGACAAUGGUUAAUCUACAACAAUAACAAAAUUGAUUCAUACUUGUAUGCUUAAACAAAGUGAUACUGCAUAUGUGAAUUUGGGAUAGCAAUAUAUAAGCUGAGAUGGCGUAUGUGCAGUACAUAAUGUCUAUACCCGAACACGCUGGAGCAUCAAAGGGGUUUGAUCGUCCUAGAACUGCACGACUUUAGCCGCGAACAGUCAGAUUCAUUUGAUCUUGUGGGUCCUGUCCACGGCCGUGGAAUCGACAUGAACAAAAGCACGUAGCCUUACGGGAGGAUAGGUAAGGGAGAUGGGACGGCUUUGGCGGAAUCGACAUGAACCAAAACAGCUGGCCAUACUAUGGUGCGAUCCGGAUCUUGGUGGUGUGGUGACCUGACGUCUUUCAUUGGAGGUCACGGGCAGCAGCGAGACGGAGGGAGGGAGAGCAAGACUGCAGCAGGCGUCACCACUAUAGACACAGGUUGACCUAGUCGGGGCAACCGGAGGCAGCUGGACCAGCGAUCAUGCCGGAGGAGCUCCUUGAUGCAGAGAUCAGUUCCCCGUCGCUGCACCCUGUUGUAGACAGGGGAAACGACAUGUAGUCUCAACAACCAUAUCUAUAUAGAUGCCUCUAGGACUUCAAAUCAGAGAUCUAGCUUGUGCUCCAUAGAUCUCAACAAAAGAGUUAUCUACAUUUUGAGGCUUAAGUGGAAAGAUUUGUAUAAUUACACUAGCUAGCUAGUGUUUCCUUUUUUUUCUAUUCCCUCCUUGUACAUAUGUAUCACAAAGAAAAUAAAAAUAAAUUAACAUAUGUAGUACAAGACUAUUGUCGCUCGUAGAAAACUUCCCUUUGUAAUUCAACCACGCUAAGUACCACUAAGAUUUCCCCUCUCUUUAUAUAAUUAUGAUUUCCCCUCUCUUUUUGUAAUAAUGAAAAUCUAGUUCUGGUGGAUUCUUUGUAUUUUGAAAGUGACAACCGCAAAACAAUUAGUGAUUUCUACCAGUCAUUGAGCGCCGCAAAAUCACCCGUUAGUGAUAGCAAACCUGCAUUUGAUGAGUAUUAAGACGGGUUGACGAUGUGUUACCUACCCGUUCGUCAUGGAUGGAGUGUCGGUUACACAGGCCACUCUCUAGUAGUGCAUGAUAUUAUGACAUCCAGUCUAAGCCAGGUUUAUAAUAAGUGUGAUAUGAGUUUAAUAUUUGAAGUGAUUUUAUAUGUUGGCACCCUGGGUGUAUGUCUUCUUAAGUACGAUGUGCAUCUAGUCUAAACAUUAUCUCUCCAAGCUUGGUGUUAUGUUGAAUAUGAAGGUCAUGUUGCAUCAUAAAAAAUUAAUACUUGAUCAUUAAAAUUGUGACAUGUGAAAGUCCGAGAUUAGGUGUUUCUUUUUUAUGUUCUUAGCCAUAUACAUGUUGUUUUAACUAAUGACAAUAUAUCUUGUCACCAUUACUAUUCUUAGAUUAGUUAUUUACCAAAGCUCAUGCAUACCAUCCACCAAAAAGAAUUGUGUUUAUGGUAAGUUAUAUGUGAGUUCUAGAUUUAGGUUGUUCUUCUACAAAAGUGGCUACAUGUGUUGAUUAACUGAUGUCUUCUAUGAGAUGGUCGUUAUGUCCUUGUAAGUUUGUUGUAUUGCGAUGAUUAAUGGCAUACUUUAAAAUUAAGCCAAUUUACAAUAUCUUCAUGGAGAGCUCUAGAUCCACGGUACUUUUCAAUGUUGUUAAUGGGGCAUAUGUGGUAUCAAUGGAUCACAUGUGGCCACCAUCUCUUCACAUGUCUAAUAUGGCUCUAAUUUCUUGAUAAGGCAUAUUCACGUCUAUUAAGAAAACCUUGAUUUCUCAUAUUCAUUAAUUCAUAUAUGAGACAUAGUUGUUGUUCUUGGUAGUGUUAUGCAACCAGAAAAAGUAAUGGAUUCUAGUCUCUUCAGUUGAAGUUUGGACUUGUGCUAUCUUUUAAUUUAAUUGUUUAAUGAGCAUGGCUUCUAUUUUUAGUUGACAAGCUAAUGUUUGCCUCACAAUAUUCUAAGAGGUGCAUUGUGGUAAAUACAUGUUCCACUUCCAUCAUUCCUCAGAUGACAAUGAUCUACAACAACAAAAUUGUAGGUACUGAUGAAAAAACAUCAUGGACCAAGACCUGGAACACUGAGCAUGCAUAUUUUUCCCAAACAUCCUAAUUAAGAUAGUAGUCCAAAGGAUAAUGAAUUUGGAAAUAAAUAUAUUUUAUUUCAAUAUAGCUCUUACAUGGAAGCGCUAACUAGCAUCUACAAAAGCUCUCCAUAGUCUGUAAGAAUAUCAAUAUCUUGUCCAGUGGAAGAGGGCGGCACAUCAACCCAUCCACCAUUUACCAUGGAAGACUGUCCUAGAUCCGUACCGCUAGAGCCUAAGUAAGCAUCCAUCCCUGGGAAACUAUUGUAGUACGACUGAUCUGAUAGAGGAAAACCCCAUUGUUCAGUGUUAAAUGGGUCAUCAAUAGAAAAGGCAUUGCCACUCGAGUACCCCAAUAGUGGAGAGGCCUCCAAAUUCUGCCCGGAUGUUGAGUCAUGGUUUGCGUCAUUUUGUUGUGGUUGAACUACGUUGCAAGUACUUUUAUAGUUCUGAACAUGCAACUCCUCUGGUGGAGUUUGCUCAUGUACCUGAUUUGUUAUGGGUUGGACAUGGGAAGCCAAGGGUGGAGCUAAAGAUGGUGGUGCAGAAUGGAACAUUGGUACCUGCAUAGAAAAAGUGGUCCCAAAGUUUGUUCUGGUUGUGAUGGUGGUGGAUCUAAAGGUAGCUGGAGUUGUGAGAGAUUGUGAGGCCAUGGUGACUGCAUAAGUGAAUGAGUAGUACUCAAAUGAUCCGCCGGCAGAACACUUGGUAGUUGUAGAUCUUGUGCCACACAUGUGCCACCGGUCUUGUCUUCACGACCAUGCAAUGGAGGUAGCCGGAAUCUAAUAUCUUUUUGGACCCGAGAGAGCUCACUGAAGAGCUUGUUCAGAUCUUCAAGACUGAGAUCUUUUUCCUUCGUGAAGAUAAGAUUUGCCACCAUACCUGGAUUCUCUUUUUGUAUAUUUUUCAUACGAAGGAUGGAAAGUUGGUUUUUGUCUUCCUCGGUCAUGUUCUCCAUGUCCAACCGAGCCACCUCGUUCUGUAGGCUUCCAAUCCUAGCAGUGGUUGCCUCGUCGGCAGAGGGAACUACUGGUGGAGCUCCAAAUAGGAAAUCAUCAACAAUGGGAUCGGCCAAUGGCGUCCCAAAUGAGUGCAUCUUUCCAUUGUUUGUUUCUAGGAUGACCGCAACCCUAGCCCUAGUGAGGGCAGAGAUGUCAGUCGCCCUCUUGAACAAACCGGAACGUCGCUUGUAGAAGGUGAGAUCACGGUCUUUGUCAUUGUGGAUGUAUGCCACACCUGACCGCCGCUCUUUCCUCGGCAUACUAAUGUGGACAAAGAGGAAGAAACUAACUACUACAAAUAGGAAGCACAAGGAUCUACAGAAAACUAGAGAUUUAGGGGUAUUGUUGGCUAACCACAUAUUGGUGUAGGAUAUGAGAAGAUGUACUCCCUUAUAUAGAAUUAAAAGGGUUGUAUGGUAGUGCUAUUUGACUAUACAAAGACCAUGUAAAUCUUUAGUAAAAAUUAACAUACAUAACUCAUAAAAGGUGCUAUUUAUGGAUACUAUUAACUAUCAUCCAAAUAUACAUAUGUGAGUGCAUCCACAUCCUUCUUUGCAACCACUGAUAUGUAUUUCUUCUGAUGUAAGUAUUAACACUUCUAAAAAUAGAAAUAUUAAAUUAUUGCCAUUUGACCAUAUCCAUAUCCUUAUCUAGAAGUAUUAAUGGGAGUUAAACCCAACUAAGUUUUACUCUAAUAUACAAAAAUAAUUGUGGUCAAAUUUAUUUGGUUGUUAAUUGCGUCCAAAUCCUUUGUUGAUCACAUUGAUUAAUUACAUCCUAAUGUAUCAGUGAUCAUAUUGAUUACAUCCAUAUCCUGUACUAGGAACUACCUAAUCUAGAAGUGGUCGUCCUUUAAUCCAUAAUAUCCAAGUAUAACAUGGUCCUUGCUUUGGGGCUUAACUUAAAAAUUGAGAUUCCAACUAGGAAAGAUACACUAAGAGCAACUAGAAAAUACUAGGACAUUUGGUAAGUCAUGGUAUAACACAUAAGUUACUCGGAGCAUCGACCUGCCUCGUUGGUAAGCCCAGUUCCCGCGGAAGAUGUGUGUUUAUCGGUUACACAUGUAUAUCUUGGGCCCUAACUUUUUAUGGCCCAUAAAAUAAUAUGUGUAAGGCUUUUUCUGGAAGGAUCCAACACAACCUAAUCUAUUCUGUAUUAAAAGUAAUUGACGGGCUCACCAGAAAAAGAUAAAAAUGCUAGAAAAUAACUCAAAAUAGAAACAACUAACUAUCUAUCUAUUAUAUAUUAAAAGCAAUUGCUAGGCUCACCAGAAAAAGGAUAAAAAUGCUAGAAGAUCUCUCAAAAAUCAAAAACAUCCGACUGUCUAUUUAAUAGACUAAUAUUGUAUAACCAUUAGACUAGUUUUAAGUGAAAUAAUUACCCACCAUUGCCAUUAUAACAAAAAGGUAUUUCGUCUAACUUAUUAGGACGUGGGCUGAUGCCAUAUUAUAAUGAAAAAAUGUUAUGUUCCCAUAGUACAAAAAGGACUUCUCACACAUGAACACAGUGGCAUCAAUGUUCAUGUAAAUAAUCUUUAAUUGUGAUUAAUUCCCCCUUGGUAGAGUACCUGAAAAAGCCUCCAGAUUGGAUCUCCCCGGAGCAGAGAGGUGGGCGGCGCAAAAAUCAUCUGUUAAUAUUUCUGAGGUUUUUGGGAGUAUAUAAAGCCAGCGGAAGAAAGAUGCGAUGGAGGCAACCUCCUGUGGCAUGUGGCCUAGGGGGGACCAGGUGGGUCUAGGUCCCUCCGGCUUCAUUUCUUCAAAAAACUUAGUUUUUUUCUAGUUUUUUGGUCCCUAAAAGUUGAUUUUUUUUUUAGAAAAUUCAAAAAAACAACAACUGGCACUUUGCACCGAAUUAAUAGGUUAAAAAUGGUGACAGAAGCGAGGUUCUUCCUACCAAUUAGUAAUGGGCGGCUCCCAUUACGUAGAGCUAAAAUGGUGACAAGCACGAAUAAAUCGUUAUAUUUCUCCAAGGCUCAUUAAUAAUGCAUGGUACUAUUCGGUUGGAUAGCCACACAGAAGUAAUGUACUCCUUUUCAAUUUUGAGGGGAUGACUCUUGUCCUGUAUCCAUAUGUCUGGUGACUAGCACGAAUAAAUUGGUGUCUCUCUCUACAACAAAUGAUUGAGAGUACUAUUCGGCCAGACCAGCAGACAUAAGCAAGGUACCCCCUAGUUCCCUGCCGAUUCAAGGCGGAUGGCUGCUGGUAAUAUGUGCAUUAAUCCAAACUGAAAUGGUGACUAGCAUGAAUAAAUCGAUGUCUUUAUUUUUGGCUCUUCAAUACUUCCACUUUUCGAGUAGGUUGUCCGAAAACAUGAGGUGGCCAGCUCCUGAUAUGGAGCCGCAUGCACAUUAAUCCAUGCUAAAAUGGUGACUUGCACAAAUAUAUCGAUCUUUUUCUCUAGGGCUCAUUAACACUUGAUGGUGUAGUUUGGUUGGACAACUAGAUAGAAAGCAAGGUGUUCCAUGAUUUCUUGUCCAUAUAGGGUGGAUGGCUCCAUGCACGACCUAUCACACACUAAUCCGGGCUCGUCUAACACGAAUAAAUGGAUGUCUUUCUAUAUGGAUCAUUAAUACUUGAUGGCGCUCUUUGGUUAGGCGGUGUACAAAAGCGAGGUACCCCCUUCUGAUUUCGGGUGGUUGUGGGGCCACUAGACGGGCACAAGCAAGAUACUCCCUGUCAUUGGGAGGUAUAUUUUAAAUAUUAUUUUUAUUACAUAAAUUUCAAAAAUAUAACCCUAAAAUAUAAUAUUUCACCAGUAGUACUUCGACAUGUCGGUGCCAACAAUGACAGAUAUCGUUGGCACUACCAAUGAUACAUCUGUUGUCAUUUUGAGUCACAUGGGCCAUCAUCGGUGCAUCUUGCAUCAGCCCUCCCGCAUGACACACUCGUACAGAGCUAGCUAUGUUAGAGCAUAUACAAUGGUGCUAUCUUCACAAUGUCACCUAAGAUCACUGCUGAGUUAGAAAAGGGCGAAUGGAGGAAAAAAACGCUUGCCAUCUCUUACCUAAGAGACGGUCUCUCAGUAAAGAAGAUAAGACAAUUCCAUCCAUUGUACUAGAUGUCAUCUCUUAGCUACAUAUUUUCAGUUUAGUUUUAACCUUCGCAUUAAUUUAAGAGCAUGUAAACCUUGCUUGUUAGGCUAAGAGGUAAUCCAUUGUAUACUAUGUUUUUAAGCUUCUCCAAAUGACAUACAUAGCAUACGAGAAUAUUGUAACGAAUAACUAUUUGUGUACAACGUGCUCAGGGUAUUAUGAAGAUAUAAAGCAUGUGCUAUUUGAAUGUAAUAUUGCAAGGGAGGUCUGGAACAAUCUUGGUCUAUUGGAACUCACCGAAGAGGCAUGCAUGCUGGACCAUUCAGGUAGUGUUUAUUUCACAAAUUCACGAACGUUUUUUAAUUUGCUAAUAUUACUUUUUGAAAGCAUGAUUUUUUUAGUUUGAGAAAAUGUAAAAUUUCAUGAAUUAUUUUUAAUAGGGGAAUAUUUAUAACUUGAUGAGCAUUUUAAAAUAUCCUAAACAUUUAUUUUAAAUACAGAAUAUUUUUUAUAAAGUUGCAAACAUAUUUAAAAUCCAUGAAUUAUUUUUGAAACUUGGAAGCAUUUAUUAAAAUUCUUGAAAAUAUGGUGAAAAUGAGUAAAGUUUGUCAGCAUUUGUAGGUGAACUUUUAGGUAGCUUUCUACUCCCUCCGUUAAAUAAUAUAUAAUCACCGUGUUUUUGACAAAAAUGUCCUAUGCUAUGGGACAGAGGAAAAAGUAAACAGCUCAAAAAUAGAUCCGUACAACCGAAAAAAGCCCAGCGAGAUAUAACCCAAGCUCGCCUCUGAGCCCACCUUAGUGGGUGGACCCAAUGGUCUAGAUUUGGAAAGGUUGUACUGAGUGGCACAGACUUGUUUUAGAACCAAUUUCUCAAAAACAAACUUGUUAUACAAGCUUCCGAGUGAUUUUUUCCUUUUUUUGGUGUUUUUUUGUAUACUUCAUUUUUACUUCCUGCAUGUUUUCUCUAUUGGUUUUCAUCACUCUAUUUAUUGAAUUUUAUGUUUUUCAUUCCUUUCCUUUUUUUGCAUUUUUUAAAUACAUGUUGACAAAUUUCAUAUACAUGUUGAACAUAUUUGGAUACAUGUUAAACAUUUUCCAAAUACAAUUUGAAUUUUUUUUUAAAUAUACAUUGAACGUUUGACAAAUGUACAUUAAACAUCUUCAGAAUACAAUGUGAAAUUUUCUUAAACACACAAUGACCAUUUUUCAUAAAUGCCAUGAAUAUCAUUUUUAGUCGUGCAAACAGUUUUAAAGUGCUAUUGAAAUUUCUUCAAAUUCAUGAACCUUUUUGAAUGGUAUGAAACAUUUUCUAAAUAUUACACAAACAAAUUUUAACAUUAUAUGAAUUGUUUUUUAAAAUGCCGCGAACUUAUGUUUAAACACAUGAACAUCUUUUAAAUAUGAUAAUCAUUUUUUGAAUAAUAUGAGUGUUUUCUACAAACUAUGCCAAUAAUCUUUUACAUUACAUGAACAUCUGUUAACGCUGAUCAAUUUAGGGAUGACUAUUCGUCACCCUGGAUGAGAAAUANNNNNNNNNNUUAACAUCAAUAGACCAUACUUUUACGUUCCAUAAAUUUUGUUUUAUUACAUAUGUAAAAGGAGAAAGUAAGAAAAUAUAAUCACUGUAAAAAAUAUUUUAUGUUACGUAAAAUUACAAAAGCUAAAACACAUUUUAAAAUAUACAUAAAAUGCAAAUUUUCUUGUCUUAUAACCUAUAUUUUUGUUUACUUAUACCAAAUUUAAUGUAGUGAAUUAAUAUGAAUAUAACUAUUUGUAUUUCAAAUGCAAUUUAUUUAUAAAACGAUUGUAAGAUUACCUCAGAUAAAUAGUAACUUAUUUGUGUGAUCAAACACAAAAUAAUGAAAAAGAAGACUCCCUACUGGCAGAGCCAUUAUGUGAUCCCUUGAGGCAAGGCGAGCUACUAUCUCACUAAAAGCUAGACAUAGUGACACCCGUAAUGCAUCACAAUCACAUUGGAUAAGAACCAGGCAAAGUGGGCCGGCUCACUAUGUGCGUGAGGGUUUGCUCAACUACAGCAGGCAGCGGGCUGGUCCACGUUGUUGUCCCCCUAAAAAAGUACAUGAUGCUGACUAAAUAAAAUACUUUUUGUGGCCUUAAAAAACAAAUGGCGAACCGGGAGUCCAAUUGAUGAAAUAUUGAACCAACAACUUCACUGGUUCAGUCACUGGUCCGGUUUAUAAAACUAGAGAAAAGUAUACUUUUCGUCACUUAAUUUUUGGUGGAGUCUAGAUUUGAUCCCUCAGCUUCAAAACCGAACAACUUGCACCCCCAACUAUAGAAACCGGACAAGGUUCGUCCCUGGUCUUGGUUUUGACCGGUUUGGUGCUGACUCACCCUGGUUUUGACCGAUCUCACUCAAAUUCGCGUAAUUUUUUUAUAUCCGUGUACUUUUUGAAAUUCGAAUACACUUUCAAAAUCCGCAUAGUUUUUUCAAGGUCGCAUAUUGUUUUUGAGAAAUAAACAUACUUUUUUCAAAUCGGUGCACUAUUUUGAAAUUUUCGUACCUUUUCCAAAUCCGUGAUAUUUUAACAUUUGUGUAGUUUUUUCAAAUCCACGUAUUUUUCCCAAGUUUGUGUAAUUUUAUCAAAUCCAUGAACUGUUUUUGAAGUUCACGUACUUAUUUCAAAUCCGCAUACUUUUGAAAGUUCGCGUUUUUUUUGAAACUGUGUUCCUUUUCUAGUCCAUGAACUUUGUUUGAAAUUCAUGUAUUGUUUCAAGUUGACAUAAUUUUUCAAAUCCACAUAUUUUUGUGUAAAAAAUCCUAAGCCGCUUACUUUUUCUCAAGUUCGCAUAAAUUUUUGAGAUUCAUGAACUCUUUCCAAAAUAUGUACACGAAUAUCAACAAGUACGUAAAUUUUACAGGAAUUUGAAAAAACUACGUGGACUUUAAAAAAGUUCACAGAUUUGAAAAAGUACACGGAUUUGAAAGCAUUACUCGGACUUGGAAAAAGUACGCGAGUUUGAGUCGGCAUGGUCAAAACCGGGGUGGGACAGCAUCAAACCGAUCAAAACCGUGACCAGGGACGAAUCUUGUUUGGUUUUAGAAGUUAAGGGGGCAAGUUAUCCGGUUUUGAAAUUGAGAGACCAAAUCUAGACUCCGUCAAAAAUUGAGGAAGAAAAAGUAUACUUUUCUCUUAAAACUAUGGUAGAAAUGGUUGACAAGCCCUACGGACACCAACAAACUAUGUGGUAUCAAUUUAUAUCUGGCUGGAUGGAAACAAAUCAUCUUAUUUCCAGUUCCUUUGGAAAGGUGCCAAACGGUAAAAAUUCCCAACGUAAACACCGCUGCCCAACGGUCGACCAAGCUCCGUCCCAUUCCGUUAUAGUAGUCGGUAGCAGUACUAUCAUCUCCUUCCUCCUGUGACUCCAUCCCCAUCAAUCCCCUUCCCCUCCUGCCGCUGCAUCGGAGGUCCCGACGGAAGUGCCAUGGCGGUCGUCGACGAGCCCAUGAAAGCAUGUCCCCUCUUUUUUUGACAGGUUAAACAGGAGAGCUUUAUUCAUAUGAAAGCAAAUUUGGGGCAGUCACCAAUAGACUAGUCACCAAAAAGCUAGGAGUCUCCUCAAGCCAGCUAUCGAUCACAUUCAAAGUGCAAGCACACUUUGCACAAAGAUGCGCCGAAAUGUUCGCUGACCUGUUUACAUGCUGAAUAUCGAACAAAGUAAAAUUAUUACAUAGCUCUCCUAUCUCUAACAAUAAAGGAGCCACAAUUGAACAAGAAUUGUGGCGAGUGUUCCAUAGCGUCACCAUCUCCAAGCAAUCAGUUUUCAUUACCAUGUGCGAGAAUCCUCAAAGAGAAGCGAAACGAACUCCAUUUCGUAGUGAUAAACCCUCCAUAAUCAAGGGAUCAGAGAUACCCAAGUAUGGUUUACACCAUGCUCCCAGGAGCGCUGAAGAGGAUCGAGCCACCCCUCCUGCACCACCCCUGCCAUCUGCUAAGUUUAAAGCACCGUCCGUAGUAAUCUUGACAACACCCUCAUCAGGUGGUCUUCAGCCGAGUCCAGGCAGAAUCAUUGCAUGUCGUCAUGGUAGAUGAAGGAGGGCGAUCGCCUCCUUGGUGGCCCUGAUCGUAGUCGUAGGAUUCCUCCCCUCUUCACCGUGCUUGAUCCGAUUCCGGGAGUGCCAUAUAGACCACAUUAUCGUGGUGAUCUUGGCGCGGUCAUCGUCUGUAAACCGAGGAUCACAUGUGAUAUCCCGCGCCCAUGAGUCUGGAUGAACACGAGGCAAUCUGAGGCCAAACCAAGCACAUGCUUCUUCCCAGAAGCAUUUUGCAUGUGUACAAUGUAUGAGUGUAUGCUCCAGAUUUUCGUCCAUAGCCAAACAAACUUUGCAUCGACGAAUCUCUGCAAUAUGUUGAUAGUUGAGAGUGACUUCAUCUGGGAGAAUUCCACGAAGAACCCUCCACCAGAACACACUAACCUUUGGAAUGACAUUCAAUUUUCAUAGGGAUUUCCACAACUAUGUAUCAUCCUCUGAGGUUCCGGUAGCCGUCCCUUCCUCUAGAUCAACACGCUCUUUCUGAGUCACGAGAGCACGGUACGCCGUCUUCACAGUAUAGUUCCCCGAUCUUUCGAAUGCCCAUGCAAGAAAAUCAUCUCCUCCUCCUUGCCGAAUAGGGAUGUUCAAUAUUGCUUCAGCAUCAGGAGCAAUGGAAGUAUGCCGAACAAGCUCUUGUCUCCACGACCAGUUAGAUGGAUCUAUUAGCUCGGACACACGCUCAAUGGUCGUAUAUUGUGGCCGAAAAAUAGGACACAUAGAUAUGGUACCCCGCCAAGUGGCCGACGCCGACUUGGGUAUGGUAGCGUGCAUGAAGUCAGUGUCGGGGAAGUAGCGGCCCUUCAAAGCAUGUCCCCUCUCCAACUCUUUUCAUUCAUUCGUUUAUUUAUGCAUACGUAUCUGUACAUCUACUCCUAUUGAUGUACAUGCGCCGGUCCGUGUGGUUGUUUUCAAUUUUCUGAUUGAUGGAUCGAACAUCACCUUAUGGUAGGUUUCUUGAGAACAUCUCUGUAACUGUAUGUGUGUACGAUCGUUGCCUGAACCAUUGGUUUAUUGGACUCGUUUUUACUUGUCCUGUUGGCAACGCGUUCCAUGUACUGACUAGGAACUACCACCUUAUCGCUAAGAGCAUCUUUAGCAUACCCCGCAUCCCGCCGACCCGCAUUUUCCGUUUGCAGUUCACAGAAAAGCUGUUUUGCAGUCCGCAGCAAAAAGCUGCAGAGGCAGACCCCGCAAAGCCGACCCACAUCCUGUUUUAUGGGUUGGAUUUGCGGGGUCUGUCUCUGCGGCCGUCCUCCACCCAGCCCGCAAAAUAUAAAUUUGCACCUCAAUUUGCAUUUCUUUGCAUUUUCAACCACAUUGGAUACAUAGAACAUCACCAAAUCUUUGCUAGAAAAGCAAGACCAAAAAAAUAAGAACCACAAGUAUGCAUUUUAGAAGAUUUCCAACUUCCAUAACUGCUCCUACUAGUUGUAGCAAUAUCUUCUCCAUGAUCUGCGAAUCCUUGAUCUUGCAUUCUUCGUUAUUCUUCUUUGGUUCUAAAGAAGUAGAUGUUGCGUCCUCUCUAGUUGCACAUGCAUGCGCUUCAUUACCUUCGAUUGUACUAAGGAGUGCACGAACGUCUAUCAGUUUUCUUUAAUGUAUUCGCCUUCCCAAAACCAAAAUGAGCAUCCAUCUUCCUACACGCAUGAUGAUGUUCGAAAUGAGCAAACAUAAUUAGCUAUCAAAAUGAGCCGAAUGUAAAACAACACGUACCCCGUCGUUUUCGCAUUUGAAGAACACGUAUCCGGGGUGCUUCGGCGUGCCCGAAGUCAGCCUCGGCACUGUCCGCGGGCAGUUGUCGCACUGUAUGAGCGGCAUCAGCGAGUCACAGAUCCUCUGCGCGAGGGCUGAGCCCGGCGGCCGGCCGGCCGAAUCCAUGCGGGCAAACUGUCAGCGGCGGCGAGCGGACGAACCCGCACCUGCAUGCGGCGAUGAGCCUUUGCCGGGGCUGCGCGAGGUGCUCCCCGACCAUUCCAUAGCUUGGCGCAGCCGCCAGCGGCUGGGAAAGCCAAACCCGGCCGCCCGCGAUGAAGCGCCGCAGAUCCGCAAGGUCCCAGCCCGCCGACGCAGGAUGAGAGGGAGGGGCGGCGGAGGGCAACCUCGUUCGUGUGGAGGCCUUUCGGCGUGCUCCGGCCGGCCACUUUCGCCGGAAUCUUGGGCGGCAGCGGGGCAAGGAGGAGAGGGGAGGUGGUUUGGUGGGGAAAAGCGCGGGCUGAAAUGCCCCCCCCCCACCAACCGCUCCCGCUAUAUGCAGGGCACCGAUGGGCCGGGGGGACCCACAAAUACGUGGGUUGAGGCCGAGUUUUUGCCGCGCCCCUCAAAUUUUUUUGCGGGCCGGCCGCGUUUGCUGUGUCUGUUCAGGCGGAAUUUUCAUCGCCGGCCCGCAUUUUUGCGGUUAUUUUAUGGGUCGGGACCUUUUGCAGGGUCCGCUAGAGUUGCUCUAAUACAUGAGAUUCGGUGACAAUAUGAAUUGUUGAUCUGAUUGAUCUUUACUCGUGUGCUGCUAGAGUUGCUCUUAUACAUGAGAUUCGGUGACAAUAUGAAUUGUUGAUCUGUUGAUCUUUACUCGUGUGACGAUUACUCUGUCGCAUUAUUUCCAGAGAGAAGGAGGUGAUUCUCCGCAGCCUGUCAAGACCGAGAUCGGGGAGAAGACGUCAUCGACGCUUCAACAUAAAAAAAGUCUCGCUUUGCUCGGAAACAAUGAUAAUGAUUUUGAACCACUGGUGAGAAACUUCAUGGAAUCUCUCAUUGCUGCAUUUUAGGCACUUCAUUCUGCCUUUUCCAAGCUAGCUUCAGUGUUCAGAGUACCUUGUCGAACUGCCUGACAAAUUACAGACAGUUUGCUUACGUUUCUUUUUUGUCCUAGUGCUCAUUGGUAUUGUAGCGUCAACUAAAUAUUAUUGCAAUUUAUUAUGCAAGGAUUUCUUGAGGUUUUUUCAUGCUAUUUUGUUUUUCCAGUUAACUUUGGUCGAUUUUAUUUAUUUAUGAGAGUAACUUUUAGCGAGAAGUGAUUCCUGCACACAGAAAAAGAGAAGGAGAUUGUCGAUUCUACAGAAGAAUAACAAAGAACAAAAUAUCAAUACCGUUUUUUCUGAUUGCUAGCGCUGAUGUCUGUUCGUCUGGUUGUUUCCUAAGAUAUUCAUUUUUGUUGUUCUCUCUUUUUGGAUAGUAUAAAGUUUGCUGAAACUCCCUGUUGUGCUUUUUAAAUUAAGCGAGUAGACGCAGGACGUGUGUACUGCAUGCCAGAUUGUCUAUUUUUGUCUGAGUCAGCAUUGCGCGAUCCGUCUUUGGCAUGUCGUUGCGAGAGGUUUUGUUUCUGUCAUUGUCGAACUGACUAGUAACUACUAGUGCUACUUAUUUCUACAUCACUAGUUAAAAUUUAGUAAUAAAAAUUAUUGUGCAAUUGAGGUUUAUGGUCAUAACAAUGAGUACUCUGACUUUGUUUCCUAACUAAUUUUCCAGAGGAAGGGAUGGACACCAGUGAGUUCCCUCGAGUCUGCCAAGAUCAAGAUGGGGGAGAAGACGGCGUUUUGGCAUCCAAAGCUCACUUUGGUCAACAACGGCGGUUUGGAGAAUGAGCAAGUAAAGCCUCCAGGCUCUCGGUAUGAAGUGGUAGUCCAAAGGACUAUCACUAUUACCUUUAAAGUAAGGAAAUUUUUGGUCAUUCUCAUAAAAGGACGUUCAAUACCUCAGAUUAUCUGUAAUCUCUUGCAGCAUAUGCAAACAGAUAUUGAAUUUGUUGCUUUGUUUUGGUUGAUUACAAUAUUGUCAGAGGAAGAGACGGGGUCCAGCCAAGAGUAAGAUUCAUGACCCAAUGUUUUUUUUUGAAAGAAAAUAUGUACUUUAUUAAUUGGAAAUAAUGAUUACAUCGUCUAUAAGAAGAGGUACAAUAUUCUCCAUAGGCUCCUCAAAUCAAUCUCUAGUUACAGAAACUUUCGCUAGCCUUGCAAGUUCAUGAGCAACCUUAGUAGCUACCCUAUUAUAAUGUUCAAAUCUAGUCAACGGAAAAUCACAUGCCAUGAAGUAGCAAUCCUCGAAGACUGCCGCCGCAACUCCCGUUGAUUGUCCUCCAUUUCUCAUUAUGUCAAUGACUUCCAUAUUAUCAGAGUUAAUAAUAAGACGAUUGCAUCCCGCCUUUUGUGCAAGAAUUAAACUAAACCUCAGAGCCAUCGCUUCUGCUGUUAGUACAUCAGCACACCAAUCGAUCUUCCAAUUUCCACCAACAAUGAAUUUUCCUUUCUCAUCUCUGAGUGCAGCUAAAUCUUCCUCAGGGAAAUAUUUAGCUCUCAAGAUGGUUGCACAUAAAGAUUCAGGAUUAUCAAGAAGACGCCACGCUUGUUUAGCUAAUAGCACCAGGUUGAAAUAGUGUAUAUCUCGGAAGCCCAUACCUCCUUGAUCUUUUGGAACACGCAUUUUCUACCAUGCAAUCCAAUGCAUCCUCUUCUGAUUGUCCUCGUCACCCCACCAAAAUUGCGACAUCGCGUCAAUAAUUCCUUUGCAAAAAAAAUUAGGAAUUUUAAAGACGGACAUGGCAUAGGUGGGGAUGGCUUGUACAACAGAUUUGAGCAAAAUUUCCUUCCUAGAGGGUAACAAUUUUUCCUUCCAUCCACUAAUUUUCAUAAUAAUUCGGUCGAUUAGGAACUGGAAACAAUCACUUUUGUCCAUGCCCACAUUUGCCGGCAAACCCAGGUAUUUGUCAUUGAGGGCUUCAGUCAUAAUAUUUAGAAUUGUACAUAUUUGUGCUUUGUCUUCCAUUUUAGUAUUGGGACUAAAGAAUAUACUGGAUUUUUCAACACUAACCAUUUGCCCUGAGGCGGCACAAUACGAAUCCAAGAGUGAUUUCAACGCCUCCACACUCAUGGGAUUGGCUCGCAUAAGGAUCAAAGAGUCAUCAGCAAAGAGGAGAUUAGAAAUUGAUGGGGCAUCUCUGCAAACCUUUAUACCUAAAAUGUUUCCAUUCUCCUCCGCAGUAGCUAAAAGGGCGGUCAUCUAAGAAAACCUUGAUUUUUCACAUUCAUUAAUUCAUAUAUGAGAUGCAGUUGUUGUUCUUGGUAGUGUUAUGCAACCAGAAAAAGUAAUGGAUUCUAGUCUCUUGAGUUGAAGUUUGGACUUGUGCUAUCUUUUAAUUUAAUUAUUUAAUGAGCAUGGCUUCUAUUUUUAGUUGACACGCUAAUGUUUGCCUCACAAUAUUCUAAGAGGUGCAUUGUUGUAAAUACAUGUUCCACUUCCUUCAUUCUUAAGAUGACAAUGAUCUAAACAACAACGACAAAAUUGUAGGUACUAAUGAAAAAACAUCAUGGAGACAUGGACCAAGACCUGGAACACUGAGCAUACAUAUUUUUCCCAAAGAUCCUAAUUAAGAUAGUAGUCCAAAGGAUAAUGAAUUUGGAAAUAAAUAUAUUUUUAUUUCAGUAUAGCUCUUACAUGGAAGCGCUAACUAGCAUCUACAACAAAUCUCCAUAGUCUGUAAGAAUAUCAAUAUCUUGUCCAGUGGAAGAGGGCGGCACAUCAACCCAUCCACCAUUUACCAUGGAAGACUGCCCUAGAUCCGUACCGCUAGAGCCUGAGGAAGCAUCCAUCCAUAGGAAACUAUUGUAGCAUGACUGAUCUGAUAGAGCAUAACCCCAUUGUUCAGUGUUAAAUGGGUCAUCAAUAGAAAAAGCAUUGCCAGUCGAGUACCCCAAUAGUGGAGAGUCCUCCAAAUUCUGCCCAGAUGUUGAGUCAUGAUUUGCAUCAUUUUGUUGCGGUUGCACUAUGUUGCAAGGACUUUCAUAGUUCUGAACAUGCAACUCUUCUGGUGGAGUUUGCUCAUGUAUCUGAUUUGGUAUGGGUUGGACAUGGGAAGCCAAGUGUGGAGCUAAAGACGGUGGUGCGGAAUGGAACAUUUGUGGUACCUGCAUAGGAAAAAGUGGUGCCGAAGUUUGUUCUGGUUGUGAUGGUAGUGGAUCGGAAGGUAGCUGGAGUUGUGAGAGAUUGUGAGCCCACGAUGACUGCAUAAGUAAAUGAGUAGUACCCAAAUGAUCUGCCGGCAGAACACUUGGUAGUUGCAGAUCUUGUGCCACACAUGUGCCACCGGUGUUGUCUUCACGACCAUGUAGUGGAGGUAUCCGGAAUCUAAUGUCUUUUUGGACCCGAGAGAGCUCACUGAAGAGCUUGUUCAGAUCUUCAAGACUGAGAUCAUGUUCCUUCGUGAAGAUGAGAUUUGCCACCAUACCUGGAUUCUCUUCUUGGAUAUUUUUCAUACGAAGGAUGGAAAGGUUGUUUUUGUCUUCCUCCGUCAUGUUCUCCAUGUCCAACUGAGCCACCUCGUUUUGUAGGCUUCCAAUCCUAGCAGUGGUUGCCUCGUCGGCAGAGGGAACUGCUGGUGGAGUUCCAAAUAGGAAAGCAUCAACAAUGGGAUCGGCCAAUGGCGUCCCAAAUGAGUGCAUCUUUCCAAUGUUUGUUUCUAGGACGACCGCAACCCUAGCCCUAGUGAGGGCAGAAAUGUCAGUCACCCUCUUGAACAAACCGGAACGUCGCUUGUAGAAGGUGAGAUCACGUUCUUUGUCAUUAUGGAUGUAUGCCAAACCUGACCGCCGCUCUUUCCUCGGCAUACUAAUGUGGACAAAGAGGAAGAAACUAACUACUACAAAUAGGAAGCACAAGGAUCUACAGAAAACUAGAGAUUUAGGAGCACUGUUGGCUAACCACAUAUUGGUGUAGGAUAUGAGAAGAUGUACUCCCCUUAUAUAGAAUUAAAAGGGUUGUAUGGCAGUGAUAUUUGACUAUACAAAGACCAUGUAAAUCUUUAGUAAAAAUUAACAUACAUAACUCACAAAAAGUGCUAUUUUAUGGAUACUAUUAACUAUCGUCCAAAUAUACAUAUGUGAGUGCAUCCACAUCCUUCUUUGCAACCACUGAUAUGUAUUUCUUCUGAUGUAAGUAUUCACAUCCAUAUAUAGAACUAUUAACACUUUUAAAAAUAGAAAUAUUAAAUGAUUCCCAUUUGACCACAUUCAUAUCCUUAUCUAGAAGUAUUAAUGGGAGUUAAACCCAACUAAGUUUUACUCUAAUAUACAAAAUAAUUGUGGUCAAAUUUAUUUGGUUGUUAAUUGCAUCCAAAUCCUUUGUUGAUCACAUUGAUUACAUACUAAUGUAUCCGUGAUCAUAUUGAUUACAUCCAUAUCCUGUACUAGGAACUACCUAAUCUAGAAGUGGUCGUCCUUUAAUCCAUAAUAUCCAAGUAUAACAUGGACCUUGCUUUGGUGCUUAACUUAGAAAUUGAGAUACCAACUAGGAAAGAUAUACUAAGAGCAACUAUAAAAUACUAGGACAUUUGGUAAGUCAUGGUAUAACACAUAUGUUACUCGGAGCAUCGACCUGCUUCCUUGGUAAGCCCAGUUCCCGCUCAAGAUGUGUUUUUAUUGGUUACACAUGUAUAUCUUGGGCCCUAGUUUUUUAUGGCCCAUAAAAUAAUAUGUGUAAGGCUUUUUCUGGAAGGAUCCAACACAACCAAAUCUAUUAUGUAUUAAAAGAAUUGACGGGCUCACCAGAAAAACAUAAAAAUGCUAGAAAAUAACUCAAAAAUAAAAACAACUAAUUGUCUAUCUAUUAUAUAUUAAAAGCAAUUGACGGGCUCGCCAGAAAAAAGAUAUAGAUGCUAGAAGAUCUCUCAAAAAUCAAAAACAUCUGACUGUCUAUUUAAUAGGCUAAUAUUUUAUAACCAUUAGAUUAGGUUUAAGUGAAAUAAUUACCCACCAUUGCCAUUAUAAGAAAAAAGUGUUCCAUCUAACUUAUUAGGAUGUGGGCUGAUGCCAUCUUAUUAGGACGUGGGCUGAUGACAUAAUAUAAUGGAAAAAACGUUAUGUUCCCAUAGUACCAAAAGGACUGCUCACACAUGAACACAGUGGCAGCAAUGUUCAUGUAAAUGAUCUUUGUGAUUAAUUCCCCCUUGGUAGAGUACCUGAAAAAGCCUCCAGGUUGGAUCUUCCCGGAGCAGAGAGGUGGGCGGCGCAAAAAUCAUCUGUUAAUAUUUCUAACGUUUUCGGGAGUAUAUAAAGGCAGCGGAAGAAAGAUGCGAUGGAGGCAACCUCUAUGGCGGCCAUGCUCCCCCUUGGAUGCUCUUGCCGACCUGUGGCAUGUGUCCUAGGAGGGGUGGGGGGUGGGUCUAGGUCCCUCCGGCUUCCUUUCUUCAUGAAACUUAGUGUUUUUUUCUAGUUUUUUGGUCCCUAAAAAGUUGAUUUUUUUCUUCUGAAAAUUCAAAAACACAACAACUAGCACUUUGCACUGAAUUAAUAGGUUAAUCAAGAAAAACUAUAAAAGUUGAUGCCAAUACUAUGCCAUUAUGAUAUAAGUAUAGCAUGAAACAAUAAAAAUUUCUUGAUACAUAUAGUACAUAUCAACUGGCAUGAAUAAAUUGAUGUUUUUCUAGGGUUUGUUAAUACUCGACAAUAUUGUUCUCCUAGAUAACCAGACACAAGGUACUCCUUGGUCCCUAUUGGUUCGAUGUCCAGGCUAAGAUUGUGACUAGCAUGAAUAAAUUGAUGGCUUUCUCUAUCGCUCACUAUUACUUGAUGGAACUUCAGCUGGGUAGCUGGACAGAAGCGAGGUUAUUCCUACCAAUUAGAAAUGGGCGACUCCCAUUCCGUAGCCAUCUGCACGUUACUACAAGCUAAAAUGGUGCCAAGCACGAAUAAAUCGUUAUAUUUCUCCAAGGCUCAUUAAUAAUGCAUGGUACUAUUCGGUUGGAUAGCCACACAGAAGUAAUGUACUCCUUUUCAAUUUGAGGGGAUGACUCUUGGCCUUUAUCCAUCUGUCUAGUCACUAGCACGAAUAAAUUGGUGUCUUUCUCUACAACAAAUAAUUGAUGGUACUAUUCAGCCAGACAACCAGUAAGAAGCAAGGUACUCCCUGGUCCCCUGCCGACUCAAGGUGGAUGGCUGCUGGUAAUAUAUGCAUUAAUCCAAACUGAAACGGUGACUAGCACGAAUAAAUCGAUGUCCUUCUUUUUGGCUCUUUAAUACUUCCACUUUUCGACUAGGUUGUCCGAAAACAUGAGGUGGGCACCUCCUGAUACGGAGACGCAUGCACAUUAAUCCAUGCUAAAAUGGUGACUUGCACAAAUAUAUCGAUGUCUUUCUCUAGGGCUCAUUAACACUUGAUGGUAUGGUUUGGUUGGACAACAGGACAAAAAGCAAGGUAUUCCAGGAUUUCUUGUCCAUAUAGGGUGGAUGGCUCCAGGCACGGCCAGUUACACAUUAAUCCGGGCUCGUCUAACACGAAUAAAUGGAUGUCUUUCUCUAUGGCUCAUUAAUACUUGAUGGCACUCUUUGGUUAGGCGGUGUACAAAAGCGAGGUACUCCCUUCUGAUUUCGGGUGGUUGUGGGGCCACUAGACGGACACAAGCAAGGUAUUGCCUGUCACUUGGGGGGAUAUUUUAAAUAUUGUUUUUGUUACAUAAAUUUCAAAAAUAUAACACUAAAAUAUAAUAUUGUACCAGUAGUACUCCGACAUGUCGGUGCCAACAAUGACAGGUAUCAUUGGCACUACCAAUGAUAUAUCUGUUAUGUUGUCAUUUUGAGUCACAUGGGCCAUCAUCAGUGCAUCCUGCAUCAGCCCUCCUGCAUGACACACUCGUACAGAGCUAGCUAUGUUAGAGCAUGUACAAUGGUGCUAUCUUCCAAUGUCACCUAAGAUCACUGCUGAGUUAGAAGAGAGCGAAUGGAGGGAAAAAAGGCUUGCCAUCUCUUACCUAAGAGAUGGUUUGUCAGUAAAGAAGAUAAGACAAUUCUAUCCAUUUUACUAGAUGUCAUCUCUUAGCUACAUAUUUUCUAGUUUAAUUUUAACCAACGCAUUAAUUUAAGAGCAUGUAAACUUUGCUUGUUAGGCUAAGAGCUAAUUCAUUGUAUCAUAUGUUUUUAAGCUUCUCCAAAUGACAUACAUUGCAUCAGCCCUCCCACAUGACACACUCGUACAGAGCUAGCUACCUUAGGUCGUCGUGUACAAUGAUGCUAUCUUCGCAAUGUCACCUAAGAUCAUUGAUGAGUUAAACUAGAGUGAUUGGAGGAAAAAAGGCUUGCCACCUCUUACCUAAGAGAAGGUCUCUCAGGAAAAGAAGAUAAGACAAUUCUACCCAAUGUACUAGAUGUCAUCUCUUAUAUUUCCUAGUUUAAUUUUAACCAUCGCAUUAAUUUAAGAGCAUGUAAUCUUUGCUUGUUAGGCUAAGAGAUAAUUCAUUGUGUGAUAUGUUUUUAAGCUUCUCCAAAUGACAUACAUAGCAUACGAGAAUAUUGUAACAAAUAACUAUUUGUGUACAGUGUGCUCGGUCUAUUAUGAAGAUAUAAAGCAUGUGCUAUUUGAAUGUAAUGUUGCAAGGGAGGUUUGGGACAGUCUUGGUCUACUGGAACUCACCGAAGAGGCAUGCAUGCUGGACAAUUGAGGUAGUGUUUUUUUUCACAAAUUCACGAAUGUUUUUUAAAUUUGCUAAUGUUAUUUUUAGAAAGCAUGAUUUUUUAGUUUGAGAACAUUUUAAAACUUUCAGAAAUUAUUUUAAUUGGGGAAUAUUUAUAAUUUGAUGAGCAUUUUAAACAUCCUAAACAUUUUUUUAAUUACAGAAUAUAUUUUUUAUAAAGUUGCAAACGUUCUUAAAAUCCAUGGAUUGUUUUUCAAACUUGGAAGCAUUUAUUAAAAUUCUUGAAAAGAUGUUAAAAAUGAACAAAAAUUGUCAGCAUUUGUUAAAAUUUUCACAGCAGGCUUCCCACAAAAAAAAUUCACAGCAGGCACCUUUUAAUUUGUUUUCUAGUAAACAGCUCAAAAAUAGAUCUGUACAACGGAGAAACAGCUAUAUCUCGCUAUACAGCAAGAUAUAACCUGAGCUCGCCUCUGAGCCCACCUUAGUGGGUGGGCCCAAUGGUCCAGAUUUGGAAAGGUAGUACUGACUGGUACAGACUUGUUUUAGAACCAGUUUCUAAAAAAAACAUGUUUUAGAACCUUUCAAGUUAUUUUUUUCCUUUUUGUUACAGUGUUUUCUUGGUAUACUUCAUUGUUAUUGCGUUUUAUGUUUUUCAUUCCUUUCCUUUUUUUUGCAUUUUUCAAAUAUACGUUGACUUUAUUUAAAUACACAUUGAAAAAUGCAUAUGCAUGUUGAACCUAUUUGGAUACACGUUAAACAUUUUCCAAAUACAAUUUGAAUACUUUUUAAAUACACCUUGAACAUUUGUCAAAUGUACAUUAAACAUCUUCAAAAUACAAUGUGGAAUUUUCUUAAACACACAAUGACCAUUUUUCAUAAAUGCCAUGAAUAUUACUUUUAGUUGUGCAAACAGUUUUUAAGUGCUACGGAAAUUUCUUCAAACUCAUGAACCUUUUUUGAAUGGUACGAAACAUUUUCUGAAGAUUGCACAAUCAAAUUUUAACAUUAGCAAGGUAACUAAUGAUAAAAGUGAGCGUAAACGGUAUUGCAAUGAUAGGAAACAAGGCCUAGGGUUCAUACUUUCACUAGUGCAAGUUCUCUCAACAAUAAUAACAUAGAUAGAUCAUAUAACAAUCCCUCAACAUGCAACAAAGAGUCACUCCAAAGACACUAAUAGCGGAGAACGAACGAAGAGAUUAUGGUAGGGUGCGAAACCACCUCAAAGUUAUUUUUUUGGAUCAAUCUAUUCAAGAGUUCGUACUAGAAUAAUACCUUAAGACACAAAUCAACCAAAACCCUAAUGUCACCUAGAUACUCCAUUGUCACCUCAAGUAUCAGUGGGCAUGAUUAUACGAUAUGCAUCACACAAUCUCAGAUUCAUCUAUUCAACCAACACAAAGUACUUCAAAGAGUGCCCCAAAGUUUCUACCGGAGAGUCAAGAACGUGUGCCAACCCCUAUGCAUAGGUUCAUGGGCGGAACCCGCAAGUUGGUCACCAAAACAUACAUCAAGAGGCACAUGAUAUCACAUUGUCAUCACAGAUAAGUGAUAUCUACUACACAACCUUCUUCUUGUAGACGUUGUUGGGCCUGCAAGUGCACGGGUUUGUAGGACAGUAGCAAAUUUCCCUCAAGUGAAUGACCUAAGGUUUAUCAAUCCGUAGGAGGCGUAGGAUGAAGAUGGUCUCUCUCAAACAACCCUGCAACCAAAUAACAAAGAGUCUCUUGUGUCCCCAACACACCCAAUACAAUGGUAAAUUGUAUAGGUGCACUAGUUCGGUGAAGAGAUGAAGAUGCAAGUGCAAAAUAGAUGGUAGAUAAAGGUAUUUGUAAUCUGAAAUAAUAAAAACAGCGAGGUAGCGAGCGAUAAAAGUGAGCGUAAACGGUAUUGUAAUGAUAGAAAACAAGGCCUAGGGUUCAUACUUUCACUAGUGCAAAUUCUCUCAACAAUAAUAACAUAGAUAGAUCGUAUAACAAUCCCUCAACAUGCAACAAAGAGUCACUCCGAAGUCACUAAUAGCGGAGAACAAACAUAGAGAUUAUGGUAGAGUACGAAACCACCUCAAAUUUAUUCUUUUGGAUCGAUCUAUAAAAGAGUUCGUACUAGAAUAACACCUUAAGACACAAAUCAACCAAAACCCUAAUUUCACCUAGAUACUCCAUUGUCACCUCAAGUAUCCGUGAGCAUGAUUAUACGAUAUGCGUCACACAAUCUCAGAUUCAUCCAACCAACAUGAAAGUACUUCAAAGAGUGCCCCAAAGCUACUACCGGAUGAUACGUCUCCAACGUAUCUAUAAUUUUUGAUUGCUCCAUGCUACUUUAUCUAUUGUUUUGGACUAUAAUGGGCUUUAUUUUCCACUCUUAUAUUAUUUUUGGUACUAACCUAUUAACCGGAGGCCCAGCCCAGAAUUGCUGCUUUUUUGCCUAUUUCAGUGUUUCGAAGAAACGGAAUAUCAAACGGAGUCCAAACGGAAUGAAACCUUCGGGAACGUGAUCUUCUCACCGAACGUGAUCCAGGAGACUUGGACCCUACUCCAAGGAGUGCCAGAGGCGGUCACGAGGGUGGGGGGCACGCCCUUACCCCCUGGGCGCGCCCCCCUACCUCGUGGGCCCCCUAACGCUCCACCGACGCUCACCGGGCGCUCGGGUCCUCUGGUGCUGGAUCCUCGCGGUCCUGGCAGCCGGAACACCUCUCCUUCCCCAUCACCGGUCGGGCAGACUAUGAGUCCUACCGGUAACGGGCGGCUCGCCGUGGGAAGGAGAGGAUAAGGGCCGCCGAGGCCCGUAUCGCGGCGAAAAUGGCGGCCGAGGCGGCUGAUACGGCGGCGCGGGCGGCCGCAGAGGAGAAGACAUCCACGCCCGCAUUGUGAAGAAACGGCUGUGGAGGAACACGCGCGCGCUCGCCUGAGAGAAGAAUCGGGCGGUCCGUGCCAUGGUUGGACUGCCACCGAAGGAGGAGGAGGACAGCUCCGGUGACGAGCAGAUCCGGCUUGAUCCAUACUGCGUCUUCAACCGGUACUUUCAUGAGAAGGACAACAAGGACACCGAGAAGGGCAAGAGCGCGUCCACGGGCGUUUGAGGGAUCGGAUUUGCCAAGUCUCGGCAGUAGAUGCUCUUAACGAAACAUCCCAUUCUCAACAAUAGAUAUGUAUCAAUUUAUAUCUGGGUUGGAUGGAAACAAAUCAUCUGACUUUUAGCUCUUUUGGAAAGGUGCCAAACGGUAAACAAUCCCGACCAUAAAUAUCGCCGAUCAACGUCGCUGCCCAACGGUCGGCAAGCUCCUUCCCAUUCCGUUAUAAUAGUACUCCCUUCGUUCGGAAUUACUUGUCUCAGAAAUGGAUGUAUCUAGAACUAAAAGACGUUUAGAUACAUUCAUUUCCGCGACAAGUAAUUCCGAACAAAAGGAGUAGGUGGUAAUAGUACUAUCAUCUCCUUCCUCCUCCGACUCCCUCCCCUUCUCCUUCCUCCUCCUCCCACUGCAUCAGAGGUCCCGACGCAAGUGCGGCCAUGGCGGUUGUCGACGAGCCCAUCAAAGCAAGUCCCCUCUCCAACUCCAACUCCUUUCAUUCAUUCAUUCAUUUAUUUAUGCAUACAUAUCUGUACAUAUAUUUCUAUUGAUAUAUAUGUCCGUGUGGUUGUUUUCAAUUUUCCGAUUCAUGGAUCGAACAUCACCUUUCUUAGGAUUCUUGACAAGAUUUAAAAACGAAAACGUUCAUGGACUAUGUCGUUCCUUGAACCAUUGGUUAUAGAUCCGACUGAUAUUUACUCGCGUGACAAUUACAGAUAGCUCUGUCGCAUAAUUUCCAGAGGGGGCGAGGCACGCCGGUAGGUGAUUCCCCGCGGUCUGCCAAGAUUGAGAUCGGGCAGGAGACAGCAUUCGUGCCCGGGAACGGCGGUAGCAGCAGCACACACGUUGAUGAUGCCGAUGAUGAUGAUGAUUUUGCGCCCAUGGUGAGAACCUUCAUGGAACCAACAAAUCACACAUUGCUGCAUUUUAGUCAGUUCUUUCAGCCUUGCUCAAGAUUCAGAGUACUCGUCAAAUGCAUGUUAUCAUAUAUCGAACACUCGGAUAAAAACAGCAAGCCACUUUGCGGGUUGGUCGUGGAUCGAUGAAUUUGACAAAGGAAAAGUUUUAGUCAGAUUGUUCUGAGGGGACUUCAGUAUAGUCUUUUUUUUUCGACCAUUUAAUUAGCCUUUUCACCUUUUGUUUCUGAAUGUUCGGCUAUGCCUACCUGUGGAACCGCCGGACAAACUAAAAACUGUUUUUCUAUGUUUUUUUUCAAUUCUACUAAUGCAUUGUUUAUCUAUUAUACUAGGAUUUCUUGAGGUUUCUUCAUGUUGUUUUUUCCCAGUGACUAUCUUGUCUCGCUUUGGUCGAUUUAUCUAUUUAUAUGUGAAUAGUUUUUAGUGAGCUGUUUCCGGCACUGAAAAAAAAGGACAAAGAUGGUCGAUUCUUAAGAAGAAUAACAAGAAAAGAGUCCUCUUCAUUUUCUCUAUCCCUGAGACUGGGAUACUCUUUUUUUUGUUGUUGUUAUUCUCUCUUUGUUGGUGGUACCUGUUGGAUGAAUGGCAACUAAGCUUUACUGAGGGUCAAAGGCCAUUACAUAUACAUGUGUGGUAAAGUGCAUAAAACCCCUCAUACAAUAGGGAAAUAACAAAAAGAGACUAUACACAUCUAACACCCCCCUCGAACUCAUGGUGGAUCAACAACACUGAGUUUGGAGAGGAAAAAGCCAUGCUGCGCUCGAGUCUGUGCCUUCGUGAAGAAGUCAGCCAAUUGUAACUCAGAAGGCACAUAGUGAAGAGCGAGAGUCUGAUCCUGCACAGCAGCACGCACAAAGUGGGCAUCCACACCGAUGUGCUUGGUGAGCUCAUGCUUCACCGGGUCACGCGCAAUACUGAUAGCGCCAGUACUGUCUGAUAGUAAGGGAGUCGAGGUAGUAGCAGACACACCAAAAUCCUCAAGUAGCCACCGUAAACAGAUCACCUCAGCCGUCAGCAUAGCCAUGGCUCGCAACUCAGCCUUCGUACUCGAGCGAGAAACUGCAGUCUGUUUCUUGGUCUUCCAGGCAAUAAGAGAGCCACCAAGAAAGACACAAUAAGCAGACAACGAGCGUCGAUCAGAGGGAUCACUAGCCCAGGUAGCAUCAGAGUAGGCCUGGAGCUCAAGAGAGCUGGAGCGGGGAAAGAAAAGGCGCCGAGAGAUCGUGCCACGAAGAUAUUGUAGAACACGGAGGAGAUGACUAUAGUGGACAGAGGUGGCAGCUGAAACGAACUGACUCAGAAUGUGAACGGGAUAGGAGAUGUCAGGACGCGUCACAGCAAGAUAGACAAGACUGCCAACAAGGUGACGAUAGCGAGUGGGAUUAGGGAGAGGGUCACUAUCAGAGGCACGAAGCUGAACGUUGAGCUCCAUGGGAGUCACAACUGUGCGCUCAUCACCGAGAGCAGCGCGAGCAAGAAGGUCCUGGAUAUAUUUUCUUGGGAGAUGUAGAAGCCAUCAGAGGUCGAGGAGAUCUCAAUCCCAAGAAAAUAGCGAAGUGGACCAAGAUCAGUCAUGAGGAACUGGUCGCGAAGGCGAGCCUUAACAAAGGCAAUAUAAUCAGCAUCGUCACCAGUGAUGAUCAUGUCAUCAACAUAGAGAAGGAGAAGAGUCCGACCACGAGGAGACGUGUGAACAAACAACGCGGGAUCAUGAUCACUGGGCAGGAAACCAGCGGAGGUCACCAUAGAGGUGAAGCGCUCAAACUAGGCGCGAGGGGCCUGUUUGAGACCAUAUAGGGAGCGGCGAAGUUUUCAGACCAUACCAUCAGGAGCAUAGUACCCCGGUGUGGCUACAUAUAAACCUCCUCACGCAACUCGCCAUUGAGAAAAGCGUUCUGAACAUCAAGUUGAGAGAUAGACCACUGACGAACCGAAGCCACGACAAGAAGAGUGCGAAUAGUGGUCAUGUGGGCCACAGGAGCGAAUGUCUCAUCAUAAUCGCGCCCCUGCUCCUGCUGAAAACCACGGGCCACAAGACGAGCUUUGUAGCGCUCAAGAGAACCAUCUGAGCGAGUCUUAAGCUUGUAGACCCACUUGCAGGUGAUGGACGGACACCGGAAGGGAGGGGAACCAGAUCCCAUGUGCCAGAGCGCUCAAGGGCAGCAAGCUCUUCGGCCAUCGCAAGCUGCCAUUCAGGCUGAGUCAUGGCAGUGCGAUAGGAAGUGGGCUCAGUCAUAACAGAGAGACCAUAAUGAUCAGGGGAGUAGCGAUCAGGCGGGGGGCGAGGCCGAGCACGGAGAUUGUGAAUCGGGGGAGGCGUGAGAGGAGGUGCACCAGAGGUGGAAGGCUCGUCAGAGGACAUCCUCAGUACGAGAUCGACGAGUAUAGUGGAGAGGAAACGGUGAGAGAGGGCGGCGGAUUGGAGAGGAUGGGGGAGAGGUGGAGGAGGAGGAUGGAGAAGACGGGGUCGAUGGUGAAUGAGAAGGAAUGAGAGGUGCCGCAGGAAGAGGUGACACAUGAGGCACAUAGAAGGGUGUAUCAGGAAGGAGAAGGAAAGAAAGGUCGUCCACAGAGAAACUCGAGGAAGAAGAACGUGGGUAGUAAGAACGUGACUCGUCAAAAGUCACAUCACGCGAGAUGCGCAAGCGACGACCCAUGGGAUCCCAACAUCGAUAGCCCUUGUGCUCAUCACUGUAGCCAAUGAAACCACACUCAACCGACUGAGCUGUCAGUUUGGUGCGUUCUCGGGGAGCAAGAAGAACAUAGCAGACGCAUCCAAACAUACGAAGAGCUGAGUAGUCAGGAGAGCGACCAGUGAGACACCCCAUAGGAAUGCCACCUUUCAAAGCAGUCGAUGGCUGAAUGUUGAUGAGAUAGGUGGAUACGGAAAUAGCCUCAGCCCAAAAGUGGGGUGGAAGGGAAGCAACAAUCAUCAGUGCACGAGCCGUCUCAAGCAAAUAACGAUGCUUUCGCUCGGCAACGCCAUUCUGAGCAUGAGCACCAGGACAGGAGAACUGGGCAAGAGUACCCUGUUCCGCGAGAAAACCACGCAAUAGCUGAGAGAUAUACUCUCCAGCAGAGUCAGCACGAAAAGUACGAAUGGGCGUGGCAAACUGGAUGUGAACCAUGGCAGCAAAACGUUUGUAUAUAGGGAGAACCUCGCUACGAGAUUUCAUGAAGUAAAGCCAAGUGUAGCGAGAGAAAUCAUCAAUAAACAAAACAUAGUAGCGAUGACCACCUUUCGAAUCAAAGGGAGUGGGACCCCAGACAUUAGAUUGAACCAAGUCAAAAGGAUGCUGAGAUACAGACUCACUAGUAGGAUAAGGUAACUGAGUCUGUUUGCCAAGUCUGCAACCAUUACAAUGUAAGGAGACAUCUCCAGAUACAGACCCUAAGAGGCCCUGACGAACUAAGGAAGACAAGCGAGAGCCACAGAGGUGACCAAGUCGAUGAUGCCACUGCUGGAAGGACGCAGACAAAGAGGCAGCAAGAGCAUGAGAGCUGGCAGAAGUGGUGGCAGCGGAAGGAACACAAAGCCAGUCAACCUCCCAAAGGCCCUCUGACUCACGGAGCCAGGGGCCAGCACCAACCAAAGCCUUGGUGCGACGAUCCUGAAUGGAGCAAGAUUCGCUAUCAAGAAUAACACGACGACCAGAAUCAGUGAGUUGGGCAGCGGAAAAAAGAUUCAUGGUAAGGCGAGGAACAUGUGAAACACUCGGAACAGAAAAAGAUGGAAUGGAAAGAAUACCACGACUAGCAAUAGGAAGAGAUGUGCCAUCGGCAGUAAGAACAUUAACAGGCGAAUCAAGAGGUCGGAGAGAAGACAUCAUGGAAGAGUCAGAAGACAUAUGAAAAGAGGCUCCAGAAUCCAGAACCCACGAAUAUGUACCUGACUGUGUAGAUGCCUGUGAUGGUGAAGAGGAGGAUGCAGUCACAGCAGCAGCAGAGCCAGUCGACGAGGAGCCUGAGGAAGCAAGAAGACGCUUGAGGCGAACAAUGUCCUGGUCAGUGAGUGACGGAGUCGAGAAGACACAGGAGGCCCACUGGCAGAGGAGCGCCUCUGGUCUCGCUUCUUCUGGCGACAAUCAGACUCUAGGUGACUUGCUGGUAGCAGUAACCACAGACGGUGUCACGGUGCGACGNNNNNNNNNNNNNNNNNNNNNNNNNNNNNNNNNNNNNNNNNNNNNNNNNNNNNNNNNNNNNNNNNNNNNNNNNNNNNNNNNNNNNNNNNNNNNNNNNNNNNNNNNNNNNNNNNNNNNNNNNNNNNNNNNNNNNNNNNNNNNNNNNNNNNNNNNNNNNNNNNNNNNNNNNNNNNNNNNNNNNNNNNNNNNNNNNNNNNNNNNNNNNNNNNNNNNNNNNNNNNNNNNNNNNNNNNNNNNNNNNNNNNNNNNNNNNNNNNNNNNNNNNNNNNNNNNNNNNNNNNNNAGUGAGGCGAGGAGAUGACACAGGAGCUCGGGCAGCCAAUACUGAUGGAACCAGAAGCAACCCAGCAGAGCGAAGGCCGGUCUCCUCAGCACGAAGCUCAGCAAGUAUCUCUGAGAUAGGAACACGACCACGAGCAAGCAAGUGAGCACGGCGAGGCUCAAACUCAGAGCGGAGACGAGAUAAGAACUCAUGGACCCUCUGAAACUCCAAGUCAGACCUCGUAGUCUGGCAACAAUGGCAAGUGCCACAAACAACUGUCCGUAGUGAGUCAAGCUGACGCCAGAUGGCAGAGCACUGUGAAUAGAACUCAUCCACAGACGAGUCACCCUGCUGAAGAGCAUGCUCCUGACGCACCACAGAGAGGUAUAGAGCAUCGCCAGAGGGCUGAUAGCGAUGACAAAGAUAGGACCACGUCGCUGCAACAGUGCCGAGGCCCAUGAACUCCGAAGCAAACCGAGGCAGGACACUCGCAGUAAGAACAGCACAGCUCGAGCAUCAUCAUUGCACCACUGAGUGUAAGCAGACAGAUCAUCCCGGUAGACAGAGAGAGCAUCAGAAUAGGCAGAUACCUGCUGAUCAUAAGCAUCAACUGCAGCAUCAUCAAGAGCCUUGGCUGCAUCCCGAUCAGCCUGAGAAGCAUCAGCAGCAAGCACCGGCGGUACCGGCGGUACAGGAGCAAUCGGAGCAACAGGGCAGGGCGGACAGGGUACCUCACCAGAGAGAACGCCCCACAGCAGAAGACCGCGCAUAUGGAUACGCAUGAAGCCCACAAACUCAGCAUAGUUGGUGCCAUCAAAUAUCACUGAGCAGCGAGCAACAACCAAAUAGCCCGAGGAUGACAUUCUGAGAUAUCCCUCUGUUUCUUUUCUCUCUCUCUUUUUUUUGAGUCAACGGGCACAGGACGACCCAAUCUGGAUCGAGAGGAAAGCGAGCCUCCGCUUGCACGCCCGGACACGCGCUCGCUCUGGCUGGCCGAGCAGAGGCGAGGGAGCAGCACUCGCUCAGAUCCGGCCAGGAAAGAGAGAGCCGGCCCGGCCGGACAGCAGCUGGGGGCGCAGGAGGCGGACGGAGGCGGACGGGGGCGGCCGGAUGGACCCGAGGAGACUGGGGCAGAGCUUGGGCAAGAAACGGCAGCGUGGGCGGCGGCCGGAUCCAAGCCAGGCCACGACGACGACCGAACGGGCCGACGGAGGCGGCGGCCGAAUGAGGUCAGCCGCGGCAAUGGCGACCGAGCGAGCCGACGAGGAAGGGGAGCAGCGGGAUGGGCUGGUGGUGGCGGCAGCCAGAGCCGGAGAUGGCCGGAGAGAGCGGCGACCAGAGGAGAUGGCCGGAGAUGGCUGCAGCCAGAGACUGGCACGCUAGGUUCGGAAUGCACGGAGUUGCGUCGUGCGGGAGAACGGGACUAGCCUAGCAUCUGAUACCAUGUUGGAUGAAUGACAACUAAGCUUUACUGAGGGCCAAAGGCCAUUAUAUAUACGUGUGUGGUAAAGUGCAUAAAACCCCUCAUACAAUGAAAAAUAACGAAAAGAUACUAUACACAUCUAACAGUACCUACCUUACAUGCCAAGAAUAGGCGCAUCUGAAUUUUGCUGAAACUCCCUGAUAUAUAUGACUUUUCUAUUUAAGCAAGUACAAUAUUGACCCGCACAUUUAUCCGAACAUGCCAGAUUGUCUAUUUUUAUCCGAACCUGCAUUUCGUGAUCCGUCAUUGGGGUGUCGUCGUUCCAGGAGAUUUUGUUUCUGGCGUUGAGGAACUGACUAGUGACUGCUACUGCUAGUUAUUGCUACAUCACAAGUUGAAGUUUCGUAUCAAAAACUAUUGUGCAAUUUAUGUUUAACUCAUGCUCAUAACAAUGAGUAGCCUGGCUUGGUUUCCUAACUAUUAUCCAGGGGAAGGGAGGGAGGCCAGCGGGUUCCCUCGAGUCUGCCAUGACCGAGAUGGGGCAGAAGACGGCGUUGGCACAUCCGAAGCUCACUUUGGUCGGCAACGGCGGUUCAGAGAAUGAGCAAGUAAAGCGUCCAGGCUCUCGCUAUGAAGUGAGGACUAUCACUAUUACCUACAAUGUAAGGAAAUCCUCAUAAAAGUACUUUUCAUGCCUCAGAUUAUCUGUUAUCUUUGCGGCAUAUGUAAACAGAUAUUGAAUUUGUUGCUUUGUUUUGUUUGAUUACUUUAUUUUCAGAGGAAGAGAAGGUGGCCAGCCAACAGUACGAUAGUGCAUAAGCCAAUAAUGUUGAUUGACAGCGGCAGUAGCAGCGAUGCCAAGAGUGACAAGGGUGAUGACUAUGAGCCACCAGUAAGGCAUUCCAUGAAAUAUUUUCAAAUUGUUUCUCUUAAGACAUUUUCAAUGACUUUGAGCCACCCAUAAGGCCUUACAUUCAAUAAUUUAAAUUUAUCUCUUCCGAAAUUUUUGCUGUUCAAAUAUUGAUGUAUUUCACACCUUGCGUUGUGGAUGGAUGAGCCUAAAUUCUUAUUGGGAAAAAAAUAGGCAACUCUUUGAUUGAUUGUUUUACAGACGAAGAGGAGGAGGCCACCAGUUCUCAAAACCGCCAAGAGCAAGAGAGGGGGGCCACCGGGUUCGAAAUCAGCCAAGAACAAAGAAGAUGCGCUAGUAGAAAAGGGGCUUUUAGUCCCGGUUCAUAAGGGCCUUUAGUCCCGGUUCUGGAACCGGGACUAAAGGGUCGUUACUAAAGCCUUCCCCUUUAGUCCCGGUUCUUACACGAACCAGGACUAAAGGCUCUCCACGUGGCCACUGUCUGGAGGUCCACCUUUAGUCCCGGUUGGUAACACCAACCGGUACUAAAUUAAAUUUAUGAUUUUUUAAAAAAAAUGAUUUUUUUGGAAUAUUUUUUUAUUUUCAAAUUUUGAAUACCGGGACUAAAGGCUCUCCACGUGGCCACUGUCUGGAGGUCCACCUUUAGUCCCGGUUGGUAACACCAACCGGUACUAAAUUAAAUUUAUGAUUUUUAAAAAAAAAUUGAUUUUUUUGGAAUAUUUUUUUAUUUUCAAAUUUCUGAAUUAUUUUAACCUCUCAUCUCUAAUCACCCCUCAUCACUGCGCUCAAUUUAACCUCUAAUCACCCCUCAUCAUCUAACUUCCCGGACAGUCACCCAUCCUCUCACUACUCCAGCCUGAGCACGCUUAACUUGCGAGUUCUAUUCUCUCUCAUUUCCAAGUCUGCACUUGUUGUUUUCCUGACAAUAGUAAGAUGUCAAUCCUAUUAACCUCAGGAAUUUAGCUUGAGCAUGAAGUCACACAUUUCACUGUUUGAGUUUGAAACUAUUGUUCUAAAAAAUAACACUAAUAUUUAGUAACACUAAUAUUUCUUGAAUAAUUAGUUUGACCAUUUUUUGAUCACAGUUUGACCAGAUUUGACCAAAAUUCAAAAAAACUGAAAUAAUUAUUUAGUAACACUAAUAUUCUUGAAUAAUUAUUUAGUAACACUAAUACUUCUUGAAUAAGUAGUUUGACCAUAGUUUGACCAGAUUUAACAAAAAUUCAAAAAAAUUGAAAUUUGAGCAUAACUUUUUUCCUUUUUCAUAUUACGUAUCAUAUUUUGAAAAACAAUUCCCCAAAAAAAUCGAAACUAAUUUUUGAGAAAUCGGUAAUAAAGGUCUAACCUUUAGUCCCGGUUGGUGCCACGAACCGGUACUAAUGGGCAUGGCACCCUUUAGUCCCGGUUCGUAGCACCAACCGGGACUAAAAGGUCCAGACGAACCGGGACAAAUAGCCCACGUGGCCCGGCCGGCCCCCUGGGCUCACGAACCGGGACCAAUGCCCCCAUGGGUCCCGGUUCUGGACUGAACCGGGACUAAUGGGCUAACCCGGCCUGGACCAAAGCCCUCUUUUCUACUAGUGAUGGCAUUGGAUCUUUGGAACCAGGCACUGAGUUUGACGUUGGCAAAAGCUUCAGAAGCUUCAAGGUCGUCGUCGGUGGUUCUGCCAUCAACGACAAACUACUACCCAUUGAGAUGCGUAGGGCGUACCACGGGCUCUUCCGCGACCGGAAGUCGCUCCAGAGCGAGCGUAUGUAGAAGCCCAUAUGCCCUUUGCUCGUUGCAGGAGUGAUCAUCGAGACGGUUCGCAUAGCUGAGGGCAUCAGGGCCUCCGCCGCCUCCCCGUCCUGCGAGGACCUCACACGGUGGAAGAAAGGCAUGGAGUCCUUUGAGAUGAUGGGCAUGGAUGUUGGCUUCAUGCGCGAGCACGUUGAUGGCCUCCUCACCCUUCUCGAGAAAGCAGAUCACCUGCAUUAAGGGUUAGAUGCGGCAAAGCUGGAGAGGGCUCACGCCAUGGAGGGGUUGAGGGCGCUUGAGUCGAAGCUGUCGAGCCUCAAGAACACUAUGAAGGAAAUUGACGUGGAGUUGCAAGAGAUGGCUGCGUCGAGCACGAAGAGGAAGAGAGUGACCGCGCCAUGGUGAUCGACGACCGUCUAGUGCAUACAUCUUCAGCAACGUAGUGCUGCUAGCAUGCUGUUGUGUCUCGGUGUACAUCGAUUUAAAUUACUACCUCGAAUGUAGCUGCACUUUGAUUCAUGGUUUAUUAUGAGUAUGCUGUAUUUUGAUUGUGCAUACAUCUUUUUUUUUGUUAUUCUCUCUUUGCUGGUGGUACCUACCUUACAUGCCAAGAAAAGGCGCAUCUGAAUUUUGCUGAAACUCCCUGAUAUGCCUUUUCUAAUCUAAUUAAGCGAGUACAGAGGGAGUACCUUACAUGCCAGAUUGUCUAUUUUUAUCCGAGACUGCAUUCCGCGAUCCGUCAUUGGGGUGCUGUUGCGGGAGAUUUUGUUUGUGGGCGUUGACGAGCUGACUAGUAACUGCUACUGUUACUUAUUGGUAAAUUCACUAGCUAAAGUUUAGUACAGUAAAAUAAUAUUGUGCAAUUUAUGUUUAUGCUCAUAACAAUGAGUAGUCUGAAUUGGUUUCCUAAUUAUUUUCGGGUGGAAGGGAGGGAUGCAUUGCACGAUCCGUCUUUAGCAUGUCGUGGAGAGAGGUUUUGUUUCUGUCAUUGUCGAACUGACUAGUAACUACUAGUGCUACUUAUUUCUACAUCACUAGUUAAAAUUUAGUAAUAAAAAUUAUUGUGCGAUUGAGGUUUAUGGUCAUAACAAUGAGUACUCUGACUUUGUUUCCUAACUAAUUUUCCAGAGGAAGGGAUGGACACCAGUGAGUUCCCUCGAGUCUGCCAAGAUCAAGAUGGGGCAGAAGACGGUGUUUCGGCAUCCAAAGCUCACUUUGGUCAACAACGGCGGUUUGGAGAAUGAGCAAGUAAAGCCUCCAGGCUCUCGGUAUGAAGUGGUAGUCCAAAGAACUAUCACUAUUACCUAUAAAGUAAGGAAAUUUUUGGUCAUUGUCAUAAAAGGACAUUCCAUACCUCAGAUUAUCUAUAAUCUCCUGCGGCAUAUGCAAACAGAUAGUGAAUUUGUUGCUUUUGUUUUGGUUGAUUACAACAUUUUCAGCGGAAGAGACAGGGUCCAGCCAAGAGUAAGAUUGCACAUGACUAAAUGUUGAUUGACAGUAGAAGUAGCAGCAGUAGUAGCUAUGGCAAGAGUGACUAUGAGUCGCCAUCUCUUCACGUAUCUACUGUGGUUCUAAUUUCUUGAUAAGGCAUAUUCAUGUCUAUUAAAAAAACCUUGAUUUGUCAUAUUCAUUAAUUCAUAUAUGAGAUGCAGUUGUUGUUCUUGGUAGUGUUAUGCAACGAGAAAAAGUAAUGGAUUCUAGUCUCUUGAGUUGAAGUUUGGACUUGUGCUAUCUUUUAAUUUAAUUAUUUAAUGAGCAUGGCUUCUAUUUUUAGUUGACACGCUAAUGUUUGGCUCACAAUAUUCUAAGAGGUGCAUUGUUGUAAAUACAUGUUCCACUUCCUUCAUUCUUAAGAUGACAAUGAUCUAAACAACAACAACAAAAUUGUAGGUACUAAUGAAAAAACAUCAUGAAGACAUGGACCAAGACCUGGAACACUGAGCGUGCAUAUUUUUCCCAAACAUCCUAAUUAAGAUAGUGGUCCAAAGGAUAAUGAAUUUGGAAAUAAAUAUAUUUUAUUUCAAUAUAGCUCUUACAUGAAAGCGCUAACUAGCAUCUACAACAGAUCUCCAUAGUCUGUAAGAAUAUCAAUAUCUUGUCCAGUGGAAGAGGGCGGCAAAUCAACCCAUCCACCAUUUACCAUGGAAGACUGCCCAAGAUCCGUAUCGCUAGAGCCUAAGGAAGCAUCCAUCCAUAGGAAACUAUUGUAGCAUGACUGAUCUGAUAGAGCAUAACCCCAUUGUUCAGUGUUAAAUGGGUCAUCAAUAGAAAAAGCAUUGCCAGUCGAGUAUCCCAAUAGUGGAGAGUCCUCCAAAUUCUGCACAGAUGUUGAGUCAUUAUUUGCAUCAUUUUGUUGCGGUUGCACUAUGUUGCAAGAACUUUCAUAGUUCUGAACAUGCAACUCCUCUGGUGGAGUUUGCUCAUGUAUGUGAUUUGGUAUGGGUUGGACAUGGGAAGCCAAGUGUGGAGCUAAAGAUGGUGGUGCAGAAUGGAACAUUUGUGGUACCUGCAUAGGAAAAAGUGGUGCCUAAGUUUGUUCUGGUUGUGAUGGUAGUGGAUCUUAAGGUAGCUGGAGUUGUGAGAGAUUGUGAGCCCAUAAUGACUGCAUAAGUAAAUGAGUAGUACCCAAAUGAUCUGCCGGUAGAACACUUGGUAGUUGCAGAUCUUGUGCCACACAUGUGCCACCGGUCUUGUCUUCCUGACAAGGUAGUGGAGGUAGUCAGAACCUAAUGUCAUUUUGGACCCGAGAGAGCUCACUGAAGAGCUUGUUCAGAUCUUUAAGACUGAUAUCGUGUUCCUUCGUGAAGAUGAGAUUUGCCACCAUACCUGGAUUCUCUUCUUGGAUAUUUUUCAUACGAAGGAUGGAAAGUUUGUUUUUUUCUUCCUCGGUCAUGUUCUCCAUGUCCAACUGAGCCACCUCGUUUUGUAGGCUUCCUAUCCUAGAAGUGGUUGCCUCGUCGGUGGAGGGAACUGCUGGUGGAGCUCCAAAUAGGAAAGCAUCAACAAUGGGAUCACCAAUGGCGUCCCAAAUGAGUGCAUAUUUCCAUUGUUUGUCUCUAGGACGACUGCAACCCUAGCCCUAGUGAGGGCAAAGAUGUCGGUCGCCCUCUUGAACAAACCGGAACGUCGCUUGUAGAAGGUGAGCUCACGGUCUUUGUCAUUAUGGAUGUAUGCCACACCUGACCGCCGCUCUUUCCUCGGCAUACUAAUGUGGACAAAGAGGAAGAAACUAACUACUACAAAUAGGAAGCACAAGGAUCUACAGAAAACAAGAGAUUUAGGGGUACUGUUGUGUGACGCCCGGGUAAUUAAGCUACAAUAAUCCCACGCUAAUCAUGCCAUGACACCUCGGUUACUGUUGCUAUCCUCACAAUAAUUCGAAACCGUUCGAAAUUCAAAUUUAAAUUAAUGAUAACAAUAAAAGUUUUCAAAAAUUAAAACAGAAUUGUUCGGUGGUUGCCGAAUAUUACAAAGGUAAUUAUGGUGCAACAAACACAUUUUUAUAAAAUGACUAAAUGGUUUAAAAUGAAUUUGAAUAGAAAAGAAAUAAUAAAGAAAAUACAAAAGAAAAAAAAGCAAAGCAAAAAAAAAGGAGAAACCCCCCUGGGCCGUGGCCCAACUAGGCCAACCCACCGGCCCCAACCGGCCCACCCCGUGCCCCAUAACCUCCCCCCACUCCCCCACANNNNNNNNNNNNNNNNNNNNNNNNNNNNNNNNNNNNNNNNNNNNNNNNNNNNNNNNNNNNNNNNNNNNNNNNNNNNNNNNNNNNNNNNNNNNNNNNNNNNNNNNNNNNNNNNNAAAUAUCUCUCCCCCUCUCCCCCGAUUGGAUCGGGAUCAUGGGAAGAGGCCCUCGUCGCCGUCCGUCGCCGCCAGGACCGCGCCGCCGCCCGGAGCUCGCCGCCCCACGCCAGGACGCCGCCACCACGCCGACCUUCUUCCACUCCGUCGCUCGUCCCCGUCGGCCUCCCCAGACUUCCCCGAGCCCGCUGCCCGUGCCCUACUCCCCCUGUGAGCUCCCCCUCUCCUCGUCCGUCGCCGCGGUCACCGCACUCAGCGCCCGCGCUCGUGGCCGCGCCACACGCGCCCCGGUCCUUCUCCCCGUGCCCGCGCGCCGCGCUCGCCCGCGGCUCUGCUGCAGCUGCUCCUGGCACCGCCUGAGUUCGUGCUCAGCGCCACCGGCCGGCGCUCCCACUAGCCUCACCAUGGUCGCCGCUCGCGCCGGCUGCGCCCCUCACCUGCAUCGCCCGGCGCCUGCCGCACCCCAUCGCUGCUGCUGUGCCGCCCCGCCUCCGCCACUACUACCGCGCCGCGGUCGCCCCUACUUCGNNNNNNNNNNNNNNNNNNNNNNNNNNNNNNNNNNNNNNNNNNNNNNNNNNNNNNNNNNNNNNNNNNNNNNNNNNNNNNNNNNNNNNNNNNNNNNNNNNNNNNNNNNNNNNNNNNNNNNNNNNNNNNNNNNNNNNNNNNNNNNNNNNNNNNNNNNNNNNNNNNNNNNNNNNNNNNNNNNNNNNNNNNNNNNNNNNNNNNNNNNNNNNNNNNNNNNNNNNNNNNNNNNNNNNNNNNNNNNNNNNNNNNNNNNNNNNNNNNNNNNNNNNNNNNNNNNNNNNNNNNNNNNNNNNNNNNNNNNNNNNNNNNNNNNNNNNNNNNNNNGGGCUCGGCCUCUGCCCCGCGGUGCCGCGGCCCGCACCUGACCAUGCCCACAGCCGCCUGGCUCGCCGCCGUCCUGCUCCCCGCCGGUGACCGCCCUCGCCCCGCGGCCAUCCCCUGCGCCCGGGCGGGCUUCGCCCUGCACGCGCCCGCUACACAGCCGCCCGUUUUGGCCCCCUGGGCCACUGACCCAGGGGCCCCACACCCCUUUUUUCUCUAAAAAAAUAAAGUAAAUAAAUAAAAAGUUAAUUAAUAAUUACAAUAAUUAAUUAAUUAAGGAUUUAAUUAAGUUAAUUAAUCAUAUUUAGAUUAAUCUAUUUAGUAAUUAACCUAGUCAAUUAACUAAACUAAUUAAACCUAAUUAAUUAGUCUCAAACUAUGACAGGUGGGUCCCACUGGACCCACCGGUCAGGUUGACUCUGGUCAACGGACCGUUGACCGCUGACGUCACCUCUACGUCAUGCUGACGUCACCAGGCACUGUUCUGGAUAAUGCUGAAUUAAAAUAAUUAAAUAAAUCCUAAAAAUGCAUUAAAUCUUUUAAAAUCAAUAUAAAAUAAACCGUAGCUCGGAUGGAAAAACUUUGUACAUGAAAGUUGCUCAGAACGACGAGACGAAUCCAGAUACGCAACCCGUUCGUCCGCCACACACCCCUAACAUAUCAAACUCGCAACUUUCCCCCUCUGGCUCCUCUGCCCGAAAACACGGAACACCGGGAAUACUUUCCCGAAUGAUUUCCCCCUUCGCCAGCAUCACCUCAUACUGCGUUAGGACACACCUAGCACCGCUCUUUGUCAUGUCUUGCAUCGUCUUGCUUAUGUUUGCACUGUAUUUAUUGUUUCUUCCCCCUCUUCUCUUCGGUAGACUACGAGACCGACGCUGCUGCUGCCCAGUUCGACUACGGAGUUGACGACCCCUCUCUUUUGCCAGAGCAACUAGGCAAGCCCCCCCUUGAUCACCAGAUAUCGCCUAUUCUACUCUAUACUACUUGCAUUAGAGUAGUGUAGCAUGUUACUGCUUUCCGUUGAUCCUAUUCUGAUGCAUAGCCUGACAUUGUUGCUACAUCUGUUGAUACCUUACUUGCAAUCCUAAAUACUUAGUAUAGGAUGCUAGUUUAUCAUUAUUGGCCCUACAUUCUUGUCAGUCUGCCUUGCUAUACUAUUGGGCCGUGAUCCCUCGGGAGGUGAUCAUGGGUAUAUACUAUACAUACAUACAUACUAUACAGAUGGUGACUAAAGUCGGGUCAGCUCGAAGAGUACCCGCGAGUGAUUCACGGAUUGGGGGCUGAAAGGACCUUUGUCCCGACGGCCCUCUGUGUGGAUCUUUGUGGCGGAGCGACAGGGCAGGUUGAGACCACCUAGGAGAGAGGUGGGCCUGGCCCUGUUCGGUGUUCGCGGAUACUUAACACGCUUAACGAGAUCUUGGUAUUUGAUCUGAGUUGGCUACGAGCUUAUACGCACUAUCCAUCUACGCGGGAGUAGUUAUGGGUAUCCCGACGUCGUGGUAUCAGCCAAAGCACUUCAGACGUCAGCGACGGAGCGGCGCGCGCCGAAUUGGACUGGAACGCCACUAGGCUAGGUCUGCUUUCGGCCGCCCUCGCAACGUGCAGGUGUGCUAUGGGCGAUGGGCCUAGACCCCUGUGCGCUUAGGUUUAGACCGGCGUGCUGGCCUCUCUGUUGUGCCUAGGUGGGGCUGCGACGUGUUGAUCUUCCGCGGCCGGGCAUGACCCAGGAAAGUGUGUCCGGCCAAAUGGGAUCAAGCGUGCUGGGUAAGUUGGUGCACCCCUGCAGGGAAGUUAAUCUAUUCAAAUAGCCGUGAUCUUCGGUAACAGGACGACUUGGAGUUGUACCUUGACCUUAUGACAACUAGAACCGGAUACUUAAUAAAACACACCCUUCCAAGUUCCACAGACAACCCGGUGAUCGCUUUUCUACAGGGCGACGAGGAGAGGAUCGCCGGGUAGGUUUAUGCUAUGCGAUGCUGCUUGGAGAUGCUACUUGAAGAUGCUACUUGGAGGACUUCAAUCUACUCUCUUCUACAUGCUGCAAGACGGAGGCUGCCAGAAGCGUAGUCUUCGACAGGAUUAGCUAUCCCCUUCUUAUUCUGGCAUUCUGCAAUUCAGUCCACUGAUAUGGCCCUUUACACAUAUACCCAUGCAUAUGUAGUGUAGUUCCUUGCUUGCGAGUACUUUGGAUGAGUACUCACGGUUGCUUUUCUCCCCCUUUUCCCCUUUCCCUUCUACCUGGUUGUCGCAACCAGAUGCUGGAGCCCUGGAGCCAGACGCCACCGUCGACGACGACCCCUACUACACCGGAGGUGCCUACUACUACGUGCAGCCCGCUGACGACAACCAGGAGUAGUUAGGAGGAUCCCAGGCAGGAGGCCUGCGCCUCUUUCGAUCUGUAUCCCAGUUUGUGCUAGCCUUCUUAAGGCAAACUUGUUUAACUUAUGUCUGUACUCAGAUAUUGUUGCUUCCGCUGACUCGUCUAUGAUCGAGCACUUGUAUUCGAGCCCUCGAGGCCCCUGGCUUGUAUUAUGAUGCUUGUAUGACUUAUUUAUGUUUUAGAGUUGUGUUGUGAUAUAUUCCUGUGAGUCCCUGAUCUUGGUCGUACACAUUUGCGUGCAUGAUUAGUGUACGAUUGAAUCGGGGGCGUCACAAGUUGGUAUCAGAGCCGACUGCCUGUAGGAAUCCCCCUUUCACACUUCUUGGCCGAAGUCGAGUCUAGACAUUGCAAAACUUUUACUAACUUGGUUGUGUGCCUUACGGGCCCACGUCGCCAUUGGGUGGUACUAGGAUCUUUUACUCCUCGACCUUUACUCUGGGACUCUGAGCUCUCUUCUAUUCGGGUUAAAUGAUUUCGCUAAAAACAAAACUAACUUUAGGUUCUCGCAAGUACUUUCUCCCGGAGAGCCACUUGUUACCGAUGACCGCCUGCUGCACCAGAAGAUUCCGAAGAUACUCUACAAUGUGCUCUCGAGACUAUGUGCCAUCGCUUUUGCAAUUCACUUCCAUCGAUAAAUACCUCUGGAUAACUACUUACACCUAUCGUUCAUAUUGUCAUCCCCAGUUGCUCUUGUUAUUACAAGAUGUCCUGAAAUACUCUUUGAUAUUCCGAGAAUUCUUUACGCUUACUGCCCUGCAGUUCCUUGCUGCAUGAAUACCCCUACGGAUAAUUACUCGCGCUUGCCGAGUAUCCGCUCAUCCCCAGUUGUUCUUGUGUUUCACAAAAGUCUUCAAAAUAAUAUUCGAACUUCCGAAAACCCUCUGGAGCCUUUGGCUCUUGAAAUUCUUGCUUGCUUGCAUUAUGGUUAAUCCCAUAAGUCUCGUAGUCUUAAUGACAUUCAUUGUCAUUAUCAUUUUGAGUCUGUUGACUCAAUAUGUUUGCGAAUACACGCAAUCAUCAUUGAUCCUUAUAAAUUGUCAGGACCCCGAUCUAGCAUGUAACACAUCAUAUCACUUUGCAGCCUCACGCACGGUAUUCCCACGGGUGCCACCUUACCUUUGCCCGGGACCGUUUGCGCCUUUUGGCUCACGUAUAUGAUAGUGUCGCUAGCAUCCAUAUGACAAAGGACCCGGGCUGACAUGGCUAGUCGUAAACCCAAAGUGGCACAGACCUACAGGGACAGGCAUCCAUGACCCAGCAUCGAACGUGUCGGUCAUCAGCGAGUGAAUCCAGGCUGUAGCACUGGGCUAGCAGGACUCCGGUGAACCGGGCUGUAGCGGGCUAACAGGACUCCGGUAUUCAUCGCGUGACAUUUCCCCGAAGGGACAGACACAGGAACGAAGAAGGACACAUGCCGGCCAGCCUAAGUGUUCCGGAGCAGUAACAAGAUACCAUGGCUCGGUGGAAACACUAGGAGACAUUUCCCGGUAAGAGAGGCUACUAAAGAUAAACAACUAGAAGGUCAGAUCCCACACAUACCAAGCAUUUCAAUAACAUACACACAAUAUGCUCGAUAUGUGCAAAUACAACAUGGCAUCACAACAUGACUCUACGACUCAAGUAAUUUAUUCAUUAGGCUCCGAGGAGCGAGAUAUUACAAACAUGGGUCUUAUGACCCAACAAUCAGAGCAUACAAGUCAAAGCACAUGCGGAAGCUUAACAUGUCUGAGUACAGACAUCUAUAAAUGAAAAAGGCUGAGAAGCCUGACUAUCUACCAGAUCCUGCCGAGGGCACAAGAUCGUAGCUGAGGUAACAAGCUAAACGUUGAAGUCCACGUGGAACUACUAGUGAGACUGAAGUCUCUCUGCAAAAACAUAAAAUAGGCAAACGUGAGUACAAAUGUACCCAGCAAGACUUACAUCAGAACUAACUACAUAUGCAUCAUUUUCAACAAGGGGAUGGUGGGGUUUAACUGCAGCAAGCCAGCUUUGACUCGGUGGCUAACCUGAACUACGACUGCAAGUAACUCUUUUGAGGUGGCGCACACGAGUCCACAUAUUCACCAUAUCAAUACACCACUAUGGAUCCGCUCCCGUCUCCCUACGAGAACGCCAUCCAUAGCACUCACGCUUACCUUGCGUAUUUUAGAGUAUCCACUUUCACUUGUCUAUGAACUGAUAUAAGCAACCCAGAGGUCCUUUACCGCGGACACGGCUAUUCGAAUAGAUGAUGUUAACCCUGCAGGGGUGUACUUCUUCAUACAUGUUUCCACCACUUAGCGUCUGCACACGACAUGUGCUCGGCAGACUUCAAGCGAAAGCCGACGUGGGUGUAGACCAGGACCUACCUAAACACCUAAGUCUCUAGUCCAGGUUUAUCGCCUAUUCGGGUUCCAUCCAUGAGGAGAUCCGGCCGGAGUUUCGCUCACAGCCCCAAACGAUGUGAACAGGGUUCCGUGACACCAAACGGGUGCCCGGUUUACCCGGCCACGUGCCUACCGCAUCACAGCCCACCCCUACGGUCAGCGCUGUCCACGGCCUCCAGCAUACUACAAACACCAGAAACUACUUGCAACUCCUGGACAGAGGACUAGGGUGAAUAAGAAGUCGAGCGGGGUCAUAUUUCAGGGCCCAAUGCAUGGUAGUAGCUGAAUCAUGGAUCACAAACACAGAACUCAGUUCCUAAGGACGGCUUCAAUGAGACAACCCACCAUGUACUCCUACAUGGCCUCUCACCGACACCUUUUACCAAAUCGUGUUCACACACUUAGCUCACACAUAGUAGGACAAGUUCACACACCUCUGAUUCAUCCUCGAUGAAUCAGACCUGACUCAACUCUAAGCAGUAGCAGGCAUGACAAACAAGCAUGAAUGAGUAGGCACAUCAGGGCUCAAACAACUCCUACUCAUGCUAGUGGGUUUUAUCUAUUUACUGUGGCAAUGACAGGUCAUGCAAAGGAUAAAGGGUUUCAGCUACCGCAGCAAGUAACAGAUGAAUCGAUGUUGUCCUAAUGCAGUAAAAGAGAGCAGGAGCGAGAGAGUAGGAUUGUAUCGGAAUGAACAAGGGGGUUUUGCUUGCCUGGCACUUCUGAAGAUAGCAUUGAGUCUUCAUCAGUGUCAACGAUCACAUCAUCGGUAUCAUGUCUAUCGAGAGGGGACAAUUACCGGCAACAUAGAAGCGAACACAAUCAAUGCAAUGCACAAUAUGAUGCAUGAUCAUGACAUGGCAAAAUGAAUGUGUUUUGAGCUAAUGCAACUAGCAACAGAUUAAAUGAAGUUGGUUUGAAUACAAGAUUCAAAUUUAAACUCCAUAUGUGAUUAUUCAAAUGCCAUUUAAUUGAUUUGUGCUAAACAGCAGCUAUAAGUUGUUCUAUCAUGCAUGAAAAUGGUACAGAUGGAUUCCUUGAAUUUUUCUGAUAAUUUUUCAUAUAUAAAUUAUUUAAUUUGGAGUUACGGUUGAAUUUCUAUGAUUUUUAGAAGUUUUAGCUAUUUUCUGGAAUUUCCUGAAUAUAAUAAAAUAAACUAAAUUCCAGAAAAUGAAUAUUGCGUCAGCAUGACCUCACCCUGACGUCAUCAGGUCAACAGGGGCUGGUCCGGGUCAAACUGACCAGUGGGGUCCACUGGUCAGUGACACAGUGCUGACUAGUGUCGUUGACAGGUGGGGCCAGGUCAACGGCCACGUCAGCAGAGUCAAUGCUGACGGGUGGGUCCUACUGCUUAUGAACUAAUCUAAACAGAAAAUAAAAUUAACCUAAACAGGCCCAAGGCCCACAUGGCAGUGGCUUUAGGGGGGGGGUUAGUUAGUGCGUCAUUAGCGCUAAUGGUGGUGCCACGUCAGCGUCGCCGGAUUAAGCACCGGCGACCACAUCUCGCGGCGGAGGCUCGCCGGAGUUGCUCGGACUCGCGCUACAGGCGGCAGUUUGCGACGCGGUUGGGUCCUACGAAGAGCUGGGGCUCGUGCGCAUCCAGCGGUGGCAGUGAGAGGGCGCGAGGUGGUCCAUAGCGGCGGCAGCGGCGAGCUGGGCGGCGGCCGGAGCUCGGGUGUCGACGGAAUCGACGACACGGCGCGCGGGAGGACCAGCGGUAUGCACCUACAUGAUCGACGAGAGCUCACGAACCCAACGGAGGCACGCACGUGACCAUUUGGUCACCGGAGCCUCGUCGGCGACGACCUCGUGCGGCGGCGGCAUACGGGACUCGCGGUCAUCGGCCUUGCAGCAAGAAAUCGACCAUGGGGAGAGGGGGAGAUGACGGCGGGGCUCACAGGGAUUCGAACGGCGCCGUCGUUGAGCUCGGGGAGGGACUGGGCGAUGCAGACCAACGGGCAAAGUCCGGCGGCAGAUGCGGCGGUGACGAGCUCGGAGGCAUCGUCACAGGGUGUCCGGCGGUGCUUGGCUUGGUGGGGAGGUCGAGGAUGUCGUGACGGAGCUCCUGGGCUGCUCAAGGGGACGAGGGAGGGGCCAUGGCCGCGGUGGUUCUCGUCGGCGGCGGCAGGCGCGUUCGGUGAGGAGAACAGAGGUGGGGGAGAGUGUUCGGGGAAGAGAGAGGGAGCAGCGAGGGAGGAAGAGGAGCGAGGGGACACGAGGCGUCGUCGUGGCGUCGCUAGGGAGACCGGGGGAAGCAGGAGGUGGCCGGGGCAUCGCCAGCGCUCGCCACCGAGCAGCUUCGGUGCGAGGGGAGGAAGACGACAGGAGAAGGGUGGGCUGGGCUGCGCUGGGCCGGUCCUGUUGGGCCACCAGGUGGGCUUCACAGGUAAGUCCAGGUGGUUCUGCUCUCUUUUCUUUUUUUAUAAUUCUGUUCUGUUUUUCUUUUAUUUAAUUCUUUUGCCACUGUUUUGAAUUAAAAAUAAUAAUUCAAACAAUGCCAAAGCUCCUCUGAAUAUUUUUAUUUUGCUAUAUGGACUUUUCCAAAAGCUCAUAAAGUAUUUCAAGGGUAUUUGAAAUUAUAUUCUAGUUAUAUGAAUAUAAUUCAAAUUCAAAUAGCUAAUGAUUUAAACUCAAAGUCCCAAAAAUAAAUCGUGAAAAAUGUUCAAUAUUUUGGUUGGGACCAGAACCCUUACCAAAAAUUAUCAAACAUUUAAGAAGAGCAUUUUUGGAGCAAUGAAUGAGAUUUCUAGGGUUUUUGCCCCUCUUUUAUUUAAGUUUUUGAGGCUUCCAAAAUUCCUCAGUUCAAGUUUCGAAAAUAUAGACAUGAUGCACACAUGAAGCUAGCCUAGAGCACUACCAGCAGCUAGGGAUGUGACAUAAAUUACCUUUCCGGCUGAGCUUCCAUUCUUUUAACUGGAGUUGGUUCUCGACCAAUCCAAUUGUCGUUGGUUGUACCCUAAGGCUAUUCAACUUAUCCAUCCCUAAUCAGAGCAUUGCUUUUGAUCCCUUGAUUUGGAAAUCAUAAUUCCUUUGCAUUUGACAAUUGAGUUAGUCAGUUGUUUCUAUAAUCUGAUCUCCUUGCAUUCUUCUUCCUCUAGUUGAGUACCGAUACUCGUAUCAGAUCCCUUGUGGACCAUCAAGUCCUUUGUUGGAUUUAUCUGACAACGCCCUUCAUAUUCAAUAACCUUGUGAGCCUUUCCUCGGAUACAUAAUGCCUUUGGUAAAUUGUAUCCUCUGCUUUUCUCAACCAUGCUCUGCCAUCGAGUUUGUGUUAUUUACUCUUGAAACUUGUUGUAUAUGUUUCUAAGAAGCCCCUAUGGGUUGAACAUAUGCCUUCUCUAAACCGUGUGAACCCGAAAGUUUUCACGAGUCAUACCCUUCUGGUGCUUCACCAGACAAAAUUUCAACACUACAACUUCAUCGAACGUGAGAAGUGAAUGAAAGGUUAUGCACUGGAGAAGUGGGAGUCGACCUUGAACCUUGUGUUCAUGCCCAUGGACGCGAUAUAUAUCCUAUCAUGAAAGCUUCUUGUAACAAUAACUAUUUCCUUGAUAACUAACCUAUGGUAUCUGUGAAUUGAUCCCUUGCAACCGUGGUUCCGACCAUGAUUGUUCUUCUUUGAUCUCAUUUCUCGGACAAGUUAAAACAAUUGUCUUCUAUGGAUCAAUACACCAGUCCAACCUUUACUUUGAUCUUGUGUCGAGUAUUACCCCCUGGUAUCUCGAGAUUAUCAUGGAACUGCAUAACUUUUAUGAGUUCUUCAUCAAGUGCUACCUUCCCAUUGAUUCCAAUUUUUCGCGGGCUCUGAGUUAUUGAACACUCAAAGACCCCGAUAACUGAACCGAGUCUGCUCUACGGUUCAACAACUCUUCAGUAAGCUUCUAUAAGUACGAGUUUGUACCCGAUCACGCCAUUCCUAGCAUGUUUGGCUAUAUCAUUGUCAUGAUGAUUCUAACUGUGCUACCUGGUCCUUAUUCUCGGAGCACCAAUUUUCGACGAUGAACUAACCUUACGUCGAUCCUCAUCGUCAUAUCAUUUCGCCUUGAACAACAAGCUUGGUUUCGAGUUUGUGUCGUAACUAUGGUUCCAAUAACCUCUUGCUUCAUCAUUCCUUUGACUUGUUGUCAUCGCUGAUUGACUACAUCUGCAUGAAAUCUCCCGACAAUUGUGUCGUGAUCAUCAUCAACCUUAUGAGCUCUUCCAGGAAUUCAAUUGAAUUCAUGAUGGGUAAUACCAUCCUUGCCCCUGAUGAUUCCUGUUCUCAUCAACCACUUUAUUGCCUUCCGUUCAACACAACUUGUUCGUGUUUUGUGUAAACCUUGAGAUCACUGCUACCCAGCAGUUGAUCUUCCUUACCUCGGAAGUAUUACCACCUCUUUUUGUCAAGAAUGUGGUGAGAAUUUCACCACCUCUUAAUGAGUCUUGAUAUCAUAAUACUUCUUGCCAUCUUCGUUCAUUCCUUGGUCCCCGUAUUGUUUUCAACCGGAAUACCGACAAUGGAGCUAUGACGUGUGAAUUCAAAACUUCUAGCAACCCUAUUGCUUUGAAGUGAAUGGGCGAUAGUUCAUUCUAAGUCCUUCGCUAAUUGAAUCACCAUUCUGACAUUGGUCGUGCAACCCAACCCAUAUUUCGGGCGCACCUUUCAACCAAUGUUUAAUUGUGUAUGUUUUCCUCGAGCAUACUUCCUUAUAUCAUUUGUUCUGACAAAUGUUAUCUCCUUGUUCACUUAAUGGUGGAAAUCCAUCUUUUGGGGAUCUCGGUGAAUUGCCGUUGAGUUCACCAGACACCUCCUUGUCCUCUCCUUGGGUUAAUGAUGAACUCUUGUUAACGGAAGUCACUUCAUAGUUCAUUUCCCGAGAANNNNNNNNNNCCACUACUACCGCGCCGCGGUCGCCCCUACUUCGCCUUCGCCGCUCCGCGACCGGCUCCCCCGGGGCUCGGCCUCUGCCCCGCGGUGCCGCGGCCCGCACCUGACCAUGCCCACAGCCGCCUGGCUCGCCGCUGUCCUGCUCCCCGCCGGUGACCGCCCUCGCCCCGCGGCCAUCCCCUGCACCCGGGCGGGCUUCGCCCUGCACGCGCCCGCUACACAGCCGCCCGUUUUGGCCCCCUGGGCCACUGACCCAGGGGCCCCACACCCCUUUUUCCUCUAAAAAAAUAAAGUAAAUAAAUAAAAAGUUAAUUAAUAAUUACAAUAAUUAAUUAAUUAAGGAUUUAAUUAAGUUAAUUAAUCAUAUUUAGAUUAAUCUAAUUAGUAAUUAACCUAGUCAAUUAACUAAACUAAUUAAACCUAAUUAAUUAGUCUCAAACUAUGACAGGUGGGUCCCACUGGACCCACCGGUCAGGUUGACUCUGGUCAACGGACCGUUGACCGCUGACGUCACCUCUACGUCAUGCUGACGUCACCAGGCACUGUUCUGGAUAAUGCUGAAUUAAAAUAAUUAAAUAAAUCCUAAAAAUGAAUUAAAUCUUUUAAAAUCAAUAUAAAAUAAACCGUAGCUCGGAUGGAAAAACUUUGUACAUGAAAGUUGCUCAGAACGACGAGACGAAUCCGGAUACGCAACCCGUUCGUCCGCCACACACCCCUAACAUAUCAAACUCGCAACUUUCCCCCUCCGGCUCCUCUGCCCGAAAACACGGAACACCGGGAAUACUUUCCCGGAUGAUUUCCCCCUUCGCCAGCAUCACCUCAUACUGCGUUAGGACACACCUAGCACCGCUCUUUGUCAUGUCUUGCGUCGUCUUGCUUAUGUUUGCACUGUAUUUAUUGUUUCUUCCCCCUCUUCUCUUCGGUAGACUACGAGACCGACGCUGCUGCUGCCCAGUUCGACUACGGAGUUGACGACCCCUCUCUUUUGCCAGAGCAACCAGGCAAGCCCCCCCCCUUGAUCACCAGAUAUCGCCUAUUCUACUCUAUACUGCUUGCAUUAGAGUAGUGUAGCAUGUUACUGCUUUCCGUUGAUCCUAUUCUGAUGCAUAGCCUUACAUUGUUGCUACAUCUGUUGAUACCUUACUUGCAAUCCUAAAUACUUGGUAUAGGAUGCUAGUUUAUCAUCAUUGGCCCUACAUUCUUGUCAGUCUGCCUUGCUAUACUAUUGGGCCGUGAUCACUCGGGAGGUGAUCACGGGUAUAUACUAUACAUACAUACAUACUAUACAGAUGGUGACUAAAGUCGGGUCAGCUCGAAGAGUACCCGCGAGUGAUUCACGGAUUGGGGGCUGAAAGGACCUUUGUCCCGACGGCCCUCUGUGUGGAUCUUUGUGGCGGAGCGACAGGGCAGGUUGAGACCACCUAGGAGAGAGGUGGGCCUGGCCCUGUUCGGUGUUCGCGGAUACUUAAUAUGCUUAACGAGAUCUUGGUAUUUGAUUUGAGUUGGCUACGAGCUUAUACGCACUAACCAUCUACGCGGGAGUAGUUAUGGGUAUCCCGACGUCGUGGUAUCAGCCGAAGCACUUCAGACGUCAGCGACGGAGCGGCGCGCGCCGAAUUGGACUGGAACGCCACUAGGCUAGGUCUGCUUUCGGCCGCCCUCGCAACGUGCAGGUGUGCUAUGGGCGAUGGGCCCAGACCCCUGUGCGCUUAGGUUUAGACCGGCGUGUUGGCCUCUCUGUUGUGCCUAGGUGGGGUUGCGACGUGUUGAUCUUCCGCGGCCGGGCAUGACCCAGGAAAGUGUGUCCGGCCAAAUGGGAUCAAGCGUGCUGGGUAAGUUGGUGCACCCCUGCAGGGAAGUUAAUCUAUUCAAAUAGCCGUGAUCUUCGGUAACAGGACGACUUGGAGUUGUACCUUGACCUUAUGACAACUAGAACCGGAUACUUAAUAAAACACACCCUUCCAAGUUCCACAGACAACCCGGUGAUCGCUUUUCUACAGGGCGACGAGGAGAGGAUCGCCGGGUAGGUUUAUGCUAUGCGAUGCUGCUUGGAGAUGCUACUUGAAGAUGCUACUUGGAGGACUUCAAUCUACUCUCUUCUACAUGCUGCAAGACGGAGGCUGCCAGAAGCGUAGUCUUCGACAGGAUUAGCUAUCCCCUUCUUAUUCUGGCAUUCUGCAAUUCAGUCCACUGAUAUGGCCCUUUACACAUAUACCCAUGCAUAUGUAGUGUAGUUCCUUGCUUGCGAGUACUUUGGAUGAGUACUCACGGUUGCUUUUCUCCCCCUUUUCCCCUUUCCCUUCUACCUGGUUGUCGCAACCAGAUGCUGGAGCCCUGGAGCCAGACGCCACCGUCGACGACGACCCCUGCUACACUGGAGGUGCCUACUACUACGUGCAGCCCGCUGACGACAACCAGGAGUAGUUAGGAGGAUCCCAGGCAGGAGGCCUGCGCCUCUUUCGAUCUGUAUCCCAGUUUGUGCUAGCCUUCUUAAGGCAAACUUGUUUAACUUAUGUCUGUACUCAGAUAUUGUUGCUUCCGCUGACUCGUCUAUGAUCGAGCACUUGUAUUCGAGCCCUCGAGGCCCCUGGCUUGUAUUAUGAUGCUUGUAUGACUUAUUUAUGUUUUAGAGUUGUGUUGUGAUAUCUUCCCGUGAGUCCCUGAUCUUGGUCGUACACAUUUGCGUGCAUGAUUAGUGUAUGAUUGAAUCGGGGGCGUCACAUGUUGGAUACCCACAUACUGGUGUAGGAUAUGAGAAGAUGUACUCCCCUUAUAUAGAAUUAAAAGGGUUGUAUGGCAGUGCUAUUUGACUAUACAAAGACCAUGUAAAUCUUUAGUAAAAAUUAACAUACAUAACACAGAAAAAGUGUUAUUUUACGGAUACUAUUAACUAUCUUCCAAAUAUACAUAUGUGAGUGCAUCCACAUCCUUCUUUGCAACCACUGAUAUGUAUUUCUUCUGAUGUAAGUAUUGACAUCCAUAUAUAGAACUAUUAACACUUCUAAAACUAGAAAUAUUAAAUGAUUGCCAUUUGACCACAUCCAUAUCCUUAUCUAGAAGUAUUAAUGGGAGUUAAACCCAACUAAGUUUUACUCUAAUAUACAAAAUAAUUGUAGCAAAAUUUAUUUGGUUGUUAAUUGCGUACAAAUCCUUUGUUGAUCACAUUGAUUACAUCCUCCUAAUGUAUCAGUGAUCAUAUUGAUUACAUCCAUAUCCUGUACUAGGAACUACCUAAUCUAGAAGUGGUCAUCCUUUAAUCCAUAGUAUCCAAGUAUAACAUGGACCUUGCUUUGGGGCUUAACUUAGAAAUUGAGAUACGAACUAGGAAAGAUAUACUAAGAGCAACUAGAAAAUACUAGGACAUUUGGUAAGUCAUGGUAUAACACAUAUGUUACUCGGAGCAUCGACCUGCCUCCUUGGUAAGCCCAGUUCCCGCUCAAGAUGUGUUUUUAUUGGUUACACAUGCAUAUCUUGGGCCCUAGUUUUUUAUGGCCCAUAAAAUAAUAUGUGUAAGGCUUUUUCUGGAAGGAUCCAACACAACCUAAUCUAUUAUGUAUUAGAAGUAAUUGACGGGCUCACCAGAAAAAGAUAAAAAUGCUAGAAAAUAACUCAAAAAUAAAAACAACUAACUCUCUAUCUAUUAUAUAUUAAAAGCAAUUGACGGGCUCACCGGAAAAAAGAUAAAAAUGCUAGAAGAUCUCUCAAAAAUCAAAAACAUCCGACUGUCUAUUUAAUUGGCUAAUAUUUUAUAACCAUUAGAUUAGUUUUAAGUGAAAUAACUACCCACCAUUGCCACUAUAAGAAAAAAGUGUUUCAUCUAACUUAUUAGGACGUGGGCUGAUGCCAUCUUAUUAGGACGUGGGCUGAUGCCAUAUUAUAUUGGAAAAAAAGUUAUGUUCCCAUAGUACCAAAAGGACUGCUCACACACAGUGGCAACAAUGUUCAUGUAAAUGUCCUUGUGAUUAAUUCCCCCUUGGUAGAGUACCUGAAAAAGCCUCCAGAUUCGAUCUCCACGGAGCAGAGAGGUAUGCGGCACAAAAAUCAUCUGUUAAUAUUCCUGAGGUUUUUGGGAGUAUAUAAAGGCAGGGGAAGAAAGAUGCGAUGGAGGCAACCUCUAUGGCGGCCAUGCUCCCCCUUGGAUGCUCGUGCCGACCUGUGGCAUGUGGCCUAGGGGGGCCAGGUGGGUCUAGGUCCCUCCGGCUUCCUUUCUUCAUGAGACUUAGUGUUUUUUUCUAGUUUUUUGGUCCCUAAAAAGUUGUUUUUUUUUCUGAAAAUCCAAAAAAACAACAACUGGCACUUUGCACUGAAUUAAUAGGUUAAUCAAGAAAAACUAUAAAAGUUGAUGCCAAUACUAUGCCAUUAUGAUAUAAGUAUAGCAUGAAAUAAUAAAAAUUUCUUGAUACGUAUAUUACAUAUCAACUGGCAUGAAUAAAUUGAUGUUUUUCUAGGGCUUGUUAAUACUCGACAAUAUUGUUCUCCUACAUAACCAGACACAAGGUACUCCUUGGUGCCUAAUGGUUCGGUGUCCAGGCUAAAAUUGUGUCUAGCAUGAAUAAAUUGAUGGCUUUCUCUAUCGCUCACUAUUACUUGAUGACACUUUUGAGCUGGGUAGCUGGACAGAAGCGAGGUUCUUCCUACCAAUUAGAAAUGGGCGACUCCCAUUCCGUAGCCAUCUGCACGUUACUACAAGCUAAAAUGGUGACAAGCACGAACAAAUUGUUAUAUUUCUCCAAGGUUCAUUAAUAAUACAUGGUACUAUUCGGUUGGAUAGCCACAUAGAAGUAAUGUACUCCUUUUCAAUUUGAGGGGACGAAUCUUGGCCUGUAUCGUAUGGUGACUAGCACGAAUAAAUAGGUGUCUUUCUCUACAACAAAUGAUUGAUGGUACUAUUCAGCCAGACAACCAGACAGAAGCAAGGUACUCCCUGAUUUCCUGCCGAUUCAAGGUGGAUGGCUGCUGGUCAUAUGUGCAUUAAUCCAAACUGAAACCGUGACUAGCACGAAUAAAUCGAUGUCUUUCUUUUUGGCUCUUUAAUACUUCCACUUUUCGACUAGGUUGUCCGAAAACAUGAGGUGGGCACCUCCUGAUACGGAGACGAUGCACAUUAAUCCAUGCUACAAUGGUGACUUGCACAAAUAUAUUGAUGUCUUUCUCUAAGGCUCAUUAACACUUGAUGGUAUCGUUUGGUUGGACAACCGGACAAAAAGCAAGGUAUUCCAUGACUUCUUGUCCAUAUAGGGUGGAUGGCUCCAGGCAAGGCCAGUUACACAUUAAUUCGGACUCGUCUAACAUGAAUAAAUGGAUGUCUUUCUCUAUGGCUCAUUAAUACUUGAUGGCGCUCUUUGGUUAGGCGGUGUACAAAAGCAAGGUACUCCCUUCUGAUUUCGGGUGGUUGUGGGGCCACUAGACGGACACAAGCAAGGUACUCCCUGUCACUUGGGGGGAUAUUUUAAAUAUUAUUUUUUAUUACAUAAAUUUCAAAAAUAUAUCCCUAAAAUAUAAUAUUUAACCAGUAGUACUCCGACAUGUCAGUGCCAACAAUGACAGGUAUCGUUGGCACUAGCAAUGAUACAUCUUUUCUGUUGUCGUUUUGAGUCACAUGGGCCAUCAUGAGUGCAUCCUACAUCAGCCCUCCCGCAUGACACACUCGUACAGAGCUAGCUAUGUUAGAGCAUGUACAAUGGUGCUAUCUUCGCAAUGUCACCUAAGAUCACUGUUGAGUUAGAAGAGAGCGAAUGGAGGGGGAAAAAGGCUUGCCAUCUCUUACCUAAGAGAUGGUCUCUCAGUAAAGAAGAUAAGACAAUUCUAUCCAUUUUACUAGAUGGCAUCUCUUAGCUACAUAUUUUCUAGUUUAAUUUUAACCAUCGCAUUAAUUUAAGAGCAUGUAAACGUUGCUUGUUAGUCUAAGAGUUAAUUCAUUGUAUUAUAUGUUUUUAAGCUUCUCCAAAUGACAUACAUAGCAUACAUUGCAUUAGCCCUCCCACAUGACACACUCAUACAGAGCUAGCUACCUUAGGUCGUGUACAAUGAUGCUAUCUUCGCAAUGUCACCUAAGAUCAUUGAUGAGUAAAACAAGAGUGAAUGGAGGAAAAAAGGUUUGCCACCUCUUACCUAAGAGAAGGUCUCUCAGGAAAAGAAGAUAAGACAAUUCUAUACAAUGUACUAGAUGUCAUCUCUUAUAUUUUCUAGUUUAAUUGUAACCAUCGCAUUAAUUUAAGAGCAUGUAGGUUGCUUGUUAGGCUAAGAGCUAAUUCAUUGUAUAAUAAGUUUUUAAGCUUCUCCAAAUGACAUACAUAGUAUACGAGAAUAUUGUAACGAAUAACUAUUUAUGUACAGUGUGCUCAGUCUAUGAAGAUAUAAAGCAUGUGCUAUUUUAAUGUAAUGUUGCAAGGGAGGUUUGGGAGAAUCUUGGUCUACUGGAACUUACCGAAGAGGCAUGCAUGCUAGACCAUUGAGGUAGUGUUUUUUUCACAAAUUAACGAAUGGUUUUUUAGAAAGAAUGAAAUAUUUAGUUUGAGAACAUUUUAAAAAUUUCGGAAAUUAUUUUUAAUUGGGGAAUAUUUAUAAUUUGAUGAUCAUUUUUAAACAUCCUAAACAUUUAAUUAAUUACAGAAUAUAUUUUUAUAAAGUUGCAAACAUUCUUAAAAUUGAUGGAGUUUUUUUCAAACUUGAAAGCAUUUAUUAAAGUUCUUGAAAAGAUAUUCAAAUGAAUAAAAUUUGUCAGCAUUUGUUAAAAUUUUCACAGUAGGCAACUUUUUAUUAGUUUUCUAGUAAACAGCUCAAAAAUAGAUCUGUACAACUGAGAAAAGGCUAUAUCGCUGUAUAGCCAGAUAUAACCUGUGCUCGCGUCUGAGCCCAUCUUAGUGGGUGGGCCCAAUGGUCCGGAUUUGGAAAGGCAGUACUGAUUGGUACAGACUUGUUUGAGAACAAGUUUCUAAAAAAAAAAACUUGUUUAGAAAAUUUCGAGUAUUUUUUCCUAUUUGUUAUUCGGUGUUUUCCUGUAUACUUCAUUUUUAUUUCCUGUUUGUUUUCUCUAUUGGUUUUCAUCAGUCUCAUUAUUGAAUUUUAUGUUUUUCAUUCCUUUCUCUUUUUUUGCAUUUUUCAAAUACACGUUGACUUUAUUUAAAUACACAUUGAAAAAUGCAUAUACAUGUUGAACCUAUUUGGAUACACAUUGAACAUUUUCCAAAUACAAGUUUAAUAAUUUUUUAAAUACACCUUGAACAUUUCUCAAAUGUACAUUAAACAUCUUUAAAAUACAAUGUGAAAUUUUCUUAAACACAUAAUAAAAAUUUUCAUAAAUGCCAUGAAUAUUACUUUUAGUUGUGCAAGCACUUUUUAAGUGCUACGGAAAUUUCUUCAAAUUCAUGAACCUUUUUUGAAUGGUAGAGAACAUUUUCAGAAGAUUGCACAAACAAAUUUUAACAUUUUAUGAUUUUUUUAAAUGCAACAAACUUAUUUUUAAACAUGUGAACAUCUUUCAAAUAUGAUAAUCAUUUUUUGAAUAUUGUUAACAUUUUCUUCAAGCUAUGCAAACAACUUUUUAACAUUACAUGAAGACUUUUUAAAGUUGAUCAACAUUUUGAAAACUUAAUAAAAUAAAAUAAAAAGUAAACUAAUACCCAAAAAUAUUUAGAAAUAUAAAAUAUAUAUAAAAAAAUCAAACACAAACAAACAAAACAGAGCAAGACUCCCUACUGUUGCCGUUUGCUCGACUACCAGCAGGCAGCGGCCUAGUCCAUGUUGCUGUCAUCCACUCAUCCCCCAAAAAAGUACAUGAUGCUGUAAAAUAAAUGAAAAUGAGUUUAUUUGACCAUUUUUUUACUACUAAAUAAAAUACUUUUUGUAGCCUUAAAAAAACCGGAUAACGAACCGGUGAACUGGCGGUCCAAUCAAUCCAUGAAAACUUGAACCGACAGCUUCACUGGUUUAGUCACUGAUCCGAUUUCUAAAACUAUGGUGUAAAGGGUUGACCAACAAAUUUUUUAAACGAGAGUAGCUAGCUACCUUAGGUCAUGUACAAUGAUGAUAUCUUCGCAAUGUCACCUAAGAUCAUUGAUGAUCUAAACGAGAGUGAAUGGAGGAAAAAAAGGCUUGCCAUCUCUUACCUAAGAGAAGGUCCCUCAAGAAAACAAGAUAAGACAAUUCUAUCCAAUGUACUAGAUGUCAUCUCUUAUAUUUUCUAGUUUAAUUUCAACCAUCACAUUAAUUUAAGAGCAUGUAAUCUUUGCUUGUUAGGCUAAGUGCUAAUUUAUUGUAUGAUAUGUUUUUAAGCUUCUCCAAAUGACAUACAUAGCAUACAAUACUAUUUUGUGUACAAUGUGCUCGUUCUACAUGGUAAGAAAACGGAGAGGAAGAAAAAGGUGCUGCUCAAAAGCAUAAGCAUGGCCUCGGGCCUACGAGCACAAGUUCAACACACAACUCAGCCAUCUAAAAGGAAACAUGAUGAAAAGAUCCAUUCAAUGCCUCCAGCCACCUUAAAAACUACCGGCCUCAUUUAAAGGCAAAAACUGUUUCUCGCAUGACACGCGAAUUUUCUUGAGGAAACCGAAAAUGUAUACAAACCGAACAUGUAUACAGUAUAGUAUAUCCAAGUUUACCCGAUGAUUCAGCUAGCUAACAUGGACAGCUUAUUUGGGUGAACUAAAAGACAAACUAGCAGCCACCACACUGAAUCUUGACUACUUGAAAUCCACCCGGCUCCCUACAUUUGGGUGAACUGAAAAAAGAAAAAACCUAUAUAGAUGAAAUACACAAAUAAAAAAGUAUAAGUUGAUGCAUUCGUGAGGUGCUUAUUUAUUUAUGUUUAUCUCUUUUCUUUCAAACAAAAAAAAAUCUAGACUGAAAAAUUGGUUUUAGCCUGCCACAAUUGAUCCAAAUACUCACUAAGACAAAAUAAAAACACAUGUAUAAGUUGUUAUACUGGACAAAAACUUAACAAGAAUACUGUCAUGGAAAAUGGAAGAACAUGGAUCUAGACUGAAAAACAAAAAUCAACCAUGAUUGAUACAAGAUUAUAUUGAAAUUCUAGCAUGAGAUGCUGAAUCUCUGCACACUACAUAAGAUUAUACUGAAUUUCUAGCACGAGAUACUGAAUCUCUGCACACUACACAAGAUUAUACUGAAUUUCUAGCACGAGAUACUGAAUCUUUGCACACUACACAAAGAUAUACUGAAUUUCUAGCAGGGGAUACAAAAAAACUGCCUAUUGUUUUCAAUCUAAAUCGCCCAAAACAACAUGUUGAAUCUCUAUCUACUUGAAAUCCACAUCCCACAUUUGGAGAAUUUAAGGAACAAACCCUGCAUAGAUCAAAUACACAAACAAAAAAGGGGACGUGCUAAACUGUAACGAACCCUACCCACGUUUGGCUAGAAUCGUGGGGCAAACCUAGAUCGAUGAACACACAAACAAAUAACAGAGGAUGGUGCUAAAUCUGUGAGCAAGGAACAGUAACCGGAUAGAGAAAAAAAAACAAAGAAAAGAAGGGCAACUCACUCCAAUGGCGUCUCUCUCCCAUCUCGCUCGCCAAAAAUCACCGCCGCCUGGAGGAGCUCCUGUUGAGGAGGAUUUGUUUUUUGAGGGUCCUGUUGAGGAGGAAUUGGGAACAUGAGAAAUUAGUGCGAUGGGAAACAAGGAUGGUCGCCCCCUAUGGACUUCGAUGUGAGAUAGUUAUUUCACAUCUAGAUGUGAAAAAUAGCAAAUCUGUAGAAAAUUAUCUUCACGUCUGUACUAAGGCAUGCAUAGUCUGCUAUGAGAAAAAGUACAAUUGAAAUUCUAUCUCAACUCUUCAGUUUUAAUGCAGCACAUGAUUCAAUCAAAAAAAUGCAUACAUAUAUGUACAUAGCAUCAACUCCAACAUUCAAAAAUACAAAAACCAGGGGUAGGUCAUAUCUCUCUUCCUCAAAAACAUGACAAGUAGAAAAUUGUUUGCUCGGGAAACCAUUCAGUGACUAACACACUAAUUUAAUACCACGGGUGCACACUACUUUAACCUAUACACAUAAAAUAAACAGAGAUGGCAUUUUGCUAAAUCUGAAGUGGGAAGAAAAGAAAAAACACAUAAAUCAUGGAAAAACGCCACAUACUUGGCUGCUCCUCUCCUCCCCCUCCCCUUCUCGCUCCCAAACAAUCGCCGCCACCUGACAUAAAAAAAAAACAGAUGUCACAAAAACAAAUGACUGAUAUAAAUCGAAACUAGCUCUGUCAAAACAUACAUACUAAAACUAAGACAUAUAUCAACUACAUACUGCUAAAACAUAAAAACAAAUGUACAAAUCUGCCACUGAGUCUAGCAAAAAAACACUAAUCCAAAAAAAUCAACCUGAACGAAAAACACAUGGUCUCCGCUGAUUCAUCUCUGAGUUGCUUCUCUAUUUAUAUUCAGUUGUUUGCAUAUAAAAAAAGUUGAUUCACAAACUCUUAAAAAAGUUGAGUUCAGACGGCAACAAGUAGACCACAUGCUCACAAAAAAAGUCAAACACAAAAAAUGUAGCAGAUCAUAUAAAAUCUGAAUCACAACACUGAAUCUUUCUGAAUCUGUAUCUACUGUGAAUUUAGCAGAGCAUAUAAAAUCUGAAUCACAACACUGAAUCUUUCUGAACAUUUAUCUUUCCGAAUCUGUAUCUACUGGGAAUUUAGCAGAGUAUGUAAAAUCGGCCCCAUUAAACAAACUACACACCACAUGGCACUGAAAAAAUCUUUCUGAAUCAUCUGUGAAUCUAUCAGAGAGAUUGAACAAAAAUCUGCUCCAUCCAUCAAAGCCUAACACUGAACAAAACAUCCCCACCUACCAAAAAAGAGGCUAUAAUCUAUACAAAAAUGAGCAGUGACACACUCAAUUCUUUAUCAAUCCUUAUCUACACCCGAAAUCCUCACCUCACCNNNNNNNNNNNNNNNNNNNNNNNNNNNNNNNNNNNNNNNNNNNNNNNNNNNNNNNNNNNNNNNNNNNNNNNNNNNNNNNNNNNNNNNNNNNNNNNNNNNNNNNNNNNNNNNNNNNNNNNNNNNNNNNNNNNNNNNNNNNNNNNNNNNNNNNNNNNNNNNNNNNNNNNNNNNNNNNNNNNNNNNNNNNNNNNNNNNNNNNNNNNNNNNNNNNNNNNNNNNNNNNNNNNNNNNNNNNNNNNNNNNNNNNNNNNNNNNNNNNNNNNNNNNNNNNNNNNNNNNNNNNNNNNNNNNNNNNNNNNNNNNNNNNNNNNNNNNNNNNNNNNNNNNNNNNNNNNNNNNNNNNNAUGGACACACAAACAAAAAGAAACAAACUCAUGGAGGCAUUGGAAGCAUGAACCCAAGAUCGAUUAACACACAAAAACAACCCAUAAACUAGAUAUUAGAUCUGUGAGCAAACCACAUACACGAAGAAAGAAGAGAAGAAAGGGGAGAACAACAGAUGCAACUCACUCCAAUGUCUCUCUCUCUUCUUGUAGCUCUCCAAAAGUCGCCGUCGCCUCCAAGAGCAACUGACCAAGAGGAGAAUGGGGAACGGGGCGAAAUGAAUGCCUCGGGAAGGAGAAGGAUGUGAAGAGGACAAACCUGAAUCACCGCCCUCUAAUUCACGAAACUACUCUCGCAGAGAAAAAAGACGGCCCGCCAGCCCAACAAACAACGGCCCGCUACGCAAAAUCCACUGGAAAGAACGGGCUGUGAGACAGGCAACGAGAGCUCCUAUAUGAGGCUAAUUGAACUGGGACUCGAACCAGCGACCUUCAGGUCAAGCGCGUGCUAUGCUAGCCACUGCAACCAACAAGCUCUAGUGAUGAAUUAGCAGGAGAACAAUAAAAGAAACAACAACGACAUCGAUAAAACUCAAUGUUUGCUAAAAAUCCAAAAAAUUCAAACAAGAACAUUUUUCAAAAUUACAAACAAAUUUGUAAAAAAAAUUCGAAAAACGAGAACAGAAAAUUGAAAUUCUGAACAAAUUUCGAAAAAAUAAUGAAAUCUGAACCUCCAAACUUUCUGAAAAAACGAACAGAUUUAUAAAUUCAGAACAUUUUUUAGAAAAAUGAACAGCAUCUAAAAUAGUAAACUUUUUUCAGAACACAAACAAAAUUCAAAAGUGAGAACAUUUUUUGCAAAUGCGAACAAAAUUUUGAAACUCUAAGCAUAUUCUGCAUGAUUUUCUUUGGAAGUUGUGAACAUUUUUUAACAAUGCGAACAAUUUUAGAAAAUGUGAACAAAAUUCUGAAUUUCGAACAUUUUUCAGAACAUGAACAAAACUCCAAAACAUUUUUUGAAGCGAUGAACAAAUUUCGAAAUUACAAAUAUCUUUAUUAUUUGAGAACAAUUUUUUUGAAAAUGUGAACAAAAGUUGGAAUUUUUUGAACAUCUUUUUGAAUUGGAAUCGAAAACAUGAAAACAGGAACAUUUUUUCAAAUUGUGAUUUUUUUGGCAAUGUGAACAUUAUUUCAAAAUAUGAACAAAUUUUGAAAACAAGAUUUUUUUGAAAAUUAUGAACAAUAUUUUAACUUAAAAUAAAAUAAAAAAUAAAGAAAAAUGAAAGAAAAGAAAAGACAGUGAAGAAAACCCGAAAAAAACAGUAGAAGGAACAAAAGUUUUUUGGAAAUUCUGUGUACUGGUUUUAAGUUCUGGCGCUGCUGUGUGUUUCUCUUAAUUUCACGUUGUUGUUUGUUAACGUGAACGAGCCAGUCGGGGUGGCUAGCGCGGCUUGUACAUCUACAGGAGGUGCUGGGUUUGAUCCCUGGCGAAAACUCAUUUUGCUGUUUUUAAUCUCGCGAGAAGGGAAACGACCGUAAAUGGGCCGGCCCAGGGUGAGCUGUGCCCUGUGCGAAGGCGCGACAAUUUGCCGCAAUAAGCGGCGAAUAGGAAAUUCCACAGGCAACAGCACCAGCGACACGAGCGCGCACGAAGCGGGACGAAAAAAGUUGUACGCGCGAAUUUCAAAGACAGGACAAAAUCCAAUGGCUAUGCAUUUAGAUGUGAGAUAGCUACAUGUGAAAUAGCUAACCUGAAAAAUAAAUCGACAUGUGACGAACCACACAGAUCCAUUUAGCAACAGAAAAUUAAGAUCCAAGAUAAAGUGGGAGUUGAGGAACACAUGCAUCCACGCACAAGCACAUUGAAAGAGCACUUGACAGAAAGCGGUUCGCCAGCAAAACAAACCUGUUUGCAUUAAACAAUAGCACAGUACAUAGGGCCCAUCCAACCAAACUCUACGUAUCCCAUGACCACGCAGGGGAGGGACAUGCACGAACCCACGCGUCAUCUACAUAGAGCAACCACAGAGAUGAGGAAAAGAAUCCACCACUUCACUGAGUUUCCAUGCAUCUCUGAGCAUAGCCUACUUAGCUAGACUGCUCACGUCUUACGACCAAGUUGUAAUAAGUAAUACAAUACACACAUAGCAUCGCGGAAGCAACAAUCCCCUGAAUGGAAGCCAUGGCCAGCAGAGUCUGUGCUAUCUUGCCGCCUGCGUCUUUCUCAUCUCCGCCGUCUACACUAGCUUUCCUGUGUCCAUGAACCAAUGCAACUCCUCUCUAGCGAGAGCGCUCCUGGGCGUCUCCGCCGUACAUCCCUACAUCUUCUCUUGCGCAGACGACGUCCUUACCGCCGCCCAACAUGCACCUACCUACAGCCGCGCCAGCCUGAAUAUUGGCGGGCCUCUGGUGACCAGCCAAUCCACGUGCCGCAAGCCAAAGCUUCCGCCGCAUGCGCUCCCGCCCUUUUUCUGCUGCCCUCCCACGUCCGCGGCCGAGCCCAUCAACUUCACCCUCCCAGACCCGGCCGAGCCGCUCAGGGUCAGGCGGCCGGUGCACCUCAUGGGGGCGGCCAAGGACGAGCGCGCCAUAGCACUCAUGAAGGCGCUGCCUCACACCGACCCACGCAGCUUCUACCAAAUGGCCAACAUCCACUGCGCGUAUUGCACCGGCUCCUACCGCCAAAUGGGAAACCCGGAGCUUAACAUGCAGAUCCAUUUCUCGUGGCUCUUCUUCCCGUUCCAUUGCGCUUACCUCUACUUCUUUUUUUUUCUUUUUUUUUUUGCGAGGCGCGCUUACCUCUACUUCUUUGAGCGCAUCACCGCCAGGCUGCUUGUGGAGCCCGACUUUGCCCUGCCCUUCUGGAGCUGGGACGUGCCAGACGGGGAUGCGGAUGCCGCCUGAGUUUGCCAACUCGUCGUUGCCGUUGUACGAUCCGGUGCGGAACCCGAGGCACGCGUCGCCCAAAGCUCGUGGACCUCGNNNNNNNNNNNNNNNNNNNNNNNNNNNNNNNNNNNNNNNNNNNNNNNNNNNNNNNNNNNNNNNNNNNNNNNNNNNNNNNNNNNNNNNNNNNNNNNNNNNNNNNNNNNNNNNNNNNNNNNNNNNNNNNNNNNNNNNNNNNNNNNNNNNNNNNNNNNNNNNNNNNNNNNNNNNNNNNNNNNNNNNNNNNNNNNNNNNNNNNNNNNNNNNNNNNNNNNNNNNNNNNNNNNNNNNNNNNNNNNNNNNNNNNNNNNNNNNNNNNNNNGCCAACAUCCACUGCGCGUAUUGCACCGGCUCCUACCGCCAAAUGGGAAACCCGGAGCUUAACAUGCAGAUCCAUUUCUCGUGGCUCUUCUUCCCGUUCCAUUGCGCUUACCUCUACUUCUUUUUUUUUCUUUUUUUUUUUGCGAGGAGCGCUUACCUCUACUUCUUUGAGCGCAUCACCGCCAGGCUGCUUGUGGAGCCCGACUUUGCCCUGCCCUUCUGGAGCUGGGACGUGCCAGACGGGGAUGCGGAUGCCGCCUGAGUUUGCCAACUCGUCGUUGCCGUUGUACGAUCCGGUGCGGAACCCGAGGCACGCGUCGCCCAAAGCUCGUGGACCUCGACUUCACGUACGCCGACAACAACUUCACCAACGAGCGGUAGAUCCAGCACAACCCUAGGAUCAUGUACAAACAGGUGCCUUACCUACGUCUAUGUCUGUUUGUACCUUCUAAACUACUUAUGGUACGUGUAUUAUAUAUGCACUAGAGAAAAAAAGAUUUGUUCCAUCGUGUUUCACCCCCGCUAUACCCACACAAGAAAACAUAUCAGAAUUUUGAAAAAAAAUCUGAAACUUUAUAAAAAUGAUUAUGAACAAAAGUUAUAGGUACUUACAAAGUUUGGUGGUCAAAUGUUAUUCGAGGAGCUCUGUAAAAAACAAUUACUCAAAAUGUAUGCGCACUGUUUGAGCAGAAUUUGUAAUUUUAUUUUUUGUACAGAGUUCCUAGGAUGUCAUCUGAUGACCAAACUUUGCAAAUAUCAAUAACAUUUGUUCAUAAUCAUUCCUAUAAAGUUUCAGAUAUUUUAAAAAUGUUUUGUUAUGUUUUCUUGCGUGGGUGUAGUAUGGGUGCACCGAGUUAGAGUUCGGCCACUACUUUCCCUUCCGAAUAAGUAGAGUAUAAUCUAUUGGGCGAUCGAUCGGCUUCCGGCAGUGUAAGCCGGGCACAUACACAAAAACAGCAUAGCAAAGGAAGGGCCCUCGGCUUACGGCGUUGUACGCCCACAAGAGCCCGAAAUACACCCUGCUUAUAUGACGCUCUCGGCAUAUCUAUUUAUAUAUAAAAAAUAUUUGACGGAUUAAUCAGAAAGAAGAGAAUUAUGCUAGAAAAUUCCACAUUAAUCAGAAAACAGUGACCCUCGAUGGGAUAGAUCAUGUAUUAAUUUCAAUCUCUAACCGUUUGAUAUGCAUAACAUAAUACGGUGGGUCCAAACCAAGUUCACAUGUAUACACGUCAAGUAACAUUUUUUUUCUAGACAUCAAGUAACAUAUACGUUGAUACCCAUGAUUUAGAUCUGUCACAUGCGUCCACGUUAAAGAAAGAAAUCUCACCUAAAAAAGGAACCAACUUGGUCACGUUUACUCAUGCAUGCACCAGAAAAAUACACUAACCUAAAAUACCGUGACCAACUUGGCCAGGUUAGUCUAAAAAAAAUAGGGCCAGGUUACCUCAUGCAUGCACGUCAUCCCACAAAAAAAAAACUCAUGCAUGCACGUCAAAAAAAAAAGGAUAUGUCACCUAAAAAAAGUAUAGCCAACUUGCACGCUCCCCUUCCAUAUAUUAUUUUGCAUGCAUGCAGAUUUUUUUGACACAUGCAUGCACGCCAAAGAAAAUAUAUAUCUCACCUUAAAAAUAGAAAUAGGCUAGAAAAUCCCAUAAAAAUUAGAGACAUCCGACCAUUUAAUUUGUAGACUAAAAUACGAGAGCCGCUAUAUUAGUUUUAAGAGGAAAAAUUACCCACCAAUGCCACUAUAAAAAAAGAAAAUGUUUCAUUCACCUUGACUAUGAUAAAGAGAACUAGCGUGGGGCUGUUCUCUGAAAAAUAAUUAGCGCGGACCUUUGACUAUACGAUAGAAAUAUAGUAGCCGGGAAAAAAACAUCGAACUUUUCUUAUAUGAUAGGAAAAAAGAAAUGUGGGACUCUCCCUAGAAACAGCUAGCAUGGACUCUUUCCUUGAAAGAAAAAGCUAGCAUGUAAGAUAUUUUUGCGACAAUAAGCUCGCAUGGAACUACAUGCAAAAAUAAAACAUUGUGGCACUAAGAUGUGCUGGUAAAAAAACUAGCGUACUAGGCAGGCAGAUGCCUCAAUAUAUAUGCAUUCAUGCAUCUCUACUCCUAAUGUCUCAGUUGGUAGGUCGCGUUCCGGGUUUAUUUUCGUCCCACAAUUUUCGUCCGGUUUUUUUCGCCGGUUUUUUUGUCCCCUCCCCCCACCCCACCCCACGCACGAACCGCUCCUCUCCCUCUCCUCGCGUGAGCGGAUCCUCUCUUGGUACACUCGCACGCGCUAGGGUUCCUGCGCCGCCGCGAGCUCGUCGACCAGCCCAACUUCCUGCUGCUCCGCGCCUCGCUUCCCUCGUCGCUCGCCUUCGGACUCCUCGCUAGCCUCAGGCGAUCCAUUGCUUGUCUGCAAGCCAAGCCGCCGCCUCUCCGCCGAGAAAGAGGGCUCCCGAUCUCCGCCGUGGUCGACCAACAGCCCAUCGCGCCUGCUCCGUCACCUCGUCACGCGUGCUGUCUGCUCCGCCGCCUCGCCGCCUGCUCCGUCGCCUUGCCACGCGUCGGCCGCCUUCUCCCCCUCAUCUCGCCGCUUCUCUCCGUCCGCACUAGGAGAUCAAGAGGGAAGGGAUCCCCUUUUCUGCAAAGCCCGUGCCUUGCCGGCUUCGGCGGCGGCGCUCGAUGACCCGCUCCUCGUCCUCGAGCACCUCCUCCAGACCUCGAGCUCCGGCAGCGGCGGCGUGGGAAAGACGACCAGGGCAUGGGGAAGACGAAGACUUGCUCCACACACAUGCCACUGCCCCGUGCUUGUCUUGCUCCUUGAGUUGGCGGGCUGAUGAUGGAGGAUCUGCACUCUUCGCUCCACUGGCGCCGUCGCUGCCGCUUUUGCUUCUGCUCCCCGCUCGCCCACGGCGCAGGUCUGUCUUCUGAAUUUACAGGUGAUGUCUGUCUGUUGAAGCACGCAGGUGAGCUGAUUUUGUACAGCGAUUGGAGGAGGAAUGGAGUAUUGCAUAGGAUUGGAUACUCUUCCGUUGGUGCAGGUGAACAUACAGUAUAAACUCAGUUAGACUUGCACUUUUUAUGCUUUCAGUAUUGGUGAACAUACAGUAUAGAUUCAGUUAGCCUUGCAAUCUGUAUGCUUUCAGUAUUGGUGAACAUACAGUAGAUAAACAUACAAUAUAAAUUCAGUAUGAACAGUACUGGUGAUAAUUGAAUUCAGAUGGGAACAUCCUCAGGCCCCUGAUCUUAUUCUUAUUCUGAAAAUUUAUUCUUUACACUUUAUUCUUUGGUUACUUCAAGUGAGUAACUACAAUAACUUCAAGUGGGUAACUCCAUUUUCUGAUUUUUUUUACACAUUAACCAUGAUAUUUGUUCCUCUGUUCUGGUCAUAAUGAUAAUCUGAUUGCCGAACCCUUAAUCAUUCUCAUAAUAUGAAUGCAACAAGAGCAUCCAAAAUCUGGAGCAAACAAUGUUUGAAAUUUUCCAAACUUCUGUUGAAAAGUUAACUGAAUUUUUUUGUAUCAACAUUGCAACAUUUCAGCAUGACAACUCAACUCAACUCAAUUCAGUAAAUUAAAUGGCAUAUUGCAAUAUUUACAAAGAUUCAGUUAACUUCUAUUAACAUUCAGUUAACUGAAGAACAUGUUUAUCCAGAUCAGGAACAUUCAGUUAACUUCUUUGACAUUGGAGGUGAACCCAUUCAACUAACUUUUUUGCAACAUUUAUGCAAAAUACAUGAUCAAUUGCGUUUGAAAUUAAUGAACAAGCGCAAUUUGCAGAAAUUGGAGCCCGGGUUCUUCCUCUCACCAGCAGCAGCACCAGCAGGGGAUUAGUGUUUGAAAUUAGGGUCUUCUGAAUGUUGUUUCCUUGUUGCUGAAGAUAGGUGACUCUGAGGAAUGUAGGUAGGCUGGCUAUGUCGCCGAGGUUGAGAGGGAGAGCCCACCACCUUUUCUGAUUAAUGUUGUUUAGGUUUAGAGAUGGUCCUAACACUAAUCCCCUUACACCCAAAACAAAAAAAAUCCUAAUCUAAUGUUACUCACCUAAAAGAAAAGCAUCCUAAUCUAAUGUUAUCUCUGAUUUCUUUUGCAAAUGUUACUGUUCAUAAUUCCCGAGCUUGUGUAACGUCUUUGUUUUAUUGCUGUCCAUUGGGAGUAUUCUUAUGCAUGAUUGCUUCUUCAGACUGCAAAUGUAGCUGGUGCACUCCGGGAGGCGAAGAAUAAACUUCAAAAGAAGUUGGAUGAUCUUACUUUGUAAGACUUACUCUCGAAAGGAGAAUGUGGGUAUAUUUUUCUCUGUCUUCAGUGCUUUUAUGUUUAUUGUGGUCCCCUUAUUUUCGGUGUGCUAUCCUGCAUGUCGUAGUUUGAGACAGUUCUGCUUGUUCCUGCCAGUAUAAGGACAAAUACAAUUUCGCCUACGAAACUUCCAUUCUUUCCGUGUUCUGUUUGUGUAGAUUUUCUUCUUAUAUAAGAUACACAUAAUUUUUUUUGUUACAAGCAAAUUAGAUUGGUCUUCUGUAUGUUCAAAUGUAUCCAUAAUUUUUUCUGUUUUAUAUGCACGUCCCAAUCUUGGUCUUCUGUAUGCAGGGUACACUCCUGAUGGCUGAUGAUGUUUCACAACCUCUUCUGCAGAUUUUCAGAAUACCGACGGAAAUAUUGCGUUGGAACGAUCCCGGGUCGGCGGGGGCGGCCAGACCAGGUGGCAAAUGCGGUGCACAAGUUGAGGAGCGAAGGCAAAGAGGAAAGGCCAGAACAACCCGAGCAGCGGCAAGGGGAUGGAGCAGCGGCUGCGCAGCUGCGUCGACCCGAGCAGUUGCGAGAGCGAAUGAAGCUGCGGUUGCACAGACAAGCUUGUGGAGGUGUCAGUAUGCACGCAUGCGUCCCUGAUUUGGAGCAUGCCUCUGGCCUGGUAGGAUUCUCGCUCUGCCCCGACCUCAAGGGCGUUCGUCUAUCUGUGUCGUGCUCGGGACGAUGCACUAAUGCAGGUGUGGUUCUUCAGCUUUUCUUUGUCUUUUUGUUGGUAUGUAUAUCUCUGAAUCUUGUGAGCCGUGAUUUUCAUGCUGCCAUGUAUGCCAUUGUGUCCUGUAUAAUGAUUCUUCUUAUUAUUUUUGAAUGGCAUAAUUAUUCUUAUUGAGGCACUGCCGCUGCCUAUUUUGCUUAUAGUAACAUACUAAUUAAUACAGGGAGAGAGUACGAUUUUUUAACACAAUCUGCAGUACCCGUGAGCCUGCCCAUAGGUAGAUAUGGAUACAUUUUGUAGCUUCCAUUCUUGUUUUCUUUCAUUGAAAUUAUGGAUUUGGAAACUAAUAAUGGUGUGUCUAGAUUGCCUGCUAUAUUACCAAGUGGGCUGAAGGAAAAGCUGCUGCCACUGUUGAUGACCACUCUAGGUGAUAUAAUUCAUGUUUGCUUUGUUGUUUCAGUAACUUCCUGUAGCAUAUUGGUUCCAUCUUUUUUUUGCAUCAUGGUACAUUAUUCUCAUCUUGAUAUAUAUCAUUUGGUCAACUGAAGAUUUGAGUGCAGGGUAGAAUUCUUGGUUGAUUUUAGAAUUUCGUUGUUGAUUACUUGGCCAACAGACUUUUAUGAAAUUCAAGGCGUCAUUUAGUGUACUAUAUGUCAUAUUUGUCUUAUUUCUAUACUCACAAUAUUUCCGCAUCGUCUCAACAAAUGAUGCUAAAUUGAUAUAAUCAUUUUGGAUCAGUGUCAUCUUCUCAAUGCUGAACAGCCAAAAUAUAUACAUAGUGAGCAGUUCGCCGCACAUGCUCAUACGUCAUAUUUAUGUACUGUUUAACACGGCAAAAAUUGGUGAAACAUUUAAAUAUUUCUACUGUUUAACACAGCCAAAGUAUAUACAUAAUGAUCAGCCUUCUGCUGCACAUUAGAUUCAGCCUCCCUCCCUUGACACCAUUCUUCUUACUUAUUAUUAUUUCUUUUAAAAAUAUCUUUGGUUUUAUUUAAGGAUCCUCAUGUUUUCUUACUUUUCAACACUUAUUUGUGAUUUUGUUCACAAGUUUUCAAUUUCAUUAUGUAGAAUGAAGAUAAUAAUUUUGUUGUAUUUUUUGUCCAUGUAGAGGAUACAAGACAUCAUAUUAAGUAAUUAAUUAAUGAAAUAAUGAAUUAACUUACGUAUGUGUAUGUUUAUGCCUCGCUCUUUGUCCCUCCCAGCGAGAGGGCGACGAUAAGGACGGUUGUCUUCGGGUGUCCCCCAACGUGGUUGACGGGUUGGCGGUGUGAGGAAAUGUGUGACUAUUGAGGGAGCUCAACAAUUGGGCUACAAUGACAGGAAGAAAAGAUGUUAUGGGAAGAGAGUGGUUGAUUACAAAUCAAGUGUUAGCUAUGUUGCAGCGACUGUCCACACAGCUGAAUUUUGGAGAGCCUACCGGCCGUCCGUUUGAUGUUCAAACAUGCCCAAAUAUACAAGGGAGAAAUGUCCAAACAUGCCCAAAUAUACAAGGGAGAAAUAAGCUUCGACCUUGAAGAAAACUUUAGUCAUUUGUUUAAUUUAUUUAUAUGCACUGUAUUGUUGGGCCCUUGUCCCUUGCUGCUGGGUUAGUCUUAUGAUAGAAAUUGAAACGCCUAUCAGCUUCAUAGAAGAAAGUUAGUCUUAUGAUAGAAGAAAGGCCCAUCAGCCCUUACAGUGCCUGAUUGGUUAGCGACUGCUUUUCAGGCUCAACUGAUUACUGACUACGUCCAACAACAUAUGACUGACAUGACCAAGUAGAAGUAAAUUUCGUUGUGAUCAAGAUGGUGCCUUUAUUUUGGAAAACACGAUUGAGAUGGGUAGGCGCAUGGGCAUCUCACCGGAACAAAUAGACAGACUGAUUUCACUCAUACACAGGUUGAUUAUAUUAUAUGGUCAACUCACGAAGUAGCCGGAUACCUUCUGCUUGAAGUUUGAAAGCCAUUAGCAUGCUAAAUUAUAUGGAUGUGCUGGUCUUGACGUGUGUGCACGUACAUUGUAAAAUAAACUUGAGUAAUGAUUAAUACCUUGUUUACUCUUGUUUUGCUUUACAGGUAUUUGGAGUAUCUAUUAUCAUUCAAGAUAUCUUAAGGAGAAAUUUGGUUUUUGGUGAACUGAAACAAUAUACCAAUAAAAAUUUAGCACUUGGCUAUACAUAUGAAUGUUAACUUUGUUAAAAUAAUUUUCCCUUUAUAAGAGAAGAUUUCUUAGUUCAAAUAUAUUUUUUGAAAAAAAUAUAGUAUUUUCCUGACAAUCCUUUUGAUUCUAAAACAUCCAUAUCUCAGAAGGAUAAUAGUGGUGUGGUUAUGUUGCUUUGGGUCUCUUAUCACUCGGAUCAUUCAUCAGAAAAAUAUUUAAAAAAUAAUUCUAUUUUGAUGUUUCCUUUGUGUUCAUUGUUCCGUCAUAGUAGUUUAGGUUCACAUCAAGCCAGACCAUAUGUUUCAGUUUCACUCUUUGGACCAUGAUGGUGGUGUGCAAGGUGGGCUAGAUCGUAAUGCUAAAAGAAUCAAUGGAGGUUAUUGGAUAUCUUUUAGAUUCUCCAAAAAAUAAUCUAGCAGAUGGAUGAUCCUAUUAUCACGUAUGGUGGUGGUGUGCAAGGAAAUGGAGCAGCAUGAUGGUAGCUAAUGCUGUUAUUUUCACAUGUAAGAUGUAUGAGCUUCAGUUUGUCAUGCUAUUAUCAUGUAUAGUCAAAAAUGAUUAGUUUAAUCGGAAUUUUAGAGUUUCAUUCUUAGUUCUCUGAAAUAUUGUUUUUAUAGGUAAUUCAUGCGGAGUGUAGUAUAUAGGGAGCAAGGCCGAGUAGCAAGCCAUGUCACAGGUUUUAUCACUUACAUUUCCUUCUAUGGUGGUCUGAUCAUUGUACUUUGGGACAUUGUACUUUUAGGACGUAAUGUGCACUUCUGGUUGUUAUUUUAAAUUGCUCAUGUCUUGAUAUGUCUCUCAAAUUCUUGACAUCUGCGCCAGUAGCCUAAACCUCCAUGGCAUGCUCCAUCGGAGUAUUUUGUUUGUUGUACAAUUUUCAAUUGCGACCUUCCAAUUUAUUUUGUUGUAACUAUAAGGUUUGGCACCUCAGAUAAGUUCUCGAAAUACCAAUGUCAUAUUUCAAUUAGAAAAUAAGAUUUAGUUUGAUCAUGCAUGCAAUUGUAAUAACCCUACUUUGAGCUUUUAUGUACUGGUUUAAAUAGUUAAAUCUUCUAGAUUCUUUUGCAUAUUUUCUUGGAAUUAUACUGUGAGAGCAUCUUAGUUUUCACUAAGCGAUAAAAUACAUUUUCUAUUUCCGUAAUACAGGUCAUUAGUGGUCACUUGGGAUGAGUGCGAUCUGUAGCAUUUGAUCCAGGGAACAAAUGGUUUUGUCCUGGUUUUGCUGAUAGGACAAUAACGGUAAGCCCCACAACCUGCAUUCCUUUCGUAGAAAUUUAAGAUGAAUUCAUGUAUACAUGCAAGUAGUUGAUACAACAACCUAUUAGUUAAUCGGAUGCUUGCUCUAUUGGUGUCUGCAUUUUUUAAUGUUACAUGCAUCUAUUUUUAUUACAUAAUGUUUUUCAGCUUUGGGACUCCAUGUUGAUGUGUUUUUUACCUUAACAUUUUAUUAUCUGUUUUUGUUUAGGCAAGGAAGAAGGUUGCAGAGCACGGAUGGAUGUGAAAAGGAAGAGGAUGGAUGAGAGAGGAGAGAAGAGGGGUGAAAGAGGAUACAGAUGGAAAGAAGGAGAAGGACAGGGUGGAGGCGCUUCUUGAGGAUUAUUGUCGACUGAUUUCAUACUCUCUUAUAAAUUCAUGGUUAGCUAGGUAAACCUUUUGUACAACAACUCUUGUUCAAAAGGAAGUUUGAUUUUUCGGCUUCUUAUUUUAGGUCAAUAUCAAGAACAUUUUAGUUAAUUUAGUUUAAUGUUUAUGUUUGAAAUUGACUUUUACCAUACUGGUUGAAUGGGGGUGUGGAUAGAAGAGAUUGCGAGUCGGGUUCGGUGAUGCCAACAUUGUAUUAGGGGCAGAUAGAUUUAAGUUCCGUCUUAUGUGCAUGAGGAUAUGAUCACUAUUAAAUCAUCAGAAUAAGUCUGCUCCUGUUGCAACGCACGGAGAAUGGGAGAAAUGUGAUGUCCAUGUGAGUAUCUAAAGGUAACAAGUUAGACAUGAUUAGUAUUGUGCACGAGCUACUCGUGAGUCAAUUGAGUUUUGAAUCUUUGCAAGUUGAUUUUUGGGAGAACACAAGUGCAACCUGAGGCCGAAGUCGUUCAUGGCACUACGAGAUGCAAUGGCGAUGCCGAAGGCGUCGAUGGCACUGCGAGGCUGAGCCCUCGUAGGAGACAAGGACGACACUUCGAGCGGUAGUGAGGAGUGGCGUCAUAGUCGGAGGCGAGGAAGAAGGUUUGUAGGGGUGCGGUGGUUCACCGGAAAAAUCUGGUCGCUAGGCGGUAGUGAGGAGUGGCAUCAUAGUCGGAGGCGAGGAAGAAGGUUCAUAGGGGUGCGGUGGUUCACCGGAAAAAUCUGGCCGCUAGGCUGGUUCAGAGGGUUGGUCGGGGGUGGCGGUCGCGGCUAGCGGAUCGGUGGGCGGUGGCUGGCUGGUAAGGAGGAAGAAGCCCAAGGUAGAAGACAAACAACAACCAUUCGAUGAAGAUCCAACGUUGCUCGAGCAGUGGAGUCAUAGUCGAAGGCGGGAAGAGGGUUGACAGGUGUGGGUGCGGGUGCGAUGGCUCGCCGAAAAAAUCUGGUUACCGGGGUGGUCCAGAGGGAUAGUCGAGGGUGGCGACAGGGGAGGGCAGGGAAGCAACGCGGUCGGGGGUGGUGGCGAUAGGUGGAUCGGCCGGUGGUAGUUGGCGGUUCAGUAGGAGGAAGAGGUCAGGGGUAGAGGAUAAACAACAACCAUCCGACUAAAGACCCAACAACCCUCAUAAAUCAACUUUGCAUCAAAUUUUCAUAGUCUGACAUAUAGCUGACACCCUUAAUACCGAGAUAUUUAGAAUAUUUUUGACCAUAUUUAUAUGAAAAAAUACCAUCUUAUGCAAUACUAAAGUUAUACAUUAUAAAAAUUGAACUCGUGAUGUGCAUCUAAUGAUAUUGAUUCUGUAUUGUGACUUUUUUUGUAUUUUCUAUAAAGUUGGUAAACUUUACAAAGUUUGACUUUAGACAAAUCUUAUGUGCGAGUAAAAGGACCGGAGGGAGUACUAUGUUGCUUUCUACAUGUCUUCUUAUGGCCUUAUUAAAUAUCUUCAUUUCUAUGGGUUUAAACACAAGAUGUUGUUUUUGUAGCACAUUUCUGAUAAGUUUUUCUUCUAUAAAGCUAUAAUUUCAACCACAUUCUAAAAUAUAAAUGGGAUUUGGUGAUAAGUAAUCAUUGUGUUUGUUCAUAAUCUAUCAGACACGACAACGUUCAUGUCGAAUGUGUUCUAGAAAUGUUCUUUGAUAAAUAUGUUUUUAGCUAUUAAUAUUUUAGUAUGGUCGUAAAUUUAUCAAUUCACAUAUCACUUCGAUAAACAAUUUUUAGUUGGGAGAAUCAAGAAAGAAAGAAAAGAAGAGCGCUUCAAGGGUAAAAAAGGUAGUUGCCGAUGCAGCCCGUUGCAACGCACGUGCAUCCCAUCGUGCAACAUGGUAAGUAAAGUAUUUUGUCUAUUGUUAUCAUGGUUUAUUGUUGUUUCUAAUAGCUCCACUUGUAGAUUUAUCUUCCCUAUGCAUUCAUCGGCCAAUACAUCUUGUACGUCAUCGACAAAGAGGCACGUCGUCUAUAUAUUAUGGACCCUAUUCAAACAUCACAAUCGUCAGAGGAAUAAAAAUUUGAGGCAUGCACUGAAAUUAAAAAGUUUUGCAAGGGAUUUCAAAGAAGCACUCAAAAUAAAGCUGUCUGGUUGGAAUUCCGAUAUAUCUAAAUAGCAACGUUUAUUUCCGAUUAGUAUUCCAACGAGUAUAGAUGGUAAUGAAUUCAUAAGAAAAACUUUUAUUUUUGUUAUCACUAUAUUUUUUAUUUAUUAAUUUAAAAAAUUGCAGGAAUGUGUCUGCCUAUUUUGUUUUUCAUUUUAUGCUCUGGUGGAACGGUAAAGAAUUGGUCAAGCCGGUUUGCACGGUGAGUAUUGUCCGUUACAUGUUUUAAGACCUUUGGCGUGAACUUCUCAUACUAACUAUAUAUAUUUGUUUGUGCAGAAUGGGUAUGAGUUGAGGAAGCAGUUUUUACUAUACUUGCUAAAACGUCGUGGGAAUGAAGCUAAAGAAAACUUUCCAGAUAUUGUGAAAGAAUUUUUUAAGCGCAUCAUCUAGAUAUUGAUAGUUUUGAAAUAGAUGUUUAGUUCGAACAUCGCUCAGUUUGUUACAUGGACAUGUCGUUAAGCUUUAUUUUUGUUAUCAAUUUACAUUAUAAAAUUGGACUUCAAUUAUUCAAUAAUUGUGUUUGUGUUAUAUUGUUUGUACAUAUGAAAUUUAACAUGUAACUUUUGUAAACUAUUUCAAGAGCCCGUGGCAACGCACGGGCACUCUACUAGUACAACUAGCGUGGCACUCUUACCUAGAAAAUAAAUAGCCUGGGACUCCACGCAAAGAAAAAAUAGAGAGCAUGGGACUAGGACAUGAUGGUAAGAAAACUAGGUGCUACGUGGGCAGAUACCAUGAUGUAUAUGCAUGCAUGUAUUCUCCCAUGAAAUAUGGACGCAUGAAAAAGUAAGCAGACAUCCUCUUCCAUUAAGAGCUACAUCUUUCUUCCAUCGAGCGAAACGACCAAACAAAUAUUAUGGGCUCAAACUGGAGCCGACCGUGACAAGACCAAUACCUGUUAAGAGGACCUGACUAAUUAGCCCCUCAUCCUUUCUCCUUGUGACAUAUUCAAUGCAAAGGAAUGCGCUAAUGAAACAAUAAUGCAAUACACAGUUCAGCCCCAUGUGAGUUGAAAGGCAAACUAUAUAGUGUCAGCAACAACUACAAGACGAAGCAUCUGCUUGAUGUAUCCCGAUGUCAUGCAGGACUCACAUCAUUGUAUCUUCUCCUUGCAUGCACAUGCCUUCCUUUUAGUUUUUAGUCAACAGGACACAUGGGAAAAGGUUAAUAUGCAAUGCCUACUCUAAUCACAUGUUUACGCACCGACAUGAACUUCCUAUUCGUAGGGAAAACUAUUGUUUGCUACCACAUGGUACCUACAAAAUUGAUAUGAAAGGAGAAUGAGCAUCAACAAAAAAAUAUUGGUUCCUGCUUGGGUAAUGAUGGACUUACCAGCCCAUAAUUGAUUGGUUCCCCAAAUAUAUAUUAUGAUUAACCUCUUUGGCUUUUAUUCCAUUGCACAUGGCAGUAAAAUAUGGUGGUUCAUGCUAUGGAGCAGGAUCAAGAGACAAUGGAAGAUAAAGUGAAACAUGGAUGAAUCACGGAGCAAUCAUAGGAAGAUUAAGUUUCCCCAUUAUUGCUCCAUGUAUGUAUCAUGGUGUGAUGCAUCCAAUAAAUAAGUCGGCUUACGUAUGUGCCAUGGUGAGUUGAGGUGAUGAGUGCGGUUUCAAGAUCUGAUGGAACUGGAGCCGGAGAGUACAUUUGAGUUGAGGUCACGAGUGAGGUUUCAAGUAUGAGCACAUAUGUGUGUGUUUUGUUCUGGAUUGUACUCUAUGUGCCCUAUUAGUUGAUUUGGAGCACUCAAAUGAAUCAUGGUGAGCACUUGUAUAUAAAGCUUAAACAUGGGUUGUUUCCCCUUCGUAUUAUUUACAACUUCCAGCAGUUUUCCGUUUCCUAUAUUUGCUUAUCCAGAUUAUAUGUGUUUUGUAAGUGGGUUAUUCUUUUGCGGUAUCUUGAUUAUUUGCUUCUAGAACACUGGAUAAUGGACAUUUCAUUGUGAUUACACUCGUAAUAUUACUAAUGAUGUACAUUUAAACAAUCUACCAACAUGUACAUACCAACAUGCCAUUUGAACACCCUUACAUGAAACGCUUGGUAAGUGUUGAAUAUGGCUUUGUUGGCAUGGUCCAUACUGCAUACGCAUUGUUUUCGAUGAGCAGACAAUUAGAUUUAUUCGGCUAAGCUAAUAUUCCUUGUAUUUUUAUUCUAUUACUCAUGAAUAUAAAAUUCAAGCACUUAGGUAUUACAAUGUUUAGUUUUCAUUUAGGAAUGGUCUCUUCCUACGUUUACUAAUAUAUAUUAAUUGUUUGAAAAAUUAAGAUUUUCAUAUCUUCUUUUACUUAUGUUCUUACACUCUGUAUAAAUAGAUCCUCUUUGUUAUUUUGGCUUCUCAACUUGAUAGAACAGAGCCAACAUAAUUGGUGAAUAUUACAUGUACACGCAUUAACAACUAACAUAUUAAUAUGUAAAUCUUACACAACAUUAGCAAAUAUACAUAUCCCUAUCUUUGUUUAAAUAAAAAAACUUAGAACAACUAACAAGAUGAAAGGCUAGAGAAUGAUACAAAUAUAAAUUGCAUAGGAAAAAUUAUGAAAAGUUAGUAUAGCAUGCAUAACAAGCAAAUACAUACAUGCUUAAUUCAUAACAUACAUACUUAUUUAUCAAUCAGUCAAUACAAUCACAUUUGAUUCCAAUUUUUUCUUGAGAAAAAUGAAUGAAAAUGUUCUAAACUUUAUGAAAUUCUUGCCGGCGCAUCGAGCCGGCUACUCUGCUAGUUGCGUUAACAACACUCAGCUUUUACGAUAGAACACGGCAAACAACACUGCCAUGUGGCUGCGCUCGCCGCACGGUAUAAGCCGAGUGCCCUCUAACGGUGGCUCUGCUUACAUAUUGCAUUUACUUUUUUUAAAGUACAAAAAAAGUGGUGGCUUGGGUGGACGGCGGCGCCUGUGUCCGCGUCGCGCGGCGCGAGCUGCUUCAUGGCGGGCGCUGUCAGCGGAUCUGGAUCGCCCCGCGCGAGGUGACGGCGCCGUGCGCACGAUGCCGGCCUCCUGUGCUAUGGUGGUCCGCGCGGCGGCGUCCUUCCUGUGGCCCCGCCCCUGAUGGUUCUGGGCCAGGUGCUGCUCGUGUUGGGGUGGAUCUGGAGGCUUGUUGAUGGUGCGUUUCGCUUGAGUGGCUGAAUCCGGUUGGAUCAGCCCGUGGUCGUCCGGCUUGGGGCAAAGGAGGAUGGUGGUGAGUGGUGCUGGUCGAGGUGGAGGGGUGGUGGCGGUGCUGCUGCAGCCGAUGAUCUCACUGCUUUCUGUUGGCGGGGUGGGCUUGAUACGUCUCCAACAUAUCUACUUUUCCAAACACUUUUGCCCUUGUUUUAGACUCUAACUUGCAUGAUUUGAAUGAAAUUAACCCGGACUGACGCUGUUUUCAGCAGAACUGCCAUGGUGUUGUUUAUUGUGCAGAAAACAAAAGUUCUCGGAAUGACUUGAAAAUCCACGGAGAUAACUUUUGGAAAAUAUAAAAAAUACUGGCAAAAGAAUCAAGGCCAGGGGCCCCACACCCUGUCCACGAGGGUGGGGGGCGCGCCCUCCCCCUUGGGCGCGCCCCCCUCUCUCGUGGGCCCCCUGAUGCUCCACCGACCUCAACUCCAACUCCAUAUAUUCCGUUUCAUGGAGAAAAAAAAUCAGAGAUAAAGUUUCAUCGCGUUUUAUGAUACAGAGCCGCCGCCAAGCCCUAAUCAGUCCCGGGAGGGCUAAUCUGGAGUCCUUCGAGGCUUCAAAGAGGGGGAUUCGUCACCGUCGUCAUCAUCAACAUCCUCCAUCACCAAUUUCAUGAUGCUCACCGCCGUGCGUGAGUAAUUCCAUCGUAGGCUUGCUAGACGGUGAUGGGUUGGAUGAGGUUUACCAUGUAAUCAAGUUAGUUUUGUUAGAGUUUGAUCCCUAGUAUCCACUAUGUUCUUAGAUUGAUGUUGCUAUGACUUUGCUAUGCUUAAUGCUUGUCACUAGGGCCUGAGUGCCAUGAUUUCAGAUCUGAACUUAUUAUGUUUUCAUGAAUAUAUGUGUGUUCUUGAUCCUAUCUUGCAAGUCUAUAGUCACCUAUUAUGUGUUAUGAUCCGACAACCCCGAAGUGACAAUAGUCGGGAUACUUCUCGGUGAUGACCGUAGUUUGAGGAGUUCAUGUAUUCACUAUGUGUUAAUGCUUUGGUCCGGUACUCUAUUAAAAAGAGGCCUUAAUAUCCCUUAGUUUCCACUAGGACCCCGCCGCCACGGGAGGGUGGGACAAAAGGUGUCAUGCAAGUUCUUUUCCAUAAGCACGUAUGACUAUAUUCGGAAUACAUGCCUACAUUACAUUGAUGAACUGGAGCUAGUUCUGUGUCACCCUAUGUUAUAGCUAUUACAUGAGGAAUCACAUCCGACAUAAUCCAAUGCCUACGAGCUUUUCAUAUAUUGUGCUUCGCUUAUUUACUUUUCCGUUGCUACUGUUACAACUACUACAAAACUAUUAUCUUUACUUUUGCCACUAUUACCAUUACUAUCAUAUUACUUUGCUACUAAAUACUUUGCUGUAGAUACUAAGUUAUCCAGGUGUGGUUGAAUUGAAAACUCAACUGCUAAUACUUAAGAAUUUCUUUGGCUCCCCUUGUGUCGAAUCAAUAAAUUUGGGUUGAAUACUCUACCCUCGAAAGCUGUUGCAAUCCCCUACACUUGUGGGUUAUCAAGACUAAUUUCUGGCACUGUUGUAGGGGAGCAUAGCUCUAUUCUUUGAGUCACUUGGGAUUUAUAUCUGCUGAUCACUAUGAGGAACUUAAAAGACGAAAGAACUAAGAUUUUUUUCCUCAACUGCGAGGGGAGGUAAGGAACUGCCAUCUAGCUCUGCACUAGAUUCUCCUUCUGUUUUGAGUAAGCUUGCGACACCUAAACCUGCUACUGCUAUGAAUUCUGAUAUGUCGCAUGUUAUUGAUGAUGUCACUUCUCCUAUGCAUGAUACUUAUGAUGAAACUACUUCUGUGCGUGAUACUACUUUGCCAUUGGGUGAAUUUCUUGAUGAACAACUUGCUAGGGUUAGAGAGAAUGAAAUUAUUGAAGAUGCUAUUAUUGAUGAUAGUGAUGAUGAAAGUUCUCCCCCUGAUUAUGAAUUGCCUGUUGUUCCUGAGGGUUAUGUUAUGGAUGAGAAAGCUGCUAGAGCUAUUUUUGCUUGCAAAGAUAGAUAUGAUCUUAAGAAGUUAUUAGCCAAAUGGAAGCAGAAAUCUCUUAAUGCUAGAAUGAAACCUGACCCUGCUUUUGCUAUUUCACCUAUCUGUGUUACUGAUAAGGAUUAUGAAUUCUCUGUUGAUCCUGAGAUAAUUACUUUGGUAGAAUCUGAUCCUUUUUAUGGCUAUGAAUCUGAAACUGUUGUGGCACAUCUUACCAAGUUAAAUGAUAUAGCCACCCUGUUUACUAAUGAUGAGAAGUCUCGCUAUUAUUAUAUCCUUAAGAUAUUUCCAUUCUCAUUAAAGGGUGAUGCUAAAACUUGGUUUAAUUCUCUUGAUCCUGGUUGUGUGCGUAGUCCCCAGGAUAUAAUUUAUUACUUCUUUGCUAAAUAUUUCCCUGCUCACAAGAAACAAGCUGCAUUGCGGGAAAUAUAUAAUUUUGUGCAAAUCAAAGAAGAGAGUCUCCCACAAGCUUGGGGGAGGCUUCUCCGAUUACUUAAUGCUUUGCCUGAUCAUCCUCUUAAGAAAAAUGAAAUACUUGAUAUCUUUUAUAAUGGACUAACCGAUGCUUCCAAGGACUACUUGGAUAGUUGUGCUGGUUGUGUUUUCAGGAAAAGAACAGUCGACCAAGCUGAAUUACUAUUAAAUAAUAUGUUGACUAAUGAAAAUAAUUGGACUCUUCCCGAGCCAAUUCCUGAGGCAAUUCCUGAGCCAAUUGAGCCAACUCCUGAGCCUAUGCCUAAACCUACUCCGAAGAAGAGGGGUGUUCUAUUUCUCAGUCCUGAAGAUAUGCAAGAGGCAAAGAAAUCAAUGAAAGAAAAAGGUAUUAAAGCUGAAGAUGUUAAGAAUUUACCAACUAUUGAAGAAAUACAUGGUCUUAAUAUACCGCCUGUUGAAGAACCACAUUGUCUUGAUAACCCGACACAGGUAGUAAAGGUAAAUUCUCUCUAUAGAUAUGAUAAAGUUGAAAUUCCUUCUACUAAAUUUCAUAGCCCAUGCUUAGAUGAAUUUGAUGACUUUAUGGCUAGACAAGAAAGUUUUAAUGCUUAUGUUGGUAGAGAAUUAAAGAAUAAUGCUUUCGAAAUAGGACGCUUGAGUGAUUAUAUGGCUAGAGUUAAAGGUGAACUUAAACUCAUUAGCAAAUAUGCUUCUAUGGUUACCACUCAAGCUGAGCAAGUACUUAAGGCUCAAAGUGAUUUGCUUGAUAAUUAAAUAAUAAACAUGAUUUUUCUGUUAGAGUGGCUACUCGAACUGGUAGAAUGACUCAGGAACCUUUGUAUCCUGAAGGCCACCCUAAGAGAAUCGAGCAGGAUUCUCAGAGAAAUAAUUUAGAGGCACCUAGUUCUUCUAAAAAGAAGAAAAAGAAAGACAAUAGGACUUUGCAUGCUUCUAGUGAACCUAUUGUAGACACACCUGAGAAUUCCAACGAUAUUUCUAUUUCUGAUGCUGAAACACAAUCAAGUGAUGAACAUGAACCUAGUGAUAAUGUUCAUGCUGAUGCUCAAUCUAGCAAAAAUAAUGAUGUAGAUAUUGAACCUGCUAUUGAUCUUGAUAAGCCACAAUCAAAGAAUCAACGUUAUGAUAAACAAGACUUUGUUGCUAGGAAGCAUGGUAGAGAAAGAGAACCAUGGGUUCAGAAACCCAUGCCCUUUCCUCCUAAACCAUCCAAGAUAAAGGAUGAUGAGGAUUUUGAGUGCUUUGCUGAAAUGAUUAGACCUAUCUUCUUACGUAUGUGCUUAACUGAUGUGCUUAAAGUAAAUCCUUAUGCUAAAUACAUGAAGGAUAUCAUUACAAAUAAAAGAAAGAUACCAGAAGCUGAAAUUUUCACCAUGCUUGCUAAUUAUACGUUUAAAGGUGGAAUACAAAAGAAACUUGGAGAUCCAGGAGUACCAACUAUACCAUGCUCCAUUAAAAGAAAUUACGUUAAAACUGCUUUAUGUGAUCUUGGAGUCGGUGUUAGUGUUAUGCCUCUCUCUUUAUAUCGUAGACUUGAAUUGAAUAAGUUGACACCUACUGAAAUAUCUUUGCAAAUGGCUGAUAAAUCAACUUCCAUACCUGUAGGUAUUUGUGAGGAUGUGCCUGUUGUGGUUGCAAAUGUCACUAUCUUAACGGACUUUGUUAUUCUUGGUAUUCCCGAGGAUGAUAGUAUGUCGAUUAUCCUUGGUAGACCCUUUUUGAAUACCAUAGGGGCUGUUAUUGAUUGCAACAAAGGCAAUGUCACUUUUCAUGUUAAUGGUAAUGAGCAUACGGUACACUUUCCGAGGAAACAACCUCAAGUUCAUAGCAUCAAUUCUAUUGGAAAAGUUCCAACUAUCAUUAUUGGAGGUUUUGAAUUUCCUCUUCCUACUGUCAAGAAAAAGUAUGAUAUUCUUAUUGUUGGGGAUGUUCAUAUCCCUGUUGAGGUAACCUAGUGUUAUUCGAAAUUUCUCCGGUUCCGUGUUAUUCGGAAUGAGUUUGUUAACAAGACUUGAUCAACCUUGUUAGUGGAUUCAUUUUGAUGAUCAUGAGAUGGAUGAAACUAGAAGGCACAACCUUCUGUAUCUUCUUUUUACUUUCUGUUAUUUAGAAUAAAUAAAGCAAAAAUAGUAUUAUAUGUCUGUUUUCUGAAUUAUCCAUGCAAUAAAAAAUAUCCCGAAAUUAAAAGUGCUCCAAAUGCCCUGCAAAUUUAGUCUGAUUUUUUAUGGAAUAUUUGAGGAUUUUAGGCACUGAAAAUACUACAGGGGGAUAAGCACCUGGCCACGAGGGUGGAGGGCGCGCCCCCUGUCUCGUGGGCCCAUGGUGGCCCCCCUCCACUUAUUCCUGCACCCACAAACUCCAUCUUCCUCCCAAAAAAAUCCACAUCCAGCUCAAGCACGAGUUCUAGCUCAUUUUGCUGCGAUUUUCGAGCUCCUUGCUCAAAGCUCCAUUCACAAAACUGCUUUGGGAGAUUGUUGCUUGGUAUGUGACUCCUCCAUUGGUCCAAUUAGUUUUUGUUCUAGUCCUUUAUUCCUUGCAAUUUUUUGCUGCAUAGGUGACCCUGUUCUUGAGCUUGCAUGUCAAAUUUAUGAGGUCCCAAGUAAUUCUAAUGCAUGAUAUAGGCUCUAGGCACUUGUAGGAGUAGUUGCUACCAAUCUUGUUUAGUUUUAUUCACUUUUAUUUUGAAGUUACUAAAAUUUCAGAAAUUUUUCAGAAAAAGCAAUAUGUCUAGGAUAAUGUACCAAGGUGGUUCCUCAACAAAGAAAGGACCCAGACAUGCUAUGCAUGAGCAAGACGAUGAACCACCAAGGGACGCAGAAGUGCGAGCUUGUGAGUGGCCAUCAGAAGAGUUUAUGGUCAAAGCAGGCAUUAAGGAUGAAUUUGACGCAUAUGUGCGUAAUGCUGAUCUUGAGGACUUCUUACAAGAUAAGUGUCCUCAGUACUACCAAUUGACUGAUUCAUUCGUAAGAAGGUUUAAAUAUAAAUCUUCAUGUAAUUCUCAGAGUGUCCUGUUUGGUAUUUAUGAUAAAUCUUAUACCAUGGACUCAGAAGAUUUUACAACUGCUUGCAAACUCCCGCAGUGGGGCAAUGUUAAUGACCCCCACAGAUCUGAAUAUAAAGACUUUCUUGCUAGUAUUACUAUGGGAGAAUCUAGGGAUAUAGCACAAGCUACCAUAGGGAGCAUUCAUUUUCCUGCUAUACAUUAUUUUGCUCUCUUCAUUGGUAGAUGCAUUAACGGUAAAGAUGAAGCAUGUCACAUGUGUGUCCCUAAUCCUUGUGUCCUCAAGAGUGCUGUGUUAGGUAAUAAAGAUUACAACUUGGGGGCAAUAGUUGUACGUAUGUUGCAUAAUAAUGCUAUAUCCAGAGAUUUAUUUGGAGGGAUUUAUGUGACCCGUGUUGCUAAGUAUCUUGGUAUAGCUCCACGUGAGGAGGAUGUUGAGUUACUUCCUGCUUAUUUAGAUUAUGACGCGAUGGUCAAACAUCGUUUUCUUUUGAGGAAUGAACAAUUCCUCCAGUAUCGACUAAUCUUUGACAGGCGUAGCUCUGUCCAUGUUACUCUCCCUGCUCCUUCCCUUUUUGAUUACCAGGCAAAACGAAGAUAUGUUGUUACCAGGGAGGAGGCAGCUGAACACGAGGGGAGAGCGGAGGCAGCUCGCCAAUAUGCCGCAACUCAGGAGGCAUUGGUUGCUGCAUCUCAGUACGACCCCAGUUAUAACUUCGGAUAUCAGCCAGGCUAUCCUUGGCAUUAGACCAACUUAGGCCAAAAGCCUAAGCUUGGGGGAGUACGUAUUUCUCACCGACUUUACAUUCAUGUUCACACACUAUUCUAGUUGUCGGUGCUCAUACUCUUUCAUUGUAUUAUCCAUGCUAGUUUAAAUUUCUUUUUCUAGCCUUCUUCUUGUGUGUUUGAUAAACCUUAAGAAAAACCAAAAAAUAUAUAUUAGUUAGUUUAAUUUCCAUGCUUGUAGUAGUGAUUAAAAUGAAAACCCAAAAAGAUUUCCCGUUCUUAUUUUACUUGUUGGGAGCUUUCCCGUAUAAAUAGUUUUCUUUUCUUUUCUUUCCUUUGGGGGUCGAGAGUAGAAGACCAUAUUGAAAAUGUUUAGUGGCUCUCGUAUGCAUGAUUGUUGAUUUAACUUAGAGCCCAUAUUACUUUGCCUUCUCUCUUGAAUUGAAUGUUUGCAGAUUCCAGCUUAGUCCAAUGCACGUGCACUAUUAUUAUUAUACACACCAUUUGGUCGUGCAAGUGAAAGGAAAUAAUGAUGAUAUAUAAUGGACUGAUUGAGAUGAGAGAAGCUGGUAUGAACUCAGCCUCUUUUGUUUUUGUAAAUAUGAUGAGUUUAUCGUUCCUGAUUUUUCCUAUUAUGAAGCAAACAUAUUUGCAAUACCAUUUAGAGAUUAUAGUUGCAUGUGCCAUGCUUAAUUAGUUAUGAGUUAUAAUGGUUUACCUUGCGUGCCAACAUGCUAUUAAAAUGAUUAUGAUGUGGUAUGAUGGGAUGGUAUCCUCCUUUGAAUGAAUUGAGUGACUCGACUUGGCACAUGUUCACGCAUGUAGUUGAAACAAAUCAACAUAGCCUUCACGAUAUUUAUGUUCAUGGUGGAUUAUAUCCUACUCAUGCUUGUACUUAGUGUAAAUUAAUUUUAAUGCAUGCUCAUAACUGUUGUCGCUCUCUCAGUUGGUCGCUUCCCAGUAUUUUGCUAGCCUUCACCUAUACUAAGCAAGAAUACUGCUUGUGCAUCGAAACUCCAUAAACCCCAAAGUUAUUCCACAUGAGUCCACCAUACCUUCCUAUAUGCGGUAUCUACCUGUCGUUCCAAGUAAAUUGUAUGUGCCAAACUCCAAACCUUCAAAUGAAAUUCUAUUUUGUAUGCUCGAGCAGCUCAUGUUUCAACUAGGGUUGUCUGUAUCUUUCAUGCUAGGUGGGUUAUUCUCAAGAGGAGUAGACUCCGCUCCUCAUUCACGAGAAAAUGGCUGGUAACCGGGAUGCCCAGUCCCAUGAUCAAAAAGAUCAAAGCAAAUCAAAAAUAAUUAAACAAAACUCCCCCAGGGUUGUUGUUAGUUGGAGGCACUCGUUGUUUUGAGCAAGCCAUGGAUUGAUGCUUGUUGGUGGUGGGGGAGUAUAAACUUUUACCAUUCUGUUUGGGAACCGCCUAUAAUGCAUGUAGUAUGGAAGAUAUCGCCAUCUCAUAGUUGUUGCGUUGACAGUGAAAGUAUGCCGCUCAAAAUGUUAUUCAUCUCUAUUUUAAAAUCGAGCUCUCGCACCUCUACAAAUCCCUGCUUCCCUCUGCAAAGGGCCUAUCUAUUUACUUUUAUGUUGAGUCAUCGCCUUCUUAUUAAAAAGCACCCGCUAGAGAGCACACUGUCAUUUGCAUUCAUUACUAUUAGUUUAUAUUGGGUAUGACUUGACUGGAUCUCUUUUACCAUGAAUUACAAUGUUUAGUCAGUCCUUGAUCUUUAAAGGUGCUCUGCAUUUAUGUUUUGCGGUCUCAGAAAGGGCUAGCGAGAUACCAUCUUGUUAUAUCAUAUUAUGAUUGUUUUGAGAAAGUGUUGUCAUCCGAGUUUUAUUAUUAUUGCUCGCUAGCUGAUUAUGCCAUUGAUAUGAGUAAAUAUGAGACCUAAGUGUUAUCGUGAAUAUGGUUAGUUCAUAAUCUUUGCUGAAAACUUGAAUGCUAGCUUUACAUAUUUACAACAACAAGAGCAAAUAGAGUUUGUAAAAGUUUUUCUUUGUCACUUUCAGUUUAUCAACUGAAUUGCCUGAGGACAAGCAAAGGUUUAAGCUUGGGGGAGUUGAUACGUCUCCAACAUAUCUACUUUUCCAAACACUUUUGCCCUUGUUUUGGACUCUAACUUGCAUGAUUUGAAUUAAACUAACCCGCACUGACGUUGUUUUCAGCAGAACUGCCAUGGUGUUCUUUAUUGUGCAGAAAACAGAAGUUCUCGGAAUGACCUGAAAAUCCACGGAGAUAACUUUUGGAAAAUAUAAAAAAUACUGGCAAAAGAAUCAAGGCCAGGGGGCCCACACCCUGCCCACGAGGGUGGGGGUGCGCCCUCCCCCUGGGCACGCCCCCCUGUCUCGUGGGCCCCCUGAUGCUCCACCGACCUCAACUCCAACUCCAUAUAUUCCGUUUCACGGAGAAAAAAUCAGAGAGAAAGUUUCAUCGCAUUUUACGAUACGGAGCCGCUGCCAAGCCCUAAUCUCUCUCGGGAGGGCUGAUCUGGAGUCCGUUCGGGGCUCCGGAGAGGGGGAUUCGUCGCCGUCGUCAUCAUCAACCAUCCUCCAUCACCAAUUUCAUGAUGCUCACCGCCGUGUGAUACGUCUCCAACGUAUCUAUAAUUUUUUAUUGCUCCAUGCUACUUUAUCUAUUGUUUUAGGCAAUAUUGGGCUUUAUUUUCCACUUUUAUAUUAUUUUUGGGACUAAUCUAUUAACCGGAGGCCCAUCCCAGAUUUGCUAUUUUAUGCCUAUUUCAGUGUUUCGAGGAAAAGGAAUAUCAGACGGAGUCAAAACGGAACGAAAUCAACUGGAGAAGUUAUUUUUGGAAGGAAACCCACCUGAUGGACUUGGACCCCACGUCAGAAGAUACGGGAGGUGCUCACGAGGGUGGGGGCGCGCCCACCCCCCUAGGGCGCGCCCCCUGCCUCGUGGGGCCCUCGUAGCUCCACCGACGUACUCCUUUCACCCAUAUAUACAUACGUACCCUAAAACUUCCAGAACAGAAGAUAGAUCGGGAGUUCCGCCGCCGCAAGCCUCUGUAGCCACCAAAAACCUCUCGGGAGCCCUUCCCGGCACCCUUCCGGAGGGGGGAUCCCAUCACCGGUGGCCAUCUUCAUCAUCCCGGCGCUAUCCAUGACGAGGAGGGAGUAGUUCACCCUCGGGGCUGAGGGUAUGUACCAGUAGCUAUGUGUUUGAUCUCUCUCUCUCGUGUUCCCUCUAUGGCACGAUCUUGAUGUAUCCCGAGCUUUGCUAUUGUAGUUGGAUCUUAUGAUGUUUCUCCCCCUCUACUCUCUUGUGAUGAAUUGAGUUUCUCCUUUGAAGUUAUCUUAUCAGAUUGAGUCUUUUAUGAGAACACUUGAUGUAUGUCUUGCCGUGAUUAUCUGUGGUGACAAUGGGAUAUCAUGUGCCACUUGAUGUAUGUUUUGGUGAUCAACUUGCGGGUUUCGUGACAUUAGGAACCUAUGAAUAGGGGUUGGCACACGUUCUUGACUCUCCGGUAGAAACUUUGGGGCACUCUUUGAAGUACUUUUAUGUUGGUUGGAUGAAUCUGAGAUUGUGUGAUGCAUAUCGUAUAAUCAUGCCCACGGAUACUUGAGGUGACAAUGGAGUAUCUAGGUGACAUUAGGGUUUUGGUUGAUUUGUAUCUUAAGGUGUUAUUCUAGUACGAACUCUUUUAUAGAUUGAUCCGAAAGAAUAACUUUGAGGUGGUUUCGUACUCUACCAUAAUCUCUACGUUUGUUCUCCGCUAUUAGUGGCUUUGGAGUGACUCUUUGUUGCAUGUUGAGGGCUUGUUAUAUUAUCUAUCUAUGUUAUUAUUGUUGAGAGAACUUGCACUGGUGAAAGUAUGAACCCUAGGCCUUGUUUCCUAUCAUUGCAAUACCGUUUACGCUCACUUUUACUACUUGUUACCUUGCUGUUUUUAUAAUUUAAAAUUACAAAUACCUUUAUCUACUAUCUAUUUUGCACUUGUAUCACCAUCUCUUCGCCGAACUAGUGCACCUAUACAAUUUACCACUGUAUUGGGUGUGUUGGGGACACAAGGGACUCUUUGUUAUUUGGUUGCAGGGUUGUUUGAGAGAGACCAUCUUCAUCCUACGCCUCCUACGGAUUGAUAAACCUUAGGUCAUCCACUUGAGGGAAAUUUGCUACUGUCCUACAAACCUGUGCACUGGCAGGCCCAACAACGUCUACAAGAAGAAGGUUGUGUAGUAGACAUCACCGUGCGUGAGUAAUUUCAUCAUAGGCUUGUUGAACGGUGAUGGGUUGGAUGAGUUUUACCAUGUAAUCAAGUUAGUUUUGUUAGGGUUUGAUCCCUAGUAUCCACUAUGUUCAGAGAUUGAUGUUGCUAUGACUUUGCUAUGCUUAAUGCUUGUCACUAGGGCCCGAGUGCCAUGAUUUCAGAUCUGAACCUAUUAUGUUUUCAUGAAUAUAUGUGUGUUCUUGAUCCUAUCUUGCAAGUCUAUAGUCACCUAUUAUGUGUUAUGAUCCGACAACCCCGAAGUGACAAUAAUCGGGAUACUUCUCGGUGAUGACCGUAGUUUGAGGAGUUCAUGUAUUCAUUAUGUGUUAAUGCUUUGGUCCGGUACUCUAUUAAAAGGAGGCCUUAAUAUCCCUUAGUUUCCACUAGGACCCCGCCGCCACGGGAGGGUGGGACAAAAGAUGUCAUGCAAGUUCUUUUCCAUAAGCAUGUAUGACUAUAUUCGAAAUACAUGCCUACAUUACAUUGAUGAACUGGAGCUAGUUCUGUGUCACCCUAUGUUAUAGCUAUUACAUGAGGAAUCACAUCUGACAUAAUUAUCUAUCGCUGAUCCAAUGCCUACGAGCUUUUCACAUAUUGUGCUUCGCUUAUUUACUUUUCUGUUGCUACUGUUACAACUACUACAAAACUAUUAUCUUUACUUUUGCCACUGUUAACAUUACUAUCAUAUUACUUUGCUACUAAAUACUUUGCUGCAGACACUAAGUUAUCCAGGUGUGGUUGAAUUGACAACUCAACUGCUAAUACUUAAGAAUAUUCUUUGGCUCCCCUUGUGUCGAAUCAAUAAAUUUGGGUUGAAUACUCUACCCUCGAAAGUUGUUGCGAUCCCCUACACUUGUGGGUUAUCAGGGCGCUUCGGUUUUGGUCUCCGACGGGUGUGCGGUGGCGCGCGUGGAGCGUGUCGGCGCACCUGAUGUAUGGCUGCAGCCCGGACCGUGGUGGUUCUUGGCCUCGGCCAGUGCUCCUCUGCUCCUUGCCGGCAUGGUGCUCGGAAGGGGAUGGUGGCCUGCGCUGCGUCCGGUGGCCUGCGCUCGGGCGGCCGUUGAUGGAUCUGGCGCCUAGUGUUGACGUUUGGUUGUCGGUGAUCUCCGUAGGGUGCGGUUGGCUCCGGCGGCUUGUCGUGCUUUUUCGUCUUUUGAAGGGCUCGAUGGUGGUGGUGGUCGGCUGUCGUCUUAUUGUAGGGAUGUGCUCAAACUCCGGGUGAGAACCCUGCAUCGACUAAGUCGAUGCCGGCGGCAACGGCAUCUAUGGACGUCGUUUUCCUUGCAGGAGGUGCCGUUGCGGAGCUCUAGCACCUACAAUACUUUGCUUUAUGGUUUCCGGGUGAAAACCUAAGAUUGGGCUUGCCGGAUCGGAUGGUGGUGGUGUGUCCUCGACAACACUACCUCCUUGGAGGUGUCGUCUUGGAGACCCAAGCGACGGCUUCAGUUGCUGCGGCUGGUUGAGGGUGGUUCGCGUGGUGGUGGUCGGGUGGCCUGCUCAGGACCGAGGGUGGUGUGUUCUUCUUCAGGUGUUUCUCUUCGGCUGCGCUACGUGUGGUCUCCGGCCUGCUACUUUGCAUGCUCAUGACCCUGUUCUGCUGAGGCGAGCCUCGGGCUCUUGGUCUUGUCUUGGUUCAUCUUUGCUCAAUGACGACGCAAUGACGUCCCCCCGACUUGCUAAUCGUCUUCAACUCCCAUGGCGGAGCUCCCAGUGAAGGUUCGUAUUAGGCGUUGGCACUCGUUGAUUCUGGAUGCUCCUCUGUUGUGCCGUGGGGUUUGAUACGCACGCCGGUGCGGUGCGUUAGGCUGCUUGUAGAGUCUUGGUAUUGUGAUCCCUCGACGCACCCCUCAUCUACCUGGUCCUGUUAGUUUGCUAGCUAGGUCUUGCCUUAUGUUGGGCGUCACGUUUCUCUCCUUUUCUUGUAACACUUGUUACUUGUCUGGUUUUCGGCUCGGUUUUUCUCAUAAACGGGGUCAAUUUGUUAAGGUUUUCGAUCCGGUUUUAUUCAGGUGAAGGGACUCCUCCCCUGGUGAUUCUCAAAAAAAAGUUUCAUCUCCCAUAGUUCAAUUUUUUUUGCGGGGAUACAAUUAUAUAUUCAUCGAAUGGCCUAGGCCGUUCUUUCAUUAGAUAGAAAAGAGAGAGCAGUACAAGGCAAAACAGUUAUAUAUUCAGUUACGUUUGAAUGUGUCAUGUCGCCGCCGACCCAUCAGCCAGUUAUCGCACCCCGGCGCCCUCUCUAUCCUUAGUACACCGAGUGCUCGGCAGAUGUAAGUGUGUAAUAAAAAAUCAAAAAGGAGGGCAGAUGCAAGUGUUGGAUUAAUGUGGCCUUUGGGUAAUUAUAUUUCAGAUGAUUGGCAGUGCGACUUUGCUAUCCCUCUUCCACGGCCAGCCCUUUCGUGCUGGUCAGUCUGACAUGCCGGGCCCUGGGACAAUGGAGCUGUCCCCACCUAACACAAGGCACACCUGGACGGGCGACAUAACUCUCCCCAACGUGGAGAACAUGGACACGUACUACUCCGCCGGGCGAGACCCGUUCUUCUACCCGCACCACAACAACAUCGACCGUCUAUGGGAGGCCUGGCGUGACAUCGGCACUGCCCGUGGUUACCGUGGCCAUGUUGAUUUCACGGAUAUCGACUGGCUCUACUCCUUCCUCUUCUCCGGCGAAGAAUCCUGGCUGGUUACGCAUCACCGUCCGUGAACAAGCUCCGAUACAGGUUUGAUGGCGUUGGCACGCCAUGGUUUGAUGAGCUACGUGUGUUUGAGUCAUCCCAGUAUGGACGGCACGGGGAAGGGGGUGAUGAUAGAAACAAGGAUGAUGGUGGCGUUGAACGAUCUCUUGAAUGAUCUGGGUGCCGAUGGAGACAAUAGUGUGACAGUAACGUUGGUGCCUAGACUUGGGAAGGUUAAGAUCGGAAGCCUGAGAAUAGUAUACAUGGUGGAGUAAGAUUACUGUAAGAGUAAACUGCAUAUCGUAUUUGUACUGUAAGGAGAUAUCUACCGUGAAUCGUUAGGGAACUUUUCUACUCCCUCGGUUCCUAAAUAUAAGUCUUUUUAGAGAUUUCACUAUGGUCUGUAUACGGAGCAAAAUGAGUGAAUCUACAUUCGAAAGUAUAUCUAUAUACAUCCGUAUGUAGUCCAUACUGAAAUCUCUCCAAAGACAUACAUUUAGGAACGGAGGGAGUACAUCAUUAGGGAACUUUUCUACUGUGAAUCGUUAGGGAACUUUUCUACAUCAUUAGGAAACUUUUCUACCGUGAAUCGUUAGGGAACUUUUCUACAUCAUAUCGUAUUUUAUUUGUGCACAAAGGGAACUUUUCUUAUCACUAGGCAAGUGUAUGUGCGUUGCUACGAGUACAUCGCAAAAAAUUACCACAUUACGGUCAGGGUUACAAAAAAACUACCAUCUUCUUUAAUUUCCUAAAAAGCUAUCACUAUUUUGGCUCGCUGUUUCAGAAAAACCAAGUGGCUGAACCCUAAAUUUUUAAUCGCGAUUAUGACAACACUGUCCCACUCGUCAAGUCUAAUGCGGCAUAAAGGUCAACACCGUCAACUUUGUGUUUUUUCUUUCCUUUCCUUUUUUAUUUUUUUCUUGCAUUUUUCGAAUACACGUCGAAUUUAUUUAAAUAUACGUUGAAAAAUUUGUUAUACAUGUACAUAUUUGGAUACACGGGCUCGCCCGCGGAGAUUGAAGAGAAGAAGGUUUUCCCUGGUCGCCUUGUGAGAGGGCAAAGAAAACAACGCAAUUUGGAAGUUAUUUUCAUUGUAACCCUAAAAAGAAAAGUACAUGAUGCUGUAAAAUAAUGGAAAUGAAUUUAUUUGACCAUUUUGUACUAUUAAAUAAAAUAUAUUUUGUAGCCGUAGAAAACAGAUGGCGAACUGGCCGGUGAACCCGAGGUCCAAUCGAUGAAAACUUGAACCGACAAGUUCACUGGUUCAGUCACUGAUUUGGUUUUUAAAACUAUGGUAUAAAGGGUUCACAAGCCUUACGGACGUCAGCUGACCAGCAAAUUGAUGUAGUUAGCGGAACGUCCCAUUCCCAACAGUAGAUAUGUAUCAAUUUAGGAAUCUGGGUUGGAUGGAAACAAAUCAUCUGAUUUUCAGCUGCUUUCUAAUGGAAAGGUGCCAAACAGUGAACAAUCCCAACCGUAAAUAUCACGGAUCACCGUAGCUGCCCAACGGUCGGCCAAGCUAAAAAAAAAAGGUGGUAGCAGUACUAUCGUCUCCUUCCUCCUCUGACUCCACCCCCUUCCCCUUCCUCCUCCUCCCACUGCGUGUCUGCGUCAGAGGUCCCGACGCAAAUGCCAUGGCAGUCAUCGACCAGGCUAUGCGGCAGCUGGCGCCGCUCCGUGGCUAGUGAAGUCGUCAGCAACCUGUCUAUAUAUCUAGUGUUACCUGUUUUUGGUACAUACGGCAACACACUGCUGCUCGUAUGUUGUGUAUUGGUGGUUCGAUGGUUUAUCAUGGGUACAAGUACAUGUAGCAAUUUGGUGGUUGUGUGUUCUGAUUGAAGUUCGGCGUUGCAGUUCCCAUCUCAUGAGGCGGAGAAUGUGAUUGCCUGGCACUAUGAGAGCACCGGUAGAUUUACGGUCAAAAGUGCAUAUAACCUGGCUUAUAGGAUCAACAGAAACUCCAUUGUUGGAGCCUCCUCUUCGGCAAAAGAGGUAGGAGACAGAUGCAUCUGGGACAUCAUCUGGAAGGCAAAAGUCCCUCAAAAGAUUAAGGUCUUAGGAUGGCAUGUAGCCACACAGUCUCUAGCCCCCAAGCAUAAUGCUUUCCGUCGCACAAUAGCCACUGAUAAUAUUGUUGGGCUAAGUCCCUCCACAUGGAGGUGUGUUGGCAGCCCAACAUCAGCCCAUAAGUCCAACACAUGUCAGCCGUUGAUCUUCGCUGCAUCCAACGGUUGAGAGCGCUUCCAAGGGAAGUGAAGCAAGAAGAAAACCCUAGCCACUCCACACCUUGCUGGUGGUGGCUGCCAUUCAUGAGAGUGAGAGAGAGAGCACACAAGAGAAAACACAACCUGAGAGAGGAAGAAGAAGAUGCAGAGGUUCUGUCCAGAUUUGCUGCAUCUGACUAGACAGUGUUCAAGCUGGUGGUUGGAGGCUCAAACGUGCUUGGAUCGACCCCAAACUUGGUGAGCUCGUUCCUUACUUUGAGUACUUCGAUCUGGUUAGCUGGUUUGAGGAUUGGGUCAGUGGAGCAUCAGAUUUGAGAGUGGUUUUGUCAGCUCUGACUACUGCAAUUUCAGAACAGAGUAGUUUUGGGAGACGAACAGUUUGGGUAGGCAAACGAUGUCCUAUUGAGCUGAAAUUUGGAGGGGGUCUCAAGAACUCGUGUGUCUACUUGUCUACAAAAUUUGGUGCUGUUUGGUUCAGCAGUUUAAGAGCAGUUUGCAAAACGCUAGAGGGUACAAAAGCUGUGUAAACUCUGCUUUGCUGAAAUCUUACUUCUUGUGGUUGUUGUUGCUGUUGCCGGUUGGCAACGUGGAGAGUGUGUUGUAAAUCUCUCUAGAGGUUCUAGAGAAGACUUUGUACUCAUCAUUCUCAUAGUGAAGUUGUGUGGACCGGUCGGUCCACAGCCGUGGUUUUUUACUCCUCAAGUUGAGGAGGUUUUUUCACGUUAAAUCCUGUGUCACAUGUGCAUGUUGUUUGUGUUAUUCCGCUGCUUACUUGUUGGUUGAAUCUGUCCUCAAAGUUCAUCACAAGUAAAGGGGGCUGUGUAGUGUGCAUAUUUGCCGUGUCGGUGAAUUUGUGCAGCGCAUUGUUGCUGUCCAUUCCAACAAAGUGGUAUCAGAGCCUUGGUUUGCUUGUGCAUAUUGCUGAGUUUCUUGUGGUGAAAGAUGGAAGUGAAUACCAGCAGGAUGAUAUCAUUGAAUGGUACAAAUUAUCAAGCAUGGAAGGGCAAGAUGGAGGAUUUGUUGUAUGUGAAAGAAUACUGGAAGCCAGUGUUCUCCACUGAGAUGCCGAAGGGCAUUGAGGAAGGUCAAUGGAAGGUACUUCAUUGCCAAGCUUGUGGGUUUAUUCGACAAUGGGUCGAUGACAAUGUUUUGAACCAUAUCAUUGAUGAGACACAUGCACGCACCUUAUGGCAGAAAUUGGAAGAGUUGUUUGCCCGGAAAGAAGGUACAAACAAGAUGUUCUUGAUCAAACAAUUGAUGUGCUUGAGGUACAAAGAGGGCACUCUAAUUGCAGAUCAUGUCAAUACAUUCCAAGGCAUUAUAAAUCAGCUUUCUUCAAUGGGAAUUAGAUUUGAAGAUGAAGUGAGAGCUUUGCUGCUACUAAGCUCAUUACCGGACAGCUGGGAGACCUUUAAGGUCACGGUUUGCAAUUCAGCACCUAAUGGAGUUGUCACUUGGAAUCUUGUGAAAACCAGGGUACUAAAUGAAGCGUCCAGAAAGGUGGCUGAAGCCACUUCUUUAUCACAUUCAGAGGUGCUAGUCACUCAGUCCAGGGGGAGAAGCAAGAGCAGAGGUCCAGGUAAAGGGGCAGAAAGAGGUAGGAGCAAACCAAAAAGUAAGUAUGCUGAUUAUGAGUGCCAUCACUACCAUCAGAAGGGCCACAUUAAGUGGCAAUGUGACAAGUGGAAGAAAGACAAAAAGAAAAAGAAGAAACAAGAUCAAAAGCAAGUUGACAGUGACAGUGACACAGAGGGCAACCGAGUUACUGCAGUAGAAGAGGACAUCAUGCUUGUUAUGCAUGAAGAAAAUGAGGGCAGAUUUGGUUCCACUGUUGAGGAGAGGAUCACUAUUGUUUCUGAUGAAACCGUCAACCUUGUGGACGGUGACGAGAUGAUUUGGAUACCGGACAGCGGUGCUACCAUUCAUGCUACAUCUCGCAAAGAGCUCUUCACUAACUAUAUAUCAGGUGAAUUUGGUGUUGUGAAGAUGGGGAACAAUGAUAGGGCAGCUAUCAUUGGAAAAGGAGAUGUGCAUUUGGAGACCGCAAAUGGUACAAGGUUAGUCCUCAAAUCUGUGAGGCAUGUUGAGGCACUUCGUCUCAAUAUUAUCUCGGUUGGUUUGCUUGAUGGAGAUGAUUACUUGAGCAGUUUUGGAAAAGGGUAGUACAAGCUCACCAAAGGCAACAUGAUUGUUGCAAGAGGUAAAAUGGUCUCAGUUUUGUAUCAUGUUCAUGCUAAGCUCUUUAGUGCUUCUGUCAAUGCACUAGAGAAGGAUGAUCAUUGUGCUUUAUGGCACAAGAGACUUGGGCACAUGAGUGAGAAGGGGAAGACAGUGAUAGUGAAGAAAAAAUUGUUGAAGGGUGUGAAAGGAGUUCACAUCAAGAACUGUUCAGAUUGUCUAGCAGGGAAGCAACACCGAGUUGCCUUCAAGACUCUACCUCCUCACAAGAAGCCCGAGAAGCUGGACUUGAUACAUUCCGAUGUUUGCAAAAUGUUGGUAAGAUCUCUUGGUGAUGCUAAGUAAUUUGUUACUUCUAUUGAUGACUUUUCCAGGAAAGUUUGGGCCUUCACUUUGAGUGAAGGAAAUAUGCCCUAGAGGCAAUAAUAAAGCUAUUAUUUAUUUCCUCAUAUCAUGAUAAAUGUUUAUUAUUCAUGCUAAAAUUGUACUAACCGGAAACAUGAUACAUGUGUGAAUAUAUAGACAAACAUAACGUCACUAGUAUGCCUCUAAUUGACUAGCUCAUUAAUCAAAGAUGGUCAUGUUUCCUAACCAUAGACAUGUGUUGUCAUUUGAUUAACGGAAUCACAUCAUUAGGAGAAUGAUGUGAUUGACAUGACCCAUUUCGUUAGCCUAGCACUUGAUCGUUUAGUAUGUUGCUAUUGCUUUCUUCAUGACUUAUACAUGUUCCUGUAACUAUGAGAUUAUGCAACUCCCGUUUACCGGAGGAACACUUUGUGUGCUACCAAACGUCACGAUGUAACUGGGUGAUUAUAAAGGAUCUCUACAGGUGUCUCCGAAGGUACAUGUUGGGUUGGCUUAUUUCGAGAUUAGGAUUUGUCACUCCGAUUGUCGGAGAGGUAUCUCUGGGCCCUCACAUCACUAUAAGUCUUGCAAGCAAUGUAGCUAAUGAAUUAGUUACGGAAUGAUGCAUUACGUAACGAGUGAAGAGACUUGCCGGUAACGAGAUUGAACUAGGUAUUGGAUACCAACGAUCGAAUCUCGGGCAAGUAACAUACCGACGACAAAGGGAACAACGUAUGUUGUUAUGCAGUUUGAUCGAUAAAGAUCUUCGUAGAAUAUGUAGGAGCCAAUAUGAGCAUCCAGGUUCCGCUAUUGGUUAUUGACCGAGAAUAGUUCUAGGUCAUGUCUACAUAGUUCUCGAACCCGUAGGGUCCGCACGCUUAACGUUACGAUGACAGUUUUAUUAUGAGUUUAUAAGUUUUGAUGUACCGAAGGUUGUUCGGAGUCCCGGAUGUGAUCACGGACAUGACGAGGAGUCUCGAAAUGGUCGAGACAUAAAAAUUAUUGGAAGCUUAUAUUUGGAUAUCAGAAUGGUUUCGGGUGAAAUCAGGAUUUUACCGGAGCACCGGGGGGUUACCGGAACCCUCCCGGGGGUUAUUGGGCCUUCAUGGGCCCUAAGGGAGAAGAGGAGAGGAGGCAAGAGGUGGGCUGCGCCCCCUCCCCUCCCUAGUCCGAAUAGGACAAGGAGAGGGGGGCGGUGCCCCCCCUUUUCCUUCCCCUCUUCCUCCUCCUUCCCCCUUCUCCUUCUCCAACUAGGAAAGAAGGGAGUCCUACUCCCGGUGGGAGUAGGACUCCCCCUUGGCGCGCCCUCCUUGGCCGGCCGCCCCCUCCCCCUUGGCUCCUUUAUAUACGGGGGCAGGGAGGCACCUCUAAACACACAAGUUGAUCUUCGUGAUCUUUCCUUAGCCGUGUGCGGUGCCCCCUCCACCAUAUUCCACCUCGGUCAUAUCAUUGCGGUGCUUAGGCGAAAUCCUGCGUCGGUAGAACAUCAUCAUCGUCACCACGCCGUCGUGCUGACGGAACUCAUCCCCGACACCCUGCUGGAUCAGAGUCCGGGGAUCGUCAUCGAGCUGAACGUGUGCUGAACUCGGAGGUGCCGUACGUUCUGUGCUUGGAUCGAUCGGAUCGUGAAGACGUACGACUACAUCAACCGCGUUGUCAUAACGCUUCCGCUUAUGGUCUACGAGGGUACGUGGACAACACUCUCCCCUCUCGUUGCUAUGCAUCACCAUGAUCUUGCAUGUGCGUAGGAUUUUUUUGAAAUUACUAUGUUCCCCAACAGUGGCAUCCGAGGCUAGGUUUUAUGCGUUGAUGUUAUAUGCACGAGUAGAACACAAGUGAGUUGUGGGCGAUACAAGUCAUACUACUUAACAGCAUGUCAUACUUUGGUUUGGCGAUAUUGUUGGAUGAAGCGGCCCGGACCGACAUUACGCGUACGCUUACGCGAGACUGGUUUUACCGCCGUGCUUUGCACACAGGUGACUAGCGGGUGUCUGUUUCUCCAACUUUAGUUGAACCGAGUGUGGCUACGCCCGGUCCUUACGAAGGUUAAAACCGCACUAACUUGAUGAACUAUCGUUGUGGUUUUGAUGCGUAGGUAAGAACGGUUCUUGCUCAGCCCGUAGCAGCCACGUAAAAUUUGCAACAACAAAGUAGAGGACGUCUAACUUGUUUUUGCAGGGCAUGUUGUGAUGUGAUAUGGUCAAGACGUGAUGCUAUAUUUUAUUGUAUGAGAUGAUCAUGUUUUGUAACCGAAGUUAUCGGCAACUGGCAGGAGCCAUAUCGUUGUCGCUUUAUUGUAUGAAAUGCAAACACCCUCUAAUUGCUUUACUUUAUCACUAAGCGGUAGCGAUAGUCGUAGAAGCAAUAGAUGGCGUAACGACAACAAUGCUACGAUGGAGAUCAAGGUGUCGCGCCGGUGACGAUGGUGAUCAUGACGGUGCUUCGGAGAUGGAGAUCACAAGCACAAGAUGAUGAUGGCCAUAUCAUAUCACUUAUAUUGAUUGCAUGUGAUGUUUAUCCUUUAUGCAUCUUAUCUUGCUUUGAUUGACGGUAGCAUUUUAAGAUGAUAUCUCACUAAAAAUUAUCAAGAAGUGUUCUCCCUGAGUAUGCACCGUUGCGAAAGUUCUCCGUGCUGAGACAUCACGUGAUGAUCGGGUGGGAUAGGCUCAUCGUUCAAAUACAACGGGUGCAAAACAGUUGCACACGCGGAAUACUCAGGUUAAACUUGACGAGCCUAGCAUAUAACAGAUAUGGCCUCGGAACACGGAGACCGAAAGGUCGAACGUGAAUCAUAUAGUAGAUAUGAUCAACAUAGUGAUGUUCACCAUUGAAACUGCUCCAUCUCACGUGAUGAUCGGACAUGGUUUAGUUGAUAUGGAUCACGUGAUCACUUAGAUGACUAGAGAGAUGUCUGUCUAAGUGGGAGUUCUUAAGUAAUAUGAUUAAUUGAACUUAAAUUUAUCAUGAACUUAGUACUUGAUAGUAUUUUGCUUGUCUAUGUUUGUUGUAGAUAGAUGGCUCGUGCUGUUGUUCCAUUGAAUUUUAAUGCGUUCCUUGAGAAAGCUAAGUUGAAAGAUGAUGGUAGCAAUUACACAGACUGGGUCCAUAACCUAAGGAUUGUCCUCAUUGCUGCACAGAAGAAUUACGUCCUGGAAGCACCACUGGGUGCCAGGCCUGCUGCUGAUGCAACUGACGACGUUAAGAACGUCUGGUAGAGCAAAGUUGAUGACUACUUGAUAGUUCAGUGUGCCAUGCUUUACGGCUUGGAACCGGGUCUUCAACGACGUUUUGAACAUCAUGGAGCAUAUGAGAUGUUCCAGGAGUUGAAGUUAAUAUUUCAAGCAAAUGCCCGGAUUGAGAGAUAUGAAGUCUCCAAUAAGUUCUAUAGCUGCAAGAUGAAGGAGAAUAGUUCUGUCAGUGAACACAUACUCAAAAUGUCUGGGUAUAAUAAUCACUUGAUUCAACUGGGAGUUAAUCUUCCCGAUGAUAGUGUCAUUGACAGAAUUCUUCAAUCACUGCCACCAAGCUACAAGAGCUUUGUGAUGAACUAUAAUAUGCAAGGGAUGGACAAGACUAUUCCCGAGCUCUUCGAAUGCUAAAAGCCGCGGAGGUAGAAAUCAAGAAGGAGCAUCAAGUGUUGAUGGUAAACAAGACCACCAGUUUCAAGAAAAAGGGCAAAGGGAAGAAGAAGGGGAACUUCAAGAAGAACAGCAAACAAGUUGCUGCUCAAUAGAAGAAACCCAAGUCUGGACCUAAGACUGAGACUGAGUGCUUCUACUGCAAGCAGACUGGACACUGGAAGCGGAACUGCCCCAAGUAUUUGGCGGAUAAGAAGGAUGGCAAAGUGAACAAAGUAAUAUGUGAUAUACAUGUUAUUGAUGUGUACCUUACUAAUACUCGCAGUAGUACCUGGGUAUUUGAUACUGGUUCUGUUGCUAAUAUUUACAACUCGAAACAGGGACUAUGGAUUAAGCGAAGAUUGGCUAAGGACGAGGUGACCAUACGCGUGGGAAAUGGUUCCAAAGUCGACGUAAUCGCGGUCGGCACGCUACCUCUACAUCUACCCUCGGGGUUAGUUUUAGACCUAAAUAAUUGUUAUUUGGUGCCAGCGUUGAGCAUGAACAUUAUAUCUGCAUCUUGUUUGAUGCGAGACGGUUAUUCAUUUAAAUCAGAGAAUAAUGGUUGUUCUAUUUAUAUGAGUAAUAUCUUUUAUGGUCAUGCACCCUUGAAGAGUGGUCUAUUUUUUGAAUCUCGAUAGUAGUGAUACACAUAUUCAUAGUGUUGAAACCAAAAGAUGCAGAGUUGAUAAUGAUAGUGCAACUUAUUUGUGGCACUGCCGUUUAAGUCAUAUCGGUAUAAAGCGCAUGAAGAAACUCCAUACUGAUGGACUUUUGGAAUGACUUGAUUAUGAAUCACUUGGUACUUGCGAACCGUGCCUCAUGGGCAAGAUGACUAAAACGCCGUUCUCCAGAACUAUGGAGCGAGCAACUGAUUUGUUGGAAAUCAUACAUACUGAUGUUUGUGGUCCAAUGAAUAUUGAGGCUCGCGGCGGGUAUCGUUAUUUUCUCACCUUCACAGAUGAUUUGAGCAGAUAUGGGUAUAUCUACUUAAUGAAACACAAGUCUGCAACAUUUGAAAAGUUCAAAGAAUUUCAGAGUGAAGUGGAAAAUCAUCGUAAGAAGAAAAUAAAAUUUCUAUGAUCUGAUCAUGGAGGAGAAUAUUUGAGUUACGAGUUUGGUUUACAUCUGAAACAAUGCGGAAUAGUUUCUCAACUCACGCCAUCCGGAACACCACAACGAAAUGGUGUGUCCGAACGUCGUAAUCGUACUUUACUAGAUAUGGUGCGAUCUAUGAUGUCUCUUACUGAUUUACCGCUAUCGUUUUGGGGUUAUGCUUUAGAGACGACCGCAUUCACGUUAAAUAGGGCACCAUCAAAAUCCGUUGAGACGACGCCUCAUGAACUGUGGUUUGGCAAGAAACCAAAGUUGUCGUUUCUUAAAGUUUGGGGCUGCGAUGCUUAUGUGAAGAAACUUCAACCAGAUAAGCUCGAACCCAAAUCGGAGAAAUGUGUCUUCAUAGGAUACCCAAAAGAGACUGUUGGGUACACCUUCUAUCACAGAUCUGAGGGCAAGAUUUUUGUUGCUAAAUUCGGAUCCUUUCUAGAGAAGGAGUUUCUCUCGAAAGAAGUGAGUGGGAGGAAAGUAGAACUUGAUGAGGUAACUGUACCUGCUCCCUUAUUGGAAAGUAGUCCAUCACAAGAACCUGUUCCUAUGACAACUACACCAAUUAGUGAGGAAGCUAAUGAUAUUGAUCAUGAAACUUCAGAUCAAGUUUCUACUGAACCGCGUAGGUCUACCAGAGUAAGAUCCGCACCAGAGUGGUACGGUAAUCCUAUUCUGGAAGUCAUGUUACUUGACCAUGCGAACCUACGAACUAUGACGAAGCGAUGAUGAGCCCAGAUUCCGCAAAAUGGCUAGAAGCCAUGAAAUCUGAGAUGGGAUCCAUGUAUGAGAACAAAGUAUGGACUUUGGUUGACUUGCCCGAUGAUCGGCAAGCCAUUGAGAAUAAAUGGAUCUUUAAGAAGAAGACUGACGCUGAUGGUAAUAUAACUGUCUAUAAAGCUCGACUUGUUGCAAAAGGUUUUCGACAAGUUCAAGGGUUGACUACGAUGAGACUUUCUCACCCGUAGCGAUGCUUAAGUCUGUCCGAAUCAUGUUAGCAAUUGCUGCAUUUUAUGAUUAUGAAAUUUGGCAAACGGAUGUCAAAAUUGCAUUCUUGAAUGGAUUUCUGGAAGAAGAGUUGUAUAUGAUACAACCAGAAGAUUUUGUCGAUCCAAAAGGUGCUAACAAAGUGUGCAAGCUCCAGCGAUCCAUUUAUGGAGUGGUGCAAGCAUCUCGGAGUUGGAAUAAACGCUUUGAUAGUGUGAUCAAAGCAUAUGGUUUUAUACAGACUUUUGGAGAAGCCUGUAUUUACAAGAAAGUGAGUGGGAGCUGUGUAGCAUUUCUGAUAUUAUAUGUAGAUGACAUAUUAUUAAUUGGAAAUGAUAUAGAAUUUCUGGAUAGCAUAAAGGGAUACUUGAAUAAAAGUUUUUCAAUGAAAGAGCUCGGUGAAGCUGCUUACAUAUUGGGCAUUAAGAUCUAUAGAGAUAGAUGAAGACGCUUAAUUGGACUUUCACAAAGCACAUACCUUGAUAAAGUUUUGAAAAGGUUCAAAAUGGGUCAGGCGAAGAAAGGGUUCUUGCCUGUAUUACAAGGUGUGAAGUUGAGUCAGACUCAAUGCCCGACCACUGCAGAAGAUAGAGAGAAAAUGAAAGAUGUUCCCUAUCCUUCAGCCAUAGGCUCUAUCAUGUAUGCAAUGCUGUGUACCAGACCUGACGUAUGCUUAGCAAUAAGCUUGGCAGGAAGGUACCAAAGUAAUCCAGGAGUGGAUCACUGGACAGCGGUCAAGAACAUCCUGAAAUACCUGAAAAGGACUAAGGAUAUGUUUCUCGUAUAUGGAGGUGACAAACAGCUAGUCAUAAAUGGUUACGUCGAUGCAAGCUUUGACACUGAUCCGGACGAUUCUAAAUCGCAAACCAGAUACGUGUUUUUAUUAAACGGUGGAGCUGUAAGUUGGUGCAGUUCUAAACAAAGCGUCGUGGCGGGAUCUACAUGUGAAGCGGAGUACAUAGCUGCUUCGGAAGCAGCAAAUGAAGGAGUCUGGAUGAAGGAGUUCAUUUCCGAUCUAGGUGUCAUACCUAGUGCAUCGGGACCAAUGAAGAUCUUCUGUGACAAUACUGGUGCAAUUGCCUUGGCAAAGGAAUCCAGAUUUCACAAGAGGACCAAGCACAUCAAGAGACGCUUCAAUUCCAUCCGGGACCAAGUCCAAGUGGGAGACAUAGAGAUUUGCAAUAUACAUACAGAUCUGAAUGUUGCAGACCCGUUGACUAAGCCUCUUCCAUGAGCAAAACAUGAUCAGCACCAAGACUCCAUGGGUGUUAGAAUCAUUACUGUGUAAUCUAGAUUAUUGACUCUAGUGCAAGUGGGAGACUGAAGGAAAUAUGCCCUAGAGGCAAUAAUAAAGUUAUUAUUUAUUUCCUCAUAUCAUGAUAAAUGUUUAUUAUUCAUGCUAGAAUCGUAUUAACCGAAAACAUGAUACAUGUGUGAAUAUAUAGACAAACAUAACGUCACUAGUAUGCCUCUACUUGACUAGCUCAUUAAUCAAAGAUGGUCAUGUUUCCUAACCAUAGACAUGUGUUGUCAUUUGAUUAACGGGAUCACAUUAUUAGGAGAAUGAUGUGAUUGACAUGACCCAUUCCGUUAGCCUAGCACUUGAUCGUUUAGUAUGUUGCUAUUGCUUUCUUCAUGACUUAUACAUGUUCCUGUAACUAUGAGAUUAUGCAACUCCCGUUUACCAGAGGAACACUUUGUGUGCUACCAAACGUCACAACAUAACUGGGUGAUUACAAAGGAGGUCUACAGGUGUCUUCGAAGGCACAUGUUGGGUUGCCAUAUUUCGAGAUUAGGAUUUGUCACUCCGAUUGUCGGAGAGGUAUCUCUGGGCCCUCUCGGUAAUGCACAUCACUAUAAGUCUUGUAAGCAAUGUAGCUAAUGAGUUAGUUAUGGAAUGAUGCAUUACGUAACAAGUAAAGAGACUUGCCGGUAACGAGAUUGAACUAGGUAUUGGAUACCAGCGAUCGAAUCUCGGGCAAGUAACAUACCGAUGACAAAGGGAACAACGUAUGUUGUUAUGUGGUUUGACCGAUAAAGACCUGCGCAGAAUAUGUAGGAGCCAAUAUGAGCAUCCAGGUUCCGCUAUUGGUUAUUGACCGAGAAUAGUUCUACGUCAUGUCUACAUAGUUCUCGAACCCGUAGGGUCCGCACGCUUAACGUUACGAUGACAGUUUUAUUAUGAGUUUAUAAGUUUUGAUGUACCGAAGGUUGUUCGGAGUCUCGGAUGUGAUCACGGACAUGACGAGGAGUCUCGAAAUGGUCGAGACAUAAAGAUUGAUAUAUUGGAAGCCUAUAUUUGGAUAUCGGAAUGGUUCCGGGUGAAAUCGGGAUUUUACCGGAGCACCGGGGGGUUACCGGAACCCUCCCGGGAGUUAUUGGGCCUUCAUGGGCCCUAAGGGAGAAGAGGAGAGGAGGCAAGAGGUGGGAUGCGCCCCCUCCCCUCCCUAGUCCGAAUAGGACAAGGAGAGGGGGGCGGCGCCCCCGAUUUUCCUUCCCCUCUUCCUCCUCCUUCCCCCUUCUCCUUCUCCAACUAGGAAAGAAGGGAGUCCUACUCCCGGUGGGAGUAGGACUCCCCCUUGGCGCGCCCUCCUUGGUCAGCCGGCCCCUCCCCCUUGGAUCCUUUAUAUACGGGGGCAAGGGGGCACCUCUAAACACACAAGUUGAUCUUCGUGAUCGUUCCUUAGCCGUGUGCGGUGCCCCCCUCCACCAUAUUCCACCUCGGUCAUAUCGUUGCGGUGCUUAGGUAAAGUCCUGCGUCGGUAGAACAUCAUCAUCGUCACCACGCCGUCGUGCUGACGGAACUCAUCCCCGACACCCUGCUGGAUCGGAGUCUGGGGAUCGUCAUCGAGCUGAACGUGUGCUGAACUCGGAGGUGCCAUACGUUCGGUGCUUGGAUCGGUCGGAUCAUGAAGACGUACGACUACAUCAACCGCGUUGUCAUAACGCUUCCGCUUAUGGUCUACGAGGGUACGUGGACAACACUCUCCCCUCUCAUUGCUAUGCAUCACCAUGAUCUUGUGUGUGCGUAGGAUUUUUUUUUUGAAAUUACUACAUUCCCCAACAUUGAGGACCAAAGAUCAAGUACUAGGUGUAUUCAAGCAAUUCCAAGCCUCGGUUGAGAGAGAAACUGAGAAGAAGAUCAAGUGCAUUCGCACUGAUAAUGGAGGAGAGUACAUUGGGCCAUUUGCUGCAUAUUGCAAGCAGCAAGGUAUUAGGCAUCAAUUUACUCCCUCGAAGACACCACAGCUGAAUGGUCUUGCUGAGAGGAUGAACAGGACAACUGUGGAGAGAGUUAGAUGCUUGUUGUCAAAUGCAAAGCUAUGCAAACACCUUUGGGGCGAGGCUUUGAUGACUGCGGUUUAUCUUAUUAAUCUCUCACCAAGUUAUCCUUUGCAGGGAGAUGUUCCUAACAGGGUUUGGUGUGACAAGGACGUCUCAUAUGACCACCUGAAGGUUUUUGGGUGCAAGGCCUUUGUUCAUAUUCCUCAAGAUGAAAGGUCAAAGCUUGAUUUGAAGACACGACAAUGUAUCUUUCUUGGUUAUGGUGGUGAUGAGUUUGGCUACAAACUGUUUGACCCUAUAGCAAGGAAAGUUGUGAGAAGUUGUGAUGUUGUGUUUGUUGAAGACCAAACAAUUCAGGAUAUUGUGAAGACAAAGGGGCAGGUUCCUCCUUAGCAGCAGCAAGAGAUGAUUGAUUCUGACCCAGUUCCUGUAGCUCCAGCUCUUGUGCAAGAUGAAGCAGAUGCAGAAGAUGUACAAGAUGAUGUACAUGGUGGUGCAGGUGAAGAAGAUGCUCCCCAGCAGCAGCAACAAGAGUAUGAUGCUGAAGUUGAUGAUCCGGAUCAGUAGGAAGCACCAGCACCAGAAAGUCCACCAGCCGCUCCACUCAGAAGAUCCAACAGGGGUCGAAUUCCCUCCAGCAGGUAUCCCUCAGAUCAAUACGUGGUGUUAUUAUCUAACGGUUCAGAACCUGAAUGCUUUGCAGAUGCAAUGGAAGAUGAGCACAAGGAGUGGAAAAAUGCUAUGCAAGAAGAGAUGGAUUCCUUGCAUAAGAAUCAUACUUAUGAGUUGGUGAAGUUGCCCAAGGGCAAGAAAAUUUUGAAGAACAAGUGGGUCUACAGAAUCAAGCAAGAAGAGCACACAUCACAUCCAAGGUACAAGACCAGGCUAGUUGUAAAAGGAUUCGGCCAGAGAAAAGGCAUUGACUAUGAUGAGAUCUUUUCUCCGGUUGUGAAGAUGACAUCCAUAAGAGUAAUCCUUGGCAUGGCAGCAAGUCUUAACUUGGAGGUUGAGCAAAUGGAUGUGAAGACUGCAUUCCUUCAUGGUGAGUUGGAGGAAGAAAUAUACAUGGAGCAACCUGAGGGGUUUCUUGUGAAAGGCAAAGAAGACUAUGUGUGCAAGCUGAACAAAAGUCUCUAUGGCCUGAAACAAGCACCAAGACAAUGGUACAUGAAGUUUGAAACUGUCAUGGGGGAGCAAGGCUACAAGAAGUGUAGCUCAGACCAUUGUGUGUUUAUUCAGAGGUUCUCAGGUGAUGAUUUGAUCAUAUUAUGUCUCUAGGAUUGCUAAGUUGAAGAAGGAGUUGAGCAAAUGUUUUGCCAUGAAAGACUUAGGUCCAGCAAAGAACAUUCUCAGAAUGAGAAUUGAGCGAGACAGAAAUUGCAGCAAGUUGUACUUGUCUCAAGAGAAGUAUAUUGAGAAAGUACUUCAGAAGUUCAGGAUGGAAAAUGCUAAAGUUGUGAGUUGUCCACUACCAGCUCAUUUCAAGUUGAGCAGAAAGCAAUGUCCUACCACUGAUGAGCAGAAAAAGGAAAUGCAUCAUGUUCCUUAUGCUUCAGCGGUUGGGAGUUUGAUGUAUGCUAUGGUGUGUACAAGGCCUGACAUUGCCCAUGCGGUUAGUACUGUGAGCAGAUUUAUGUCCAAUCCAGGAAGACCUCAUUGGGAAGCCGUGAAGUGGAUUUUGAGAUAUCUCCGGGGCAGCACAAAUCUGAAAGUUUGCUUUGGUGAUGGUGAGGCAAAGCUGAUUGCUUUUUCAGAUUCUGACAUGGCUGGAGAUGUUGACAGAAGGAAGUCUAUUUCAGGUUACUUGGUUACCUAUGCAGAGGGAGCGGUGUCAUGGCAAAACAGGCUGCAGAAGUGUGUGGCACUGAAUACAACUGAAGCUGAAUUCAUUGCUGUAAUAGAGGCGAACAAAGAGCUAUUGUGGCUGAAACAUUUGGUUUGUGAGCUUGGUUUUAACAAGACAAGUAUGUGUUAUUUUGUGACAACCAAAGUGCUAUCCACUUGAGUAAGAAUGCAAGUUUUCAUUCAAGGUCUAAGCAUAUAGAAGUCCAUUAUCAUUGGAUUCGAGAUGUGUUGUAUUCCAAGAAAAUGCAACUUGAGAAGGUUCACACCGAUGACAAUGAGGCUGAUAUGUUGACUAAAGUGGUGACAAGGAAGAAGCUCGAAGUAUGCCGUCGGCUCGUUGGCAUGGCUGCCGGAAGGCAGUGAGACCCUCCAUGAUGUCGGGAGGGGGAGUUUGUUGGGCUAAGUCCCUCCACAUGGAGGUGUGUUGGCAGCCUAACAUCAGCCCAUAAGUCCAACAUAUGUCAGCCGUUGAUCUUCGCUGCAUCCAACGGUUGAGAGCGCUUCCAAGGGAAGUGAAGCAAGAAGAAAACCCUAGCCACUCCACCCCUUGCUGGUGGUGGCUGCCAUUCGUGAGAGUGAGAGGGAGAGCACACAAGAGAAAACACAACCUGAGAGAGGAAGAAGAAGAAGCAGAGGUUCUGUCCAGAUUUGUUGCAUCUGACUAGACAGUGUUCAAGCUGGUGGUUGGAGGCUCAAACGUGCUUGGAUCGACCCCAAACUUGGUGAGCUCGUUCCUUACUUUGAGUACUUCGAUCCGGUUAGCUGGUUUGAGGUUGGGUCAGUGGAGCAUCAGAUUUGAGAGUGGUUUUGUCAGCUCUGACUGCUGCAGUUUCAGAACAGAGUAGUUUUGGGAGACGAACAGUUUGGGUAGGCAAACGAUGUCCUAUUGAGCUGAAAUUUGGAGGGGGUCUCAAGAACUCGCGUGUCUACUUGUCUGCCAAAUUUGGUGCUGUUUGGUUCAGCAGUUUAAGAGCAGUUUGCAAAACACUGGAGGGUACAGAAGCUGUGUAAACUCUGCUUUGCUGAAAUCUUACUUCUUGUGGUUGUUGUUGCUGUUGCCGGUUGGCAACGUGGAGAGUGUGUUGUAAAUCUCUGUAGAGGUUCUAGAGAAGACUUUGUACUCAUCAUUCUCAUAGUGAAGUUGUGUGGACCGGUCGGUCCACAGCCGUGGUUUUUUACUCCUCAAGUUGAGGAGGUUUUUCCACGUUAAAUCAUGUGUCACAUGUGCAUGUUGUUUGUGUUAUUCCGCUGCUUACUUGUUGGUUGAAUCUGUCCUUAAAGUUCAUCACAAGUGAAGGAGGCUGUGUAGUGUGCAUAUUUGCCGUGUCGGUGAAUUUGUGCAGCGCAUUGUUGCUGUCCAGCCCAACAAAUAUCUGGGUAGGUCGUAACGAUGUGAUUCAUGCAGCUGGGAAAGAGACAGUGACGGGAUCAGUGCGCUUCCUAGUCAGACAUGAAGCUGAAAUAAAAGAUGCCCAGACACCCACUGAAACUGAGGUAGUGGGGAAUCUACAACAUGAACGCGCCUGUCGUAGCCUUGUCGCCCCAUCCAUGCACUGGUCCCCGCCGGCCCCUGGUUGGGCAAAGCUAAAUUCAGACGCUGCCUUCCUAGUGGACACGGGUGAUUGCUGGGGUGGAGCUGUGGCUCGCAACUCCCAAGGCCUCGUUUUCAUCUCGGUUUGCCAAAGCCUGAAAAAAUGCAGAUCAGUAGAGGAGGCCGAGGCAGAGGUUGUCCUUGGUGGACUGAAGGAAUUAGCAAAGAGAUACCGGGGGAGAAUCAUAGUGGAGACUGACAACGCUUGGGUUGGCAGAGAACUGAGGAACAACACGACUUGCCUUUCAGAAUACUACCCCACCCUGACGGAUAUCAAACAAACACCGGAGCUAUUUGCUGAUUACCAGAUCAGUGUGGUUUGGAGGAACCUCAAUAAACUGGCCCAUGAGCUGGCCUUCUUAGCGAGAACCUCAGGCAACCAGGCACUAGUUGGUACGUACAGUCCCGGAGAAUCUUAAAGAGAUGUUUUUAGUUGAGUGUAAUCCCAACCAUUGAGUAGCCUGUUACUCUUUGGAUCAGAGAGAGAGAGAGAGAGAGAGAGAGAGAGAGAGAGAGAGAUGGUCGGUUAUAGAGAAGAAUAAAAUACUAGAAGAGAGAUUCACCGUUUUCUCUGAUUGCUAGCUAGGGGCCUAGUGCUGAUGUCCCUCCGGUCAUUUUCUGAGAUAUUCAUUAUUUCUAUUCUCUAAUAUUUAUAGUACAAAGUUUGCCAAAACUCCAUGUUUUGCUUUCUAAAUUAAACGAGUAGACGUGCGCGCGCACACACACAGGCUGUGUGUACCGCUAGCUUACAUGCCAGAUUAUCUAUUUUUGUCUGAGCCAGCAUUCCAUGAUCCGUCUUUGGUGCAUCGUUGCGAGAGAUUUUGUUUAUGUUGUUGACGAACCGACUAGUAACUACUACUGCUACUUAUUUCUAGGUCACUAGUUUUCUACUUCCUCCGUUCCUAAAUAUAAGUCUUUUGAGAGAUUUCAUUGUAGACUACAUACGGAGCAAAAUAAGUGAACUUAUACUUAAAAGGCGUCUAUAUACAUCUGAAUGUAGUCUCUACAGUGAAAUCUCUUAAAAGACUUAUAUUUAGGAACGGAGGAAGUACAUCACUAGUUAAAAUUUAUAGUAUAAAAAAAUGAUGUUAUUGAUUUUUUAUGCUCAUAAUAAUGAGUUCUAGCUACUAUUUUCCAGAGGAAGGAACGACGUCGUCUGUUUCCCUCAAGUCACCCAAGACCGAGUUUACUUUGCUCUUGAACAAGUUUGAGAUAGGACAAACCCAGUACUUCAAUUAUUUGAAACGGAGGUAGUAGAAUGCAAGGUGAAUUACACAGAAUGACAAAUGCAACGUCUAGAACCCAACAGUUAUUUAGGACGCAAGCUGGUACAUUUUAUAGACUUACAUGACGAGAUGAUGUUGAUGAUUAAACAAAAUAAAUAAAAUAACGGCUGAGGACUCCAACUUUACAUGACGAGAACAACAACGAAACAACAGUCACAAAUCCACCAAGAACGGCUGAAACAAGUAAGCAAACAAACUGAACCAGAUGAUGACCGCCAAGAACAGCUGCAAGCACAGUUAUCACUCGUAUCUCACUUUGACGGUCAACUGAUUGGACUGGCCGCGCCUCCGAUUCUCAUUCUUUAGCUCCUCCAAUGCAAGUUUCAGGGCUUUGUUGUCUUUCCGACCAAAGAACUGCACCUCUUUUAGGUUGGUCAAGUGCUCGAUGCCAACAAUUUUCUUCUCAAUGUUAGCAAAAUCCAGCUCAAACACCUCAACCUUUGGCAUGCAUCCUUUCUCAAAUUCGUAAACCUCAACUCCAGGAGAAUUUGUCAGUUUCAGAUCCGUGAGCACUGGAAAGAUCUGGGUCUCGCGUACAACCAGCCUUUUCUCUGCGUAGAAGUGUGUCUCCAGGGUGAGCCUCUUCAGGUUGGGCAACUUACACAGUGUGUCUAAUAGUUGGUCACCCUCAAGGUAUGCCCACGCUAUGACAAACUCAACAAGAUUAGUGAGUAGCCCAACCCAGGCAGGCAAUCCACCGCCAACAAGGCCACCACAGAUCCUAAGGUAUCGAAGGAGCCUUGGUGGCGAGGGGAGCUUAUGUAGAAAGUUCAUUACCUUUCGGUCAUAACCCGUGUCCCCAAUGUUCAAGCAUCGGAGGGAGUAUAGCUUGCCUAUUGAAUGGAUAAGCUGUAGAUGGACAUGCUGAUGAUUGUCAGAGUCACUGGCGACAUAGAUACGCAAGUCUUGCAAUUUUUCCAGCUCACCGACCUCCCGAGCAACUACAAGGUUUGAUCUGAUAACCACUUUGUUCGCCUUGCGCAGUGACUUCAUUUUCUUCACUCCCUCGGGCAGUGUCCACCCAUUGGAGAACUGCAGGCUCUCGAGUUGCUCUAGAUCUGUCAAACUCUCCGGUAGAUCUUUAAGCCACGUGUUGCGUGCAUCAAGGGUCUGCAAAUGCUCCAGUUUACCAACUUCCGAAGGCAUCUCACUGAUAUUUGUACCCUUCAAGCUCAAGAACCUUAGAAGGUACAUCCGGCAGAUGUGGCGCAUAUGUUUGUUUUCUAGGCCCUUGCAAUCUUCCAGGUCAAGCACCCUAAGCAGGGUGAACUCACGUAGCCGACCAAGCAGUUUGUCUCCUUCAAACUCAAACAGGCUCAAUGAUCGGGCAUGCUGCACAUUCAUCCCCUCGAUGCCAUCCUUACGACCAUGCCUCGCUGUCUUCUUCUGGGAUGGAGAUUCUUUGGCAAUCUCCCCACCUCCAUGAAUUGAGAGGCGACGAAUCCUAUCGUAUGACAUCCCCUCGUACUGCCCACCUAUGAGGCUAACAAAGUUAGCCUCGAGGGAUUUCGAAACCAUGACCUCGAGUGUCAUGUCAUGCACUCGACACGUCUCCACCCUCCCAUCAUAGUAGGUGACUACAUCAGAGUCCCGAUCAAUCAUGCUUCUACUCACCAGCUCAUUGAAGUAUGAUUCUGCUACCUCCAUCAUUGUCAACCCCCGCUUCUCAGCAACCAAUCCUUCAGCAAUCCAUCUCAUCAACAAUCGAUCCUUGACAAUCACAUAAUCCUCUGGGAAAAUGCUAAGAUACAUCAUGCAACCCUUAAGAUGAUGAGGCAGGUGGUCAUAGCUCAAUGUAACUAUUUGUCUCAUCCCCUCAAGGGUAGGGUGGCUGUCCAUCUGUGAACCAAUUGAUUUGAAAACUAUUUCCCACAUAUGUUUGCUUUCAGGUGAGCUGUAGCUUGCCAAAAGGCUGGCAACACUUAUAAUUGCCAAUGGCAGUCCACCACAUUUUUUUAAGACUUUCUCCAUAACCUCUUCCAAGUCCUUGGGGCAAGAGUCACUCACUGAGCUAAAUGCUCUUCUUAGGAACAGCUUCUUGGAGUCUGAUGGAUUCAGAGCUUGUAUAUUAUAGAUGUCACCACUAGCAUCACUGCAUGCCUUUGCAACAUUAUCUAUCCGAGUGGUAACAAUGAUUCUGCUGCUGCACUUGUUGUCCGGUAACUUGGAAAAGAUUGCAUCCCAGGCUGCAAUGGUCCAUACGUCAUCAAUCACAAUGAGGUACCUAAUUUCAUAUAGUUAUAUAUGUUAGGCUUAGAGAAAGACUUGUCUUGUACAAAAUCAAGGCAUCAGUCAUUUCACUAGGUUUGAUAAAACCACAUCUGUUGACUUUUCAUGUAAACAUGUAGAACUAUACAUUUUAUUAUAUGUUUUCCUUAACUUGAUAGCACAAAUGACUAAUGAGGAAAAGAUGGAUGCGAUGGGAUGAACUUUUAUAUCACUCCUAGCACUAACCUCCUAGACUAGAAAGGAAGGGAACACAUUAGACAUAGGUUAAUUUGAAAGCAAUAUAUUCGUUGUUGCACGUAGCCUCGACCAAUUUGGAUUUCUCGUCAUAAUGUUUUCUUUAUUAUAUUAUUCCAUCAACUACAAAUUAUUUGUUCAUAUACUAAUAUGCUACAUUCCUUCUCUUUGCUAUGAUGAUGGCAAGAGGCAUAAUAAGACAUUUUAUUUUACAGAGAGAGUACAUGCUAAUAUUGAAUAUUCCUACUUCAGCCAUGGACACGAGAGUAUAGUAAGAUAUGCUUUCAUUCGGCUUUCCAUUUGUUCAUGUUAAUCUGCCUUUAUGUUUUCAUGCUUGAUCACUUGUCAGUUAUCACCUCAGGGUAACAAACUGUUCGAUAGCGUGUCAAUUGCGGCUGGGAAAAAAAUGCUCCAUUAAUGAAAAAAGGUACUAGUACGGCAUACCAAAUAGUAGUGGUUUAUACUGCAACACUGCUAAUCAUGGUUAACCAAGGGAUGCUACCACUGGAGCCCAAAAAAUUAUAGUUUGCCAGUUGAUUGGUUCUCUCUAGCUUUAGUACUAGAUUAGUUGUGGAGAUUGACAUAUACUACAUUAUAAGGGUAGGUGUGCCAUGACAUAUUAGGUUAAUCUUUUGGGAAGAGUGGACCCAUGACAAAUAAUAUUAAUCAAGAGUGGACCCAAGAUCGUUGUACGUUUAGCACUGCUCUUUGAUGAAUCCCAAAAUACAUCCAUUAUUACUAGGUCUGUUAUUGAUCAAACUAUCUUAAGUUUGAUUAAGUUCUGUAAGAUAUAGUACAUAAACAUCUUGAACAAGAAAGUACUAUCAUUAUAUUAGAUUCAUCAUGAAAAUAUAUUUAAUUGUUCAUUUACUUGGCGUUCCUUCUUCCCAAAACUAUUCCUAUAUGCAAAAAUGUUUAUUUUAUCAUGGGUCUGUGUAGGGCACAUCUAGAUGUGUCCGAUGUAUUGCACAUCAAAAGUUACUCGACCAACAUAAGAAAGAAAAAGAAAAAGAAAAAAGAAAAAAUACCCGCAUGAAUGUUCACGUAAAUUCAAUUGUAUAGGACUUUGAUGUGUAAUACUUAAGGCACAUCUAGAUGUGCCUUAGCAAACCUGAUUUUUCAUUCAAAUGUGUUCCUUCUUUUCCUUAAAAUUGUUCUUUUUCCCGAAAAUCGUUUCCUCCUCCCCUCAAAUGUUCUUUCUCAUAAUAAUUGUUCCCUUUUUAAGGAAAUAUCCACUACAUUUUCAUAUAUAGUAUUAAAAGAGCAAUAUUUGCAAAAUAUCCAAUGCUAGCAAUGUCAACACAUAGAGCUAAAAAGAGAAAACAUACAUAAAAUGUAUAUAGGGAACAAGGUAAAAAGAACUAGGUAACUUGCGGCAAUAAUGAUAUCAGGCAUUUGUUUAGAUUUUUGGGUACCUCUUGUUUUCGAGGAGCUCCUUUAGCUUGUCAGACAGUUUCUCCUCGUCCAUGCUCUCGAUGCCUUUGAUAGAAUCCUCUUCUGUGAUGCCUUGGUCAUUAUCUGACUUGGGCUUGACGAUCUGCUGCAGCACGCGUAUGAGAAGUCCCUUGAGGCCCUUCCUGCCGUCGAACGCCUGGGACACGGACACUUGCGCUUGACGUUGGAAAUCUGCCUCCAGCUGCCGGCACACCUCCAUGGCCAGCGUAGUCUUGCCGAGGCCCCCGAAGCCCACGAUGGAGAAAACCUUGAGCUUCAUGUCACCCUCCACGUUGUCCUUCACCUUAUUGGCCAGGGGGGUAGCCUUCUCCGUGAUGCCGACGAACUGACACGGGUCGUCGGCAGGGCGGAGCGCACGCGCGGACACGGCCACCGCCCGCAAGGAUACAGAAGGAGGGCGGCGCAGUGGCUCGAGGUUGACGCCGUAACGAGCGUGCUGCUCGUUGAUGGCGGCGGCAUGGGCACGGAGGGCCCUGAUGUCACCGGCGAGGCGGCGCCGAGACAUGAGCGUCUCAAGCAGGUGCUUGCACCAGACGAAAUAGCGGUCGCCCGAUCGGCACCGGACGCGGAAUAAGUAGAGGUCGACGCAGUCCUCGGCGUCGUAGGCGACCUCCCGCAGCUGCUUCAUCCACUCCCGGACGAAGUGGUCCACGGCACCCUCCUCUGCUUCAGACUGCAUGCGGAGGAGGGCGUUCAUGGUGGCCAGCUCGUCCCUCAGACGAGCGACCUCGCCGCCCACUCCGCGGAGCUGCCGGAACUCCUCCCCCACCAGCUGCCCAACGUUGCUCACGAGGGCCUGCGCGGCACCCUCCAUUACUCUUCUCUCUCUUGGUUGGUUAUCAAAAGUCAGAAGAGUGAAUUUUGCUUUGCUACAGGAAGCGCAAAUGGACACAUCUAUCUUAUAGUACUGGUAUUGUCUGAUUAGUCUUGUUGACGAAGAUUAGGCCAAGGGAGUACGGUCAUAGAGAAUCCAAGAAAACAGAAGUAACGUGCGGGCAUGUGAGGAAGCCUUGUAAGAUACUAUUGUGUCAAGAUAAAAAUUAGAAGAGAAAACAACAACGGAUGAAUUGGCAUGAAUGAUGGGAGCCAGGGUUAGGGGUAGUUGACUCUCUUUUUUCCCGGAUGAAGACAACUCAUUAAUAUCAAGAUGAUACAAAAUACAACCGGCCUCUCCAAGAACACAAUGUCAAGAGCAAACUGAGACAUCGAGGUUGCACUUUGAGAUAAAUAAACAUUCGUCUUUUAAAUAAACCUCGAAAGAGGCUCUCGUCCCGCUUUAUAGAUAAAUCACAUAACAAAGUACACGGUCAAAUGAUACAAAGAUUAUUGCAGUAUUUGGUUUGGAACAAGUAUAGUAAAAAAGAAGUGUUGUCUCAGCUAGCUAUUAAACUUAAACAAAAUCAAUCUUACUUCCUGAAUGGUAUCUUGGAAUCUGGUAGCAGUGGAUGUAAUGGUUGUUGUUUGGUCGACAUGGUGAACAAGAAACAUCUUGCUUAAGUGGUAUUUUCCCCCUUAGGAACUGGUGAUAUAUUAGAGUAAUAUAAUCUAAUUAGUCUCUACCUACAGAACUCCUUGCCGGCGAGAUAUGCAGGUAGAGGCUUGCAAUGCUCGCUUAUGUGGGCUUUUCCCUUAGAAUCGAGGAUGCGGGGUAUCUGAGAGUUGACACGUAACUCCUCGUGCCGAAGAUUUGACUACGAUUAAUCGACAGUGGCAAGCUAGGCAUGUAAGGACGAGACGCCAGGACUACAAAUUUGGUUGAUCAUGCGUAAUGGCCUAGUAAGACCACUUCCUCGUGAGAAAUGCACCGAUAUAUACGCAACUUGUGUUUAUCCACUUGAAUUUACUAAAUAAUUUACUACUCCCUCCGUAAAGAAAUAUAAGAGCGUUUAGAUCACUAAAGUAGUGAUCUAAAUGCUCUUAUAUUUCUUUACAGAGGGAGUAGUUAGAAAGAUUCAGUUGCGUCUCGAGUCUUCAACCAUUUUUGCUUUGUUUUCGCUUUUGCAUUUGCGUAUCAAGGAGAAGUUUUCUAGUAUUAUUCUACAAAGUAAAUCUGAAAGUAAGAUAAUGCUACUUGUAAGUGUGAUGCGCAUGUUACUGAAGUUGAUCCCAUUAUGUUAGACCUAGCUAUGAAUGGGACGUAUGAACUACUACCGUGUUUAAUUAGCCGUUGCGUCCGCUUCCUCCCAACCUGCAGCCUAUGAGCCUGGCCCCUUUUGUUUCACCCAGUACUCCACUAACGGCUCUCAUAAAUAAACUGUAUGUUGGUUUCCUGGACCCAACGCAAGGAAUUAAACAAAAGACUCAUAGAGUCGUAAACGAGGUCAGGUCGCCUAAGGCUGCUCAUAGUGGACACUAUCAUAUACUAGUAUAAUGCAUAUAAUAGUAGUGUAUGAUACUACAUCCAUAAUGCAUAGUAUCAUAUGUAAUUAAAUAUAUUGUCAUGCAUGACACAUAGUAGCAUAACAUUUAUUAUGAUACGGUAUCUACCUACGUUAUUAUAACCCCCCUCUCUCUUCUUUAAUUGUUUGCCACAUAAGCAUGUUUGCGAGUCCCAAGUGCAUGAUACCGCUUAUGUUACCUCCACUAUGGUCAGCCUUAAGAGCAUGGUUAAUAAGAGAGGCAACAACCGGCUCUACAGUCAUGUCCAUGUCACCUAUAGUCUUCAUAAAGCCAAGACCAUAUAAUAGGAUAGCUAUAAGUUGGCUGUUGGGUUGGAUUUAACUAUUAAUCUUUUCAUGCUGGGAUUGGAGGAAAAGCAAAGCCCUAGUUUACAGCCAGCAGCUCGGGCUGCAAGCCAGCUAUUGUGCCUCGUAACGUGCGUAUAGGCGGGCAACUACUGAAGCGCCGGCACUGCUCUCCCUCCUCACUUCUCUCUCUUCCAUAUAGAUUUUUUGUGACAUGGCAAGUCUUAUAGCCUGCUAAGUAGAAUUUAUUAUACUCCCUCCGUCCGGAAUUACUUGUCAUCAAAAUGAAUGAAAAUAGAUGCUCUAGAACUAAAAUACAUCUAGAUACAUCCAUUUCAAUGACAAGUAUUUCCGGACGGAGGGAGUACUUGCUCUAAAGAAUAUCGGGUGUGAUCCAUGUGCCAACUGCCAGAGGCAUGACAUGUGACGUGAGUAAACGUGCCAAUUUUAUAAGGACGCCGGAGUUUGGUAGUUAUCCAAUGGCAAAGUUCUUCGGCCAAAGAAAAGAGUAUAUAGAAGUAGUGAUUCGGUGCUCGAGCGCACCUGCUCCCGAAAUCGCUGGCGUUGGUUCGCGUCCUGGGAUCCGCAAAAUUCGGUCUGACUCACCUGCACGAAUGCAUCGAAAAAUUGAGAUACGUCUCGGGUACGUAGCGAACAGUGCGGCUAAGUAGGCCCAGACCGUAUGGACGGAGGGCCGGCCGCGCGAGGUUAUUCCUGGUCCGUGGACCAUCACGUUUACUUUUUUGUGCUGAGCCCAGUGAGCCGUGGUACAGAAGCUUGGAUCUCGAAACCAGCCGCCGCCGUUGACGGCUAUCGCCAUUCCCCUAGGUCGUGGAAUGCCGCGGUUCCUCCGGCUAGCCGGCGAUGGAGGAUGCCAUUGACCGGUAAGUGAACCCUGGGCAGUUGGAGAUCUGCUAGUUAUCCUGUGCCCCUGUCGGUUCCACCGGCUGACUCUUGCUGCACCGCACCCCAUGGCCGCGACUUGCAGGUUUCCCCUCCGGGGAAGAAUUCGUCGACAGCUUGGACUAUCCAGAUCCGGUUCCUCUGGUGGUUCUCCCGCGGCGUGAUGCCACGAACAAUGAGCCGGCGGACUCGAAUGCGGACUCCGGGUGCGGCCAGCAUGUUGGCGGUGCUAGCCCGGGGAGGCCGUAGGGCGACGGUCGCCGGCGGCGGCAUGCUUCUACGACAAGGCCAGCGCAAUCGACAGACAGGUUCAAUCCUGAUGCGUUGGGUUGGACAAAAAGGUACAGAAGCCAAUCCUGAGGUGUUUUAUGAAUGCUGCUCUAUGGCCUACGACGCUGUGAAGGUCAUUGCCAUGGUAGUUAUAUGUGCGAUUGCUGAAGAAACAAAAUUAAAAUGAUCGAUCAUGUGAUGUAUAAAGGAGAUGAGUAGGUUGUUUUGCUAGGCCAGCGUGCUUUUGAGCCCCUGUUUUCCCCUAUUCCAACUUAAAUAUAUUGUUUUUCCCUGGAAAUUCAGGUUACGUCUUGUGAGUGCACCGGCAGACAGAACGCCUCCAUCUAGGAUAAGUGCCCUAGAGCAGUCAAUUCGCAAGUGUGCGUCCUGAUGCGUGAUGAGCAAGUAGAGAGUUUCGAGUGGGUUUUCCGCGAGUUUUCCGUAUGAUGGGAGGGCCAGCGCCUAGGACGAUACUUACAGGUUAGUACAACUUUUGGCUGUUGUUAUGCAUUCUUACAUCUUACCUGGAAUUGAAUCUGAAUUGAAGGAACAAGCUUUUCCGACUUGACUAGUACUAACUGCUGACAUGGCUGGCAGACCAAAAGAGAGCUAUGGAGGUGGCAAUCAGGAAGGAUUUUCUAGAUGGCGUCCACCAGAGGUGCAAUUUGCAAAUGGCACGUUCUGAAGAAAGCGAAGGAAAGCCUUGGACCACUGUACAUGAAGAAUUGUGAGUUCCAAGUUGGGUUCUAUAAAGUUGUAAACCAUGUUGACUGCGGAUGAGUUUGAGACGGCAUGGGGUAUCCUGCUUGACAAGUACAACCCGAGGAAGCACCUCUAUAUGACCCAGAUAUUUGAAAUAAGAUCAAAGUGGGCAAAGCCGAGCUUCAAAGGUUUUUUCCGUGCCAAGAUGACAAGCAUACAAAGAAACAAAAGUGUGAACAGCCGUACAUGCUGCCUGCAAGCCCGAUGCAAAUUUUUGCUAGGCAAUACAUGAGGCUCCAGUUUCACCAUGAGAUGGAGGAAAGCUACGAGAAGAGGACAAUGAUUGUGAGUUUAAUGGCUGUAGACUACUACCUAAUAGUUAUGGUUGCUACAAAUUGUUCAUAGCUAAUUUUUUUUAUUCCGUUAACAGGGUGUUGUUGUUAGGAGAACAAAUCUUGCAAUAGAGCGUCAUGCUAGCAAAAUAUACACGAGAGCCAUGUUCAAACAGUUCGGUCGGUUACUCAUCGAAGGCACGGCGUACAAUGUUAUGGAGGUUGAGAAGAUGAGGAAGUAUGUUACGAGACACACAGCAAUGCAGCCAAGAGGGAAAAUUGGUGUAGGGUUGUCUACAAAGUGAUUAUGAAGGAUGACGGUUCAGAGUUCGAGUGUGAGUGCGGUCAAUUCAAGCACAUGGGCAUGCUGUGGUGUCCUGUCCUAAGGGUAAAAAUUCAUGAUGCAUAUAGUUUGUUCUCUCACUCUAAGCAAGAAGCAUUUGAGUUCAUUUUCAUUUGUCAGGUCUAGUAGUAGCCGGAAUGACAUUGGUUGUCGUAAUAUAGGUGAUGGACGUACUUCACCUUGAGGAGACUCCUGCAAAACACAUCAUGAAGAGGUGGACGAAGGCUGCAAAAGAUAUUAUGCCCGAACACCUAUUGUAGAACCAGAAAGACCAGUCGGUUAAUAUGUCCUUUACAUGCAAGCAUUUGACUCUCUACAUGCAAGUUAUGGGCGUUUUUCUCCUGGGCAACACGGGUGCGGAAGCUUUUGAGCACAUGUCGGCUGGACUGAAGGCAUUGCUCGUCCGCGAGCGUCAUUCCCGGAGAAGAGGGAUGAUUUGGGCUUUGAGGACCAUCAGAGAAAUUUGCUAGCAGGAGGGUUGCCUUUUUUUUCGAAAAGGGGGGCUCCCCGGCCUCUGCAUCAGAAUGAUGCAUACGGCCAUCUUAUUAACCAAAUAACAAAAAGUGCCAACAAGGUUCCACAGUCUCCAGCGAAAGAAAAAGAAAAAGAUAAAUGCAGCUCACACAAAGCGACAAACGGCUAGACACAAACUAGCCAGGAAAAAGGUGCCACAACCGGCCGGCUAAAAAUAGAUAGGGAAACUAAUUGUCUAUCCUAUUACAUGACCGCCAUCCAAACCGGUUGAAGAUAUCCCGAGCUACCAUCUCCUAACGGAUAGAUCCAGUAACCAAAUGCUCCCUGGACUCCAUCGAAGUGAGUAGCGACCACGAACGGAUCAGUGCCGUAGCUCGGAAAAUAACCUGCAAGAAAUGAAACUGUGAUGUUCUGUUAAAAACUAAAUCAUUUCUGCAAUUCCAGAUAGUCCAUAACAAAGCGCAAAUUCUAACCCGAAUAUGUCUUGCUAAGUCAGGCUCAACCCCGUUAAACCAUGUCCCAAAUAAUGCAUUGACCGAAGUCGGUGGAGUAAUAUUAAAAGCAAUAUGGACCGUCCGCCAAAGAACUUUGCCCACGGGCAAUCAAAGAAUAAAUGCUUAAUCGUCUCAUCCCGAUCACAGAAACUACACCUAGUAGGUCCUGUCCAAUUACGUUUAAUCAAGUUGUCCUUUGUUAAAAUAACUUGUUUAUGGACAAACCACAUAAACACUUUAAUUUUUAAAGGAACUUUGACAGCCCAAACAUACUUGGAAGUUGGAAUAGCAUUCGAAUUAAUAACAUCAAUAUACAUUGAUUUAACUGUAAAAACUCCAGAACUAGUAAACUUUCAGCGUAAUACAUCGGGUUGGUGAGAAAGUUGAACCUCCAUCAGUCUCCUAACUAGAUGGAGCCAUUCUUUCCAACGAUUGCCCGCUAGCGACCGUCUAAACUGAAUAUUAAGGGGGACAGAUUGAAAUACCGUUGCCACAAACACCUCACGUCGUUGAGUUGCCUGGGAAUGGAGAAGAUGCAUUCUUUGCAAAUGGGGUUGCAGACCGUGAAGUCAGUGCAUGUCUACCUGUGAGUCUGAAUGCACUUGGAGGUCUAGCUGCCCUGGAGAAGCAAAGAGGAUUCGGCAGGCCGACGAACAGCCGGGACAAAGCACCAUACGAGGGACUGAGUAAACAAACAAGGUUCUGCAGUCUUUGUCGCCGCGAAGGGCACAAAAAAACAACCGCGAUAACCAAGAAAAUGCAAGAACUGUGGUAUGUAAGGACACGGCGGGAACAUCAUGCACGAGACCGCUUGGUGGUCCGCAGAAUCAAAUGUGAUAAGAAGAUUGUAAUUUCUAUAUGUUGUAUUAUGAGGAUUUUCUGGUGUGUUUCAUUGAACUUUGCUCCGUGCUUGCUCCUCCCGUUCAGGAUGUGAGACUAAACUGUGACAUUGAGUACACUAGCUAGGUUGCCUUAGUUAUGCGUGAUUGCACAUGGUUUGGAGAAAUAUCUGUUUGUUGUGCACCGUCUGUAGGUCACUUCUGCGUGAUGCCUACUUGUAGCACUGCAGAUGUCAAACAUACCAUGGGGCUGUUCAUGAGUGUUUCCCAGCGGCUCAGCACUAUAAGAGUGAGCGACCAGCUGGUGUCUUGGUAGUCAUCAGUAGAGAUUCAAAACAGGAGGUGUGCACGGCUGGGGAUGGCACCUUCCGCCGCGGAAUCAGCUACGAGUGGUACGACAGGAGGUCUGCCCGCGGCGAGGACAGAUAACAUAAGGAGGCGCAGGUACGUGCAGUAGCACAAAGUGGUACAGUGAACACUGUUAGUGUGGGUGCAGUAUAUGCUGGUGGUUGGACGGCUCAGCCUGGAACAGGAAAUUCACUGAGCCGUGUCGGGAUUAGCUGUUCCGCCUCUACCUUACCGGCUGCCGUCGCAAUUAAUACGCUGACAAGCUGGCUUUAUUUUCCUACCUCUACUUCUGCUAUACCAAGAGAAAUACAACAACCGGUAAACAUCCACAUGCUACCUAACGGUGAUGAUUUCAGGAUCAGCUGAGCCUGGGUUCAGAAUUGAAUAUCCGGUAUAUAUAGGAAAGAAUCAUGGGAAAUUUGAUUAAUGGCCGGCCCGAACGGCAGAGUUAAAGAGUGCGAUGGAGACAUAUCUCUACUAUCUUCUGUUAAACACGUCAUGUUAUGUGACCGGCGCAUCUCAUACGAGAUAGUUAAGGUAGGUAGGUUGUUAGAGUAUCAUGUUUAUCUCAUGUAACCUCUUAUCUCUAUCUCUUUUCUUGAUCUUCAAGCUUGUAAUCCAAACCGCAUGUAUGCGCUGUUAUGGGAGGUGCGCCCCAUCUAUUUAACACGAACCCGUCGGCCUGAGCAAGGCAAGACGUUCCGCUAGUUGCACAUGGUAAUCAGAGCCCCAUCUCUUCCCAUCUACUGAGAUCCCAUCUACCAAGCCUAGCCAUGUCUUCCUCCUCCUCCUCCGGUGCUUCCCAGACCACCCUCAAUGGACAGGUCACCGAGAAGCUAACACGCACGAACUACGUGCUCUGGCGCACGCAGGUCACCCCUCACCUGCGUGGCGCCGGUGUCUUCGGCUACGUCGACAGCACCACACCGGAGCCGGUCAGGCUUCAUGUCACCAAGGACAAGGAUGGCAAAGAAAGCGCUGAGCCCAACCCUCUCCACCCCAUCUGGGUUCGGGAGGAUCAACAGGUGCUGGGUUACUUACUCAGCACCCUCUCCAAGGAGGUUCUCAUCGCGGUGACCACGGUCACCACGGCGCACGCGCUCUGGACAGCGGUGGCAGGUAUGUUUUCCUCACAGUCCAUGAGCCGCGUGAGUAAUAUCAGGACGGCGCUCAUCAACGCGCAGAAGGGCAACCAAACGGUUGCUGCCUACUUCGCCUCCCUCCGUGGUCUCGCCGACGAGCUCGUCGCGGCCGGGAAGGCCAUCCAAGACGACGAACUCAUCUCCUACAUCAUCCACGGCCUCGACGUCGACUACCAACCCCUCGUCUCCGCCCUCGACGCAUGCGUCACACCGGUCUCCCUCAACAAGCUCUACGCCAUGCUCAGCAACUUCGACCAGCGCAUGGCUCAGUUCAACCACUCGGGCAGCGGCGGUUUCCGUUCGUCUGCCAACGUUGCCGUGCGUGGUCGUGGCGGCGGAUCACGUGGUCGUGGCGCCUCUCGCGCAAAAGGACGAUGUCGGCGUCAAAACCGGCGGAUCUCGGGUAGGGGGUCCCAAGCAGUGCGUCUUAGGAUCAAUGGUAACAGGAGACAAGGGACACGAUGUUUUACCCAGGUUCGGGCCCUCUUGAUGGAGGUAAAACCCUAUGUCCUGCUUGAUUAAUAUUGAUGAUGUGGGUUACAAGAGUAGAUCUACCACGAGAUCAAGGAGGCUAAACCCUAGAAGCUAGCCUAUGGUAUGAUUGUUGUUUCUAUCGACUAGCCUGGCCUCGGUUUAUAUAAUGCACCAGAGGCCUAGGAUAACAAGAGUCCUAGCCGAAUACGCCGGUGGGGGAGGAGUCCUUGUCUUGAUCGCCAAGUCUUGUUGAUUCUUCCUUGUAUGCGGCAGCUGUCCGGACUGGCCCAUGAGUAUACGGCCAUGGGGGUCCUCGGCUCAAUCCAACUGAUCAGGAGACGACGCGUUGAGUACCCCCUAGUCCAGGACACCGUCAGUAGCCCCCUGAACCGGUCUUCAAGUUAGGGACGCUCCUCGAUUCUUCCGAACUGUUCUUCAUCUUCGGUUGCCGGUCUUUAAAACUGGUUCAACAAAUCUUCUCAUCUUCUAUCUUGAGGAUCUCCGAAAUGCAUUCGACGAGUUUACACGUUGGGUAUCCGAGGAGCCCCUUUAAAUUUACGGCCUUUAUCAAUGCCUUGUUAUUUUUAUGCCAUGCCUCGGGCUUGAGGUUCUUCCCGGGCGGCAACGUCCUCUUGCGUCCGAGCUCCAGCGCCGGACUGCAUUCGAGGUAUCUUUUGCAGCCGAGCACCAAUGCCGGACUGCUUCCCAGCUCUAACGCCGGACUAUGUAUCCGAGCUCCAACGCCGGACUGUAUCCGAGGUGUCGUAAAUCACCUUGGUUCAAAGAAGUUUGAAAGAGUUUAGCCGAGCUUAAUGCCGGAAGUGCCCUCUAUGGAGCCAGCCACUAGCGUCCGAGCUUUACGCCGGACUGCUUCUGAGGUGGUGCACCACCCCGAAUGUGGGCCGAUUUUUAUCAAUAUUUUUGAUUGGUGCCAGUAGCCCUCAAGGUGGGUAUCGGUCUAAAACCCGAGAUGCACAUGAAGGAUGACAUAAGACCGCUGAUCCCCGUAGCCGCUGAGACUCAUGUUGAUUUGCAAAAUCGGUCUGAGGAUCAAGUCCUAGCUCGGCAGAAUACUUCAGGACACAAAAAGCAGCGUGCUCAGUCCUCGAGACUCAGGUUGGGUGCGGCCGACCAACCUGAGGAUCAAAAUCUCCUCGGAAACUGUAUUGCACUUAAAAUUUUCUGCAUAGAACAGGCAAUGCAGUAGCCCCCGAGACACUGGUCGGGUGGCAACACCAGAUCAGGGGAUCGAUAUGCCCCUUUAAUAUUUGUAAAUAAUAAGCCCGAAGCCCAGUAGCCCCCCGAGCCUUAAUGCGGGCACGGGAGGCCGAAUUAAGGAUUGAUAUCCAUAGUAAAAUCACAAAUUAUGUGUAAUGACUCUAUGUAUUCAAGUACUUUAUGUCAUUAAUGCUCGGAUCCGCAUUGUACAAAACUUUGUUGACCGACCAUCGGCUUCCACCUCCUCGGCCAAUAGCCGAGGAGUGUUUGUCCUACUUUAUAAAGCCUUUAUGAGGGCAAAGAUUUGCAACAAACAAGGCAAUCUGGUCAUACGGUUUUAUAAACAAAGGUACGCGGAGAGACAUGUUAUAUUACUGUUUAAUAAAAGAAAUGUCUUCCAAAGAAAAUAGUGCCACUAUCGGUUCCUUUCUUUGGGUUGUCAUGCUAAGCAUGAUCAUGAAACCUCAGCUCCAAUGUAUGAGCAAAUAUCGAGGAUUUAGUGUGGGAGGCCAGUUAAUAGCCCCCGGUAGUGUUCGGCGACAGUCGAGGUCAAGCCGUAAACACUUCGGCCAUUGUUAUGAAUGGUCUGCCGUUUAACGCCGUCAUCGGAUCACCGACCAGUUUACGCUUAUUGUGACAGUCAGUUUUCGGCUUUCUCCACUGAGGUGCUUAACCAUGUGAGCUGGAAGCACAAUCACAGUGGUUCUCCCUUUGCACACCUAGCCGAACAAAGCGGAACAUAGGAGGCAAGCGCAGGAGCCGGGCAACCAAACUAUUGACCAAAGACACAAUUCGAAACGGAUGCAUAUAUAGCAAUAUCCGAGAAUGUUUUUGUCGAAUCUCUAAAGGUGUCCGGCGUUGCACUGCGAGAAUUGUGCUGAAAACACACAAAUAGUUAAAAAGUGCCAUGGGCUCGAAAAGCCAAAAAACUUAUUCAAAAGGUUAAUGUCCGAACUAGAUCAAGUGUUCGGUGCCAAUCCGAAAAUUGGACUUUAGAAAAAAAAGGUACUUUUGCCGUGCUUUAACAUGACACAUCCUAUCUCAAAACUUCAAGCGGGUCAGCCUACGGCUUCAACCUCCUAUCCCGAAGGCGGAGUACUUCUUACUAGGCUAGUUUAGCAAACUAAACUCUAGCGGCUUUGAGAGAGAAAUUAGGCUCCCCGGCUAGUGACCGCACACUUGUGUCGAAAAAAAGGAGUGAUAAAUAAUAAUAAAAACUUUGCAAGGACUAAGAAGAAAAACACUUAUCAUAAAAUGGCUCAUAUAAAUUUAAGAGCCCCCAAGUGACUUGGGUAAAAGAAUGAUUGCAUGUACCGAAGUACUUAUAUCAUAUCUAUGUUCAACUGAACUUUAAACGCGUCUUAACCGACCGUCGGCUUCUCCCUCUUCGGUCAAGGACCGAAAAGUGUUAUGUACUCCAUCUGUCGAGAAUAUCGACGGUGUCUCCAAUAACCAGGCAAUCAGGCCAUAAGGAUGUAACAGACAAAGCACGCUCAGGGAACUUAUGCUAUAUUACUUGCAAAGAGUAAGAAGCAUCUUCGAAGAAAAUAGUACCCCCACCGAUAUCUUUCUUCGGUGCUCAUUGUUAUUAUGAGACUUGUGCAAUAGAUUUUUUGUACUCAUGAGUUCCGUUGUGUGCCGACCAUGAUUGAAAACAAUAAGAGCGCUAGCUUUUAGCUUCACCCAGUCUGAGGUCCGGCUCGGGUGACCCGAUCGUGACAAUCGCAGAGGUGCUCCCUUUACUCCCUAGCCGAACAAUCGGGAACGUAGGGGUAAGCACAGGAGCCAGGCAACCCAGCUUGCAAAUCGCUUAAGUUAAUAUAGUGCAUAUUGUGGCGUAAUACACGAACAAGGAACGAAGCCGUACAAGUAUAACCAUAUGCAAGAGGAAAAAGCUUCAUGAAGGAAGCCCCCAAGUAAACUGGGUAUUUGAAUUUGCGCGUCACAAACAAAGUUUGGACAAGGAAAUUUUUACAAGCAACUUUUUUCCAAAAAAGUAUAAUGCUUGGCUGAGCUGAGCACAAGUUAAAAAUUUAAAACUUUGAGCAUGAAGACAACUUAGCUGGUUAAUGUGUUCGGUAUUGAUGAUGCGGUCCGAGCUUGAAGCGGGACAAGGUUCCAUCCCCGAGCCAGUCCCGAGGUGGCGAAGCAAAGAGCUCGUCCCUCCGCAGUGGUGACAUAGCACGGUCAAUGCGGGACAGCAGGGUGAUGCCGAAGUCCCCGGCAUGGGGUAAUGAAGUGUUGACGAAGCCCCCCGUCCAGCCGAGGUGACGCCAAAGGAUAUAGUCCGUCUGGAUCAUUUUCCUAUGCACAAAAAAUAGUGCAAACUGGAGAUAAUAGUAAUAAUAACAAUAGAAAAAUUUGUUGCAUAACAAAUAAUUUAUGCAAAGUGAGUAAUAAAAGAAAUAUGGCCUGGCGCCGAAGUCAAUGUCGAUGCAGGGCGGCGGCGUGAUGCGGUAAAGGCAUGGCAAGGCCUGAAUUCACAGGUCGGUUCAAGUUCCGGAUGCGGCGUUCGCCGGACUAUGUACGGAAACUGACCGAACCACCAUGCGACCAUCGUUAAUGCGGCCCCCAUUUGAUAGACCUGCGUACAUAUGACGGACAAACCAGAGUAAUAAUUCAUUGGGAAAAAUGAACCCUAACAAGCAAAAAAUACUAGGGUUAAUAGCACCUGGCUUAUUUGUUGUAGCAAUCCGAAGAAAGGUGAUUCCCAAAAUUGGGACUCGAUCCGCACACCUAUCGUCUGAUGGGCGAUAAAGCAACGGCAUGGCGAUGCUGGCAAAGGUUGGCUCGCCGAGGCAAAGCCCUCGGUCCAGCUAAUGUGACGGAGCUGGUCGGCCAGCGACGCCGAAGUCUCCGGAGUAGGUUGAUGAAGAGAUGAUGAAGCCCCUGGUCCCGCGAUGCAGGUCGUGACGUGGUCGAUGCCGGCUUGAUGAAGUGACCGUGUGGCGAUGCAGGUGUGCCCACUCCGUAUAAUCCGUGGGGCGGUGAUGUUGGUGACGAUUUAUCCUUCGCAAUGCCGAACUAUUGUUCGGCUGGCCGAGAUGAUGAUCCGAAGAAAUUGAGCUCGGCUCAACAAAGCGACGACGUGUCUAACGCAUGCCGGCCGCCGUGGUGUGAUGUUGUCGGGCUGGUUUGACACCGGCACGACGGUGAAGUUCGUAUUGCAAGAAUACUUUUAAUACUACUAGGAUGUGUUUGAGAAUAAAACACAACACCCCAUACGAAAACUUCCUUCAAAAAGAAUGUCCGAGAUCCUAUUCAUAAAGAAGAUGAAUUCGGGUCGGAUUCGUUCUCGCGCAGAAAACAGAUCCAAAAAGUGAUGCACUAAUCGGAAGUUUCCCGGAGUUUGGACAGUCGGAUCGAGCUGAAUUUUUGGCAGCUGGUAGAUAUGGGAAUUCUGCAGCAAAUCAACGGUUGAAUCCUCCAAAGGACAUCCGAUCUAGACGCUGGAUACCACGCCCUAAACUCGUCUGGAUUCUUGUCCAGAUUCAAUAGGGCUCCGGUAUAUCGGAGAUUGCCGGAGAUUCCUCCAUCGGAACUCGACGAAAUUUUUGCAGGGUUGUUGUAGACUUAAUUCCGCAUAAUUCCACCGAAGCAAUCGUUUAAGCGACACUUGAGGAGGCGGUGGCGGCGGAUACAAGUUUGCUGUCCAGAAAAACAGCACGGUCGCCUGAGGGCAAUGUUGACGUUGAGCCCCUGAGCUCCAUGGAUGACUCCUCCAUGAUCUUGAUAGAGAUCGGAGUUGGUGUUGAUGAAGGCCUUCAUCCGAACAUGACGAUCGGAGGUAGGGUGCAGUCCUCGGUCAAGCCAAGGUGACCAGUCGAGCUGGUGACGAAGAAGCCGACGUCGCAGUUGACCUGCAGUCGAGCCAUUGAUCCUUUCGCCGAUCACACAGCGGAACUCUCAAUGAAAGCACCAAUGUCGGUGUCAAAACCGACGGAUCUCGAGUAGGGGGUCCCAAGCAGUGCGUCUUAGGAUCCAUGGUAAAAGGAGACAAGGGACACGAUGUUUUACCCAGGUUCGGGCCCUCUUGAUGGAGGUAAAACCCUACGUCCUGCUUGAUUAAUAUUGAUGAUGUGGGUUACAAGAGUAUAUCUACCACGAGAUCAAGGAGGCUAAACCCUAGAAGCUAGCCUAUGGUAUGAUUGUUGUUUCUAUCGACUAGCCUGGCCUCGGUUUAUAUAAUGCACCAGAGGCCUAGGAUAACAAGAGUCCUAGCCAAAUACGCCGGUGGGGGAGGAGUCCUUGUCUUGAUCGCCAAGUCUUGUUGAUUCUUCCUUGUAUGCGGCAGCUGUCCGGACUGGCCCAUGAGUAUACGGCCAUGGGGGUCCUCGGCCUAAUCCAACUGAUCGGGAGACGACGCGUUGAGUACCCCCUAGUCCAGGACACCGUCAGACGCUCUGGAGGUCACGGUGGUGGUGGAAACAACGGCAGCGGCAAUAGCCGCUCUGGCGCAUCUCACGGUCGCCGCAGCGGCGGUCCACCUCGGGCCUGUCCAGAGCUCCCUCGCUGUCAAAUCUGCGGUAAGCCAGGGCACACCGCGCGGGACUGCUGGUACCGUUAUGACGAAGAUGACGAGGACUCUCAAGAUGAAGAAAAGGUGGCUGCCGCGGCUGAUGGAUCCUAUGACAUCGACACAAAUUGGUAUGUUGAUAGCGGCGCCACCAACCACAUCACCAAUGAGCUUGAGAAGGUCACGGUGAAGGAAAAAUACCGUGGAAAAGACCACAUCCACACGGCAAGUGGAGAAGGUAUGCAGAUUUGUCACAUUGGUCAUUCUACUUUUCGUACCCCUCAUCGUCCAAUUCAUCUCAAGAAAAUUUUGCAUGUUUCUAGUGCCGCCAAAAGCCCUCAUGCCCAUCAACAGAAUGGCUCUGCUGAAAGGAAGCACAGACACAUAGUUGAGGUUGGGCUAGCUCUCUUGGCAGGAGCCUCCAUGCCCCUAAAAUUUUGGGAUGAGGCCUUUCUUACUGCCGUCCACAUCAUCAAUAUGCUCCCUAGUCGAGUCAUCAACAAUCAAACUCCAGUAGAAAGACUCCUUCAUGUCAAACCAGACUAUAAAUCUCUUCGUGUUUUUGGUUGUGCUUGUUGGCCCAACCUUUGCCCAUACAACAAAAGAAAACUCAUGCUCCGCUCAAAACAAUGUGUUUUUCUCGGGUAUAGACCUCAACACAAAGGUGUCAAGUGUUUAGAUAUAUCCACUGGCCGUGUCUACAUAUCUCGCGAUGUCGUUUUUGAUGAAACCAACUUCCCCUUCGCCACCCUACAUCCAAACGCCGGUGCUCGCCUCCGAGAAGAAAUUCUCCUCCUACGUACUCAUCUUGCCACCAUUGAUCAAGGGGGUCCGAAUUAUGAUGAUCAACUGUUGACUAAUCCUGCUACUAAUGGUGUGCAUGAGUUUUUUUGAUGAUGUUCCAGGAGACAGCAGCGAAAAUAAUGAAGAAACAAGUGAAAAAAACGCGCCGGCAGUCCCACAUCGCAUGUGUCCACAUCCAGGAGGCAAACCCUCCUCGGGAUUGGCCCCGCAGCAGCAGUUCAGUGGAUUCCCCUCGGGAUCGGUGCCGGCUGACGCGCCAGACGUGCAGGCGACAGCACCAGCCGAUCGUGCGGCUGUCCCUAGCCCAGCGCGCGACGCGCAUCACGCUCCAACUGGCGGCGGCUCCAGCGUCUCUCCGCACCAACCCUCGCUCGACACGCGGCAGCCUGAGGUUCGCCAGGACGGCGCGUGCUUCUGUGACCAGCCGGUCACGUAUAAGCGGCGCGACCAGAUUCGCCGACACGACGCGGGCUCUCGGUCUGCUGCGGGACCGGGCGUGAGUUCCUGUGCGCCCACGCGUGCACAGCAGAUCGGCAUCCGCCUCAAGGCUGAUCUGCCAUCAUCCUCCAAUGAUGAGGCCCCGGGAUCUUCUGUGCAUACAGAACACGCUACACCUGAUCAAACUGUCACAGAAGAUCCGGCGGGAGCUGAUUCUGCUACAGGAGCUUCUGCCUCGGGAUUUUCUUGUGGCCGAGGAUCCCAAUGCUGCACCGCCACGACGUAUACGACUCCAGCAUGGGGUAAUACAUCCUGUUAAAUAUAAACACAUAACCAAAUACGGUAUGGUCUGUUCCACAGGUGAACCAGGUGAACCUUAGACACUUCAGGAAGCACUUGGUGAUGAAAGAUGGAAAAAUGCUAUGAAUGAAGAAUACAUGGCACUCAAGAAGAAUAAAACUUGGCAUUUGGUUCCCCCACAGCAAGGUAAAAAUUUAAUUGAUUGCAAGUGGGUAUUCAGAAUAAAGAGGAAAUCUGAUGGAACUAUUGAUCGCUACAAAGCUAGGCUCGUUGCAAAAGGUUUUAAACAACGGUAUGUCAUAGACUACGCGGACACUUUUAGUCCAGUUGUUAAGGCUGCCACUAUUCGUCUUGUUUUGUCUAUUGCCGUUUCCAGGGGAUGGAGUCUCAGGCAACUUGAUGUUCAGAAUGCGUUUCUUCAUGGUGUUCUGGAAGAGGAGGUAUAUAUGAAACAACCUCCUGGGUUUGUAAGUAAAAGUGCACCCUCUCAUGUUUGCAAGUUGGACAAAGCACUUUAUGGUUUGAAACAGGCACCAAGAGCAUGGUACUCUCGUCUCUGUCACAAAAUGCAAACACUUGGUUUUGUCCCUUCAAAAUCUGACACCUCUCUGUUCAUCUACAACAAGUCCAAUACAUGCGUAUUUGUCUUAAUAUAUGUUGAUGAUAUUAUUGUGACAAGCUCAUCUGAUGAAGCCAUCAUAGGACUGUUAAAAGAUUUGAGUGCAGAUUUUGCCUUGAAGGAUCUGGAGACUUGCAUUAUUUUCUUGGGAUUGAAGUAAAGAGGCACAAGGAUGGACUUCAUCUCUCCCAAGAAAAGUAUGCAGUUGACUUGGUAAGAAAAGCUGGUCUACAGGGUUGUAAACCUACACCUACUCCAUUAUCCAGCUCAGAAAAAUUAUCUCUGACACAAGUGACUCUCUUGACUCAAGAGGACAGUACCAAAUACAGAAGCUUGGUAGGGGCACUUCAAUAUCUUACUCUUACCAGGCCUGAUAUUUCGUUUGCUGUCAACAAAGUAUGUCAGUUCCUUCAUGCACCUACAACUGUUCAUUUAACUGCUGCCAAACGCAUAGUCAGAUAUGUCAAAAACACAUUAAGCACGGGUCUCAAUUUUAGCAAGUCAUCUUCCACUCUUGUCAGUGCUUUUUCUGAUUCUGAUUGGGCAGGCUGUCUUGAUGAUAGACGCUCUACUGGUGGUUUUGCUGUUUUCUUUGGACCCAACUUAAUUUCAUGGUGUGCUCGUAAGCAAGCUACAGUCUCCAGAUCAAGUACAGAAGCAGAAUAUAAGGCAUUGGCCAAUGCCACAGCUGAAAUCAUAUGGGUUCAAUCCAUGCUCAAGGAACUUGGUAUAAAGAGUCAACAGGCUCCAUGUUUGUGGUGUGACAAUCUUGGUGCCACCUAUCUUUCAGCUAAUCCAGUGUUUCAUGCUAGGACCAAACACAUUGAGAUAGACUUUCAUUUUGUCGGAGAGAGGGUAGCUCAUAAGCAACUUGACAUUCGUUUUGUGCACUCCAGAGAUCAAAUUGCAGAUGGAUUCACAAAGGCAUUGCCAGUCAAGAGUUUUGAAAACUUCAAGUAUAAUCUCAACCUCAUGGAGUUGUGAUUAAGGGAGGGUGUUAAACACGUCAUGUGAUGUGACCGGCGCAUCUCAUAGGAGAUAGUUAAGGUAGUUAGGUUGUUAGAGUAUCAUGUUUAUCUCAUGUAACCUCUUAUCUCUAUCUCCUUUCUUGAUCUCCAAGCUUGUAAUCCAAACCGCAUGUAUGCGCUGUUAUGGGAGGUGCACCCCAUCUAUUUAACACGAACCCGUCGGCCUGAGCAAGGCAAGACGUUCCGCUAGUUCGCACAUCUUCUUCUUCUAGAAAAAAUAGGUAAGUUUCCCUUUCCUGCCAUUGGACCAUGUCCUGCCUCACCCUUCUUCCGCCUUGGUUUCGCUCGCCUUCUUUCAUCGCCGAUUCAAGUCUUUUUUUUUCACGCACAGUCGUCGCUGCCGAAAAUAUCAGGACGCAAAUGCCAUCUACCCGCCGAUCCACCCCAGCUCACCUCCGUAUUGGGCUGCUGGGCGCUGCCCCCCUCCUCCCUCCUCUCUUCCUCCCCUCCCAAGCAGGCAAGCACAGCCGCCACCUCAUACCCCAUCAGAGCGCCUUCCCUUCUCGUUUCUCUUUCUCUCUCUAGGAGCCGCCAUCGCUCCCCUCCACAUUGCGUACAGUAUACAUUCGCCCGCAGCCAGUUGCCUUUUGGCUUCUUGUUCACCCACUUGUGUGCCUUUCGGCGCCUCCCCUGGAUGAUCUGAUAGUCCUGCCAUAAGAUAUGCAACUGUGUUAGCAUUGUUGGUAUAUAAUUCGGUUUUUCUCGAUGGAGGGACACAUUACCAGGCGAUGCCUUCUUGGAUUUCUCUAGUUCGACUGUCGCAGAAGCUAGCUAGGGCCGACACUUUUCCAGCUCUUGGGAUAACAUGUUGCUCUUCUCCGUAAGCAUCUGGUUUACAAUGAUCCUUAAAUCAGCUGAAUCAACUGCUUCAUGUCUCGGGGGCUAGUAGUAUAUAAUGUGAGCUCACCCGCAUAUCUUUCAAAUAUUGGUCUGUGGCUCUGGCAAGCCCAUCUCGAGCAGCUCGGAUAUACGCAUCACCCGAGCUGAAGGCAUUGAAUGCCUUUGUUGUGAAGCCGGGGUCGCUAAGAGCGGCCCUCCGACACCGAUGGUUCAUGGCGCUCUCUACUUCCGAAUUUGUGACGGACACAUCAUCCGAAUCCUCUGCCAAAGGACAAUACGGUGGUACUUCCGUACCAGCCCUCGCUGUUACGGCAGGGUCUGGAACCUGGCUAUUGGGAGUGUGACAGGCAGGACUCCCGGACAUAGUCCGGCGAACGCUCUUCCUGAUAAGACGCGAACGGAUAAUGUCACAGUUGGAUGUGACUGCCAAAGGUCAUAUUUUCAAAGCCAUACCUCCUUGAUGAUGGCUCCGAUGUGUCUUCGCUUGCCUUCCUCUUUGAAAGCUUGCCCGGUGCGGGCGCCGCUCUCUUUGGAGUCGCCUCUGGUGCAAGAUGGCGUGCCGAUCGCCUCCCCUUUGGAGCAUGAGAUAGUGCGGUGGGUGAGGCAGAAUGAGGAAAUUCUUUCGGAGGAGAUGUCUCCUAAUUACUUACGUGUGAGGCAGGAAAAAGUCGGGAUAGUCGGCAAUGAUGGCCACUUCCGUGCCAUCAUGGCUCGCCUGGUAGAACACCCCAUCCUCGAGCUCCACGAAUAUAUCUGGAUCCUCUUUGAAUCCGGGGUCAAGGUCCCGGUUGUGGUCCUCUGGAUGUGGGGCAAGGCUGUAGAGCCCCUGGGUGAUCUUCCGCCAUUCCUGUUACAAAUGGACGGAUUAAUGUCCAUGGAAAGUGACUCAGGGAGUAGAUUGAGUAGAGUAGUAGGAUUGGAACUCACCCAGCUAGGAGGAUUGUACACGGAAAAUCCAUCUCGGCGCUUAAUACGAAUGAAUUCCUCUUUCUCCCCUUUGUAUAAUUCGGCCAGUAUUUUGUCCAAAGCGGCGGGGGUGUCCUGACCCUUCCGACUGCAGCGGCAGGCGUCAUCUACCCCAUUACAGUGCCACAUGGGAAGCCUUCUGUAUUGGAGUGGCUGAACCCCUCAUACUAUGGAAGUCGCCAUUACCUCGACUAUUGAUAAUCCGGACUGGGCGAGCGUCUUUAUCUUGCUCAGCAAUUGACAGACUUCCGCACUAUCUUCCUCCUUGAGGCUCCGAGGGCGCCAGCUGUGGCGUUUCUUCAACGGAAUGCUUGAGAAUUCGGGAAGACCCAUUCGGAUUGGGUCGGGAAGGGCGACGUCCUCGAUAUAGAACCAUUCGGAAGGUCACUCUUCGGAUGUCUUCUUCGGUGUGCCGGACAGGUAUCCAGUCCCAGCGAUGCGCCAUACCUCGGCUUCGCCCACUUCAAAUAUUGAUCCUUCUUGGCUGCGAGGGACGAGGCAGAAUAGUUUCCUCCAUAAUUCAAAAUGGGCCUCACAACCCUGGAAUAGCUCACAAAGAGCAACAUAACCCACGAUGUGCAGGAUAGAGGCAGGAGUGAAAUUGUGCAGUUGGAGGCCAUAAUACUCCAGAAGCCCUCGGAGGAAUGGAUGGAUUGGAAAUCCAACGCCUCUCAACAAGUAGGGAACGAAGCAUAGGAUGGAUUGGGGCAAUUCUCCGCCUGAGCCCCGCCACUGAAGGAAGUCAAUCCUACUCGAACGGGGACUAGAUCCGCGGGGGGAAGAAAUCCUUGUGUCUGCAGCUUUGCUAACUGACUGUGGGGUACAGAGCAUUUCUCCCAAUCGCCUUUUCCGGGGCCGUGGGGACGGGAGGAAGAGUUGGGAGCGCUAGCCAUGUUGGAAUGGUUUCUCCUAGCAAGCUCUGAGGAUUCCUCGCUUGGUGUGGAAUGGAUCUGAAAAUCCCAAUCUCUUUAAAUAGACGCCUUUCUUACAUGGUCAGGGUGAUAUGUGCAAAAAUACCCCGACCUCUCGUAUUCGCUCGACACGUGGAAGCCGAAAGUCAUGAAGGUGUGGAAGCCGAUGGGCGUGACAUUAAAUGGAAAGCCGAAUACUGCUCUUUAAGUCAGGUACUUUGAAGUAAUCGGAGGAGGAACCCCCCUUGCAAUGCCGAAGACAAUCUGCACGCCGAACACAUCAUCAUUGAAAGAUUGGUUCGAGGGCUACUGAGGGAGUGCUGGAUUAAGGGGUCCUCGGGCGUCCUGCCUAUUGACAUGGGCCGGACUGAUGGGCUGUGAAGAUACAAGACCGAAGACUCUCACCUGUGUCCGGAUGGGACUCUCCUUGGCUUGGAAGGCAAGCUUGGCGUCUGGAUAUGAAUAUUCCUUUCUCUGUAACAGACUUUGUAUAACCCUACUCUCCUCCGGUGUCUAUAUAAAUCGGAGGGCUUAGUCCGUAGAGGCAAUCAUAAUCAUAUAGGCUAGACUUCUAGGGUUUUAGCCAUUACGGUCUCGUGGUAGAUCAACUCUUGUAAUACUCAUAUUCAUCAAGAUCAAUCAAGCAGCAAGUAGGGUAUUACCUCCAUAGAGAGGGCCCGAGCCUGGGUAAACAUCGUGUCCCCCGCCUCCUGUUACCAUCAACCUUAGACGCACAGUUCGGGACCCCCUACCCAAGAUCCGCCAGUUUUGACACCGACAGUCAUGUUCUCCGUGUCCAACUGAGCCAUCGAGUUUUGUAGGCUUCCAAUUCUAGCGUUGGUCGCCUCAUUGGCGGAGGGAACUGCUGGUGGAGCUCCAAAUAGGAAAGCAUCAACAAUGGGAUCGGCCAAUGGCGUCCCAAAUGAGUGCAUCUUUCCAUUGUUUGUCUCUAGGAUGACUGCAACCCUAGCCCUAGUGAGGGCAGAGAUGUCGGUCGCCCUCUUGAACAAACCGGAACGUCGCUUGUAGAAGGUAAGAUCAUGAUCUUUGUCAUUAUGGAUGUAUGCCACACCUGACCGCCGCUCUUUCCUCGGCAUACUAAUGUGGACAAAGAGGAAGAAACUUACUACUACAAAUAGGAAGCACAAGUAUCUACAGAAAACUAGAGAUUUACGAGUACUGUUGGCUAACCACAUAUUGGUGUAGGAUAUGAGAAGAUGUACUCCCCUUAUAUAGAAUAAAAGGGUUGUAUGGGAGUGCUAUUUGACUAUGCUAAGACUAUGUAAAUCUUUACUAAUAAUUAACAUGCAUAACUCAUAAAAGGUGCUAGUUUAUGGAUACUGUUAACUAUCGUCCAAAUAUACAUAUGUGAAUUCAAUGACAUCCUCCUUUGAACCACUUAUAUGUCUUUCUUAUGAAGUAUUCACAUCCAUAUAUAGAACUAUUAACACUUCUAAAAAAGAAAUAUUAAAUGAUUGCCAUUUGACUACAUCCAUAUCCUUAUCUAGAAGUAUUAAUGGGAGUUAAACCCAACUAAGUUUUACUCUAAUAUACAAAAUAAUUGUGGUCAAGUUUAUUUGGUUGUCAAUUGCAUCCAAAUCCUUUGUUAAUCACAUUGAUUACAUCCUAAUAUAUCAGUGAUCACGUUGAUUACAUCCAUAUCAUGUACUAGCUAUGAACUAUCUAACCUAGAAGUGGUUGUCCUUUAAUCCAUAAUACGCUAGUAUAACAUGGACCUUGCUUUGGGCCUUAACUUAGAAACUGAGAUCGCAACGAGGAAAGAUAGACUAAAAGAAAUUAGAAAAUACGGAGCCAUUUGGUAAGUCAUGGUAUAACACAUAUGUUACUCUGAGCAUCAACAUGCCUCCUUGGUAAGCCUAGUUCCCACGAAAGAUGUGUUUUUAUUGGUUACACAUGUAUAUCUUGGGCCCUAGUUUUUUAUGGCCCAUAAAAUAAUACGUCCAAGGCUUUUUUGGAAGGAGCCAACACAACCUAACAUGUUAUAUAUUAAAAGUAAUUGAUGGGCUCACCAGAAAAGGAUAAAAAUGCUAGAAAAUCCCGCAAAACUAAAAAAGCGUCCGACUGUCAAUCUAUUAUAUAUUAAAAGUAAUCGACAUGGCUCCCUAGAAAAAAGAUAAAAAAUGCUAAAAAAACCUCAAAAAACAAAAUCAUCCGACUGUCUAUUUAAUAGGCUAGAAUUUUAUAACCAUUAGACUAGUUUCUAAGUGAAAUAAUUACUCACCAUUGCCAUUAUAAAAAAAUGGUUCAUCCAACUUAUUAGGACUGGACUGAUGCCAUCUUAUUAGGAUGUGGGCUGAUGCCAUAUUAUAAUGGAAAAAAUAGUUAUGUUCCCGUAGUACAAAAAGGACUACUCACACAUGAACACAGUGGCAACAAUGUUCAUGUAAAUGAUCUCUGUGAUGAAUUCCUCCUUUGCAGAAUACCUGAUUGGAUCUUCACGAAGCGGAGAGGUGGGCGGCGCAAAAAUCCUCUGUUAAUAUUUGUGAGGGUUUUGGGAGUAUAUAAAGGCAGCGGAAGAAAGAGGCGCCGGAGGCGACAUCUAUGGCGGCCAUGCUCCCCCUUGGAUGCUAGUGCCGACCAGUGGCAUGUGGCCUAGGGGGUCCAGGUCCCUCCGGCUUCAUUUCUUCAUGAAACUUAGUUUUUUUUCCUGGUUUUUUGGUCCCUGAAAAGUUGAUUUUUCUAAAAUCCAAAAAAGCAACAACUGGCACUUUGCACUGAAUUAAUAGGUUAAUCAAGAAAAUAUAAAAUUUGAUGCCAAUACUAUGCCAUCAUGAUAUAGUUAUAGCAUGAUAAAAUAAAAAAAUAUAGAUCGAUAUAGGACAUAUCAACUGGCAUGAAUAAAUUGAUGUUUUUCUAGGGUUCGUUAAUACUCGGCAAUAUUGUUCUCCUAGAUAACCAGAUAGACACAAGGUACUCCUUGGUUCCUAUUGGUUCGAUGUCCAGGCUAAAAUUGUGACUAGCACGAAUAAAUUGAUGGCUUUCUCUAUCGCUCAGUAUUACUUGAUGACACUUUUCUGCUGGGUAGCUGGACAGAAGCGAGGUUCUUUCUACCAACUAGAAAUGGGCGACUCCGACUAUGUAGCCAUCAACACGUUAAUCCAAGCUAAAAUGGUGACAAGCAUGAAUAAAUCGUUAUCUUUCUCUAAGGCUCAUUAAUAAUUCAUGGUACUAUUCGGUUGGAUAGCCAGACAGAAGUAAUUUACUCCUUGUCAAUUUGAGGGGACGACUCUUGGCAUCUAGGCAUCUAUCUAGUGACUAGGACGAAUAAAUUGAUGUCUUUCUCUACAACAAAUGAGUGAUGGUACUAUUCGGUUAGACAACUAGACAGAAGCAAGGUACUCCCUGGUUCCUGCCGAUUCAAGGCGGAUGGCUCACGAUACUAUGUGCAUUAAUCCAAACCAAAAUGGUGAAUAGCACGAAUAAAUCCAUGUCUUUCUUUUUGGCUCUUUAAUACUUCCACAUUUUGACUAGGUUUAGGUUGUUCUUCUAUAAAAGUGGCUACAUGUGUUGAUUAACUGAUGUGUUCUAUGAGAUGGUCGUUAUGUCCUUUUAAGUUUGUUUUAAUUGCAAUGAUUAAUGACAUACUUUAAAAUUAAGCCAAUUUACAAUAUCUUCAUGGAGUGCUCUAGAUCCACGGUACUUUUCAAUGUUGUUAAUGGUGCAUAUGUGGUAUCAAUGGAUCACAGGUGGCCACCAUCUCUUCACAUGUCUACUAUGGUUCUAAUUUCUUGAUAAGUCAUAUUCACGUCUAUUAAGAAAACCUUGAUUUCUCACAUUCAUUAAUUCAUAUAUGAGAUGCAGUUGUUGUUCUUGGUAGUGUUAUGCAACCAAAAGAAGUAAUGGAUUCUAGGUUCUUGAGUUGAAGUUUGGACUUGUGCUAUCUUUUAAUUUAAUUAUUUAGUAAGCAUGGCUUUUUUAGUUGACAUGCUAAUGUUUGCCUCAUAGUAUUCUAAGAGGUGCAUUGUUGUGAAUACAUUUUCCACUUCCUUCAUUCGUAAGAUGACAAUGAUCUAAACAACAACAACAAAAGUGUAGGUACUGAUGAAAAAACAUCAUGGACCAAGAUUUGGAACACUAAGCAUGCAUAUUUUUCCCAAACAUCCUAAUUAAGAUAGUAGUCCAAAGGAUAAUGAAUUUGGAAAUAAAUAUAUUUUAUUUCAAUAUAUCUCUUACAUGGAAGCGCUAACUAGCAUCUACAACAGCUCUCCAUAGUCUGUAAGAAUAUCAACAUCUUGUCAAGUGGAAGAGGGCGGCACAUCAACCCACCCACCAUUUACCAUGGAAGAUUGUCCUAGAUCCAUACCGCUAGAGCCUAAGUAAGCAUCCAUCCCUAGGAAACUGUUGUAGUACAACUUAUCUGAUAGAGCAUAACCCCAUUCUAUGUUAAAUGGGUCAUCAAUAGAAAAAGCAUUGCCACUCGAGUACCCCAAUAGUGGAGAGUCCUCCAAAUUCUGCCCAGAAGUUGAGUCAUGGUUUGCAUCAUUUUGUUGUGGUUGCACUAUGUUGCAACGACUUUCAUAGUUCUGAACAUGCAACUCCUCUGGUGGAGUUUGCUCAUGUACCUGAUUUGGUAUGGGUUGGUCCUGGGAAGCCAAGUGUGGAGCUAAAGAUGGUGGUGCAGAAUGGAACAUUGGUGACUGCAUAGGAAAAAGUGGUGCCGAAGUUUGUUCUGGUUGUGAUGGUAGUGGAUCUAAAGGUAGCUGGAGUUGUGAGAGAUUGUGAGGCCAUGAUGACUGCAUAAGUGAAUGAGUAGUACCCAAAUGAUCCGCCGGCAGAACACUUGGUAGUUGCAGAUCUUGUGCCACACAUGUGCCACCAGUCUUGUCUUCACGACCAUGCAAUGGAGGUAGAUGGAAUCUAAUGUCUUUUUGGACCUGAGACAGCUCACUGAAGAGCUUGUUCAGAUCUUCAAGACUGAGAUCUUUUUCCUUUGUGAAGAUAAGAUUUGCCACCAUACCUGGAUUCUCUUCUUGUAUAUUUUUCAUACGAAGGAUGGAAAGCUCGUAUUUGUCUUCCUCGGCCAUCUUCUCCGUGUCCAACUGAGCCACCUCGUUUUGUAGGCUUCCAAUCCUAGCGGUGGUUGCCUCAUCGGUGGAGGGAACUGCUGGUGGAGCUCCAAAUAGGAAAGCAUCAACAAUGGGAUCGGCCAAUGGCGUCCCAAACGAGUGCAUCUUUCCAUUGUUUAUUUCUAGGACGACCGCAACCCUAGCCCUAGUGAGGGCAUAGAUGUCAGUCGCCCUCUUGAACAAACCGGAACGUCGCUUGUAGAAGGUGAGAUCACGGUCUUUGUCAUUGUGGAUGUAUGCUCCAGAGGCCCUUUAGCCCCGAUUUUGGAACCGGGACUAAAGGGUCGGGACUAAAGUCCAAACCGGGACCUGGACAGAAGGGGCUCCACGUGGCCGCUGCAGGGCGCCUAGGCAGGAGGACCUUUAGUCUCGGUUGGUAAUACCAACCGGGACCAAAAUGCCUCCACGUGUCAGCAGCUAGUAGGAGCUGGGUUUUUUGUUUUUUUAAAGGGGGGGGGGGUAGAUGGUUUUCGAGGGUUAAUUUAGUGGGUUGAUCAUAUUGUGUUAGCCAACUAAUAGAGAGAUGUGACCUCUCUUUCUCCGCGCUUGAUCGACGCUAACUACUAUACGUAUAGAGAGAACUCGACAUGCUUGCUAGUAAGAAAAUGAAGGAACCAUUAAUUGCGCAAGAUCGUCAUGAACAUAUAUAUACACAGAGAAGUGAGACCUCUCUUUUUCUGAGAGAUUGGUCGAACAACAUGUUUUCGUAUAUCUAUCUGACGCUACUACAUAUAUACAAUAUAACAUGUCUUACAAUUCCUAACAUCUAAAAUUGGUUCCAACUUCCACAUGGUAUUCUCCGGCUUUAGGUAUGACGUGGUCAAGAAAGAAUCCCGCCAAUUCCUCUUGAGUUGCUCGUAUGUGAUCAUGUUGUAGGAGUUCAUCCCGCAUCUACCACAACUAAUUUAAAGAAGGGGGUCAAUACAUAUAUAUGAAUGAAACUCAACACAAUUGAUGGUAAUAAAAUAAAAUUAUGAAUAUUUUUGUUUACGUACUUCAUAUUGCUCUUCAGAGUAGCCCCGCUUAGAGGCCGUCGAGUUGUAGAUGAACUCGCAAACGUAGUAUCCACAAAAAUCAUUCCCGGCUUCCUGCCACAAGCACUUCACGAGAAGUAGAGUUCAAUCAAACUUAUAAUCAAGCAUGCUAAAUGGUAUUGAUGAAACUAGCUAGAAUCAAUGGGAGAUGCGCAGAACUAGCUAGUAGUACGCACUUUCGGGUGUGUAAAUUUUAGCUCCGUCGGCAGUCCCGGAACAAUUACGGUGAACAAAGAGGAAGAAACUAACUACUACAAAUAGGAAGCACAAGGAUCUACAGAAAACUAGAGAUUUAGGGGUACUGUUGGCUAACCACAUAUUGGUGUAGGAUAUGAGAAGAUGCACUCCCCUUAUAUAGAAUUAAAAGGGUUGUAUGGCAGUGCUAUUUGACUAUACAAAGACCAUGUAAAUCUUUAGUAAAAAUUAACAUACAAAGCUCAUAAAAAGUGUUAUUUAUGGAUACUAUUAAUUAUCGUCCAAAUAUACAUAUGUGACUGCAUCCACAUCCUUCUUUGCAACCACUGAUAUGUAUUUCUUCUGAUGUAAGUAUUCACAUCCAUAUAUAGAACUAUUAACACUUCUAAAAAUAGAAAUAUUAAAUGAUUUCCAUCUGACCACAUCCAUAUCAUUUUCUAGAAGUAUUAAUGGGAGUUAAACCCAACUAAGUUUUACUCUAAUAUACAAAAUAAAUUAUGGUCAAAUUUAUUUGGUUGUUAAUUGGUCCAAAUCCUUUGUUGAUCACAUUGAUUACAUCCUAAUGUAUGAGUGAUCAUAUUGAUUACAUCCAUAUCCUUUACUAGGAACUACGUAAUCUAGAAGUGGUCGUCAUUUAAUCCAUAAUAUCCAAAUAUAACAUGGACCUUGCUUUGGGGCUUAACUUAGAAAUUGAGAUACCAACUAGGAAAGAUACACUAAGAGCAACUAGAAAAUACUAGGACAUUUGGUAAGUCAUGGUAUAACACAUAUGUUACUCGGAGCAUCGACCUGCCUCCUUGGUAAGCCCAGUUCCUGCGGAAGAUGUGUUUUUAUCGGUUACACAUGUAUAUCUUGGGCCCUAGUUUUUUAUGGCCCAUAAAAUAAUAUGUGUAAGUCUUUUUCUGGAAGGAUCCAACACAACCUAAUCUAUUAUGUAUUAAAAGUAAUUGAUGGGCUCACCAGAAAAAUAUAAAAAUGCUAGAAAAUAAUUUAAAAAUAAAAACAACUAACUAUCUAUUUAUUAUAUAUUAAAGCAAUUGACGGGCUCACCAGAAAAAAGAUAAAAAUGCUAGAAGAUCUCUCAAAAAUCAAAAACAUCCGACUAUCUAUUUAAUAGGCUAAUAUUUUAUAACCAUUAGAUUAGUUUUAAGUGAAAUAAUUAAGCACCAUUGCCAUUAUAAGAAAAAAGUGUUUCAUCUAACUUACUAGGGCGUGGGUUGAUGCCAUCUUAUUAGGACGUGGGCUGAUGCCAUAUUAUAUUGGAAAAAAACGUUAUGUUCCCAUAGUACAAAAAGGACGCUCACACAUGAACACAGUGGCAGCAAUGUUCAUGUAAAUGAUCUUUGUGAUUAAUUCCCCCUGGGUAGAGUACCUGAAAAAGCCUCCAGACUGGAUCUCCCCGGAGCAGAGAUGUGGGCGGCGCAAAAAUCUGCUGUUAAUAUUUCUGAGGUUUUUGGGAGUAUAUAAAGGCAGCGGAAGAAAGAUGCGAUGGAGGCAACCUCUUUGGCGGCCAUGCUCCCCCUUGGAUGCUCGUGCCGACCUGUGGCAUAUGGCCUAGGGGGGGCAGGUGCGUCUAGGUCCCUCCGGCUUCAUUUCUUCAUGAAACUUAGUAUUUUUCUAGUUUUUUGGUCCCUAAAAAGAUGAUUUUUUGAAAAUCCAAGAAAAUAACAACUGGCACUUUGCAAUGAACUAAUAGGUUAAUCAAGAAAAACUAUAAAAGUUGAUGUCAAUACUAUGCCAUUAUGAUACAAUAAUAGCAUGAAACAAUAAAAACUUCUUGAUACAUAUAGGACAUAUCACCUGGCAUGAAUAAAUUGAUGUUUUUCUAGGGCCUGUUAAUACUUCAAUAUUCUUCUCCUAGAUAACGAGACACAAGGUACUCCUUGGUUCCUACUGGUUCGAUGUCCAAGCUAAAAUUGUGACUAGCAUGAAUAAAUUGAUGGCUUUCUCUAUCGCUCACUAUUACUUGAUGACAUUUUUAGCUAGGUAGCUGGACAGAAGCGAGGUUAUUCCUACCAAUUAGUAAUGGGCGGCUCCCAUUACGUAGCCAUCUGCACGUUACUACAAGCUAAAAUGGUGAUAAGCACGAAUAAAUCUUUAUAUUUCUCCAUGGCUCAUUAAUAAUGCAUGGUACUAUUCGGUUGGAUAGCCACACAAAAGUAAUGUACUCCUUUUCAAUUUGAGGGGACGACUCUUGGCCUGUAUCCAUAUGUCUGGUGACUAGCAUGAAUAAAUUGGUGUCUUUCUCUACAACAAAUGAUUGAUGGUACUAUUCGCCCAGACAAGCAGACAGAAGCAAGGCACUCCCUGGUUCCCUGCCGAUUCAAGGCGGAUGGCUGCUGGUAAUAUGUGCAUUAAUCCAAACUGAAACGGUGACUAGCACGAAUAAAUCGAUAUCUUUCUUUUUGGCUCUUUAGUACUUCCACUUUUCGACUAGGUUAUCCGAAAGCAUGAGGUGGGCAGCUCCUGAUACGGAGCCGCAUGCACAUUAAUCCAUGCUAAAAUGGUGACUUGCACAAAUAUAUCAAUGUCUUUCUCUAGGGCUCAUUAACACUUGAUGGUGUCCUUUGGUUGGAAAACUGGACAGAAAGCAAGGUAUUUCAUGAUUUCUUGUCCAUAUAGGGUGGAUGGCUCCAUGCACGACCAGUUACACAUUAAUCUAGGCUCGUCUAACAUGAAUAAAUGGAUGUCUUUCUCUAUGGAUCAUUAAUAAUUGAUGGCGCUCUUUGGUUAGGCGAUGUGCAAAAGCAAGGUACUCCCUUCUGAUUUCGGGUGGUUGUGAGGCCACUAGACGGACACAAGCAAGAUAAUACCUAUCAUUUGGAGGGAUAUUUUAAUAUUAUUUUUUAUCACAUAAAUUUCAAUAAUAUAACCCUAAAAUAUAAUAUUUCACCAGUAGUACUUCGACAUGUCGGUGCCAACAACGACAGGUAUCGUUGGCACUACCAAUGAUACAUCUGUUGUUGUUUUGAGUCACAUGGGCCAUCAUCAGUGCAUCUUGCAUCAGCCCUCUCGCAUGACACACUCAUACAGAGCUAGCUACGUUAGAUCGUGUACAAUGGUGCUAUCUUCGCAAUGUCACCUAAGAUCACUGCUAAGUUAGAAAAGGGCGAAUGGAGGAAAAAAAGGCUUGCCAUCUCUUACCUAAGAGAUGGUCUCUCAGUAAAGAAGAUAAGACAAUUCCAUCCAUUGUACUAGAUGUCGUCUCUUAGCUACAUAGUUUCUAGUUUAAUCUUAACCAUCACAUUCAUUUAAGAGCACACUAGUAGAAAAGGGGGCAAUGGUCCAGGCCGGGCCAGCCCAUUAGUCCUGGUUCAAUCCAGAACCGGGACCAAUGGGGGCAUUGGACCUAGUUCGUGAGCCACGGGGGCCGGCCGGGCCACAUGGGCCAUUGGUCCCAGAUCGACUGGACCUAUUGGUCCCGGUUGGUGGGACGAACCGGGACCAAUGGGCCUUGCUCCUGGCCCACCACCAUUGGUCUCGGUUGGUGGCUUGAACCGGGACCAAAGGCUGCCCUUUAGUCCCGGUUCUGGCCACGAACCGGGACCAAUUAGUUGCCUAUAUAUACCCCUCGCCCGCGAGCAGAGCACUCCCACUGCUCUGUUUUUCAUGGCCGGUGAGGGGAGAGCUUUGUGGUGCUCUAGCUCACCUCCUAUGCACACGAGGUGUUCGAUGGAAUGCCCGAGCCACACUACUUAAGCUUUCUCCUCUCCAAGCUCGACCUCCAAGCUCCAUUUACCUCAAUAUUUGUCUAGGUUUAGCGGUCCGUCACGUCCCGUCCCCAUCUUCACCGCCGUCGAUCGCCCGCGCCGAUCUCGUCGCCGGCACCACCGUGGUGAGCCUCUUGUUCUUAUCUUCUUUUUGAAAGGAAAAAAAAUCUUACUUGUAUGUUUAUAUAGAUAUUUGUAUAAUUUUCUUACUUUUAUUAUUGCAUCUUAUAUAGUGCGAUGGUUUUGGUAUCCUCCCCCGUGGGCCCUCGUCCUGUCUAUGAUUCGGAUGUGGUAUAUAUUAUCUUUUCAUAACUAUUGGUUCAUUUAUUGUUUAUGACAAUUAUGCCGACCAACGUGACAUAGAUUUUAUUUAUCUAGGAGGUUGUUGAACUAGAAAUUCCAACCGACCCUAUUGUCGAGAGGUUAAAUUUAGUUGAAGAAGAAAACAAUUUGUUGAAGGAAAAAAUUAGAAAAAUUGAGGAGGAGAAGAUGAUAUUGGAGUUGCAUGUUGCGGAUGUCGUAGAUGAUCACAAGAUCAAGAUGGAUGCAAUGCGCUUGAAGAUUAGAAAGAUGAGAAAAUAUGCCAUUCAUACCGAGGCUUUGUAUCAUUAUGCUGUUGGAUCAGUUGUUACAUUGGUUGCGAUUAUGAUCGCAUUUGUUUUCGCAUUGAAAUGUUUUACAUAGUUUUAGUGUAUGGUUUAAUUAAUUUAGAUGCUCUGCAGAGCUUUAUGUUGUUAGAUGAGAACUAUGUAUGUACUUUGGUUUUAAUGUGAUGAUGAACUUCUAUUAAUUUGGUCACUUAAUUAUCUAUUCAUGAUGUUCUGUAAUGAUUUUUGACACACUUAAUUAUAUAUAAUGCACUCAGAUGAACCGGCAAUGGAUGUACGGUUUAAGACACACCUCCGAGUACAUUAAGGGCGUGCAUGAUUUUCUCGAAGUGGCUGAGGCAAACAAGCAGAAUGGUUUUAUGUGUUGUCCAUGCCCUAUAUGUGGGAAUACAAAGUCUUACCCUGACCGGAAAAUCCUCCACACCCACCUGCUUUACAAGGGUUUCAUGCCACACUAUAAUGUUUGGACGAGGCACGGAGAAAUAGGGGUUAUGAUGGAAGACGGCGAAGAAGAAGAGUACGAUGCCAACUAUGUGCCCCCUGAAUACGGUGAUGCUACUGAACAUUAAGAGGAACCAGACGAUGUGCACGAUGCUGCUGCAACGGGCGAAGCUGCUGAAGAUCAAGAGGAACCAGACGAUGUGCCCAAUGAUGAUGAUCUCCGCCAGGUCAUUGUCGAUGCAAGGACGCAAUGCGAAAGUCAAAAGGAGAAGCUGAAGUUCGAUCGCAUGUUAGAGGACCACAAAAAAGGGUUGUACCCCAAUUGCGAAGAUGGCAACACAAAUCUCGGUACCGUACUGGAAUUGCUGCAGUGGAAGGCAGAGAAUGUUGUGCCUGACAAAGGAUUUGAGAAGCUACUGAAAAUAUUGAAGAAGAAGCUUCCAAAGGAUAACGAAUUGCCCCACAGUACAUACGCAGCAAAGAAGGUCAUAUGCCCUCUAGGAUUGGAGGUGCAGAAGAUACAUGCAUGCCCUAAUGACUGCAUCCUCUACCGCGGUGCGUACAAGGAUCUGAACGCAUGCUUGGUAUGCGGUGCAUUACGGUAUAAGAUCAGACAAGAUGACCCUGGUGAUGUUGACGGUGAGCCCCCCAGGAAGAGGGUUCCUGCGAAGGUGAUGUGGUAUGCUCCUAUAGUACCACGGUUGAAACGUUUGUUCAGAAACGGAGAGCAUGCCAAGUUGAUGCGAUGGCACAGUGAGGACCGUAAGAAAGACGGGAAGUUGAGAGCACCCGCUGACGGGUCGCAGUGGAGAAAAAUCAAGAGAAAGUACUAGGAUGAGUUUGCAAGUGAGCCAAGGAACGUAUGGUUUGCUUUAAGCGCGGAUGGCAUUAAUCCUUUCGGGGUGCAGAGCAGCAAUCACAGCACCUGGCCCAUGGCUCUAUGUAUGUAUAACCUUCCUCCUUGGAUGUGCAUGAAGCAGAAGUUCAUUAUGAUGCCAGUUCUCAUCCAAGGCCCUAAGCAACCCGGCAACGACAUUGAUGUGUACCUAAGGCCAUUAGUUGAAGAACUUUUACAGCUGUGGAAUGGAAACAGUGUACGUACGUGGGAUGAGCACAAACAGGAGGAAUUUUACCUAAAGGUGUUGCUGUUCAUGACCAUCAACGAUUGGCCCGCUCUCAGUAACCUUUCAGGACAGACAAACAAGGGAUACCACGCAUGCACGCACUGUUUACUUGACACCGAUAGUAUAUACCUGGCAAGCUGCAGGAAGAAUGUGUACCUGGGCCAUCGUCGAUUUCUUCCGACCAACCAUCCAUGUCGAAAGAAAGGCAAGCAUUUCAAAGGCGAGGAAGAUCAUCGGAAGAAGCCCGCCAUGCGUACCGGUGAUCACGUACUUGCUAUGGUCGAUGAUUUACACGUAAUCUUUGGAAAGGGUCCCGGCGGACUAGCUAUUCCGAGUGAUGCUGGGGGACACGCACCCAUGUGGAAGAAGAAAUCUAUAUUUUGGGACCUACCCUACUGGAAAGACCUAGAGGUCCGCUCUUCAAUCGACGUGAUGCACGUGACGAAGAACCUUUGCGUGAAACUGCUAGGCUUCUUGGGCGUGUAUGGGAAGACAAAAGAUACAGCUGAGGCACGGGAGGACCUACAACGUUUGCACGAAAAAGACGGCAUGCCUCCAAAGCAGUAUGAAGGUCCCGCCAGCUAUGCUCUUACCAAAGAAGAGAAGGAAAUCUUCUUUGAAUGCCUGCUUAGUAUGAAGGUCCCGACUGGCUUCUCGUCUAAUAUAAAAUUAAUAAUAAAUAUGGCAGAGAAAAAGUUUCAGAACCUAAAGUCUCAUGACUGCCACGUGAUUAUGAUGCAACUGCUUCCGGUUGCAUUGACGGGGCUUCUACCGGAAAACGUCCGAUUAGCCAUUGUGAAGCUAUGUGCAUUCCCUAAUGCAAUCUCUCAGAAGGUGAUCGAUCCAGAAAUCAUACCAAGGCUAAGGAGUGAUGUGGUGCAAUGUCUUGUCAGUUUCGAGCUGGUGUUCCCACCAUCCUUCUUCAAUAUCAUGACGCACGUCCUAGUUCAUCUAGUUGACGAGAUUGUCAUUCUGGGCCCCGUAUUUCUACACAAUAUGUUUCCCUUUGAGAGGUUCAUGGGAGUCCUAAAGAAAUAUGUCCGUAACCGUGUUAGGCCAGAAGGAAGCAUCUCCAUGGGCCAUCAAACAGAGGAUGUCAUCGGGUUUUGUGUUGACUUCAUUCCUGGCCUUAAGAAGAUAGGUCUCCCUAAAUCGUGGUAUGAGGGAAGACUGACUGGAAAAGGCACGCUUGGAAGGGACUCAAUAAUAUGCAGGGACAGAUAUUCUUGGUCUCAAGCACACUACAUAGUUCCACAGAACUCUACCUUGGUGACCCCGUAUGUCGAUGAACACAAGAACAGUCUGCGCUCCAAACACCCGGAGCAGUGCGAUGACUGGAUUACAUGUGAACACAUUAGGACUUUCAGUAGUUGGUUGGAAGCACGUCUCAGAGGUGACAACACUGUUUGUGAUGAGCUGUACUUGUUGUCCAGGGGAGCAUCUUUGACUGUAUUGAUUUGGAAAGAUACGAGAUAUAUGGGAAUACAUUUUACACGAUUGACCAAGAUCAAAAGAGCACCAACCAAAACAGUGGUGUCCGCUUUGAUGCAACAACCGAGAGGGGAAAGGACACAUAUUAUGGUUACAUAGUGGACAUAUGGGAACUUGACUACGGACAUGAUUUUAAGGUCCCUUUGUUUAAGUGCAAAUGGGUCAAUCUGUCAGGAAGCGGGGUACAGGUAGACCCACAGUACGGAAUGACAACAGUGGAUCUGAAAAAUCUUGGGUACACUGACAAACCGUUCGUCCUAGCCAAUGAUGUGGCACAGGUUAUCUAUGUGAAGGACAUGUCUACCAGACUGAGAAAGAGAAAAGAUAAGGAAGCGAAUACAUCAUACGAUGAGCCAAAGCGCCACAUAGUUCUUUCAGGAAAAAGGGACAUCAUGGGAGUGGAGGGCAAGACAGACAUGUCUGAAGAUUAUGAAAAGUUUCAUGAAAUUCCUCCCUUCAAAGUCAAGGUUGACCCCAGCAUCCUGAUAAACGAUGAAGAUUAUCCAUGGUUACGGCGCAAUAAGCAAAUGACACAAGCGAAGAAAAAGUGAAGACUUUCUCCCGCAACUAUUAUGAUGAUACCAUGCCAACUUUGUAACUGACGAGUAUGAUACCAUUGUCCGUUUUGUACAUGCACAUGCUAUCUGGGUCAAUUUAUGAUACCAUGCCAACUUUCAACUUUUUCAGAGUUCAUUUGAAAUGCUUUAAUGUCUCAUGGUUCGGCCCUCGUAAUAAUUAAAAAUAGCAACAAUAAGUAUUUUGUUGUAAGUAGAAACAAAAUAAAAUAAAUAAAGCAAGAAAAAAACAAAAAAAGUGUUUUCAAAUUUCAAAACUAAUGGCACUAACAGAAAGUUUAUAAUUUUCCUAAAACUAAAAGCAAAAAGAAUUAAAAAAUAAAGCAAAAAACAAAAGAAAAUAAAUAAUGCAGAAAACAAAACAAAAAACUGGAAAAAAAUAGCAACAAUAAGUAAAGAAAACGAAAAAACAAAAAAAAUGCCUCCUACUGGGCCCCCACGGCCUGAAUAUGACUAGAAACCCUACUAUGGGCCAGGAUUCAGGCCCGCAGUAGGCCCAGAAGGCCCAUCAGGCAAAGCAAUAGCAAGUAGGCCCGAAAGCCUGCGGUCGAGAGGAGCUCGAGAGGGGUGCGGCAGUGGGGCUUAUAAACCACUGCGCGCCCCUCUCAACUAGCGAGGUGGGACUAAACUUUGGCCCCGACGCGGGCAGCACAGGGGCCUUUGGUCCUGGUUGGUGGCACCAACCGGGACUAAAGGGGGGCAUUGGUCCCGGUUGGUGGCACCAACCGGUACCAAAGGCCGCCGCUUCCCGCCCUUUGGGCUGCCGAAAAAGAGGCCUUUGGUCCCGGUUGGUGGCACCAACCGGGACUAAAGGGUGCAUUAGUCCCGGUUGGUUUCACGAACCGGACCAAUGGCUUUGUUAUAUAAGCAAACACUUUGCAAAAAUUCAGAAUUUCAUCGCCAGUUGCCCCCGACGACGCCGACCUCCUCGACGCCGCUAGGAUGCUCCACCUCGCCGUCGUCGCCACCGCUGCCAAGGCCGUCGCCUCCCCGAGCCCACGCCGUCCUCGUCGCCGGCCUCCCCGAGCCCGCGCCGUCCUCGUCCCCGUCGCCGCGUGCCUCCCCGAGCCCACCCUCCUCGUCCCUAUCGCCGUGUGCCGCCUGAGACCGCCGUCCCCGUCACCGCGUGCCGCCACGAGCCCCUGCCCCGUCCCGUCCCCGCGCGCCGGCGCCCUCGCCGCCCCCACUGUCGCCAUCAUCAUCGCUAGCCGCCCCCGCUGUGAGCCGCCANNNNNNNNNNNNNNNNNNNNNNNNNNNNNNNNNNNNNNNNNNNNNNNNNNNNNNNNNNNNNNNNNNNNNNNNNNNNNNNNNNNNNNNNNNNNNNNNNNNNNNNNNNNNNNNNNNNNNNNNNNNNNNNNNNNNNNNNNNNNNNNNNNNNNNNNNNNNNNNNNNNNNNNNNNNNNNNNNNNNNNNNNNNNNNNNNNNNNNNNNNNNNNNNNNNNNNNNNNNNNNNNNNNNNNNNNNNNNNNNNNNNNNNNNNNNNNNNNNNNNNNNNNNNNNNNNNNNNNNNNNNNNNNNNNNNNNNNNNNNNNNNNNNNNNNNNNNNNNNNNNNNNNNNNNNNNNNNNNNNNNNNNNNNNNNNNNNNNNNNNNNNNNNNNNNNNNNNNNNNNNNNNNNNNNNNNNNNNNNNNNNNNNNNNNNNNNNNNNNNNNNNNNNNNNNNNNNNNNNNNNNNNNNNNNNNNNNNNNNNNNNNNNNNNNNNNNNNNNNNNNNNNNNNNNNNNNNNNNNNNNNNNNNNNNNNNNNNNNNNNNNNNNNNNNNNNNNNNNNNNNNNNNNNNNNNNNNNNNNNNNNNNNNNNNNNNNNNNNNNNNNNNNNNNNNNNNNNNNNNNNNNNNNNNNNNNNNNNNNNNNNNNNNNNNNNNNNNNNNNNNNNNNNNNNNNNNNNNNNNNNNNNNNNNNNNNNNNNNNNNNNNNNNNNNNNNNNNNNNNNNNNNNNNNNNNNNNNNNNNNNNNNNNNNNNNNNNNNNNNNNNNNNNNNNNNNNNNNNNNNNNNNNNNNNNNNNNNNNNNNNNNNNNNNNNNNNNNNNNNNNNNNNNNNNNNNNNNNNNNNNNNNNNNNNNNNNNNNNNNNNNNNNNNNNNNNNNNNNNNNNNNNNNNNNNNNNNNNNNNNNNNNNNNNNNNNNCGAGGCCACCCAAAUUUACCAAGUUAAAAGAGCGUUGUCGUCGAGGCCACCCCAAACCCUUGAAGCGUUGUGUCGAGGCGACCCCAAACCCUAGAGAAGUAGCGUCGAGGCCACUAACAUGAUUCCUUAUUGUGAUUAGCUAGCUAGUUCUACGUUUGCCACUAACAUAUAUAUAUAUAUAUAUAUAUAUAUAUAUAUAUAUAUAUAUAUGCAUCUGUACCAUGUUUGAAUAAUAAUUGACAUGUUGUAAAUAUUUGCAGAAACUAUGGAGCACUCCCGAGACAAAGAAACAGAAGCGAUGUUGGGGGACAUAAUCGCGCAAGGAAGUGAUGAAGUUGCGCCAUUUCUCAACGACACCGAUGGUCAGGAAGAACUGGGUGAAGAAGAGGGCUAUGUUCAUGAUGGCUUUGGCCCAUUAAUGCCGUUACAAGAAGAGGACUAUGUUCAUGAUGGCUCCGAUGACAUAAUGGAGGUACAAGAAGGAGACAGUGCUGACUGCUCCGGUGACCGAACCGAGUCCGGCCAGCUAUAUAUAUAUUAGUUAAGCCCGUGCUGACUAGUUAAUUGAUGCAUCCAUUGUUUUGGUAUAUGUACACAUAUUAAUUACUCUCGUCUUUCUUCCUUAUAAUUUCUAGCCCUCCGGAUCGAGCACAACUUCGGUAAGGAGAUGAGGCCCGAAGAAAAAGUUGAGCUCGGAUGAAAAGUUUGAGAUCAUAGAAAUCGCGCCCGACGGCGAACUGAUUGAACCCAUCCGGACAAAGCGCGCAUUUUCUGCUCAGUGCGGGGUUCUUGUUAGGGACAAGAUCCCGAUCAGCAUCCAACAAUGGUAUAAGCCUAAGGAGGAAGACCCUGAGGUGUCUUAUGUCAAUGAUAUGCAGAAAGAAGAUCUUUGGACUCAGCUGAAGGCAAAUUUCACCCUACCGCCAGAGGAGGAUCCGGAGAAGCCAGUUAAAGAGCAAUUAAUCAAGUCUUGUGCUCUUAAGAAGAUGGCAACCCUAUUCAGGAGGUGGAGGAAAGAGCUGAACAAGUUUGUCGACAAAAAAAAGACACCAGAAUUCAUCGGCAAAUAUGAGAAGAUCAAAGAUCACUGGCCCGCAUUUGUGGCCCACAAGACAUCGGAAAAGAUUAAGAAGAUGUUUGCGACAAACAAGCAAAAUGCUGCGAAGAAGAUGCUUCACCAUCGCACGGGGUCAGGUGGCUACCUCAAAGCCCGGCCUAAGUGGUCCAAGGCUGAGCAUGAUCUGCUUGAAAAAGGGAUCGAACCAGAGACAAUGUACUGGCCAGACCGUUGCCGGACUUGGUUCUUCGGGGCUGGCGGAACCUUGGACCCUGUAUCAGGGAAGUGCCAUUGGAUGGACGAGCAACUGCAAAUACCAGUCAAGAACCUUCGACACUAUAUCGAUGCAGCGCAGCGAGGGACGUUCGUUCCAGACAGGGAGAAGGACGAGCUCACAAUGGCCCUCAGGAAUCCUGAGCACCCUGGACAGACACGAGGCACGCCAGGCUCCAUUCCGUGGAAGGUUGGUUUUCCGGACGCAGGGGGUUACAAAACCCAUGAGAUGAGGAAGAAACUGGAGCAGGGCCAACUACAGGCGCUGCACGAAAGGGUAAUGGUGCUAGAGGAACGAGAAGGGGAACGAGAAGCAGCAGAUCGCAGCAAACGACCUGCCGAAGCUUCCCCCGAAGCUACCCCGCCAUCUCAGCGGAGAAGCAACAUGGCUUCCACCGAGCUGCUUCAGCCGGAACAUGUCUUGACGGCUCCUGCCAUCUAUCCCGUGGAUGAUAUCACGGAGUCUCAAAAUUGCCACAUUAUGGCGCGAUGGAUGAAUUUGAAGGUCAAGGUGGUUGUUGGCUCUGUUUAUCCUAGUGGACCCGGUACAACUUAUCACUGCCAGCCAAUUCCAGAAGGAUAUGCUAAGGUGAUGGUGGAUGAAAUAACGGAGUGAUUUGAGGACCUCCUGCUUGACCACCCUACCGGUAAAGGGGAGACUAGGCUGGGUUCUGCUCUGAAGACUCCAUGCCUAUGGCGGAAGGAGCUCAUCAACCUUCCGAACUGGACGCCUCCGCCUCCUCCUCCUCCUCCGGCGAGUCAGGGCACUCCGCCUCCUCCACCGCCUCCUCCUCCGGUGAGUGACGAUCAGGGCACGCGUGGCGGCACUCCGCCUCCUUCUCCAGUGCGUGGCGGCACUCCGCCUCCUUCUCCGUCUGCGCCGGCGCUCCCGAGAAGCCAGCAGCCUCCUCCUUCUCCGCCUCGCCAGCAAGGGCAAAGAGACCCGCCGCCGCCCCGGCUGUGUUGGAAAUAUGCCCUAGAGGCAAUAAUAAAUUAGUUAUUAUUAUAUUUCCUUGUUCAUGAUAAUCGUUUAUUAUCCAUGCUAUAAUUGUAUUGAUAGGAAACUCAGAUACAUGUGUGGGUACAUAGACAACACCAUGUCCCUAGUAAGCCUCUAGUUGACUAGCUCGUUAAUCAAUAGAUGGUUACGGUUUCCUGACCAUGGACAUUGGAUGUCAUUGAUAACGGGAUCACAUCAUUAGGAGAAUGAUGUGAUGGACAAGACCCAAUCCUAAGCCUAGCACAGAUCGUGUAGCUCGUAUGCUAAAGCUUUUCUAAAUGUCAAGUAUCAUUUCCUUAGACCAUGAGAUUGUGCAACUCCCGGAUACCGUAGGAAUGCUUUGGGUGUACCAAACGUCAGAACGUAACUGGGUGGCUAUAAAGGUGCAUUACAGGUAUCUCCGAAAGUGUCUGUUGGGUUGGCACGAAUCGAGACUGGGAUUUGUCACUCCGUGUGAUGGAGAGGUAUCUCUGGGCCCACUCGGUAGGACAUCAUCAUAAUGUGCACAAUGUGACCAAGGGGUUGAUCACGGGAUGAUGUGUUAUGGGACGAGUAAAGAGACUUGCCGGUAACGAGAUUGAACAAGGUAUCGGGAUACCGAUGAUCGAAUCUCGGGCAAGUACAAUGCCGCUAGACAAAGGGAAUUGUAUACGGGAUCGAUUGAGUCCUUGACAUCGUGGUUCAUCCGAUGAGAUCAUCGUGGAACAUGUGGGAGUCAACAUGGGUAUCCAGAUCCCGUUGUUGGUUAUUGACCGGAGAACGUCUCGGUCAUGUCUGCAUGGUUCCCGAACCCGUAGGGUCUACACACUUAAGGUUCAAUGACGCUAGGGUUAUAAAGGAAGUUUGUAUGUGGUUACCGAAUGUUGUUCGGAGUCCCGGAUGAGAUCCCGGACAUCACGAGGAGUUCCGGAAUGGUCCGGAGGUAAAGAUUUAUAUAUAGGAAGUCUUAUUUUGGUCGCCGGAAAAGUUUCGCGCAUUAUCGGUAUUGUACCGGGAGUGCCGAAAGGGGUCCGGGGGUCCACCUGCCCCGGGGGGCCACAUGGGCUGUAGGGGGUGCGCCUUGGCCCAUAUGGGCCAAGGGCACCAGCCCCAAGAGGCCCGUGCGCCAAGGAGACUUGGGGAGGGAAGAGUCCAAAGGGGGGAAGGCACCUCCGAGGUGCCUUGGGGAGGAUGGACUCCUCCCCCCCUCUUGGCCGCACCCCUUCCUUGGAGGAAGGGGCAAGGCUGCGCCCUCCCCCCUCUCUUGCACCUAUAUAUAGUGGAGGGGAGGGAGGGGAAGACACACCUAAGUUCCUGGCACCUCCCUCCCUCCCGUGACACCUCCUCCUCUCCCGCAGGUGCUUGGCGAAGCCCUGCAGGAUUGCCACGCUCCUCCACCACCACCACGCUGUUGUGCUGCUGCUGGAUGGAGUCUUCCUCAACCUCUCCCUCUCUCCUUGCUGGAUCAAGGCAUGGGAGACGUCACCGGGCUGUACGUGUGUUGAACGCGGAGGUGACGUCCGUUCGGCACUAGGAUCAUCGGUGAUUUGAAUCACGACGAGUACGACUCCAUCAACCCUGUUCACUUGAACGCUUCCGCUUAGCGAUCUACAAGGGUAUGUAGAUGCACUCUCCUUCCCCUCGUUGCUGGUUUCUCCAUAGAUAGAUCUUGGUGACACGUAGGAAAAUUUUUAAUUUCUGCUACGUUCCCCAACAGUGGCAUCAUGAGCUAGGUCUAUUGCGUAGAUUCUUUGCACGAGUAGAACACAAAGUAGUUGUGGGCAUUGAUUUUGUUCAAUAUGCUUGCCGUUACUAGUCCAAUCUUGUUUCGACGGUAUUGUGGGAUGAAGCGGCCCGGACCGACCUUACACGUACUCUUACGUGAGACAGGUUCCACCGACUGACAUGCACUUGGUGCAUAAGGUGGCUAGCGGGUGCCAGUCUCUCCCACUUUAGUCGGAUCGGAUGCAAUGAAAAGGGUCCUUAUGAAGGGUAAAUAGCAAUUUACAUAUCACGUUGUGGUUUUGCGUAGGUAAGAAACGUUCUUGCUAGAAACCCAUAGCAGCCACGUAAAACAUGCAAACAACAAUUAGAGGACGUCUAACUUGUUUUUGCAGGGUAUGCUAUGUGAUGUGAUAUGGCCAAGAAGAAUGUGAUGAAUGAUAUGUGAUGUAUGAGAUUGAUCAUGUUCUUGUACUAGGAAUCACGACUUGCAUGUCGAUGAGUAUGACAACCGGCAGGAGCCAUAGGAGUUGUCUUUAUUUAUUGUAUGACCUGCGUGUCAUUAUACAACGCCAUGUAAUUACUUUACUUUAUUGCUAACCGGUAGCCAUAGUAGUAGAAGUAAUAGUUGGCGAGACAAUGAAGACACGAUGAUGGAGAUCAUGAUGAUGGAGAUCAUGGUGUCAUGCCGGUGACGAUGAUGAUCAUGGAGCCCCGAAGAUGGAGAUCAAAAGGAGCAAAAUGAUAUUGGCCAUAUCAUGUCACUAUUUGAUUGCAUGUGAUGUUUAUCAUGUUUAUGCAUCUUAUUUGCUUAGAACGACAGUAGUAAAUAAGAUGAUCCCUCAUUAAAAUUUCAAGAAGGUGUUCCCCCUAACUGUGCACCGUUGCGAAAGUUUGUCGUUUCGAAGCACCACGUGAUGAUCGGGUGUGAUAGAUUCUUACGUUCACAUACAACGGGUGUAAGCCAGAUUUACACACGCAGAACACUUAGGUUAGCUUGACGAGCCUAGCAUGUACAGACAUGGCCUCGGAACACAAGAGACCGAAAGGUCGAGCAUGAGUCGUAUAGUAGAUACGAUCAACAUGAAGAUGUUCACCGAUGAUGACUAGUCCGUCUCACGUGAUGAUCGGACACGGCCUAGUUGACUCGGAUCAUGUAAUCACUUAGAUGACUAGAGGGAUGUCUAUCUAAGUGGGAGUUCAUGAGAUGAACUUAAUUAUCCUGAACAUAGUCAAAAGAUCUUUGCAAAUUAUGUCGUAAGCUCGCGCUUUAGUUCCACUGUUUAGAUAUGUUCCUAGAAAAAUAUAGUUGAAAGUUGACAGUAGCGAAUAUGCAGACAGUAGAAAGCUUAUGUCCUUAAUGCACCGCUCAGUGUGUUGAACCCCAAACGUCGUUUGUGGAUGUUACGAACAUCGGACAUACAUGUUUUGAUAACUACGUGAUAGUUCAGUUAAACGGUUUAGAGUUGAGGCACCAAAGACGUUUUUCGAAACGUCACGGAACAUAUGAGAUGUUUCGAGGGCUGAAAUUGGGAUUUCAGGCUCGUGCCCACGUCAAGAGGUAUAAGACCUCCGACGAUUUUCUUAGCCUGCAAACUAAGGGAGAAAAGCUCAAUCAUUGAGCUUGUGCUCAGAUUGUCUGAGUGCAACAAUCACUUGAAUCGAGUGGGAGUUGAUCUUCCAGAUGAGAUAGUGAUGUUUCUCCAAACUCAUUGCCACCAAGCUGCUAGAGCUUCGUGAUGAACUAUAACAUGUCAGGGAUAGAUAUGAUGAUCCUUGAGGUAUUCAUGAUGUUUGACACCGCGAAAGUAGAAAUCAAGAAGAAGCAUCAAUUGUUGAUGGUUGGUGAAACCACUAGUUUUAAGAAGGGCAAGGGCAAGAAGGGACACUUCAUGAAACGGCAAAUCAGUUGCUGCUCCAGUGAAGAAACCCAAGGUUGAACCCAAACCCGAGACUAAGUGCUUCUGUAAUAAGGGGAACAGCCACUGGAGCAGAAUUACCCUAGAUACUUGGUAGAUAAGAAGGCUGGCAAGGUUGAUAGAAGUAUAUUGGAUAUACAUUAUGUUAAUGUGUACUUUACUAGUACUCCUAGUAGCACCAGGGUAUUAGAUACCGGUUCGGUUGCUAAGUGUUAGUAACUCGAAAUAAAAGCUAUGGAAUAAACAGAGACUAGCUAAAGGUGAGCCGACGAUAUGUGUUGGAAUGUUUCCAAGGUUGAUAUGAUCAAGCAUCGCACGCUCCCUCUACCAUCGAGAUUGGUGUUAAACCUAAAUAAUUGUUAUUUGGUGUUUGCGUUGAGCAUAGACAUGAUUGGAUUAUGUCUGUUGCAAUACGGUUAUUCAUUUAAGGAGAAUAAUGGUUACUCUGAGUAAUACCUUCAAUGGUCUAGCACCUAAAAGGAAUGGUUUAUUGAAUCUCGAUCAUAGUGAUACACAUUUUCAUGCCAAAAGAUAUAAGAUAGUAAUGAUAGUACCACGUACUUGUGGCACUGCCAUGUAAGUCAUAUUGGUAUAAAACGCAUGAAGAAGCUCCAUGUUGAUGGAUCUUUGGACUCACUCGUUUUUCAAAAGUUUGAGACAUGCAAACCAUGUCUAUUGGUGUAUACGCAUGAAGAAACUCCAUGCAGAUGGAUCGUUUGGACUCACUUGAUUUUUAAUCACUUGAGAUAUGCAAAUCAUACCACAUGGGCAAGAUGACUGAAAAGCCUCGGUUUCAGUAAGAUGGAACAAGAUAGCAACUUGUUGAAGUAACACAUUUUGAUGUGUGCAGUCCAAUGAGUGUUGAGGCAUGCAGUGAAUAUCGUUAUGUUCUUACUUCACGGAUGAUUUAAGUAGAUACUGAGUGUAUUUACUUGAUGAAACACAAGUCUGAAUUAUUGAAUGGUUCAAGUAGUUUCAGAGUGAAGUUAAAGAUCAUCGUGACAAGAGGAUAAAAUGUCUAUGAUAUGAUCAUAGAGAUGAGUAUCUGAGUUACGAUCUUUGGCACGCAAUUAAGACAUCGUGGAAAUUGUUUCACAAUUAAUACCGCCUGGAACACCAUAGUGUGAUGGUGUGUCCGAACAUCAUAGUUGCACCCUAUUAGAUAUGGUGCGUACCAUGAUGUCUCUUAUCAAAUUACCACUAUCGUUCAUGGGUUAGGCAUUAGAGACAACCGCACUCACUUUAAUAGGGCACCACGUAAUUCCGUUGAGACGGCACUGUUUGAACUAUGGUUUGGAGAAAUCUAAGUUGUCGUUUCUUAAAGGUUUGGGGCUGCGACGCUUAUGUGAAAAAGUUUCAGGUUGAUAAGCUCGAACCCAAAGCGGAUAAAAUGCAUCUUCAUAGGACACCCAAAACGGUUGGGUAUACCUCCUAAUUCAGAUCCGAAAGCAAUAGGGGUUGUUUCUAGAAACGGGUCCUUUCUCGAGGAAAAGUUUCUCUCAAAAGAAUUGAGUGGGAGGAUGGUGGAGACUUGAUGAGGUUAUUGAACCAUCACUUCAACCAGUGUGUAGCAGGGCACAGGAAGUUCCUGUGGCACCUACAUCAAUUGAAGUAGAAGCUUAUGAUAGUGAUCAUGAAGCUUCAGAUCAAGUCACUACCGAACCUCGUAGGACGACAAGGACGCGUACUGCUUCGGAGUGGUACGGUGAUCCUGUCUUGAAUGUCAUGUUGCUAGACAACAAUGAACCUGCAAGCUAUGGAGAAGCAAUGGUGGGCCCAUAUUCCAACAAAUGGUUAGAAGCCAUGAAAUCGGAGAUAGGAUCCAUGUAUCAGAACAAAGCAUGGACUUUGGUGGACUUGCCCGUUGAUCGGCAAGCCAUUGAGAUAAAUGGAUCUUUAAGAAGAAGACGGACGUGGACGGUAAUGUCACCGUCUAUGAAGCUCGACUUGUGGCGAAGAGUUUUUCACAAGUUCAAGGAGUUGACUACGAUGAGAUUUUCUCAUCCGUAGCGAUGCUUAAGUCCGUCGGAAUCAUGUUAGCAUUAGCUGCAUUUAUGAAAUCUGGCAGAUGGAUGUCAAAACGAGUUUCCUUACCAAUUUUGUAAGGAAAGGUUGUAUGUGAUACAAUCAGAAAGUUUUUUUUCGAUCCUAAGGAUGCUAAAAGGUAUGCUGGCUCCAGCAAUCCUUCUAAGGACUGGAGUAAGCAUCUCGGAGUUGGAAUAUACGCUUUGAUAAAAUGAUCAAAGAUUUUGGGUUUAUACAAAGUUUGUGAGAAACUUGUAUUUCCAAAGAAGUGAGUGGGAGCACUAUAGAAUUUCUGAUGAGUAUAUGUCGUUGACAUAUUGAUGAUCAAAAAUGAUGAAGAAUUUUCUGUAAAGCAUAUAGGGUUAUUUGAAAAGUGUUUUUCAAGUGAAAACCUCGAUUAAGCUGCUUAAACAUUGAGCAUCAAGAUCUAUGAGAACAGAUCGAAAACGCUAAAUGAUACUUUCAAAUGAGCACAUACCUUGACAUGAUCUUGAAGGUGUUCAAGAUGGAUCAGUCAAAGAAGGAGUUCUUGCCUGAGAUUUAAGGUAUGAAGUUAAGACUUAAAGCUCGACCACGGCAGAAAAGAGAGAAAGGACGAAGGUCGUCCCCUAUGCUUUAGACGUAGGCUCUAUAGUAUGCUAUGUUGUGUACCGCACCGGAAGUGUGCCUUGCCAUGAGUCAGUCAAGGGGUACAAGAAUGAUCCAGGAAUGGGGAUCAUUGGACAGCGGUCAAAAUUGUCCUUGGAGUAAAUAAGGACAUGUUUUUCGAUUAUGGAGGUGAUAAAGAGUUCGGCGUAAAGGGUUACGUCGAUGCAAGCUUUGACACCUAUCCGAAUGACUCUGAAUAGCAAACCGGAUACGUAUAGUGGAGCAACCAUUUGGAAUAGUUUCAAAUGGAGCGUGGAAGCAGCAUUUAUAAUAUGACCUAGAAAUUUGUAAAGCACACACGGAUCUGAAAGGUUCAGAUCCGUUGACUAAAACCUCUCUCACAAGCAAAACAUGAUCAAACCCCAGAACUCAUUGAGUCUUAAUCACAUGAUGAUGUGAACUAGUAAACUCUUUGGAUGUUGGUCACAUGGCGAUGUGACCUGUGAGUGUUAAUCACAUGGCGAUGUGAACUAGAUUAUUGACUCUAGUGCAAGUGGGAGACUGUUGGAAAUAUGCCCUAGAGGCAAUAAUAAAUUAGUUAUUAUUAUAUUUCCUUGUUCAUGACAAUCGUUUAUUAUCCAUGCUAUAAUUGUAUUGAUAGGAAACUCAGAUACAUGUGUGGGUACAUAGACAACACCAUGUCCCUACUAAGCCUCUAGUUGACUAGCUCGUUAAUCAAUAGAUGGUUACGGUUUCCUGACCAUGGACAUUGGAUGUCAUUGAUAACGAGUAUUUAAAAGAAAAAUUGAAAAAAAUUGAGGGGGAGAAGAUGGAAUUGGAUUUGCAUGUUGCCGAUGCCGUCGAUGAUCACAAGAUCGAGAUGGAGAAAAUGCGCUUGAAGAUUAGAAAGAUUAGGAAAUAUGCCAUCGAUAGUGAGGCUUGGUAUCAUUAUGUUGUUACACCAAUUGUUACCUUAAUUGCGAUCUUGAUCGCAUUUGUUGUUGCAUUUAAAUGCUUUAGCUAGAGAGUUAUGUGUAUGUUGUUUUAUGAGAAUAAGUGUUGUAUGAACUUUAUGUAUGAACUUGUAUUAAUUUGAUCUUUUCGGUGCUGUGUAAUGGAUGAGCCGACAAUGGAUGUACGAUGACCGAUGCUCUCCCCAGUUCAUUAAUGGUGUGCAUACUUUUGUGCUUGCAGCUGUGGCAAACAAGCGGGCAAAUGGUUUUAUGCCUCAUCCAUGUGCUGGCUGUAAAAACGAUCAAAAUUACUCUAAGUCAAGAACCAUUCAAGUCCACCUGUUUGACUCUGGUUUCAUGCCCCAUUAUAAUGUUUGGACCAAGGACGGAGAAAGAGGGGUUAUGAUGGAAGACAAUGAAGAAGAAGAGGACGACGACAACUAUCCUGGCCAUGGGUUCCCUGAAUACGAUGGUACAACAAUGGGGGAAGAAGCUGAGCAGGCAAUGCGGGAAGAAGCUGAAGAACAGGCAUCAGAUGAGCCCACUGAUGAUCUAGGUCGGGCCAUUGCCAAUGCAAGAGAAACUGCGCAAGUGAAAAGGAGAAGAAGAAGUUGCAAUGCAUGUUAGAGGAUCACAAGAAAUUGUUGUACCCGAAUUGCAAAGCUGACAAGAAAAAGUUGAGCACCACAUUGGAAUUGCUGCAAUGGAAGGCAGAGAAUGGUCUAUCUGACAAGGGAUUUCGAAACUUGUUGACAAUGUUAAUGAAGAUGCUUCCAAAGGACAACUUAUUGCCCGAGAGUACGAGUACGUACGAAGCAAAGAAGGUUGUCUGCCCUCUAGGAUUAGUGGUGCAGAAAAUACAUGCAUGCCCUAAUGACUGCAUCCUCUACCGCAUUCAGUACGAGGAUGUGAACGCAUGCCCGGUAUGCGGUGCAUUGCGCUAUAAGAUCAACUGCGAUGACCCUGGUGAUGUCGAGGGCGAGUGCUCCAGGAAGAAGAUUCCUGCCAAGGUGAUGUGGUAUGUGUUGACACCAGAUUUUGGCAUGGUCAAUAACUUAUUUAAGAUGGCCUCAAAUGGAGAAGUGAUCUUCAUGAAAGAGUUCUGUAUUGUCGAUAUGAACAUCUUUCAAGUCUGGGUCAUCGCAGUCCGAUUUCAUCUCGAAGGCCGAAACUAUGCUCAAAGUACUAAGAUCUUAUAUUCAGAGUACAGUUUGGCUGAUUAAGCCUCCAAGAAGACCUCAAAUGGAACAAUUAUCUACACGGAUUGUCUUCGUCUCGUCGAAACUAUCGAUUUUGAUAUAAAAAUCGUUCCAAUCCGAGUUCGUAUGCAAAAGUUAGAGCCAUCAGAAUACAGCCCUGUCAGGAGGCAAAAACUGGCGCGCCCCACCAGACACCCUGUCUGAUGGGUAGCGCGAGGGAUAGCCUGUUUUGCGCGACCGAUUUGACCCUCAAGAUGCCCUCUGAUCAAAAAAUGUUCAACAUAAAAGUUGUUCGUAUCGUCGAAACGGUCAAGAUUGCUUUUGGGCUCGUUUCCAUCUAAAAUCGUUUACCACCACAAAAAAGACCCGCAAGGUGCAGCCAGUUUAAACCAAACAGUUUUGGAAAGUUCGGACAAAACCAAUCCGAAUUUGACUAGGGUUUUGGACGUGAAUCCAAGCCUUUUCCUUGCACGGGAAGUCCAGCCGCCUCUUAUAUACCUAAGGGGUGACGGCUGAUUGAACAACACACAAUCGAACAAAUCAAUCUACCACUUUUAUCUUUUAUCUUUUCUCCUUAACCCUAGUUCUUCUUCUUCCUCGUUCUUCGUUGUUCUUCUUCAUUGCAGGGCGGCGAACCUCGAGGCCAUAGGGACGGUCAGGCCGACCUAGGGCAGCCCAUAGCCGCUGCGCUCCCAGACGGGGUCCCUCCCGGGCGUGUGAGGUUUCGGGUCUACAAAAGAGCCCGCCGGAUUGUCUUGCGUACCGCGCUUUCGGCGGGUCUCCUUCGACGUGAGCUGCGGUGCAUCACCCCCAGCGUCGAGGGUACACGGUGACGUGUUUGUGUACGAACACACUUUUUGGCGACUCCGCUGGGGACGAAGCUUUGAACGGUCUCCGGCCUAUUUUUUCUACGAAAGGAUCGUCAUCUAGGGUUUGCAAUCUACAAAGGUAAUAUGAAUACCCAAUUCCCUACUGUAGAUGCAAAUAAUUCAUAUGGUUUUAAUAGAUCGUUCAAUGAGUAUACUCUAUCGGCCAGCCCUAGUUUUUUCAAUAAUCCAUCUAAUUACGUGCAAGGGCCGAUUCAAAGUAAUUUGCAUGCUUUAAGUUCUUAUGAUACUAGUAACCUACACCAUAUGUAUCCCAACUCUCAUGCAUCAGCAACCCCACAAAUUGUUAUGCCGAUGAACAACAUGGUGAGUUCAGUUAAUAAAUUUGAAACACCUCAUGUUAGAAUCUCCAAUGCCAUGAAAGAAAGUGUUUCACCCUUUUAUUCAUCGGCAAGUAAUGUGCAAUAUACUAAUCCAACCAUGCCGAUGAACGAGAGAAUUGGCCAUGCAGCUACUAGUUAUUCGGCCAGUUACUCUCAAACGUCAUAUGCUACACCUCAUGUUAGUAAUUCUUCGGCACCAUACACAACUGUAGAUGCUCAUAAUUCGGCUUCACACCUUCCUGGUUAUAGCCGAAUGAAUGUAAAUUUUACAGGAGCGGUUGUGCCCAAUAUUGUAGAAGAUGAGGUAGUGGUGGCUGCAUUGAAGAGUUUAGCCCAAAAUAAGAGAAUUAGUGUUCUUUGCCUUGAACAACAUGAAAAGGGGCUAUUUCCUGAUUAUGCCGCAAUAAAACCUAGAGUUCUGCAAGAAGAUGAAUCUUUGCCAAUUGAUAAAAUUGGCGAGCAAAAGGAUGGUCUUACAACAAUGCAUAUGCCUUCACCUAGUACUACAUCAUAUUAUACACCCCCUACACAAUUGCAAAAUUUCCGCAACACCCGUGUGUCAUUGCCGAAAGAAUCUAAAAGCAUUGGGGGCAAUCAUAUCCGGAGUGGGCUGAAAUUGAGAAAAAGCUUAAAGCUAAUUUUGCUGCUCGCCGUCAGAAACAAAUAGAAAAAGAAUUGGCUCAGAUAAAAGAAGCAUUGCCAAUUGGUAGUAUCAAUGAAAAGAAGGAUGAUUCGGAACAUGAAAGUGCUUCGGUUGAAAAAUCCGAAUCAAGUAGUAUAUAUUCUGAAUCCAUCAAAUCCAACGAGGCAAGCAUUAUUGAGAAAGGGCAUGGCAAGCAUAGGAAAACAACGGUGCUUGAUUAUUCUGAAGUUAAUAGAACCUACUUCCUCCCCUAUGAGUUCCGUGCCGUAGAAAUUGACAAGCUUCAAGGACAAGAACAAGUAGCCGAACAAAGUUCAGCCGACAAAAAUCUUCAAAGCAAUGAUGCACGGAUUCAAGAAAAAGAUGAUGACAAGGUGUUGGGGAGCCAUCCAAAGACGGAGCAAGAUGUUCUUCAAAUGGCACCACCAUCAUGCUCUCCCAACAUAUUUGAAGAGGUAUGCAUAGCCAGUAAUUUACCUAUUUUCAGAUUUGGUCGCAACUUCAUUAUUGAUGCAUCUAUAAGAAAUAUUCUCAUAAGUAAUUUUGAAAGACCAAUGAAGAAGGGUAAUUUACUUGUUAGCAAUAAAAUUGUUAUGGAACAUAUCGGUCAAACCAUUGCGCCAUUCAUAAAGACCGGUAAUGACUUAUUGUUACAGCCAAAGCUUUCCCCGUUGCUUUAUCUAAAGUUCAUAUCUAGUUGGGUAGCUUUGCUUAUUUCGUACUUGGCUUGCACUUGGUCUCAACUGAGACAUGUAUGUUCUAAAUAUCUUCGUUUCAGAAAUUUAAAGCCAAGGUUAAAUUCUUUUGAGAAAACUGAUGCUAAUACAAUAUCUUAUCCAAAGACAUCGGAGAUAAAGUGGAAAACACAAUGCAUAGCCGAAUGGGGAGAUUCCAAAUCUGAACCAUUUGUUUGCUUAUCUCCAAAGCUGUUCAAACAGCAAGAUCGGCUAGAAAACAAGAAGUAUACCUUCAAUUCAAGCAUGUGAGAUCAAAUAUAUGAUUUGUUGCAGAAAAAUAAUUACAUUACAAUUCUCGAUCACCAUGUUAAGACAUCAAUUCAAGGACGAAUGUAUUGUAAGUUGCAUGAUUCGUCCAAACAUAAUUUUGAGGAUUGCAAUAUGUUUCGGCAAAUAGUUAAAUCGGCCAUUGAAAAAGGACGAUUGAAGUUUGUUGAAACACCAAGAGAUGACCAGUCUAUUCCGAUUGGUCCCGAUGGCAAAAAGUUUUUGCAUCGGCUGCUUCAAGCCGAGCCAUUUAAAGAGAAUGUAAAAAUUGCAGGUGAUGGGAUCAAGGUUUCAAGUAAAGAAGUUGUUGAAGAGCAUAAUGAACAUAAUCUUGAGGGCGAGAAUUCCAUCGAAGCUACAAUGGAGACGCCAAGGACUGGGGGGCAGCAAGCAAAUCCAAUGAUCGAUGAAAGCAAACCAAAAGAAAACAAAGGCCGAAAUAAGCGCAAGUGUAAGAGAUCAAAAAUCACCUUUGCUGAACUAUUGGAUAAAUAUCAAAAGAUGAGUGAAGAGAAGAAUGCUUAUUGGCCAAAUCAUGCAAAGAAACCAAGAUCACCCCCAAGGCGCAAAUAUGAUGACUGGUAUUGGCAAAGUGAUAAUUUUAAUGCAACAUAUUCAUACCCUUAUUUUGGCCGCCAAUGCCAAUGCCGUGGAUGCCUCCCUAUGCUCAUAUAGAUACAUAUUCAUCAUGGGAUAGGUAUGGUACAAGGGCACAUUCUCCAUCUUAUUCUAGACCAUCUCACCAAUACUAUGCAGCUCCAAGAAGAUCAACAUUUGAACAAUCACGCAUCAAAGACCGUUUCAAUCAUAAGGAAUCAGUCCAGAGCUCAAGGAAGAAAAAAGAGGUGGUAAAACAAGUUUACCGCGUGAAAAAAGAUGGCCAUAAGUGUGCUACUUCAGAUUUGAUCUCAAAUAACAAAGAGCCAAUUAAAGUGUUGACAUUGGCUACAAAAGGCAAAGAAGUGAAACAAUCAAUUGAUAAAAAUCAGAGUGCCAAAUCUGAGGAAAAGAAGUUGAGGGUACACAAGGCCCAAAAAGAGUUUCCAUUGCUUCAAACAAAAUCACAGCCGGGGUGCUCACUCGGCUUAUCGUAUUGGCGAAAGAAGGAAUUACAAAAACCUAGUGCACAAGAGCUGAAAAAGAAGAACAUGGCAUGGGUUCCGAAGAGGAGCAGUCAAAAUUAAAGUGAUGUGCAACCUUCUAUUGCAACAAGUGUUACAAAAGUGAAGAAAGAGAAGGAUGGAAGCCAAAAACAGUUAGGCCGAAGGUUUGCAUCACCCCAUCAAAAUCUUCGGUUAGCACAUCAUCCAUAUUAUUCAACCAUACCAUUGAUGCCUUUGCCAUGGAAUUCAUCAUCAGGUAUGAUAAAUUACCCUCCCUGGAUUUAUUUUAAUCCAUGGAAGCGACAUAAUUUUCUGCAUCAUGAGAGGGUAUUACCAAAUCUCUAUACAUUUUACUAGCUACAUUUUUUCUUGCUAAUCCAAAGGGCCCAAAUAUUUGAUUGCUAUUUCAUUUGUUUAUUUCGGCUAUACAUGAUUUGGUGAAUGAAUUCUACAUGGGCAUUAUGUUGAUGGCCGGUAUUUAUCUAUCGCCCUAAGAAUAUGUCAAAGCAUGGCUGAUGUAGUAUCCUAACAUCGUCCUUAGUUCAAUUAGAGGCCAAAACGAGGUACAUGUUCAUUGAUAUUGCCCUUGUCUUUCUAGUACUAUGGAGAUUAUUUUUCACGGUAAAUUUGUGGCCAAGGUGUUGGUGUUGCUUAUUUAUCUCCAUAUGGAGCUAUUUUGUGAAGCCUCAGGCCGCUUAUAAUAUUUUUGCACAAUCAUCAAAGCCGAAUAUGCAUUGUCAUUCGGAUUGGAGCUUUGCCUUGAUAUAGGUGCUAUACAUAUUGAGGCUUCCUGUGAUUCAUUAUUAGUAGUGCAACAAAUAUCCAAGGGUUAUCAAUGUUUUGACGGAUCACUUAUAGUUUAUCUUUUGGUAUGUCUAGAUGCAAGAUUUACCUUGGGUUGCUUUGAAAUUGUUCAUAUAUCCAGGCAUGACAAUUCGAAAGAGUUGGCACAGCAAGCGUCCGGCUACUAUGUUAACCAUGGUGUAUUGCAUUUCUAUCAAUAGCCGAUGCUAGGUCUUGUCAACAUAGGUAAGGCUGAAUCGAAGCCCACCGCUUCGACCACUAAUGAAACAUUUAUGCAUGAGAAGUAAGGAUUGGAGGAAGUUCAUUCUUGAUUAUCUGCAAAAUCCUAGCGAAAGGGUGAACAAUAUGGUUCGGAGGAUGGUUUUGAUCUAUGGAACCUUAUCACCGGAUUGUUAUAGAAACUGAGAAGUUUUCAUCCAAGUUUGCAUCAAGAGGUUCAAAAAAGCAAUGGCCGAUAUAUACAUGUCGUCCUAAGAACAUGCAAAAUGUCCGAUGGAGUGUUGACAUCAUCCUUAGAACAAUCUGUGCGGAAGUUAUUUUUCUGCACACAAACUUUGCCGAAAAACAGGGGGGCAUGUGUUGACACCAGAUUUUGGCAUGGUCAAUAACUUAUUUAAGAUGACCUCAAAUGGAGAAGUGAUCUUCAUGAAAGAGUUCCGUAUUGUCGAUAUGAACAUCUUUGAAGUCUGGGUCAUCACAGUCCGAUUUCAUCUCGAAGGCCGAAACUAUGCUCAAAGUACUAAGAUCUUACAUUCAGAGUACAGUUUGGAUAAUUAAUCCCCCAAGACAACCUCAAAUGGAAAAAUUAUCUACACGGAUUGUAUUCGUCUCGUCGAAACGAUCGAUUUUGAUAUAAAAAUCGUUCCAAUCCGAGUUCGUAUGCAAAAGUUAGAGCCAUCAGAAUACAGCCCUAUCAGGAGGCAAAAACUGGCGCGCCCCACCACACACCCUGUUUGAUGGGUAGCGCGAGGGAUAGCCUGUUUUGCGCGACCGAUUUGUCCCUCAAGAUGACCUCUGAUCAAACAACGUUCAACAUAAAGAUUGCUUUUGGGCUCGUCUCCAUCCGAGAUCGUUUAUCACCACAAAAAAGAACCGCAAGGUGCAGCCAGUUUAAACCGAACAGUUUUGGAAAGUUCGAACAAAACCAAUCCGAAUUUGACUAGGGUUUUGGACGUGAAUUCAAGCCUUUUCCUUACACGGGAAGUCCAGCCGCCUCUUAUAUACCUAAGGGGUGACGGCCGAUUGAACAACACACAAUCGAACAAAUCAAUCUACCACUUUUAUCUUUUAUCUUUACUCCUUAACCCUAGUUCUUCUUCUUCCUCGUUCUUCGUUGUUCUUCUUCAUUGCAGGGCGGCGAACCUCGAGGCCCUAGGGGCGGUCAGGCCGACCUAGGGAAGCCCAUAGCUGCCACGCGCCCAGACGGGGUCCCUCCCGGGCGUGUGGGGUUUCGGGUCUACAAAAGAGCCCGCCGGAUUAUCUUGCGUACCACGCUUUCGGCGGGUCUCCUUUGAAGUGAGCUGCGGUGCAUCACCCCCGGCGUCGAGGGUACAUGGUGACGUGUUUGUGUGCGAACAGUAUGCUACUAUAAUACCACGGUUGAAACGUUUGUUCCAAAACAAAGAGCAUGCCAAGUCGAUGCGAUGGCACAGAGAAGACCGUAAGAGAGACGGGAAGUUGAGAGUACCCGCUGAUGGGUCGAAGUGGAGAAAAUUGAGAGAAAGUACCUGGGAGGACUUUGCAGAUGACGCAAGGAACGUGUGGUUUGGUCUAAGCGUAGAUGGCAUUAAUCCUUUUGGGGAGCAGAGCGGCAACCAUAGCACCUGGCCUGUGACUCUAUGUAUGUAUAACCUUCCUCCUUGGUUGUUCAUGAAGUGGAAGUUCAUUAUGAUGCCAGUGCUCAUCCAAGGCCCUAAGCAACCCGGCAAGGACAUUGAUGUGUACCUAAGGCCAUUAGUUGAAGAACUCUUACAGCUGUGGAAUAGAAAAGGUGUACGGGAUGAGCACAAACAGGAAAAAUUUGACCUACAUGCGUUGCUAUUUGGAACCAUCAAUGAUUGGCCUGCUCUCAGUCAGGACAGACAAACAAGGGAUACCGCACAUGCAUGCACUGUGAUACUGACAUUGUAUAUUUGGAUAAUUGAAACAAGAAUGUGUACCUGGGACAUCAUCGAUUUCUUCCAAGCAGCCAUCUCGUAAGAAAGAAAGGCAAGCAUUUCAAAGGUGAGGCAGAUCACCGGACGAAGCCUCGCUACCGUACCGGUGAUGAUGUACAUGAUAUGGUCAAGGAUUUGAAGGAUCUUUGAAAAGGGUCCUGGCGGACAAUCUGUUUCGAAAGACACUGAUGGACGCGCACCCAUGUGGAAGAAGAAAUCUAUAUUUUGGGACCUGCCCUAUUGGGAAGACCUAGAGGUCCGCUCCGCAAUCAACGUGAUGCAUGUGGCAAAGAAUAUUUGCGUGACCCUCCUUGGCUUCUUGGGAAAGUAUGGGAAGACAAAAGAUACACCAGAGGCAUGGGAGGACCAGCAACGUAUGCACGGAAAGGACGGCGUACAUCAGGGUCAUGCCAGCUAUGCUCUUACUAAAGAAGAGAAUGAAAUCUUCUUUGAAUGCCGUAUGAAGGUACCGUCUGCCUUCUCAUCGAAUAAAAAAGGGAAUAAUGAAUAUGGCAGAGAAAAAGUUUCAGAACCUAAAGUCUCAUGACUGCCACAUGAUUAUGACGCAGCUGCUUCCGGUUGCAUUGAGGGGGCUUCUAUCAGAAAACGUUCGAUUAGCCAUUGUAAAGCUAUGUGCAUUCCUCAAUGCAAUCUCUCAGAAGGUAAUUGAUCCAGAAAUCAUACCAAGGUAGGAGAAUGAUUUGGUGCAAUGUCUUGUCAGUUUCGAGUUGGUUUUCCCACCAUCCUUCUUCAAUAUCAUGAUGCACGUCCUAGUUCACCUGUGCGAAGAGUUUGCCGUUCUAGGUCCUGUAUUUCUACACAAUAUGUUCCCCUUUGAGAGGUUCAUGGGAGUCUUAAAGAAAUAUGUUCAUAACUGUGCUAGGCCAGAAGGAAGCAUCUUCAAGGGCCAUGAAAAUGAGGUCAUUGAGUUUUUUGUUGACUUUAUUCCUAAUCUUAAGCCGAUUGGUGUUCCUGAAUCGCGGUAUAAGGGCAGACUGGAUGGAAAUGGCAGGCUAGGACCGGAUCAAAUAAUAUGUAUGGACGACCAUUCUCUCACUGAAGCACACUACACACUUCUAAGAAAUUCCUCCUUGGUGGCUCCGUAUAUGGAGGAACACAAGAAUAUUGUAAGCUCCAAAUACCCGGAGCAAGUUGGAAAUAAAAUGGUGGAUAAUCCAGAUAACCAAAUUCCCCUCCCCCACCCCAGAUAGGGCUAGAUUUGGGUGAACCUGGAUCAUCUAUGGUUGAAUAUUGAGGAGCUCUCUAGACGCCCCUUUGUCUGAACACGCUCGGACCCACGUGGGAGAAUUGAGCUUCAACCAUAGAGACUAGCUUAAUUAUUUGUUUGCUGCAUUUAUAUGAUUUGUAGCCCAUAGCAAUGCACGAGCAUUCUACUAGUAAUGAAAGGAUCCAAGAGAAAUGAUUUAGUCAAUGGUACUAUGAGGACAUGCUUAUCCACAUUUCACUCACUUAUAUAUGGUACCCAAUGUGCCAACCUUGCAUGGAGUUGCUUGUCCAUUGGUUUGAUGAAAUCAAUGGCACUACCAAGCAUAUUUUGUUGUUUAUUUUUUCUGUGUGUAUUUGACUUCAUAAGAAAUGAAAAUACCUUUGUUUUGUUCUUCUUGAUGCUAAUUGAUGAACUAACUUUUGCACAACUUAUGACCAUAUAUAUUUUACUGAGUGCUAGAUUAUAAUUUUCCAUUUAACCUUUUUGUUUGUGAUGUUUAGUUGCACUUAAUAAGAAUAUGGAAACAAAUUAUUUAAUCAUUCAAUUCACCAGGGUUGAUGAAUAGGCUCGACUGCGGGACUUUCCCUAGACACAAGCUUUUGUGUGUGUCGCCGUGUUUUCAUACUCAGGUAGCCACAACUUUUUCCAUAGACUCACCUGAAGAACUAAUUUCGUCCAUAUGUUUUCUAUUAUGAUAUUUGAAGAUUGCUAAUUAUCAUGCUAGGAAGUGUGAAUGUCUUCCCUUUUAGAAAAGUAGGCACAUAAAUGGCCGUAGAUGAGGGGUGCCAACUUCUAGGGAAGUGAUUUUGGGAAGAAAUGAAUUCCGUGCUAACCAUGUUGUGUGUAUGCAGGCAAAGAGGCUGAUCGAUCUGACACUAAUGACUAUCCCGGGGGACAUGGGAAGAGAUGAUCACUGAGGAUGACGUUGCUACAAAAGAGGAAUUAAGAGAAUUUUCCCUUCUUUUGUGGAUUGUGGUGUAAGUACGAAACUAUACAUUUUACUAUAUCGUACUGGAACUUAUUUUGACUUGCAAUGUGUUUCACUGAAUAUUUCAUCAAUGUUGUUAGUUGGAAUCAGGGAAGUUCCAAGGACAACAAACAAACCCUUAUCCUGUAAAGAACAUUUUGUUGACACUGUGCUGACCAUAUGAAUAGUUUAGAGAGUUGUAUCAUUAACAGAGAUCAUCCAGAUGUUUCUCAGGAAAUCAGCUAGUGUAGUGUUGUAGUGGAAGAUAAUAAAAGCCUACCUAUAUAAUUGUUAGGUUGAAAUUGUUGCUCCAUGUGGGCUAUUUUUUUUUUGUUGCGGGAAAACUUCCGAUCUAUUGAUCUUAAAUCAUGGUAGUACAACGAACACCAGAAAUAAUAAUAAAUACGGCCAGAUUGGUAGACGACCUUGCGGGAACUACAACCAAUGAAGCGAGCCGAAGGCGCACCACUGUCAUUGACCCUCCUUUGGCGGAGCCGGGAAAACUUGCUGAAAUAAACAGUCAAGAAGUCAUUGUUUAAAGUCCCCAUAGGACAAGCGCACCAGAAAAAAAGACCACCAAUGAAAAUAUGCGUAGACUGAAAGGAUCCAACAUGAAGACAAAAUGAAUAAAGACCAAAUUCAAAUUUUCUUUUUAGAAAAGGAGGAGGACCCCCGGCCUCUGCAUCUGGGCGAUGCAUACGACCACUUUAUUAAUUAUUCUCACAAGACCUUAUAAAAUCAUACAAUAGUAAGAUUAAAGCCACCGUCUAAGCAACAACUGACGCUACUCCUAUUCAAUUGAUGAAGGGGCGCUGAUAGUCUGGGCCUAAUACCAAACAGACUCGCAGCCAAACCUAAACAUGUAAGGCCUGAGGUCCCAACCAGGACGCCUGCCGGGUAUGGCGCACCUACCAGUCCGUUGCACUCCUCAACCAGGCCACCUGCCGGGUAUGAGGUCGCCGCAGCCACCUGCCAUCAAUCCAUCUUCAGUGAUGUACUGCUGCACCACCUUGCCCGGCCUCUCUGCCAUCGACGCCACCACGACGCUUGAUAACGUCACCCUCCUGCGCGAGUCCCUCGCCACACAUCGGGCGACGAGUCUCCACUGCGCCACGCCGCCGAGAAAUGCUACCAUUAAUGUGCAGGAUGAAUCACCGCUCCACCAAUUAUUCCGCCCACUGGUCCUUCGAGCCCGUGUACACCUCCCAGAAUGACGCCACAAGAGGAAAACGACACAAUAAUGCUGCCGUCAUCUGAUCUCCUGAUCUAGGGUUUCCCCCGGAGGUAGCAGAUAGUGGCCUGAAACUUCUCAAUAGCGAUGCCUUCAACAAGGGAACGACGCCGAAUAGUGCCGCCAUCGCCGGCCUCGGCAGCAGCUGCGAGCAGGUGUUCACCCAGAUCUGUUCCAAUGGCCUCCAUCAAGCAUCUUGUGCACGGAUCCUCCACCACCGCGGCCGCCGCAUCACCCGUCGCGAGUCCACAACAGCCGACACAUCCUCCACCGUCCGGGGCCGCCGCCCCGGGAUCCAGCCCUCGCUGGCCGCCGGAACGAAGCCACCGUGCCCCAUCGAGGGCGGCCAACGGGGGUGGAGAAGCUAGAUCCGGCCAAGCCCGGCCAGGAUCCGGCCUCUCCACGCGCCGAAGCCGAGGUUGCGGGUGCAGGGCCAGAUCCAAGACGGAUCCGCGCCUGCGCCGCCGCCCGUUCUCGUCCAGCUGCCCGAGUGAGAUGAUGUUGGCCCGUAGCUUGGGGAUGAAGUAGACGUCCGCGAGCAUCCGCUCAUUGCCGUUGGCGCACUGGAAAAUGACACAGCCCUUUCCGCAGAUCGUGACGAGGGAGCCAUCGUCGAAGCGCACGGAGCCAUGCACCAUCUCGUCGAGGUUGAUGAAAGCAUCACGCGCACCUGUCAUGUGUCUGCUGGCACCGGUGUCCAUGUACCAGGAACCACGCGCUCCGGUGGUCUCUGGCACGACGGGCUCUUCAUUGAGGAAGACCGCCUGGGUGCGCACAGGUACCAGCUGCACCUCGCUCGCCGUGCUCGUGGCCUGGACUGGGUGGUCGCCCUCCUCGACGGCAACCAUUAGAAGCGCUGGUGGCUGCAUGUCCGCCUCGGCGAGGUUCGUCGCCCCGCCUUGGUUCUGGCGAUCGCGCUCCGCCUACGACACUCCCUAGCCCAGUGGCCAGGAAUGUUAUAGUAGCGGCAUUUUCCCUUUCGCUUCAUGUUGGCGGGCUUCUUGACACCAUCGACGUGCCCACUGGCCCGCUUGCCGCCUUGCGGUCAUGUGCCGGAGUGUCCCUUGCCGUCCUUGGUGCCCGAGGAGGAGCCCUGGCCUUGAUGUUGCAGGCGCGCGUACAACUCCCUCUCAGUGAGGGGCAAUUCGCCAACACCAUGGUCGACAUCGUCAAGAGCGUAGCUCUCCUCAAAGGACCGCAGGCGCCCGCACAUCGAUCGAGAGCGACCGCAGGUCGACGAAGGAUUGGAUGGCCAUGGCCAUCUGCCUGAACUUGCGUGGCACCGCGCAGAGAAACUUUAGCACGGCGCGGUACUCCGUCACAGGGUCGUUCAGUAGCUCCAGCUUGUUCACGAUCGCUAUCAGACGAAGAGAGUAAUCUUCAAUCGACUCCCAGUCGCGGAAGCGUAUCUCCUCGAACUCGCGUCGGCGGGUCUGCGCCUUGGCCUCCCGGACGCGCUCGCUGCCCAUGCGCAUCAUCAUCAGCGUCUCCCUCGCCUCCUUAGUUGAGUCCUUGCCGGCGAGGGCGCGGAUCAUCUCCGGAGACACCGUGCGGAGCAACGCGGCCAGCGCAGAAAGAUCGUCACCGUCGCCGUCGCCGUACUCCAUGGCCUCCCACAGGCCCUGAGCCUGCAGUUGCACGCGCAUCACCAUGGCCCAGUCGACGUAGUUGGUGCAAGUGAGUGUCGGAUAUUGGGAAGAGCCUCCGCUCUCCCUCAUCACUCGCUCGUGCACCACCAGUUCGUCGUGCCAUCCGUGACGCCUCGGAGGCGAGUGUGACACCCUGCGAUUAUGCGCAGGUGACCUGGAGCCAAGGCGUUGCGUCCCGUCGCCGGCACAACCAGCGCCUUGCUGCUCGUUGACACCUGCGUCCAGAUGCAUGCCACCGCCGUCGCCCUGCUGCUCGUUGCCGGCAGCGGCUUGCGUUGCGCCGCCACCAUUGCCAUGCAGCGGCCCACGCCCUCCGGCCAUGGAUCUUUGAAGGCUCUGAUGCCAAUUGUUGUUGUGGAAUCCGGCCCAAGCCGAAGAACAACACUAGAGGCGAGGCAAGUUUUGCGUUGCAAACUGUUGCAGCUUUUCUGUUUCUCCUUCCUUUUAUUCAGAGAACAAACAAAUGUGCAGCGAGACUAGCUCAGCUACUAGAUCGUGCCAUCCCACGACCUCGAGCAUGCUCCUGUCACAGCUACUAUCGCGCCAGUGAUCGCACAUCCUGCGUCUUCUGGCGCUUAACAGAAACUAACUGAAAAUGCUAAGCUGAAAACGUGCAAGUGUCUAACUGAACCUACACUACAUUAUUUCUGAAAACUGAAACUAGAGACGGGUGCGGCAGGGUUAGACGAGCUAACAGAAUCUUCCGUGUCAGUACUCAGCUACAGCAGACUCAUUCUUCCUCUUACGAUCAGCAGAUUUAAUGUUGAGUGUCAUCUAUCUAUCUAUCUAUCUAUCUAUCUAGAGAGGGAGAGAGAGAGAGAGAGAGAGAGAGAGUCACUAUUUAAAUGGUUAUAUAUUUAAAUUCAGAGAACCGCAUGGGACACGUGGUUAGCAAAAUCAAAAUUCAUAUAUUUAAAUUCAGAGAGAUGAGAAAGAAAGAGAGGCGUGGAUCUAAUUAUAUUACUCCUAAGUCCUAAGUGCAUAAUGUUUUGUCAAUACCUUAAAUUUGAUUUGAGGGAAAGGAGGUACUAUCACUAAGAAGGGAAGGUAGUUGCCGCCCUUGUCCGUUGUUGCUGGCCUGCCAUGGUGGUGGCUCGCUUAGUACUGAAUUUUGUGAUAAGAGUGAGGGCCGAGAGUGAGAGAGAUGGGGGUUGGAGUUGGCCAGUUUACUUGCGGCUCUGUGCAAAAUAAUUUUCCUACUUUUAAAAAUGUACCAAAUUACAUUUCACUAGAGAUGGCUUUGCAGCAAAUUGCAUGAGCGAGCAGUUCAUAUUUUUUUUCUUCAAGUCAUGCAAAUUUUUGGUUAAGAAAGGAGGGUAAAUGCAUUUAUUUGUUACCUCAAGAGUCAAUAAAACACACGGCGGCGUCUAAGGUGCAUGCCCAACAACGAACAUCUUAUUUUUGUUUCGUGGUAAUGCACAACAUUCAACUUUUUGUUACAACUUGUCAAUGGCUCGGAAGACAUCAGAUCCGUCUUCUUGGCUUGGCGGCGUCACGGGUGGCGCACGCCUCCUAGCCCUUGGUGGCGGUGGUGGAUCGACACGGACAUGGGGGGAGGGGGUCAGGGCCAAGAGCAGAACGAUUAGCGGGAGACUCCUCCUUCGCAGUCCAUGGGGAAGUACAGUGUGAAGAAGAGAGCACGCCAUGGCGAAGGUGAGGUGGGCAUCAUCUAGUUUUAAAGGAGAGGGCUCCAGGGAGUAAUGUCCAGUCUUAGCGGAAAACCGAGCGGUGAGGGGAAGGUUCAACAAGAAAAGGGAAGUGUCUAUCAUGGGGUGGAGUCUUUUCUGUUCGGACCGCAUGUUGGAAAUAAAAUGGUGGAUAAUCCAGAUAACCACAUUCCCCUCCCCCCCUCCCACCAGAUAGGGCUAGAUUUGGGUGAACCUGGAUCAUCUACGGUUGAAUAUCGAGGAGCCCGCUAGACGCCCCUUUGUCCGAACACGCUCGGACGCACGUGGGAGAAUUGAGCUUCAACCAUAGAGACUAGCUUAAUUAUUUGUUUGCUCCAUUUAUAUGAUUUGUAGCCCAUAGCAGCGCACGUGCAUUCUACUAGUAAUGAUAGGAUCCAAGAGAAAUGAUUUAGUCAAUGGUACUGUGAGGACAUGCUUAUCCACAUUUCACUCACUUAUAUAUGGUACCCAAUGUGCCAACCUUGCAUGGAAUUGCUUGUCCAUUGGUUUCAUGAAAUCAAUGGCACUACCAAGCAUAUUUUGUUGUUUAUUUUUUCUGUGUGUAUUUGACUUCAUCAGAAAUGAAAAUACCUUUGUUUUGUUCUUCUUGAUGCUAAUCGAUGAACUAACUUUUGCACAGCUGAUGACCAUAUAUAUUUUACUGAGUGCUAGAUUAUAAUCUUCCAUUUAACCUUUUUGUUUGUGAUGUUUAGUUGCACUUAAUAAGAAUAUGGACACAAAUUAUUUAAUCAUUCAAUUCACCAGGGUUGAUGAAUAGGCUCGACUGCGGGACUUUCCCUAGACACAAGCUGUUGUGGGUGUCGCCGUGUUUUCAUACUCAGGUAGCCACAACUUUUUCCAUAGACUCACCUGAAGAACUAAUUUCCUCCAUAUGUUUUCUAUUAUGAUAUUUGAAGAUUGCUAAUUAUCAUGCUAGGAAGUGUGAAUGUCUUCCCUUUUAGAAAAAUAGGCACACAAAUGGCCGCAGAUGAGGGGUGCCAACUUCUAGGGAAGUGAUUCUGGGAAGAAAUGAAUUCCGUGCCAACCAUGUUCUGUGUAUGCAGGCGAAGAGGCUGAUCGAUCUAACACUGAAGACUAUCCCGGGGGACAUGGGAAGAGAUGAUCACUGAGGAUGGCGUUGCUACAGAAGAGGAAUUCAGAGAAUUUUCCCUUCUUUUGUGGAUUAUGGUGUAAGCACGAAACUAUACAUUUUACUAUAUCAUACUGGAACUUAUUUUGACUUGCAAUGUGUUUCACUGAAUAUUUCAUCAAUGUUGUUAGUUGGAAACAGGGAAGUUCCAAGAACAACAAACAAACCCUUAUCCUGUAAAGAACAUUUUGUUGAGACUGUGCUGACCAUAUGAAUAGUUUAGAGAGUUGUAUCAUUAACAGAGAUCAUCCAGAUGUUUCUCAGGAAAGCAGCUAGUGUAGUGCAGUAGUAGAAGAUAAUAAAAGCCCACCUAUAUAAUUGUUAGGUUGAAAUUGUUGCUCCAUGUGGGCUGUUUUUCUUUGUUGCGGGAAAACUUCCGAUCUAUUGAUCUUCAAUCAUUAGUACAACGAACACCAGAAAUAAUAAAAAAUACGGCCAGAUUUGUAGACGACCUUGCGAGAACUACAACCUAUGAAGCGAGCCGAAGGCGCACCAGUGUCAUUGACCCUCCUUUGGCGGAGCCGGGAAAACUUGAUGAAAUAAACAAUCAAGAAGUCAUCGUUUAAAGUCCCCAUAGGACAAGCGCACCAGAAAAAAAGAACCACCGAUGAAAAUAUGCGUAGACUGGAAGGAUCCAAUAUGAAGACAAAAUGAAUAAAGAUCGAAUCCAAAUUUUUAGUUUUUAGAGAAGGAGGAGGACCCCGGGCUCUGCAUCUGGACGAUGCAUACGACCACUUUAUUAAUUAUUCUCACAAGACCUUACAAAGUCAUACAACAGUAACACUAAAGCCACCGUCUAAGCAACAACUGUCGCUACUACUAUUCAAUUGAUGAAGGGGCGUUGAUAGUCUAGGGCUAAUACCAAACAGAUAUCGCAGCCAAACCUAAACAUCUAAGACCUGAGGUCCCAACCAGGACGCCUACCAGGUAUGGGGCACCUACCAGUCCGGCGCACUCCUCAACUAGGCCACCUGUCGGGUAUGAGGUCGCCGCAACCACCUGCCACCAAUCCAUCUUCAGUGAUGUACUGCUACACCACCUUGCCCGACCUCUCUGCCGUCGACACCACCACGAUGCCUGAUAACGUCACCCUCCUGCGCGAAUCCCUCGCCACACAUCGGGCGCCGAUUCUCCACUGCGACAUGCCGCCGAGAAGCGCCACCAUUAAUGUGCAGGAUGAAUCACCGCUCCACCAAUUAUCCGCCUACUAGAAAAAGGCCAACUAAUGGCGCAUCGGUUUUGCCUACUAAUGGCGCACUACAGGUGCGCCAUUACUAGCACGCCAUUAGUAUUUUUUACUGAUGGCGCACCACUGGUCGCCAUUAGUAUCUGGUAUACUAAUGGCGCACCAUGUAGUGCGCCAUUAGUAUAGCCCACUGUGCGCCAUUAGUAUCUGGUAUACUAAUCGCGCACCACAUAGAAGUGCGCCAUUAGUAUCUGGUAUACUAAUGGCGCACCACAUAGAAGUGCGCCGUUAGUAACAUUUUUUUUCCAAAUUUUUUUUCGAAUCUUUUUCAGAAAUUAUUUUUUUUAAAAAAAUCAAAUUUUUUUUAAUUUUUUCUUAAUCUCAGUUCACUAUGGUUUAAUUUCGGGUCAAUAUGCUUAAUCUCAAGUCAAAUCGCACUCCGUGGUCAAACUUCCUGAAAGGUCACCCAUCCUCACACUACUCCAGCCCAAGCACGCUUAACUUCAGAGUUCUAUCCAACCCCAGCAACAGCUCACUUCACAGGCAGUUGUUGAUAUAUCUAGCAUAUCAAUCCUGUUAUACCUUGUUGAUGUCUAGGACUUUGUUCAUGUUCAUGAGUGUGAUGAAAUUUUGAAAAAUAUAUCAAACUUCCCGAUCAUAUUACGUAUCAUUUUUUUGAAAAAAAUUCAAAAAAAAAGAAAUUCAAAACCAAUUUUUUUUCUGUUACUAGUAGCGCACCACAUCCACGCUGUGCCACUAGUAAAUUUGAAAUUUUUUAAAUUUUUUUGCCGCUAGAUCUUGAAAGCCCCGUAACUUUUUUUCUGUUAGGUUUUUGGGGAUUUUGAAAAGGAGCAUAGAUGCUUAUUUUUAAUGACUUAUUACAACUCAGAAAUAAAAAGAAGAAAAAAUAGUUGUGAUUAACUUUACUAAAAUAUGAGCAUAGAUGCUUAUUUUUAAUGACUUAUUACAAUUCAAAAAUAAAUAGAAGAAAAAAUAGUUAUGAUUAACUUUACUAAAAAAUGAGCAUAGAUGCUUAUUUUUAAUGACUUAUUACAACUCAGAAAUAAAAAGAAAAAAAUAAAUAUAGCAGAAAAGAAAAAAACUAUAUAAAAAGCUACUCAGAAAUGAGUAUAGAUGCGCUUAUAGAGGAAAUUUAAAUUAAAUUCAUAACACAUUUCAAGAGAAAUUCGUAUGAAUUUAGCCUAAAUUCCCUAUAUAAGGGCAUCUAUUUUCAUUUUCAGAGGAGCUCAAUAAGGCAGAGAGGGAGGGGCUUAUAAACCGGUCUGAUUCCCCUCCGGUUGGUGAGGUGGGACUAAACUUUGGCCGCAACGAGGACCAGCCCUUUAGUCCGAUUGGUGGAAUGGACCGGGACUAAUGGUCGUCCUUUGGUCCCGGUUCAGGCCACCAACCGGGACCAAUGGUGGUGGGCCAGGAGCGAGGGCCAUUGGUCCCGGUUCGUCCCACCAACCGGGACCAAUAGGUCCAGACGAACCGGGACCAAUGGCCCACAUGGCCCGGCCGGCCCCUGGGGCUCACGAACCGGGUCCAAUGCCCCCAUUGGUCCCGGUUCUGGAUUGAACCGGGACUAAUGGGCUGGACCGGCCUGGACCAUUGGCCCCUUUUCUACUAGUGUAAACAAGUCAUUUUAACAAAGGACAACUUGGUUAAGCGCAAUUGGACAGGCUCUACUAGGUGUAGCUUCUGUCAUCGGGACGAGACCAUUAAGCACCUCUUCUUCGAGUGCCCGUUGGCGAGAGUCUUGUGGCGCACGGUGCAAAUUGCCUUUAACAUUACUCCCCCGGACUCGGUAGGUUCGUUGUUUGAAACGUGGUUUGCUGGGAUAGAGUCCGAUACCGCUGGACACAUUCGUGUUGUUGUAUGUGCGUUGUUAUGGGCAAUUUGGAACUGCGGGAAUGAUUUGGCUUUUAACAGAACAACAACUAUUCAUUUUUUGCAGGUUUUAUUCCGCGCUACGGUGCUGAUCCAUUUGUGGUCCUUACUCACUCCGAUGGCGGCCAAGGAGCGUUUGGUUACUGGCUCUGUCCGGUGGGAGAUGGUUGCGCGGGAUAUCUUCAACCGGUUUGGAUGGCGGUCAUGUAAUAGGAUAGGCGAUUGGUUUUCCUAUCUUUAUUCUGCCAGCCCGUUGUGGCUCUGUGGCUUUUUAUCUGUUCGUGUUGAGGCUCUGUGUGAGCUUCCCUUUAUUUUCAUUUCCAGACUUUGAGAUAUUGUUGAACCUAUUUAUUUAUAAUUAUGGCUGUAUGCAUCGUUUUGAUGUAGAGGCCGAGGAGGCCCCCCUUUUCUAAUAAAAAAUGGCUAUAUUUGUUUUCUGCACUAUUAUUCAUGAUAAGAAGCAAAGAUACGUCUCUAUUAUUGAAGCAAAAUAUAUGCUGGAGAGACUGAGAAAUGGUUGAUGUACGUGGGAAUACAAAACCAACAGCCAUUAGCCGACGUGUUUAAGUUUUAUGGGUUUAUGUACGUAACUAUAGGUACAAGAAGCAGAACGGAACUUGUUUGAUCAAUUUCUUUGCAACAGAUUUAGUGUUAGAGACAGCUGCAUACAUACUCCCUCCGUCCCAAAAUUCUUGUCUUAGAUUUAUCUAAAUAUGAAUGUAUCAAGUCACAUUUUAGUAUUAGAUACAUCGUAUCUAGACAAAUAUAAGACAAAAAGUUUGGGAUGGAGGGAGUAAUAUAAUCUAUCAAUGACUCUUAUAACUUGGAAUUUUAGGAAGUGGUACACAUACACGGAGGUAAAAUGAAGAUUUCAUUUGCCAUAAGUCAUAACGUACCUAACAUUUUUUAUCUCAUUUCCUAGUAGUAGAACUCGCAUCACUGUAGAAGCUGAUGGUAUGCGUAUGAACAAUGAGAGACCUAUGGUAGUAGGUUUGAAUGUUUGGCAGUAUGAACAGUGCAACAAAUAAGGAAAACUUGUCAAUGAGCCAUUGUUUCUAGUUCAUGUGGAAUGGUUCAGUCAAGUAUUUCUCGGAACAUUCUUCACCAAUCUCGCAUGGCUCUGCAAAAAUAAUGUAAAUAUCAAAUAUAGAUAUUCUGAAACUGGGAUUUAUCCAAACACUUCCUAACAAAAGCAAUAGGGAAAAUCUGGAAGCAAGGGGCCCAAGAACGGACUGCUGGAGGAAAAUAUAAAAUAGCACAGCUGCACCAGGGCCCUCUCUAUCUAGCCAUCCAUUUUACGCAUCGCGAUUCGUGCAAACACAUUUCUCUUUUUUGUUUCUCUCACAUAAAAGAUGUCUUGAAGUUCAAACCUUUGCAGCGGCAAAGCUUUCCAUCUAGAAUCUAGGAUAAAUCUUUCAGAUUUUUUUGUCAAAUAUAAAUAUACAAAAAAUGAUUUUUUAAUCUAAAAAGUCAUUUUUUGUAUAUUUAUAUUUGAUAAAAAAAUCUGAAAGAUUUAUCCUAGAUUCUAGAUGGAAAGCUUUGCCACGCUGCAAAGGUUUGAACUUUAAGACAUCUUUUAUGCGAGAGAAACAAAAAAGAGAAAUUUUCAUACGAAAAGUUAGUUGUGUUGCACAGAUCUUAAAGCAAGAUUGGACAUCCAGGAUACAAGGGCCGGGGUGCAGCUGUUCUAAAAAUCCACAUCCGACUGCUGGAGCAGACGAUCUCAUUAGCACGACUGACAUAAGCGGAAGAAUAUUUAAUAGAAGAUAUUUGUACAGACGAACUGGAAAUAAUAAAAGGGACAAUCCAAAUGCAGGUUUACGAAAACUCGUAUCAGGAUCAUAAUGUCGUCUAAGAGACAAAACAAUAGGUGGAUGAAGAGAUCAACUUGUAAGGCAUAGAAUGAUAGAAACAUACUUGAACGAACGAAGCGGGCGAGAGGAGCAUAGCGGAAGCGGAGAUACAAAGGCAAUAGUGCCCGCUGCCGGCGCUGAGCCGAAUUGCGGCAUCUCCACGCAUUGCGGGGUACUGGGGAGUCGCGUCGGCAUAGAUUUGUUUCUCUUUCGAAGUUGGAGUACGCAAGGAAGCUACGUGGGCUUUUGGUCGCUGAUCGGCCCGUGAAACGAGGUGGUCCCUAGCUCGGUUUGCGGAGCAGCGGCCCAACUACAUGUGUGUUGAAUGGAUCGUGACAUGGUGAAAAGCUGUAUCGAUCUGGUUUAUUACUGGGUUGAUCCGACGGCUGACGGUGUCAAAACGCUGUGGUGGCACGUAGAUGGCUGAGUUAUACUGUUAAGUAAUGUGAUCUUUGGAGUUUCUACAUGCCGUUAUUGGGUAUUUUUCCUCUGGGGCGACGAUUUGUUUCUUGGAUCGGGGCCACCAGUGUCUGUGGUCUGCAUGGAGGGCUUUCGGCCGUUGCUUCUACAAACUCCUAGGUUUCAAAAACUUGUUCUGCCGUGGGGGAGGUCUAGAGGCGGCAUCGAGCUAUGCUCACGGCGCACCACCGAUGGAUGCGGGUGGUAGAAUAUUUCGGCACCCAAAUAUUCUGAAUAAAUAUCUAUUUUUUUGGAAGGGUGUAUUUGUAAGGACUUGUGAUAACUGAUAUAUGUAUGACUUUAGACGUUUUCGCAAAGGGUGUGACUUAGUCUCAGUCUAAGACUUAACCAAGUCUCAGUAAGUGACAUAGUAUAAGAAGAAAACAGAAAAGACUGAAAAUAAAAAAAUUGUAUAAAUCCCCAUGCAAAAUCAAAGAAAUAUAGAAUCGACUGAAACGUAACGAAGUCUCAGUAGUCUCAGUCGACUAAGACUUAGCAAAACUGUUUCGUGGACAUAAAAUACAUAGUGCUCACUACUUUCAAUACAGACAAUAUUUGGAUGUAUAUAGACGUAUUUUAAAGUGUAGAUUCACUCAUUUUGAUGUAGUCCAUACUGGAACGUCUAAGAUGACUUAUAUUUAAGAAUGGAGAGAGUACUAAACCAGAAUUCAUGCAUGCGUUAUUAUACAGUCACGUACAUGCAUGCAUAUAUAGGCUCCGGCGCGCGCUCGUCCAACACCUUGCUGAGCUCCCCGGCAUCGUACAUGCAUACAUUGACGAGGCCGACAAGGUCUCCCAAAAAGCAAACCCUCCUCGAACUUGCUGAAUCGUCGGGGUGCGCCUGCUCUGGCUUCCCACUCAACACUAUCACGAGCCACGUGCAGGAUACCGCUAUGUGCACGUUUUGGUUUUUUUAGGAAGACCAUCAUGACAAUUUUAUUGAAUUAAACAGGGAUAACAUCGUUCACCCGUUUUGAGACUAAUAAGCCAGGAGGCUCGUUCGUCCAACUACUAGUAAUCUUAUUACAAUAAGAGUAGUUAGCUAGCACAUGCACCGCUUCGUUACAAUCACGAUAACAAUGUUUAAAGACGACCUUCCCAAUAGAAGAAGAAAUAUCAACACAUUAUGCGAACAUUGCUGAAUUUGCAUCCCAUUUUGUGUGUCCCACACACGCAUCAACGACAAUCAUAGAGUCCGAUUCCGCUUCCACCCGCGGCAUGCCUAAGGAAUUAGCAAGCGCCAGUCCAUCUCACAUUGCCAUUGCCUCCACAUUAACCACAUCUGCUGCAUAUGAAAUGAAUUUGCAUUGUGCAGCUAGAAAAUUUCCUUUAGCAUCCCGAAUCAUUGCCGCUGUUGCCCCUUCUCCAACAUCAGGAUGGAAUUAGGCGUCAACGUUGAGCUUGACAUACUUUGGGUCCGAUUUUUUUCCAUCAUUGUAGUACUACCACACUCUUGGAAUUAGCAACAUGAUAAUUAUUAGCAAUUGCCAGAACAGACCACCUCAUGGGAGUAGGAGUAGUCUCAUCAAGCGUGUGUUGUCUUCGGAUCCACCAAAGAUACUAACCACCCAUUGCUAUGAUUUGUUUAACAUCCAGAUUCGGUUUAAUGAGAGCUGGACUAUCUGGUGCAAGAAGGAUAUGUUCCAAAAUGACCGAUCCUGACCGGUCUACUCUCCUUGCCUCGUCCACUCUGUCCAGAACACCCAGCCGACUCCAUAAAUCCCUUGCAUGAGUGCACUCAAACAGCAGAUGCCGCACAUCCUCUACACCCUGAUGACAGAUCGGGCAUGCUCCCAUCGAACCCACAUGCCAGUUAUGGAUUAUGGAUUUUAGAGGCAUAGUUCCAUGUAACGCACGCCAGUAGAAAAUUUGUAUUUUCCGUGGGAUGUUCAGCUUCCACAAUGCACUCCACACCGCGUGAGAACAGGACCCGCUCGGCCUCUCCAGCACAUUUGCAUUGCGCUGAAAAGUUUGAGUCCAUUGCACCCGGUAUGAUGGUCUGACUGAGAAUAUACCCUUCCGGUCAGGAUGCCAAUCGAUAAAAUCAUCAAAAGCGCCAUAGCUCAAUGGAAUCUGAAGUAUUCUCCUUGUAUCAACUGGGUUAAAGAUGGAGCUAAUCAGAUCUUCAUCCCAUGUGUUUCCAUUAGGAUCGGUGAGUUCAUCAACUGUAGCUAGGAUUGUGUGUCCCCUUGCUGUAAUGACCUUCCAAUCCGGACUUAAUGGAAUCCAGGGAUCUCUCCAUAUAUGAACAUUUUCUCCUGUAUCAAUCCUCCAUACGUACCCCAACUUGAAGGUUUCUAGUCCCUUUAUAAUACUUUGCCAUGUAAAGUAAGAACCAUUAUUAAGGGUUCCUUGUAAAAGGCUGUUGUUAGGGACGUACUUCGCUUUUAGAAUUCUAGCACAUAAUAAGUCGGGGUUUGUAAUAAUCCUCCAGCACUGCUUUGAUAACAAUGCUAAGUUGAUGGAAUAUAAAUCUCUGAAGCCCAUUCUUCCCUCGGCUUUAGGAUAGCAGAGUUUCCACCAAGAGUACCAAUGCAUCCUAUUAUAUUCCUCAUCAUCACCCGACCGGAACUGGGAAAUUAAAUCAGUUAUUUCCUUAGAAAUUCCUUUAGGGAUGCUGAACACAGACAUGGCAAACACAGGGAUCGCUUGUGCAACUGAUUUUAGUAAAAUCUCCUUACCACCAGUAGACAGUUGUUUCUCCAUCCAUCACAUUAAUCUUUCUUUAAUCCUCUCAAUAAAGUGCCUGAAACAGUCACUUCUAUCAGCCCCUACCAAUGCUGGAAGGCCCAGAUAUUUAUCAGACAAUGCUUCAGUGUUAAUAUGUAGUUGUUCACACACUUCAGUUCUGGAUACAGCAGGAGUAUUUGGACUAAAGAACACACUAGAUUUGGACAGACUCACCAAUUGCCCUGAACUCUGAUGGUAGGUCUCUAAAACAUGUUGUAAGGAAGCUGUAUUAAAAGCAUUUGCUUCCGUGGUAUGAGGGGUUUGUGGAUUGGAACGCCGACUAUAGAAGCCGUCCGAGAAAGAAGAUGGAGGAGGAGAAGAAGAGGAAGCUGCAGGUGGAGCAGAGGAAGCAGGAAGCAGAACGCCUUAAAGGGCUAGAAUCAGCACACGCGGAGUUGGCACUCCAAUUCCAGCGGCAGCAGCAGUAGAUCGACUCACUUAGCCAGGAAAGGGGGUCUCUGCAGCGGCAGAAGCUAGCGGAUCCAGCAUUGGAUAGCACUGUCCCAUCCAUGCCGAGAAGCAGCAUGGGUUCCGCACCGGGCGAUGAGGCACUACUGCUGGAUAGAUACCCUGUGGAUGACAUCAUGGAUAACACUAAUUGUGAGCUACACUACAAAAUGAAGAACAUAUCCAUCAAGGUGAUGGAUGGCGUUGCUUAUACAAAUCCCCCUAAAGCAACCUUCCAUUGCAAUCCACUAGUAGAAAAAGGACCUAAUAUGAGACACAUUAGUGCCGGUUUGGUUUUGAGCCGGCACUAAUGUGUCCAUUAGUGCCGGUUCCAACGGCUAGCCGGCCGUUCUCAUUAGUACCGGUUCGUGGCGAACCUAUAGUAUCGGUUCGUGCCACGAACCGGUACUAAAGAGGGUGGUGGCAGGGUGUUGUCAGUCUGGGGCCCGUCCAGCACCUUUAGUACCGGUUCAUGGCACGAACCGGUACUAAAGGUCAACGUACAUAAACCCUUCGUCCCCCCGAGCCACUCUGUUCUUCCCCUUUCCCCUCACUUCCUCUGUUCUUCCCCCUCUCUCCUCUAGCUCCUCACAAAUUUUGCCCAAAAUUUGUCAAGAUUUGAAGGCCCCCAUCCAUUCAAAUGAUCACAAAGGUUAGGAACUUUGUCCUUUCAACUCUCACUACUAGAUUAGCUCUUGCAAUGCUUUGUAUAGUGAUUAAUUUGGGAGGAAUAAUUAUAUUUGCUAGUAUUUGAUUUAUAUGCAAUUUGAGCACAAAAAUAACAAUUAGUUUGCAUAUGUAGGUGUGGUUUACUUAGUGCCUUCUAAAUCUCCGUCGUAACCACAGUCGAUCGCCCGCACCGUCCCGUCGCCGGCACCACCUUCUGGUGAGGCUCUUGUUCAUGAAUGUUUUACAUUACCAAAUUGAUGUUUAUGUGAUUUGGAUAUAUAGUUACUCGUAUAAUUAUCUUACCCGUACGUUGUUUGUUAUACAUAGUGCCAUGGUUUUGAUAUCCGUCCCUGUCGGCCCUCGUCCUUGUUAUGAUUCGGAUGUGGUAUAUUCUAUUUUAAAACUAGUUGUUGCAUUUCGUGUUUAUGACAAAUUAUGCCCAUCAAGUUGACAUAGAUAUUUUUAUCUAGGAGGUAUGUGAACCGGAAAUUCCAACCGACCCUAUUGUCGAGAGGUUAAAUUUAGUUGAAAGAGAAAACUAGUAUUUGAAAGAUAAAUUGAAAAGAAUUGAGGGGGAGAAGAUGGAAUUGGAGUUGCAUGUUGCCGAUGUCGUCGAUGAUCACAAGAUCAAGAUGGAGAAAAUGAGGUUGAAGAUUAGAAAGAUUAGAAAAUAUGCCAUUGAUAGUGUGGCUUGGUUUGGUAUCAUUAUGCUGUUGGAUCAAUUGUUACCUUAAUUGCGAUCUUCAUCGCAUUUGUUGUUGCAUUUAAAUUCUUUAUCUAGACAGUUAUUUGUAUGUUGCAUUUAAUUAAGUGUUGUAUAUGAACUUUAUGUAUGAACUUUAUGUAUGAACUUGUAUUAAUUUGGUCUAUUCGGUGUUGUGUAAUGAAGAUGAGCCGACAAUGGAUGUAUGAUGACAGAUGCUCUCUCGAGUUCAUUUAUGGCGUGCAUACUUUUCUGCUUGCCGCCGAGGCAAACAAGCGGGCGGAUGGUUUUAUGCCUUGUCCAUGUGCUGGCUGUAAGAAUGGUCACAGUUACUCUACGUCAAGAACCAUUCACGUCCACCUAUUUGAGUCCGGUUUCAUGCCCCACUAUAAUGUUUGGACCAAGCACGGAGAAAUAGGGGUUAUGAUGGAAGACAAUGAAGAAGAAGAGGACGACGACGGCUAUCCUGGCCAUGGGUUCCCUGAAUACGAUGAUACAACAAUGGGGGAAGAAGCUGAGCCGGCAAUGCAGAAAGAAGCUGAAGAAGAGGCAUCAGAUGAGCCCGCUGAUGAUCUAGGUCGGGCCAUUGCCGAUGCAAAGAGAAACUGUGCAAGUGAUCUGGAGAGGACAAAGUUGCAGCGCAUGUUAGAGGAUCACAAGAAAUUGUUGUACCCGAAUUGCGAAGCUGACAAAAAAAAGUUGGGCACCACACUUGAAUUGCUGCAAUGGAAGGCAGAGAAUGGUGUAUCUGACAAGGGAUUUGGAAAGUUGCUGGUAAUGAUAAAGAAUAUGCUUCCAAAGGACAACGAAUUGCCCGAGAGUACGUAUGAAGCAAAGAAGGUUGUCUGCCCUCUAGGGUUAGAGGUGCAAAAGAUACAUGCAUGCCCUAAUGACUGCAUCCUCUACCGCAGUGAGUACGAGGAUUUGAAUGCUUGCCCGGUAUGCGGUGCAUUGCGUUAUAAGAUCAGUCGCGAUGACCCUGGUGAUGACGAGGGUGAGCGCCCCAGGAAGAAGAUUCCUGCCAAGGUGGUGUGGUAUACUCUUAUAAUACCACGGUUGAAACGUUUGUUCCAAAACAAAGAGCAUGCAAAGGCGAUGCGGUGGCACGCAGAAGACCGUAAGAAAGACAGAAAGUUGAGAGUACCCGCUGACGGUUCGCAGUGGAGAAAAAUCGAGAUAAAGUACUGGGAGGAGUUUGCAGGUGACCCAAGGAACGUAUGGUUUGGUCUAAGCGCAGAUGGCAUUAAUCCUUUUGGGGAGCAGAGCAGCAACCAUAGCACAUGGCCUGUGACUCUAUGUUUGUAUAACCUUCCUCCUUGGUUGUGCAUGAAGCGGAAGUUCAUUAUGAUGCCAGUGCUCAUCCAAGGCCCUAAGCAACCCGGUAACGACAUUGAUGUGUACCUAAGGCCAUUAGUUGAAGAACUCUUACAACUGUGGAAUGGAACAGGUGUACGUGCGUGGGAUGAGCACAUGGGGGAAGAAUUUGACCUAAAGGCGUUGCUGUUCGUGACCAUCAAUGAUUGGCCUGCUCUCAGUAACCUUUCAGGACAGACAAACAAGGGAUACCGCGGAUGCACGCACUGUUUGGAUGAUACCGACAGUAUAUAUUUGAAUAGUUGUAAGAAGAAUGUGUACCUGGGAUAUCAUCGAUUUCUUCCGAGCAGGCAUCCCGUAAGAAAGAAAGGCAAGCAUUUCAAAGGUGAGGCGGAUCACCGGACGAAGCCUCGCCACCGUACUGGUGCUGAUGUACAUGAUAUGGUCAAGGAUUUGAAGGUAAUCUUUGGAAAGGGUCCUGGCGGACAACCUGUUGCGAAGGACGCUGACGGACGCGCACCCAUGUGGAAGAAGAAAUCUAUAUUUUGGGACCUGCCAUAUUGGAAAGACCUAGAGGUCCGCUCCGCAAUCGACGUGAUGCACGUGAUGAAGAAUCUUUGCGUGACCCUGCUUGGCUUUGUGGGCGUGUAUGGGAAGACAAAAGAUACACCAGAGGCACGGGAGGAACAGCAACGUAUGCACGGAAAAGACGACAUACAUCAGGGUCAGGCCAGCUAUGCUCUUACCAAAUAAGAGAAGGAAAUCUUCUUCGAAUGCCUGCUCAGCAUGAAGGUACCGUCUGGCUUCUCGUCGAAUAUAAAGGGAAUAAUAAAUAUGGCAGAGAAAAAGUUCCAGAACCUAAAGUCUCUUGACUGCCACGUGAUUAUGACGCAACUCCUUCCGGUUGCAUUGAGGGGGCUUCUACCGGAAAACGUUCGAUUGGCCAUUGUGAAGCUAUGUGCAUUCCUCAAUGCAAUCUCUUAGAAGGUAAUUGAUCCAGAAAUCAUACCAAGGUUACAGAAUGAUUUGGUGCAAUGUCUUGUGAGUUUCGAGUUGGUGUUCCACCAUCCUUCUUCAACAUCAUGACGCACAUCCUAGUUCACCUUUGCGAAGAGAUUAACAUUUUGGGUCAUGUAUUUCUACACAAUAUGUUCCCCUUUGAAAGGUUCAUGGGAGUCUUGAAGAAAUAUUUUCAUAACCGUGCUAGGCCAGAAGGAAGCAUCUCGAAGGGCCAUGAAAAUGAGGAGGUCAUUGAGUUUUGUAUUGACUUUAUUCCUGACCUUAAGCCGAUUGGUGUUCCUGAAUCGCGGCAUAAGGGCAGACUGGAAGGAAAAGGCACGCUAGGAGGGCAUCAAAUAAUAUGUAUGGACGGGCAUUCUCUCACUGAAGCACACUACACAGUUCUACAGAAUUCCGCCUUGGUGGCUCCGUAUAUGGAGGAACACAAGAAUUUUCUACAGUCCAAACACCCGGAGAAUUCUGACGGCUGGAUUACACGCGAACAAACGAGGACUUUCGCCGGUUGGUUGCAGAAACAUGCCCUGAAUGAUGGCGAUAUUCAAAAUGACCUGUACUCGCUGUCCUAGUUACCAUCUUCGAAUAUAAUGACUUUCAAAGGGUACCAGAUAAAUGGGAAUUCAUUUUACACGAUCGCCCAAGAUAAGAAGAGCACCAACCAAAACAGUGGUGUCUACUUUGAUGCAACAACCAACACGGGAAAGGAAACAUAUUAUGGUUACAUAGAGGACAUAUGGGAACUUAACUAUGGAUCAGGUGAUUUGAAGGUCCCUUUGUUUCGGUGCAAAUGGGUUAAUAUGACACGAGGCGGGGUAACGGAAGACCCGCAGUACGGAAUGACAACAGUGGAUCUCAACAAUCUUGCGUAUGCAGACGAACCAUUCAUCCUAGCCAAUGAUGUGGCGCAUGUUUUUUAUGUGAAAGACAUGUCUACCAGGCCGAGAAAAAGAAAAUAUAAGGAAGCGAAUGGAUCAUACGACGAGCCAAAGCGCCACAUAGUUCUUUCGGGAAAAAGAAACAUCGUGGGAGUGGAUGACAAGACAGACAUGUUAGAAGAUUAUGAAAAAUUUGAUGAAAUUGCUCCAUUCACAGUGAAUCUUGACCCGAGCAUCCAGUUAAAUGAUGAAGAUUUUCCCUGGCUACGGCGCAAAGGGACACACGAGAAGAAAAAGUUUCACACCCAAAGAUCUGGGAUGUGAUCGGCUUCACUAUCAUCACUUUCUUCUGUGUUUCACACCCAGGAGGGAAUGUCUGUAAUAGUUAGGGUAGUUAAUUAUGUGUUUUGGCAUUUGAAACGCGAAAUUUUUUAUGUGGAAACAAAUUCUUUUUCAUGCAUUUACUGAUUUUUUUUCCAACUAAAUGACCCUGAAAUUGAAAAGCAUUUGAAAUGAACUCAGAAAAGGUUGAAAGUUGGCAUGGUAUCAUAAUUUCAUACAAAUAGCAUGUGCAAAAAAGUAGAGAGGGUUACGGCAAAAACUGAAUACACUUCGUGUACAAAAUGGACAAUCUUUUUCGAAGUAUCAGGGUUUCCGACAAAAACUGAAAUGUUAUAAAGGCAUUUCAUUUUUUAAAUAACCUAAGCAUUAACAAAUUGAAUAUAAUGAUAAAACACACUAAUAUUAAACAUAAGAAAAAAGAAUCACUGAAAAAUCUUUUUUCAAAGUUAAGUUAUUCACAAACUAGUGAUUCACACAAAUUUCAAAUAAUUCAAAAUUUAAACUAUUUAAAUUUGAAAACUACCGGCACUAACAAAUCAAAGUUUGUAAAUUUUUGUACCUAAAGAAAAAAUAUUCACAAAGAAACUCUAAUACAACAAAAAACAACUCAAAAAUAAAUAAAACAAAUAAAAAGCAAAAAAAAUUAAGUAAAUAAAAAAAAGCCCGCCUACUGGGCCAAAGCGGCCUGCAUACGAAUAGAAACUCAACCUUUUGUUGGGCCAGGAUGCAGGCCCGCAAAGGCCCAGUAGGCCCACAAGGCAGCAAUGAAUUGGUAGGCCAGUAGGCCUGCUUAGGAGAGGAGUUCGAGAGAGCUACCGCACUGGGGCUUAUAAACCAGUGCGGUAGCCCUUCGACUAGCGAGGUGGGACUAAACUUGCCACACCGCACUGCGCCAGCGCACCCCUUUAGUACGGGGUGGUGGCUCCAACCGGUACUAAAGACCCACCCUUUAGUACCGGUUGGAGCCACCACCCGGUACUAAAGGGGGUGCACUUCCCGCCGCUUGGCCUGGCCAAAAGAGACCUUUAGUACCGGUUGGUGGCUCCAACCGGUACUAAAGGUCCAUCCUAUAUAUACAACACUUGAAAAAAAUUCAGUUUCCCUCUGUUCUUCCCUCUGUUUCCUCCAUCCGUCGCGCCGCCCAGCCCCGAUCGUCGCCGCCCCCGCCCCUCGUCGCCGACCCCGGCCGUCCCCGCCCCUCGUCGCCGCCCCCGUCGACGUCGCCGCCCCGGCCAUCCCCGUCCCCGNNNNNNNNNNNNNNNNNNNNNNNNNNNNNNNNNNNNNNNNNNNNNNNNNNNNNNNNNNNNNNNNNNNNNNNNNNNNNNNNNNNNNNNNNNNNNNNNNNNNNNNNNNNNNNNNNNNNNNNNNNNNNNNNNNNNNNNNNNNNNNNNNNNNNNNNNNNNNNNNNNNNNNNNNNNNNNNNNNNNNNNNNNNNNNNNNNNNNNNNNNNNNNNNNNNNNNNNNNNNNNNNNNNNNNNNNNNNNNNNNNNNNNNNNNNNNNNNNNNNNNNNNNNNNNNNNNNNNNNNNNNNNNNNNNNNNNNNNNNNNNNNNNNNNNNNNNNNNNNNNNNNNNNNNNNNNNNNNNNNNNNNNNNNNNNNNNNNNNNNNNNNNNNNNNNNNNNNNNNNNNNNNNNNNNNNNNNNNNNNNNNNNNNNNNNNNNNNNNNNNNNNNNNNNNNNNNNNNNNNNNNNNNNNNNNNNNNNNNNNNNNNNNNNNNNNNNNNNNNNNNNNNNNNNNNNNNNNNNNNNNNNNNNNNNNNNNNNNNNNNNNNNNNNNNNNNNNNNNNNNNNNNNNNNNNNNNNNNNNNNNNNNNNNNNNNNNNNNNNNNNNNNNNNNNNNNNNNNNNGCCCCGCCCCGUCGUCACCACCCCGUCCCGUCGCCCCGUCGUCGCCGCCCCGUCCCGUCGUCCCUUCGUCGCCGCCCCGUCGUCGCCUCGCCGGUGAGCUCGCCCCGGCCGCCAAUGUCCACACACACACACAGUACUACACAUACACACACACACUACACACACACACUACACACAUCAGUUUGUUUGUUAUAAAUUUUUCUGUUUUUUAGUUAUAGAAAUGUUAGAAAUGUUGGGGAACGUUGCAGAAAACAAAAAUUUUCCUAUUCGUUUCACCAAGAUCAUCUAGGAGUUCAUCUAGCAACGAGAGAUUAGAUGCAUCUACAUACCUUUGUAGAUCGCGCACGGAAGCGUUCAAAAGAACGGUGAUGAUGUAGUCGUACUCGACGUGAUUCAAAUCACCGAUGACCAGCGCCGAACGGACGGCACCUCCACGUUCAACACACGUACGGGACGGGAGACGUCUCCUCCUUCUUGAUCCAGCAAGGGGGAAGGAGAGGUUGAUGAAGAUCCAGCAGCACGACGGCGUGGUGGUGGAUGCAGGGCGUCACAGCAGCAGGGCUUCGCUGAGACUACGAGGGAGAGACGUAACGGGGGGAGAUGGAGGCGCCAGGGGCUGGUCUGAAAUCCCUCCUCUCCCCCCCACUAUAUAUAGGGGUGCCAGGGGGGCGCCGGCCCUAGUAGAUGAGAUCUACUAGGGGGGCGGCGGCCAAGGGGAGGUUUCCCUCCCCCCCAAGGCACCUAGGGGUGCCUUCCACCACAUGGACUCUUCCAUGGUGGAAACCCUAGGCGCAUGGGCCUAUAGGGGCUGGUGCCCUUGGCCCAUCUAGGCCAAGGCGCACCCCCUACAGCCCAUGUGGCCCCCCGGGACAGGUGGCCCCACCCGGUGGACCCCCGGGACCCUUCCGGUGGUCCCGGUACAAUACCGAUAACCCCGAAACUUGUCCCGAUGCCCGAAAUAGCACUUCCUAUAUAUAAUUCUUUACCUCCGGACCAUUCCGGAACUCCUCGUGACGUCCAGGAUCUCAUACGGGACUCCGAACAACAUUCGGGUUUCUGCAUAUACAUAUCUUCAUAACCCUAGCGUCACCGAACCUUAAGUCUGUAGACCCUACGGGUUCGGGAGACAAGCAGACAUGACCGAGACGACUCUCCGGUCAAUAACCAGCAGCGGGAUCUGGAUACCCAUGUUGGCUCCCACAUGCUCCACGAUGAUCUCAUCGGAUGAACCACGAUGUCGAGGAUUCAAUCAAUCCCGUACGCUAUUCCCUUUGUCUAUCGAUAUGUUACUUGCCCGAGAUUCGAUCGUCGGUAUCCCAAUACCUUGUUCAAUCUCGUUACCGGCAAGUCACUUUACUCGUACCGUAAUGCAUGAUCCCGUGACCAGACACUUGGUCACUCUGAGCUCAUUAUGAUGAUGCAUUACCGAGUGGGCCCAGUGAUACCUCUCCGUCAUACGGAGUGACAAAUCCCAGUCUUGAUCCAUGUCACCCAACAGACACUUUCGGAGAUACCCGUAGUCUACCUUUAUAGUCACCAAGUUACAUUGUGACGUUUGGCAUACCCAAAGCACUCCUACGGUAUCCGGGAGUUACACGAUCUCAUGGUCUAAGGAAAAGAUACUUUGACAUUGGAAAACUCUAGCAAACGAACUAUACGAUCUUGUGCUAUGUUUAGGAUUGGGUCUUGUCCAUCACAUCAUUCUCCCAAUGAUGUGAUCUCGUUAUCAAUGACAUCCAGUGUCCAUAGUCAGGAAACCAUGACUAUCUGUUGAUCAACGAGCUAGUCAACUAGAGGCUCACUAGGGACAUGUUGGUGUCUGUUAUUCACACAUGUAUUACGAUUUCCGGAUAACACAAUUAUAGCAUGAAUAAAGACAAUUAUCAUGAACAAGGAAAUAUAAUAAUAAUGCUUUUAUUAUUGCCUCUAGGGCAUAUUUCCAACAGUCUCCCACUUGCACUAGAGUCAAUAAUCUAGUUACAUUGUGAUGAAUCGAACACCCAUGGAAUUCUGGUGUUUAUCAUGUUUUGCUCUAGGGAGAGGUUUAGUCAACGGAUCUGCUACAUUCAGGUCCGUAUGUACUUUACAAAUCUCUAUGUCUCCAUCUUGAACAUUUUCACGAAUGGAGUUGAAGCGACGCUUGAUGUGCCUUGUCUUCUUGUGAAACCUGGGCUCCUUGGCAAGUGCAAUAGCUCCAGUGUUGUCACAGAAGAGCUUGAUCGGCCCCGACGCAUUGGGUAUGACUCCUAGGUCGGUGAUGAACUCCUUCACCCAUAUUGCUUCAUGUGCUGCCUCCGAGGCUGCCAUGUACUCCGCUUCACAUGUAGAUCCCGCCACGACGCUUUGCUUGCAACUGCACCAGCUUACUGCCCCACCAUUCAAAAUAUACACGUAUCCGGUUUGUGACUUAGAGUCAUCCAGAUCUGUGUCGAAGCUAGCGUCGACGUAACCCUUUACGACGAGCUCUUCGUCACCUCCAUAAACAAGAAACAUUUCCUUAGUCCUUUUCAGGUACUUCAGGAUAUUCUUGACCGCUGUCCAGUGUUCCUUGCCGGGAUUACUUUGGUACCUUCCUACCAAACUGAUGGCAAGGUUAACAUCAGGUCUGGUACACAGCAUGGCAUACAUAAUAGAACCUAUGGCUGAGGCAUAGGGGAUGACGCUCAUCUCUUCUAUAUCUUCUGCCGUGGUCGGACAUUGAGCUGAGCUCAAUUUCAUACCUUGUAACACAGGCAAGAACCCCUUCUUGGAUUGAUCCAUAUUGAACUUCUUCAAUAUUUUAUCAAGGUAUGUGCUUUGUGAAAGACCUAUGAGGCGUCUCGAUCUAUCUCUAUAGAUUUUGAUGCCUAAUAUAUAAGCAGCUUCUCCAAGGUCCUUCAUUGAAAAACUUUUAUUCAAGUAGGCCUUGAUGCUGUCCAAGAGUUCUAUAUCAUUUCCCAUCAAAAGUAUGUCAUCUACAUAUAAUAUGAGAAAUGCUACAGAGCUCCCACUCACUUUCUUGUAAACGCAGGCUUCUCCAUAAGUCUGUGUAAACCCAAACGCUUUGAUCAUCUCAUCAAAGCGAAUGUUCCAACUCCGAGAUGCUUGCACCAGCCCAUAAAUCGAGCGUUGGAGCUUGCACACUUUGUCAGCAUUCUUAGGAUCGACAAAACCUUCCGGCUGUAUCAUAUACAAUUCUUCCUUAAGGAAACCAUUAAGGAAUGCCGUUUUGACGUCCAUUUGCCAUAUUUCGUAAUUAUAGAAUGCGACAAUUGCUAACAUGAUUCGGACGGACUUCAGCUUCGCUACCGGUGAGAAAGUCUCAUCGUAGUCAACCCCUUGAACUUGUCGAUAACCCUUAGCGACAAGCCGAGCUUUAUAGAUGGUCACAUUACCAUCCGCGUCUGUCUUCCUCUUAAAGAUCCAUUUAUUUUCUAUGGCUCGCCGCUCAACGGGCAAGUCAGUCAAAGUCCAUACUUUGUUUUCAUACAUGGAUCCUAUCUCGGAUUUCAUGGCUUCUAGCCAUUCGUCGGAAUCCGGGCCCGCCAUCGCUUCUUCAUAGUUCGAAGGUUCACCGUUGUCUAACAGCAUGAUUUCCAAGACAGGGUUGCCGUACCACUCUGGUGCGGAACGUGUCCUUGUGGACCUUCGAAUUUCAGUAGGGGCUUGAUCAGAAGUAUCUUGAUCAUUAACUUCCUCUCUAGUCGGUGCAGGCACCUCAGGAACAUUUUCUUGAGUUGCGCCAUUUUUCGGUUCAAGAGGUAAUACUUCAUCAAGCUCUACUUUCCUCCCACUUACUUCUUUCGAGAGAAACUCUUUCUCCAGAAAGGACCCAUUCUUGGCAACAAAGAUCUUGCCUUCGGAUCUGAGGUAGAAGGUGUACCCAAUAGUUUCUUUUGGGUAUCCUAUGAAGACACAUUUUUCCGACUUGGGUUCGAGCUUUUCAGGUUGAAGUUUCUUGACAUAAGCAUCGCAUCCCCAAACUUUUAGAAACGACAGCUUAGGUUUCUUCCCAAACCAUAAUUCAUACGGUGUCGUCUCAACGGAUUUCGACGGAGCCCUAUUUAAAGUGAACGCGGCAGUCUCUAAAGCAUAGCCCCAAAAGGAUAGCUGUAAAUCGGUAAGAGACAUCAUAGAUCGCACCAUAUCUAAUAGAGUGCGAUUACGACGUUCGGACACACCAUUACGCUGAGGUGUUCCAGGCGGCGUGAGUUGUGAAACUAUUCCACAUUUUCUUAAGUGUGUGCCAAACUCGUGACUCAAGUAUUCUCCUCCAUGAUCUGAUCGUAGAAACUUGAUUUUCCUGUCACGUUGAUUUUCAACCUCACUCUGAAAUUCCUUGAACUUUUCAAAGGUUUCGGACUUGUGUUUCAUUAAGUAGAUAUACCCAUACCUACUUAAAUCAUCAGUGAGGGUGAGAACAUAACGAUAGCCACCGCGAGCCUCAACACUCAUUGGACCGCACACAUCAGUAUGUAUGAUUUCCAAUAAGUCGGUUGCUCGCUCCAUUGUUCCUGAGAACGGAGUCUUGGUCAUUUUACCCAUAAGGCAUGGUUCGCAUGUGUCAAAUGAUUCAUAAUCAAGAGACUCUAAAAGUCCAUCAGCAUGGAGCUUCUUCAUGCGUUUGACACCUAUGUGACCAAGGCGGCAAUGCCACAGGUAUGUGGGACUAUCAUUAUCAACCUUACUUCUUUUGGUACUCACAUUAUGAACAUGUGUAGCAUCACGUUCGAGAUUCAUAAAGAAUAAACCAUUCACCAUAGGAGCAUGACCAUAAAACAUAUCUCUCAUAAAAAUGGAACAACCAUUAUUCUCAGAUUUAAAAGAGUAGCCAUCUCGAAUUAAACGAGAUCCCGAUACAAUGUUCAUGCUCAAAGCUGGCACUAAAUAACAAUUAUUAAGGUUUAAAACUAAUCCCGAAGGGAGAUGCAGAGGUAGCGUGCCGACGGCGACCACAUUGACCUUGGAACCAUUCCCGACGCGCAUCGUCACCUCGUCCUUUGCCAGUUUCUGCUUAUUCCGCAGCCCCUGCUUUGAGUUACAAAUGUGAGCAACUGCACCAGUAUCAAAUACCCAGGAGCUACUACGGGCACUAGUAAGGUACACAUCAAUUACAUGUAUAUCACAUAUAACUUUUGUUUUGCCGGCCUUCUUAUCCGCUAAGUACUUAGGGCAGUUCCGCUUCCAGUGACCGCUUCCCUUGCAAUAAAAGCACUCAGUCUCGGGCUUGGGUCCAUUCUUUGGCUUCUUCCCGGCAGCUUGCUUGCCGGGCGCGGCAACCUCCUUGCCGUCCUUAUUGAAGUUCUUUUUACCCUUGCCUUUCUUGAACUUAGUGGUUUUAUUGACCAUCAACACUUGAUGUUCCUUCCUGACAUCUACCUCUGCUGAUUUCAGCAUAGCAAAUACUUCAGGAAUGGUCUUUUCCAUCCCCUGCAUAUUGAAGUUCAUCACAAAGCUCUUGUAGCUUGGUGGAAGCGACUGGAGGAUUCUGUCAAUGACCGCAUCAUCCGGGAGAUUAACUCCCAGAUGAGUCAAGCGGUUAUGCAACCCAGACAUAGUGAGUAUGUGCUCACUGACAGAACUGUUUUCCUCCAUCUUACAGCUGAAGAAUUUGUCGGAGACUUCAUAUCUCUCGACCCGGGCAUGAGCUUGGAAAACCAUUUUCAGCUCUUCGAACAUCUCAUAUGCUCCAUGUCUCUCAAAACGCUUUUGGAGCCCCGGCUCUAGGCUGUAAAGCAUGCCGCACUGAACGAGGGAGUAGUCAUCGGAACGUGCCUGCCAAGCGUUCAUAACAUCUUGUUCUGCAGGGAGAACGGGUGCGUCACCAAGCGGUGCUUGUAGGACAUAAUCUUUCUUGGCAGCUAUGAGGAUGAUCCUCAGGUUCCGGACCCAGUCCGUAUAGUUGCUGCCAUCGUCUUUCAGCUUGGUUUUCUCUAGGAACGCGUUGAAGUUGAGGACUACGUUGGCCAUUUGAUCUACAAGACAUAUUGCAAAGAUUUUAGACUAAGUUCAUGAUAAUUAAGUUCAACUAAUCAAAUUAUUAGUGAACUCCCACUUAGAUUAGACAUCCCUCUAGUCAUCUAAGUAUUACAUGAUCCGAGUUAAACUAGACCGUGUCCGAUCAUCACGUGAGACGGACUAGUCAACAUCGGUGAACAUCUUCAUGUUGAUCGUAUCUUCUAUACGACUCAUGCUCGACCUUUCGGUCUUCUGUGUUCCGAGGCCAUGUCUGUACAUGCUAGGCUCGUCAAGUCAACCUAAGUGUUUGCAUGUGUAAAUAUGUCUUACACCCGUUGUAUGUGAACGUCUGAAUAAAACACCCGAUCAUCACGUGGUGUUUUGAAACAGCGAACUGUCGCAACGGUGCACAGUUAGGGGGAACACUUCUUGAAUUUAUUGUGAGGGAUCAUCAUAUUUACUACCGUCGUUCUAAGUAAACAAGAUGCAAAACAUGAUAAACAUCACAUGCAAUCAAAUAAUAAACGUGACAUGAUAUGGCCAAUAUCACAUAGCUCCUUUGAUCUCCAUCUUGGGGCUCCAUGAUCAUCUUGUCACCGGCUUGACACCAUGAUCUCCAUCAUCAUGAUCUCCAUCAUCGUGUCUCCAUGAAGUUGCUCGCCAACUAUUACUUCUACUACUAUGGCUAACGCGUUUAGCAAUAAAGUAAAGUAAUUUACAUGGCGUUUCUUGAUGACACGCAGGUCAUAUAAAAGAAUAAAGACAACUCCUAUGGCUCCUGCCGGUUGUCAUACUCAUCGACAUGCAAGUCGUGAUUCCUAUUACAAUAGCAUGAACAUCUCAUACAUCACAUAUAGAUCAUUCAUCAUUCAUCACAACUUUGGCCAUAUCAUAUCACAAACCACUUGCCGCAAAAACAAGUUAGACGUCCUCUAAUUGUUGUUGCAAGUUUUACGUGGCUGAAUUAGGGUUCUAGCAAGAACGUUUUCUUACCUACGUUAAAGCCACAACGUGAUUUGUCAACUUCUAUUUACCCUUCAUAAGGACCCUGUUCAUCGAUUCCGCUCCAACUAAAGUAGGAGAGACAGACACCCGCCAGCCACCUUAUGCAACUAGUGCAUGUUAGUCGGUGGAACCGGUCUCACGUAAGCGUACGUGUAAGGUUGGUCCGGGCCGCUUCAUCCCACAAUACCGCUGAAGCAAGAAAGGACUAGUAACGGCAAGAAAGUUGACAAAUCUACGCCCACAACUAAUUGUGUUCUACUCGCGCAAGAAGAACUACGCAUAGACCUAGCUCAUGAUGCCACUGUUGGGGAACGUUGCAGAAAACAAAAAUUUUCCUACUCGUUUCACCAAGAUCAUCUAGGAGUUCAUCUAGCAACGAGUGAUUAGAUGCAUCUACAUACCUUUGUAGAUCGCGAGCGGAAGCGUUCAAAAGAACGGUGAUGAUGUAGUCGUACUCGACGUGAUCCAAAUCACCGAUGACCAGCGCCGAACGGACGGCACCUCCGCGUUCAACACACGUACGGAACAGCCACGUCUCCUCCUUCUUGAUCCAGCAAGGGAGGGAGGAGAGGUUGAGGGAGAUGGCACCAGCAGCAGCACGACGGCGUGGUGUUGAUGGAGCUGCAGUACUCCGGCAGAGCUUCGCUAAGCACUAUGGAGGUGGAGGAGGUGUUGGGGAGGGAGAAGGAGGCAACCAAGGGCCAAGGCGUUCAGGUAUGAAGUCCCUCCUCUCCCCCACUAUAUAUAGGAGGGCCAAGGGGGGUUGGUGCGCAGCCUAGGAGAUCCAAUCUCCUAUGGCCGGCGGCCAAGGGGAGGUUUCCCUCCCCCCCAAGGCACCUAGGAGGUGCCUUCCCCUCCUAGGACUCUUCCCCCCUUCAAACCCUAGGCGCAUGGGCCUAUGUGGGGCUGGUGCCCUUGGCCCAUUAGGCCAAGGCACACCCCCUUACAGCCCAUGUGCCCCCCCCGGGACAGGUGGACCCCCGGGACCCUUCCGGUGGUCCCGGUACAAUACCGAUAACCCCGAAACUUGUCCCGAUGCCCGAAACAGGACUUCCCAUAUAUAAAUCUUUACCUCCGGACCAUUCCGGAACUCCUCGUGACGUCCGGGAUCUCAUCCGGGACUCCGAACAACAUUCGGGUUACUGCAUAUACAUAUCCCUACAACCAUAGCGUAACUGAAACUUAAGUGUGUAGACCCUACGGGUUCGGGAGACAAGCAGACAUGACCGAGACGACUCUCCGGUCAAUAACCAACAGCGGGAUCUGGAUACCCAUGUUGGCUCCCACAUGCUCCACGAUGAUCUCAUCGGAUGAACCACGAUGUCGAGGAUUCUAUCAACCCCGUACGCUAUUCCCUUUGUCUAUCGAUAUGUUACUUGCCCGAGAUUCGAUCGUCGGUAUCCCAAUACCUCGUUCAAUCUCGUUACCGGCAAGUCACUUUACUCGUACCGUAAUGCAUGAUCCCGUGACCAGACACUUGGUCACUCUGAGCUCAUUAUGAUGAUGCAUUACCGAGUGGGCCCAGUGAUACCUCUCCGUCAUACGGAGUGACAAAUCCCAGUCUUGAUCCAUGUCACCCAACAGACACUUUCGGAAAUACCCGUAGUCUACCUUUAUAGUCACCCAGUUACGUUGUGACGUUUGGCAUACCCAAAGCACUCCUACGGUAUCCGGGAGUUACACGAUCUCAUGGUCUAAGGAAAAGAUACUUUGACAUUGCAAAACUCUAGCAAACGAACUAUACGAUCUUGUGCUAUGUUUAGGAUUGGGUCUCGUCCAUCACAUCAUUCUCCCAAUGAUGUGAUCUCGUUAUCAAUGACAUCCAGUGUCCAUAGUCAGGAAACCAUGACUAUCUGUUGAUCAACGAGCUAGUCAACUAGAGGCUCACUAGGGACAUGUUGGUGUCUGUUAUUCACACAUGCAUUACGAUUUCCGGAUAACACAAUUAUAGCAUGAAUAAAGACAAUUAUCAUGAACAAGGAAAUAUAAUAAUAAUGCUUUUAUUAUUGCCUCUAGGGCAUAUUUCCAACAGCUUUGAGUUACAAAUGUGAGCAACUGCACCGGUAUCAAAUACCCAGGAGCCACUACGGGCACUAGUAAGGUACACAUCAAUUACAUGUAUAUCACAUAUACCUUUUGUUUUGCCGGCCUUCUUAUCCGCUAAGUACUUAGGGCAGUUCCGCUUCCAGUGACCGCUCCCUUGCAAUAAAAGCACUCAGUCUCGGGCUUGGGUCCAUUCUUUGGCUUCUUCCCGGCAGCUUGCUUGCCGAGCGCGGCAACCUCCUUGCCGUCCUUCUUGAAGUUCUUUUUACCCUUGCCUUUCUUGAACUUAGUGGUUUUAUUGACCAUCAACACUUGAUGUUCCUUCCUGACUUCUACCUCUGCUGAUUUUAGCAUAGCAAAUACUUCAGGAAUGGUCUUUUCCAUCCCCUGCAUAUUGAAGUUCAUCACAAAGCUCUUGUAGCUUGGUGGAAGCGACUGGAGGAUUCUGUCAAUGACCGCAUCAUCCGGGAGAUUAACUCCCAGCUGAGUCAAGCGGUUAUGCAACCCAGACAUAGUGAGUAUGUGCUCACUGACAGAAUUGUUUUCCUCCAUCUUACAGCUGAAGAAUUUGUCGGAGACUUCAUAUCUCUCGACCCGGGCAUGAGCUUGGAAAACCAUUUUCAGCUCUUCGAACAUCUCAUAUGCUCCAUGUCUCUCAAAACGCUUUUGGAGCCCCGGCUCUAGGCUGUAAAGCAUGCCGCACUGAACGAGGGAGUAGUCAUCGAAACGUGCCUGCCAAGCGUUCAUAACAUCUUGUUCUGCAGGGAGAACGGGUGCGUCACCAAGCGGUGCUUGUAGGACAUAAUCUUUCUUGGCAGCUAUGAGGAUGAUCCUCAGGUUCCGGACCCAGUCCGUAUAGUUGCUGCCAUCGUCUUUCAGCUUGGUUUUCUCUAGGAACGCGUUAAAGUUGAGGACUACGUUGGCCAUUUAAUCUACAAGACAUAUUGUAAAAUAUUUAGACUAAGUUCAUGAUAAUUAAGUUCAACUAAUCAAAUUAUUAAUGAACUCCCACUUAGAUUAGACAUCCCUCUAGUCAUCUAAGUAUUACAUGAUCCGAGUUAAACUAGACCGUGUCCGAUCAUCACGUGAGACGGACUAGUCAACAUCGGUGAACAUCUUCAUGUUGAUCGUAUCUUCUAUACGACUCAUGCUCGACCUUUCGGUCUUCUGUGUUCCGAGGCCAUGUCUGUACAUGCUAGGCUCGUCAAGUCAACCUAAGUGUUUGCAUGUGUAAAUCUGUCUUACACCCGUUGUAUGUGAACGUCUGAAUAAAACACCCGAUCAUCACGUGGUGUUUUGAAACAGCGAACUGUCGCAACGGUGCACAGUUAGGGGGAACACUUCUUGAAAUUAGUAUGAGGGAUCACCUUAUUUACUACCGUCGUUCUAAGUAAACAAGAUGCAAAACAUGAUAAACAUCACAUGCAAUCAAAUAAUAAACGUGACAUGAUAUGGCCAAUAUCACAUAGCUCCGUUGAUCUCCAUCUUGGGGCUCCAUGAUCAUCUUGUCACCGGCUUGACACCAUGAUCUCCAUCAUCAUGAUCUCCAUCAUCAUGAUCUCCAUCAUCGUGUCUACAUGAAGUUGCUCGCCAACUAUUACUUCUACUACUAUGGCUAACGCGUUUAGCAAUAAAGUAAAGUAAUUUACAUGGCGUUUCUUGAUGACACGCAGGUCAUAUAAAAGAAUAAAGACAACUCCUAUGGCUUCUGCCGGUUGUCAUACUCAUCGACAUGCAAGUCGUGAUUCCUAUUACAAUAGCAUGAACAUCUCAUACAUCACAUAUAGAUCAUUCAUCAUUCAUCACAACUUUGGCCAUAUCAUAUCACAAACCACUUGCUGCAAAAACAAGUUAGACGUCCUCUAAUUGUUGUUGCAAGUUUUACGUGGCUGAAUUAGGGUUCUAGCAAGAACGUUUUCUUACCUACGUUAAAGCCACAACGUGAUUUAUCAACUUCUAUUUACCCUUCAUAAGGACCCUGUUCAUCAAUUCCGCUCCAACUAAAGUAGGAGAGACAGACACCCGCCAGCCACCUUAUGCAACUAGUGCAUGUUAGUCUGUGGAACCGGUCUCACGUAAGCGUACGUGUAAGGUUGGUCCGGGCCGCUUCAUCCCACAAUACCGAUGAAGCAAGAAAGGACUAGUAACGGCAAGAAAGUUGACAAAUCUAAGCCCACAACAAAUUGUGUUCUACUCGCGCAAGAAGAACUACGCGUAGACCUAGCUCAUGAUGCCACUGUUGGGGAAGGUUGCAGAAAACAAAAUUUUUCCUAUUCGUUUCACCAAGAUCAUCUAGGAGUUCAUCUAGCAACGAGUGAUUAGAUGCAUCUACAUACCUUUGUAGAUCGCGCACGGAAGCGUUCAAAAGAACGGUGAUGAUGUAGUCGUACUCGACGUGAUUCAAAUCACCGAUGACCAGCACCGAACGGACGGCACCUCCGCGUUCAACACACGUACGGGACGGGAGACGUCUCCUCCUUCUUGAUCCAGCAAGGGGGAAGGAGAGGUUGAUGAAGAUCCAGCAGCACGACGGCGUGGUGGUGGAUGCAGGGCGUCACAGCAGCAGGGCUUCGCCGAGACUACGAGGGAGAGACGUAACGGGGGGAGAUGGAGGCGCCAGGGGCUGGUCUGAAAUCCCUCCUCUCCCCCCCACUAUAUAUAGGGGUGCCGGGGGGGCGCCGGCUCUAGUAGAUGAGAUCUACUAGGGGGGGCGGCGGCCAAGGGGAGGUUUCCCUCCCCCCCAAGGCACCUAGGGGUGCCUUCCACCACAUGGACUCUUCCAUGGUGGAAACCCUAGGCGCAUGGGCCUAUAGGGGCUGGUGCCCUUGGCCCAUCUAGGCCAAGGCGCACCCCCUACAGCCCAUGUGGCCCCCCGGGACAGGUGGCCCCACCCGGUGGACCCCCGGGACCCUUCCGGUAGACCCGGUACAAUACCGAUAACCCCGAAACUUGUCCCGAUGCCCGAAAUAGCACUUCCUAUAUAUAAUUCUUUACCUCCGGACCAUUCCGGAACUCCUCGUGACGUCCAGGAUCUCAUACGGGACUCCGAACAACAUUCGGGUUUCUGCAUAUACAUAUCUUCAUAACCCUAGCGUCACCGAACCUUAAGUGUGUAGACCCUACGGGUUCGGGAGACAAGCAGACAUGACCGAGACGACUCUCCGGUCAAUAACCAACAGCGGGAUCUGGAUACCCAUGUUGGCUCCCACAUGCUCCACGAUGAUCUCAUCGGAUGAACCACGAUGUCGAGGAUUCAAUCAAUCCCGUACGCUAUUCCCUUUGUCUAUCGAUAUGUUACUUGCCCGAAUUCGAUCGUCGGUAUCCCAAUACCUUGUUCAAUCUCGUUACCGGCAAGUCACUUUACUCGUACCGUGAUGCAUGAUCCCGUGACCAGACACUUGGUCACUCUGAGCUCAUUAUGAUGAUGCAUUACCGAGUGGGCCCAGUGAUACCUCUCCGUCAUACGGAGUGACAAAUCCCAGUCUUGAUCCAUGUCACCCAACAGACACUUUCGGAGAUACCCGUAGUCUACCUUUAUAGUCACCCAGUUACGUUGUGACGUUUGGCAUACCCAAAGCACUCCUAUGGUAUCCGGGAGUUACACGAUCUCAUGGUCUAAGGAAAAGAUACUUUGACAUUGGAAAACUCUAGCAAACGAACUAUACGAUCUUGUGCUAUGUUUAGGAUUGGGUCUUGUCCAUCACAUCAUUCUCCCAAUGAUGUGAUCUCGUUAUCAAUGACAUCCAGUGUCCAUAGUCAGGAAACCAUGACUAUCUGUUGAUCAACGAGCUAGUCAACUAGAGGCUCACUAGGGACAUGUUGGUGUCUGUUAUUCACACAUGUAUUACGAUUUCCGGAUAACACAAUUAUAGCAUGAAUAAAGACAAUUAUCAUGAACAAGGAAAUAUAAUAAUAGUGCUUUUAUUAUUGCCUCUAGGGCAUAUUUCCAACAAGAAAUUAUUCUGUUUUUUAGUUAUAUAAAUAUUAGAAAUGUUAGUUUUAUAGAAAUGUUAUAAAUUUUUCUGUUUUUUAGUUAUAGAAAUAUUUAUAGAAAUGUUAGCAAUUUUUCUGUUUUUUAGUUAUAUAAAUAUUAGAAUUGUUAUGGAAAUGUUAGUUAUAUAAUCAGGAAAUUUUAGAAUUAGUUUUAGUUAGAUGAAUUAGAUUAAUGUCAAAUUGUUAGAAUUUGCAUAUAUAUAGAAUUUUAGUUAUCACAAUCCAAUCAUUUAAAAAAUGUUACUUUUUGCGGGCAUAUAGUAUUUGUUCUCGAUGAUAUGCCCGGCCCGCAUCCUCGCCGUCGACCUGUUUGCAACGACGUCAUGCUUCAGGGGACCCAUGUCCGGGACUGGGCUCCGCCAGGCUGGCACUGGGAGGUGCUACCUGGAGGGGCGCGCCGCUUGGUGAGGAACCCGAGCUCGGGUCCCGUCGUCGACCCUGAUCUUCUUUGGUGGCGUUCGCGUGGGCCACAUUCGGUGCAGAGCCAGCCGGCCCCACCGGAGGUGGUGCGUCACCGUGUCAGGGAGGAAGAUGAGCACGUCCAUCGCUACAUGGCUGCUAUGAACGACGUCAGGUUCUCCACUACUUGGCGGGUUCUUUGGGCAGAUGACCGGAGAUAUGAUCCUCUGAUGGUUCCUUCUCUUUGGGUGUGCACCGCCCGCGCCCCAGGAACCUCGAGUGGCGCCCUAGAUUCUUCUGUAGUACUCGAUCUUUAUUAGGUACCUAGCCAGUGAUGUAUUCGAUAUAUACUAUUCGAGACGAUGUAUUCGAGAUUAUAUAUAUUAAGACGAUGAUGUAUUCGAGAUUAUAUAUUCGAGAGGAUGUAUUCGAGAUUCAGAUUUUCCUUAUUGAUUAAUUGCAUCCAUGCAUUGUAAUUUGAAUACUAAAUUGUUUUAUAUUUCUUCUGUAUUAUUAGUAAAGUAAAAGCUAUGGCGGACAAUACCGGCAGAGAGAGAGAAGAGGAAUUGUUCCACAUCAUACGCAGCCCUCACAGGCUAGAUGAUCUGAAUGAAGCAGAUGACGGCUCCCAAUAUCUUAACAAUACCGGAGAGGGUGAUGAAAAUAUAUUCGAUCUCGACGACCGGGCUGAUGAAGUCAUGAACUAUGAUUAUGAUUAUGACACAGACAAUGUUUGUGAUGACACAGACAAUGCUGAUCUUCAAAUAACAAACACUACCAGCGAGGUAUAUUUAUAUAAGCAUGCAUCAUGAUGAUCAUCACAUGUUUUUUUUAUUGAAGAUAUAUUAACGAAUCGAUCUUUCUUCUUUCAGCCCUCCGGAUCGAGCAAAUCUGCUUCUACAGACAGCAAGACAAAGCGAGGCUCGGGCAGAUUGUUGAAGGAUGGUGUAAAGUACCACAUCGAAUCCAUCAAACCUAGUGGCGAACCCCUCACGCCUAAGAACAUUGCGAACAAGUGGACUCGUCAGUGCGGAGUUCUUGUGAAGGACAAACUCCCGAUCUCCAUUCAAGAAUGGAAAGAGCCAAAGACUAAAUGUCCAGGUGUUACUUGGGUUGAUGGCAGAGCCAAAGAAGACCUGGUGAAAUCUCUGAUGGAACAUUUCACCCUACCAGAUCAUUUCACUAAAGCAGAUGUGGACAAAGUCAAGGCCGCUGCUCUUAAGAAGAUGGCAAUUGCAUUCAACACCCACAAGAAAACUGUAUGGGCCAACUACCUCGCUAAUGAAAGGAAGACUCCAGAUUUCAAGGGAACACUGGAGAAGCAAAGAGAACAUUGGGACGAUUUCGUGACCUUCAAGGAUUCAGAAUUAUCUAAGGAACGAUCGAUGAAAAACAAGGCAAAUGCCGCAAGAAAGACGCAGUUCCAUAGGCUGGGUCCAGGUGGCUACGCGGUGGCAUUGCCUAAGUGGGAUAAGUCUGAGCAAGAGAUGGAGGAUGCAGGGGUCACUCCGGUUACCCGGCACUGGCCCCCCAGGUGCAGAACUUGGUUCUAUGCGCAUGGGGGAGCGUUGGACCCGAAGACAGGCGGAGUUUCACGGAAGGCAAGUCUGAAAGGAGCCGAACAAAAGAUAAUUGAUGCAAUAGAUGAAGCUCGAAGGGGGGUCUUCACGCCCAACAGAGAGAACGACGAGCUUACGCGCGCCCUGGGAAAUCCUGAACACCCGGGAAGAACACGAGGCAUGGGCGUUAUUCCCUGGUAUGAGGGCUUUUCAGAAUGGAACAAGGACUACAGGAGCCGUGCAAGAAGGAAGAUGGAGGAGGAGAAGAAAAGGAAGCUGGAGGAGGAGCAGAGGAAGCAGGACGCAGAAUGCCUUCAGGGCCUAGAAGCAAGGCACGCGGACCUGGCACUCAAAUUCCAGCAGCAGCAACAACAGAUCGACUCACUUAGCCAGGAAAGGGGGUCUCAGCAGCGGCAGCAGCAAGUGGAUGACCGUCCAGCAUUGGAUAGCACCAUCCCAUCCAUGCCGAGAAGCAGCGUUGGUUCUGCCCCGGGUGACACACUGCUGGAUAAAUACCCUGUGGAUGACAUCAUAGAGAACACUAACUGCGAGCUACACUCCAAAAUGAAGAACAUAUCCAUGAAAGUGGCGGAAGGCGUUGCUUUUCCAGUUACCCCCGAAGCAACCUACCAUUGCAUCCCGAUUCCAGAGGGCUAUGCUCGUGUCAUGGUUGAUGAAGUGGUGGACCCAUAUUCGGGGCUAACGCUUGACAUUCCUGGAGGUGAAGACGAGCGCACACUCGGAGAGGCCAUACAUCGUAUCAUCCUAUGGAGAAAGGACUGCAUAAUCAUUCGAAGUCCACCGACACCGCGUCGUCUGCCGACUCCUCGAAGUCCGCCACCGAGUCAGCAGACUCCCGCUCCUCCAAGUCCACGAACGCGUGAGACGACUCCUCCUCGAAGUCCGCCACCUUCUCCAAGUCCCCGAACGCGUGAGCUGACUCCUUCGGUUUCAAGCCCGGCACAGUGUCAUGCCACUUCUCCGGUUGCAAGUCCGGCACCGUGUCAGGCCACACCUCCUGCUUCAAGUCCGGCACAUCGUCAGGCCACUUCUCCUGGUGCAACUCCACGUCAGCCGUCUCCGUCAUCUCAGCAUUCGCAGAAGAGACAUCCCGCAGCUUUGGUGCGUAGCGGUAUGAGUCGAGGUAGUUCAGGAAGUACAGGCGAAGGCAAGCGAUAUAAAUAUGGUCCAAGCCUCGCUCCUCUUCCUCAGAGGCCUUACGACAUGACUAAGGAGCAAAACACAGCCAUAGUGCAAGCCCAAGUGGACGCCCAUUUUGGACCGAAACCGGCACCGCCACAAAAGGAGAAAGUGCCUGAGAAAGUAAUUGACCACUUCAUUCGUAUGGCUAGAGAACCAGCUCCCAAGUCUAUUGACUCGGACUAUGAGCGCCAAAUCAGGAAGGCACAUCGAGCACGACUACAGAAGGAAGCGAGCUCAAGCUCGAGCCAACAAGAAGCUGGCAAAAAAUGCGGGAAAACCGUUCCCCAGUUGGGAGAACAGGCGGCGCAAGCGAUCCCCCCGCUUGUUGUGCCAACAACACAUGAGAGGAGUAGUACGCGCGCCAAAUAUUAUUGUGGGCAAACCAUUAGUGUUCCCCAACAUGGCGAUGUGGUAAUAACAGAGGAUCAUAUAAUGCAGGCUCAAAUGCUCAAUAUCUCUGUUGGACAACUCCUCGAAAUCGAGCCCAUGCCUACGCUUAAAGAAUCGUAAAUAGCAUGGCAAUAUGUCCGGGGCAAACCUUUGGUCCAUCUAGACAAGGUCAAGGACCUCCCAAAGAGAAUGUAUCAAUUGCAUCAAUGGUACAUGAACAUUACCAGGAUUUCCAAUCGAGAGUCCCUCAUGGUGAAUGUCAAGCAUGAGCAUUAUUACCAUGAGAAAGCUCUGGCCGUUGAGUAUCCAGAACUAUUUCAGUUAUUUAAACAAGACGCACUCGACAAGUCAAUCGUCAGUUGCUAUUGUCUGUAAGUGAUUUCUUUCUGUAAUUUAAGUCUCAAGCUAGUUAUGUAGUGAUAAUUUUGAUCAAUCAUUACAUGUAAUUAUCCUCACUAUAUUCUUUUUCUGUGGUAUUAUAUGCAGGAUGAAGAUGUAUGAAAUGAAAAAAGCUGGACACUAUGGCGUUGGGUUCAUUGACCCGAAUACCAUUAACCAGGACAUAUGGGAGAUUGAACAUUGUAAAGCUACUGUAGAGGAAAGCAUGCUACAGUUCUUGAAGCGCCUCAAUACCUUCGAAGAUAUACUACUUCCUUACAACUUCCCGUGAGUCAUACUGUCUUGUACUACAAAUUCUGUUUUUGCUUACUAGCUAGCUAGAUAUUAAUAAUUAAGUGUAUACGGUUUACGGUAGUUGAUUAAUUUUAUGCACAUGCCCGCUUAAUUAAGACAUGCAAACAUGUGCGUAUGCAGUUGGCACUGGGUCUUGAUAGACAUUAAAGUUGAGGAAGGAAAAGUUGAAUUACUGAACUCACUAACUAAAGAAGAUAAAGACUACACCAUCAUGAAGGGGAUAGUCAACAGGUAAUUUCAAUCAUAAUUAACUAUUAGUUCCUGAUAUGAACUAUUUAAUAACCCCUUUAUUAAUUUUCUUUGCCGGCGGGUAGGGCAUGGGCAAAGUUCAUCGCGGUGACUCCAGGAGAAUGGAAAAAAAAUGUUUAGGCAUCGACCCAAGGUAAGUAAUUAACUAAUACUAGCUAGCUACCAUCUCUUUAAUUCUUGUUUCAAUAUCAUUAAUUAAUUAUUAUGCUUGAUUAAUCAUUAUCAGAUUCAAUUCCAUUCUCGUAAAGGCCCUGAGGCAGGCGAAAGGGAAUAAUCUGUGUGCAUACUACGUUUGUGAGAACUUUUGCAUGAUGACGUGGGAAAGGAGCAUAUCUGAUAGACAGGACUGGGUACGUUUUUGUCAGAACACUAUUCACACUAUUAUCAAUAUCUAGUCACACAACUAACACACAUGCAUAUUGAUCUCCUUCUUAACAGUUCAGAUUGGUGCGAGAUAGGCUCCUAACAUCGGACCACAUACAAGCACUUCAAGAGGAAAUAGCCAGAUUUUUGCUCGACCAGGUCAUAGAUCCGAAAGGAGAAUACUAUUACCCGCUACCGCCCUCAUGAACCACUUGUCAUCGUGCUCCGAAGGCACCAAGGCAACAUGUAGUAGAAAUUGUAUAUGUAUAUACAUGUGUAUAUGUGUGAAUAGUUAAUGGUGUUGGCUGUGAGACAUUCGAUGAUAUAUAUUAUAUAUAUAUGCGGUUCUACGUAUGAGAAAAUCUAUUUAAUAUAUAUGCAUAACGUGUACAAUUUGUAGUAUCGUGAAAUACCAGCAAACAAAAAAUAAUUAAAUGGAAAAUAAAGCCAAAUUGAAAACACAAAAUUAAAGCAAAAAUUAAAAAAAAACACCCAAACAUUUAGUACCGGUUGGUGUUACCAACUGGUACUAAUGUCCUACACGCACACGGGCCUGGCUCGUGCCACGUGUUUGCACUUUAGCGCCGGUUCGUGACGAACCGGUACUAAAGGCCGUCACGAACCGGCACUAAAGCCCGGUUCUGCAGUAGUGAUCCGAUUCUAGCCGCCUAUGCUCGUGUCGCGAUUGAUGAAGCGGUGGCAGAAUAUUGGGGGCUACAACUUGACAUUCCUGGAGGUGACAACGAGCGCACACUGGGAGAGCCAUUACAUCAUAUCAUUCUAUGGAGAAAGGAUUGCAUCGCCUUUCCAAGGCCACCGACUCCGCAUCAGCCGACUCCUCCCCAAAGUCCGCCACCGCGUCAGCAGACUCCCGCUCCUCCAAGUCAUCAGCCACCGCCUCAGCAGAGUACUGCUCCUCCAAGUUCGCCAACGAGUGAGCCCACUCCUGCUCCUCCAAGUCCGGCACCGCAUGAGCCCACUCCUUGUCCAAGUCCGCCACUGCGUCAUCCCAGUCCUCCUCCUCCAAGUCAUCAGGCACCGCGUCAGCUGUCUCCGCCGCCUAAGCAACAGCGAAAGACAGCCGCCGCAGCUUCGGUGGCUAGCUAUACAAGUACAGGAGGCAAGAGAUUCUAAUAUGGUCCAAGCCUCAAGCCUCUUCCUCUUUGGCCUUACGACCUGAGUGAGGAGGAAAACGAAGCCGAAGUGCAUCGCCAAUUGGAUGCCCAUUUUGGAUGAAACUGCCAUCACCGCAAAAGGAGAUUGUACCUGAGCAUAUCAUUGACCACUUCAUUCAUAUGGCUAGAGCACCAGCUCCCAAGCCUAUUGACUCAGACUAUGAGCGCCAAAUCAGGAAGGCAUAUCAAGCACACAAAAAGAAAGAGUCGAGCACGAGCCUAGCAGCUGCCAAAAAAGCGGGAAACUGUUCCCCAGCUGGGAGAACAGGCGGUGCAAUCGACCNNNNNNNNNNCGAAAGACAGCCGCCGCAGCUUCGGCGGCUAGCUAUACAAGUACAGGAGGCAAGAGAUUCUAAUAUGGUCCAAGCCUCAAGCCUCUUCCUCUUUGGCCUUACGACCUGAGUGAGGAGGAAAACGAAGCCGAAGUGCAUCGCCAAUUGGAUGCCCAUUUUGGAUGAAACUGCCAUCACCGCAAAAGGAGAUUGUACCUGAGCAUAUCAUUGACCACUUCAUUCAUAUGGCUAGAGCACCAGCUCCCAAGCCUAUUGACUCAGACUAUGAGCGCCAAAUCAGGAAGGCAUAUCAAGCACAAAAAAAGAAAGAGUCGAGCACGAGCCUAGCAGCUGCCAAAAAAGCGGGAAACUGUUCCCCAGCUGGGAGAACAGGCGGCGCAAUCGACCCCCCCCCCGCUCAUUGUACCAACACAAAAGAGUACCAGUGCGGCAGAUCAUCUGGUAAUAACCAAGGAUCAUAGAAGGCAGGCUGCAGAGAUUGGAUGCACUGUAGAACAACUCCUAGAGCUCGAGCCCAUGGAAAGUUUUACAGAGCAGAAACUAAAAUGGAAAUAUGCCCGCGGCAAACCUUUGGUCAAGCCUGAGGAGGUCCAGAAGCUCUCAACGAGAACGUAUUAAUUGCAUGAAUGGUACAUGAAAAUUGCCAACACUACCAAUCGAGAGUCCCUCAUGGUGAGAGUCAAGCCAGAGCAUUACUACCAUGAAAAUGCUCUGUAUGUUGAGUUUACAGAACAGUUUCAGUUAUUCAAUCAAGACGCACUCGACAAAUCUAUCGUCAGUUGCUAUUGUCUGUAAGUGAUUUCUUUGUAUAAUUUAAGUCUCAAGCUAGUUGUAGUGCUCGUUGAUCAUUACCUGUAAUUAUCCUCACUAUAUUCUUUUCUGUGGUAUUAUGCAGAAUGAAGGUCUAUCAAAUGAAAAAAGUUGGACGCUAUGGCAUUGGGUUCAUUGACUCAAAUACCAUUAAUCAAGAGACAUGGUCACAGGAAUUCUAUCGAAAAGUAACAAAGAAAAGCAUGCUAGAGUUCUUGAAGCGCCUAAAUACCAAUCGAGAUAUACUACUUCCUUACAACUUCGGGUGAGUCACAUUGUCUUGUACUACAAAUUCUAUUUUGCUUACUAGCUAGAUGUUAAUGAGUGUAUAGGGUUUAGGUUAGUUGAUGAGUGUUAUGCACAUGCCCGCUUAAUUUAUACAUGCAAAUGUGUGCGCAUGCAGUUUUCACUAGAUCUUGUUAAUCAUUCAAGUUGACGAAGCAAAACUUAAAGUACUGGACUCACUACUUAAACCAGUUACUGAGUACGAAAUCGUGAAGGGGAUGGUCAACAGGUAAUUUCAAUCAUUAUCGAACUAUAUGUCGGCCUCUUUAGUUUGUCAUUUCCUGAUAUCAACUAAUUAAUAACUCCUUUAUUCAUUUUCUUUGCCGGCGGGUAGGGCUUGGGAAAAGUACAUUAAAACGGUUCAAGGCCAAUCGAAACAAAAGCUAUUUUGGUAUCGACCCAAGGUAAUUAAUUAAGUAGUACUAGCUAGCUACCAUCUCUUUAAUUCUAGUUUCAAUACCAUUAAUUAUCAUGCUUGAUUAAUUAUUAUCUGAUUGAAUUCUAUUCUCGUAAAGGCCAUGAAGCAGGCGCAGGGAAAUGAUUUAUGUGCAUACUACGUUUGCGAGAACAUUCGUAUGAUGGCGUCCGAAAGGAGCAUAUCUCAUAGACAACUAUGGAUAUGUUUGUGAGAACACUAUUUACAAUUUUUACAUCAUUAUCGAUAUCUAAUAUAUAUAUACACACAACUAAUACAUGCAUAUUGAUCUCCUUCUUUAAAGUUCAAUGAGAUGCGGGAUAAGCUCCUACCAACGGAAUCGCGUACUAGCAAUUCAAGAAGAAAUAGCGGGAUUUUUGCUCGACCAGGUCAUAUAGAUCCCAAAGGAGAAUUUCAUUACCCGCUACCGCAGUAAUGCCUCCAGGUAAGAUAAAUUGUAUAUACCAAAUUGUAUAUAUACAUGUGUAUGUGUGAAUGGUGGUGCGAGACAUUCGACGAUAUAUAUAUCAUCAGUUCUACGAGAAAUUCUAUUUAUAUAUAUACAUAAUGUAUACAAUAUGCAUUAUCAUAAAAUACCAGCAAAUGAAAAAGAAUUAAAUGAAAAACACAAAAUUAAAGGAAAAAGAAAUCAUAAACCCAAAAACCCCUAAACCUACCAACCGGUACUAAAGGUCUCCCAACCCCCGGCGCGGGCUCAUGCCACAUGGUGGCCCUUUUGUGACGGUUUGUGUUGAACCGGGACUAAAGGGGACCUUUAGUCCUCACUCUUUAGUGCCGGUUACAGAACCGGCACUAAAGGACCUUACGAACCGGUACUAUAGCCCGGUUCUGCACUAGUGUGAUUCUAUGAGAGUAUAUAUAUAUAUGUCUAUAUAUAUCGGCAUGCAUGUUAGUGUGGAAACAGGUUGUUGUUCUAGCGGUCAGUGAUCAGUGAUGCAGUGCUAAUUCCAAAUGGUCUUGGUUCAAGUGAUAGGCAGUGCAACGUUUUUUUAAUAUUUUUCCCUCCCAUACCUUUAGCAUGGUUUCUGAGAGAAAAAAACCAAGUCAACCUGCAAAUAAAUCCCGCUAAAAAAUAGUUAAUUUAUAAGCGGUGAAAGAAAUGAUGACAUGGCAUUGAUGUGGUCAUUUUUUCCAGGUGACGACGCUGCCGCCGAGGAAGUAGACCACGCCGGAGGUGCUCUUGCAGUCGUUCCUAUCGCCGGCGUGGUAUCUGUUGCUAUAGCCGACCAGGGAGGGCGCACCCGACCUCCUCUUGUAGCCGCAGCCAUAAUGCAGAGUGCCGCGGAUGUACCUGAGGAUCUACUUCACCUCGUCCAGUGGUGCGUGCUCGGCGCCUCCAUGUACCGGUUGGUCACGCCCACGGCCAGAGCCAUGUCCGGCCUCAUGUUGACGAGGUAGCGCAGACAGCCGAUGAUGCCGCGGUACUUUGUGGCAUCCGCCGAAGGCGCGCUGUCCUCCUUGCUCAGCUUCAGGCGCACCUCCAACGGUAUGUUGCAUGGAUUGCAGCCACUCAUCCCAGCGCGCUCGAGAACUUUCUCCACGUAUCCUCUCUUGCAGAGCGUGAUUUUGCCCCGCUCCUACUUCACCUCGAUCCCGAGGUAGUAGGACAGCAACCCAAGGUCGCUCAUCUUGAAUAGGUGCUGCAUCUCGGCAUUGAACACCAUGAUCUCGUAACCGUUAGCUUCAGUAAUGACCAAGUCGUCAACGUAGACCCCCACGAGGAGGAGCGAGGCCCUCGCCGCGUCUGUACACGGCGUGUUCCAGAGGACUGCGUGCAAACCCAAGUUCAUGGAGAGAGGCAUCAAGUUUGGCAUACCAUGCAAGUGGCGCCUGUCGCAGCCCAUACAGGGCCUUGCUGAGCUUGAGGAUGACUAAAGGAUCAUCGGGGUUGACGAAACCCUCCGUAUGCUGGACGUAGACCUCCUCUACCAGAUCGUCGUUCAGGAGCGCUGACUUGACAUCCAUAUGAUGGACCUGCCUGCCAGCAUGCGUGGCAAGCGCGAUCAGCACGCACACCAUCUCCAUCUGCGCCAUUGGCGUGAACACCUUGUUGAAGUCCACCCUCUGUUUGCUGGGCGUAGCCCUUCACGACGAGCCUGGCCUUGUGCUUCACCAUGUUGCGAUCCGCAGCCUGUUUCAACUUGAAGACCCAUUUCAGACCGAUCGCACGACACCCAGGAGAAGCCACGGUGACCGACCAUGUGUUGUUAUUGAUGAUGGCCUUCAUCUCUUUUUGCAUCGCCGCCCUCCACUCGGGGAAGGUCAGUGCUACUUCCACGCCCACCGGCUGCUGCGACCAGGCACAGCAUCCCCGAGCUCGUCGUCAUCGAACUCUGGAUCAGGCGUCUUGCGCCUGCACAGGAUUGGCGGCAUCGUACACAUCCUCCAUGUGACUGUAGUGUCACAGCGCAUCCGUGUACACCGCAGCGUCCAGCGCGCUGUCGUGCAACGGUGGAGUGCACAGCUCUGUGCUCGGUCCGGGCGUGACGAAGGUCGGUGUCACACGCUCGGAGACGCAUCGCGUCAUUGGCGGGGUAGACUCCUCAUUCCUGUCGAUGAUGUGCUCCUCCAACUCGGUGGUGUAUGUCACAGUGAAUGAUGAUGUUGCCGCCUCCUUACCGCGCGUCGCCGUCGCUGCCCCGUCCACUGACUAGGCCCACAGACGGCGCUCCUCGAACAUCAGGUCGCGGGUGACGUACACCCGAUUUGCCACCAGGUCGUACACCUGAUAGGCUUUGGAGCCCUCCUCGUAGCCGAUGAAUACGGUGAGGACCGAGCGAUCGGACAACUUAGUCACACCGGGCCCCAUCUUCUUUAUAUGGGCGACGCAGCCGAAUGUGUGCAGGUGCUCGACAGUGGGCCUCCUCUCGUUCCAAGCCUCAUACGGGGUCACCCCAUUGAGACUCCCUGUGGGCGCUCUGUUGAGCACGUACACGACGCACUUGACGGCUUCGCCCUAGAAUUUGGCCGGCAUGGCCAUGCUCUUGAGCAUGCACGGGCCAUCUAGACCACCCUUUGGUUUCGGCGCUCGACGACCCCAUUCUGCUAUGGUGAGUACCGAGCAAUGGUGUGGUGCACGAUCCUGCCCUGCUCGCAGUGGGCCUUUUUUUUUAGAACGAAGGCUCGAGAAUGAGCCCGGCUUUGAAUUAACAAAGCCAUCAACCGGCCAGGAAUUACAGCCAACAAGAGCAGCCCAACGCCACUUACAAAGAAAAUAAAACAAGAGCGGCCCAAAGAUACAUGGGUGCUGAAGAUACAGCUUACAACACAAUCCCAAACUACAAGCACCUAAACAAGAUAGAGAUGAAGAACCGCUUGGAGAAAGGACCUCCCUUGAAGCUCGAAACACCGGCGCCUAAGGAAACAUCAGCGACAAUGGCAUUGCCAACUGCCUUGGCCACAAACACGCCAAAAACUCCUGCACUGGACCAGAAAGAUAUCACACCUUCCUUCUCCCUCACCGAAGAGGGUCCCUACCCCCUCGUCCUGGCUCGAAGGAUGCCGCACCGUCGAGCGAGGGAUGAGUUCACCCUAGAACAAGGAAAGGCACGAUCUUGGGGUAGCAGACACAGAACAUUUGCUCGCACCCGUGUCGUAGCAACAGGCAUACCUCACUGGGCAUUUAAGCACAGACCGCAUGUGUCCAAACAAGAAGAGAGUAAGCUGUAGGAAACGGCACAUCGGAGCUGAAGAAGCAUCGAGCUUGCGGCGAAACAACAGGGAAACAGAACAUGCACAGGAUGCGAGGGAUAUGGCCCUGGUGCUCAUUGAGCUGCCGAGUCUUUGUUGCCGGGAAGGGGAACCCUUUCCUCUUCCACCCAGGCUCAAGGGAGCCGAGCACCGGCGAACAAGGGACGGCCAGCAAGCACCAAACAGAGAAUGGCAAGCCCGACAUCUCUGGAAACCACGUUGUCACACGUACCCCCGCUGCAAUUGCAAACCUCGGAUCUAGCACCGCACACCUACACCCUUCUAACCAGACGACGCCCCCAGGGAGGUUACGACGCUGAGCGCCGCCGCCGCCGAAUCCGCAAGGGAUUACAGGAUUUAACCUUGGAAUGGAGGGGAAGGGGUGGGAAGAGGGGAUCUCGACGGUGCCUUCAAGAAGGGGAGCCGCGCCCGAGGGCCUGGCCACCGCCGUGGUCGGAGCCACCAACCAGGGAUUUCUCCCGGUCCCAACGGACACCACCGCAACCAGCUACCAACAGAACGGCAAAGAACACCAGCGCUAGUACUCGCCGCCCCUGUCCGAGCAGAACACACGCAGGCGGCAGCUCUGCUUCGCCUCGGCUUGCGCUUAAAUCUUCUUGAAACAUGCGAACACCUCGUCCUUGGACCUGAGAACUUCCAGCCACAUGUAUCUACUAUAGUCAUCAACGACCAAGAGGAAAUACUGAUUACCGCCCGCAGUCGCUGGCUUGAUCGGACCGCCAAGGUCAGUGUGCACCAGGUCCAGGGCGCGCUCUGAGCGGUGUGGGCUCGCGCGCGGGAACGCCAGGCGAUGUUGCUUUCCGAUUGUGCACCCAUCACCGAUCUCGUCGGUGUGAUCCACGAGCGGCAUCCCACGAACCAUGCCCCUCCUGGGCAUGGCGUUCAUGGCGCGGAAGUGGAGGUGGCCGAGGCGGGCAUGCCACAGCCACGCCGGGUCAUCCAACUUUGCCACGAGGGCACGCCAGCGAGGCGAGGUCCAGCCGCAGGAUGUACAUGCGAUUUGCGGUGUGCCUGACCCGUACGAGCAGCUCCAUCUGUUGGUCGAACACACAAAGGUGCAAAUCCUCGAUCACGGAUUUGCAUCCCUUCUUGUCCAGCUGCCCGAGUGAGAUGAUGUUGGCCCGCAGCUUGGGCAUGAAGUAGACGUCCGGGAGCAUCCACUCGUUGCCGUUGGUCCACCGGAAAAUGACGCAACCCUUUCCGCAGAUCGUGACGAGGGAGCCAUCGCCAAAGCGCACGGAGCCGUCUCGUCGAGGUUGAUGAAAGCAUCGCUCGCCCCUGUCAUGUGUCUGCUGGCACCGGUCUCCAUGUACCAGGAACCACGUGCUCCGGUGGUCUCUGGCACGACGGGCUCUUCGUUGAGGAAGACCGCCUGGGCGCGCACAGGUACCACCUCCACGGCUCCACAUCGCUGGCCGUGCCCACGGCCUGGACUGGGUGCUCGCCCUCCUCGACGGCAGCCAUUAGAAGCGAUGGUGGCUCCACGUCUGCCUCGGCGAGGUUCGUCGCCCCACCUUGGUUCUGGCGAUCGCGCUCCGCCUACGACACUCCCUAGCCCAGUGGCCAGGAAUGUUAUAGUAGCGGCAUUUUCCCUUUCGCUUCACGUCGGCGGGCGUCUUGCCACCAUCGCCGCGCCCACCUGCCCGCUCGCCGCCUUGCGGUCGUGUGCCGGAGUGUCCCUUGCCUUCCUUGGUGCCCGAGGAGGAGCCCUGGCCUUGAUGUUGCAGGCAUGCGUACCACUCCCUUUCAGUGAGGAGCAGUUCGCCAACACCAUGGUCAACAUCGUCAAGAGCGUAGCUCUCCUCAAAGGACCGCAAGCGCCCGCACAGUUCCUCGAUAGAGAGCGACCGCAGGUCGACGAAGGACUCGAUGGCCAUGGCCAUCUGCUUGAACUUGCGUGGCACCGCGCGGAGAAACUUCAGCACGGCGCGGUACUCCGUCACACGGUCGUUCAGCAGCUCCAGCUCGUUCACGAUCGCUGUCAGACGAAGAGAGUAAUCUUCAAUCGACUUCCAGUCGCGGAAGCGUAUCUCCUCAAACUCGCGUCGGCGGGUCUGCGCCUUGGCCUCCCAGACGCGCUCGCUGCCCAUGCACGUCAUCAUCAGCGUCUCCCAUGCCUCCUUAGUCGAGUACUUGCCGGCGAGGGCGCGGAUCUUCUUUGGAGACACCGUGCGGAGCAACACGGCCAGCACGACACGAUCGUCGCCGUCACCGUCGCCGUACUCCAUGGCCUCCCACAGGCCCUGAGUCUGCAGUUGCACGCGCAUCACCAUGGCCCAGUCGACGUAGUUGGUGCGAGUGAGUGUGACAAAAUCAAAAUGUGGUUAGCAAAAUCAAAAUUCAUAUAUUUAAAUUCAGAGAGAUGAGAAAGAAAGAGAGGCGUGGAUCUAAUUAUAUUACUCCUAAGUGCAUAAUGUUUUGUCAAUACCUUAAAUUUGAUUUGAGGGAAAGGAGGUACUAUCACUAAGAAGGGAAGGUAGUUGCCGCCCUUAUCCGUCGUUGCUGGCCUGCCAUGGCGGUGGCUCGCUUAGUACUGAAUUUUGUGAUAAGAGUGAGGGCCGAGAGUGAGAGAGAUGGGGGUUGGAGUUGGCCAGUUUACUUACGGCACUGAGCAAAAUAAUUUUCCUACUUUUAAUAAUGUACCGAAUUACAUUUCAUUAGAGAUGGCUUUGCAGCAAAUUGCAUGAGCGAGCAGUUCAUAUUUUUUUUCUUCAAGUCAUGCAAAUUUUUGGUUAAGAAAGGAGGGUAAAUGCAUUUAUUUGUUGCUUCAAGAGUCAAUAAAACACACGGCGGCGUCUAAGGUGCAUGCCCAACAACGAACAUCUUAUUUUUGUUUCGUGGUAAUGCACAACAUUCAACUUUAUGUUACAACUUGUCAAUGGCUCGGAAGACAUCAGAUCCGUCUUCUUGGCUUGGCGGCGUCACGGGUGGCGCACGCCUCCUAGCCCUUGGUGGCGGUGGUGGAUCGACACGGACAUGGGGGGAGCGGGUCAGGGCCAAGAGCAGAACGAUUGGCGGGAGACUCCUCCUUCGCAGUCCAUGGGGAAGUACAGUGUGAAGAAGAGAGCACGCCAUGGCGAAGGUGAGGCGGGCAUCAUCCAGUUUUAAAGGAGAGGGCUCCAGGGAGUAAUAUCCAGUCUUAGCGGAAAACCGAGCGGUGAGGGGAAGGUUCAACAAGAAAAGGGAAGUGUCUAUCAUGGGGUGGAGUCUUUUCUGUUCGGACCGCAUGUUGGAAAUAAAAUGGUGGAUAAUCCAGAUAACCACAUUCCCCUCCCCCCUCCCACCAGAUAGGGCUAGAUUUGGGUGAACCUGGAUCAUCUACGGUUGAAUAUCGAGGAGCCCGCUAGACGCCCCUUUGUCCGAACACGCUCGGACGCACGUGGGAGAAUUGAGCUUCAACCAUAGAGACUAGCUUAAUUAUUUGUUUGCUCCAUUUAUAUGAUUUGUAGCCCAUAGGAGCGCACGUGCAUUCUACUAGUAAUGAUAGGAUCCAAGAGAAAUGAUUUAGUCAAUGGUACUAUGAGGACAUGCUUAUCCACAUUUCACUCACUUAUAUAUGGUACCCAAUGUGCCAACCUUGCAUGGAAUUGCUUGUCCAUUGGUUUCAUGAAAUCAAUGGCACUACCAAGCAUAUUUUGUUGUUUAUUUUUUCUGUGUGUAUUUGACUUCAUCAGAAAUGAAAAUACCUUUGUUUUGUUCUUCUUGAUGCUAAUCGAUGAACUAACUUUUGCACAGCUGAUGACCAUAUAUAUUUUACUGAGUGCUAGAUUAUAAUCUUCCAUUUAACCUUUUUGUUUGUGAUGUUUAGUUGCACUUAAUAAGAAUAUGGACACAAAUUAUUUAAUCAUUCAAUUCACCAGGGUUGAUGAAUAGGCUCGACUGCGGGACUUUCCCUAGACACAAGCUUUUGUGGGUGUCGCCGUGUUUUCAUACUCAGAUAGCCACAACUUUUUCCAUAGACUCAUCUGAAGAACUAAUUUCGUCCAUAUAUUUUCUAUUAUGAUAUUUGAAGAUUGCUAAUUAUCAUGCUAGGAAGUGUGAAUGUCUUCCUUUUUAGAAAAAUAGGCACACAAAUGACCGCAGAUGAGGGGUGCCAACUUCUAGGGAAGUGAUUCUGGGAAGAAAUUAAUUAUGUGCCAACCAUGUUCUGUGUAUGUAGGCGAAGAGGCUGAUCGAUCUAACACUGAGGACUAUCCCGGGGGACAUGGGAAGAGAUGAUCACUGAGGAUGACGAUGCUACAGAAGAGGAAUUCAGAGAAUUUUCCCUUCUUUUGUGGAUUGUGGUGUAAGCACGAAACUAUACAUUUUACUAUAUCAUACUCGAACUUAUUUUGACUUGCAAUGUGUUUCACUGAAUAUUUGAUCAAUGUUGUUAGUUGGAAACAGGGAAGUUCCAAGAACAACAAACAAACCCUUAUCCUGUAAAGAACAUUUUGUUGAGACUGUGCUGACCAUAUGAAUAGUUUAGAGAGUUGUAUCAUUAACAGAGAUCAUACAAAUGUUUCUCAGGAAAGCAACUAGUGUAGUGUAGUAGUAGAAGAUAAUAAAAGCCCACCUAUAUAAUUGUUAGGUUGAAAUUGUUGCUCCAUGUGGGCUGUUUUUUUUUGUUGCGGGAAAAUUUCCGAUCUAUUAUCUUCAAUCAUUAGCACAACGAACACCAGAAAUAAUAAAAAAUACGGCCAGAUUCGUAGACGACCUUGCGAGAACUACAACCUAUGAAGCGAGCCGAAGGCGCACCACUGUCAUUGACCCUCCUUUGGCGGAGCCGGGAAAACAUGCUGAAAUAAACAGUCAAGAAGUCAUCGUUUAAAGUCCCCAUAGGACAAGCGCACCAGAAAAAAAGAACCACCGAUGAAAAGAUGCGUAGGCCGGAAGGAUCCAACAUGAAGACAAAAUGAAUAAAGACCAAAUCCAAAUUUUUAGUUUUUAGAAAAGGAGGAGGACCCUGGCCUCUGCAUCUGGGCGAUGCAUACGGACACUUUAUUAAUUAUUCUCACAAGACCUUACAAAGUCAUACAACAGUAAGACUAAAGCCACCGUCUAAGCAACAACUCUCGCUACUCCUAUUCAAUUGAUGAAGGGCAUUGAUAGUCUGGGGCUAAUACCAAACAGAUAUCGCAGCUAAACCUAAACAUCUAAGACCUGAGGUCCCAACCAGGACGCCUACCAGGUAUGGGGCACCUACCAGUCCGGCGCACUCCUCAACCAGUCCACCUGUCAGGUAUGAGGUCGCCACAGCCACCUGCCACCAAUCCAUCUUCAGUGAUGUACUGCUGCACCACCUUGCCCGGCCUCUCUGCCGCCGACACCACCAUGAUGCCUGAUAACGUCACUCUCCUGCGCGAGUCCCUUGCCACACAUCGGGCGCCGAGUCUCCACUGCGUCACGCCGCCGAGAAGCGCCACCAUUAAUGUGCAGGAUGAAUCACCGCUCCACCAAUUAUUCCGCCCACUGGUCCCUCGAGCCCGUGUACACCUUCCAGAAUGACGCCACAUAAGGAAAACAACACAAUAAUGCCGCCGUCAUUUGAUCUAAUGAUCUAGGUUUUUCCCCGGAGGUAGCAGAUAGUGUCCUAAAACUUCUCAACAGCGAUGCCUCAACAAGGGAACGACACCGAAUAGUGUCGCCAUCGCCGGCCCCGGGAUCCAGCCCUCGCUGGCCGCCGGAACGAAGCCACCGAGCCCCAUCGAGGGCGGCCAACGGGGACGGAGAAGCUAGAUCCGGCCAAGCCCGGCCAGGAUCCGGCCUCUUCCCGCGCUGAAGCCGAGGUUGCGGCCGCAGGGCCAGAUCCGAGCCGGAUUCGCGCCUGCGCCAGCCCCGAUCUGUCGCCACGCCAUGGUCUUGCACCAUGCAGCCACCACGGCCUGGACGCCCGCCCGCACCGCACGGCCGAGAGCCAGGCCGCCGCCAUGCCUCGCACCAGCGGCACGCCCCCGCCGCACCGCCGCAGCUCGCGCUGCCGCCACACACCUUCUGGAUUCAUCAAAGACAAUCAUCGAAUGAAUCCUGUGAGAUACGCCAGAGAUCUCCACACGCCUUCUGACAAUCGAAACGGGCCAGGCGGGGAGAAAAUCAUUCUAUAUUAAAGGAGCCCCCGCCGUCUGGCCUUCCUUAGCAGGACAGAAACCCUAACAAAAUGGAAAAAACCAUCUAAAAUUGAGGCUAUCCCACGGACAAGGGUCGAGAUCCACCGUGCCCCCCGUAUGAUUCUAAGGCCAACGGAGACUAGACGGACGGGCGGGAGGCAGAGGAACCAUAUGUACAUGUGGAUUGUUGGUUGCUAGAUGCAAAUUUUCAAGAUUCAUACCACGAGAGCAUCAAUUGGUGAACCUGCUUCAUUUAGUGCAGAACUGAACAAGUUUUUCUUUUUUGAGGGGAAAUCAACUUGGUUAUGUACGUGUCAUAAUUAUGCUACUUCAAAUUAUCAAAGUAGAUAGAUUAGCUGUAGCUGGCUCAACUGGUUCCCUGGUUGCGUACGACUUCUUGUUUUUUGGGUGGUUGCGUACGGUUGUUGAUUCCUUGGUUGGAGACCUCGCACGCGCAGUGCUCGUUACACGAAAUCCAUCCGUUCCAGCUUAGCCGGUGGGCCGAAGACGCGAAGACCAGGGCGCUUAGCCACAGGUGGGCCGAAGACGAGCGCACCACUCGGUUGACGCUGCGUGCUACGGAGUAGUAGUAUUUUAGUACCACAUCGCUUGUUUCGGUAGACACCUCGCGGCUUAAAUAGCGAGACGUUCAAUCAUGUAUCGUCGAGGACGCAAAGCUAGCACUAGCUAUGCUGGCCUGUCGAGGCAAAAAGCGUUCGUGACGUACUUCUAGCCGGGUUUGGCCCAGCAGCCUGUAACCCUAGGUCGCUGUUAACUCGUGCAUGUUGGGGGCUAGAAGCGCGGAGCGAUUUAAGUCUUUUUUGCGUUUUGAUGCCGUUUUUCUUUUGCCUUGGUUCAUUCUAUUUGAGUCGACCAAAAUAUUUUCUCUCUUACUUACACAUUAUUCGUGGGACCUGCAAAUUUCCCCUUCCACACGGACUAGUGUAAAUAAAGAUUUUUAUUUUUCUUUUCCAUAUUUUUCCUCUUCCUUCCACUCCGACCGGCACCAAACCAUUUAUUUCCUACCGCUUGUUCUAGCUCCGACUCAUCAUUUAUUUGCUCUAAAGAUUGUGUGUGUUGGGCGCCAAAAGUAUAUGGCCACAUCAUCGUUUCUCUAGCUUCAAAAAAAGAAACAAAUCUGUCCGGAGUACUUCUCUCCACCACUUCCCUCCCUCCAUAGGGCCAAAUUGGUCAUACACCGCAGGGUCAUUUUCCUAUGACAUGAAAAGCUGCAAUAUGACGUUCUAUCUCAUACCCUCUUCGACCGGACAUCUAUGUUGGUGUAAUGCCACACGCUUCAAUGGACAAAUGUAUGGAAUGUCAUGCCCCUUUUUCCCGCUUCGCUAUAGUGCUCAGGCAGUGUGGCGCCAAAACUUUUUUUAAAUUGUUUUUGCAUCAUCAUGCCGUUUUUAGUCAUUCUAUUUGGGUCAAUGCAAUUCUUUUCUCCUCUUACUUAUAAACUCGUCAUUUGAGUUAGGGUCGAUUCGGACGGAUGAAAACUUUUCCCUUUCACAUAGACCAAUGUAAUUUUUUCCUCUUCAUUCCACUCGGACCGAAAGUGAACUAUUUAUUCCUAUCCCUCCCUCUAGAAGGCCAAGUUACUGCUGCACCACCGGGUCAUUUUUCUAUGACAUGAAAAUGCUACAAUAUGUCGUUCUCCCUCACACCCUCUUCAAUUGGACAUCUAUGUUGGAGUAAUGACGCAUACUUCAAUGGACAAAUGUAUGGUGUGUCAUGUCCUUUUUUUCCGCGUCACCGUAGUGGUCAGGCUGGGGGAUGCCAGGACUAUAGAUUAAUGUAACUCUGUUAUUUCGUACCGUCUCUCCAUCAUGCUGGUUCGGCGGUGUGACACCAGAUGUAUGGAGUAUUAAUCUCUACUACCUAAAACAUGUAAGGUUCCCACUCCCGUCUUACGUCUCACCCCUUCGGCCAUCCCUCCCAGUACAUUCCUCCAUCGAUUUUUCUCCACCCUCCCCGGUUUUUCUCCUCUCCUGAUUUACUCGGACAAACCCAAUAAUUCUUUGGUAACACAACCAAUUCGUGGAUGGCAGUCAAUCUCUCCUUUGUGACGCAUAAGGCAAUCAAUUAAUGUAAUCAACCUAUUCUAUCGUAACACAAUAAACACAUGGCCAGUAAAUAUUCACGCGUUCCAUCCACCUCCUACAAGUUUUGAUUAUUUUUAUUACCUCAUCCACUGCUUCCUUCUACCUCUCUCUCCCAUCUCACCGAUGACACCGUGUCCCCCGAGCAAACCCUAUUCGUCCCCUCACAUUGGUUCUUCUCUUAUGGUAGCACGCGGUAGAUCAAGCGACAACCAGGAUAGUAUUGGCAGUGGGCCUAGGUGGCAUUGGAGCACAUUGAUGCCUUCGUUUUUCCAGCGUGAGAAUAUGAUCUUUUAUGCCUCUCGCUCGACUUCUUUGGUGCCUAGGGUUUGAAGAUUUUUGGGAUGCCCUCCUUAAUUAGCUCUACGAUGGUUACCUCAUCACGAGCAUCUUCUUCUUGCCGUUGUGGGUCGUUGGCCAUUAAUGCCCAACAUGUUCUUCGUUGGCGCACCUCCCGUAGUAAGUGUGCAUGUUUAUAUUUUUGAGAUCAUGACCCAUUAGUUGAUUCUUCCUUUUUAUUUUAUUCAAGUAUGGUAGAAUUUUUUUACUAACAUUUCAUUCUAAUGGCAAUUAGUUUCGUAUUCGUGUAUACAACCAUGCAUCCAUAUCUAUAGCUUGUGCGAUCUCCAUGACGACAACACAAUGCCAAGGCUAUGCGAUUGUCUCCAUCAAAGACACACACACACACACACACAGGCCCCCGAUUGUUACUAUGUGGCGGAGCGAUAGGGCAGGUUGAGACCACCUAGCCGAGAGGUCGGCCUGGCCCUGGUCGGCGCCCGCGGUUAUUUCAUAAUAACAUGCUUAACGAGAUCUUGGUAUUUGAUCUGAGUCUGGCCACUGGCCUAUACGCACUAACCAACUACGUGGGAACAGUUAUGGGCACUCGACGUCGUGGUAUCAGCCGAAGCCUUCUUGACGUCAGCGACGGAGCGGCGCGCGCCGGAUUAGACUGGAAUGCCUACUCUUGUAUAAGAGAGGCUAGGUUUGCUUCCGGCCGCCCUCGCAACGUGCAGGUGUGCAAUGCGCGAUGGGCCCAGACCCCUGCGUGCAUAGGAUUUAGACCGGCGUGCUGACCUCUCUGUUGUGCCUAGGUGUGGCUGCGACGUGUUGAUCUUCCGAGGCCGGGCAUGACCCAGGAAAGUGUGUCCGGCCAAAUGGGAUCGAGCGUGUUGGGUUAUGUGGUGCACCCCUGCAGGGAAGUUAAUCUAUUCGAAUAGCCGUGAUCUUCGGUAACAGGACGACUUGGAGUUGUACCUUGACCUUAUGACAACUAGAACAGGAUACUUAAUAAAACACACCCUUCUAAGUGCCAGAUACAACCCGGUGAUCGCUUUUCCACAGGGCGACGAGGGGAGGAUCGCCGGGUAGGAUUAUGCUAUGCGAUGUUACUUGGAGAUGCUACUUGGAGGACUUCAGUCUACUCUCUUCUACAUGCUGCAAGACGGAGGCUGCCAGAAGCGUAGUCUUCGAUAGGGCUAGCUAUCCCCCUCUUAUUCUGGCAUUCUGCAGUUCAGUCCAUCGAUAUUGCCUUGUAGUGUAGUUCCUUGCUUGCGAGUACUUUGGAUGAGUACUCACGGUUGCUUUCUCCCUCCUUUUUCCCCCUUUCCUUUCUUUCUGGUUGUCGCAACCAGAUGCUGGAGUCCAGGAGCCAGUCGCCACCGUCGACGAUGAUUCCUACUACACUGGAGGUGCCUUCUGCUACGUGCAGGCUGCUGACGACGACCAGAAGUAGUUAGGAGGAUCCCAGGCAGGAGGCCUGCGCCUCUUUCGAUCUGUAUCCUAGUUUGUGCUAGCCAUCUUAUGACAACUUGUUUAACUUAUGUCUGUACUCAGAUAUUGUUGCUUCCGCUGACUCGUCUAUGAUUGAGCACUUGUAUUCGAGCCCUCGAGGCCCCUGGCUUGUAUUAUGAUGCUUGUAUGACUUAUUUAUGUUUUUAGAGUUGUGUUGUGAUAUCUUCCCGUGAGUCCCUGAUCUUGAUCGUACAUGUUUGCGUGCAUGAUUAGUGUAUGAUUGAAUCGGGGGCGUCACAAGUUGGUAUCAGAGCCGACUGCCUGUAGGAAUCCCCCUUUCCAACUCCUUGGCCGAUGUCGAGUCUAGACAUUGCAAAACUUUUACUAACAUGGCUGUGUGUCCUACGGGCACACGUUGCCAUUGGGUGGUAUUAGGAUCUUUUAUUCCUUGUCCAUACUCUGAGAUUCUGAUCUCUCUUCUAUUCGGGUUAAAUGAAUUUUACUAAAUCUAACAUUAGGAUCUCGUUAUCACUUUCACCCGGAGAGCCCCUUAUUACUGAUGAUCGUCUGCUGCACCAGAAGACCAUGAAGAUACUCUCCGUUGUUAACUCGAGAACUUGUGUUCAUCGCGUUUGCAAUUCCCCUUCCACCGUAAACCCUUAUGGAUAACUACUUGCAGUUGUUAUUCUUACCUUCAUCCCCAGUUGGUCUUGUUAUUACAAGAUACCCUGAAAAACUCGUCGUUGUUUCGAUAAUCCUUUGAGCUUACUGCCUCGUUGUUCUUUGUCAUCUGAAUACCCCUACGGUUAAUUCUCGCACUUAUCGAGUAUCCGCUCAUCCCCCAGUUGUUCAUGUGUUAUACAAAAGUCUUCGAAAUACCAUUCGAUAUUCCGAAAAUCCUCAGCAACCUAUUGCUCUGGAAUUUCUUGUUUGCUUUCAUUAUGAUUAAUCCCAUAAGUAUAGUAAUCAUAUUGGCAUCCUUCAUCACCAUCUUUUUUGAGUCCGUUGAUUCAAUACGUUGUGAAUGUUCACAAUCAUCAGUCGAGUCCUAGUAUUAUCUUUCCGGCUCAGACGUCAUUUUUAACAUGAGCUGGUUCUCGACCAAACUAUCUGUCGUCGAUUGUGCCUCUGGUAUAUUCAAUUGAUCCAUCCUUGAUCAGAACGUCUGCUUCUGGUCCUUUGUUGUGGAAAUCAUAAUUCCUUUGCAUUUAAGCUUUGAAUUAUUCAGAUGAUUCCAUAACCUGUUGCAUUUGCAUUCCUUCCUUUUCUGGUUGAGUAUCGAUACUCACAUCAGAUCCUUUGUUGACCAUCAAGUCCUUUGUUGGGUUGUUAUCCGACAGUGUCCUUCAUAUUUGAUCACUUUGUGAGUUCUUCCCCUGAUACAUAAUGCCUUUGUUAAGUUGUAUCCUCUGCUUGGCCAACCAUGCUCUGCUUUCGGGCUUGUGUUAUUUACUCUUGAAACUUGUGGUAUAUGUUUCUAAGAAGCCCCUAUGGGUUGAACAUAUGCCUUUUCUAAACCGUGUGAACCCGAAAGUUUUCACGAGUCAUACUCUUCUGGUGCUUCACCAGAUAAAAUUUCAACACUGCAACUUCAUCGAACGUGAGAAGUGAAUGAAAGGUUAUGCAUUGGAGAAGUGGGAGUCGACCUUGAACUUGUGUUCAUGCCCAUGGACACGAUGUAGAUCUUAUCUUUAAAGCUUCUCUGAAAUUAAUUAUUCCUUUGGUAUAAGUUCAUCUUAUAUCUGGGAUCUGGCCUUUUGCAAUCGUGGUUCCGACCAUGUUCUCUUUUAAAUACCAUUUCUCGUGCAAGUUUAAGCACUUGUCUUCUGUAGAGCAAUACCCCAGUCCAACCUCUACUUUGAUCUGUCAUCGAGUAUUACCCCCCUGGUAUCUCGAGAUUAUCAUGGAACUGCAUAAACAUCUUACGAGUUCUUCAUCAAGUGCUACAUUCCCACUGAUUCCAAUUUUUCAUGGGCUCUGAGUUAUUAAACACUCAAAGACACCAAUAACUGAACCGAGUCCGCACUACGGUUCAACAACUCUUCAGUAAGCUUCUAUAAGUACGAGUUUGUACCCGAUCACAUCAUUCCUAGCAUGAUCGGCUAUAUCAUUAUCAUGCUAAAUUUUAACUGUGCUACCGGGUCCUUCUUCUCGGAGCACAAAUUUUGAUAGUGAGCUAAUCUUACAGUCGAUCUUCCUCGUCAUACCGUUUGUCCUUGAACAGCAAGCUUGAUUUCGAGUUUGUGUCGUACCCAUGGUUCCAAUGACUUUUGGCUUCAACAUUUCCGUUGACUUGAUGUCAUCGCCGAUCAGUUACAUCUUCUUGAAACCUCUCGACAAAUGUGUCGUGAUCAUCAUCAACAUUCUGGGGUCUUCCAAGAUAUCUAUCGAAUUCUUGAUGAGAAAUAGCAUCCUUUGCCCUCGAUGGUUUGGGUUAUCAUCCACAACGUUAUUGCAUUCCCUCCAACACAAAAAUUGUUCCUGUUUUGUGUUGUCCCUUGAGUUCCUUUCUAUCCUACUUAUGUUAUGAUUCUACCGCGGAGUAUUACCGUCUUUGAUGUGAAGAAUGUUGUGAGGAUUGCUCCACCUCUUCAGAAUUCUUGCUAUAAUGAUACUUCUCACCAUCACCAUUCUUUCUUGGUCCUUGUGUUGAUUCCAACCGGGGUACCCACAAGUGAACGGUGUUGUUUGGAUUCUACCCUUCUAGCAACCCUCUUAAUGGUCGACCGUUCAUUCUUAGACUAUUAAUUAUUGAAUCACCAUUCUGACAUUAGUCGUGCAACCCAACCCAUAUUUUGGGCGCACCUUUCAACCAAUGUUUAAUUGUGUAUGUCUUCCUCGAGCUUACUUCCUUAUAUCAUUUGAUAUGACAAAUGUUAUCUCCUUAUCCACAUAAUUGUGGAGAUCCAUCUUUCGGAUACCUCGAUGAGUUAUCGCUGAGUCCAUCAGUCACCUCCUCAUCCUCUUCUUGAUUUAAUGAUGAACUAUUGUUUCAGGAACCCGCUCCCAUAGUUCAUUUCCCGAGAAUCUUGCUAUGUCAUUUCGUCGAUUUGUGUUGCACCUUUUCUUCUCGGACAACCUGAGUCUGAUGUAUCACGACACCAAUCGAAUCUGAAUCUCGGUCAGAGAUGAUGGUUGGAACAUAUUUCCAAGAGUUAUAACAAUGGUCUUUAUGUGACCCGGUAAGGUGAUGUCAUGCCUAGCACCCCUGGCCGGAGGACCUAUUGUUAUAGUUUCCUUUUUGGUAAGGUUAGUCAUUCUUCCAUGAGCAAAUUGUAAAACUUAUUCUAUAAGUUGUUCCUGAUGGAUCCUUUUUGAUUCCAAAGUCUGAUCUUCACCUGUUGACCAUGUCAAUGCUAUCUCGAAGCAUGUCUAUGGUACUCCGAUUUUCAACAGGAACAUUUGAAGCCCAAUGCUAAAUGUUUCUUGCUCAAUUAUCCAAACACCGUUGCAUGGGUAAUGUCAUGAUAUUUCUCUCCCCUUUCCUAAAGGGUUUGCUACGUUAUAUCCUGUCAUGGAUAUCAUGCUCUGCUUGUCCUUGGGAAGAUAUACCCUUGAAAUAUGUGUUUAAACACCUUUUCCUUUCCAUGCUUCUGUUUAAACCUGAUAAUCACUUUUCCUUUCCAUUGAUUUGUUUAAACCUUCUGGUGAUCUAUAUGAUCCAAGCAGAAAUAUUCUUCUGCUUAUGUAAACACCUCAGUGUACAUUUCUGUCAGCAAGACCCUGUUACUAUUGUUGAUGACAUUAUGGUAACCACUGAUGGACGAGAACACUGCCUAUUGGUCCGCCUCGUUCAACGAGCAGGAAAAUGGUUCUCUUCAUCCCUCGCCCUUGGUACCGACAUUGUUGUCGACAUAACUGAUAGGCUACUGUAACACCCCGGAUGUAACUUUCCAUCUUUGCAUCUCCAACUCUUGCCAUUUUCAGCUAUGUGAUAUGAUAUUCCCUCCGUGGUUGGGUUUUGUCUUUUGUUUUGCAUUUUAUUCAUGUCAUGCAUAUCAUAUCAUGUCAUCAUGUGCAUCUCAUUUGCAUACGUGUUUGUCUCAUGCAUCCGAGCAUUUUCCCCGUUGUCCGUUUCGCAAUCCGACACUCCCACAUGCACCGACGCACCCCUCUUGUAUAUUUUCGUGUGCGGGUGUUAAACGUUCUCGGAAUGGACCGAGCCUUGCCAAGUGGCCCUGGUAUAGCACCGGUAGAUCGCCUGUCAAGUUUCGGGUCAUUUGGAGCUCGUUGGGUACUCCAACGGUUAACCGCACUCCCGCAAAGGCCUCUUUUGAGUUGCAGCCCAACACCCCUCCAAAACAUCCCAAUAACCCAUCUAAGUCACUUCCAUGCUCUCUGUCGUCGGAUCACGAUCGUGUGGGCGAAAACCGCACCUCAUUUCGACACUCCUAGCUCCCUCUACCUAUAAAAACACCUCCUCCCCGAAAAUUCCGGAUCAAAACCCUAGUCCCGCUCCUCCCCGCCACCACCGGACGCAUCCGAACCGGGCCGGACACGUCCGCCCGCCNNNNNNNNNNNNNNNNNNNNNNNNNNNNNNNNNNNNNNNNNNNNNNNNNNNNNNNNNNNNNNNNNNNNNNNNNNNNNNNNNNNNNNNNNNNNNNNNNNNNNNNNNNNNNNNNNNNNNNNNNNNNNNNNNNNNNNNNNNNNNNNNNNNNNNNNNNNNNNNNNNNNNNNNNNNNNNNNNNNNNNNNNNNNNNNNNNNNNNNNNNNNNNNNNNNNNNNNNNNNNNNNNNNNNNNNNNNNNNNNNNNNNNNNNNNNNNNNNNNNNNNNNNNNNNNNNNNNNNNNNNNNNNNNNNNNNNNNNNNNNNNNNNNNNNNNNNNNNNNNNNNNNNNNNNNNNNNNNNNNNNNNNNNNNNNNNNNNNNNNNNNNNNNNNNNNNNNNNNNNNNNNNNNNNNNNNNNNNNNNNNNNNNNNNNNNNNNNNNNNNNNNNNNNNNNNNNNNNNNNNNNNNNNNNNNNNNNNNNNNNNNNNNNNNNNNNNNNNNNNNNNNNNNNNNNNNNNNNNNNNNNNNNNNNNNNNNNNNNNNNNNNNNNNNNNNNNNNNNNNNNNNNNNNNNNNNNNNNNNNNNNNNNNNNNNNNNNNNNNNNNNNNNNNNNNNNNNNNNNNNNNNNNNNNNNNNNNNNNNNNNNNNNNNNNNNNNNNNNNNNNNNNNNNNNNNNNNNNNNNNNNNNNNNNNNNNNNNNNNNNNNNNNNNNNNNNNNNNNNNNNNNNNNNNNNNNNNNNNNNNNNNNNNNNNNNNNNNNNNNNNNNNNNNNNNNNNNNNNNNNNNNNNNNNNNNNNNNNNNNNNNNNNNNNNNNNNNNNNNNNNNNNNNNNNNNNNNNNNNNNNNNNNNNNNNNNNNNNNNNNUGCCCCUGGGUUGACUUUUUCUUCUCCCCCCGAAAUUCCUCCAAGUCCUUAUCUGUCUAUACUUUUGUUGCAUGUUCAUCGCACCACAUCUUUGCACCCGUGGCCCGUUUUGGGCGUGUAGCAUACUAAAUUGUUCGUCUCGAAGAGUACAUCAUUUCAUCUCAUUGCAUCAUUUUCAUUUGAGCUCAUCUUGAUGCCCGAAAAGCUGUUGGAAGAGUGCUUCAUAAUGUUAGUUUCAGAUUCUUAUCAGAACAUGCACUUUUGUCAUUUUUGCCAUGAUUGAUGUGUGCAUCCUAUAUACUUGAGCCCUACAUGUGAGUUUAACUAUGCCAUGUAUUCUUUAUAGAGGUGCUUACCAUGUAUUUUUGUGAUCAAUGUGGUGACUAGCACAAGCAUGCAAACUAGGCUUCGUGAUAUUGCUGAUUUUAGUCCCUGUUCUGCUGUUAUUUUGAUGCCAUGUAAACAUGAUGCUACAGAGAGAUCCAUGCAUAUUUUGAGACACUUCAGUAAGCGUGUUUUGAACAUAUGGUUAUGCUCUAUCCAUCCAUGCCCCUGGUUGAAAUUAUGGAGUAGUCUAGCAUGUUAUUUUCGUGCUCUACUUUUGCUUCAAAAUGUUUCCUGGCAGAUUGUUUACAUGUUAUCGAAUUUUGCCAAGGUUGUUGUAGUUGAUCCGUGUAUGCUAUGAUGUUGUUCUUGCCAUGUAUAGCUUCUACGUCAUGUCUUCUUGAUGGAUGUAUGCUUAGUUUAUAAUGAGAUGCUCCGUAGUGAGUGCAUCGAGCUCACGAAGGUGCCUUCGUAAUUCUGUCAAUGCCAUGCUUGGUUUGCUGAAUCUGUUAACGAAACUUGCUAUGUUUACAUGGGUGCCAUCAUAUUUUCUGAUCCUUUUUGGCUGAUGGUCAGUAAGGGCCUUUUGAUCUAUGCUUUGAUUAGAUUCAUGCCAUGUCUUGUUUUGCUAUUAUAAGUUCCUGUAGCUUGUUGAUAACUUGCUAUGAACUUUGCUUCGUGAUGCUGUUUAUGCCAUGUCCAACCUGAUUUUUUUUGCACUUUCACCAUGCUUGUUUGAACUUGUUAUGAUGUGAUUUAGCCGUAGCUCAGUGUUCCUCUUUUGUUAAGCAUCUCCUGUAGAUCACUGCCAUAUGUUUUGUUUUUAUGUUGGGGUGCUGUAGCAUAGUUUCUUGUUGCAUGCUAAGUAGCAUCGUGCUGUUAAUCGCAGCUUUGUGCCAUUCUUGUUUUGCUUGCCAUUUGCAAACCGUGCAUCCGUUCCCGGUGACCCUUAUAUCGAUUUCAAUCGAAAUCAUCUCAUCUUUCCAGCGGCAUAAUUGGUUUGCCAAGUUGAUGCCUUGUUCAUCCUUUUCCGCCCGGAGCACGCAUAUGCAUUGCAUAUCACAUCUCGCAUAUCAUGUCAUGUAUUACAUCAUGUUGCUUGUGCAUUGCACCGUGAUUUAUUUGUUGGGUUUCGUAGUAAUUUCAAAAAAUUUCCUACGCACACGCAAGAUCAUGUGAUGCAUAGCAACGAGGGGAAGAGUAUUGUCUACGUACCCUACGCAGACCGACUGCGGAAGCGAUGACACGACGUAGAGGAAGUAGUCGUACGUCUUCACGAUCCAACCGAUCAAGCACCGAAACUACGGCACCUCCGAGUUCGAGCACACGUUCAGCUCGAUGACGAUCCCCGGACUCUGAUCCAGCAAAGUGUCGGGGAAGAGUUCCGUCAGCACGACGGCGUGGUGACGAUCUUGAUGAACUACAGCAGCAGGGCUUCGCCUAAACUCCGCUACAGUAUUAUCGAGGAAUAUGGUGGCAGGGGGCACCGCACACGGCUAAGGAAUCGAUCACGUGGAUCAACUUGUGUCAACUUGUGUGUUUAGAGGUGCCCCUGCCUCCGUAUAUAAAGGAGCCAAGGGGGGAGGGGGCGCCGGCCAAGAGGGAGAGGCGCAGGAGGAGUCCUACUCCUACCGGGAGUAGGACUCCCCCCCCCAAUCCUAUUCCAACUAGGAUUCCCAAGGGGAAAGAGGGAGAGGGGUGGCCGUCCACCUCUCCUAGUCCUAAUAGGACUAGGGGAAGGGGGGAGGCGCGCAGCCCCCUUGGGCUGCUCCUUUCUCCUUUCCACUAAGGCCCAUGAUGGCCCAUAUGGUUCCCGGGGGGUUCCGGUAACCCUCCCGGUAUUCCGGUAAAAUCCCGAUUUCACCCGGAACACUUCCGAUAUCCAAAUAUAGGCUUCCAAUAUAUCAAUCUUCACGUCUCGACCAUUUCGAGACUCCUCGUCAUGUCCGUGAUCACAUCCGGGACUCCGAACAACCUUCGGUACAUCAAAAUGCAUAAACUCAUAAUAUAACUGUCAUCGUAACCUUAAGCGUGCGGACCCUACGGGUUCGAGAACAAUGUAGACAUGACCGAGACACGUCUCCGGUCAAUAACCAAUAGCGGGACCUGGAUGCCCAUAUUGGCUCCUACAUAUUCUACGAAGAUCUUUAUCGGUCAGACCGCAUAACAACAUACGUUGUUCCCUUUGUCAUCGGUAUGUCACUUGCCCGAGAUUCGAUCGUCGGUAUCCAAUACCUAGUUCAAUCUCGUUACUGGCAAGUCUCUUUACUCGUUCCGUAAUACAUCAUCUCACAACUAACAUAUUAGUUGUAAUGCUUGCAAGGCUUAUGUGAUGUAUUACCGAGAGGGCCCAGAGAUACCUCUCCGACAAUCGGAGUGACAAAUCCUAAUCUCGAAAUACGCCAACCCAACAUCGACCAUUGGAGACACCUGUAGUACUCCUUUAUAAUCACCCAGUUACGUUGUGACGUUUGGUAGUACCCAAAGUGUUCCUCCGGUAAACGGGAGUUGCAUAAUCUCAUAGUCAUAGGAACAUGUAUAAGUCAUGAAGAAAGCAAUAGCAACAUACUAAACGAUCGGGUGCUAAGCUAAUGGAAUGGGUCAUGUCAAUCAGAUCAUUCUACUAAUGAUGUGACCUCGUUAAUCAAAUAACAACUUAUUGUUCAUGGUUAGGAAACAUAACCAUCUUUGAUUAACGAGCUAGUCAAGUAGAGGCAUACUAGUGACACUCUGUUUGUCUAUGUAUUCACACAUGUAUUAUGUUUCCGGUAAAUACAAUUCUAGCAUGAAUAAUAAACAUUUAUCAUGAUUAUAAGGAAAUAAAUAAUAACUUUAUUAUUGCCUCUAGGGCAUAUUUCCUUCAGUCUCCCACUUGCACUAGAGUCAAUAAUCUAGAUUACACUGUAAUGAUUCUAACACCCAUGGAGCCUUGGUGCUGAUCAUGUUUUGCUUGUGGAAGAGGCUUAGUCAACGGGUCUGCAACAUUUAGAUCCGUAUGUAUCUUGCAAAUCUCUAUGUCUCCCACCUGGACUAGAUCCCGGAUGGAGUUGAAGCGUCUCUUGAUGUGUUUGGUCCUUUUGUGAAAUCUGGAUUCCUUUGCUAAGGCAAUUGCACCAGUAUUGUCACAAAAGAUUUUCAUUGGACCCGAUGCACUAGGUAUGACACCUAGAUCGGAUAUGAACUCCUUCAUCCAGACUCCUUCAUUUGCUGCUUCCGAAGCAGCUAUGUAUUCCGCUUCACAUGUAGAUCCCGCUACAACGCUUUGUUUAGAACUGCACCAACUGACAGCUCCACCGUUUAAUGUAAACACGUAUCCGGUUUGCGAUUUAGAAUCGUCCGGAUCAGUGUCAAAGCUUGCAUCAACGUAACCUUUUACGGUGAGCUCUUUGUCACCUCCAUAUACGAGAAACAUAUCCUUAGUCCUUUUCAGGUAUUUCAGGAUGUUCUUGACCGCUGUCCAGUGAUCCACUCCUGGAUUACUUUGGUACCUCCCUGCUAAACUUAUAGCAAGGCAUACAUCAGGUCUAGUACACAGCAUUGCAUACAUGAUAGAUCCUAUGGCUGAUGCAUAGGGAACAUCUCUCAUAUUCUCUCUAUCUUCUGCAGUGGUCGGGCAUUGAGUCUUACUCAAUUUCACACCUUGUAACACAGGCAAAAACCCUUUCUUUGCUUGAUCCAUUUUGAACUUCUUCAAAAUUUUGUCAAGGUAUGUGCUUUGUGAAAGUCCAAUUAAGCGUCUUGAUCUAUCUCUAUAGAUCUUAAUGCCUAAUAUGUAAGCAGCUUCACCGAGGUCUUUCAUUGAAAAACUUUUAUUCAAGUAUCCCUUUAUGCUAUCCAGAAAUUCUAUAUCAUUUCCAAUCAGUAAUAUGUCAUCCACAUAUAAUAUCAGAAAUGCUACAGAGCUCCCACUCACUUUCUUGUAAAUACAGGCUUCUCCGAAAGUCUGUAUAAAACCAAAUGCUUUGAUCACACUAUCAAAACGUUUAUUCCAACUCCGAGAGGCUUGCACCAGUCCAUAAAUGGAUCGCUGGAGCUUGCACACUUUGUUAGCUUCCUUUGGAUCGACAAAACCUUCCGGUUGUAUCAUAUACAACUCUUCUUCCAGAAAUCCAUUCAGGAAUGCAGUUUUGACAUCCAUCUGCCAAAUUUCAUAAUCAUAAAAUGCGGCAAUCGCUAACAUGAUUCGGACGGACUUAAGCAUCGCUACGGGUGAGAAGGUCUCAUCGUAGUCAAUCCCUUGAACUUGUCGAAAACCUUUUGCGACAAGUCGAGCUUUGUAGACAGUAACAUUACCAUCAGCGUCAGUCUUCUUCUUAGAGAUCCAUUUAUUCUCAAUUGCUUGCCAAUCAUCGGGCAAGUCAACCAAAGUCCAUACUUUGUUCUCAUACAUGGAUCCCAUCUCAGAUUUCAUGGCUUCAAGCCACUUUGCGGAAUCUGGGCUCACCAUCGCUUCUUCAUAGUUCGUAGGUUCAUCAUGAUCUAGUAGCAUGACUUCCAGAACAGGAUUUCUGUACCACUCUGGCGCGGAUCUUACUCUGGUUGAUCUACGUGGUUCAGUAGUAUCUUGAUCUGAAGUUUCAUGAUCAUUAUCAUUGGCUUCCUCACUAACCGGUGUAGGUGUCACUGAAACAGUUUUCUGUGAUGAACUACUCUCCAGUAAGGGAGCAGGUACAGUUACCUCGUCAAGUUCUACUUUCCUCCCACUCACUUCUUUCGAGAGAAACUCCUUCUCUAGAAAUGAUCCAUUCUUAGCAACGAAUGUUUUGCCUUCGGAUCUGUGAUAGAAGGUGUACCCAACAGUUUCCUUUGGGUAUCCUAUGAAUACACAUUUCUCCGAUUUGGGUUCGAGCUUAUCAGGUUGAAGCUUUUUCACAUAAGCAUCGCAGCCCCAAACUUUAAGAAACGACAACUUUGGUUUCUUGCCAAACCAUAGUUCAUAAGGCGUCGUCUCAACGGAUUUUGAUGGUGCCCUAUUUAACGUGAAUGCGGCCGUCUCUAAGGUAUAACCCCAAAAUGAUAGCGGUAAAUCUGUAAGAGACAUCAUAGAUCGCACCAUAUUUAGUAAAGUACGAUUACGACGUUCGGACACACCAUUUCGCUGUGGUGUUCCGGGUGGCGUGAGUUGUGAAACUAUUCCACAGUUUUUCAAAUGUACACCAAACUCGUAACUCAAAUAUUCUCCUCCACGAUCAGAUCGUAGAAACUUUAUUUUCUUGUUACGAUGAUUUUCAACUUCACUCUGAAAUUCUUUGAACUUUUCAAAUGUUUCAGACUUAUGCUUCAUUAAGUAGAUAUAUCCAUAUCUGCUCAAAUCAUCUGUGAAGGUGAGAAAAUAACGAUAUCCGCCACGAGCCUCAAUAUUCAUCGGGCCACAUACAUCGGUAUGUAUGAUUUCCAACAAAUCUGUUGCUCUCUCCAUAGUACCGGAGAACGGUGUUUUAGUCAUCUUGCCCAUGAGGCACGGUUCGCAAGUACCAAGUGAUUCAUAAUCAAGUGGUUCCAAAAGUCCAUUAGUAUGGAGUUUCUUCAUGCGUUUUACACCGAUAUGACCUAAACGACAGUGCCACAAAUAAGUUGCACUUUCAUUAUCAACUCUGCAUCUUUUGGUUUCAACAUUAUGAAUAUGUGUAUUACUACUAUCGAGAUUCAGUAAGAAUAGACCACUCUUCAAGGGUGCAUGACCAUAAAAGAUAUUACUCAUAUAAAUAGAACAACCAUUAUUCUCUGAUUUAAAUGAAUAACCGUCUCGCAUUAAACAAGAUCCAGAUAUAAUGUUCAUGCUCAAUGCUGGCACCAAAUAACAAUUAUUUAGGUCUAAUAUUAAUCCCGAAGGUAGAUGUAGAGGUAGCGUGCCGACCGCGAUCACAUCGACUUUGGAACCGUUUCCCACGCGCAUCGUCGCCUCGUCCUUUGCCAGUGCCCGCUUAUUCUGUAGUCCCUGUUUCGAGUUGCAAAUAUUAGCAACAGAACCAGUAUCAAAUACCCAGGUGCUACUGCGAGCUCUAGUAAGGUACACAUCAAUAACAUGUAUAUCACAUAUACCUUUGUUCACCUUGCCAUCCUUCUUAUCCGCCAAAUACUUGGGGCAGUUCCGCUUCCAGUGACCAGUCUGCUUGCAGUAGAAGCACUCAGUUUCAGGCUUAGGUCCAGACUUGGGUUUCUUCUCUUGAGCAGCAACUUGCUUGCCGUUCUUUUUGAAGUUCCCCUUUUUCUUCCCUUUGCCCUUUUCUUGAAACUAGUGGUCUUGUUAACCAUCAACACUUGAUGCUCCUUCUUGAUUUCUACCUCCGCAGCUUUCAGUAUUGCGAAGAGCUCGGGAAUAGUCUUGUUCAUCCCUUGCAUAUUAUAGUUCAUUACGAAGCUCUUGUAGCUUGGUGGCAGUGAUUGGAGAAUUCUGUCGAUGACGCAAUCAUCCGGAAGAUUAACUCCCAAUUGAAUCAAGUGAUUAUUAUACCCAGACAUUUUGAGUAUAUGCUCACUGACAGAACUGUUAUCCUCCAUCUUGCAGCUAUAGAACUUAUUGGAGACUUCAUAUCUCUCAAUCCGGGCAUUUGCUUGAAAUAUUAACUUCAACUCCUGGAACAUCUCAUAUGCUCCAUGACGUUCAAAACGUCGUUGAAGUCCCGAUUCUAAGCCGUAAAGCAUGGCACACUGAACUAUCGAGUAGUCAUCAGCUUUGCUCUGCCAGACGUUCAUAACAUCUGGCGUUGCUCCAGCAGCAGGCCUGGCACCCAGCGGUGCUUCCAGGACGUAAUUCUUCUGUGCAGCAAUGAGGAUAAUCCUCAAGUUACGGACCCAGUCCGUGUAAUUGCUACCAUCAUCUUUCAACUUUGCUUUCUCAAGGAACGCAUUAAAAUUUAACGGAACAACAACACGAGCCAUCUAUCUACAAUCAACAUAAACAAGCAAGAUACUAUCAGGGACUAAGUUCAUGAUAAAUUUUAAGUUCAAUUAAUCAUAUUACUAAAGAACUCCCACUUAGAUAGACAUCCCUCUAAUCCUCUAAGUGAUCACGUGAUCCAAAUCAACUAAACCAUAACCGAUCAUCACGUGAGAUGGAGUAGUUUUCAAUGGUGAACAUCGUUAUGUUGAUCAUAUCUACUAUAUGAUUCACGCUCGACCUUUCGGUCUCUGUGUUCCGAGGCCAUAUCUGCAUAUGCUAGGCUCGUCAAGUUUAACCUGAGUAUUCUGCGUGUGCAAAACUGGCUUGCACCCGUUGUAGAUGGACGUAGAGCUUAUCACACCCGAUCAUCACGUGGUGUCUGGGCACGACGAACUUUGGCAACGGCGCAUACUCAGGGAGAACACUUCUUGAUAAUUUAGUGAGAGAUCAUCUUAUAAUGCUACCGUCAAUCAAAGCAAGAUAAGAUGCAUAAAAAGAUAAACAUCACAUGCAAUCAAUAUAAGUGAUAUGAUAUGGCCAUCAUCAUCUUGUGCUUGUGAUCUCCAUCUCCGAAGCACCGUCAUGAUCACCAUCGUCACCGGCGCGACACCUUGACCUCCAUCGUAGCAUCGUUGUCGUCUCGCCAAUCUUAUGCUUCCACGACUAUCACUACCGUUUAGUAAUAAAGUAAAGCAUUACAUCGCGAUUGCAUUGCAUACAAUAAAGCGACAACCAUAUGGCUCCUGCCAGUUGCCGAUAACUUGUUUACAAAACAUGAUCAUCUCAUACAAUAAAAUUCAGCAUCAUGCCUUGACCAUAUCACAUCACAACAUGCCCUGCAAAAACAAGUUAGACGUCUUCUACUUUGUUGUUGCAUGUUUUUACGUGGCUGCUACGGGCUUAAGUAAGAACCAAUCUCACCUACGCAUCAAAACCACAACGAUAGUUUGUCAAAUAGACUCCGUUUUAACCUUCGCAAGGACCAGGCGUAGCCAUACUUGGUUCAACUAAAGUUGGAGAGGCAGUCGCCCGCAAGCCAUCUCUGUGCAAAGCACGUCGAGGGAACCGGUCUCGCGUAAGCGUACGCGUAAGGUUGGUCCGGGUCGUCUCGUCCAACAAUACCGCCGAACCAAAGUAUGACAUGCUGGUAGGCAGUAUGACUUGUAUCGUCCACAACUUACUUGUGUUCUACUCGUGCAUAUAACAUCAACAUCAAUAACCUAGGCUCGGAUGCCACUGUUGGGUUUCGUAGUAAUUUCAAAAAUUUUCCUACGCACACGCAAGAUCAUGUGAUGCAUAGCAACGAGGGGAAGAGUAUUGUCUACGUACCCUACGCAGACCGACUGCGGAAGCGAUGACACGACGUAGAGGAAGUAGUCGUACGUCUUCACGAUCCAACCGAUCAAGCACCGAAACUACGGCAUCUCCGAGUUCGAGCACACGUUCAGCUCGAUGACGAUCCCCGGACUCUGAUCCAGCAAAGUGUCGGGGAAGAGUUCCGUCAGCACGACGGCGUGGUGACGAUCUUGAUGAACUACAGCAGCAGGGCUUCGCCUAAACUCCGCUACAGUAUUAUCGAGGAAUAUGGUGGCAGGGGGCACCGCACACGGCUAAGGAAUCGAUCACGUGGAUCAACUUGUGUCAACUUGUGUGUUUAGAGGUGCCCCUGCCUCCGUAUAUAAAGGAGCCAAGGGGGGAGGGGGCGCCGGCCAAGAGGGAGAGGCGCAGGAGGAGUCCUACUCCUACCGGGAGUAGGACUCCCCCCCCCCCCCAAUCCUAUUCCAACUAGGAUUCCCAAGGGGAAAGAGGGAGAGGGGUGGCCGGCCACCUCUCCUAGUCCUAAUAGGACUAGGGGAAGGGGGGAGGCGCGCAGCCCCCUUGGGCUGCUCCUUUCUCCUUUCCACUAAGGCCCAUGAUGGCCCAUAUGGUUCCCGGGGGGUUCCGGUAACCCUCCCGGUAUUCCGGUAAAAUCCCGAUUUCACCCGGAACACUUCCGAUAUCCAAAUAUAGGCUUCCAAUAUAUCAAUCUUUACGUCUCGACCAUUUCGAGACUCCUCGUCAUGUCCGUGAUCACAUCCGGGACUCCGAACAACCUUCGGUACAUCAAAAUGCAUAAACUCAUAAUAUAACUGUCAUCGUAACCUUAAGCGUGCGGACCCUACGGGUUCGAGAACAAUGUAGACAUGACCGAGACACGUCUCCGGUCAAUAACCAAUAGCGGGACCUGGAUUCCCAUAUUGGCUCCUACAUAUUCUACGAAGAUCUUUAUCGGUCAGACCGCAUAACAACAUACGUUGUUCCCUUUGUCAUCGGUAUGUCACUUGCCCGAGAUUCGAUCGUCGGUAUCCAAUACCUAGUUCAAUCUCGUUACUGGCAAGUCUCUUUACUCGUUCCGUAAUACAUCAUCUCACAACUAACAUAUUAGUUGUAAUGCUUGCAAGGCUUAUGUGAUGUAUUACCGAGAGGGCCCAGAGAUACCUCUCCGACAAUCGGAGUGACAAAUCCUAAUCUCGAAAUACGCCAACCCAACAUCGACCAUUGGAGACACCUGUAGUACUCCUUUAUAAUCACCCAGUUACGUUGUGACGUUUGGUAGUACCCAAAGUGUUCCUCCGGUAAACGGGAGUUGCAUAAUCUCAUAGUCAUAGGAACAUGUAUAAGUCAUGAAGAAAGCAAUAGCAACAUACUAAACGAUCGGGUGCUAAGCUAAUGGAAUGGGUCAUGUCAAUCAGAUCAUUCUACUAAUGAUGUGACCUCGUUAAUCAAAUAACAACUUAUUGUUCAUGGUUAGGAAACAUAACCAUCUUUGAUUAACGAGCUAGUCAAGUAGAGGCAUACUAGUGACACUCUGUUUGUCUAUGUAUUCACACAUGUAUUAUGUUUCCGGUAAAUACAAUUCUAGCAUGAAUAAUAAACAUUUAUCAUGAUUAUAAGGAAAUAAAUAAUAACUUUAUUAUUGCCUCUAGGGCAUAUUUCCUUCAGUCUCCCACUUGCACUAGAGUCAAUAAUCUAGAUUACACUGUAAUGAAUCUAACACCCAUGGAGCUUUGGUGCUGAUCAUGUUUUGCUCAUGGAAGAGGCUUAGUCAACGGGUCUGCAACAUUCAGAUCCGUAUGUAUCUUGCAAAUCUCUAUGUCUCCCACCUGGACUAGAUCCCGGAUGGAGUUGAAGCGUCUCUUGAUGUGUUUGGUCCUUUUGUGAAAUCUGGAUUCCUUUGCCAAGGCAAUUGCACCAGUAUUGUCACAAAAGAUUUUCAUUGGACCCGAUGCACUAGGUAUGACACCUAGAUCGGAUAUGAACUCCUUCAUCCAGACUCCUUCAUUUGCUGCUUCCGAAGCAGCUAUGUAUUCCGCUUCACAUGUAGAUCCCGCUACAACGCUUUGUUUAGAACUGCACCAACUGACAGCUCCACCGUUUAAUGUAAACACGUAUCCGGUUUGCGAUUUAGAAUCGUCCGGAUCAGUGUCAAAGCUUGCAUCAACGUAACCUUUUACGGUGAGCUCUUUGUCACCUCCAUAUACGAGAAACAUAUCCUUAGUCCUUUUCAGGUAUUUUAGGAUGUUCUUGUUAGGUUUCGUAGUAAUUUCAAAAAUUUUCCUACGCGCACACAGGAUCAUGUGAUGCAUAGCAACGAGAGGAGAGUGUUGUCUACGUACCCAACGCAGACCGACUGCGGAAGCGAUGACACGACGUAGAGGAAGUAGUCGUACGUCUUCACGAUCCAACCGAUCAAGCACCGAAACUACGGCACCUCCGAGUUCGAGCACACGUUCAGCUCGAUGACGAUCCCCGGACUCCGAUCCAGCAAAGUGUCGGGGAAGAGUUUCGUCAGCACGACGGCGUGGUGACGAUCUUGAUGAACUACAGCAGCAGGGCUUCGCCUAAACUCCGCUACAGUAUUAUCGAGGAAUAUGGUGGCAGGGGGCACCGCACACGGCUAAGGAAUCGAUCACGUGGAUCAACUUGUGUCAACUUGUGUGUUUAGAGGUGCCCCUGCCUCCGUAUAUAAAGGAGGAGAGGAGGGGAGGCUGGCCGGCCAAAGGGGGGAGGCGCAGGAGAGUCCUACUCCCUCUGGGAGUAGGAUUCCCCCUCCAAUCCUAGUCCAACUAGGAUUCCUCGGAGGGGAAAAGAGGAGGAGGGGGCCGGCCACCUCUCCUAGUCCUAAUAGGACUAGGGGAAGGGGGGGCGCAGCCCAUCUAGGGCAGCCCCUUCUCUUUUCCACUAAGGCCCACUAUGGCCCAAAUAGCUCCCGGGGGGUUCCGGUAACCCUCCCGGUAUUCCGGUAAAAUCCCGAUUUCACCCGGAACACUUCCGAUAUCCAAAUAUAGGCUUCCAAUAUAUCAAUCUUUACGUCUCGACCAUUUCGAGACUCCUCGUCAUGUCCGUGAUCACAUCCGGGACUCCGAACAACCUUAGGUACAUCAAAAUGCAUAAACUCAUAAUAUAACUGUCAUCGUAACCUUAAGCGUGCGGACCCUACGGGUUCGAGAACAAUGUAGACAUGACCGAGACACGUCUCCGGUCAAUAACCAAUAGCGGGACCUGGAUGCCCAUAUUGGCUCCUACAUAUUCUACGAAGAUCUUUAUCGGUCAGACCGCAUAACAACAUACGUUGUUCCCUUUGUCAUCGGUAUGUCACUUGCCCGAGAUUCGAUCGUCGGUAUCCAAUACCUAGUUCAAUCUCGUUACUGGCAAGUCUCUUUACUCGUUCCGUAAUACAUCAUCUCACAACUAACAUAUUAGUUGUAAUGCUUGCAAGGCUUAUGUGAUGUAUUACCGAGAGGGCCCAGAGAUACCUCUCCGACAAUCGGAGUGACAAAUCCUAAUCUCGAAAUACGCCAACCCAACAUCGACCAUUGGAGACACCUGUAGUACUCCUUUAUAAUCACCCAGUUACGUUGUGACGUUUGGUAGUACCCAAAGUGUUCCUCCGGUAAACGGGAGUUGCAUAAUCUCAUAGUCAUAGGAACAUGUAUAAGUCAUGAAGAAAGCAAUAGCAACAUACUAAACGAUCGGGUGCUAAGCUAAUGGAAUGGGUCAUGUCAAUCAGAUCAUUCUACUAAUGAUGUGACCUCGUUAAUCAAAUAACAACUUAUUGUUCAUGGUUAGGAAACAUAACCAUCUUUGAUUAACGAGCUAGUCAAGUAGAGGCAUACUAGUGACACUCUGUUUGUCUAUGUAUUCACACAUGUAUUAUGUUUCCGGUAAAUACAAUUCUAGCAUGAAUAAUAAACAUUUAUCAUGAUUAUAAGGAAAUAAAUAAUAACUUUAUUAUUGCCUCUAGGGCAUAUUUCCUUCAUUAUUGUGGUUCCUUUGCUUGUGUUCUUGCUUUGGGUAGAGCAGGGAGAUGAGUACGUGAACGAGGAACCUGUUAAGUACGCUAACGAGGAUCAAGCCUUCUACAACUCUGAGAACCUCGCAGGCAAGAUGACCAUACCUUCGAUAUCACUUCUAUCUUUGCUUGCUAGAACUCGCUCUAUCGCUAUGUUAGCUCUACCUGCCAUUGUUUAUCAUGCCUCCCUAUUGCCAUGUCAAACCUCUAACCAUCCUAUCCUAGCAAACCGUUGUUUGGCUAUGUCACCGCUUUUGCUCAGCCCCUCUUAUAGCGUUGUUAGUUGCAGGUGAAGAUGAAGUUUGUUCCUGGUCGGAACAUGGAUAUUUUGGGAUAUCACAAUAUCUCCUGUUUAAUUAAUGCACCUUAUAUACUUGGUAAAGGGUGGAAGGCUCGGCCUUAUGCCUGGUGACUUGUUCCACUCUUGCCGCCCUAGUUUCCGUCAUACCGGUGUUAUGUUCCUUGAUUUUGCGUUCCUUACACGGUUGGGUGAUUUAUGGGACCCCUUAACAGUUCGCUUUGAAUAAAACUCCUCCAGCAAGGCCCACACUUGGUUUUACCAUUUGCCACCUAAGACCUUUUCCCUUGGGUUUUCGCGAGCCCGAGGGUCAUCUUUAUUUUAGACCCCCCCGGGCCAGUGCUCCUUCGAGUGUUGGUCCGAACCAAGCCGCCUGCGGGGCCACCUCGGGGAAACUCGAAGUCUGGUUUUACUCGUAGCCUGUCUCAUCCGGUGUGCCCUGAGAAUGAGAUAUGUGCAGCUCCUAUCGGGAUUUAUCGGCACAGUCGGGUGGUCUUGCUGGUCUUGUUUUACCAUUGUCGAAAUGUUUUGCGAACCGGGAUUCCGAGGCUGAUUGGGUCUUCCCGGGAGAAGGUAUAUCCUUCGUUGACCGUGAGAGCUUGUGAUGGGCUUAGUUGGGACACCCCUGCAGGGUAUAUUAUCUUUCGAAAUCCGUGCCCGCAGUUAUGAGGCAGAUGGGAAUUUGUUAAUGUCCGGUUGUAGAUAACUUGACACUUGACUUCUUUAAAAUGCAGCAACUGUGUGUGUAGCCGUGAUGAUCUCUUCUCGGCGGAGUCCGGGAAGUGAACACGGUUUGUGUUAUGCUUGAUGUAAGUAGUUUCAGGAUCACUUCUUGAUCGCUUCUAGCUUCUCGACCGUUGCGUUACUUCUCUUCUCGCUCUCACUUGCGUAUGUUAGCCACCAUAUAUGCUUAGUGCUUGCCGCAGCUCCACCAUAUUACCCCUUUUCCUAUCUAUGAGCUUAAAUAGUCUUGAUCUCGCGGGUGUGAGAUUGCUGAGUCCUCGUGACUCACAGAUUCUACCAAAACAGAUGCAGGUGCCGUGGAUACCAACGCAGAUGGCGCAACCGAGCUCAAGUGGGAGUUUGACGAGGACCUUGGCCGUUACUAUGUAUCGUUUCCAGAUGAUCAGUAGAGGUGCCCAGUCGGGAUGAUCGGGGAUCUAGCAUUUGGGGUUGUCUUCUUUUCAUUUGAAUUUGACCGUAGCCGGUCUAUGAGUGUAUUUGAAUGAUGUAUGAUCUUAAUUAUGUAUUGUGUGAAGUGGCGAUUGUAAGCCAACUCUCUUUAUCCCAUUCUUGUUAAUUACAUGGGAUUGUGUGAAGAUGACCCUUCUUGCGACAAAACCACCAUGCGGUUAUGCCUCUAAGUCGUGCUUCGACACGUGGGAGAUAUAGCCGCAUCGUUGGUGUUACAAGUUGGUAAUCAGAGCCAGCCCCAACUUAGGAGCCCCCUGCUUGAUUGUUUGCUGGCGAUGUUGAGUCUAGAACAAAAAUGUUUUGAGUCUUAGGAUUAUAUAUAUCGGAGAGUAGGAUUCUUUUUACUCCUCAGUCCCUUCGUCGCUCUGGUGAGGUCUCCUGACGUAGAUGUUUUGACUUUCCUCUUCUCAAAUUUCACUAAAUUUUUUUAGGAUCACGCGGGUAUCUUGGAAUCGUUUCGAUGGUUUUGUGACGAGAACAUUGUUCUUGGUGCCUCCUGUCUAUUAUGUGGAUUUGACCCGGGGAGUUGAGCUCUGAGGUGUUGUCGUCACAAUUUUAUCAUUGCAGUUCUGGAAUACCUGAGUUUUGUCGACAUCGAAAAUCUCUUUUAUGCAGUUGUUGGUGAGAUAUCCUCGACGCCACCCAGUACUGGGGCGGGAGUUCAGGAGUAUUGCCAUAACUCAUAUAAUGGAUGCUUUUCAAAGGUUGAGGUACACGAUUUCCGAAGGUUUCUUGGUUAUGUGUUGACGGAUGGAUACAACUGGAUGUAGGGAUUGUUAGUUUGGGUGAGAUAUAUUGCUUCCCCUGUAUCCCCAACACCUGAUUGCAUAACCAGAAAGUUUCGGGAGUUUAUAGGUGGGAUUCAAGUAGCUCUAGCUUUUCUUCCCGCAGAUAUUUGGUUUGUGAUUGGGUAAUCGUUACCACUUAUUUGUUCCAGUUGUACCUUGUUUAUUUCAUUCAUCAAUCUCUUAUCAAGUGGCUUCUCACCUUAAUGGACGUGUGACGUUUGCUUUGGAAUUCAUUCGUUCAUCCUUGUUCAAAUGUUUAUUGUGAAGACUAUAUGUUGCAAUUUCUAUCCGUUGAUUCAACUUGUCUAUCUGUCUAUCAAGAUGCUAACGGAUGUCACCCUCUUCAGGAUGGCUCCGCCAACGCGUCAGAAUUUGGAACGCAAUGAUGGGAGUCAGGCGAACCCUCCACCUCCUCCUCCGCCUCCGGAGGCAUGGCAAGCUUUGAUGGCAGCCACAAACGCCAAUGCCCAGAUGAUGAUCCAGCUCAUGCAAGAGCGCAACCAAGGCCAAGGCAACCAAGGGAAUCAAGGCUAAGGGCAGUUCAAUCAUCAGCCUCUAUUUCCUACCCUCAACCAAUUCCUUGCAAAUCAGCCGAAGUCUUUCAGCUACUGUGUCGAGGCCACAGACGCCGAUGAUUGGCUCGUGGAUAUCAACAAGCAUUUUGAAUGCAGCAAUGUCAGGCCCGAGGACUAUGUCAAGUUCGCUUCUUUUCAGCUCAAGGAUCAAGCAGCUGAUUGGUUCCAGCAAUACAAGGAUUCCAGAGGAGGUCGAGUGAUUACUUGGACUGACUUUUGUCAGGACUUUAAAGCUCACCACAUUCCUACCAGUGUCGUUGAGAGCAAGCGUGAGGAGUUCCGCAAUCUCAAGCAAGGCAACAUGUCAGUGUACGAAUACAACAAGCAGUUUCAGAAACUUGCUCGCUUCACUAAGCAAGAUGUUCCUGAUGAGAAGAGUAUGAUAUAUAAAUUCAGAGGUGGCCUAAGAGAGGAUCUGCAGUUAGCUCUCGUUCUUGUUGAGCCUACUCAGUUUGAUCAAUUCUACAAUAUGGCACUCAAGCAAGAAGGUGCUCAGCUCAAGUGUGAGGCUUCUAAGAAGAGAAUCAGGGAUGCAGUGCAAUCUUAUUCUUCCUCACAAGUGGCAGCUAAGCAGCAGAAGUUAUACCUUCCUCCUCCUCCGUUUCGUCAGCCUUACCAACAGAAGAACUCAGGUGGUCGUGGAUCUUCCCACCCACCCAACCCAGGCUAUCAGAACAAGUCUCAGUCUCAAGCUCCAAGGUCAAAUUCUCCUUAUCAUCGUCCGCUCUCAGAAGUGACUUGCAACAAGUGCCAGCAGAAAGGUCACUACGCGAACAAAUGCUUCAAUCAAAGGCGCCUUCCUCCUCCUCCUGUGAGUUCUUCAAGCAAUGCUGUGGUCAAGCAUAAUCCAAAGUCUGCAAAGGUGAACAUGAUGAAUGCAGCUCAGGCAGAGGAUUCUUCAGAUGUGAUAAUGGGUAAUCUUCCUGUUAAUGAUAUUCCUGCAAAAGUCUUAUUUGAUACUGGUGCAUCGCAUUCUUUCAUGUCAUAUCCUUUUGCAUCGAAGCACAAUUUUGACACAGAGGAGUUACCUAGAGCAAUGCAAGUUAUUUCUCCGGCUAAGCGUUUGAGAUCUACCUUAUUGGUUCCGAAUGUCGGUAUCAAGAUGGGCGACUAUAAAUUUCUGUCUUCUCCAAUUGUUCUUGGCGACUCUGAUAUUGAUCUAAUUCUCGGGAUGGACUGGCUUUCUAAGCACAAGGUUCAGCUUGAUUGUGCUGCCAGGCAAAUUCAAUUAACACACUCUUCUGAGGAUGUUAUCAUCUAUGCCGCUCGUGAUGAAACCAUUCGGCUAUUUUCUCUCAAUGAGAAGGGCGAGUUAGAUGCAAUUUCUCAAAUUCCAGUCGUUUGUGAGUACCAAGAUGUCUUUCCAGAAGAGCUUCCGGGUAUGCCUCCUCAUCGGCCAGUCGAGUUCGUUAUCGAUCUUGAGCCUGGAACUGAACCCGUUUGCAAGCGUCCUUACAAGCUUGGACCCAAGGAGCUGAAGGAAUUGAAGAAGCAGCUCGAUGAACAAGAGCGUCUGGGCUUGGUCAGACCGAGUUCAUCCCCAUGGGGUUGUGGAGUUCUUUUUGUCCAGAAGAAGGAUGGUACGGACCGACUUUGCGUCGAUUACUGUCCAUUGAACAAGAAGACAAUCAAGAACAAGUAUCCACUUCCCAACAUCAAUGAGCUUUUUGAGAAACUCAAAGGUACUAAAGUUUUCUCCAAGCUUGACCUUCGUAUGGGUUAUCAUCAGAUUCGUAUUCGUGAACAAGAUAUUCCCAAGACAACAUUUAGAACAAGCUAUGGUUCUUAUGAAUAUACUGUCAUGUCUUUCGGCCUUGUCAAUGCUCCUCCAACAUUCUCUCGCAUGAUGAACUUUAUCUUCAACCCCUACACCAAUGAAUUCGUCUUGGUGUAUCUCGAUGAUAUUUUGGUCUUCUCCAAGAAUAAGUCAGAUCAUGCCAAACAUUUGCAAUUGGUGCUCGACAAGCUCAGAGAGCAUCAAUUCUAUGCGAAGUUUUCCAAAUGUGAGUUCUGGCUUGAUGAAGUUCUUUACCUUGGUCAUAUCAUCUCUGCCAAGGGCAUUGCUGUUAAUCCCGCAAAGGUUUCUGCAGUUGUGAAUUGGGAACCUCCUCAGAAUGUCAAACAGCUCCGCAGUUUUCUUGGUCUUGCAAGCUAUUGCCGAAGAUUCGUUGAGAACUUCUCUAAGAUUGCAAAGCCUCUUUCCAACCUCCUCCAGAAGCAUGUCAAGUAUGUCUGGACGCCUGAGUGUGACGUCACUUUCAACACCCUCAAAGAGAAGCUAGUCACAGCUCCUGUUUUGACUCCUCAUGAUGAAUCCAAGCCAUUCGAAGUAUUCUGUGAUGCUUCCCUUCAAGGUCUCGGUGCUGUGUUGAUGCAAGAGAAAAAAGUUGUGGCCUAUACCUCUCGUCAGUUGAAGCCCAACGAAAAGAACUACCCCACUCACGAUCUUGAGUUGGCGGCAGUUGUCCAUGCAUUGAUAACAUGGAGACAUCUCUUAUUGGGAAGGCAAGUGGACAUUUUCACCGAUCACAAGAGUCUCAAGUAGAUCUUCACUCAACCCAACCUUAACCUCAGACAAACUCGAUGGGUCGAAAUGAUUCAAGAGUACAAUCUGAGUAUUGAAUAUACUCCUGGCAAGGCGAAUGUGAUUGCAGAUGCUCUGAGCAGAAAGGCUUAUUGCAAAAGUCUAAUUCUCAAGCCGUUUCAACCGGAUCUUUGUGAGGCUUUUCGCAAGCUGAAUCUUCAAGUUGUUCCUCAAGGAUUUCUUGCCAACCUCAUAGUCUCUCCUACUUUGGAAGAUCAAAUUCGUGAGGCACAACUCCUGGAUACCAUGGUGAAGAAGGUGAAACGUGGUAUUGACAAGGGCAUUCCCAAAUACAAGUGCUAUCGCUUGGAUGACAAAGAUACUCUUUUCUUCGAGGAUCGAAUUGUGGUUCCUAAAGGUGAUCUGAGAAAAGUCAUCAUGAAUGAGGCACACAAUUCCCUCCUAUCCAUUCAUCCUGGAAGUACAAAGAUGUACCAUGACCUCAAGUAGUCGUAUUGGUGGACUCGAAUGAAGCGAGAGAUUGCUCAAUUCGUGAAUGAAUGUGAUGUCUGCAGAAGGGUGAAAGCAGAACACCAACGACCAGAUGGUCUCCUCCAACCUCUUGCUGUUCCGGAAUGGAAGUUUGACCAUAUCGAGAUGGACUUCGUGACUGGUUUUCCUAAGCCCAAGCGUGGAAAUGAUGCUAUCUUCGUUGUCAUUGACAAGCUUACCAAAGUGGCUCAUUUUCUUCCUAUCAAAGAAUCUAUCACAGCAGCUCAGCUGGCAGAGCUAUACACCUCCAGAAUUGUCUCCUUGCACGGCAUUCCACAAUUGAUAUCUUCAGAUCGUGGAAGCAUCUUCACUUCUAAGUUCCGGGACUCCUUUCAGACGGCCAUGGGCACCAACAUCCGUUUUAGCACAACUUUCCAUCCUCAAACAAGUGGCCAAGUCGAGCGAGUCAAUCAAAUCCUUGAAGAUAUGCUCAGGGCUUGUGUCAUCUCUUUCGGUAUGAAGUGGGAAGAUUGUCUUCCAUAUGCCGAGUUCUCCUACAACAACAGCUUCCAAGCGAGUUCGGGCAAGGCCCCAUUCAAAAUUCUCUAUGGCAGAAAGUUCCGUACUCCUCUCAAUUGGUUUGAGACAGGUGAACGCCAACUUCUUGGCAAUGACUUGAUCACAGAAGCCGAAGAAAUGUGCAAAGUCAUUCGUGAGAAUCUCAAAGCCGCGCAAUCGCGGCAGAAGAGCUAUUAUGUUAGCAAGCACCGUGACUUGGCUUUUGAAAUGGAAGACCAUGUCUACCUCCGCGUCUCUCAAAUGAAAGGCACUCGUCGCUUCGGUAUCAAAGGGAAGCUUGCCCCUAGAUACGUGGGUCCUUUCAAGAUAAUUGGCAAAAGAGGCGACCUCGCCUAUCAACUUGAGCUUCCGUCCAACUUUGCAAACGUGCACGAUGUGUUUCACGUGUCACAGCUUCGCAAGUGCUUCAAGACUCCUGAGCGCACUAUCAACUUCGAAGAGAUCGACCUCCAAGAAGAUCUCUCUUAUCAUGAGGACCCCGUUGCUAUUCUUGAAGAAACCGAGCGCAAGACUCACAACAAGUCAAUCAAAUUCCUAAAAGAGAAGUGGUCACACCAUUCUGACCGAGAAGCCACCUGGGAGCGCGAGGAUCACCUCCGUUCCGAAUAUUCGGAGUUCUUUCAGUCCUAGAUCUCGGGACGAGAUCCUCUUGUAGUGGUGGAGUGUUGUAACACCCCGGAUGUAACUUUCCAUCUUUGUAUCUCCAACUCUUGCCAUUUUCAGCUAUGUGAUAUGAUAUUCCCUCCGUGGUUGGGUUUUGUCUUUUGUUUUGCAUUUUAUUCAUGUCAUGCAUAUCAUAUCAUGUCAUCAUGUGCAUCUCAUUUGCAUACGUGUUCGUCUCAUGCAUCCGAGCAUUUUCCCCGUUGUCAGUUUCGCAAUCCGACACUCCCACAUGCACCGGCGCACCCCUCUUGUAUCUUUUCGUGUGCGGGUGUUAAACGUUCUCGGAAUGGACCGAUCCUUGCCAAGUGGCCCUGGUAUAGCACCGGUAGACCGCCUGUCAAGUUUCGGGUCAUUUGGAGCUCGUUUGGUACUCCAGCGGUUAACCGCACUCCCGCAAAGGCCUCUUUUGAGUUGCAGCCCAACACCCCUCCAAAACAGCCCAAUAACCCAUCUAAGUCACUUCCAUGCUCUCCGCUGUCGGAUCACGAUCGUGUGGGCGAAAACCGCACCUCAUUUGGACACUCCUAGCUCCCUCUACCUAUAAAAACACCUCCUCCCCGAAAAUUCCGGAUCAAAACCCUAGUCCCGCUCCUCCCCGCCGCCAACGGACGCAUCCGAACCGGGCCGGACACGUCCGCCCGCCACCGGACGAAUCCCGCCGACGCCUGUGUCCAUCCAGGAGCUGUCACGUGGNNNNNNNNNNNNNNNNNNNNNNNNNNNNNNNNNNNNNNNNNNNNNNNNNNNNNNNNNNNNNNNNNNNNNNNNNNNNNNNNNNNNNNNNNNNNNNNNNNNNNNNNNNNNNNNNNNNNNNNNNNNNNNNNNNNNNNNNNNNNNNNNNNNNNNNNNNNNNNNNNNNNNNNNNNNNNNNNNNNNNNNNNNNNNNNNNNNNNNNNNNNNNNNNNNNNNNNNNNNNNNNNNNNNNNNNNNNNNNNNNNNNNNNNNNNNNNNNNNNNNNNNNNNNNNNNNNNNNNNNNNNNNNNNNNNNNNNNNNNNNNNNNNNNNNNNNNNNNNNNNNNNNNNNNNNNNNNNNNNNNNNNNNNNNNNNNNNNNNNNNNNNNNNNNNNNNNNNNNNNNNNNNNNNNNNNNNNNNNNNNNNNNNNNNNNNNNNNNNNNNNNNNNNNNNNNNNNNNNNNNNNNNNNNNNNNNNNNNNNNNNNNNNNNNNNNNNNNNNNNNNNNNNNNNNNNNNNNNNNNNNNNNNNNNNNNNNNNNNNNNNNNNNNNNNNNNNNNNNNNNNNNNNNNNNNNNNNNNNNNNNNNNNNNNNNNNNNNNNNNNNNNNNNNNNNNNNNNNNCUCGCCCGCCCGCCACCCGGGCCGGAUCUCGCCGCCGCCGUCCCGGCCAACUCCGGCAGCCGCGUCCCCGCGCCGCAGCACCGUCCUCGAUCCGCGCCUAGAUCCGAUCUGCCCCUGGGUUGACUUUUUCUUCUCCCCCCGAAAUUCCUCCAAGUCCUUAUCUGUCUUUACUUUUGUUGCAUCUUCAUCACACCACAUCUUUGCACCCGUGGCCCCGUUUUGGGCGUGUAGCAUACAGAAUUGUUCGUCUCGAAGAGUACAUCAUUUCAUCUCAUUGCAUCAUUUUCAUUUGAGCUCAUCUUGAUGCCCGAAAGGCUGUUGGAAGAGUGCUUCAUAAUGUUAGUUUCAGAUUCUUAUCAGAACAUGCACUUUUGUCAUUUUUGCCAUGAUGGAUGUGUGCAUCCUAUGUACUUGAGCCCUACAUGUGAGUUGAACUAUGCCAUGUCUUCUUUACAGAGGUGCUUACCAUGUAUUUUUGUCAUCAAUGUGGUGACUAGCGCAAGCAUGCAAACUAAGCUUCGUGAUAUUGCUGAUUUGUCCCUGUUCUGCUGUUAUUUUGAUGCCAUGUAAACAUGAUGCUACAGAGAGAUCCAUGCAUAUUUUGAGAUACUUCAGUAAGGGUGUUUUGAACAUAUGGUUAUUCUCUAUCCAUCCAUGCCCCUGGUUGCAAUUAUGGAGUAGUCUAGCAUGUCAUUUUCGUGCUCUACUUUUGCUUCAAAAUGUUUCCUGGCAGAUUGUUUACAUGUUAUUCAAUUUUGCCAAGGUUGUUGUAGUUGAUCCGUGUAUGCUAUGAUGUUGUUCUUGCCAUGUAUAGCUUCUAUGUCAUGUUUUCUUGAUGGAUAUAUGCUUAGUUUAUCAUGAGAUGCUCUAUAGUGAGUGCAUCGAGCUCACGAAGGUGCCUUCGUAAUUCUGUCAAUGCCAUGCUUGGUUUGCUGAAUCUGUUAACGAAACUUGCUAUGUUUACAUGGGUGUCAUCAUAUUUUAUGAUCCUUUUGGCUUAAGGUCAGUAAGGGACUUUUGAUCUAUGCUUUGAGUAGAUUCAUGCCAUGUCUUGGUUUGUUAUUAUAAGUUCCUGUAGCUUGUUGAUAACUUGCUAUGAACAUUGCUUCGUGAUGUUGUUUAUGCCAUGUCCAACCUGAUAUUUUUUGCACUUUCACCAUGCUUGUUUGAACCUGUUAUGAUGUGAUUUAGCCGUAGCUCAGCGUUCCUCUUUUGUUAAGCAUCUCCUGUAGAUCACUGCCAUAUGUUUUGUUUUUAUGUUGGGGUGCUGUAGCAUAGUUUCUUGUUGCAUGCUAAGUAGCAUUGUGCUGUUAAUCGCAGCUUUGUGCCAUUCUUGUUUUGCUUGCCAUUUGCAAACCGUGCAUCCGUUCCCGGUGACCCUUAUAUCGAUUUCAACUGAAAUCAUCUCAUCUUUCCAGCGGCAUACUUGGUUUGCCAAGUUGAUGCCUUGUUCAUCCCUUUCCGCCAGGAGCACGCAUAUGCAUUGCAUAUCACAUCUCGCAUAUCAUGUCAUGUAUUGCAUCAUGUUGCUUGUGCAUUGCACCGUGAUUUAUUGUGGUUCCUUUGCUUGUGUUCUUUCUUUGGGUAGAGCCGGGAGACGAGUACGUGCACGAGGAACCUGUUGAGUAUGCUAACGAGGAUCAAUCCUUCGACAACUCUGAGAACCUCGCAGGUAAGAUGACCAUACCGUCGAUAUCACUUCUAUCUUUGCUUGCUAGUACUCGCUCUAUCUCUAUGUUAGCUCUACCUGCCAUUGUUUAUCAUGCCUCCCUAUUGCCAUGUCAAACCCCUAACCAUCCUGUCCUAGCAAACCGUUGUUUGGCUAUGUCACCGCUUUUGCUCAGCCCCUCUUAUAGCGUUGUUAGUUGCAGGUGAAGAUGAAGUUUGUUCCUGGUCGGAACAUGGAUAUUUUGGGAUAUCACAAUAUCUCCUGUUUAAUUAAUGCACCUUAUAUACUUGGUAAAGGGUGGAAGGCUCGGCCUUAUGCCUGGUGACUUGUUCCACUCUUGCCGCCCUAGUUUCCGUCAUACCGGUGUUAUGUUCCCUGAUUUUGCGUUCCUUACACAGUUGGGUGAUUUAUGGGACCCCCUUAAUAGUUCGCUUUGAAUAAAACUCCUCCAGCAAGGCCCACACUUGGUUUUACCAUUUGCCACCUAAGCCCUUUUCCCUUGGGUUUUCGCGAGCCCGAGGGUCAUCUUUAUUUUAGACCCCCCCGGGCCAGUGCUCCUUCGAGUGUUGGUCCGAACCAAGCCGCCUGCGGGGCCACCUCGGGGAAACUCGAAGUAUGAUUUUACUCGUAGCCUGUCUCAUCCGGUGUGCCCUGAGAACGAGAUAUGUGCAGCUCCUAUCGGGAUUUGUCGGCACAGUCGGGUGGUCUUGCUGGUCUUGUUUUACCAUUGUCGAAAUGUUUUGCGAACCGGGAUUCCGAGGCUGAUCGGGUCUUCCCGGGAGAAGGUAUAUCCUUCUUUGACCGCGAGAGCUUGUGAUGGGCUAAGUUGGGACACCCCUGCAGGGUAUAUUAUCUUUCGAAAGCCGUGCCCGCGGUUAUGAGGCAGAUGGGAAUUUGUUAAUGUCCGGUUGUAGAUAACUUGACACUUGACUUCUUUAAAAUGCAUCAACUGUGUGUGUAGUCAUGAUGGUCUCUUCUCGGCGGAGUCUGGGAAGUGAACACGAUUUGUGUUAUGCUUGACGUAAGUAGUUUCAGGAUCACUUCUUGAUCGCUUCUAGCUUCUCGACCGUUGCGUUGCUUCUCUUCUCGCUCUCACUUGCGUAUGUUAGCCACCAUAUAUGCUUAGUGCUUGCCGCAGCUCCACCAUAUUACCCCUUUUCCUACCUAUGAGCUUAAAUAGUCUUGAUCUCGCGGGUGUGAGAUUGCUGAGUCCUCGUGACUCACAGAUUCUACCAAAACAGAUGCAGGUGCCGUGGAUACCAACGCAGAUGGCACAACCGAGCUCAAGUGGGAGUUUGACGAGGACCUUGUCCGUUACUAUGUAUCGUUUCCAGAUGAUCAGUAGAGGUGCCCAGUCGGGACGAUCGGGGAUCUAGCAUUUGGGGUUGUCUUAUUUUCAUUUGAAUUUGACCGUAGCCGGUCUAUGAGUGUAUUUGAAUGAUGUAUGAUCUUAAUUAUGUAUUGUGUGAAGUGGCGAUUGUAAGCCAACUCCCUUUAUCCCAUUCUUGUUCAUUACAUGGGAUUGUGUGAAGAUGACCCUUCUUGCGACAAAACGACCAUGCGGUUAUGCCUCUAAGUCGUGCUUCGACACGUGGGAGAUAUAGCCGCAUCGUGGGUGUUACAGCUACCCUGUGACAUGUCUUGCUAUCAUGACCGUGCAAGAGUCAACACCCUUCCUACUUUUAACCACAUGGUGGGCCCAUAACCCACAGUUCCACAGGAUCAAAACCUGACUCUCCUGUACAGCCCUGUUACUAAUGGUUAUUUCCCACGCUUGGCUUCGUAUUUAAUUCAUGGGCCACCUUCCUAAUGCUCUAUUCUGGUAUCAAACGCAAUACUUACUCUCGUUGCUCUGAACCCCUUUCUCACUCCGGUUCAGACUUCGAGCAACUAUCUAUCCGCUUGGAACCUCUUAUUGUACCUUCGUACCUUACCCUCGACAUAUUUUAUUGGUUCAGCUCGAGAGAUACUCUUAUGCUCAUUCAUGGGUUAACCCCAGAUUGUCUCCCUCAUAAGCAUUCUGUCGUAGCCGAGCUGCCCCUUACCUAUUUGUAAGUACGUUGGAGUUCCCGAAGAAAAGGACGACUUCACCAUGAUGACCUGAAGCACAGAAAUAAAGAUGUCAAUGUAACGGAUCGACCUCUUCGAGAAGAGCAACCAAAGACGAGAAGACCCGUUAGAAUUUCGUAACCAAAAUUUUCCCCUUAGUCCCCCUCUUAAAUCUCGGGACGAGAUUUCUUGUAGUGGAGGAGAAUUGUGACGCCCGGAUAAUCAAGCUACAGUAACCUCUGUUAAUGAUGCCACGUCUCCACUAUUACUGUUGCUAACCUCGCAAUGAUUCGAAACUUUUUCAAAUUCAACUUCAAAUUAAUGUCAAACGACAAAGUUUUCAAAAUAUUAAACUAAAAUAUUCGGAGUGUGCAGUUAAAUGCCUAGGUGAUUAUAGUGCAACGAACACCCUUUUUGAAAAUGUCUAAAUAUAUUAAAAUGAAAUAAAACAAAAAAAUGAAAUAAAUAAAUAAAUAAAAGGAAAAGACAAAUCUAACUAAAAAUAAAAAGAGGCCCCCCCCCCACUGGGCCAUUUGUGGCCCAGCUAGCCAGCCCAACUGGGCAAAGGCCCAGCCGGCUGACCCACUCCCUCCAUAUCCCCACCAGGGAGGAAACCCUAAACCACGACCCACCUCACUCCCCACCCCCACGAUCCCACUCCCCCUCUGCUCCCCCCGAAUCUGGAUCGGGAAUGGGGCACCUGACGCCGAUGCCCCAGCUCGUCCCCGCCGNNNNNNNNNNNNNNNNNNNNNNNNNNNNNNNNNNNNNNNNNNNNNNNNNNNNNNNNNNNNNNNNNNNNNNNNNNNNNNNNNNNNNNNNNNNNNNNNNNNNNNNNNNNNNNNNNNNNNNNNNNNNNNNNNNNNNNNNNNNNNNNNNNNNNNNNNNNNNNNNNNNNNNNNNNNNNNNNNNNNNNNNNNNNNNNNNNNNNNNNNNNNNNNNNNNNNNNNNNNNNNNNNNNNNNNNNNNNNNNNNNNNNNNNNNNNNNNNNNNNNNNNNNNNNNNNNNNNNNNNNNNNNNNNNNNNNNNNNNNNNNNNNNNNNNNNNNNNNNNNNNNNNNNNNNNNNNNNNNNNNNNNNNNNNNNNNNNNNNNNNNNNNNNNNNNNNNNNNNNNNNNNNNNNNNNNNNNNNNNNNNNNNNNNNNNNNNNNNNNNNNNNNNNNNNNNNNNNNNNNNNNNNNNNNNNNNNNNNNNNNNNNNNNNNNNNNNNNNNNNNNNNNNNNNNNNNNNNNNNNNNNNNNNNNNNNNNNNNNNNNNNNNNNNNNNNNNNNNNNNNNNNNNNNCUCGAUGUGAGCACGCGCCCCUCCUCUCUCUCCCUCACCCGCGACCACGCGAGCCCCGCCAUGGCCGCGCGCGCCGACCCCGGCCGUUGCUCCUCCCCACGGUCGCUCGUGCUCACCACCGCCACUCCCGCCGAGCACCGCUGCUCCCCACGGCCCUACUCGCCUGCCCGCGCGCGCCCGCCGUGGCCGCGUCCGGCCACUGCACUCCGCCCCGCCUCUGUAGUCCCGUCGCCGCCCGCCGGCCGGACCCUGCUCCAGCAAUGGCCUCGCCAUGGCCACUGACCUCCCCUGCGCCGGUGCCCUGCCGGGUUCGCCCAUACUGGGCGUGCGCCCGCUCGGGCGCGUCAGACGCCCCCGCCCGCUAUCGGCGCCCGAUUGGCCCCUUGGGGCCACAGGCAUGUGGGGCCCCGCCCCAGAACGUUUACAAAAAAAUAAGAAAAAUAAUAUAUAAAAUAAAAUUAAUAAUAAUUGAAUUAAUUAAUUAAUUAAUUAACUUAAUAAAUCUUGUUUAGAUUAACCUAAUCAUUUAGUUAGACUAACUAAACCUGAUUAGUUAGUCUUAGCCUAUGGCAUGCAGGACCCACAUGUCAGGUUGACCAAUCAACUCUGUUGACUGCUGAUGUCAGCAUGACCUCAUGCUGAUGUCAUUAAUCCAUUUUCCGAAUUAAUUUAAAUAAUUAAUUAAAUUCCAGAAAUUCAUAAAAUCUUUAGAAAAUCAUAACUUUUAAUCCGUAACUCGGAUUAAAUUAUUUUCAACAUGAAAGUUGCUCAAAACGACGAGACGAAUCCGGAUAUACAGCCCGUUCGUCCGCCACACAUCCCUAACCUAUCGAACUCGCAACUUUCCCCCUCCGGUUUAUCUGUCCAAAAACGCGAAACACCAGGGAUACUUUCCCGGAUGUUUCCCCCUUCACCGGUAUCACCUACUACCGCGUUAGGGCACACCGAACACCGCGUAUUGUCUUCUUAUGCUUUGUGAUGCUUUGAUUACUCUGUUAUUUAUUGUGUUCCCUCACCGUUACUUCUUUCCGAUAGACCCCGAGACUGCCGGCGACCCCCAGUUCGACUACGGUGUUGGUGACUCGUCCUUCUUGCCAGAGCAACCAGGAAACCCCCCCCCCCCUGAUCACCAGAUAUCGCCUAUUCUUCUCUAUACUGCUUGUAUUAGAGUAGUGUAGCAUGUUACUGUUCGGUUACUCCUAUUCUGUUGCAUAGCCUGUCAUUGUUGCUACAGUCAUUGAUACCUUACCCGCAAUCCUAAAUGCUUAGUAUAGGAUGCUAGUUUAUNNNNNNNNNNNNNNNNNNNNNNNNNNNNNNNNNNNNNNNNNNNNNNNNNNNNNNNNNNNNNNNNNNNNNNNNNNNNNNNNNNNNNNNNNNNNNNNNNNNNNNNNNNNNNNNNNNNNNNNNNNNNNNNNNNNNNNNNNNNNUUGCAUUAGAGUAGUGUAGCAUGUUACUGUUCGGUUACUCCUAUUCUGUUGCAUAGCCUGUCAUUGUUGCUACAGUCAUUGAUACCUUACCCGCAAUCCUAAAUGCUUAGUAUAGGAUGCUAGUUUAUCAUCAUUGGCCCUACAUUCUUGUCAGUCUGCCUUGCUAUACUAUUGGGCCGUGAUCACUUGGGAGGUGAUCACGGGUAUAUACUAUUCAUAUAUACAUACUAUACAGAUGAUGACUGAAGUCGGGUCAGCUCGUUGAGUACCCGCAAGUGAUUCCGAUGUGGGGGCUGGAAGGACAGGUGGUUCCAUCCCGGUAGAGGUGGGCCUGGGUUCCCGACGGCCCCCGACUGUUACUAUGUGGCGUUGCGACAGGGCAGGUUGAGACCACCUAGCCGAGAGGUGGGCCUGGCCCUGGUUGGCGUCCGCGGUUAUUUCAUAAUAACAUGCUUAACGAGAUCUUGGUAUUUGAUCUGAGUCUGGCCACUGGCCUAUACGCACUAACCAACUACGCGGGAACAGUUAUGGGCACUCGAUGUCGUGGUAUCAGCCGAAGCCUUCUUGACGCCAGCGACGGAGCGGCGCGCGCCGGAUUGGACUGGAACGCCUACUCUUGUAUAAGAGAGGCUAGGUCUGCUUCCGACCGCCCUCGCAACGUGUAGGUGUGCAAUGGGUGAUGGGCCUAGACCCCUGUGCACAUAGGAUUUAGACCGGCAUGCUGACCUCUCUAUUGUGCCUAGUGGGGCUGCGACGUGUUGAUUUUCCGAGGCCGGGCAUGACCCAGGAAAGUGUGUCCGGCCAAAUGGGAUCGAGCGUGUUGGGUUAUGUGGUGCACCCCUGCAGGGAAGUUAAUCUAUUCAAAUAGCCGUGAUCUUCGGUAACAGGACGACUUGGAGUUGUACCUUGACCUUAUGACAACUAGAAUCGGAUACUUAAUAAAACACACCCUUCUAAGUGCCAGAUACAACCCGGUGAUCGCUUUUCCACAGGGCGACGAGGGGAGGAUCGCUGGGUAGGAUUAUGCUAUGCGAUGUUACUUGGAGAUGCUACUUGGAGGACUUCAGUCUACUCUCUUCUACAUGCUGCAAGACGGAGGCUGCCAGAAGCGUAGUCUUCAAUAGGGCUAGCUAUCCCCCUCUUAUUCUGGCAUUCUGCAGUUCAGUCCACCGAUAUUGCCUUUUUACACAUAUACCCAUGCAUAUAUAGUGUAGUUCCUUGCUUGCGAGUACUUUGGAUGAGUACUCACGGUUGCUUUCUCCCCCCUUUUCCCCCUUUCCUUUCUUUCUGGUUGUCGCAACCAGAUGCUGGAGUCCAGGAGCCAGUCGCCACCGUCGACGAUGAUUCCUACUACACUGGAGGUGCCUUCUGCUACGUGCAGGCUGCUGACGACGAUCAGAAGUAGUUAGGAGGAUCCCAGGCAGGAGGCCUGUGCCUCUUUCGAUCUGUAUCCCAGUUUGUGCUAGCCAUCUUAUGGCAACUUGUUUAACUUAUGUUUGUACUCAGAUAUUGUUGCUUCCGCUGACCCGUCUAUGAUCGAGCACUUGUAUUCGAGCCCUCGAGGCCCCUGGCUUGUAUUAUUAUACUUGUAUGACUUAUUUAUGGUUUUAGAGUUGUGUUGUGAUGUCUUCCCGUGAGUCCCUGAUCUUGAUCGUACACGUUUGCGUGCAUGAUUAGUGUACGAUUGAAUCGGGGGCGUCACACAUUGGUUCUUCUCUUAUGGCAUCACGCGGUAGAUCAAGCGACAACCAGGAUAGUAUUGGCAGUGGGCCCAGGUGGCAUUGGAGCACAGCGAUGCCUUCGUUUUUCCAGCGUGAGAAUAUGAUCUUUUAUGCCUCUUGCUCGACUUCUUUGGUGCCUAGGGUUUGAAGAUUUUUGGGAUGCCCUCCUUAAUUACCUCUUGCCGUUGUGGGUCAUUGGACCAUUAAUGCCCAACAUGUUCUUCGUUGGCGCACCUAUAUUUUUGAGAUCAUGACCCAUUAGUGGAUUCUUCCUUUUUAUUUUAUUCAACUAUGGUAGAAUUUUUUUACUAACAUUUCAUUCUAAUGGCAAUUAGUUUCGUAUUCGUGUAUACAACCAUGCAUCCAUAUCUAUAGCUUGUGCGAUCUCCAUAACGACAACACAACGCCAUGGCUAUGCGAUUGUCUCCAUCAAAGACACACACAGAGAGAGAGAGAGAGAGACACAGAGAGAGAGAGAGAGAGAGAGCACUGGGGUAUAGGGAAAGCGAGAUUUUCACGGUUGUAACUAAGAAAGAGAGAAAGAGAGAAAUAGAGAGAUUUUCAUGGGCGAGAAAAUACUUUCACAUGAGAGAGGGAGAGAGAUUUUCAUGGGAGACAAAUACUAUCAAGAGAGAGGGAGAGAGAGAGAGAUUUCAUGGGAGAUAAAUACGAGAGAGAGAGAGAGAGAGAGAGAGAGAGAGAGAGAGUUUAAUGGGAAUAAUUGAAAGCGAGACAUUUUCGUUGUAUGGAUUUUUCUGAGAAGUGUUCGUGAGAGAUUUACAUACGAGAUACAAAAGAAUUUAGUUUUGCUCAUUUCUUGAAUAGGCUUUAGAAGUAUAUAAUGAAAUGGUGUGCACACUCGUUGUACCCUGACUACAAAAGUUAUCGAUAUUUAUUUAGAUCUGCAACACAUAAUGUAAUUAUUGACUAACUGGAUUAUUUAUGGACAAAAAAUGGUUGUUGUAAUAAUGUAUACAUACUAUUGUUUCUCGGAUUUUGUUAUAACUAUAUGCAUGGACAUUUUGAUAUGAUACAUAUAUAAUAUUUUAAAGAUGGGGUUAUUAACAUAUGGAACUAAAUGAAUAUGCCGAGAACUAAUGAUUUUCUGCCGCGACGAUUCAUUGACAGUGCUAUGGUAGCGGUUACUUCCACGAUAUGACAAUUUUGCCGCCACGAUAGUGUUUUAAUCGUGUAUCCCAUUGCAACGCACGUGUAAUUUCCUAGUAUUUAUUUAAUUCCUUGCCGAGGAUUGGUUUCCUUGCUCCCUUUUGUGUGCUUGGGGGCCAAAAUUUUGUAGCAACAUCAGUGUUUUCCUUCCGCUAAGACUAAUGCAUCGUUUAUUUUCCGUCCUUCGAAUGAUACGGAUGGAAAUUUUCCUUCUGGAUGGACUAUCGUGAAAUUUAUAAUUUUUAAUUAUUUCUCUUCAUUCCAAUCGAACAUGCACCAAAUCAUUCAUUUCCUUCCACUCAAACGAAUUCUGAAUCAAAUGUUCCUUGCUCACUAGCUCGUUUGUAUUGGGCACCAAAAGUAUGGUUUAAGGCUAGCCUUUUUUCCCUCUGAUGUUUUUUUCUACUAUUUGGACCUGGAAGUAAUGCAUUCGCAUGGAGUACUUCUGUACACCGCUCCUGUUAUGUAUCAUCAUGUCAUUUCCGUAUGACAAGGAAAAGCUACAACAUGUCCUUCACUCUCGCAUUCUCUUCGGUGGAACAUAAUGCUCGAGAAUGCUGCCAACUUCAAUGGACAAAUUGUAUGGAGCGUUGUGUCCUUUUUCGGCUUCUACAUAGUGGUCGGUCGGCUGUGCGGUGCUUCAAGGACGGCGAACACAUGUGUGGCAAGUAGUAAGAGGUCAUGUUACGAGCGGAGGCAGAACUUGGUGCCAACCCGUUGACUGUGGUCAGCUGAGCUCAUGACACCAAUGAUUGCAAAGUAUGUGGCCAAAGGCGUUUGGUGAGGCGCCCGGCACGACGGAGGGCUAGAAUUGGAGAGGCUCAGUGUUGCAACCGACACAAAAAAAGCUGGAACCAGAGGAACUUAGUGGUGCAACCUAACAUGGCGGCGAGCCUUAGCAACUACAACCAGAGGCGCCCGGUACUGCAACCGGCACGAUGACGAGUUGCAACCAGUAAUGAAGCAUUGUAAUUUGAAUGCUAGAUACUUAUACUAUUCAGUUUUGAAAAUAAUUUUAAUAUACUUGCAUUGAGAUGGGUGGGCGUGGCAACAUCUUUUAUGUUCUAGUAGGAAUGUUAGAACCGAUUGUCGCCUAGAGCAAGUCAUAGGCAAUCCUUUGGGAGCAUGCCAAGGAGAUGCCCAAUAUGUAAAUGGAACCAUGCACCAAAUCUUUGUCCUGGUCUUUGGGAGAAUUGGUAUACAUUUGGAAUGUUUAUGCACAUUCGGUAUGAGUGUCCAAAUAAAGAGUGAAAUGUACCACCAGCCCAUAAACUCAAACCGAUUACACAUUUUAAGCCUAUAACUCAGGAACUGAUAGAAUAUAGUCCGUAAACUCGUUAAUUUGAUCGAAUAAGGCCAAAACUGGCCCGAGAGGGAAAAACCCGGCCAUGUGGAUGCCAUGUCAUCGUUCCUUUGACCGCUUAUGAAUUAGCUAUUUUUUUAAGGAUCUAUCUGUAAAUUGGUUGGGUUCUUAUUCACAACCCAUGCUAAGGGCGUUGGACUGAAAAGAAUAUGCACCUCAAAUUGUAUAUAUUCACGUAGAAUCAGGAGAAAAGACUGAAGAUCCCAUCCGAUCGUUUUCCAAUCACGCGAUUUCUUUCCUUCUGUUGCAUCGACUACUGUUUGUUCCUAGAUCAUAGCGUUCCCUUCCCUUCUGGUUUGUCUUAUGUGACUUGUCCAUCACGCGACGGAGAUCGGCAAUUGACCACGGUGCCGUCUACCUGCAGAUGAUUCACUUUUGUAUUCUCUGAAAUCCACUUAUUAUAUAUAGAUAUUUCACACGGUUCUGUGCAGAUAUAUAUAAGUUAGGCUGUAUUUUGAUACAUAAAUCAUUUUAUGGUGUGCUGUUUUGGAUUCCGAUACCUUACCCAGUUGUCAUGGGUUCAAGUCCUACAAAACAUAGUUUUUUUUAAAUCUACUGACACUAGUAGAAAAAGGGCCUAAUGUGAAGCUCAUUAGGCCCGGUUUGUAUUUGAACCGGCACUAAUAUGACCAUUAGUGUCGGCUGCAACGGCUAGGCGGGCGGCUCACAUUAGGUGGUGGCAGGCUUUUGUCAGGCUGGGGCCCCACCAGCACCUCUAGUACCGGUUCAUGCCAUGAACCGGGACUAGAAAUGCACCUUUAGUCCUGGUUCGUCUAACAAACCGGUACUAAAGGUCUUCCUAUAUAAACCCCUUCGUUCAUCCCGAGCGCUCUGUUCUUCGCCUUUCCUCUCCUCUGUGUUCUUCCUCUUCCUCUCGAGCUCAUACUUCUUUUUUGCCAAAAUUUGGGAAGAUUUGCAGUCACCCCAUCCAUCCAAGUGAUCACAAAGGUUAGCAACUUUGUCCUUCCAUCUCUCAUUGCUAGAUUAGCUCUUGCAGUGCUCUAUAAGUAUAGUGAUUUGUGGGUUUUAUUUUGGGAGGAAUUAUAUGUGUUAGUAUCUGAUUUACAUGCAAUUUGAGGUCAAAAUAACUCUUAGUUUGCAUAUGUAGGUGUGGUUUACUUAGUGCCUUCCCGUCUCCAUCCUAACCACCAUCGAUCGCCCGCACCGACCCGUCGCCGGCUCCACCUUCCAGUGAGCCUCUUGUUCUUAUCUUUUUCAUAUAAAAGAAUCAUGUUUAUGUGAUAUAGAUAUAUAGUUACUUGUAUAAUUAUCUUACCCGUACGUUGUUUGUUAUAUAUAGUGCCAUGGUUUUGAUAUCCGUCCCCAUCGGCCCUCGUCCGGGUUAUGAUUCGGAUGUGGUAUAUUCUCUUUUAUAACUAUUUGUUGCAUUUCAUGUUUAUGACAAAUUAUGCCCAUCAAGUUGACAUAGAUAUUUUUAUCUAGGAGGUAUGUGAACCACAAACUCCAACCAACCCUAUUGUCGAGAGGUUAAAUUUAGUUGAAAAAGAAAACGAGUAUUUAAAAGAAAAAUUGAAAAAAAUUGAGGGGGAGAAGAUGGAAUUGGAUUUGCAUGUUGCCGAUGCCGUCUAUGAUCACAAGAUCGAGAUGGAGAAAAUGCGCUUGAAGAUUAGAAAGAUUAGAAAAUAUACCAUCGAUAGUGAGGCUUGGUAUCAUUAUGUUGUUGCAUCAAUUGUUACCUUAAUUGCGAUCUUGAUCGCAUUUGUUGUUGCAUUUAAAUGCUUUACCUAGAGAGUUAUAUGUAUGUUGUUUUAUGAGAAUAAGUGUUGUAUGAACUUUAUGUAUGAACUUGUAUUAAUUUGAUCUUUUUGGUGCAGCGUAAUGAAGAUGAGCCGACAAUGGAUGUACGAUGACCGAUGCUCUCCCCAGUUCAUUAAUGGUGUGCAUACUUUUGUACUUGCAGCUGAGGCAAACAAGCGGGCAUUCUACUAGUAAUGAUAGGAUCCAAGAGAAAUGAUUUAGUCAAUGGUACUGUGAGGACAUGCUUAUCCACAUUUCACUCACUUACAUAUGGUACCCAAUGUGCCAACCUUGCAUGGAGUUGCUUGACUAUUGGUUUCACGAAAUCAAUGGCACUGCCAAGCAUAUUUUGUUGUUUAUUUUUUCUGUGUGUAUUUGACUUCAUCAGAAAGGAAAAUACCUUUGUUUUGUUUUUCUUGAUGCUAAUCGAUGAACUAACUUUUGCACAGCUGAUGACCAUAUAUAUUUUACUGAGUGCUAGAUCAUAAUAUUCCAUUUAACCUUUUUUUUGUGAUGAUUAGUUGCACUUAAUAAGAAUAUGGACACAAAUUGUUUAAUCAUUCAAUUCACCAGGGUUGAUGAAUAUGCUAGACUGUGGGACCUUCCCUAGACACAAGCUUUUGUGGGUGUCAUCGUGUUUUCAUACUCAGGUAGCCACAACUUUGUCCAUACACUCACAUGAAGAACUAAUUUCGUCCAUAUGUUUUCUAUUAUGAUAUUUGAAGAUUGCUAAUUAUCAUGCUAGGAAGUGUGACUGUCUUCCCUUUUAGAAAAAUAGGCACACAAAUGGCUGCAGAUGAGGGGUGCCAACUUCUAGGGAAGUGAUGCUGGGAAGAGAUGCAUUUCGUGCCAACCAUGUUGUGUGUAUGCAGGCGAAGAGGCUGGUCGAUCUGACACUGAAGACGAUACCGGGGGGCAUGGGGAGAGAUGAUCACUGAGGAUGUCGUUGCUAUAGAAGAGGAACUCAGAGAAUUUUUUUUGAACCGCUGAAACAGUAGGAGAGGUGAGGGAGUCCUGGACUGGGGGGUGUCCGGAUAGCCGAACUAUCAUCAUCGGCCGGACUCCAAGACUAUGAAGAUACAAGAUUGAAGACUUUGUCCCGUGUCCGGAUGGGACUUUCCUUGGCGUGGAAGGCAAGCUUGGCAAUACGGAUAUGUAGAUCUCCUACCAUUGUAACCGACUCUGUGUAACCCUAGCCCUCUCCAGUGUCUAUAUAAACCGGAUGGCUUUAGUCCGUAGGACAAAGAACAAUCAUACCAUAGGCUAGCUUCUAGGGUUUAGCCUCCUUGAUCUAGUGGUAGAUCUACUCUUGUAAUACCCACAUCAUCAAUAUCAAUUAAGCAGGACGUAGGGUUUUAGAUCCAUCAAGAGGGCCCGAACCUGGGUAAAACAUCGUGUCCCUUGUCUCCUGUUACCAUCUGCCUAGACGCACAGUUCGGGACCCCCUACCCGAGAUCCGCCAGUUUUGACACCGACAUUGGUGCUUUCAUUGAGAGUUCCUCUGUGCCGUCACCGAUAGGCUCGAUGGCUUCUUCGAUCAUCAACAACGACGCAGUUCGGGGUGAGACCUUCCUCCCCGGACAGAUCUUCGUAUUCGGCGGCUUUGCACUGCGGGCCAAUUCGCUUGGCCAUCUGGAGCAGAUCAAAAGCUACGCCCCUGGCCGUUAGGUCAGAUUUGGAAGUUUGAACUUCACAGCUGACAUCCGCGGGGACUUGAUCUUCGAUGGAUUCGAGCCACAGCCGAGCGCGCCGCACUGUCACGACGGGCAUGAUUUAGCUCUGCAGCCGGACAGUACCCUGGAGGCCGCCCACGAGUCCGCUCCGAUCUUCAAUUCGGAGCCGACUGCUCAGAUCGAGGACGGGUGGCUAGACACCGCCUCGGGGGCUGCAACCUCUACAGCGAUAGAGCCGAACACUGACCUUGUUCCUCACGAAGCUCGUGGCUCCGAGGUGCCAGACUCCUCGCCGAACUCCGAACCUCCCGCGCCCCUCCAAUCGAAUCCGAUUGGGCACCGGUCAUGAAGUUCGCCGUUGCGGACAUCUUUCAACACUCACCUUUCGGCGACAUCUUGAGUUUGCUAAAGUAUCUCUCGUUAUCAGGAGAGCCCUGGCCGGACUACGGUCAGGACGGUUGGGAUGCGGACGACAAAGAAAUUCAAAGCCCACCCACCACCCACUUAGUAGCCACUGUCGACGAUCUAACCGACAUGCUAGACUUCGACUCCGAAGACAUCGACGGUAUGGACGACGGUGCCGGAGACGACCAAGAACCAGCGCCUACUGGGCACUGGAAAGCCACCUCAUCAUAUGACAUAUACAUGGUGGAUACACCAAAAGGAAGCGACAACGAGGAACAACGGGACGUGGCGAAGGACAACUCCCCCAACAAACAACCAAAACAGCGACACAAGCGCCGCCCGAAGUCCCGCCUCGAUAGCAACGACACCCAUACUGACCCAGCCUUAGAGCAGGGUGAAGCGGUGGACGACGAACAUGCCACCAAGCAACCAUCCGAAUAGGAUGGAUCGGACAAGCAACCCAUCCCCGGCGAAAACAACAGUCCAGACGAUCUCACGCCCGACAAACCACCGGAGCAUAAGAACCUUCAUAAAAGGCUCAUUGCCACUGCAAGAAGUCUGAAGAAGCAAAAGCGGAAGCUCAAAACAGCGGAGGAUGCACUCAAAAUGAGAUGGAGCAAAGUACUCAAUACCGCAGAUAAAUACGGCAAUAGUCACCAGGCGAAGAGCUACCCGAAGCGCAAGUUGUUGCCCGAAUUUGACGAGGAGGCCGUAGAGCCCCCACAGUCAAAAAACAAAGACGCCGCCUGGCCGGAUAGACGACCAGAUGACAGGCUAAGAGCGGCAAGGGGCGCCGCACACAAACCGGCACACGAUCCACAUAAAGAUCCUCGCAAAAAAGAUGGCCCGGUUAGGUCCAUCUACGGGCCAAAAAAGAAGACUCCAGGGAGCAAUACAACCCGCCGAGUGUUUGAAGACAACGGCACACCUAAAUACAGGGUCGCUGCACACCCACUAUGUUUCACCGAUGAGGUACUGGACCAUUAAUUUCCAGCGGGAUUCAAACCCGUCAACAUAGAGGCAUAUGACGGAACAACAGACCCCGGAGUCUGGAUUGAGGAUUAUAUCCUACACAUACAUAUGGCCAGAGGAGACGAUCUCCAUGCCAUAAAAUACCUACCCCUCAAGCUCAAAGGGCCAGCUCGGCAUUGGCUCAAAAGCCUCCCAGAAAAUACCAUUGGAAGUUGGGAGGAGCUCGAGGAUGCGUUUCGAGCAAAUUUUCAGGACCGCCCUCCGGAUGUAGACGAUUUAAGUCACAUAACUCAACAGCCCAGAGAGUCAGCACAAAAAUUCUGGAACAGGUUCCUCACCAAAAAGAACCAAAUAGUCGACUGUCCGAACGCCGAAGCCUUAGCAGCCUUUAAACACAACGUCCGAGACGAAUGGCUCGCCAGACAUCUCGGCUAGGAAAAACCAAGAACAAUGGCCGCACUAACAAGCCUCAUGACCCGCUUUUGCGCGGGGGAAGACAGCUGGCUGGCUAGAUGCAGCACCAGCGACCCGAGUAUAUCCGAAGUCAGGGAUGGAAAUAGGAAAUCACGACGCAGAAAAGAUCAGCGUCGGAAUAAGGAAAAUGGCCCAAAUAGCACGGCGGUCAACGCCGGAUUCAAAAGCUCUCGGCCGAAUAAUAAAACACUGCCCCUCAAGGACAACAGUGAUGAGCUAUCCAACCUAUACAAAAUUUUGGAUAGGGUAUGUCAAAUACAUAGUACCCCCGGGAAGCCUGCAAACUAUACCCACAGAGAUUGUUGGGUCUUCAAGCAGUCCGGCCGACUUAACGCCGAACGCAAGGGGUUCGACACACCAAGCGAAGACGACGAACCCCACAAGCAGCACGCCGGAAAACAGAAGACUUUCCCACUAGAAGUCAAAACAGUAAACUCGCUUCAUAUGAUAACACAGAAACAUAGUACGGCACCUGCUAUACCAGGACACCGUCCGCAGAAUGGGGAUAGACCCUACCGAAAUUCACCAUAGCAGCACUUCCUUCAAAGGAGUGACGCCUGGCCUUUACUCCAAAUGUACAGGCUCUGUACCACUAGAGGUCGUGUUCGGUUCAUCCGACAACCUCCGUCGCGAAAAGCUCAUUUUCCAUAUCGCCCCAUUCAAAAGUAGCUAUCAAGCACUACUGGGACGCGAAGCAUUCGCCCGCUUUAACGCAAUACCGCAUUACGCGCCUCUUACACUUAAAUUGCCUGGUCCAUACGGCAUAAUCUCAGCAAAGAGUAAAUCUGAGUGUUCCUCGACCACGGGAAAAGUAAGACUGCGUUGACAGCCGCACACUAAGCCGACCUUGCUGGUCAAAGCCCUAAAAACAGGUCAUUCAGACCUUGGACACGGUUAGGCGAGUCCGGCAUAAAUAAACAAGGGGCUUCACCGCCGCAUACCCCUUUACAAGGGGCUGCACGUAUAAACAAUGAGAGCCAAUAAAGCUCAAAUUCAUCAUAAUCUAUUUUAAUUACACCUCUUGCACGAUAUUUUUUCCAAACUAAGUUCUUCUCCUUUACAGAUGAAGCGCGUGCUACACCCGUCCAGGAUACGGCACAAAGGAGACACAGGCGCAGACGUGCAGCAGGGACCCGUUACAAGGAUUCUUUUCAGAUUAAGACCCUGCGUAAACCUUUCUUACUGUCUCUUGUUGAUACACAUCUCCCGGUUUCUUACCAUAACCGAGGAGGAGGCUGGCGUUUUGGCAUCGGCCGCGUCAGAAGUUCCCGCCCGUACCUGGACACUAGGGGCUUAGGGCAUUGUUCUACCCGGUAUCAUAAAGACUGAACACCUCAGGGAGUGCUCGGCGUCUCGAGUUAGGCCUUAUAUGCAUCAGCUCUGAAUCAUGUCUUUGGUCAAAUGUUGGGUUUGCCCGGCUCCUGUGUUUUGCUGCCUUACGUUUCGCACCAUCGGCUAACGCGGCACCAGGAGAACUACUGCGAUUGUGCCCCAGUUCGGCCGGGCGAGCACCUCAGUAGAGAAAGCCGAAAACUGACUGUCAUGAUAUAGCAAGAAACUGGUCAACCACUCGAUCGACCACUGGAUUGUUUAGAAUUCCUCCGCUUUGACGAAGGACCGCUUCCCGGUCAGGCACAUACGUGCCCCGAGUUCGGAGAAGCGCGGUGCCUCUAGGGGCUAUAUAGUAGCCCCACCUUCGAGCUCCUAUGGCUAAGUGAAAGUGAUAAAGCAUUAUAGUCCGAUUGCCUAGUUUGCUACGCUAUCACCUCCUUCAAAGGACCAAGACGUUGGAUUAAGUGUGAAAAAGCGCUUUUCUUUUUGCAAACACCCCCACACCAUGUGCAUGGGGGCUGAAGCCAAAGACUGCCAUCUUUUAGGUUAUAUAUACAUAUACGGCCGCACAGGAGAUAGUUCAAUACUUGAACGCACAAGUAUAAAAAGCUAUUGCAUUAUAAACAUGAUCUCACAAAUCAUACACGUCAUUUGAACAUAACAUUUUUCGAGCACUGCGACUCUAUUAAAUGAGCGCCCUGCAGGACUUCCUCAAAAUAGUGCUCGGCGGGUAAUCGGCCUUUGUCCGAACCCCGGGAUGCAACAACGGUGGCAUCCAUCUCCGCCCAGUAUGUCUUAACACGGGCGACAGCCAUCCGUGCACCUUCUAUGCAUGUCGACCGCUUCAUCGCCUUGAUAUGCGGCACCGCCCCAAGGAAUUGCUGCAACAAGCCAAAAUAACUAUCAGGCUUGGGCCUUUCCGGCCACAGAUGAGCGACCACAUCCGUCAUGGCAAGUCCGGACAAUCUAUUCAGCUCAGCCCACUCAGCCAGCCGAUCAGUCAACGGAAGUGGACGCUCCGGACUAUGAAAUUGAGACCAGAAAAGCUCUUCCAUUUCGUGAUCCUUCUAGCUUCGAAAGUGCACGACUGCGUCCGCCGCACUCGCCGCCAAAUCCAGAUAAGGAUCCUCCGCACCACACAAUUGGCCCAACUGAGCAUACUUCGGAUCCGUGAACAUCCUACGCAGCAGAAAGGGCUUUCCAGCCGCAAUGUAUCCGGCUUGACGCAGUUCCUCCUUCAUAGCCCGCAUCACACUACGGGCAUCCUUGGCUUCGGCGGCGGCCUUCUUCAGGCCCUCUCGCUCCACUCGGCGUUCUCUUUCAAGAACCUCAUAGCGGUCGGUAGCAUCUUUUAAUUUCACGGCCAUUCCGGCCAUCUCCUCCCUGCUUCAGCAGUGAGCAGCCUUUUCGGCUUUUAGCUCUUCCACUGCCUUCGAGGCAGCCGCAUCACCUUUCCUGGCUUGCUCCUUGGCUCGAGCGAGCUCUGCCCGAAGGUCUUCCACAGCAGCAGCACCAUCUGCAUCAAGCAUACAAAUUGUAAUGAACGGGCAUUAGCUCCCUUACUAGGUGACCGCGGAGCAACCACCUACCUUGCGACUCGUUAAGUCGUUUAUUGACCAGCGCGAUGUCCGCAUCCGCAACGUCAAGUUGCCGCUUCAGCUCGGCAACUCCAUCAGUCCGGAUGGCCACCGAACGUUCCGCCACCUGCAUAGAAAAGGCGACAUUCUAUAACUAAGAUUAUGAUCCUCGGUACGCGGUCGCUUUCGACAGCAUACCAAGUCUCAGGGGCUACUAUCUAUACAGGGCGCGCUCCAUGUGCAAAACUGUUAAAAGGUAUGUCAUUUUUUGCGUACCUCAAGCCCCGUCAGCAAACUUCCGACGGCCUCAUGCAACCCGCUCUCGGCGGAUGAGAUCCUUUCAAUCACCAUAUUCAUUAAUGUGCGGUGAUCUUCUGAAAUAGACGCCCUCUUGAGCAAAUCCUGCAGCUCCACCGGCCGUACCUCAGUGGGUGCCGAACUCCCCGGCCCCACCGGAUUCGGGGAGACCCUCCGUGACGACACCUCAGGGUCGUCCGCCCCGCCCGACGGGGCGGCAGAUGGAGGCGUUUCGCUCUCCAUCAUCUCCGGACGAAGGUCCCCCGAAGAUGAGCUCUGCUGAGAUGGGCUGAGAUCCGAACUACAAGGUGAAAACUUCGGUUACCCUUAGAAAUAAAGCAGGGGUGUCCCCUAUUACAAAAUUCCCCCUUUUUACUUACAGCUCGCUGGAGGGAUGAUUUCUCUGAGGAGACAGUGCAGCCGGGGCUCUUCCCGGCACAGGACCUUCCGAUGCAGAUUUCUUUCCCCGCUUUGAGGCCUUGGCCUCCGGGUCUCCGGAAGCGGUCCUCUUCUCCCCCUGGAAGGAGGGACUCUCGAUUCCCCCCUUUCUGAAAGCCUCCUUGGCAGAGGUGGUAGUUUCCCUGUGCCCCCCUUCUCCCUCCUCCGAAGGUGCAACCUCCAACAUUUUGAUUAACACGGGAUCCGGCGUGAUCUCAGGGAGGGGGCCGGACACCGUAUCAGUUUUGCUUGCGUUAUCCACUCAUGUCCAAGGGAUAGCUGGUUAAAAGGCAAACCCAUGAUAAAUAUAUGGACAAUGUGUCCGGACACAGGGCUACUUACUGAGUUAAUUGUACAGAAGUACCACAAUUGAAGCAUUACAUGCAGAUUGGUACCACUUUUCGUAAUUUUUACGUGUCAGUACCAAGUUUGGGGCGAGUCGUCACAAAAAGGUCUAAAUCGCGUAUAAACACGUAUUGACAGUGUAUCUGACCGAAGGGUCCCGCCUAUCAGGUGCCUAUGUGGCAGGUUUUUUGCAGGAAACCACCUAGCUUCAUAUGUAAUCACAUAAAUACCUAUUUAACAAACAAAUAACAGAAACGAAAAAUAUCACGCGCUAGGUUUCGAACCAGCGACCUGCCGUCGUAGCGCUGCGCCCGCUAGCCACAAAGCCACAGCAACGCGGUUGGUGAAACCCAGGCUCUACACUUAAUAUACGAGAGACGCACAAGCCACUAUUGCCUACAGGCCGGCCCACUAGUGUCCCUCAACCAAAUUUCUUUCUAUUCUUUUUUUCUUUUAACGGGUUUUCCUGUUUCUUUCUUUUUUCUUUUUCCCUUGUUUUGUUUUGCUGUUUCUGUUUCUGUUUAUUUUAUUUUAUCCUUUAUCCUUUUUUAUUUUUGUACUUUGUUUUCAAGAAAAUGUUUUGAAAUCCCAAAUUUUGAUCAUGAUUUCGAAACUCUUCAUGGUUUUAAAAUUUUGUUCACAUUUUGAAAAAUGUGCUCAUAAUUAAAAAAAUCAGUAUAGAUCACAAAAAUGUUCAAUGUGUAUAUAAAUAUAGUUCCGUGUAUAUCACAAAAAUGUUCUAGGUGUAGCAAAAAGUUGUUCAACAUACAUUAAAAAAUUUUCAAUGUAUAUGUAAAAAUGGUUCAGCGUAUAUCACAGAAAAUGUUCAAUGUGUAUUUAUUUAUUGUUCAGUAUAUUUCACAAAAAUUGUAAUGUGUAAUUAAAAUUUGUUCAUUGUACAUUACAAAAAUGUUCAAAUUAUAUUAAAAAAUGUACAACGGUCUAAAUUUCGACUUCUUUUGUCUAGCGUUGCAUUUAGUUCUUAAAUGUUCGCGCGGCCAAAAAUAACAUUUACACUCAAUAGAUCGACUGGCAAAGAACUGUUCCUUUCGAUCGCUGGUCUCGAGUUCGAUUCCUCGAUCCAUCGUAUUUUUUGUGGAAUUUUAGUAACGACUCGGUACGACGCAACGAGUGGGCUGACCCAUUAAGAAAGUGCCCAGCGCCAGCUCGUCUGUUUAAGGCCUCGCUAAGCCCAACUGCCGGCCGAACGUUUCGAACCGUUAUUAAAGAGAUAUCGCCUGCAUACCGUCGUGGGUGAAGCCCUGGCGGCUUGGCUAGCACGCGUAGCUGCAGAACCGCAGAUCGUGGGUUUGAAUCCUUCUGGCGCAUGAUUUUUCGUUUUUAUACUUUAUUUGUUCAAUAUGCCGGAAACUUUCAAACUAAUCUCUGAAAAACUUGCGAACGAAAAAAAAACCCUCUCAGCAGCCUUUUUUACCGUGAAAUAAUGGGCAUUUAUGUGAUUACAUACAAAGCUAGGGGGUUUUCUGCAAAAAAUCUGCCACAUAGGCACCCGAUAGGCAGGCCCGUCAGUUAGAUACACUAUUAAUACGUAUUUAUACGUGAUUUAGACCUUUUUGUAACGGCUCGCCCCAAACUUGGUACUGACAUGUAAAAAUUACGAAAAAUGGUACCAAUCUGCAUGUAAUGCCUCAAUUGUGGUACUCCUAUGCAAUUAACUCCUACUUACUUGAGUAUCCGGGCGAUUGCAGCUUAGGCCAGCAUCCUCGGUCAUGUCCGGACGCAUCUCUUGCGAUCCGAAGAAAAGUUUGUACAUCUCCACGGGCGUCAAACCCAUGAAGUGUUGGAGAGCCCAUGGCCCCUCCGAAUUAAAUUCCCACAGGCGGAGGGGGCGACGUUUGCAGGGCAGGAGACGCCUAAUCAGCAUAAUCUGUGCCACUACAACCAGAUUGAUCUCCCUUUCCUGGAGGCUUUGAAUCCGGCCCUGCAACAGGGGUAUGUCUUUGGACGGCCCCCAGUCGAGCCUCUUGUUGACCCAUGACGACAGCCGUUGUGGAGGGCCCUGGCGAAAGACGGGCGGCGGCCUCUGCCUGCUGCCCCUGGGAGCGGUGAUAUAGAACCACUCCUGUUGUCACAAACCGAGCUCCUCCUGAAAAGAGCCCUUGGGCCAUGGAGCAUCGGCCCUCUUGCUUAUAACCGCCCCGCCGCACUCUGCCUGACGCCCCUCGAUCAUCUUCGGCUCCACGUUGAAGGUUUUGAGCCACAGGCCGAAGUGACGGGUAGUGCGGAGGAAGGUUUCGCAGACGAUAAUGAAUGAUGAGAUGUGGAGGAUGGACUCCGGAGCCAAGUCAUGGAAUUCCAGCCCAUAGUAAAACAUGAGCCCCCUCGUGAAGGGAUCCAUCGGGAAGCCUAAACCCCGACGGAGGUGAUACACGAACACGACACUCUCGGCAGGCUCGGGAGGAGGAAUAACUUGCCCUCGGGUAGGCAACCUAUGUGAAAUCUCGUAGGUUAAGUACCUGGCGUCUCUCAGCUUUAGCACGUCCUCUUCUGUGACGGAGGAGGGCAUCCACCGGCCUCAUAGGUCGGAGCCGGACAUUGUCGAAGGUCGAAGGUACCCGAAUCUGGAGCCCUGGGUGUUGGAACUUGGGGCGAGGGGCGGCGGAUUCGAUUGAGGAUUGAAGAAAAAGAACGGGCCUUGGUCUCAUUAUAAAUAGGAAGAAUACCAAGAGCCAUCCCCGUGACCGUUUGGAACCCGCCUUCGAUGGAGGGGGCGUGGCAACGGGCGCAGUUGGGUUACCCACGUCCGUAUUUAUGAGAAUCCCGGAAUAAGGGGAACACAAUCUCUGCUUAGACAAGACGUGCCAAGGAAACCGCUUCGCUAAACACGCUGAGGUGGUACAAUAAAAACGAUUCGAGUAAAGGCUUGGAAGUGGUGUGACGUCACGCCACCAAAACGUCAGCAGAUUGAACUUGUGUAAAUAUUAUUCUCUCUACUGUGGUAUGCGGAAUUUAUUUUGCAGAGCCGGACACUAUCCUGGUGUUCACAAUCUUCUAUAAAUUAUUCGGAGAAGGAACCCGCCUUGCAAUGCCGAAGACAACAUGCGCGCCGAACUAUCAUCAUCGGCCGGACUCCAAGACUAUGAAGAUACAAGAUUGAAGACUUCGUCCCGUGUCCGGAUGGGACUUUCCUUGGCGUGGAAUGCAAGCUUGGCAAUACGGAUAUGUAGAUCUCCUACCAUUGUAACUGACUCUGUGUAACCCUAGCCCUCUCCGGUGUCUAUAUAAACCGGAUGGCUUUAGUCCGUAGGACGAAGAACAAUCAUACCAUAGGCUAGCUUCUAGGGUUUAGCCUCCUUGAUCUCGUGGUAGAUCUACUCUUGUAAUACCCACAUCAUCAAUAUCAAUCAAGCAGGACAUAGGGUUUUACCUCCAUCAAGAGGGCCCGAACCUGGGUAAAACAUCGUGUCCCUUGUCUCCUGUUACCGUCCGCCUAGACGCACAGUUCGGGACCCCCUACCCGAGAUCCGCCGGUUUUGACACCGACAAGAGGCUCCUACUGCAAAUAAAUUAAAGAAUCAGCAACUGUACAUGGUUUGUAUGUUACAAGGCCAUCCCACUUUGUGGGUGGGGGAGGGUAAAGGGCUAAGUUACAAUGUAGCUAAGUAUGAAAGCAAGAAGGGUUUAUUCUUAUCUCCCACCCUAUAGGUGAGGAGGGACAAGUCUUCUUUAAGUCUAGAGAGCCAAGAGCUUGUGGAUGGAGUAAUUCCUCUGAAGUUCUUGUUGUUCCUUUCCUUCCAAAUACUCCAAGCAGACUGGAGUAUGAUUUCCACAAAUAAUGGUCUAUUCCAUGAUGUCUUGGCUGAUUCCACCCAAUCCAGCCUAUUCCCUUGAGUAGAUCCUUGCAUUCCAAGCUUGGCCCAACAAUUUAAGCUAAAAGGGCAUUUAAAGAAAAGGUGCUCCAUCGUUUCAUCCAUGCAUUUUGGGCAAAGCAGGCAGCCAAACGUGUAACCAAUGUUAAAGUAACGUCGUUUGAGCAUAUUUCUGGUGUUUAGCCUGUCAGAGAGUAGUAACCAGCCAAAAACUUUGAUCUUCAUAGUUGUUUUGGACUUCCAUAGCCAUGAGUAGGCAGGGUGAGCUUGGACAUCUCUGAACAAAAACUCAUAGAAUUUGUUGGCUGCGAAGUGGGUGGAUCCCCAAACAUAUGUCCAAUCAUCGUGUGUUGAUAGGCCAGCCAACUGAAUGUCCAAGGUAAGGCUUUGCAGAUUUAUGGUCUCUGCAUGGGCUUGCUCCGAUAGUGGAAGAUGAAACGUUUCCUGCAAACUGGUGGCCCCUAGGAACGCGCGAACAGAGAUGUCUUCAUCUUUAGCAAACGAGAAAGCACGUGGAUGAGUUUCGGCAAGGAUCUCACCCAGCCACAUAUCUUUCCAGAAGAGAGUGGUUGCUCCAUUAUUCACAUUGACCAUCGUGAUUCCUCUAUAAGUGAGCAUGAGCUUUGAGAUAUCUCGCCACCAGAAGGAGCCACAAGGAUCGGCAGCAUGGGGUAUCUUGGAGGUGUAGUAGGUGUUCCUAAUCAACUCAACCCAGGGCAGGUCCUAGUGGUUGUAGAACUUAUGAAGAAACUUGAGAAGCAAGGCCUCGUUCUGGAUUUUCAGGUUUAAUACUCCCAGACCACCACAUUUUUUUGGUUUGCAAACCAUGUCCCAAGCAGCAAGUGAGGUGCACUUGUCACCUUGAUCAGUUUUCUUUGUCCAUAAACAUUUGCGGCGAAUCUUGUCAAGGAGUUCAACGAUUCCUGCUGGGAGUUUAAGUGUACACAUGGCGUAGAUUAGGAGCAAGGUAAUGACCGAGUUGAGUAGUGAUAACUUGCCACCAUAUGAGAUCAUAUUAAGUGUUGCUGAUAGUCUUCUUUCUAGCCGACAUACCAAAGGUAUGAGAUCAUGAAUGGUAGGUUUAGUAGUCCCCAAUGGAAGGCCUAGGUAGGUAAAAUGCAUCUUUCCCACCACACAUCCAAAAAUAUUCGCCAAGUUGGUAUAGAGUGCUUCAUCACAGUUGAUCGGGACAAGUGUGGAUUUAUGGAAAUUAAUUUUGAGUCCAACAGAGGUGGCGUAGUACGACAGAAUAUUUUUGAUAGUUGUAGCCUAUAGAGGACAAGCUGGCAUUGCAAGAAUCAUGUCAUCCGCAUAUUAAAUGACCGAGUAAUCUUUUUGUGUAGCGCCUGGGAAGGGUAACUUGAUGAGGUCUUUGGCAAAAGCAUCAUUAAUAGCAGCUUGUAAUAAAUCUGCGGCUAGGACAAAGAUUAGGGGGGACAAAGGGUCACCUUGGCGGACUCCACAUUUGCAAUGAAAUUGUCUUCCCAAUACGCCAUUCAGGAGGACAGCAGAUUUCCCCGAGGCAAAGAUGCAUUUAAUCCAACCAAGCCAUUUAUCGUUAAAGCCCAUGUUUCUCAUGAUCUCAAUCAUUGAAUCAUGAUCAAUGGUGUCGAAGGCUUUAGCAAAAUCUAGUUUUAAUAGGACAAUUUCUUUUUUGGAAGAUUGGCACUGGUAGAUGUACUCGAAGGCCCAUGCCAGGCAGUCUUGGAUCGUGCGCCCUUUGAGGAAACCAUAUUGGUUGCGGUGCACAAUUUUGAGCACGAGUCUUUGUAAACGGUUGGCCAGGAGCUUAGUAAUUACCUUGAGACAACAAUUAAGUAGUGUGAUGGGCCUGUAUUCAUUAAUUGUUGACGGCGCCUGAACUUUUGGAAUGAGAGUGAUUAGUCCUUCAUUAACGCUCUCUAAGUUGAGGUUGCCCUCGAAGAACUGGUUGCAAAGCUUAGAAAUCCUCCUUGAUCACUUCCCAACAAGUUUUCAGAAAUAUGCCUGUAAUACCGUCAGGUCACGGGGCCCGGUCCGCUGGCAUUGUUUUGAUCACCUGGUCAAUUUCAGCCAUGGUAAAUGGAACUGUGAGUUCAUCAAGGCCAGCAAUCUUUUUGAUGAUUCUGGGCAAGUCAAAUUUCAUGUCAUGCUUGGUUUUCGUGCCAAGUCAAUCUUUGAAAGUCUGAAAUAUAAUGGCUUCUUUGCUUGCAUGAUCCUCUGCACAAAAGCCAGAUUCAGUCAUGAGGGAGGCUAUGUUAUUUCUGCGAUAUCAUUCUGACGCCAUUGCUUGAAUUUUUUUGGAAUUUUCAUCGCCGAAUUGAACCCAACGAACCGUGCAGCGUUUCUUCCAGUAUAGCUUUUGGUAGGACAGGAGUCUUAAUAAAUGGUUCUUGAGAAUAGUUCUGAAAUUUGCUUCCGGUGUCGCGAGAAGUCUCCUGUUUUCCAAACCAUCAAUUUCUAGAAGGGCCCUGUUAGUGUUCUCAAUAGCAAUUGAUAGCUUAGAAAUGUUUGUACUCCAACUUUUUAGUUCAUGCCGAAGGUGCUUGAGCUUUUUGCAGAGAUUAGACGCCAUGUUUGGAGAGUUCACAUGUAUGGCCCAAGCCCCUUUCACAGUUUCUAAGAACACCGUGUGAUGGAUCCAAUAAGAUUCAAAUCUGAACAUCUUGGAACGUGGGAUUUUUGUUUCAAUAUUGAUGACACAAGGAAUGUUGUCGGAGACCGGUCUGCCAAGUGGUUUAACAAGCGUGUUUGGUAGGAGCUGGUCCAAUGAUUACUAGUGAAGAACCAGUCAAUUUGCUCUAGUAGGGGAUUAGUUUGCAUGUUGCUCCAUGUGUAAGUUCUUCCCUUGAUGGGCAGUUCAAUUAAGGCUUGUGAUCUGAUGAAAUCAUUAAAAGUUAUCAUAUCUCCAAAGUGGCCACCUGGUUUGUUACGAUUGUCAGGGCCUCUAAUGAAAUCAAAAUCUCCACAUAAUAGCCAAUCUUCAUUAGUAGGUAUAUCAAGUGAGAAUAGCCAGGCAAUGAAAUUGUUUCUGGGGUCCCCUUGACAGGGCCCAUACACAUUAACUAAGGCCCAAGAUUGUGCCGACUGGGUAGAGUGAAAUCGAGUUACCAGUGCAAAGUCUUCAGAGGCCACUGUAGUAGCCGAGAAAACCGCACUAUUCCAAAUGCUGGCAAUUCCUCCUGACACGCCCCGGGAGGGGACAAAAUCAAACUUAUCAAAUCUUCGUGGGCAACAAGAUUUAAUGAAAGCAUUAUCAAAAGAUUGUUUUUUCAUUUCCUGCAAGCAAAUAACUGCGCAACCACUAGAGUUGAUCGCAUUAGAAAGUGCUAACUGUUUGGCUUCAGAGUUUAGCCCACGUACAUUCCAACAUAGAACAUUCCAACUAACCAAAAGAGGCAUAAUAAGGAUAAAUAAGGAGAUCAGGCCGCAUCAGAAGAUGGCCCUGCGUCCUUGCAAGCCAGGAGCUUCUCCUCCGAGAGUUCAGCAGCAAGGAUCCCACACAUAACACUGCCAAUCUGCUGAAUGACAGGGAUCGGGGUGGGAAGUGGUAGUUCUGCUUCAUCAGAAAGUUCAGUUAUGGUGAUGGCAGUUUCAGCAGAGGGAACGACCCGUGGUUUUACCUUAGAGGCUCUGUUCUUUGUUUCCGAGAGUGACGGUACUUUGAAUCCAUCAUACUUGUUCUUGCGAGUGCUCCGCCACAGAUUAACGGAGGAUUCAGGAGCAGGAGCCUUUCCAUGACGAGUACUCACCACAGGCUCAUGGACGUGCAGGUCAUCAGAAACAGCAGUAGCAAUCACCGCAGACACCUGUGCAGGCAGUUCAGUAGAAGCAGCAAGACCAAGUGUGUCUGACAAGUGCACCAGCCGAGGUGGAAAGACACUGACAGGAGCCGUUGGAUCCCCAACAUUCAGAUCAAACAGAGAGAGAUCAGCUUCCAUGGACAUUUGUUCAACAAUAACAGCAUUGGAGUUAUGCAGAGUUGUGGUCUUGGUGGCUUCAGUAACAGUUAGCAUUCCCUCCUCUUCAGUAAUUGCCACUUUAAACUCCACUCUAGCAUCCCUAAGACCAUACCCAGAACUCCAUGGGCCAUAAGCUGCAACUAUAGGCAUGAUUGCAGACCUGAGGAAGGUGUUAAGCCUGACAAUGGGAAAACCUUCAUUAAUCAUCAUCGCGCUAAUUCUAGUACCCUGAGCAGACAUAGCAAGCUGCAAACCAGUAGCAGAAAGAGAGAUCUGAAUGUCCAAUGCAUUCUGCUGAGGGGCCGGACUAGAAACCACAAUACUUUCAGGUGCAGCCGAGCAUUCUCCCCUAACAAGAUUGUUAAAAAUGUUGCUUGGCACCAAGACAUAACUUGCAGACCCUCAGCCGUCAGCCAAGCCUGAAAGUUAUACAGUGCAGGAGGCGGCGAAGGUGGCCAAGCACCCUAUCCCGCUUGGAAGUGAACGUCGUGUCCCUGAGGAGCAUUGUGUUGUGGAGCUGCAUCAGGCAUGUUUGGCGCGGCAUUCUGAGCGAGCCAAUUAUGCAGUUGGGCUUGGUACAUCUGCUCCGCAAUGAGAGUGUCACCGAAGAGGGGAUGGGGAAUCCCAUCAGCAGGCGGUGGUUCAAUAUCUGCAGGCGGCACAUCCGGGAUAUGGGCAUUCCAAUCACUGCUGCGCAGAAUCGUGACGCACACAGUCCAGCAUCGGCACUCACCACCCAGCUGAUGCAUAACAAAACUUUUUGGCAUCCGGCGCAAGCUAAGAACUCUGGCUUUGAUCAGAACAAAUUUCCUGUCCCCUCUAGGAUUAUUCCAAGUGAUAAGUUCCCCAAACUUAUCGACAGACUUAUGGAUGUAGUGAGAGGUUUGAUAAUCAUGGGGAAAUCCAAUGUACAACAACCAGACUUGAGGUCCAAAGCAAGUUUGGCGCAUAUUGAUAGCAGCAUCGUGAGGAAUAAAGGAAACAACAGUACCCUGAUUAUCAUCAUCCUCAUCGAGCUCAAAACUAUACAUCGUGAGGAAUAAAGGAAACUCGGAGAAUUUCCCCUCCUUUUGUGGAUUUUGGUGUAAGCACGAAACUAUACAUUUUACUAAUAUUGUAUUGGAACUUAUUUUGACUUGCAAUGUGUUUCACUGAAUAUUUAAUCAAUGUUGUUAGUUGGAAUCAGGGAAGCCCCAAGUACAACAAAGAAACCCUUAUCCUGUAAAGAACAUUUUGUUGAGACUGUGCUGACCAUAUGAAUAGUUUAGAGACUUGUAUCAUUAACAGAGAUCAUCCAGAUGUUUCUCAGGAAAGCAGCUAGUGUAGUGUAGUAGUAGAAGAUAAUAAAAGCCCACAUAUAUAAUUGUUAGGUUGAAAUUGUUGCUCCAUGUGGGCUGCCUUUUUUUGUUGGGGGAAAACUUCCGAUCUAUUGAUCUUCAAUCGUGAUAGUACAACGAACACCAGAAAUAAUAAAAAAUACGGCCAGAUUCGUAGACGACCUUGCAAGAACUACAUCCAAUGAAGUGAGCUGAAGGCGCACCACUGUCAUUGACCCUCCUGUGUCGGAGCCGGGAAAACUUGCUGAAAUAAACAGUCGAGAAGUCAUCGUUUAAAGUCCCCAUAGGACAAGCGCACCAGGAAAAAAGAACCAUCGAUGAAAAUAUGCGUAGACUGGAAGGAUCCAACAUGAAGACAAAAUGAAUAAAGACCGAAUCCGAAUAGAUUCAUCAAAGACAAUCAUCACCACGCCAUGGUCUUGCACCGUGCAGCCACCACGGCCUGGACGCCCGCCCGCACCACACGACCGAGAGCCCCGCCGCCGCCAUGCCCCGCACCAGCGGCACGCCCCCGCCGCACAAGGGUCGAGAUCCACCGCGCCCCUCCGUAUGAUUCUAAGGCCAACGGAGACUAGACGGACGGGCGGGAGGCAGAGGAACCAUAUGUACAUGUGGAUUGUUGGUUGCUAGAUGCAAAUUUUCAAGAUUCAUACCACGAGAGCAUCAAUUGGUGAACCUGCUUCAUUUAGUGAAGAACUGAACAAGUUUUUCUUUUUUGAGGGGAAAUCAACUUGGUUAUGUACGUGUCAUAAUUAUGCUACUUCAAAUUAUCAAAGUAGAUAGAUUAGCUGUAGCUGGCUCAACUGGUUCCCUGGUUGCGUACGACUUCUUGUUUUUUGGGUGGUUGCGUACGGUUGUUGAUUCCUUGGUUGGAGACCUCGCACGCGCAGUGCUCGUUACACGAAAUCCAUCCGUUCCAGCUUAGCCGGUGGGCCGAAGACGCGAAGACCAGGGCGCUUAGCCACAGGUGGGCCGAAGACGAGCGCACCACUCGGUUGACGCUGCGUGCUACGGAGUAGUAGUAUUUUAGUACCACAUCGCUUGUUUCGGUAGACACCUCGCGGCUUAAAUAGCGAGACGUUCAAUCAUGUAUCGUCGAGGACGCAAAGCUAGCACUAGCUAUGCUGGCCUGUCGAGGCAAAAAGCGUUCGUGACGUACUUCUAGCCGGGUUUGGCCCAGCAGCCUGUAACCCUAGGUCGCUGUUAACUCGUGCAUGUUGGGGGCUAGAAGCGCGGAGCGAUUUAAGUCUUUUUUGCGUUUUGAUGCCGUUUUUCUUUUGCCUUGGUUCAUUNNNNNNNNNNNNNNNNNNNNNNNNNNNNNNNNNNNNNNNNNNNNNNNNNNNNNNNNNNNNNNNNNNNNNNNNNNNNNNNNNNNNNNNNNNNNNNNNNNNNNNNNNNNNNNNNNNNNNNNNNNNNNNNNNNNNNNNNNNNNNNNNNNNNNNNNNNNNNNNNNNNNNNNNNNNNNNNNNNNNNNNNNNNNNNNNNNNNNNNNNNNNNNNNNNNNNNNNNNNNNNNNNNNNNNNNNNNNNNNNNNNNNNNNNNNNNNNNNNNNNNNNNNNNNNNNNNNNNNNNNNNNNNNNNNNNNNNNNNNNNNNNNNNNNNNNNNNNNNNNNNNNNNNNNNNNNNNNNNNNNNNNNNNNNNNNNNNNNNNNNNNNNNNNNNNNNNNNNNNNNNNNNNNNNNNNNNNNNNNNNNNNNNNNNNNNNNNNNNNNNNNNNNNNNNNNNNNNNNNNNNNNNNNNNNNNNNNNNNNNNNNNNNNNNNNNNNNNNNNNNNNNNNNNNNNNNNNNNNNNNNNUUUUGUAACACAACCAAUUCGUGGAUGGCAGUCAAUCUCUCCUUUGUGACGCAUAAGGCAAUCAAUUAAUGUAAUCAACCUAUUCUAUCGUAACACAAUAAACACAUGGCCAGUAAAUAUUCACGCGAAAUCCAUCCACCUCCUACAAGUUUUGAUUAUUUUUAUUACCUCAUCCACUGCUUCCUUCUACCUCUCUCUCCCAUCUCACCGAUGACACCGUGUCCCCCGAGCAAACCCUAUUCGUCCCCUCACAUUGGUUCUUCUCUUAUGGCAGCACGCGGUAGAUCAAGCGACAACCAGGAUAGUAUUNNNNNNNNNNNNNNNNNNNNNNNNNNNNNNNNNNNNNNNNNNNNNNNNNNNNNNNNNNNNNNNNNNNNNNNNNNNNNNNNNNNNNNNNNNNNNNNNNNNNNNNNNNNNNNNNNNNNNNNNNNNNNNNNNNNNNNNNNNNNNNNNNNNNNNNNNNNNNNNNNNNNNNNNNNNNNNNNNNNNNNNNNNNNNNNNNNNNNNNNNNNNNNNNNNNNNNNNNNNNNNNNNNNNNNNNNNNNNNNNNNNNNNNNNNNNNNNNNNNNNNNNNNNNNNNNNNNNNNNNNNNNNNNNNNNNNNNNNNNNNNNNNNNNNNNNNNNNNNNNNNNNNNNNNNNNNNNNNNNNNNNNNNNNNNNNNNNNNNNNNNNNNNNNNNNNNNNNNNNNNNNNNNNNNNNNNNNNNNNNNNNNNNNNNNNNNNNNNNNNNNNNNNNNNNNNNNNNNNNNNNNNNNNNNNNNNNNNNNNNNNNNNNNNNNNNNNNNNNNNNNNNNNNNNNNNNNNNNNNNNNNNNNNNNNNNNNNNNNNNNNNNNNNNNNNNNNNNNNNNNNNNNNNNNNNNNNNNNNNNNNNNNNNNNNNNNNNNNNNNNNNNNNNNNNNNNNNNNNNNNNNNNNNNNNNNNNNNNNNNNNNNNNNNNNNNNNNNNNNNNNNNNNNNNNNNNNNNNNNNNNNNNNNNNNNNNNNNNNNNNNNNNNNNNNNNNNNNNNNNNNNNNNNNNNNNNNNNNNNNNNNNNNNNNNNNNNNNNNNNNNNNNNNNNNNNNNNNNNNNNNNNNNNNNNNNNNNNNNNNNNNNNNNNNNNNNNNNNNNNNNNNNNNNNNNNNNNNNNNNNNNNNNNNNNNNNNNNNNNNNNNNNNNNNNNNNNNNNNNNNNNNNNNNNNNNNNNNNNNNNNNNNNNNNNNNNNNNNNNNNNNNNNNNNNNNNNNNNNNNNNNNNNNNNNNNNNNNNNNNNNNNNNNNNNNNNNNNNNNNNNNNNNNNNNNNNNNNNNNNNNNNNNNNNNNNNNNNNNNNNNNNNNNNNNNNNNNNNNNNNNNNNNNNNNNNNNNNNNNNNNNNNNNNNNNNNNNNNNNNNNNNNNNNNNNNNNNNNNNNNNNNNNNNNNNNNNNNNNNNNNNNNNNNNNNNNNNNNNNNNNNNNNNNNNNNNNNNNNNNNNNNNNNNNNNNNNNNNNNNNNNNNNNNNNNNNNNNNNNNNNNNNNNNNNNNNNNNNNNNNNNNNNNNNNNNNNNNNNNNNNNNNNNNNNNNNNNNNNNNNNNNNNNNNNNNNNNNNNNNNNNNNNNNNNNNNNNNNNNNNNNNNNNNNNNNNNNNNNNNNNNNNNNNNNNNNNNNNNNNNNNNNNNNNNNNNNNNNNNNNNNNNNNNNNNNNNNNNNNNNNNNNNNNNNNNNNNNNNNNNNNNNNNNNNNNNNNNNNNNNNNNNNNNNNNNNNNNNNNNNNNNNNNNNNNNNNNNNNNNNNNNNNNNNNNNNNNNNNNNNNNNNNNNNNNNNNNNNNNNNNNNNNNNNNNNNNNNNNNNNNNNNNNNNNNNNNNNNNNNNNNNNNNNNNNNNNNNNNNNNNNNNNNNNNNNNNNNNNNNNNNNNNNNNNNNNNNNNNNNNNNNNNNNNNNNNNNNNNNNNNNNNNNNNNNNNNNNNNNNNNNNNNNNNNNNNNNNNNNNNNNNNNNNNNNNNNNNNNNNNNNNNNNNNNNNNNNNNNNNNNNNNNNNNNNNNNNNNNNNNNNNNNNNNNNNNNNNNNNNNNNNNNNNNNNNNNNNNNNNNNNNNNNNNNNNNNNNNNNNNNNNNNNNNNNNNNNNNNNNNNNNNNNNNNNNNNNNNNNNNNNNNNNNNNNNNNNNNNNNNNNNNNNNNNNNNNNNNNNNNNNNNNNNNNNNNNNNNNNNNUCGGAUUUUGUUAUAACUAUAUGCAUGGACAUUUUGAUAUGAUACAUAUAUAAUAUUUUAAAGAUGGGGUUAUUAACAUAUGGAACUAAAUGAAUAUGCCGAGAACUAAUGAUUUUCUGCCGCGAUGAUUCAUUGACAGUGCUAUGGUAGCGGUUACUUCCACGAUAUGACAGUUUUGCCGCCACGAUAGUGUGUUAACCGUGUAUCCCAUUGCAACGCACGUGUAAUUUCCUAGUAUUUAUUUAAUUCCUUGGCCGAGGAUUGGUUUCCUUGCUCACUUCUGUGUGCUUGGGGGCCAAAAUUUUGUAGCAACAUCAGUAUUUUCCUUCCGCUAAGACUAAUGCAUCGUUUAUUUUCCGUCCUUCGAAUGAGAUGGAUGGAAAUUUUCCCUUCCGCAUGGACUAUCGUGAAAUUUAUAAUUUUUAAUUAUUUCUCUUCAUUCCAAUCGAACAUGCACCAAAUCAUUCGUUUCCUUCCACUCGAACGAAUUCUGAAUCAAAUGUUCCUUGCUCACUAGCUCGUUUGUAUUGGGCACCAAAAGUAUGGUGUAAGGCUAGCCUCUUUUCCCUCUGAUGUUUUUUUCUACUAUUUGGACCUGGAAGUAAUGCAUUCGCAUGGAGUACUUCUGUACACCGCUCCUGUUAUGUAUCGUCGUGUCAUUUCCGUAUGACAAGGAAAAGCUACAACAUGUCCUUCGCUCUCUCAUUCUCUUCGGUGGAACAUAAUGCUCGAGAAUGCUGCCAACUUCAAUGGACAAAUUGUAUGGAGCGUCGUGUCCUUUUUCGGCUUCUACAUAGUGGUCGGUCGGCUGUGCGGUGCUUCAAGGACGGCGAACACCUGUGUGGCAAGCAGUAAGAGGUCAUGUUACGAGCGGAGGAAGAACUUGGUGCCAACCCGUUGAUUGUGGUCAGCUGAGCUCAUGAAACAAAUGAUUGCAAAGUAUGUGGCCAAAGGCGUUUGGUGAGGCGCCCGGCACGACGGAGGGCUAGAAUUGGAGAGGCUCAGUGUUGCAACCGACACAAAAAAAGCUGGAACCAGAGGAACUUAGUGGUGCAACCUAACAUGGCGGCGAGCCUUAGCAACUACAACCAGAGGCGCCCGCUACUGCAACCGGCACGACGACGAGUUGCAACCAGUAAUGAAGCAUUGUAAUUUGAAUGCUAGAUACUUAUAAUAUUCAGUUUUGAAAAUAAUUUUAAUAUACUUGCAUUGAGAUGGGUGGGCGUGGCAACAUCUUUUAUGUUCUAGUAGGAAUGUUAGAACCGAUUGCCGCCUAGAGCAAGUCAUAGGCAAUCCUUUGGGAGCAUGCCAAGGAGAUGCCCAAUAUGUAAAUGGAACCAUGCACCAAAUCUUUGUCCUAGUCUUUGGGAGAAUUGGUAUACAUUUGGAAUGUUUAUGCACAUUCGGUAUGAGUGUCCAAAUAAAGAGUGAAAUGUACCACCAGCCCAUAAACUCAAACCGAUCACACAUUUUAAGCCUAUAACUCGGGAACUGAUAGAAUAUAGUCCGUAAACUCGUUAAUUUGAUCGACUAAGGCCAAAACUGGCCCGAGAGGAAAGAACCCGGCUAUGUGGAUGCCAUGUCAUCGUUCCUUUGACCGCUUAUGGAUUAGCUAUUUUUUUAAGGAUCUAUCUGUAAAUUGGUUGGGUUCUUAUUCACAAACCAUGCUAAGGGCGUUGGACUGAAAAGAAUAUGCACCUCAAAUUGUAUAUAUUCACGUAGAAUCAGGAGAAAACACUGAAGAUCCCAUCUGAUCGUUUUCCAAUCACGCGAUUUCUUUCCUUCUGUUGCAUCGACUACUGUUUGUUGCUAGAUCAUAGCGUUCCCUUCUCUUCUGGUUUGUCUUAUGUGACUUGCCGAUCACGCGACGGAGAUCGGCAAUUGACCACGGUGUCGUCUACCUGCAGAUGAUUCACUUUUGUAUUCUCUGAAAUCCACUUAUUAUAUAUAGAUAUUUCACACGAUUCUGUGCGGAUAUAUAUAAGUUAGGCUGUAUUUUGAUACAUAAAUCAUUUUAUGGUGUGCUGUUUUGGAUUCUGAUACCUUACCCAGUUGUCAUGGGUUCAAGUCGUACAGAACAUAGGUUUUUUUUUAAAAUCUACUGACACUAGUAGAAAAAGGGCCUAAUGUGAAGCUCAUUAGGCCUGGUUUGUAUUUGAACGGGCACUAAUGUGACCAUUAGUGUCGGCUCCAACGGCUAGGCGGGCGGCUCGCAUUAGGUGGUGGCAGGCUUUUGUCAGGCUGGGCCCCACCAGCACCUCUAGUACCGGUUCAUGCCAUGAACCGGGACUAGAAAUGCACCUUUAGUCCUGGUUCGUCUAACAAACCAGUACUAAAGAUCUUCCUAUAUAAACCCCUUCGUCCAUCCCGAGCGCUCUGUUCUUCGCUUUUCCUCUCCUCUGUGUUCUUCCUCUUCCUCUCGAGCUCACACUCCAUUUUUUGCCAAAAUUUGUGAAGAUUUGCAGUCACCCCAUCCAUCCAAGUGAUCACAAAGGUUAGCAACUUUGUCCUUUCAUCUCUCAUUGCUAGAUUAGCUCUUGCAAUGCUCUAUAAGUAUAGUGAUUUGUGGGUUUUAUUUUGGGAGGAAUUAUAUGUGGUAGUAUAUGAUUUACAUGCAAUUUGAGGUCAAAAUAACUCUUAGUUUGCAUAUGUAGGUGUGGUUUACUUAGUGCCUUCCCGUCUCCGUCCUAACCACCGUCGACCGCCCGCACCGACCCGUCGCCGGCUCCACCUUCCAGUGAGCCUCUUGUUCUUAUCUUUUUAAUAUAAAAGAAUCAUGUUUAUGUGAUAUAGAUAUAUAGUUACUUGUAUAAUUAUCUUACCCGUACAUUGUUUGUUAUAUAUAGUGCCAUGGUUUUGAUAUCCGUCCCCAUCGGCCCUCGUCCGGGUUAUGAUUCGGAUGUGGUAUAUUCUCUGUUAUAACUAUUUGUUGCAUUUCAUGUUUAUGACAAAUUAUGCCCAUCAAGUUGACAUAGAUAUUUUUAUCUAGGAGGUAUGUGAACCAGAAAUUCCAACCAACCCUAUUGUCGAGAGGUUAAAUUUAGUUGAAAAAGAAAAUGAGUAUUUAAAAGAAAAAAUGAAAAAAAUUGAGGGGGAGAAGAUGGAAUAGGAUUUGCAUGUUGCCGAUGCCGUCGAUGAUCACAAGAUCGAGAUGGAGAAAAUGCGCUUGAAGAUUAGAAAGAUUAGAAAAUAUGCCAUCGAUAGUGAGGCUUGGUAUCAUUAUAUUGUUGCAUCAAUUGUUACCUUAAUUGCGAUCUUGAUCGCAUUUGUUGUUGCAUUUAAAUGCUUUAGCUACAGAGUUAUAUGUAUGUUGUUUUAUGAGAAUAAGUGUUGUAUGAACUUUAUGUAUGAACUUGUAUUAAUUUGAUAUUUUCGGUGCUGCGUAAUGAAGAUGAGCCGACAAUGGAUGUACGAUGACCGAUGCUCUCCCCAUUUCAUUAAUGGUGUGCAUACUUUUGUACUUGCAGCUGAGGCAAACAAGCAGGCAUUCUACUAGUAAUGAUACGAUCCAAGAGAAAUGAUUUAGUCAAUGGUAUUGUGAGGACAUGCUUAUCCACAUUUCACUCACUUACAUAUGGUACCCAAUGUGCCAACCUUGCAUGGAGUUGCUUGACUAUUGGUUUCAUAAAAUCAAUGGCACUAACAAGCAUAUUUUGUUGUUUAUUUUUUCUGUGUGUAUUUGACUUCAUCAGAAAGGAAAAUACCUUUGUUUUGUUCUUCUGGAUGCUAAUCGAUGAACUAACUUUUGCACAGCUGAUGACCAUAUAUAUUUUACUGAGUGCUAGAUUAUAAUAUUCCAUUUAACAUUUUUGUUUGUGAUGUUUAGUUGCACUUAAUAAGAAUAUGGACACAAAUAGUUUAAUCAUUCAAUUCACCAGGGUUGAUGAAUAUGCUAGACUGUGGGACCUUCCCUAGACACAAGCUUUUGUGGGUGUCGUCGUGUUUUCAUACUCAGGUAGCCACAACUUUGUCCAUAGACUCACAUGAAGAACUAAUUUCGUCCAUAUGUUUUCUAUUAUGAUAUUUGAAGAUUGCUAAUUAUCAUGCUAGGAAAUGUGACUGUCUUCCCUUUUAGAAAAAUAGGCACACAAAUGGCCGCAGAUGAGGGGUGCCAACUUCUAGGGAAGUGAUGCUGGGAAGAGAUGCAUUUCGUGCCAACCAUGUUGUGUGUAUGCAGGCGAAGAGGCUGGUCGAUCUGACACUGAAGACGAUACCGGGGGGCAUGGGAAGAGAUGAUCACUGAGGAUGUCGUUGCUAUAGAAGAGGAACUCGGAGAAUUUUUUUUUGAACCGCUGAAACAGUAGGAGAGGCUCCUACUGCAAUUGAAUUAAAGAAUCAGCAACUGUACAUGGUUUGUAUGUUACAAGGCCAUCCCACUUUGUGGGUGGAGGGGGGUGGGGGAGGGUAAAGGGCUAAGUUACAAUGUAGCUAAGUAUGAAAGCAAGAUGGGUUUAUUCUUAUCUUCCACCCUAUAGGUGAGGAGGGAUAGGUCUUCUUUAAGUCUAGAGAGCCAAGAGCUUAUGGAUGGAGUAAUUCCUCUGAAGUUCUUGUUGUUCCUUUCCUUCCAAAUACUCCAAGCAGAUUGGAGUAGGAUUUCCACAAAUAAUGGUCUAUUCCAUGAUGUCUUGGCUGAUUCCACCCAAUCCAGCCUAUUCCCUUGAGUAGAUCCUUGCAUUCCAAGCUUGGCCCAACAAUUUAAGCUAAAAGGGCAUUCAAAGAAAAGGUGCUCCACUGUUUCAUCCAUGCAUGUUGGGCAAAGCAGGCAGCCAAACGUGUUACCAAUGUUGAAGUGACGUCGUUUGAGCAUAUUUCUGGUGUUUAGCCUGUCAGAGAGUAGUAACCGGCCAAAAACUUUGAUCUUCAUAGUUGUUUUGGACUUCCAUAGCCAUGAGUAGGCAGGGUGAGCUUGGACAUCUCUGAAGAAAAACUCAUAGAAUUUGUUGGCUGCGAAGUGGGUGGAUCCCCAAACAUAUGUCCAAUCAUCGUGUGUUGAUAGGCCAGCCAGCUGAACGUCCAAGGUAAGGCUUUGCAGAUUUCUGGUCUCUGCAUGGGCUUGCUCCGAUAGUGGCAGAUGAAACGUUUCCUGCAAACUGGUGGCCCCAAGGAACGCGCGAACAGAGAUGUCUUCAUCUUUAGCAAACGAGAAAGCACAUGGAUGAGUUUCGGCCAGGAUCUCACCCAGCCACAUAUCUUUCUAGAAGAGAGUGGUUGCUCCAUUAUUCACAUUGACCAUCGUGAUUCCUCUAUAAGUGGGAAUGAGCUUUGAGAUAUCUCGCCACCAGAAGGAGCCACAAGGAUCGGCAACAUGGGGUAUCUUGGAGGUGUAGUAGGUGUUCCAAAUCAACUCAACCCAGGGCAGGUCCCAGUGGUUGUAGAACUUAUGAAGAAACUUGAGAAGCAAGGCCUCGUUCUGGAUUUUCAGGUUUAAUACUCCCAGACCACCACAUUUUUCGGUUUGCAAACCAUGGCCCAAGCAGCAAGUGAGGUGCACUUGUCACCUUGAUCAGUUUUCUUUGUCCAUAAACAUUUGCGGCGAAUCUUGUCAAGGAGUUCAACGAUUCCUGCUGGGAGUUUAAGUGUACACAUGGCGUAGAUUAGGAGGGAGGUAAUGACCGAGUUGAGUAGUGAUAACUUGCCGCCAUAUGCGAUCAUAUUAAGUGUUGCUGAUAAUCUUCUUUCUAGCCGACAGACCAAAGGCAUGAGAUCAUGAAUGGUAGGUUUAGUAGUCCCCAAAGGAAGGCCUAGGUAGGUAAAAUGCAUCUUUCCCACCACACAUACAAAAAUAUUUGCCAAGUUGGUAUAGAGUGCUUCAUCACAGUUGAUCGGGACAAGUGUGGAUUUAUGGAAACUAAUUUUGAGUACAAUAGAGGUGGCGUAGUCCGACAGAAUAUUUUUGAUAGUUGUAGCCUGUAGAGGACAAGCUGGCAUUGCAAGAAUCGUGUCGUCCGCAUAUUGAAUGACCGAGUAAUCUUUUUGUGUAGCGCAUGGGAAGGGUAACUUGAUGAGGUAUUUGGCAAAAGCAUCAUUAAUAGCAUCUUGUAAUAAAUCUGCGGCUAGGACAAAGAUUAGGGGGGACAAAGGGUCACCUUGGCGGACUCCACAUUUGCAAUGAAAUUGUCUUCCCGGUACGCCAUUCAGGAGGACAGCAGAUUUCCCCGAGGCAAAGACGCAUUUAAUCCAACCAAGCCAUUUAUCGUUAAAGCCCAUGUUUCUCAUGAUCUCAAUCAUUGCAUCAUGAUCAAUGGUGUCGAAGGCUUUAGCAAAAUCUAGUUUUAACAGGACAAUUUCUUUUUUGGAAGAUUGGCACUGGUAGAUGUACUCGAAGGCCCAUGCCAGGCAGUCUUGGAUCGUGCGCCCUUUGAGGAAACCAUAUUGGUUGCGGUGCACAAUUUUGAUCACGAGUCUUUGUAAACGGUUGGCCAGGAGCUUAGUAAUUACCUUGAGACAACAAUUAAGUAGUGUGAUGGGCCUGUAUUCAUUAAUUGUUGACGGUGCCUGAACUUUUGGAAUGAGAGUGAUUAGUCCUUCAUUAAUGCUCUCUAAGUUGAGGUUGCCCUCGAAGAACUGGUUGCAAAGCUUACAGAAAUCCUCCUUGAUCACUUCCCAACAAGUUUUCAGAAAUAUGCCUGUAAAACCGCCAGGUCCCGGGACCCGGUCCGCUGGCAUUGUUUUGAUCACCUGGUCAAUUUCAGCCAUGGUAAAUGGAACUGUGAGUUCAUCAAGGCCAUCAAUCUUUUUGAUGAUUCUGGGCAAGUCAAAUUUCAUGUCAUGCUUGGUUUUCAUGCCAAGUCGAUCUUUGAAAGUCUGAAAUAUAAUGGCUUCUUUGCUUGCAUGAUCCUCUGCACAAAAGCCAGAUUCAGUCAUGAGGGAGGCUAUGUUAUUUCUGCGAUAUCGUUCUGACGCCAUUGCUUGAAUUUUUUUGGAAUUUUCAUCGCCGAAUUGAACCCAACGAACCGUGCAACGUUUCUUCCAGUAUAGCUUUUGGUAGGACAAGAGUCUUAAUAAAUGGUUCUUAAGAAUAGUUCUGAAAUUUGCUUCCAGUGUCGUGAGAAGCCUCCUGUUUUCCAAACCAUCAAUUUCUAGAAGGGCCCUGUUAGUGUUCUCAAUAGCAAUUGAUAGCUUAGAAAUGUUCUUACUCCAACUUUUUAGUUCAUGCCGAAGGUGCUUGAGCUUUUUGCAGAGAUUAGACGCCAUGUUUGGAGAGUUCACAGGUAUGGCCCAAGCCCUUUUCACAGUUUCUAAGAACCCCGGGUGAUGGAUCCAAUAAGAUUCAAAUCUGAACAUCUUGGAACGUGGGAUUUUUGUUUCAAUAUUGAUGACACAAGGAAUGUGGUCGGAGACCGGUCUGCCAAGUGGUUUAACAAGCGUGUUUGGUAGGAGCUGGUCCAAUGAUUACUAGGGAAGAACCAGUCAAUUUGCUCUAGUAGGGGAUUAGUUUGCAUGUUGCUCCAUGUGUAAGUUCUUCCCUUGAUGCGGGCAGUUCAAUUAAGGCUUGUGAUCUGAUGAAAUCAUUAAAAGUUAUCAUAUCUCCAAAGUGGCCACCUGGUUUGUUACGAUUGUCAGGGCCUCUAAUGAAAUUAAAAUCUCCACAUAAUAGCAAAUCUUCAUUAGUAGGUAUAUCAAGUGAGAAUAGCCAUGCAAUGAAAUUGUUUCUGGGGUCCCCUUGAUAGGGCCCAUACACAUUAACUAAGGUCCAAGAUUGCGCCGACUGGGUAGAGUGAAAUCGUGUUACCAGUGCAAAGUCUUCAGAGGCCACUGUAGUAGACGAGAAAACCGCACUAUUCCAAAUGGUGGCAAUUCCUCCUGACGCGCCCCGGGAGGGGACAAAAUCAAACUUAUCAAAUCUUCGUGGGCAACAAGAUUUAAUGAAAGCUUUAUCAAAAGAUUGUUUUUUCGUUUCCUGCAAGCAAAUAACUGCGCAACCACUAGAGUUGAUCGCAUUAGAAAGUGCUAACUGUUUNNNNNNNNNNNNNNNNNNNNNNNNNNNNNNNNNNNNNNNNNNNNNNNNNNNNNNNNNNNNNNNNNNNNNNNNNNNNNNNNNNNNNNNNNNNNNNNNNNNNNNNNNNNNNNNNNNNNNNNNNNNNNNNNNNNNNNNNNNNNNNNNNNNNNNNNNNNNNNNNNNNNNNNNNNNNNNNNNNNNNNNNNNNNNNNNNNNNNNNNNNNNNNNNNNNNNNNNNNNNNNNNNNNNNNNNNNNNNNNNNNNNNNNNNNNNNNNNNNNNNNNNNNNNNNNNNNNNNNNNNNNNNNNNNNNNNNNNNNNNNNNNNNNNNNNNNNNNNNNNNNNNNNNNNNNNNNNNNNNNNNNNNNNNNNNNNNNNNNNNNNNNNNNNNNNNNNNNNNNNNNNNNNNNNNNNNNNNNNNNNNNNNNNNNNNNNNNNNNNNNNNNNNNNNNNNNNNNNNNNNNNNNNNNNNNNNNNNNNNNNNNNNNNNNNNNNNNNNNNNNNNNNNNNNNNNNNNNNNNNNNNNNNNNNNNNNNNNNNNNNNNNNNNNNNNNNNNNNNNNNNNNNNNNNNNNNNNNNNNNNNNNNNNNNNNNNNNNNNNNNNNNNNNNNNNNNNNNNNNNNNNNNNNNNNNNNNNNNNNNNNNNNNNNNNNNNNNNNNNNNNNNNNNNNNNNNNNNNNNNNNNNNNNNNNNNNNNNNNNNNNNNNNNNNNNNNNNNNNNNNNNNNNNNNNNNNNNNNNNNNNNNNNNNNNNNNNNNNNNNNNNNNNNNNNNNNNNNNNNNNNNNNNNNNNNNNNNNNNNNNNNNNNNNNNNNNNNNNNNNNNNNNNNNNNNNNNNNNNNNNNNNNNNNNNNNNNNNNNNNNNNNNNNNNNNNNNNNNNNNNNNNNNNNNNNNNNNNNNNNNNNNNNNNNNNNNNNNNNNNNNNNNNNNNNNNNNNNNNNNNNNNNNNNNNNNNNNNNNNNNNNNNNNNNNNNNNNNNNNNNNNNNNNNNNNNNNNNNNNNNNNNNNNNNNNNNNNNNNNNNNNNNNNNNNNNNNNNNNNNNNNNNNNNNNNNNNNNNNNNNNNNNNNNNNNNNNNNNNNNNNNNNNNNNNNNNNNNNNNNNNNNNNNNNNNNNNNNNNNNNNNNNNNNNNNNNNNNNNNNNNNNNNNNNNNNNNNNNNNNNNNNNNNNNNNNNNNNNNNNNNNNNNNNNNNNNNNNNNNNNNNNNNNNNNNNNNNNNNNNNNNNNNNNNNNNNNNNNNNNNNNNNNNNNNNNNNNNNNNNNNNNNNNNNNNNNNNNNNNNNNNNNNNNNNNNNNNNNNNNNNNNNNNNNNNNNNNNNNNNNNNNNNNNNNNNNNNNNNNNNNNNNNNNNNNNNNNNNNNNNNNNNNNNNNNNNNNNNNNNNNNNNNNNNNNNNNNNNNNNNNNNNNNNNNNNNNNNNNNNNNNNNNNNNNNNNNNNNNNNNNNNNNNNNNNNNNNNNNNNNNNNNNNNNNNNNNNNNNNNNNNNNNNNNNNNNNNNNNNNNNNNNNNNNNNNNNNNNNNNNNNNNNNNNNNNNNNNNNNNNNNNNNNNNNNNNNNNNNNNNNNNNNNNNNGGCACAUCCGGGAUAUGGGCAUUCCAAUCACUGCUGCGCAGAAUCGUGACGCACACAGUCCAGCAUCGGCGCUCACCACCCAGCUGAUGCAUAACAAAACUUUUUGGCAUCUGGCGCAAGCUAAGAACUCUGGCUUUGAUCAGAACAAAUUUCCUGUCCCCUCUAGGAUUAUUCCAAGUGAUAAGUUCCCCAAACUUAUCGACAGACUUAUGGAUGUAGUGAGAGGUUUGAUAAUCAUGGGGAAAUCCAAUGUACAACAACCAGACUUGAGGUCCAAAGCAAGUUUGGCGCAUAUUGAUAGCAGCAUCGUGAGGAAUAAAGGAAACAACAGUACCCUGAUUAUCAUCAUCCUCAUCGAGCUCAAAACUAUACAUCGUGAGGAAUAAAGGAAACUCGGAGAAUUUCCCCUCCUUUUGUGGAUUUUGGUGUAAGCACGAAACUAUACAUUUUACUAAUAUUGUAUUGGAACUUAUUUUGACUUGCAAUGUGUUGCACUGAAUAUUUAAUCAAUGUUGUUAGUUGGAAUCAGGGAAGCUCCAAGUACAACAAAGAAACCCUUAUCCUGUAAAGAACAUUUUGUUGAGACUGUGCUGACCAUAUGAAUAGUUUAGAGACUUGUAUCAUUAACAGAGAUCAUCCAGAUGUUUCUCAGGAAAGCAGCUAGUGUAGUGUAGUAGUAGAAGAUAAUAAAAGCCCACAUAUAUAAUUGUUAGGUUGAAAUUGUUGCUCCAUGUGGGCUGCUUUUUUUUGUUGGGGAAAAACUUCCGAUCUAUUGAUCUUUAAUCGUGAUAGUACAACGAACACCAGAAAUAAUAAAAAAUAUGGCCAGAUUCGUAGACGACCUUGCAAGAACUACAUCCAAUGAAGCGAGCUGAAGGCGCACCACUGUCAUUGACCCUCCUGUGUCGGAGCCGGGAAAACUUGCUGAAAUAAACAGUCGAGAAGUCAUCGUUUAAAGUCCCCAUAGGACAAGCGCACCAGGAAAAAAGAACCAUCGAUGAAAAUAUGCGUAGACUGGAAGGAUCCAACAUGAAGACAAAAUGAAUAAAGACCGAAUCCGAAUAGAUUCAUCAAAGACAAUCAUCGCCACGCCAUGGUCUUGCACCGUGCAGCCACCACGGCCUGGACGCCCGCCCGCACCACACGACCGAGAGCCCCGCCGCCGCCAUGCCCCGCACCAGCGGCACGCCCCCGCCGCACAAGGGUCGAGAUCCACCGCGCCCCCCCGUAUGAUUCUAAGGCCAACGGAGACUAGACGGACGGGCGGGAGGCAGAGGAACCAUAUGUACAUGUGGAUUGUUGGUUGCUAGAUGCAAAUUUUCAAGAUUCAUACCACGAGAGCAUCAAUUGGUGAACCUGCUUCAUUUAGUGCAGAACUGAACAAGUUUUUCUUUUUUGAGGGGAAAUCAACUUGGUUAUGUACGUGUCAUAAUUAUGCUACUUCAAAUUAUCAAAGUAGAUAGAUUAGCUGUAGCUGGCUCAACUGGUUCCCUGGUUGCGUACGACUUCUUGUUUUUUGGGUGGUUGCGUACGGUUGUUGAUUCCUUGGUUGGAGACCUCGCACGCGCAGUGCUCGUUACACGAAAUCCAUCCGUUCCAGCUUAGCCGGUGGGCCGAAGACGCGAAGACCAGGGCGCUUAGCCACAGGUGGGCCGAAGACGAGCGCACCACUCGGUUGACGCUGCGUGCUACGGAGUAGUAGUAUUUUAGUACCACAUCGCUUGUUUCGGUAGACACCUCGCGGCUUAAAUAGCGAGACGUUCAAUCAUGUAUCGUCGAGGACGCAAAGCUAGCACUAGCUAUGCUGGCCUGUCGAGGCAAAAAGCGUUCGUGACGUACUUCUAGCCGGGUUUGGCCCAGCAGCCUGUAACCCUAGGUCGCUGUUAACUCGUGCAUGUUGGGGGCUAGAAGCGCGGAGCGAUUUAAGUCUUUUUUGCGUUUUGAUGCCGUUUUUCUUUUGCCUUGGUUCAUUNNNNNNNNNNGCUUCAGAGUUUAGCCCACAUACAUUCCAACAUAGAACAUUCCAACUAACCAAAAGAGGCAUAAUAAGGAUAAAUAAGGAGAUCAGGCCGCAUCAGAAGAUGGCCCUGCGUACUUGCAAGCCAGGAACUUCUCCUCCGAGAGAUCAACAGCAGGGAUCCCACACAUAACACUGCCAAUCUGCUGAAUGACAUGGAUCGGGGUGGGAGGUGGCAGUUCUGCUUCAUCAGAAAGUUCAGUUAUGGUAAUGGCAGUUGCCGCAGAGGGAACGACCCAUGGUUUUACCUUAGAGGCUCUGUUCUUUGUUUCCGAGAGUGACGGUACUUUGAAUCCAUCAUACUUGUUCUUGCGAGUGCUCCGCCGCAGAUUAACGGAGGAUUCAGGAGCAGGAGCCUUUCCAUGAAGAGUACUCACCACAGGCUCAUGGACGUGCAGGUCAUCAGAAACAUCAGUAGCAGUCACCGCAGACACCUGUGCAGGCAGUUCAGUAGAAGAAGCAGGACCAAGUGUGUCCGACAAGUGCACCAGCCGAGGUGGAAAGACACUGACAGGAGCCGUUGGAUCCCCAACAUUCAGAUCAAACAGAGAGAGAUCAGCUUCCAUGGACAUUUGUUCAACAAUAACAGCAUUGGAGUUAUGCAGAGUUGUGGUCUUGGUGGCUUCAGUAACAGUUAGCAUUCCCUCCUCUUCAGUAAUUGCCACUUUAAACUCCACUCUAGCAUCCCUAAGACCAUAGCCAGAACUCCAUGGGCCAUAAGCUUCAACUAUAGGCAUGAUUGCAGACCUGAGGAAGGUGUUAAGCCUGACAAUGGGAAAACCUUCAUUAAUCAUCAUCGAGCUGAUUAUAGUACCCUGAGCAGACAUAGAAAGCUGCAAACCAGUAGCAGAAAGAGAGAUCUGAAUGUCCAAUGCAUUAUGCUGAGGGGCCGGACUAGAAACCACAAUACUUUCAGGUGCAGCCGAGCUUUCUCCCCUAACAAGAUUGUUAAAAAUGUUGCUUGGCACCAAGACAUAACUGUCAGAGACUGUGGCACUGGAAUUAGAGCUGCCAAAAGCUGAAAUGGAAUCAUUCCAAGCUGUCCCUGGGCUAUCCUGGAGAUUAUUAGCAGGUAAAAUCCCAUCUUGCACUUGCAGACCCUCAGCCGUCAGCCAAGGCUGAAAGUUAUACAGUGCAGGAGGCGGCGAAGGUGGCCAAGCACCCCAUCCCGCUUGGAAGUGAGCGUCGUGUCCCUGACGAGCAUUGUGUUGUGGAGCUGCAUCAGGCAUGUUUGGCGCGGCGUUCUGAGCGAGCCAAUUAUGCAGUUGGGCUUGGUACAUCUGCUCCGCAGUGAGAGUGUCACCGAAGAGGGGAUGGGGAAUCCCAUCAGCAGGCGGUGGUUCAAUAUCUGCAGGCGGCACAUCCGGGAUAUGGGCAUUCCAAUCACUGCUGUGCAGAAUCGUGACGCACACAGUCCAGCAUCGGCGCUCACCACCCAGCUGAUGCAUAACAAAACUUUUUGGCAUCUGGCGCAAGCUAAGAACUCUGGCUUUGAUCAGAACAAAUUUCCUGUCCCCUCUAGGAUUAUUCCAAGUGAUAAGUUCCCCAAACUUAUCGACAGACUUAUGGAUGUAGUGAGAGGUUUGAUAAUCAUGGGGAAAUCCAAUGUACAACAACCAGACUUGAGGUCCAAAGCAAGUUUGGCGCAUAUUGAUAGCAGCAUCGUGAGGAAUAAAGGAAACAACAGUACCCUGAUUAUCAUCAUCCUCAUCGAGCUCAAAACUAUACAUCGUGAGGAAUAAAGGAAACUCGGAGAAUUUCCCCUCCUUUUGUGGAUUUUGGUGUAAGCACGAAACUAUACAUUUUACUAAUAUUGUAUUGGAACUUAUUUUGACUUGCAAUGUGUUGCACUGAAUAUUUAAUCAAUGUUGUUAGUUGGAAUCAGGGAAGCUCCAAGUACAACAAAGAAACCCUUAUCCUGUAAAGAACAUUUUGUUGAGACUGUGCUGACCAUAUGAAUAGUUUAGAGACUUGUAUCAUUAACAGAGAUCAUCCAGAUGUUUCUCAGGAAAGCAGCUAGUGUAGUGUAGUAGUAGAAGAUAAUAAAAGCCCACAUAUAUAAUUGUUAGGUUGAAAUUGUUGCUCCAUGUGGGCUGCUUUUUUUUUGUUGGGGAAAAACUUCCGAUCUAUUGAUCUUCAAUCGUGAUAGUACAACGAACACCAGAAAUAAUAAAAAAUAUGGCCAGAUUCGUAGACGACCUUGCAAGAACUACAUCCAAUGAAGCGAGCUGAAGGCGCACCACUGUCAUUGACCCUCCUGUGUCGGAGCCGGGAAAACUUGCUGAAAUAAACAGUCGAGAAGUCAUCGUUUAAAGUCCCCAUAGGACAAGCGCACCAGGAAAAAAGAACCAUCGAUGAAAAUAUGCGUAGACUGGAAGGAUCCAACAUGAAGACAAAAUGAAUAAAGACCGAAUCCGAAUAGAUUCAUCAAAGACAAUCAUCACCACGCCAUGGUCUUGCACCGUGCAGCCACCACGGCCUGGACGCCCGCCCGCACCACACGACCGAGAGCCCCGCCGCCGCCAUGCCCCGCACCAGCGGCACGCCCCCGCCGCACAAGGGUCGAGAUCCACCGCGCCCCCCCGUAUGAUUCUAAGGCCAACGGAGACUAGACGGACGGGCGGGAGGCAGAGGAACCAUAUGUACAUGUGGAUUGUUGGUUGCUAGAUGCAAAUUUUCAAGAUUCAUACCACGAGAGCAUCAAUUGGUGAACCUGCUUCAUUUAGUGAAGAACUGAACAAGUUUUUCUUUUUUGAGGGGAAAUCAACUUGGUUAUGUACGUGUCAUAAUUAUGCUACUUCAAAUUAUCAAAGUAGAUAGAUUAGCUGUAGCUGGCUCAACUGGUUCCCUGGUUGCGUACGACUUCUUGUUUUUUGGGUGGUUGCGUACGGUUGUUGAUUCCUUGGUUGGAGACCUCGCACGCGCAGUGCUCGUUACACGAAAUCCAUCCGUUCCAGCUUAGCCGGUGGGCCGAAGACGCGAAGACCAGGGCGCUUAGCCACAGGUGGGCCGAAGACGAGCGCACCACUCGGUUGACGCUGCGUGCUACGGAGUAGUAGUAUUUUAGUACCACAUCGCUUGUUUCGGUAGACACCUCGCGGCUUAAAUAGCGAGACGUUCAAUCAUGUAUCGUCGAGGACGCAAAGCUAGCACUAGCUAUGCUGGCCUGUCGAGGCAAAAAGCGUUCGUGACGUACUUCUAGCCGGGUUUGGCCCAGCAGCCUGUAACCCUAGGUCGCUGUUAACUCGUGCAUGUUGGGGGCUAGAAGCGCGGAGCGAUUUAAGUCUUUUUUGCGUUUUGAUGCCGUUUUUCUUUUGCCUUGGUUCAUUUUAUUUGAGUCGACCAAAAUAUUUUCUCUCUUACUUACACAUUAUUCGUGGGACCUGCAAAUUUCCCCUUCAACACGGACUAGUGUAAAAAAAGAUUUUUAUUUUUUUUCCAUAUUAUUCCUCUUCCUUCCACUCCGACCGGCACCAAACCAUUUAUUUCCUACCGCUUGUUCUAGCUCCGACUCAUCAUUUAUUUGCUCUAAAGAUUGUGUGUGUUGGGCGCCAAAAGUAUAUGGCCACAUCGUCGUUUCUCUAGGUUCAAAAAAAGAAACAAAUCUGUCCGGAGUACUUCUCUCCACCACUUCCCUCCCUCCAUAGGGCCAAAUUGGUCAUACACCGCAGGGUCAUUUUCCUAUGACAUGAAAAGCUGCAAUAUGACGUUCUAUCUCAUACCCUCUUCGACCGGACAUCUAUGUUGGUGUAAUGCCACACGCUUCAAUGGACAAAUGUAUGGAAUGUCAUGCCCCUUUUUCCCGCUUCGCUAUAGUGCUCAGGCAGUGUGGCGCCAAAACUUUUUUUAAAUUGUUUUUGCAUCAUCAUGCCGUUUUUAGUCAUUCUAUUUGGGUCAAUGCAAUUCUUUUCUCCUCUUACUUAUAAACUCGUCAUCUGAGUUAGGGUCGAUUCGGACGGAUGAAAACUUUUCCCUUUCACAUAGACCAAUGUAAUUUUUUCCUCUUCAUUCCACUCGGACCGAAAGUGAACUAUUUAUUCCUAUCCCUCCCUCUAGAAGGCCAAGUUACUGCUGCACCACCGGGUCAUUUUUCUAUGACAUGAAAAUGCUACAAUAUGUCGUUCUCCCUCACACCCUCUUCAAUUGGACAUCUAUGUUGGAGUAAUGACGCAUACUUCAAUGGACAAAUGUAUGGUGUGUCAUGUCCUUUUUUUCCGCGUCACCGUAGUGGUCAGGCUGGGGGAUGCCAGGACUAUAGAUUAAUGUAACUCUGUUAUUUCGUACCGUCUCUCCAUCAUGCUGGUUCGGCGGUGUGACACCAGAUGUAUGGAGUAUUAAUCUCUACUACCUAAAACAUGUAAGGUUCCCACUCCCGUCUUACGUCUCACCCCUUCGGCCAUUCCUCCCAAUACAUUCCUCCAUCGAUUUUUCUCCACCCUCCCCGGUUUUUCUCCUCUCCUGGUUUACUCGGACAAACCCAAUAAUUAUUUUGUAACACAACCAAUUCGUGGAUGGCAGUCAAUCUCUCCUUUGUGACGCAUAAGGCAAUCAAUUAAUGUAAUCAACCUAUUCUAUCGUAACACAAUAAACACAUGGCCAGUAAAUAUUCACGCGAAAUCCAUCCACCUCCUACAAGUUUUGAUUAUUUUUAUUACCUCAUCCACUGCUUCCUUCUACCUCUCUCUCCCAUCUCACCGAUGACACCGUGUCCCCCGAGCAAACCCUAUUCGUCCCCUCACAUUGGUUCUUCUCUUAUGGCAGCACGCGGUAGAUCAAGCGACAACCAGGAUAGUAUUGGCAGUGGGCCUAGGUGGCAUUGGAGCACAGCGAUGCCUUCGUUUUUCCAGCGUGAGAAUAUGAUCUUUUAUGCCUCUCGCUCGACUUCUUUGGUGCCUAGGGUUUGAAGAUUUUUGGGAUGCCCUCCUUAAUUACCUCUACGAUGGUUACCUCAUCACGAGCAUCUUCUUCUUGCCGUUGUGGGUCGUUGGACCAUUAAUGCCCAACAUGUUCUUCGUUGGCGCACCUCCCGUAGUAAGUGUGCAUGUUUAUAUUUUUGAGAUCAUGACCCAUUAGUUGAUUCUUCCUUUUUAUUUUAUUCAAGUAUGGUAGAAUUUUUUUACUAACAUUUCAUUCUAAUGGCAAUUAGUUUCGUAUUCGUGUAUACAACCAUGCAUCCAUAUCUAUAGCUUGUGCGAUCUCCAUGACGACAACACAAUGCCAUGGCUAUGCGAUUGUCUCCAUCAAAGACACACACACACACACACACAGAGAGAGAGAGAGAGAGAGACACACACAGAGAGAGAGAAAGAGAGAGAGAGCACUGGGGUAUAGGGAAAGCGAGAUUUUCACGGUUGUAACUAAGAAAGAGAGAAAGAGAGAAAUAGAGAGAUUCUCAUGGGCGAGAAAAUACUUUCACACGAGAGAGGGAGAGAGAUUUUCAUGGGAGACAAAUACUAUCAAGAGAGAGGGAGAGGGAGAGAGAGAUUUCAUGGGAGAUAAAUAAGAGAGUAGAGAGAGAGAGAGAGAGAGAGAGAAAGAGAGAGAUAGAAAGUUUAAUGGGAGUAAUUGAAAGCGAGACAUUUUCGUCGUAUGGAUUUUUCUGAGAAGUGUUCGUGAGAGAUUUACAUACGAGAUACAAAAGAAUUUAGUUUUGCUCAUUUCUUGAAUAGGCUUUAGAAGUAUAUAAUGAAAUGGUGUGCACACUCGUUGUACCCUGACUACAAAAGUUAUCAAUAUUUAUUUAGAUCUGCAACACAUAAUGUAAUUAUUGACUAACUGGAUUAUUUAUGGACAAAAAAUGGUUGUUGUAAUAAUGUAUACAUACUAUUGUUUCUCGGAUUUUGUUAUAACUAUAUGCAUGGACAUUUUGAUAUGAUACAUAUAUAAUAUUUUAAAGAUGGGGUUAUUAACAUAUGGAACUAAAUGAAUAUGCCGAGAACUAAUGAUUUUCUGCCGCGAUGAUUCAUUGACAGUGCUAUGGUAGCGGUUACUUCCACGAUAUGACAGUUUUGCCGCCACGAUAGUGUGUUAACCGUGUAUCCCAUUGCAACGCACGUGUAAUUUCCUAGUAUUUAUUUAAUUCCUUGGCCGAGGAUUGGUUUCCUUGCUCACUUCUGUGUGCUUGGGGGCCAAAAUUUUGUAGCAACAUCAGUAUUUUCCUUCCGCUAAGACUAAUGCAUCGUUUAUUUUCCGUCCUUCGAAUGAGAUGGAUGGAAAUUUUCCCUUCCGCAUGGACUAUCGUGAAAUUUAUAAUUUUUAAUUAUUUCUCUUCAUUCCAAUCGAACAUGCACCAAAUCAUUCGUUUCCUUCCACUCGAACGAAUUCUGAAUCAAAUGUUCCUUGCUCACUAGCUCGUUUGUAUUGGGCACCAAAAGUAUGGUGUAAGGCUAGCCUCUUUUCCCUCUGAUGUUUUUUUCUACUAUUUGGACCUGGAAGUAAUGCAUUCGCAUGGAGUACUUCUGUACACCGCUCCUGUUAUGUAUCGUCGUGUCAUUUCCGUAUGACAAGGAAAAGCUACAACAUGUCCUUCGCUCUCUCAUUCUCUUCGGUGGAACAUAAUGCUCGAGAAUGCUGCCAACUUCAAUGGACAAAUUGUAUGGAGCGUCGUGUCCUUUUUCGGCUUCUACAUAGUGGUCGGUCGGCUGUGCGGUGCUUCAAGGACGGCGAACACCUGUGUGGCAAGCAGUAAGAGGUCAUGUUACGAGCGGAGGAAGAACUUGGUGCCAACCCGUUGAUUGUGGUCAGCUGAGCUCAUGAAACAAAUGAUUGCAAAGUAUGUGGCCAAAGGCGUUUGGUGAGGCGCCCGGCACGACGGAGGGCUAGAAUGGGAGAGGCUCAGUGUUGCAACCGACACAAAAAAAGCUGGAACCAGAGGAACUUAGUGGUGCAACCUAACAUGGCGGCGAGCCUUAGCAACUACAACCAGAGGCGCCCGCUACUGCAACCGGCACGACGACGAGUUGCAACCAGUAAUGAAGCAUUGUAAUUUGAAUGCUAGAUACUUAUAAUAUUCAGUUUUGAAAAUAAUUUUAAUAUACUUGCAUUGAGAUGGGUGGGCGUGGCAACAUCUUUUAUGUUCUAGUAGGAAUGUUAGAACCGAUUGCCGCCUAGAGCAAGUCAUAGGCAAUCCUUUGGGAGCAUGCCAAGGAGAUGCCCAAUAUGUAAAUGGAACCAUGCACCAAAUCUUUGUCCUAGUCUUUGGGAGAAUUGGUAUACAUUUGGAAUGUUUAUGCACAUUCGGUAUGAGUGUCCAAAUAAAGAGUGAAAUGUACCACCAGCCCAUAAACUCAAACCGAUCACACAUUUUAAGCCUAUAACUCGGGAACUGAUAGAAUAUAGUCCGUAAACUCGUUAAUUUGAUCGACUAAGGCCAAAACUGGCCCGAGAGGAAAGAACCCGGCUAUGUGGAUGCCAUGUCAUCGUUCCUUUGACCGCUUAUGGAUUAGCUAUUUUUUUAAGGAUCUAUCUGUAAAUUGGUUGGGUUCUUAUUCACAAACCAUGCUAAGGGCGUUGACUGAAAAGAAUAUGCACCUCAAAUUGUAUAUAUUCACGUAGAAUCAGGAGAAAACACUGAAGAUCCCAUCUGAUCGUUUUCCAAUCACGCGAUUUCUUUCCUUCUGUUGCAUCGACUACUGUUUGUUGCUAGAUCAUAGCGUUCCCUUCUCUUCUGGUUUGUCUUAUGUGACUUGCCGAUCACGCGACGGAGAUCGGCAAUUGACCACGGUGUCGUCUACCUGCAGAUGAUUCACUUUUGUAUUCUCUGAAAUCCACUUAUUAUAUAUAGAUAUUUCACACGAUUCUGUGCGGAUAUAUAUAAGUUAGGCUGUAUUUUGAUACAUAAAUCAUUUUAUGGUGUGCUGUUUUGGAUUCCGAUAACUUACCCAGUUGUCAUGGGUUCAAGUCGUACAGAACAUAGGUUUUUUUAAAAAAAUCUACUGACACUAGUAGAAAAAGGGCCUAAUGUGAAGCUCAUUAGGCCUGGUUUGUAUUUGAACGGGCACUAAUGUGACCAUUAGUGUCGGCUCCAACGGCUAGGCGGGCGGCUCGCAUUAGGUGGUGGCAGGCUUUUGUCAGGCUGGGCCCCACCAGCACCUCUAGUACCGGUUCAUGCCAUGAACCGGGACUAGAAAUGCACCUUUAGUCCUGGUUCGUCUAACAAACCAGUACUAAAGAUCUUCCUAUAUAAACCCCUUCGUCCAUCCCGAGCGCUCUGUUCUUCGCUUUUCCUCUCCUCUGUGUUCUUCCUCUUCCUCUCGAGCUCACACUCCAUUUUUUGCCAAAAUUUGUGAAGAUUUGCAGUCACCCCAUCCAUCCAAGUGAUCACAAAGGUUAGCAACUUUGUCCUUUCAUCUCUCAUUGCUAGAUUAGCUCUUGCAAUGCUCUAUAAGUAUAGUGAUUUGUGGGUUUUAUUUUGGGAGGAAUUAUAUGUGGUAGUAUAUGAUUUACAUGCAAUUUGAGGUCAAAAUAACUCUUAGUUUGCAUAUGUAGGUGUGGUUUACUUAGUGCCUUCCCGUCUCCGUCCUAACCACCGUCGACCGCCCGCACCGACCCGUCGCCAGCUCCACCUUCCAGUGAGCCUCUUGUUCUUAUCUUUUUAAUAUAAAAGAAUCAUGUUUAUGUGAUAUAGAUAUAUAGUUACUUGUAUAAUUAUCUUACCCGUACGUUGUUUGUUAUAUAUAGUGCCAUGGUUUUGAUAUCCGUCCCCAUCGGCCCUCGUCCGGGUUAUGAUUCGGAUGUGGUAUAUUCUCUGUUAUAACUAUUUGUUGCAUUUCAUGUUUAUGACAAAUUAUGCCCAUCAAGUUGACAUAGAUAUUUUUAUCUAGGAGGUAUGUGAACCAGAAAUUCCAACCAACCCUAUUGUCGAGAGGUUAAAUUUAGUUGAAAAAGAAAAUGAGUAUUUAAAAGAAAAAAUGAAAAAAAUUGAGGGGGAGAAGAUGGAAUAGGAUUUGCAUGUUGCCGAUGCCGUCGAUGAUCACAAGAUCGAGAUGGAGAAAAUGCGCUUGAAGAUUAGAAAGAUUAGAAAAUAUGCCAUCGAUAGUGAGGCUUGGUAUCAUUAUGUUGUUGCAUCAAUUGUUACCUUAAUUGCGAUCUUGAUCGCAUUUGUUGUUGCAUUUAAAUGCUUUAGCUACAGAGUUAUAUGUAUGUUGUUUUAUGAGAAUAAGUGUUGUAUGAACUUUAUGUAUGAACUUGUAUUAAUUUGAUAUUUUCGGUGCUGUGUAAUGAAGUGAGCCGACAAUGGAUGUACGAUGACCGAUGCUCUCCCCAUUUCAUUAAUGGUGUGCAUACUUUUGUACUUGCAGCUGAGGCAAACAAGCAGGCAUUCUACUAGUAAUGAUACGAUCCAAGAGAAAUGAUUUAGUCAAUGGUAUUGUGAGGACAUGCUUAUCCACAUUUCACUCACUUACAUAUGGUACCCAAUGUGCCAACCUUGCAUGGAGUUGCUUGACUAUUGGUUUCAUGAAAUCAAUGGCACUAACAAGCAUAUUUUGUUGUUUAUUUUUUCUGUGUGUAUUUGACUUCAUCAGAAAGGAAAAUACCUUUGUUUUGUUCUUCUGGAUGCUAAUCGAUGAACUAACUUUUGCACAGCUGAUGACCAUAUAUAUUUUACUGAGUGCUAGAUUAUAAUAUUCCAUUUAACAUUUUUGUUUGUGAUGUUUAGUUGCACUUAAUAAGAAUAUGGACACAAAUCGUUUAAUCAUUCAAUUCACCAGGGUUGAUGAAUAUGCUAGACUGUGGGACCUUCCCUAGACACAAGCUUUUGUGGGUGUCGUCGUGUUUUCAUACUCAGGUAGCCACAACUUUGUCCAUAGACUCACAUGAAGAACUAAUUUCGUCCAUAUGUUUUCUAUUAUGAUAUUUGAAGAUUGCUAAUUAUCAUGCUAGGAAAUGUGACUGUCUUCCCUUUUAGAAAAAUAGGCACACAAAUGGCCGCAAAUGAGGGGUGCCAACUUCUAGGGAAGUGAUGCUGGGAAGAGAUGCAUUUCGUGCCAACCAUGUUGUGUGUAUGCAGGCGAAGAGGCUGGUCGAUCUGACACUGAAGACGAUACCAGGGGGCAUGGGAAGAGAUGAUCACUGAGGAUGUCGUUGCUAUAGAAGAGGAACUCGGAGAAUUUUUUUUUGAACCGCUGAAACAGUAGGAGAGGCUCCUACUGCAAUUGAAUUAAAGAAUCAGCAACUGUACAUGGUUUGUAUGUUACAAGGCCAUCCCACUUUGUGGGUGGAGGGGGGUGGGGGAGGGUAAAGGGCUAAGUUACAAUGUAGCUAAGUAUGAAAGCAAGAUGGGUUUAUUCUUAUCUUCCACCCUAUAGGUGAGGAGGGAUAGGUCUUCUUUAAGUCUAGAGAGCCAAGAGCUUAUGGAUGGAGUAAUUCCUCUGAAGUUCUUGUUGUUCCUUUCCUUCCAAAUACUCCAAGCAGAUUGGAGUAGGAUUUCCACAAAUAAUGGUCUAUUCCAUGAUGUCUUGGCUGAUUCCACCCAAUCCAGCCUAUUCCCUUGAGUAGAUCCUUGCAUUCCAAGCUUGGCCCAACAAUUUAAGCUAAAAGGGCAUUCAAAGAAAAGGUGCUCCACCGUUUCAUCCAUGCAUGUUGGGCAAAGCAGGCAGCCAAACGUGUUACCAAUGUUGAAGUGACGUCGUUUGAGCAUAUUUCUGGUGUUUAGCCUGUCAGAGAGUAGUAACCAGCCAAAAACUUUGAUCUUCAUAGUUGUUUUGGACUUCCAUAGCCAUGAGUAGGCAGGGUGAGCUUGGACAUCUCUGAAGAAAAACUCAUAGAAUUUGUUGGCUGCGAAGUGGGUGGAUCCCCAAACGUAUGUCCAAUCAUCGUGUGUUGAUAGGCCAGCCAGCUGAACGUCCAAGGUAAGGCUUUGCAGAUUUCUGGUCUCUGCAUGGGCUUGCUCCGAUAGUGGCAGAUGAAACGUUUCCUGCAAACUGGUGGCCCCAAGGAACGCGCGAACAGAGAUGUCUUCAUCUUUAGCAAACGAGAAAGCACAUGGAUGAGUUUCGGCCAGGAUCUCACCCAGCCACAUAUCUUUCCAGAAGAGAGUGGUUGCUCCAUUAUUCACAUUGACCAUCGUGAUUCCUCUAUAAGUGGGAAUGAGCUUUGAGAUAUCUCGCCACCAGAAGGAGCCACAAGGAUCGACAGCAUGGGGUAUCUUGGAGGUGUAGUAGGUGUUCCAAAUCAACUCAACCCAGGGCAGGUCCCAGUGGUUGUAGAACUUAUGAAGAAACUUGAGAAGCAAGGCCUCGUUCUGGAUUUUCAGGUUUAAUACUCCCAGACCACCACAUUUUUUGGUUUGCAAACCAUGGCCCAAGCAGCAAGUGAGGUGCACUUGUCACCUUGAUCAGUUUUCUUUGUCCAUAAACAUUUGCGGCGAAUCUUGUCAAGGAGUUCAACGAUUCCUGCUGGGAGUUUAAGUGUACACAUGGCGUAGAUUAGGAGGGAGGUAAUGACCGAGUUGAGUAGUGAUAACUUGCCGCCAUAUGCGAUCAUAUUAAGUGUUGCUGAUAAUCUUCUUUCUAGCCGACAGACCAAAGGCAUGAGAUCAUGAAUGGUAGGUUUAGUAGUCCCCAAAGGAAGGCCUAGGUAGGUAAAAUGCAUCUUUCCCACCACACAUACAAAAAUAUUUGCCAAGUUGGUAUAGAGUGCUUCAUCACAGUUGAUCGGGACAAGUGUGGAUUUAUGGAAACUAAUUUUGAGUCCAAUAGAGGUGGCGUAGUUCGACAGAAUAUUUUUGAUAGUUGUAGCCUGUAGAGGACAAGCUGGCAUUGCAAGAAUCGUGUCGUCCGCAUAUUGAAUGACCGAGUAAUCUUUUUGUGUAGCGCAUGGGAAGGGUAACUUGAUGAGGUAUUUGGAAAAAGCAUCAUUAAUAGCAUCUUGUAAUAAAUCUGCGGCUAGGACAAAGAUUAGGGGGGACAAAGGGUCACCUUGGCGGACUCCACAUUUGCAAUGAAAUUGUCUUCCCGGUACGCCAUUCAGGAGGACAGCAGAUUUCCCCGAGGCAAAGACGCAUUUAAUCCAACCAAGCCAUUUAUCAUUAAAGCCCAUGUUUCUCAUGAUCUCAAUCAUUGCAUCAUGAUCAAUGGUGUCGAAGGCUUUAGCAAAAUCUAGUUUUAACAGGACAAUUUCUUUUUUGGAAGAUUGGCACUGGUAGAUGUACUCGAAGGCCCAUGCCAGGCAGUCUUGGAUCGUGCGCCCUUUGAGGAAACCAUAUUGGUUGCGGUGCACAAUUUUUAGCACGAGUCUUUGUAAACGGUUGGCCAGGAGCUUAGUAAUUACCUUGAGACAACAAUUAAGUAGUGUGAUGGGCCUGUAUUCAUUAAUUGUUGACGGUGCCUGAACUUUUGGAAUGAGAGUGAUUAGUCCUUCAUUAAUGCUCUCUAAGUUGAGGUUGCCCUCGAAGAACUGGUUGCAAAGCUUACAGAAAUCCUCCUUGAUCACUUCCCAACAAGUUUUCAGAAAUAUGCCUGUAAAACCGCCAGGUCCCGGGACCCGGUCCGCUGGCAUUGUUUUGAUCACCUGGUCAAUUUCAGCCAUGGUAAAUGGAACUGUGAGUUCAUCAAGGCCAUCAAUCUUUUUGAUGAUUCUGGGCAAGUCAAAUUUCAUGUCAUGCUUGGUUUUCAUGCCAAGUCGAUCUUUGAAAGUCUGAAAUAUAAUGGCUUCUUUGCUUGCAUGAUCCUCUGCACAAAAGCCAGAUUCAGUCAUGAGGGAGGCUAUGUUAUUUCUGCGAUAUCGUUCUGACGCCAUUGCUUGAAUUUUUUUGGAAUUUUCAUCGCCGAAUUGAACCCAACGAACCGUGCAACGUUUCUUCCAGUAUAGCUUUUGGUAGGACAAGAGUCUUAAUAAAUGGUUCUUAAGAAUAGUUCUGAAAUUUGCUUCCAGUGUCGUGAGAAGCCUCCUGUUUUCCAAACCAUCAAUUUCUAGAAGGGCCCUGUUAGUGUUCUCAAUAGCAAUUGAUAGCUUAGAAAUGUUCUUACUCCAACUUUUUAGUUCAUGCCGAAGGUGCUUGAGCUUUUUGCAGAGAUUAGACGCCAUGUUUGGAGAGUUCACAGGUAUGGCCCAAGCCCUUUUCACAGUUUCUAAGAACCCCGGGUGAUGGAUCCAAUAAGAUUCAAAUCUGAACAUCUUGGAACGUGGGAUUUUUGUUUCAAUAUUGAUGACACAAGGAAUGUGGUCGGAGACCGGUCUGCCAAGUGGUUUAACAAGCGUGUUUGGUAGGAGCUGGUCCAAUGAUUACUAGGGAAGAACCAGUCAAUUUGCUCUAGUAGGGGAUUAGUUUGCAUGUUGCUCCAUGUGUAAGUUCUUCCCUUGAUGCGGGCAGUUCAAUUAAGGCUUGUGAUCUGAUGAAAUCAUUAAAAGUUAUCAUAUCUCCAAAGUGGCCACCUGGUUUGUUACGAUUGUCAGGGCCUCUAAUGAAAUUAAAAUCUCCACAUAAUAGCAAAUCUUCAUUAGUAGGUAUAUCAAGUGAGAAUAGCCAUGCAAUGAAAUUGUUUCUGGGGUCCCCUUGAUAGGGCCCAUACACAUUAACUAAGGUCCAAGAUUGCGCCGACUGGGUAGAGUGAAAUCGUGUUACCAGUGCAAAGUCUUCAGAGGCCACUGUAGUAGACGAGAAAACCGCACUAUUCCAAAUGGUGGCAAUUCCUCCUGACGCGCCCCGGGAGGGGACAAAAUCAAACUUAUCAAAUCUUCGUGGGCAACAAGAUUUAAUGAAAGCUUUAUCAAAAGAUUGUUUUUUCGUUUCCUGCAAGCAAAUAACUGCGCAACCACUAGAGUUGAUCGCAUUAGAAAGUGCUAACUGUUUAGCUUCAGAGUUUAGCCCACAUACAUUCCAACAUAGAACAUUCCAACUAACCAAAAGAGGCAUAAUAAGGAUAAAUAAGGAGAUCAGGCCGCAUCAGAAGAUGGCCCUGCGUACUUGCAAGCCAGGAACUUCUCCUCCGAGAGAUCAACAGCAGGGAUCCCACACAUAACACUGCCAAUCUGCUGAAUGACAUGGAUCGGGGUGGGAGGUGGCAGUUCUGCUUCAUCAGAAAGUUCAGUUAUGGUAAUGGCAGUUGCCGCAGAGGGAACGACCCAUGGUUUUACCUUAGAGGCUCUGUUCUUUGUUUCCGAGAGUGACGGUACUUUGAAUCCAUCAUACUUGUUCUUGCGAGUGCUCCGCCGCAGAUUAACGGAGGAUUCAGGAGCAGGAGCCUUUCCAUGAAGAGUACUCACCACAGGCUCAUGGACGUGCAGGUCAUCAGAAACAUCAGUAGCAGUCACCGCAGACACCUGUGCAGGCAGUUUAGUAGAAGAAGCAGGACCAAGUGUGUCCGACAAGUGCACCAGCCGAGGUGGAAAGACACUGACAGGAGUCGUUGGAUCCCCAACAUUCAGAUCAAACAGAGAGAGAUCAGCUUCCAUGGACAUUUGUUCAACAAUAACAGCAUUGGAGUUAUGCAGAGUUGUGGUCUUGGUGGCUUCAGUAACAGUUAGCAUUCCCUCCUCUUCAGUAAUUGCCACUUUAAACUCCACUCUAGCAUCCCUAAGACCAUAGCCAGAACUCCAUGGGCCAUAAGCUUCAACUAUAGGCAUGAUUGCAGACCUGAGGAAGGUGUUAAGCCUGACAAUGGGAAAACCUUCAUUAAUCAUCAUCGAGCUGAUUAUAGUACCCUGAGCAGACAUAGCAAGCUGCAAACCAGUAGCAGAAAGAGAGAUCUGAAUGUCCAAUGCAUUAUGCUGAGGGGCCGGACUAGAAACCACAAUACUUUCAGGUGCAUCCGAGCUUUCUCCCCUAACAAGAUUGUUAAAAAUGUUGCUUGGCACCAAGACAUAACUGUCAGAGACUGUGGCACUGGAAUUAGAGCUGCCAAAAGCUGAAAUGGAAUCAUUCCAAGCUGUCCCUGGGCUAUCCUGGAGAUUAUUAGCAGGUAAAAUCCCAUCUUGCACUUGCAGACCCUCAGCCGUCAGCCAAGGCUGAAAGUUAUACAGUGCAGGAGGCGGCGAAGGUGGCCAAGCACCCCAUCCCGCUUGGAAGUGAGCGUCGUGUCCCUGACGAGCAUUGUGUUGUGGAGCUGCAUCAGGCAUGUUUGGCGCGGCGUUCUGAGCGAGCCAAUUAUGCAGUUGGGCUUGGUACAUCUGCUCCGCAGUGAGAGUGUCACCGAAGAGGGGAUGGGGAAUCCCAUCAGCAGGCGGUGGUUCAAUAUCUGCAGGUGGCACAUCCGGGAUAUGGGCAUUCCAAUCACUGCUGCGCAGAAUCGUGACGCACACAGUCCAGCAUCGGCGCUCACCACCCAGCUGAUGCAUAACAAAACUUUUUGGCAUCUGGCGCAAGCUAAGAACUCUGGCUUUGAUCAGAACAAAUUUCCUGUCCCCUCUAGGAUUAUUCCAAGUGAUAAGUUCCCCAAACUUAUCGACAGACUUAUGGAUGUAGUGAGAGGUUUGAUAAUCAUGGGGAAAUCCAAUGUACAACAACCAGACUUGAGGUCCAAAGCAAGUUUGGCGCAUAUUGAUAGCAGCAUCGUGAGGAAUAAAGGAAACAACAGUACCCUGAUUAUCAUCAUCCUCAUCGAGCUCAAAACUAUACAUCGUGAGGAAUAAAGGAAACUCGGAGAAUUUCCCCUCCUUUUGUGGAUUUUGGUGUAAGCACGAAACUAUACAUUUUACUAAUAUUGUAUUGGAACUUAUUUUGACUUGCAAUGUGUUGCACUGAAUAUUUAAUCAAUGUUGUUAGUUGGAAUCAGGGAAGCUCCAAGUACAACAAAGAAACCCUUAUCCUGUAAAGAACAUUUUGUUGAGACUGUGCUGACCAUAUGAAUAGUUUAGAGACUUGUAUCAUUAACAGAGAUCAUCCAGAUGUUUCUCAGGAAAGCAGCUAGUGUAGUGUAGUAGUAGAAGAUAAUAAAAGCCCACAUAUAUAAUUGUUAGGUUGAAAUUGUUGCUCCAUGUGGGCUGCUUUUUUUUUGUUGGGGAAAAACUUCCGAUCUAUUGAUCUUCAAUCGUGAUAGUACAACGAACACCAGAAAUAAUAAAAAAUAUGGCCAGAUUCGUAGACGACCUUGCAAGAACUACAUCCAAUGAAGCGAGCUGAAGGCGCACCACUGUCAUUGACCCUCCUGUGUCGGAGCCGGGAAAACUUGCUGAAAUAAACAGUCGAGAAGUCAUCGUUUAAAGUCCCCAUAGGACAAGCGCACCAGGAAAAAAGAACCAUCGAUGAAAAUAUGCGUAGACUGGAAGGAUCCAACAUGAAGACAAAAUGAAUAAAGACCGAAUCCGAAUAGAUUCAUCAAAGACAAUCAUCACCACGCCAUGGUCUUGCACCGUGCAGCCACCACGGCCUGGACGCCCGCCCGCACCACACGACCGAGAGCCCCGCCGCCGCCAUGCCCCGCACCAGCGGCACGCCCCCGCCGCACAAGGGUCGAGAUCCACCGCGCCCCCCCGUAUGAUUCUAAGGCCAACGGAGACUAGACGGACGGGCGGGAGGCAGAGGAACCAUAUGUACAUGUGGAUUGUUGGUUGCUAGAUGCAAAUUUUCAAGAUUCAUACCACGAGAGCAUCAAUUGGUGAACCUGCUUCAUUUAGUGAAGAACUGAACAAGUUUUUCUUUUUUGAGGGGAAAUCAACUUGGUUAUGUACGUGUCAUAAUUAUGCUACUUCAAAUUAUCAAAGUAGAUAGAUUAGCUGUAGCUGGCUCAACUGGUUCCCUGGUUGCGUACGACUUCUUGUUUUUUGGGUGGUUGCGUACGGUUGUUGAUUCCUUGGUUGGAGACCUCGCACGCGCAGUGCUCGUUACACGAAAUCCAUCCGUUCCAGCUUAGCCGGUGGGCCGAAGACGCGAAGACCAGGGCGCUUAGCCACAGGUGGGCCGAAGACGAGCGCACCACUCGGUUGACGCUGCGUGCUACGGAGUAGUAGUAUUUUAGUACCACAUCGCUUGUUUCGGUAGACACCUCGCGGCUUAAAUAGCGAGACGUUCAAUCAUGUAUCGUCGAGGACGCAAAGCUAGCACUAGCUAUGCUGGCCUGUCGAGGCAAAAAGCGUUCGUGACGUACUUCUAGCCGGGUUUGGCCCAGCAGCCUGUAACCCUAGGUCGCUGUUAACUCGUGCAUGUUGGGGGCUAGAAGCGCGGAGCGAUUUAAGUCUUUUUUGCGUUUUGAUGCCGUUUUUCUUUUGCCUUGGUUCAUUCUAUUUGAGUCGACCAAAAUAUUUUCUCUCUUACUUACACAUUAUUCGUAUGACCUACAAAUUUCCCCUUCAACACGGACUAGUGUAAAAAAAGAUUUUUAUUUUUUUUCCAUAUUAUUCCUCUUCCUUCCACUCCGACCGGCACCAAACCAUUUAUUUCCUACCGCUUGUUCUAGCUCCGACUCAUCAUUUAUUUGCUCUAAAGAUUGUGUGUGUUGGGCGCCAAAAGUAUAUGGCCACAUCGUCGUUUCUCUAGGUUCAAAAAAAGAAACAAAUCUGUCCGGAGUACUUCUCUCCACCACUUCCCUCCCUCCAUAGGGCCAAAUUGGUCAUACACCGCAGGGUCAUUUUCCUAUGACAUGAAAAGCUGCAAUAUGACGUUCUAUCUCAUACCCUCUUCGACCGGACAUCUAUGUUGGUGUAAUGCCACACGCUUCAAUGGACAAAUGUAUGGAAUGUCAUGCCCCUUUUUCCCGCUUCGCUAUAGUGCUCAGGCAGAGGGACGCUAGAACUUUUUUUAAAUUGUCUUUGCAUCGUCAUGCCGUUUUUGGUCAUUCUAUUUGGGUCAGUGCAAAUCUUUUCUCCUCUUACUUAUAAACUCGUCAUAUGAAUUAGGGUCCAUUCACAUGGAUGAAAACUUUUCCCUUUCACAUAGACGAAUGUAAUUUUUUUCCUCUUCAUUCCACUCGGACCGAAACUGAACUAUUUAUUCCUAUCCCUCGUACUAACCCGGACUCAUUUUUUCUUUGCUCACAAGCUCGUGUCUGUUGGGCGCCAAACAUAUGGGGUGCUGAGGGAGUCCCAGACUAGGGGGUGUCCGGAUAGCCGAACUACCAUCAUCGGCCGGAGUCCAAGACUAUGAAGAUACAAGAUUGAAGACUUCGUCCCGUGUCCGGAUGGGACUUUCCUUGGCGUGGAAGGCAAGCUUGGCGAUACGGAUAUGUAGAUCUCCUACCAUUGUAACCGACUCUGUAUAACCCUAGCCCUCUCCGGUGUCUAUAUAAACCGGAUGGCUUUAGUCCAUAGGACGAACAACAAUCAUACCAUAGGCUAGCUUCUAGGGUUUAGCCUCCUUGAUCUCGUGGUAGAUCUACUCUUGUAACCCACAUCAUCAAUAUUAAUCAAGCAGGACGUAGAGUUUUACCUCCAUCAAGAGGGCCCGAACCUGGGUAAAAACAUCGUGUCCCUCGUCUCCUGUUACCAUCCGCCUAGACGCACAGUUCGGGACCCCCUACCCGAGAUCCGCCGGUUUUGACACCGACAUUGGUGCUUUCAUUGAGAGUUCCUCUGUGUCGUCACCGAUAGGCUCGAUGGCUUCUUUGAUCAUCAACGACGAUGCAGUCCAGGGUGAGACCUUCCUCCCCGGACAGAUCUUCGUAUUCGGCGGCUUCGCACUUCGGGCCAAUUCACUUGGCCAACUGGAGCAGAUCGAAGGCUACGCCCCUGGCCGUCAGGUCAGAUUUGGAAGUUUGAACUUCACGGCUGACAUCCUCGGGGACUUCAUCCUCGACGGAUUCGAGCCACAGCCGAGCGUGACGUACUGUCACGAUGGGCAUGAUUUAGCUCUGCAGCCGGACAGUACCCUGGAGGCCGCACUCGAACCCGCUCCGAUCUUCGACUCGGAGCCGGCUGCGCAGACCAAGGAUGGAUGGCUAGACACCACCUCGGAGGCUGCAACCUCUACGGCGAUAGAGCCGAACACCGAUCUUGUCCCCCAUGAAGCUCAUUACUCCGAGGUGCCGGACUCCUUGCCGGACUCCGGACCUCCCGCGCCCCCUCCAGUCGAAUCCGAUUGGGUGCCGAUCAUGGAGUUCACCGCGGCGGACAUCUUUCAACACUCACCUUUUGGCGACAUCUUGAGUUCGCUAAAGUACCUCUCGUUAUCAGGAGAGGCCUGGCCGGACUGCGGCCAGGACGGUUGGGAUGCGGACGACGAAGAAAUUCAGAGCCCACCCACCACCCACUUGGUAGCCACUUUCGACGACCUAACCGACAUGCUAGAUUACGACUCUGAGGACAUCGACGGUAUGGACGACGAUGCCGGAGACGACCAAGAACCAGCGCCCACCGGGCACUAGAAAGCCACCUCUUCAUACGACAUAUACAUGGUGGAUAUCCCAAAGGAUGGGAACGGCGAAGGAAUAGCGGAGGAUGACCCCUCCAAGAAACAGCCCAAGCGCCAGCGUCAGCGGCGCCGCUCUAAAUCCCGCCAUAGCAAGAAUGAGGAUUCCGGCACCGGAGACAAUUAUACACCGGAUAGCGCCAAAGACAACCCACUCCAGCAAGAUCCAACAUAGGAGGAGGGGGACGCCAGACCUCAUGAGAGAGCGGCCGAAGAAGAGGUAGAGGACUAUAUGCCUCCCUCCGGAGACGAGGCAAGCCUCGACGACGACGAAUUCGUCGUGCCUGAGGAUCCCGUCGAACAGGAGCGUUUCAAACGCAGGCUUAUGGCCACGGCAAACAGCCUCAAGAAAAAGCAGCAACAGCUUAGAGCUGAUCAAGAUCUGCUAGCCGACAGAUGGACCGAAGUCCUCGUGGCCGAAGAGCAUGAACUCGAAUGCGCCUCCAAAAGCUACCCCAAACAUAAGCUGCUCCCCCGAUUAGAGGUGGAGGCAUAUGAUCCUGCUUCACCAGGAGACAAUACGGCUGAUCGACCACCCCGUGGUCGCGACAGAGAGGCCUCAAGGCCCUUCACUAGACCCGUACCCCGGCAUCGCUCGAAAAGCACAAGGCCACAGGGGAACACUCCGGACCUGCGCGGCAUAUUGGAGGAUAAGGCAAGACAAUUAAGAUCGACCUAUGGAUCACGUGGGCGCCCCAUGAUACGUGACGAUCACCGUCACCCCGGACACAGUAAGUCCGGCCGGGCCGAACACAACAGACAAAGCUCUUUUGAGCUCCGUCGCGAUAUCGCCCAGUACAGAGGCGCCGCACACCCACUGUGCUUCACAGAUGAGGUAAUGGAUCAUCAAAUCCCAGAAGGGUUUAAACCCGUCAAUAUUGAAUCUUAUGAUGGCACAACAGACCCCGCGGUCUGGAUCGAGGACUAUCUCCUCCACAUCCACAUGGCCCGCGGAGACGAUCUCCACGCCAUCAAAUAUCUCCCACUCAAACUUAAAGGACCAGCCCGGCACUGGCUUAACAGCUUGCCAGCAGAGUCAAUUGGGAGUUGGGAGGACCUGGAAGCCGCAUUCCUCGAUAACUUCCAAGGCACGUACGUGCGACCACCAGAUGCAGAUGACCUAAGCCACAUAAUUCAGCAGCCAGACGAAUCGGCCAGGCAAUUCUGGACACGGUUCUUAACCAAGAAAAACCAAAUCGUCGACUGUCCGGAUGCCGAGGCUCUCGCGGCCUUCAAGCAUAACAUCCGCGACGAGUGGCUUGCCCGGCACCUGGGACAGGAAAAGCCGAAAUCCAUGGCAGCCCUUACAUCACUCAUGACCCGCUUCUGUGCGAGUGAGGACAGCUGGCUAGCACGCAGCAACAACCUCAAUAAAAAUGCUGGCAGUCCGGAUAUCAAGGACCGUAGUGGCAGGUCGCGUCGCAACAAAAACAAACGCCGCAUUAACGGCGAUAACAGUGAGGAUACGGUAGUCAAUGCCGGAUUCAGAGGCUCUAAACCCGGUCAACGGAAAAGGCCAUUCAAAAGAAUAACUCAGGGUCCGUCCAAUUUGGAACGAAUUCUCGACCGCUUGUGCCAGAUACAUGGCACCCCUGAAAAGCCAGCUAACCAUACCAAUAGGGACUGUUGAGUGUUCAAGCAGGCAGGCCAGUUAAUUGCCGAAAACAGCGACAAGGGGCUACAUAGCGACGACGAGGAAGAGACCCGACCGCCGAACAAUAGAAGACAGAAGGGUUUCCCCCCACAGGUGCGGACGGUGAACAUGAUAUAUGCCACGCACAUACCCAAAAGGGAGCGGAAGCGUGCACUCAGGGAUGUAUACGCGAUGGAGCCAGUUGCCCCGAAGUUCAAUCCAUGGUCCUUUUGCCCGAUCACCUUUGACCGAAGGAACCACCCCACCAGCAUUCGCCAUGGUGGGUUCGCCGCAUUGGUUCUAGACCCAAUCGUCGAUGGAUUUCAUCUCACCAGAGUCCUGAUGGACGGCGGCAGCAGCCUAAACCUGCUUUAUCAGGGCACGGUGCGCAAAAUGGGCAUAGACGCCUCAAGGAUUAAACCUACCAAGACGACCUUUAAAGGCGUCAUACCAGGUGUAGAAGCCAAUUGUACAGGCUCAGUUACACUAGAAGUGGUCUUCGAAUCCCCGGAUAACUUCCGAAGCAAGGAGUUAAUCUUCGACAUAGUCCCGUUCCGCAGCGGCUAUCAUGCCUUGCUCGGACGUACCGCGUUCGCAAAGUUCAACACGGUGCCGCACUACGCAUACCUCAAGCUCAAGAUGCCAGGCCCUAGAGGAGUCAUCACGGUCAACGGAAACACUGAACGCUCCCUCCGAACGGAGGAACAUAUAGCGGCUCUCGCGGCAGAAGUACAAAGCAGCCUUUUAAGGCAAUUCUCGAGUCCGGCUGCCAAGCGGCCGGACACAGCUAAGGGUGCCCGGAGUAACCUACAACACGACCACCUGGCAUAUUUCCAGCACGCGUAGCAGUGCGGCCCCAACCCCAGCCCCUGUAAAACAUUAAGACAGACCCUUCGCGUACUCCAUUACGCUCUGAAGAUACCAUGGGCACGGGGUAAGGGGCUCGACCACGAUAAUCCCAGACUGCGGCUCAACCGCACCAGGGGCUCUUAAGUGUGUCAUUUCUUUUUCUUUUCCUUCUAUUUUUUACCUACAGGACUCCGUUCGUCAGAGGCCCUGUCCGGCAGCAGACAUGUCGAACCCACGAUGCAACAGCCAGGGAAGGAGAAAGGCUACAACGAAAACCCAGGUGGUCUCGAUCAUGAGCAUUAAAUCUGUUUUAUGCAUUAUUCCGUAGCCUACCCCUGGAGGGGGACAUGUUAAACAGUCCCAUCCCUUGCUUACCGCACCACUUGUAUCGUCCUGCACUUACAGCACUUUUUAUUGAAUAAAGCAAUACAACACAUUUUUGCUUCUAAUUGCAUUUCUUUCUUACACAUAUGUUCAUCUAUGACAUGUUGCAUCCGUGCGUUUUGGUACGGCUAAAUACACCAGGGGCUUAUGUUUCCCGCGUUAUGGAGUGAUAAGUCCGAACACUUUCACAAGUGCGGCACCCCGAACUUAUAGCAUUAUAUGCAUCGGCUCCGAAUCAUGUUCUUGGGUCAAUAGUUGGGUUUGCCCGGCUCCCAUGUUUUGGUACCUUACGUUCCGUUUUAUCGGCUAAGGUAGUACUGGGAGAACCACUGCGAUUGCGCCCCAGUUGAGCUGGGUUAACGCCUCAGUGGAGAAAGCUAAAACUGACCGUCAUGAUGAGGCGAGAGUUGGUCGCUGUUCGAGAGGUUCUUUGCGAGUCCCUAAGACUUAUGCCACUUCGAGCGAGGAGCCGGAUUCUGUCCGGCCAAGGCGUGGAUAGCGCCCCAAAUUCGGCCUUCCGAAAACUAGGGGCUGUGCCGAAAUUUAAAAUUAUAGAAUUCUAUGGCUUAGUGAGAGUGUUCAAGCAUUAUAAGUCCGGUUGCCUUGUUCGUUGUGUUGAGCGCCUCCCUAGAUGGACCCAAAAAUGGGAACAAGAGCGCUCGAGUUUAUCCCGAACACCCCAGCACUCGUGGCAUGGGGGCUGAAGCCGACGACUUGCCAUCUCUCAGAUUUGAUAAACAGCCGCACAGAAGGUAAUAUUUUAAAUUAACAAGAGUUGCUUAGUGCAUAUGAACCAAGUUUUCAGCGCACAGGAUAACAAAAUGCGAGUCUACUCAAAUAUUACAUCUUUGGAGCACUCACCCGCAAUAGUGCGGGCGCCCUUCAGCACACUCCUAUAAUACAUCUCGGGCGUGCGAUGCUCCUUGCCCUCUGGUGGGGGGUCCGUCACAAACUUCUGGGCAUCCAUCUUGCCCCAGUGCACCUUUGCACGGGCAAGGGCCCGACGCGCACCUUCAAUACAGGCGGAGUGCUUGAUGACUUCAACCCACGGGCACGCAUCUACCAGCCACCGCACCAGGCCGAAGUAGCUCCCAGGCAUGGCCUCCUUAGGCCACAGCCGAACUAUGAGGCCCUUCAUGGCCUGUUCGGCUGCCUUGUGGAGCUCGACUAGCUGCUUCAGCUGGUCGCUAAGGGGCACCGGAUGUUCGGCCUCAGCAUACUGAGACCAGAAGACCUUCUCCGUCAAGCUCCCCUCCUCGGCCCGGUAGAAUGCGGCAGCAUCGGACACGCUGCAAGGAAGAUCUGCGAACGCUCCUGGAGAGCUCCGAAUUCGGGUAAGCGACAGGUAAUUAACACUCACAUGCUUACUUUGCAUGAAAAAUGCCUUACCCGCUGCUAUUUUCUUUACUGCCUCGAUCUCCUGGAGGGCCUUGUAGGCUUCGGCCUUAGCGGCUUUGGCACUCUCAAGAGCCGUUGCAAGCUCAGACUCUCGAGUCUUCGAGUCACGCUCCAGGCUCUCAUGUUUCCUCACGAGAUCCUGGAGCUCUUGUUGUACCUCCGCCACCCGCGCCUCCUGUUUCUCUCGCUCGGUGCGCUCCGCAGCCGCAUUGCGUUCGGCCGUGGCCACCGCCUCCUUCAGGGUCGCCACCUUGUUAGUGGCCCCUGCAAUACCCCAGUUAUCCUUGUCAUUUUUCUUGCAACCAAAUCCUUUUCUGUAAGGUACAAUUUUCAUAAGGUAUUACUCACCUUCUUUUUCCUCGAGCUGCUUCUUGGCAUGGCCGAGCUCGUUCUCGGACCGCUCGAGGUUUUCCUUCAAAGUUUUGACCUCCGCAGUUAGUGCGGCAGAGGUCAGCAGCACAGCCUACAAUCCCAUAUUGACAUAUUUUCAUGACUCCUGCGUUUAUCUUUCUAAAGAUCCUCAGUCCGGCUUUUCUUUCCGAACACCGAACCGAGCAUCAGGGGCUACUGUCUAUGCGGUACCAUUUUACAUAUAUUGAAAUUCUUACCUCAAAGCCUGUUAGAAGGCUGCUGCAGGCUUCAGUCAGCCCGUUCUUGGCGAGCUGAACUUUCUGAAUCACCGCACUCAUAACAGUGCGGUGUUCCUCUUCAAUAGAGGCACUAUUGAGCGCCUCUAGCAAAUUAUCCGGCACCUCCGGUUGGACGGAGGCAGCCGGCGUCGCGGUCUUGCCCUUCUUACGAAGGGGUCGCCCGCCAGACUUCGGAGCGACUAUGGGUUUCGGGGCUGAGUCCGGUGCAAAGUCUGGGAGGUUGUCCUGCGACACCUCCGGGGCCCUCUCCUCCUGGUGGGUCCCUUCCUGGGAUCCCACCUCGGCAUCGUCCGCAUCACGGGGGGUGGAGGCAGUCGGAAGAGAAUCCAUAUCCGACGCCCCGAAGGACCCGCUCGACGAAGUGGGGAGAUCAUCCUUAGGCGGACUGCAGGGUUAUAUGCGGCAUUAGAAAGACAUAAUGUGGCGGAAAACGAAAACCUUGAAGUUAUUCGGGAGUCCGGAUACUUACGAUCUCGCCAGAGGCUUGGCCCUUGGAGGCCAGUCCUCGUCGUCGUCACUGGCGUUGGUGGAACAGUCCGGGGGAAGAGUUUUUCCCCUCUUGGACCCUUCAGACUCCCUUGUUGGGGAGGCCUUCCUUUUCUUCCCUCCCCCGGCUGGGGGAGAGGCUUUCUUCUUCUCCUCCUCGCCUUGGUGGGAGGAGUCGGCCUUGGAUUCAUCGUCCGAUAGCACCUGAAAAUGGGAACUCUUCCGAGUCCCCGUGGCCUUCUUCUUGGCCUUCUUCUCCGGCACCACAUGGGGUGCCGGAGCCAGCAGCCCCGUUAGGGCGGCGUCAGCUGGGUCCUCUGGCAAUGGGGCCGGACAGAUAGCCUGUGCGGCCUUCUUCAGCCAGUCCUGUCAAAGAAAAGGGAGUUUAGAUCCCGCAUAGAGUCAAACUAUGAAUAACAAGCGUCCCGUAAAGGACAAUAUCACUUACCUCGUCAGCUGGACGCUGCGAGCUGAAUCCGCGAUCUUCGGUAGCGGAUGCGGGAGACUCGGCGCCCUUGAGCAGCACCUUCCAGACCUCUUCAUACAUAGUGUCGAAGAGCCCAUUCAAAGUCUGGUGUUGCGCCGGAUCGAACUCCCACAUGUUGAAGCCCCGUCGUUGGCACGGGAAAAUCCGGCAGAUGAGCAUGACCUGGACUACGUUGAAAAGCUUGAGCUUCUUGUCCACCAGCUUCUGGAUACAGGCUUGGAGUCCGGUCAGCUCCUCCGAAUCCCCCCAGAUCCGGCCACUCUCUUUCCAGGAGGUGAGCCGUGUAGGGAUACCAGAUCUGAAUUCGGGGGCCGCUGCCCAAUCAGGGUCACGCGGCUCGGUGAUGUAGAACCACGUCGAUUGCCGCCCCUUAAUGGUUUCCACGAAAGUACCCUCCAGCCGCGUAACAUGGGACAUCCUGCCCACCAUGGCGCCUCCGCACUCCGCUUGGCUGCCCUUCACAACCUUCGGCUUGACACUGAAGGUCUUGAGCCACAAGCCGAAGUGGGACUGGAUGCAGAGGAAGGCCUCGCACACGACGAUAAACGUCGAGAUGUUGAGGAUAAAAUUCAGGGCCAGAUCAUGGAAAUCUAGGCCGUAGUAGAAAAUGAGCCCCCGGACAAAGGGAUGAAGUGGGAAGCCCAGUCCGCGGAGGAAAUGGGGAAGGAAUACUACCCUCUCAUGGGGCCUAGGGGUGGGGAUGAGCUCUCCCUCGUCGGGGAGCCGAUGCGCGAUGUCGCUUGACAAGUAUCCGGCGCUGCGCAGCUUCUGGAUAUGCCCCUCCGUGAUGGAGGAGGCCAUCCACUUGCCUCCCGCUCCGGACAUAUUUGGAGAAGGUUGAGGUGAGAUGUGCAGGCUUGGGCGCUAGAGCUCGAGUUCACGGAGAUGGAUAAGCCAAGGAGGAAGAAGGCGCAGGUAAAAGGAUUGGAUCUUUAUCCCCUUAUAUGGGCGGACGGAAACAUGCGUCCCCACCGGCCUGAUAAAACUCGCUUAUCUCCCAAGCGCCGCAAUCAAUGGCGCGGUUGGGUUACCCACGUCCGUAUUGAUGGGAAUCCCGGAAUAAGGGGAACACGAUCUCUGCUUCGACAAGAAGUGCCAAGGAAACCGCCUUACUAAACGCGCUGAGAUGGAACAAUAAAAACAAUUUGAAGGCUUGGUAGUGGUGUGACGUUACGCCACAAAAUACGUCAGCAGAUUGAACUUGUAUAAUAUUAUUCUCUCUACGGUUGUAUGUGGAAUUUAUUUUGCAGAGCCGGACACUAUCCUGGUGUUCACAAUCUUCUAUAAAUUAUUUGAGGGAGGAACCUGCCUUGCAAUGCCGAAGACAACAUGCGCGCCGGACUCAUCGUCAUUGAAGCCUGGUUCAGGGGCUACUGAGGGAGUCCCGGACUAGGGGGUGUCCGGAUAGCCGAACUACCAUCAUCGGCCGGACUCCAAGACUAUGAAGAUACAAGAUUAAAGACUUCGUCCCGUGUCCGGAUGGGACUUUCCUUGGCGUGGAAGGCAAGCUUGGCGAUACGGAUAUGUAGAUCUCCUACCAUUGUAACCGACUCUCUGUAACCUUAGCCCUCUCCGGUGUCUAUAUAAACCGGAUGGCUUUAGUCCAUAGGACGAACAACAAUCAUACCAUAGGCUAGCUUCUAGGGUUUAGCCUCCUUGAUCUCGUGGUAGAUCUACUCUUGUAACCCACAUCAUCAAUAUUAAUCAAGCAGGACGUAGGGUUUUACCUCCAUCAAGAUGGCCCGAACCUGGGUAAAAACAUCGUGUCCCUCGUCUCCUGUUACCAUCCGCCUAGACGCAUAGUUCGGGACCCCUACCCGAGAUCCGCCGGUUUUGACACCGACAGGUGUUGUCGUCUUUUCUCUAGCCUGAAAGAAACGAACCCGCCCCGAGUACUUCUCUCCAUCCCUUCCCUCCCUCUAGAAGGCCAAGUUACUGCUGCACCACCGGGUCUUUUUUCUGUGACAUGAAAAAGCUGUAAUAUGUUGUUCUCUCUCGCACCCUCUUCAAUUGGACAUCUAUGUUGGAGUAAUGACGCAUACUUCAAUGGACAAAUGUAUGGUGUGUCAUGUCCUUUUUUUCCGCGUCACCGUAGUGGUUAGGCCGGGGGAUGCCAGGACUAUAGAUUAAUGUAACUCUGUUAUUUCGUACCGUCUCUCCAUCAUGCUGGUUCGGCGGUGUGACACCAGAUGUAUGGAGUAUUAAUCUCUACUACCUAAAACAUGUAAGGUUCCCACUCCCGUCUUACGUCUCACCCCUUUGGCCAUCCCUCCCAGUAUGUUCCUCCAUCGAUUUUUCUCCACCCUCCCCGGUUUUUCUCCUCUCCUGGUUUACUCGGACAAAACCAAUAAUUCUUUGGUAACACAACCAAUUCGUGGAUGGCAGUCAAUCUCUCCUUUGUGACGCAUAAGGCAAUCAAUUAAUGUAAUCAACCUAUUCUAUCAUAACACAAUAAACACAUGGCCAGUAAAUAUUCACGCGAAAUCCAUCCACCUCCUACAAGUUUUGAUUAUUUUUAUUACCUCAUCCACUGCUUCCUUCUACCUCUCUCUCCCAUCUCACCGAUGACACCGUGUCCCCCGAGCAAACCCUAUUCGUACCCUCACAUUGGUUCUUCUCUUAUGGCAGCACGCGGUAGAUCAAGCCACAACCAGGAUAGUAUUGGCAGUGGGCCUAGGUGGCAUUGGAGCACAACGAUGCCUUCGUUUUUCCAGCGUGAGAAUCUGAUCUUUUAUGCCUCUCGCUCGACUUCUUUGGUGCCUAGGGUUUGAAGAUUUUUGGGAUGCCCUCCUUAAUUACCUGUACGAUGGUUACCUCAUCACGAGCAUCUUCUUCUUGCCGUUGUGGGCCGUUGGACCAUUAAUGCCCAACAUGUUCUUCAUUGGAGCACCUCCAGUAGUAAGUGUGCAUGUUUAUAUUUUUGAGAUCAUGACCCAUUAGUUGAUUCUUCCUUUUUAUUUUAUUCAAGUAAUUGGUAGAAUUUUUUUACUAACAUUUCAUUCUAAUGGCAAUUAGUUUCGUAUUCGUGUAUACAACCAUGCAUCCAUAUCUAUAGCUUGUGCGAUCUCCAUGAAGACAACACAAUGCCAUGGCUAUGCUAUUGUCUCCAUCAAAGACACACACACACACACAGAGAGAGAGAGAGAGAGAAAUAGAGAGAUUUUCACGGUUGUAACUAAGAAAGAGAGAAAGAGAGAAAUAGAGAGAUUUUCAUGGGCGAGAAAAUACUUUCACACGAGAGAGGGAGAGAGAUUUUCAUGGGAGACAAAUACUAUCAAGAGAGAGGGAGAGAGAGAGAUUUCAUGGGAGAUAAAUACUUGGGAGAGAGAGAGAGAUAGAGAGAGAGAGAGAGAGAGAGAGAGAGAGUUUAAUGGGAGUAAUUGAAAGCGAGACGUUUUCGUUGUAUGGAUUUUUCUGAGAAGUGUUCGUGAGAGAUUUGCGUACGAGAUACAAAAGAAUUUAGUUUUGCUCAUUUCUUGAAUAGGCUUUAGAAGUAUAUAAUGAAAUGGUGUGCACACUCGUUGUACCCUGACUACAAAAGUUAUUGAUAUUUAUUUAGAUCUACAUCACAUACUGUAAUUAUGGAGUAACUGGAUUAUUUAUGGACAAAAAAUGGUUGUUGUAAUAAUGUAUACAUACUAUUGUUUCUCGGAUUUUGUUAUAACUAUACGCAUGGACAUUUUGAUAUGAUACAUAUAUAAUAUUUUAAAGAUGGGGUAUAUGGAACUAAAUGAAUAUGCCGAGAACUAAUGAUUUUCUGCAGCGAUGAUUCAUUGACAGUGCUAUGGUAGCGGUUACUUCCACGAUAUGACAGUUUUGCCGCCACGAUAGUGUUUUAACCGUGUAUCCCGUUGCAACGCACGUGUAAUUUCCUAGUAUUUAUUUAAUUCCUUGGCCGAGGAUUGGUUUCCUUCCUCACUUUUGUGUGCUUGGGGGCCAAAAUUUUGUAGCAACAUCAGUGUUUUCCUUCCGCUAAGACUAAUGCAUCGUUUAUUUUCCGUCCUUCGAAUGAGAGGGAUGGAAAUUUUCCCUUCCGCAUGGACUAUCGUGAAAUUUCUAUUUUUAAUUAUUUCUCUUCAUUCCAAUCGAACAUGCACCAAAUCAUUCAUUUCCUUCCACUCGAACGAAUUCUGAAUCAAAUGUUCCUUGCUCACUAGCUCGUUUGUAUUGGGCAACAAAAGUAUGGUGUAAGGCUAGCCUUUUUUCCCUCUGAUGUUUUUUUCUACUAUUUGGACCUGGAAGUAAUGCAUCCGCAUGGAGUACUUCUGUACACCGCUCCUGUUAUGUAUCGUCGUGUCAUUUCUGUAUGACAAGGAAAAGCUACAACAUGUCCUUCGCUCUCGCAUUCUCCUCGGUGGUAUAUAAUGCUCGAGAAUGUUGCCAACUUCAAUGGACAAAUUGUAUGGAGCGUCGUGUCCUUUUUCGGCUUCUACAUAGUGGUCGGUCGGCUAUGCGGUGCUUCAAGGACGGCGAACACCUGUGUGGCAAGCAGUAAGAGGUCAUGUUAUGAGCGGAGGAAGAACUUGGUGCCAACCCAUUGAUUGUGGUCAGCUGAGCUCAUGACACAAAUGAUUGCAAAGUAUGUGGCCAAAGGCGUUUGGUGAGGCGCCCGGCAUGACGGGGGGCUAGAAUUGAAGAGGCUCAGUGUUGCAACUGACACAAAAAAAGCUGGAACCAGAGACACUUAGUGGUGCAACCUCACAUGGCGGCGAGCCUUAGCAACUACAACCAGAGGCGCCCGCUACUGCAACCGGCACGAUGACGAGUUGCAACCAGUAAUGAAGCAUUGUAAUUUGAAUGCUAGAUACUUAUACUAUUCAGUUUUUAAAAUAAUUUUAAUAUAUUUGCAUUGAGAUGGGUGGCGUGGCAACAUCUUUUAUGUUCUAGUAGGAAUGUUAGAACCGAUUGUCGCCUAGAGCAAGUCAUAGGCAAUUCCUUUGGGAGCAUGCCAAGGAGAUGCCCAAUAUGUAAAUGGAACCAUGCACCAAAUCUUUGUCCUGGUCUUUGGGGGAAUUGGUAUACAUUUGGAAUGUUUAUGCACAUUCGGUAUGAGUGUCCAAAUAAAGAGUGAAAUGUACCACCAGCCCAUAAACUCAAACCGAUUACACAUUUUAAGCCUAUAACUCGGGAACUGAUAGAAUAUAGUCCGUAAACUCGUUAAUUUGAUCGAAUAAGGCCAAAACCGCCCCAAGAGGGAAAAACCCAGCCGUGUGGAUGCCAUGUCAUCGUUCCUUUGACCGCUCAUGAAUUAGCUAUUCUUUUAAGGAUCUAUCUAUAAAUUGGUUGGGUUCUUAUUCACAAACCAUGCUAAGGGCAUUGGACUGAAAAGAAUAUGCACCUCAAAUUGUAUAUAUUCAUGUAGAAUCAGGAGAAAAGACUGAAGAUCCCAUCCGAAUGUUUUCCAAUCACACGAUUUCUUUCCUUCUGUUGCAUCGACUACUGUUUUUUUGCUAGAUCAUAGCGUUCCCUUCCCUCCUGGUUUGUCUUAUGUGACUUGCCGAUCACGCGACGGAGAUCGGCAAUUGACCACGGUGCCAUCUACCUGCAGAUGAUUCACUUUUGUAUUCUCUGAAAUCCACUUAUUAUAUAUAGAUAUUUCACACAAUUAUGUGCCGAUAUAUAUAAGUUAGGCUGUAUUUUGAUACAUGAAUCAUUUUAUGGUGUGCUGUUUUGGAUUCCGAUACCUUACCCAGUGGUCAUGGGUUCAAGUCCUACAGAACAUAGUUUUUUUAAAAAAUUCUACUGACACUAGUAGAAAAAGGGCCUAAUGUGAAGCUCAUUAGGCUCGGUUUGUAUUUGAACAGGCACUAAUGUGACCAUUAGUGUCGGCUCCAACGGCUAGGCGAGCGGCUCGCAUUAGUACCAGUUCAUGCGUAACCUUUAGUACCGGUUCGUGCCAUGAACCGGUACUAAAGAGGUGGUGGCAGGCUUUUGUCAUGCUGGGGCCCCACCAGCACCUCUAGUACCGGUUCAUGCCAAGAACCAGGACUAGAAAUGCACCAUUAGUCCCGGUUCGUCUAACAAACCGGUACUAAAGGUCUUCCUAUAUAAACCCCUUCGUCCAGCCCGAGCGCUCUGUUCUUCCCCUUUCCUCUCCUCUGUGUUCUUCCUCUUCCUCUCGAGCUCAAACUCCAUUUGUUGCCAAAAUUUGUGAAGAUUUGCAGUCACCCCAUCCAUCCAAGUGAUCACAAAGGUUAGCAACUUUGUCCUUUCAUCUCUCAUUGCUAAAUUAGCUCUUGCAAUGCUCUAUAAGUAUAGGGAUUUGUGGGUUUUAUUUUGGGAAGAAUUAUAUGUGGUAGUAUUUGAUUUACAUGCAAUUUGAGGUCAAAAUAACUCUUAGUUUGCAUACGUAGGUGUGGUUUACUUAGUGCCUUCCCGUCUCCGUCCUAACCACCUUCGAUCGCCCGCACCGACCCGUCGCCGGCUACACUUUCCAGUGAGCCUCUUGUUCUUAUCUUUUUAAUAUAAAACAAUCAUGUCUAUGUGAUAUAGAUAUAUAGUUACUUGUAUAAUUAUCUUACCCGUACGUUGUUUGUUAUAUAUAGUGCCAUGGUUUUGAUAUCCGUCCCCAUCGGCCCUCGUCCGGGUUAUGAUUCGGAUGUGUUAUAUUCUCUUUUAUAACUAUUUGUUGCAUUUCGUGUUUAUGACAAAUUAUGCCCAUCAAGUUGACAUAGAUAUUUUUAUCUAGGAGGUAUGUGAACCAGAAAUUCCAACCGACCCUAUUGUCGAGAGGUUAAAUUUAGUUGAAAAAGAAAAUGAGUAUUUAAAAGAAAAAUUGAAAAAAAUUGAGGGGGAGAAGAUGGAAUUGGAUUUGCAUGUUGCCGAUGCCGUCGAUGAUCACAAGAUCGAGAUGGAGAAAAUGCGCUUGAAGAUUAGAAAGAUUAGGAAAUAUGCCAUCGAUAGUGAGGCUUGGUAUCAUUAUGUUGUUACACCAAUUGUUACCUUAAUUGCGAUCUUGAUCGCAUUUGUUGUUGCAUUUAAAUGCUUUAGCUAGAGAGUUAUAUGUAUGUUGUUUUAUGAGAAUAAGUGUUGUAUGAACUUUAUGUAUGAACUUGUAUUAAUUUGAUCUUUUCGGUGCUGUGUAAUGGAUGAGCCGACAAUGGAUGUACGAUGACUGAUGCUCUCCCCAGUUCAUUAAUGGUGUGCAUACUUUUGUGCUUGCGGCUGUGGCAAACAAGCGGGCAAAUGGUUUGAUGCCUCAUCCAUGUGCUGGCUGUAAAAACUAUCAAAAUUACUCUAAGUCAAGAACCAUUCAAGUCCACCUGUUUGACUCUGGUUUCAUGCCCCAUUAUAAUGUUUGGACCAAGGACGGAGAAAGAGGGGUUAUGAUGGAAGACAAUGAAGAAGAAGAGGACGACGACAACUAUCCUAGCCAUGGGUUCCCUGAAUACGAUGGUACAACAAUGGGGGAAGAAGCUGAGCAGGCAAUGCGGGAAGAAGCUGAAGAACAAGCAUCAGAUGAGCCCACUGAUGAUCUAGGUCGGGCCAUUGCCAAUGCAAGAGAAACUGCGCAAGUGAAAAGGAGAAGAAGAAGUUGCAAUGCAUGUUAGAGGAUCACAAGAAAUUGUUGUACCCGAAUUGCAAAGCUGACAAGAAAAAGUUGAGCACCACAUUGGAAUUGCUGCAAUGGAAGGCAGAGAAUGGUCUAUCUGACAAGGGAUUUGGAAACUUGUUGAUAAUGUUAAUGAAGAUGCUUCCAAAGGACAACUAAUUGCCCGAGAGUACGAGUACGUACGAAGCAAAGAAGGUUGUCUGCCCUCUAGGAUUAGUGGUGCAGAAAAUACAUGCAUGCCCUAAUGACUGCAUCCUCUACCGCAUUCAGUACGAGGAUGUCAACGCAUGCCCGGUAUGCGGUGCAUUGCGCUAUAAGAUCAACUGCGAUGACCCUGGUGAUGUCGAGGGCGAGUGCCCCAGGAAGAAGAUUCCUGCCAAGGUGAUGUGGUAUGUGUUGACACCAGAUUUUGGCAUGGUCAAUAACUUAUUUAAGAUGGCCUCAAAUGGAGAAGUGAUCUUCAUGAAAGAGUUCUGUAUUGUCGAUAUGAACAUCUUUCAAGUCUGGGUCAUCGCAGUCCGAUUUCAUCUCGAAGGCCGAAACUAUGCUCAAAGUACUAAGAUCUUAUAUUCAGAGUACAGUUUGGCUGAUUAAGCCUCCAAGAAGACCUCAAAUGGAACAAUUAUAUACACGGAUUGUCUUCAUCUCAUCGAAACUAUCGAUUUUGAUAUAAAAAUCGUUCCAAUCCGAGUUCGUAUGCAAAAGUUAGAGCCAUCAGAAUACAGCCCUGUCAGGAGGCAAAAACUGGCGCGCCCCACCAGACACCCUGUCUGAUGGGUAGCGCGAGGGAUAGCCUGUUUUGCGCGACCGAUUUGACCCUCAAGAUGCCCUCUGAUCAAAAAAUGUUCAACAUAAAAGUUGUUCGUCGAAACGGUCAAGAUUGCUUUUGGGCUCGUUUCCAUCUAAAAUCGUUUACCACCACAAAAAAGACCCGCAAGGUGCAGCCAGUUUAAACCAAACAGUUUUGGAAAGUUCGGACAAAACCAAUCCGAAUUUGACUAGGGUUUUGGACGUGAAUCCAAGCCUUUUCCUUGCACGGGAAGUCCAGCCGCCUCUUAUAUACCUAAGGGGUGACGGCUGAUUGAACAACACACAAUCGAACAAAUCAAUCUACCACUUUUAUCUUUUAUCUUUUGUCCUUAACCCUAGUUCUUCUUCUUCCUCGUUCUUCAUUGUUCUUCUUCAUUGCAGGGCGGCGAACCUCGAGGCCAUAGGGGCGGUCAGGCCGACCUAGGGCAGCCCAUAGCCGCUGCGCUCCCAGACGGGGUCCCUCCCGGGCGUGUGAGGUUUCGGGUCUACAAAAGAGCCCGCCGGAUUGUCUUGCAUACCGCGCUUUCGGCGGGUCUCCUUCGACGUGAGCUGCGGUGCAUCACCGCCGGCGUCGAGGGUACACGGUGACGUGUUUGUGUACGAACACACUUUUUGGCGACUCCGCUGGGGACGAAGCUUUGAACGGUCUCCGGCCUAUUUUUUCUACGAAAGGAUCGUCAUCUAGGGUUUGCAAUCUACAAAGGUAAUAUGAAUACCCAAUUCCCUACUGUAGAUGCAAAUAAUUCAUAUGGUUUUAAUAGAUCGUUCAAUGAGUAUACUCUAUCGGCCAGCCCUAGUUUUUUCAAUAAUCCAUCUAAUUACGUGCAAGGGCCGAUUCAAAGUAAUUUGCAUGCUUUAAGUUCUUAUGAUACUAGUAACCUACACCAUAUGUAUCCCAACUCUCAUGCAUCGGCAACCCCACAAAUUGUUAUGCCGAUGAACAACAUGGUGAGUUCAGUUAAUAAAUUUGAAACACCUCAUGUUAGAAUCUCCAAUGCCAUGAAAGAAAGUGUUUCACCCUUUUAUUCAUCGGCAAGUAAUGUGCAAUAUACUAAUCCAACCAUGCCGAUGAACGAGAGAAUUGGCCAUGCGGCUACUAGUUAUUCGGCCAGUUACUCUCAAACGUCAUAUGCUACACCUCAUGUUAGUAAUUCUUCGGCACCAUACACAACUGUAGAUGCUCAUAAUUCGGCUUCACACCUUCCUGGUUAUAGCCGAAUGAAUGUAAAUUUUACAGGAGCGGUUGUGCCCAAUAUUGUAGAAGAUGAGGUAGUGGUGGCUGCAUUGAAGAGUUUAGCCCAAAAUAAGAGAAUUAGUGUUCUUUGCCUUGAACAACAUGAAAAGGGGCUAUUUCCUGAUUAUGCCGCAAUAAAACCUAGAGUUCUGCAAGAAGAUGAAUCUUUGCCAAUUGAUAAAAUUGGCGAGCAAAAGGAUGGUCUUACAACAAUGCAUAUGCCUUCACCUAGUACUACAUCAUAUUAUACACCCCCUACACAAUUGCAAAAUUUCCGCAACACCCGUGUGUCAUUGCCGAAAGAAUCUAAAAGCAUUGGGGGCAAUCAUAUCCGGAGUGGGCUGAAAUUGAGAAAAAGCUUAAAGCUAAUUUUGCUGCUCGCCGUCAGAAAAAAAUAGAAAAAGAAUUGGCUCAGAUAAAAGAAGCAUUGCCAAUUGGUAGUAUCAAUGAAAAGAAGGAUGAUUCGGAACAUGAAAGUGCUUCGGUUGAAAAAUCCGAAUCAAGUAGUAUAUAUUCUGAAUCCAUCAAAUCCAACGAGGCAAGCAUUAUUGAGAAAGGGCAUGGCAAGCAUAGGAAAACAACGGUGCUUGAUUUUUCUGAAGUUAAUGGAACCUACUUCCUCCCCUAUGAGUUCCGUGCCGUAGAAAUUGACAAGCUUCAAGGACAAGAACAAGUAGCCGAACAAAGUUCAGCCGACAAAAAUCUUCAAAGCAAUGAUGCAUGGAUUCAAGAAAAAGAUGAUGACAAGGUGUUGGGGAGCCAUCCAAAGACGGAGCAAGAUGUUCUUCAAAUGGCACCACCAUCAUGCUCUCCCAACAUAUUUGAAGAGGUAUGCAUAGCGAGUAAUUUACCUAUUUUCAGAUUUGGUCGCAACUUCAUUAUUGAUGCAUCUAUAAGAAAUAUUCUCAUAAGUAAUUUUGAAAGACCAAUGAAGAAGGGUAAUUUACUUGUUAGCAAUAAAAUUGUUAUGGAACAUAUCGGUCAAUGAUAACUGGGUGUACCAAACGUCACAACAUAACUGGGUGGCUAUAAAGGUGCAUUACAGGUAUCUCCGAAAGUGUCUGUUGGGUUGGCACGAAUCGAGACUGGGAUUUGUCACUCCGUGUGACGGAGAGGUAUCUCUAGGCCCACUCGGUAGGACAUCAUCAUAAUGUGCACAAUGUGACCAAGGGGUUGAUCAUGGGAUGAUGUGUUACGGGACGAGUAAAGAGACUUGCCGGUAACGAGAUUGAACAAGGUAUCGGGAUACCGACGAUCGAAUCUCGGGCAAGUACAAUGCCGCUAGACAAAGGGAAUUGUAUACGGGAUCGAUUGAGUCCUUGACAUCGUGGUUCAUCCGAUGAGAUCAUCGUGGAACAUGUCGGAGUCAACAUGGGUAUCCAGAUCCCGCUGUUGGUUAUUGACCGGAGAACGUCUCGGUCAUGUCUGCAUGGUUCCCGAACCCGUAGGGUCUACACACUUAAGGUUCGAUGACGCUAGGGUUAUAAAGGAAGUUUGUAUGUGGUUACCGAAUGUUGUUCGGAGUCCCGGAUGAGAUCCCGGACGUCACGAGGAGUACCGGAAUGGUCCGGAGGUAAAGAUUUAUAUAUAGGAAGUCUUAUUUUGGUCGCCGGAAAAGUUUCGCGCAUUAUCGGUAUUGUACCGGGAGUGCCGAAAGGGGUCCGGGGGUCCACCUGCCCCGGGGGGCCACAUGGGCUGUAGGGGGUGCGCCUUGGCCCAUAUGGGCCAAGGGCACCAGCCCCAAGAGGCCCGUGCGCCAAGGAGACUUGGGGAGGGAAGAGUCCAAAGGGGGGAAGGCACCUCCGAGGUGCCUUGGGGAGGAUGGACUCCUCCCCCCUCUUGGCCGCACCCCUUCCUUGGAGGAAGGGGCAAGGCUGCGCCCUCCCCCCUCUCUUGCACCUAUAUAUAGUGGAGGGUAGGGAGGGGAAGACACACCUGAGUUCCUGGCACCUCCCUCCCUCCCGUGACACCUCCUCCUCUCCCGCAGGUGCUUGGCGAAGCCCUGCAGGAUUGCCACGCUCCUCCACCACCACCACACCGUUGUGCUGCUGCUGGAUGGAGUCUUCCUCAACCUCUCCCUCUCUCCUUGCUGGAUCAAGGCAUGGGAGACGUCACCGGGCUGUACGUGUGUUGAACGCGGAGGUGCCGUCCGUUCGGCACUAGGAUCAUCGGUGAUUUGAAUCACGACGAGUACGACUCCAUCAACCCUGUUCACUUGAACGCUUCCGCUUAGCGAUCUACAAGGGUAUGUAGAUGCACUCUCCUUCCCCUCGUUGCUGGUUUCUCCAUAGAUAGAUCUUGGUGACACGUAGGAAAAUUUUGAAUUUCUGCUACGUUCCCCAACAGGCUACUCCGGCACGUCGUGGUCCUUCUCCUCCACCUCGUAAGCAAGCACGAAAGAAGACAGACGCCGCAGCCGCUCCGUCUGCUCCGGCGUCUAGCAGCACAACCAGAGGCGGGAGGCAAUACAGAUACGGUCCACCUCUCAAGCCUCUAGAGAAGUUACCGUACGAGAGGACCGAGGAGGAAAAUGAUACGAUUGUGCGGACCCACGUGAAGGAGUUCUUUGAAGGGGUGAAAGCAAAGAGACAUCCACCUCCGGAGGAGAAGGUAGAUCCGAUGAAAGCAAAGCGCACUCUCGAUGCCCUGAGCAAACCGGCAAAGUCUCCGCCGAGAACAAACUAUGAGCGCAUUACUGAAUAGGCAUAUCUCUAAGCGGAGCGGUCGGGAAGUACUGUCAGACAUCAAAGAGCAAGAGAACGAGCAGCUGCGAAAAAAAUUGACCAGCUCGGCAAACAAGCAAACCAAUCGUGCCCCCCGCUCAAUGUGUCUAGCAGCAACAUCGUCACUAAUGUUCCGGGGAUGGUGGCCGGUUAUGGCAAUCUACAAGAUUACCUGCGAAUUAAAGAGGAGCACGGCCUCGUUGGAAAUGAUCUGUUGCCUGUUCCAUUUGAGGAGUUCUUCGAGUUCUUCAAUCAAAAGGCCCUCGAUAAAUUAACGGUCUUUUGCUACUGCCUGUAAGUACUAUUUCUGUCAUUAAGUCUCUAUAUAUAGCUCGGCUCUUUCAUUGCAUGUAUUUAUAAUUAAUUAUCCUCAAUAUAUUAUGCAGAUUGAAGAUCGUCGAGUGCAAAAAACAAGAAAUGUAUGACAUUGGGUUCAUUAACACAAAUAUCAUAGAUGAAUUUCUGGUUGAAAAGGACGUCAAAGAGGCCGAGGACAACUUGCUACAAUCGUUGAUCAAAAAUCAAAACAAAGAUACCAUACUCUUUCCUUACAACGGCAAGUGAGUGUUACUGUCGUGUGCAUAUUCGGUUUCCCUUAUUACUCGAGCGAGGUUAUAGUAAUGUAAUUGAUGAGUUAUGCAUGCAUGCGCAUGUACCACUAUAUUCUUCUCGAGAUUAAGCUUGAGCGUGGACUAGUAACCGUCUUAGACUCGAGACGGAAAGUUCCCAAAACCUAUGCGGACAUAACUGAAAUGCUCAGCAAGUAAGUUCAACCGAUCAUUAUCGCACCAUAUUGGCAACUUUUUGUUCAUUUCCUGAUAUCUCAAGUAAUAAUAAUUAUUUUCUUUGUCUUGUAGGGUUUGGAAACACUUCACCACAGAAGCUCCGGGACUGCCGAAGGAGCUGCGACAUACAUACCCGAAAGUAAGUACUACUGGCUAGCUAGUUGCAUGCAUCUCCCAUUGAUUCUAUAGCUAUACUUUCAUCAAUGCCAUUUAUAAUGCUUCAUUAUCAGUUUGAUUGACCUCUAUUUCUCGUAAAGUGCUUGUGGCAGGAACAAGGGAAUGAUUUCUGUGGAUACUAUGUGUGCGAGUUCAUCCACACCACGACUUUGAAAAACAAGCGGGGCUACUCUCAAAGACAAUAUGAAGUGCGUAAGCAAUAAUAUUCACAAUUUCAUUUUAUUACACCAUCAUUUCUGUUGAGUUUCAUUCAUAUAUAUAUGGAUUAAUUAACCCCCUUCUUCAAAUUAGACAUGGCAGAUGCGGAAUGAACUCCUAGAACCAGAUCGCAUGAAAGCAAUUCAAGAGGAAUUGGCGGGGUUCUUUCUUGACCACGUCAUCAAUAAAGCCAGAGAACACCAUGUGGAAGUUGAUUUCAAUUGCUAGGGGACUGUAAUUGAGAGAUCUUACAUAUUGUACAUGUAUGUAGCCAGUAGCGUCGGAUACAUGAUACGAAAACUUGUUGUUCGACCAAUCUCUCGGAGAAGGAGAGGUCGAUCGAUCAUUUCUCUCGGUAUGCAUGACGAACUUCUGUACUCAAUGGUUCCCUUCAUUUUCUUACUAGCUAGCGUGUCGAGGGCUAUAUGUAUAUACUACGUAGCGUCGACCAAGCACGGACAUAAGAGAGGACACUUCUCUCUAUUAAUUAGCUAGCUAACACAAUAUAUGAAACACCUAAAUUAACCCCCUAAAACCCCCACNNNNNNNNNNNNNNNNNNNNNNNNNNNNNNNNNNNNNNNNNNNNNNNNNNNNNNNNNNNNNNNNNNNNNNNNNNNNNNNNNNNNNNNNNNNNNNNNNNNNNNNNNNNNNNNNNNNNNNNNNNNNNNNNNNNNNNNNNNNNNNNNNNNNNNNNNNNNNNNNNNNNNNNNNNNNNNNNNNNNNNNNNNNNNNNNNNNNNNNNNNNNNNNNNNNNNNNNNNNNNNNNNNNNNNNNNNNNNNNNNNNNNNNNNNNNNNNNNNNNNNNNNNNNNNNNNNNNNNNNNNNNNNNNNNNNNNNNNNNNNNNNNNNNNNNNNNNNNNNNNNNNNNNNNNCCCUUCAAAAAAAUCAAAAACCCCAGCCACUGGAAUGCUGACGCGUGGAUGCCUUUUGGUCCCGGUUGGUACCACCAACCGGGACCAAAGGUCCCCCUGCCAGGGCUCGAUGCACCGGCCACGUGGAGGACCAUUUGUCCCGGUUCGUGUUUGAACCGGGACUAAAGGGAGGAGGUAUUAGUAACGACCCAUUAAUCCCGGUUCAUGAACCGGGACUAAAGGCCCUUACGAACCGGGACAAAUGCCCCCUUUUCUACUAGUGGCAUGUAAACGUUGCUUGUUAGGCUAAGAGCUAAUCCACUAUAUAAUAUAUUUUUAAGCUUCUCCAGAUGACAUACAUAGCGUACGAGAACAUUGUAACGAAUAACUAUUUGUGUACAAUGUGCUCGGGGUAUUAUGAAAAUAUAAAGCAUGUGCUAUUUGAAUGUAAUGUUGCAAAGGAGGUUUGGAACAAUCUUGGUCUACUGGAACUCACCGAAGAGGCAUGCAUGCUAGACCAUUCAGGUAGUGUUUAUUUUACAAAUUCACAAACGUUUUUUAGUUUGCUAAUAUUAGUUUUCGAAAGCAUGAUUUUUUUAGUUUGAGAAAAUUCAAAAUGUUAUGAAUUAUUUUUAAUAGGGGAAUAUUUAUAACUUGAUGAGCAUUUUUAAAUAUCCUAAAAAUUUAUUUUAAGUACAGAAUAAUUUUUAUAAAGUUGCAUACAUACUUCAAAUCCAUGAAUUAACUUUCAAACUUGGAAGCAUUUAUUAAAAUUCUUGAAAAUAUGGUGAAAAUGAGUAAAAAUUUUCAGCAUUUGUAGACGAACUUUUAGUUAGUUUUCUACUCCCUCCGUCCCAUAAUGUAAGACGUUUUUUGACACUACACUAGUGUUAAAAAAAUGUCCUAUGCUAUGGGACAGAGGGAGAAGUAAAAAGCUCAAAAAUAGAUCUGUACAACCGAGAAAAGGUCAGCGAGAUAUAACCCGAGAUCGCCUCUGAGCCCACCUUAGUGGGUGGGCCCAAUGGUCCAGGUUUGGAAAGGUUGUACUGAGUGGCACAGACUUGUUUUAGAACCAGUUUCUCAAAAAUAAACUUGUUUUACAACCUUUCGAGUGAUUGUUUUUCCUUUUUUUGUGUUUUUUGUAUACUUAAUUUUUACUUCCUAAGUGUUUUCUCUAUUGGCUUUCAUCCGUCUCUUUAUUGAAUUUUAUAUUUUUCAUUCCUUUCCUUUUUUGCAUUUUUCAGAUACACGUUGACAUUAUUAAAAUACAUGUUGACAAAUUUCAUAUACAUGUUGAGCAUAUUUGGAUACAUGUUAAACAUUUUCCAAAUACAAUUUGAAUAUUUUUUUAAAUACACAUUGAACAUUUGACAAAUGUACAUUAAAUAUCUUCAAAAUACAAUGUGAAAUUUUCUUAAACACACAAUGACCAUUUUCCAUAAAUGCCAUGAAUAUCGUUUUUGGUCGUGCAAACAGUUUUAAAGUGCUAUUGAAAUUUCUUCAAAUUCAUGAACAUCUUUUAAAUAUGAUACUAAUUUUUUGAAUAUUGUGAAUGUUUUCUACAAACUAUUCCAAUAAUCUUUUUACAUUACAUGAACAUCUUUUAAUGUUGAUCAAUUUAGGGAUUAACUAUUCGCCACCCUGGAUGAGGAAUAGUUAUUCUUCACNNNNNNNNNNNNNNNNNNNNNNNNNNNNNNNNNNNNNNNNNNNNNNNNNNNNNNNNNNNNNNNNNNNNNNNNNNNNNNNNNNNNNNNNNNNNNNNNNNNNNNNNNNNNNNNNNNNNNNNNNNNNNNNNNNNNNNNNNNNNNNNNNNNNNNNNNNNNNNNNNNNNNNNNNNNNNNNNNNNNNNNNNNNNNNNNNNNNNNNNNNNNNNNNNNNNNNNNNNNNNNNNNNNNNNNNNNNNNNNNNNNNNNNNNNNNNNNNNNNNNNNNNNNNNNNNNNNNNNNNNNAUCACAUACGUAAAAGGAGAAUGUAAGAAAAUAUAUAAUCACUGUAAAAAAUAUUUUAUGUUACAAACGCUAAAACACAGUGUAAAAUAUACACAAAAUGCAUUUUUUCUGGUCUUAUGACCUAUAUUUUUUGUUUACUUAUACCAAAUUUAAUGUAGUGAAUAAAUAUGAAUAUAACUAUUUGUAUUUCAAAUGCAAUUUAUAUAUAAAACGAUCGUCAUAUUACCUCAGGUGAAUAGUAACUUAUUCCGCACCCUGUGUGAUCAAACACAAAAUAACAAAAAAGAGCAAGCCUCCCUACUGGCAGAGCCAUUAUGUGAUCCCUUGAGGCAAGGCGAGCUACUAUCUCACUAAAAGCUAGACAUAGCGACACCCGUAAUGCAUCACAAUCACAUUGGAUAACAACCAGGCAAAGUGGUCCGGCUCACUAUGUGCGUGAGGGUUUGCUCGACUACAGCAGGCAGCGGCCUGGUCCAAGUUGUUGUCCCCCUAAAAAAGUACAUGAUGCUUCUUCACAAAUUUUAGAAACAUUUAACUUUAAAUAAUGUUUGAAAAUUGCAAAAAAUAUCAUGUAUUUAAGAAGGAUCUGAAUUUAACCAAAAUUUUAAAAAAAUAAAAAACGUUCAUGAAUUUAUAUUUUUACAAAACAAAAUUGUUCAAUAUUUUGAAAAAGUGUUCAUGAAUUGAAAAUAAGUUUAUUAACUUAAGAGCAGACAAAAUAUAUAUAAAAGAUAAAAAUGGAAAUUAAAACAGAGAAGAAGCUAGAAAAUCGAAGAAAAGAACAAAGAAAAGGAAAACCAGAAAGCUGGUGAGAGGAACAAAAGAAGAAGAGACCAGAAAACCGAUCAAAAGAACAACUUAAUGAAAGGUUCCAAAACCAGCUCGGAAUGUUCAAAUACAUUCUACACCUAGAGCUCACAGGCUCUCGGUUCUUAAUGGGAUGGCCCAUGUGUGUGCGCUAGUUGGCAGUCGUAGGUGACAUAUAUUGUUAUUAAGCGAUACAUAUCAUUUGCAUCAAGCUAGGUCCCCAGAUGACGGUUAUGCUAGUGCGGCAGGCUAUUAGUUGGCCCAACGUGCAGCAAACCUGGGCCUUCGGCGCUCAGUUUUGAUGAUAGCUAUGGUGAUUGUUCGGUGUAUGGGAUCGGUGGUUGUCGGGCGCGUGGCGGUAAUGGUGUUCUGCGAGGUCUGGUUGGCCUUUUCGAGGCCCGGUUGUGUAGUUGGAAACACAGCCUAGGGUGAAAACCCUGCUUCAAUACGACACACUCUCCUUACUUUGAGGAAUGCUAUCGGAUAACAACGAAAGCGCCAAAGCUCGACGAUGGUUCCCGAAGACCUACUACAUGUGAUCGAGCAGAUCUCCAAAGCCGAGGGAGAAGGAUUUUCGGUAUUUUUUUGGUAUUUCUUCUGGAUUACUGCUCACGUGAAUGCAUAGUGUUGAUUUACUGUUUUUGUUGCUCUGGUUUAUUUGGGUGUGUUGCUCUGGAUUACAAUUCGGUUACUAUUUUGGUUUAUGGUCCAGGUGGGCUAAUGUUUGUGGUUUAUUCAGGUGUUGUUUUGUUUCACUGGUUUUACAGUUCUGGGUUAUUCGGGUUUGCCGUUUGUUUCGGUUAGCAGUUAUUAGUUUAUUCGCAUAUUGUUCCAGUUUUUGUUCGGGUAAUAGUUGGUGCACUGUUCACUGAUGUCGUGGUAUAAAAUAGAACAGUAAUCAGUCUAGGACUUAUUUUCUCCACGGGAUAUUGUUCAUGCAAAUAUACUGUUUACUAUAUUUUGCCUCGGCAGCACCAUCACCGAAAAGGAUCGGGAGAUGAUCGAGGUGGCUCUGCAUUGGUACACCGGUGAAGAGAAAUGAUGUGUAGAACGUAAAUCUUAACCCUCUAUAUAAGGGCGCCAGGAUGGAGGAGGGGGAGAGAAAUGAUAUUUAAAAAAAUUCUAGCUUUUUCAUCAAAGGGGAUUUUUUUUAUUUCCAAAACAUUGUUCAUACGGGGGUACUGUUCGAUGCUAGACACUUUUCAUGUACGGGGAUACUGUUUCGCGGUUAUACUGGUCGUGCGCGGUCAUUGUUAGGGGCCUGUUAACACAACCGGGAGGAUGGGGGUACUGUUCAUACGCUACUGCUGUUUAACACCACUGUUCUUUGACGCCACAUAAUGAACAAUAGAAAAAAAGUCAAAAUAAGAAAAAGAAAAAGGAAAUGCUUCCUCUUGAGUAUAGUUACUUAUUCCGGCCGGCGUCCCAAAAACCUUACUCUCAAUUGAUUCAUAUAUUUUGUCAUCCCUUUAUUUUUCUCUUGUUCCUACGCACGAGGCAUGUGUGCUAGUAUAGAACAAACUAUGGUGGUUGUUCCUUUGUUCUCCACACGAAUAAAGGCGAGCUGGGAACAACAGCAUCCCACGGUAAGCAUGAUCAGUAAUCCACAAAUAUUGAUAUAUGAUUUCAAGAGCUGGGAACAACAGCGUAUCAAACCAAAGUUUGCCCCUCUCAAAAAAAAAGUUUGUCAGUUCCUCCUCCUUCUCUUCUUCGAUAAAUUAUUGUUGCGAGCCACACGCUGCCUUGCCUGCACAAACCGUGAUUAGUAUUAUAUUCCGCUCAUCGGCUAAGGAAGACGACCGUGCAACCGACGAUCAUUAGCAGGAUCUUUCAGACAAGAACCGGUUUGGCCUUUCACGGUGGAGGCUGGAGGCCCGGCCAGAAUUUUUAACUUUAAAAACUUAAUCAUCUUUGCAUAGUCAAAGCGACCAAAUUAAGUCUCACACCUCAGCCUUUAAUAAGGUGUUAAAUCUCUGCUUAGAUCAUCGGGCAAUGACCAAAUAUAUUCGCGACACUGCAUGGUAGUACAAGUUGAACACGACGUCAAUGACCCAACAUCUAGCAGACACAAAUUUUUUCUUUUACACAGUAUAGACGCAAGCGCUUAUAUACACGCGCAUACACUCACCCUUAUAAAUGCACACACGCACACCCUACCCCUAUGAGCACCUCCGAAAGACUAAGCCGACAUAUCAUCUUGAAAUUUUCGAAGUCACCGUAGGCACCUCGUCGUCGACGGGAACGUCUCCUCCCAUUGAAUGUGCAUCGCCGAAAAUCCUGAAAUAAAUCCAAGAAUAAAGGCGAGCACCAGGACUUAAACCCGUGUGGGCUGGGAAUACCACAGUCCCUCUAACCAUCCAACCACAUAGCAGACACAAACUUGUAUUGAAAAAAAGAGAGAUGGUUUCCCCCUAAAAAAUAGAUGUUUCAUGGUCCCGUCAUGGUAGCAUAAGCAAUAUUUUUUACUUCCAAACCAGUUGUAGUACGCGAGGUUAUUAUUAGUCGGAAUAACCCUUACUAAGGUACCAAAACAACAUUUUAAUCAUUAGUGCCGCCUUCGAAUUUCAUAUUUUUAUUAUUAUUGUCCACGGUAUAUCUGAAUCAGUGAGUGCACGUUACAUCCCUAAAAUCUCUAAGCUUCAUGGGAAUAGAAGCCUCUGAGGAGCUUUGGAUUUCCUUUGCGNNNNNNNNNNNNNNNNNNNNNNNNNNNNNNNNNNNNNNNNNNNNNNNNNNNNNNNNNNNNNNNNNNNNNNNNNNNNNNNNNNNNNNNNNNNNNNNNNNNNNNNNNNNNNNNNNNNNNNNNNNNNNNNNNNNNNNNNNNNNNNNNNNNNNNNNNNNNNNNNNNNNNNNNNNNNNNNNNNNNNNNNNNNNNNNNNNNNNNNNNNNNNNNNNNNNNNNNNNNNNNNNNNNNNNNNNNNNNNNNNNNNNNNNNNNNNNNNNNNNNNNNNNNNNNNNNNNNNNNNNNNNNNNNNNNNNNNNNNNNNNNNNNNNNNNNNNNNNNNNNNNNNNNNNNNNNNNNNNNNNNNNNNNNNNNNNNNNNNNNNNNNNNNNNNNNNNNNNNNNNNNNNNNNNCUCUAACCUUACGUCGUGUGUCGCUCAUGCGAGGGAAAUUCAUGAGCCUGGUGGAUAGGAGGAGAAUCGCCGGUGCCAUCCUUCCCAUGUGCUGCCCCAAAAGGAAAAAUUGAGGUUGCUCUCUCCUUCCUUUCCCCAAAUGUGCAGAAAACUCCCUCUCAUGCAACCCGUUAACCUCUUGGUGGCCACCGUCGUGCUGAUGCUCAUCCUUGAUCUGGAGGGAGGACGACACUGGUCGAAUAGCUUUGUAGGAUGGCACCAGCUAUCGUGUAUAGAGAGGCAUCCGCUUCCCAUGCCCAUGAAAUCCUUGUUCUGGUCCAGCUUUAGUCAUCCCCUAGAAAUCCACCCUAGAAACUAAUUCAAGUCUAGCAACAUGCAACCUGUUGAAAGUGGAUGACCACCACUUCUCUGUCCAAGCCACUGCUCCAUCAUCUCAGUACAGAUUGUGCCAUGCUCACCUUCUAGGUUGUCGAGGCAAUUGACAAUUGUUUUGUGGUAUUUAGUCAGUUGAUAGAUUAAAGAGUUUCCCAUUUCUUUUGACCCAACACUACUUUGAAAGAUGACGACGACAUCAGUACAGAAGCGUGUUAGAAAAAAUGUACAUAAACAUACUAGAAGAGAUUAGUAACUUGAAGUUGCUAGAAGCACUUCAACUUCCCGGAUGCAAGCUUACUGGAACCAUCCUUUGGUCAAUUGGUGGUCUCGUCGUUUAAACCUUUUCCUGUGCAAAACAUGUUUUUCUUUAAGUUGUGUGGUUCAUGUAGCCUCUACUACUUUGUAUUAGAAAUUGGUUGGUUCAUUGUACUCUAGUGUGCAAACUAAAUAUUUCAAGUGAAGCUCAUAAACAUUACCAAUAUUGUUUGAAAACUUAGAUUUAAGUUACAAUUAGAGAUGAUAACUUGUGGAUAUUCAUUGAUGCAUUUAAAUAUGUUGAGUGUAUUGAUUCCAUAGUGUGUUGCCAAUGUGCAUCAUAAUAAAAAGCUCCGAAUGCAAUUAUUGUUAGGUAAUGUGUCUCUUGUUACAGUUCUUUGCGCACUUGCUUUACCCCCUACAUGUCUCCACAUUUUUAUUCUUUAUGCUUGUUAAAAUAUGAUUUUCCUCUUAUAUAAAGUAAAUCAGGGAAUAUGAUUGUAUAACAACAUCCCAUUGCCCAAUUACAUUCUCUAGAAGUUUUAACUUCAUUUUUUCUUAUAACAUUCGUGGACAACCAACUGUGGCUAUUGUGUUCUGAAUGUCUGGUGUUGUGCUACUAUAAGUUUAGCACCUUACAUUGUACUAUUUUGGCAUGUCCACUUGAAACUGUGUCGGUUUCGCAAAACAGAAAAUCCAUUAUAAAAGACCAUGCACAAUUUUUUACCCGACAUGUUCUGCAUAUCUUGUUUUUGAUGCUUACCUCUUACUAUUGGAUAGACUAAAACAUUUUUCGGUCACUUUAUCUUGUUGCGGUCUAAUUAGAUUCAGAUGUGUAUGUUAGUUUUAGAAAGUUGACCGUGUACAUUAUUUGGACUUAUCAUUCGGAAUUGAAAUUGUGUUAUGGUUUCAAAAAAAAUUCAAAGAAUUACAUUAUUGUUGCUUACCCAAUCAGAAAUGGCUUAUGCAAACUCUUGGAUAGCAGUUCCAUUUCAUAAGGUGAGUAUUAUCUCCAUUGCUUAAUCCUGAUAUGUGUAGCUAUAUGAUAUGCAAUUCCAUCUUAUGCUAGUCAUAGCUUCCAAAUUCAAAUGGUCAGUACCAGACACUAAAUUAAUAGAAGAACGUAAAUUAUAACAUAUUUAUUGGAUGUAUUCAUAUGAUUUGGAUUGUUCUGCAAAGUUUUUAAAUAACUGGAAGAGAACGUGCUUUGACCAUUGAUCAUUACAUAGUAACGAUGCCUUAAAAACUCCUUGGUGUAUAUAUAGAAAAUUUAGAGCAUGCAUUGCCAAAAAAAUCCCCUCCCCUCUUCUAUGAAGGUUCAAUAAUGUGAUCAAACAUUGUUGCCAUGCCAUGGGGAAAUAAUAUUUAGAAAUGAGUUCUUCCAAAUAAGUUUGAACCACGUGAGCAGACAAUAAAGUGGAAUUGAUAUGAAAGUAUGCUUUAGGUGGAAUGCAAGCACCUCGGGAUAACAUGCUUUGCAAAUGCACCGAAUGACUUUUUUGUUGACCCAAUAUGCAUGCAUGGACAUGUGUAUUCCAACCAUUUUGAUAUUGAACCAAAAUAAAGUUACACAUAAAUUAUGCUUGUAGAAGUGAUCAUUGAUUCUAUGUGACUUCAAAGAUGACCUGGUUUGUCCAUGGGUUUAUAUUGUUGUCCUAUAGUAUACUUAAGUAGAUUGUGUAAAUGUAUAUUUUAUUACAUUGAUCUUGUGUAAAUGAGUUUCUCACCUUUACUUCCAUGCAAAUAUAAUAAUUUUAUAACCAGAGGUUUAGUUUUCUUAUUGAUGCACUUUUGUUGUCAAUUUUUGUCUACCAUGAUCGUGUGAUCGAUUAUGUUUCUUCACCCAAGACCAUUUUUCUUAUACAAAAGAGGAAUUAAUGGUGCUACUAUAGGCACACAAAACAAUAUUUAGUCCAAAACAUAAAAUUAAACAUACAGACAAACUACAUAAUGAGAGUAAAAUGAUCAACACGAUAAAAAAAUGACAUGAGAAAGUGCGUGAUUGCUUCUAACAGAGUCUAUAGUGAGAUUCCAACACAAAAAGAUUGGCCUUGAGGCAGUUGGACUAUAGCAACUGCCCCAACAACACAUGUCAUGAUGCAAGGCAAGGACAAGCCAAAUCUCGUCUGCAGGAGAUGUUAGGCGGCAACAUGCUACUCGCAAGUUUUUGACAAUACAAGUUAUUGACUAAUUAAUGUUCUAAGAUAACAACCUUUGGGUACUGAAAUAAGAAAUCAGGACACCAUAAAUCGAUAAGAAAUCACAAUCCCAUAAAUCAAUUCUCAGUGAUCAAACUACACCACGACAUUUGCACAAUCAUCCAAUUAUUAAAUAUCCCACAUACCCAAGGUAGACUAUGCAAGCAUGAUGAACGGGUGAUGAAAAUGUACAUUCUCCGUGAAUAGCGGAUAACUACACCUAAAUAUGAUGACAUGUCUAUUGUAUGGGCUUUGGGAAUCUUCAAGAUCACCCAUACUCUAUCUUAUCUUACUAGGGAAGGGCUUGGAGCGGAAAUGGAAAAUAUCUAGUAAUCCAGCAUCACAAUGAUUAGCGAGAUUGUUCCUUAUUUCUGGUAUCAUCCGUCUACGAUCACAAUUGAAGAGAAGGCAUCUAGGAAUGAAAAUCAUAGAUCCACAGACCAGCCCUAUCCCUCACUAAUCACCCACCCCAUUUCUAAUCAAAUUUUGGCAUCUCAGCCUGCCACUGAUUGGCAGAGGGGAAAUAUGAGGGAAGUUAUUUAAAAAAAAAUGCAGCUGUCACGUCUGACUUUGCACAAUAGCUCUUGAAACAACAUGUAAAUUACAAAAAAUAAGAAACAACAAGUUGCUUUGUUUCUUCUCAGGUGGAAAUCCCAAAUGACAGUUUGACAUAGAUCUAAAAAUAUACUAUAUCAAGUGGUCUAUACCCUAAUUAAGCAUCUUGCAUUGUACUUGUACGAGGGCUGCGAGCAUUUCCAGUUUUCCACCUCUCCACGUCUGUCUCCGCCGGGACGCCAUGGCAGAAGCCAGCAGAGAGGCCAGCGGCGCAGCGCCUCCACCUCUCCACGUGGUGGUGUUCCCAUGGCUAGCGUUCGGCCAUUUCACCCCCUUCCUCGAGCUCUCGGAGCAGCUCGCCAGGCGCGGGCAUGCCGUCACCUUCGUCUCCACGCCGAGGAACGUGGCCAGGCUGAGGCCCGUCAGCCCCCGCAUCCGCCUCCUCCCCCUGCUCCUGCCUUGCGUCGACGGCCUCCCGGACGGUGCCGAGUCGACGGCCGACGUCCCGCCAGAGACGGUGGACCUGCUCAAGGUGGCAUUCGACGGCCUCGCCGCCCCUUUUGCCGGCUUUCUUGACGAGGCUUGCGCCGGCGGCGACGGUGCGACGGAGUUCGGCAAGAAGCCCGACUGGGUCUUCGUCGACUUCGCACACUACUGGCUCCCGCCCAUCGCUGAGCAGCACAAGGUAACUUUUCCAUUCAUGCUUGCGUGCUGUGCAGUCAUGGCGUCCUCCCAUCCCAUCACACAUGCAGACAUGCAACAUGCUGGCUAGCUAAGAGCCGAUGUCAUGUGCGUGCAGGUACCGUGCGCCUUGUUCCACAUCAGCCCGGCGCCGUUCGUGGCCUUCAUCGGCACCAAGACGGCCAACGACGCGCACCCGCGGACGACGGCGGAGGACUUGAUGGCGCAGCCGCGGUGGAUCCCGUUCCCGACCACCAUCGCCCACCGUUUUCACGAGGCCAAGGACAUGCUAGUCCAGACGUUCCGCGCCAACGCGUCCGGCCCGUCCGACGCCUGCCGGCUCUGGCAGACGGAGCAGCGCUGCCCGCUCGUGAUCCUGCGCGGCAGCCGCGAGGUCGACGGCCCGCUCGGCCCCUUCCUCGCCGACCUCUUCGGCAAGCCCGUCGCCCUCUGCGGCCUCCUCGCCCCAAACGACGCCGCGCUCGCCGCCCAAGAAGGAGCCGCCCAUGUCGACAACGAGAGCGAGAGCGAGAGCGUGAGCCUCAUGCGCUGGCUGGACGAGCAGCCGGCGAGGUCGGUGAUCUACGUCGCGUUCGGGAGCGAGGCGCCGUUGAGCCGCCGCCACGUCCGCGAGCUCGCGCUGGGGCUGGAGCUCGCGGGCGCGCGGUUCCUCUGGGCGCUGCGGGGGCCGAGCGCCGCCCUGCUCCCGGACGGGUUCGAGGAGCGCGUGGGCGGGCGCGGCGUGGUGCGUGCCGGGUGGGUGCCGCAGGUGCGCGUCCUCGCGCGCCGCGCGGUGGGCGCGUUCCUGACGCACGCCGGGCUGAGCUCGCUCACGGAGAGCUUCCUGUUCGGCCACCCGCUGGUGAUGCUGCCGCUGUUCCUGGACCAGGGCGUGAGAGCGCGCGGCAUGGUGGCGAGGGGCGUCGGCCUGGAGGUGCCCAGGGACGAGGGCGACGGGUCGUUCGGCAGGGACGACGUGGCCGCGACGGUGCGGCGGGUGAUGGCGGAGGGCGAGGAAGGGAAAGCGUUCGCGCGCAACGCCGGGGAGCUCCAGGCGGUUCUCUGGACAGAGCGAAGCAGGACGAGUACGUCGACGAUCUGCGCCUGUGAUGCUGCCUCAGCGAGGCUGGAUGGCUGGCCUGCUUCUCGUGGGCAGUGAGUGCGAGAGUAAUUUAUGAGUAAUGCCCACCCCAUGAAAAUCGGAGAAGAGGAUAGUUAGUUUGAGAAGAUCCUAGUCAGCGUGUAAAAACAUGUAAACCUUUGUAUGUUUAUUAUUAUUGUGAGUGCGAUGCUUAGUAAAUGCUAUUCGUACGUACUACUCCCUCUGUAAAGAGCAUUUAGAUAAAUAAAAUAUUAUUAUAAACACUUUUAUAUUUCUUUACGUAUCAGUCUAACAAAAAAUCUAUGCACGAUUCUUUUGUUUUUUGGACAUCAGCACAGAAGCAAGCGCUCAUACAUACGCGCAUACGCUCAUCCCUAUGAACGCACACAUGCACAUCCUAUCCCUAUGAGCGCCUCCCAGAGACUGAGCCGGCAUGUCAUCUUGAAAUUUACGAAGUCAUGCAUGAUUCUUUUUUAACUAGUAGAAUGCCCGUGCGAUUGCCAUGGGCCAUGGAACUUUUUCUUGCCCAUUGCAUAUAUAGACAUAAUGCAUGUCAAUUUUUUUUUUCCUUUACCAUGAUGCACGUCAAAUUUUGUAUGUACAGAAAUGAUAGCCCGUAACAAUCAAUCAAAAAGUAAUUAAAAUUCACUUCACUUGCGAUGUAAGUUGAUAUAGAAAAUCUAACUCAACGAUGUGUACAUAGAGCAAAGCAAUGAUCCAACUAAUUAUCUGUUACAAACUAAGAUUUACUUGAUGCAUUCCGUACAAUGUUAGAAUUGUUGUCUUUUGCCUAAUGAUUUGCAUGGCACAAUGUGAAUUGCAUCCUGUGUAUAUUAAGAAAUAAAUUGUAGGCUACCUAAAGGUCACUUGGUUAGUUUUUUCACUAAAAAUGACUGGUUAGGCUAUGUGACAUUUAUGUCACCGCAUAGCAGCUACCCCUUUCUCCUUUUAUUUCCUUUUCUUAAACGAAAAAAAGCACCAACUCCUCUCACUCACUCAGCGCACAGCCGCCUCCUGCUCUUCCCUCACAACCAGUGAGCCGUCGGGCAUCGCUACACUGGUGGAAAAUGGGCCAUUUAUCCCGGUUCCAGAGGCCCUUUAGCCCCGGUUCUGGAACCGGGACUAAAGCCCAAACCCUUUAGUCUCGGUUCACUUAUGCACUGGGACAGAAGGGGCUCCACGUGGCCGCUGCGGGGCGCCCAGGCAGGAGGACCUUUAGUCCCGGUUGGUAAUACUAACCGAGACCAAAAGGCCUCCACGCGUCAGCAGCUGGCAGGAGCUGGGGUUUUUGUUUUUUUAAGGGGGUAGGGGGUUUUCGAGGGUUAAUUUAGGGGUUUGAUCAUAUUGUGUUAGCUAGCUAAUAGAGAGAUGUGGCCUCUCUUUCUCCGUACUUGAUUGACGCUAACUACUAUACGAUACAGAGAGAACUCGACAUGCUAGCUAGUAAGCAAACGAAUGAACCAUUAAUUACAGAAGAUCGUCAUGAACAUAUAUAUACAGAGAGAAAUGAGACCUCUCUUUCUCCGAGAGAUUGGUCGACCAACAUGUUUUCGUAUAUCUAUCUGACGCUACUACAUAUAUACAAUAUAACAUGUCUUACAAUCCCUAACAUCUAAAAUCGGUUCCAACUUCCACAUGAUAUUCUCCGGCUUUAGGUAUGGCGUGGUCAAGAAAGAAUCCCGCCAAUUCCUCUUGAAUUGCUCGUAUGUGAUCAUGUGGUACAUCCCGCAUCUGCCAUAACUAAUUUAAAGAAGGGGGUCAAUACAUAUAUAUAUGAAUGAAACUCAACACAAUUGAUGGUAAUAAAAUAAAAUUGUGAAUAUUUUUGUUUACGUAUUUCAUAUUGCUCUUCAGAGUAGCCCCGCUUAGAGGCCGUCGAGUUGUAGAUGAACUCGCAAACGUAGUAUCCACAAAAAUAUUCCCGGCUUCCUGCCACAAGCACUUUACGAGAAGUAGAGUUCAAUCAAACUGAUAAUCAAGCAUGAUAAAUGGUAUUGAUGAAACUAGCUAGAAUCAAUUGGAGAUGUGCGGAACUAGCUAGUAGUACUUACUUUUGGGUGUGUAAAUCGUAGCUCCGUCAGCAGUCCCAGAACAAUUGCGGUGAACUCUUUCCAGACCCUGCCAGACAAAGACAAUAAUUACUUGAUAUCAGGAAAUGAACAAGGUUGCCGAUAUGGUAUUGAUUUUCUAUAAAAGACAAAAACAAGGAAAAAAACAGCAACUAGCACUAGGCACUAGGUUAAUAGGAUAUUAAUGCAUAUUAAUGCAUAUAAAACAUCCAAGAUGGAUAGUAUAAUAUCAUGGAACAAUAAAAAAUUAUAGAUAAGUUGGAGACGUAUCAAGCAUCCCCAAGCUUAAUUCCUGCUCGUUAUGUCCUUGUAAGUUUGUUGUAAUUGCAAUGAUUAAUGACAUACUUUAAAAUUAAGUCAAUUUACAAUAUAUUCAUGGAGAGAUCUAGAUCCAUGGUACUUUUCAAUGUUGUUAAUGGUGCAUAUGUGGUAUCAAUGGAUCAUAGGCGGCCAUUGUGUCUCUUCACAUGUCUACUAUGGUUCUAAUUUCUUGAUAAGUUAUAUUCACGUGUAUUAAGAAAACCAUGAUUUCUCAUAUUCCAUAUGAGGUGCACUUGUUGUUCUUGGUAGUGUUAUGCAAUCAGAAGUAAUGGAUUCUAGUCUCUUGAGUUGAAAUUUGGACUUGUUUUCUAUCUUUUAAUUUAUUUAUUUAAUGAGCAUGGCUUCUGUUUUUAUUUGACAUGCUAAUGUUUGCCUCACAAUAUUAUAAGAGGUGCAUUGUUGUAAUACAUGUUCCACUUCUUCAUUUGUAAGAUGAAAAUAAUAUAAACAACAACAAAAAACAACAAAAAUGUAGGUAUUGAUGAAAACACAUCAUGGACCAAGACCUGGAACACUGAGCAUGCAUAUUUUUCCCAAAUAUCCUAAUUAACAAAAUAGUCCAAAGGAAAAUGAAUUUGGAAACAAAUAUAUUUUAUUUCAAUAUAGCUCUUAAAUGUAAGAGCUAAAUAGCAUCUACAAAAGCUCUCCAUAGUCUAUAAGACCAUCAAUAUCUUGUCCAGUGGAAGAGGGCGGCACAUCAACCCAUCCACCAUUUACCAUAGAAGAUUGUCCUAGAUCGGUACCGCUAGAGCCUAAGUAAUCAUCCAUCCCUAGGAAACUAUUGUAGAACGACUGAUCUGAUAGAGCAUAACCCCAUUUUUCGGUGACAAAUGGGUCAUCAAUAGAAAAGGCAUUGCCACUCGAGUACCCCAAUAGCGGAGAGGCCUCCAAAUUCUGCCCAGAUGUUGAGUCGUGGUUUGCAUCACUUUGUUGUGGUUGCACUAUGUUGCAAGGACUUUCAUAGUUCUGAACAUGCAACUCCUCUGGUUGAGUUUGCUCAUGUACCUGAUUUGGUAUGGGUUGGACAUGGGAAGCCAAGUCUGGAGCUAAAGAUGGUGGUGCAAAAUCAAACAUUUGUGGUACCUGCAUAGGAAAAAGUGGUGCCGAAGUUGGUUCUGGUUGUGAUGGUAGUGGAUCUGCAGGUAGCUGGAGUUGUGAGAGAUUGUGAGGCCAUGAUGAUUGCAUAAGUGAAUGAGUAGUACCCAAAUGAUCCACCCGCAGAACACUUGGUAGUUGCAGAUCUUGUGCCACACAUGUGCCACUGGUCUUGGUUUCACGGCCAGGCAAUGGAGGUAGCCGGCAUCUAAUGUCUUUUUGGACCCGAGAGAGCUCACUGAAGAGCUUAUUUAGAUCUUCAACACCGAGAUCUUGUUCCUUCGUGAAUAAAAGAUUUGCCACCAUACUAGGAUUCUCUUCUUGGAUACUUUUCAUACGAAGGAUGGAAAGUUGGUUUUGGUCUUCCUCGGUCAUGUUCUCCAGGUCCAACUGAGCCACCUCAUUUUGUAGGCUUCCAAUCCUAGCGGUGGUUGCCUCAUUGGCGGAGGGAACUACUGGUGGAGCUCCAAAUAGGAAAGCAUCAACAAUGGGAUCGGCCAAUGGCGUCCCAAAUGAGUGCAUCUUUCCAUUGUUCGUCUCUAGGACGACGGCAAUCCUAGCCCUAGUGAGGGCAGAGAUGUCGGUCGCCCUCUUGAACAAACCGGAACGUCGCUUGUAGAAGGUGAGAUCACGAUCUUUGUCAUUAUGGAUGUAUGCCACACCUGACCGCCGCUCUUUCCUCGGCAUACUAAUGUGGACAAAGAGGAAGAAACUUACUACUACAAAUAGGACGCACAAGUAUCUACAGAAAACUAGAGAUUUACGAGUACUGUUGGCUAACCACAUAUUGGUGUAGGAUAUGAG
rnacentral:lncRNA from 1 species